GGGGAUGGAAGUCAAGUAGAAGUUACAACCUAAGUAACAGUUUGGUCAUAGGUAGGCCUGCUCACAAGUCCAGCCUAGACAGGAUACUAACACCUUUCACGUUUGGCGAGGCCCCUGACCCAGCACAAAAUAUUGGCAAUAUCAUUCUACUAGACCCAACCCUAAUUACCAAUAGGGAGCCAUGCUUGGCCCAACACAACCCACCCAAAUUCGUUUUCUAAUUUUAUUUAACUGGCAGUCAAGCUUUACUUUGUUUACUUAUUGUUCAAGGUUAUCAUAGUCCUUAUUAAUAUUGGCAUUUUUACGUGUGGCAUCCAUAACCGACAAAAGGACAUCAUUUUACUAAAUCUUCCCUUGCCUAUAGGUAAUGACCUCGCUCUGAUAUUUUAAGCAGGAACAUUGUCAUAGUCUACCAACUUCUUAAGUAGGAAUUUAAGCCUUUGUUUAGAUCAGGAUAUUUUAUUUUCUUUUUGGAACAAAAAACUAGAAGCAACUAUUGGGGGUAAGGCAAGACAGAACUUGAGUUCUAGUUCUCUAAAGUUGCUAGGAGCCUCGUGCCCAUUUAAAACAACAAAUAGAGCACGGCGCAUAGUCCUAAUAAAACUGAGUCUUGGAAAAAGUCCAAAGGAAGACAUUUUCACACAAUGCAAAUCUGCCGCCUAAUUCGUCUACUCCAUACCUUAGCAUUACUCAAGUUUUAUACAGGAAGUUCCAGGCUCACUAUCAACUUCUUAGUGACAACAAGAGCAAACAAAAUGCAAUGACAAGCAGUAUUGGCAAACGAAAACUCCGUCAAUUUACAAGGAUGGGAAUAAUUAAGAUGUGGUAGUGAUGUGUAGGGGGCACUAAACUUCAUUUAGAGCAAACCAAAUGUAAUGGCAAGCAGCAUUGUCAAAUGAAAAAUUAUGAUGUAGUAGUGAUAUGAAGGGGCCUCUAACCUUCAUUCAGAACAACUUUAUAUCAGAAAUAUCUUUGGGAUAUGGAACACUGAUGGCAGAUUGAUGCUCUGCAGCUGCAUGAAUCCCUCCCUGCUCGUUGCACCAAAUAUGAAAUCUUAUGUACUCAAAACUCUUAUCGAGACGGUUGAACCAAACGAAAAUACACUUGCCAUUGCCCAAACGAUACAGAGUGCCAUGUGGAUCCACUGAAAAUUCUGAUGACCAUUUGACGGGCAAAUGUUUCUUAUCAAGCAAAUUAUACGCCUCCAAAGAACGGAACUUAUCAUAAUAAUUAUAAAUGGCAGUAUACAGCACAUCGUCCACGAUUGUCGCUGCGUCAGACCAGUAACAAAAUUUUUGUUCGAGGCAAACCCAUGAUUUACGAUCAUAGUAAUAAGCGUAAAGAGUAUCAUUGGCAUUGCAGUGCACCAAAAUCCGAGAUCGGGAAGAAUCUAGAACAGGAACACAUAGAUCGAUAUCUUCCGGAGGGGGCGACAAUGGUUCCCAAAUAUCCCCACUUAUAUCGUAAACCUCACCAAAAGAUUCAGAACCCAUAUAUUCGAAGACGAAAAUCUUUCCUUCAGCAGCAACAACCCGGGGCAAAACCCGAGGGAACAACAUAGAAGUAGUUUUUCUCCACCCACGUUCGAGGUCCUUCAAAUCUAAUUGGAAAACAUCGUUUACACCAUCAUUAUCAAAAAGAGUAGCAUCAUUUUGGCGUAUUCCCCCAAUAACGUAAACGUGGUCGCCACAGGCAACGGCAGUGGAACAAAAAGGAGCAUCAGGUGGCAUCGCCUUAAUAAAGACUUCAUUGCUUUCCAGAUCCAAAAAGUGCAAACCGACCGUAAUUUUACCAUCGGUACCCGGCCAUUUCUGGACGAGGGCCCUGAUCAGUUCAUCUGGCUCUCGCCCAUCAAAGUAACUGGAGGAAUCACUAGUAUCGCCGCUCAUGGUUCACCCUCAGCUUCGCCUUUCCAGAUCCAAAAUCGCUUUUAGUUUUAGGGUUUCUAGCUUCGGGUUAUUUCUUUUUUUUUUUGUUAUUUAAAUUUGGUUUGGGUUUAGUAGUCAAUGACAAAAAAAAAGAUAUAUACUUAAAUAAAUUUGUUGUCAAGUUAGCAAACGGUUGAUAUAUUUUGUUUUAAAUAGUAAUUUGCUUGUUUUAGUUGUUAAUUUCUUUGUAUUUUAAAAUUAUUUAUUAAUUAUGAUUAUUUUUAAUGAAUAUAAAAUAAUAUUAUUUCGUAUUAAAUAUUAGAAGUUUGUUAAAAUUUGAUUGGAUCAAUUAAAUCAAGAGCUGAUACGUAUAUUAAUUUGAAUGAGAUAAAAAAUUAGUUGAUAUAUUAAUAUGAACAAGUUGAAUCAGAUUAAAUGAUUAAACCAAGUUUUAUGAUUCUUUAUUAUUUACUUAAUAUGAUUGUUUAGAGUAUUAAAAAAGAUGUGGAAAUGUGAAGCUUAAAGUUUUAAGUUUUUUGUUUAUUCAGUAAAUAAUAAUGGUGAUUUUUUAAGCUGAUAGCUUUGUGUGUAUAUAUAUAUAUUGUUUUGCAUGUGCUUUGUGCGAUAAUUAUAUUUGUAGGUGUUGGCACAUUGAAGUUGAACUCCCGUCUUUGAUAGCAGUGAUAUUCCUUUCUCAAAAUUUUGACAGCAGCCGGUGCUUAUGAUAAUAGUGUUUAAAAAACUGAGUUCACUUGUCAUACCGAUUGUUCAGGCCUCAUUAGUGUUGCAUCAUGUCCAUCGGGAAAGCUAGUUCAAAUUGAGCAUGCCUUGUCGGCAAUCGAAUCAGGUCAAACAUCUCUUAGAAUCAAAGCUGCUAAUGGGGUAGUAAUUGCUACUGAGAAGAAAUUGCUUUCGAUCUUGGUUUAUCUGUUAAGAAAAUACAGUGUCUAACACCAAGUGUUGAAGUUGUUUACAGUGUUGGGCAGGUAAUAGCAUUUUGGAUCAAGUGUAACAUAAAAUCUUUCUAAGCUCGGACAGAGCUUCAGGAAGCAAAGUAAGGCAUUGAUUGGUUCUCUUUCCAUUGAACAAUCAAUCCACCAAAGCUCUUUUAAUUCGCUCAAAUAACAUUCAGGUCGCCUACUUGAGAAGGCCAAAAUGAUUUCUUUUGCAGAGACCAUAACGAUAACGAGAAGGGAAAGGGAGUCUCAGUCUCAAAGACAGUGAGUUAUCUAGAUUCAAAUGCCUAUGCACAACCAUUUGUCUGUGCAUUACUAUUUAAAUAAAAAUACAGAGUUGAAAGUGAAUGAGCUUUCUUUACAAGGAGGUAUUGUUAGAGAUGAUCAAGGAAUCGUCAAUCUUACAUUGUUAGUUGUUUGCCAAACUUUCGCUUGAUUUUAGAUACACUAUCAUGUUUCAAUCUCUGGGAUAGAGUUUUUUUUUACAGCAUCACUUCACUUCUUGUAUGUGCUAGAACUGGACCACAACAAUCUGACAGGAAAUUUGCCGCAAGGCAUUUACCGUGGUGGAUCACUUGAAUACUUCACAGCAGCUGACAGCCAGCUUACCGGGCAAUCCCUCAAGGGUUGAAAAAUUGCACUAGCUUGAAGAGAGUCUACCUUGAAAGAAACCGACUCAGAGGAAAUAUAUCUGAACAUUUAGGCGUUUACCCAAACCUAAGAUUCAUUGAAUUAAGUGACAUUGAACUUUAUGGUGAAGUGUCUUCCAAUUGGGGAUUGUGCAGAAGCUUACAGAGCCUAUCUAUUGCAAGGAAUAAUCUCAGUGGUACAAUACCAGCUGAGAUUGGAAACUCACGUCAGAUACACAGGCUUGAUCUUUGUUCAAAUCAUUUAGUUGGGGAGAUUCUAAAGAAAAUUUCAAAGUUGACAUCUUUGCUUUAUCUUUAUUUGAAUGGGAAUAAACUUUCUGGCAGUGUACCCCUGGAACUAGGACUUAUGCUCGCAAUAUAUUCGCCGUUUGUCCUCUUAGAAAUUUUCAUUUUUAGUUCUGGUAUCUUAGUUCUUGUUUUCGAACACUGAAUUCAUUGAAACACAAUCAAUUUUUGUUUCAAUUAUAGUUAGAACAGUGAGAUAUUCAUUUGUACACAUCUCCCACUUCGAGCCUCGUAUGAUAUUUUAUACUUGUUUAAGUUAGAGAAGAGUUGGUAUAAACUCUGAAAUGCUAUAGCUUGGGACCCAAAAGAGACAAAAGAGAAAAGCUUAUUGCCUGCGUGAAUGCCCAAAUAGAGAGGGAGAGUCUAUCAUACGUCAAGUAUAAAAAGUACCAACGACCAUUCACAAAGACUUAGAUGCAAGUCAACAAUGGUUUGAGAAAUGGGUGAGAGACUUAUGUUAUUGCAUUGUAUUCAUUUUUCCACAUCUUCUGUUUCAAGUCUCAAAUGACAAUUUUAACUCUGUAAUAGCAGAAAGGUUGGUCUGAAAUGCGAUUGCUUUGGACCCAAAAUAGAAAUGCGCUUUUAGCCUGUGUGAAUCCAAAGGGACAGUGUAUCAUACGUCAAGACUGAAAGGGGCAAAGGUCUCUUGACCUUGAAUGGGGCUAACAUAAAUUACUAUAAUACAAAGACUUCAACUUUGGAGUGAAAAAUGGGUGAGACUUUUAAUAGUUAGUUCCUAUAUAGAGGGAGAUAAAAGCUUAUCGCCUGUGUGAAUGUCCACAUCUCCAUUUUGUAGUCUUAUAUGACAGUUGUCUUCUUGACACUAAAUCGGCCAACAUAAAUUAUUAUAAUACAAAGACAUAAAACUAUGGAGUGAAAAAUGGGUGAAAGACUUAAUAGUUUUUUUAUUAGAGGGUUGAAAGACUUAAAAGUUAGUUUGAUCGUACAGGCUACUGCAAUUAACCUAUAUAUAACCUUCAUAUCAUAGCUGUUACUUGCAUGCAGAGCAUUUGUUACUCAUGAAGAGUUUAACCUUGCUUGCUCCCUUACUCUUGUGUGUUACUUUACUAUUUUCUUCUCUUAAUGUCGCUUCUGAUUCUGCAGCAGAAGCAUUGGCAAUCCUCAAAUGGAAAGCCAGCCUUCAAAGCCAAAACCAUUCUGUUUUGCUUUCCUGGAAUACUUCCAACGACCCAUAUACCAAAACAAGUCCUUGUGCUUGGUUUGGAAUCCAUUGCAAUCAUGCUGACAGUGUUACUAAGAUUAACCUCACUGGCUAUGGUGUAAAAGGUACGCUCCAUUCAUUUCCAUUCUCGUCUUUGCCUAAUCUUGCAGAGUUGGACCUUAGCAUCAAUGAACUUUAUGGCAUAAUCCCACAUAAUAUCAGUCAGCUCUCCAAACUAACCUACCUCGAUUUAUCCUAUAACCAGUUCUCUGGGCAAAUACCACCUGAAAUUAGCCACCUUCUACAUCUUCAGACCCUUCACCUUGCUGGAAAUCAGUUGAACGGCUCAAUUCCUCAAGAACUUGGUCAGCUCAAAUUUCUCACUGACCUUGCCUUGUGUAGCAACAAGCUAAAUGGUUGCAUUCCUGCUUCUCUUGGUAAACUAAGUCGACUUCUUUCCUUAAUUCUCUUUGAUAAUUCCCUUUCUGGUCCCAUUCCUCCAGAAUUGGGAAACCUUAGGAAUUUGGUUGAAGUUUACCUGGACACCAACCAUCUAACUGGUCCAAUCCCUUCCACGUUUGGAAACUUGAAAAAACUGACGGUGCUUCAGAUGUUUAACAAUAGUCUUUCAGGUCCCAUCCCCUCUGAGUUAGGGAAUAUGGAAUCUCUUUCUGAAAUAAGCCUUUAUCACAACAAUCUAUCUGGCUUGAUCCCAACCUCAUUUGGUGACUUGAGACAUCUUACAGUUGCCCAACUUUAUGAAAAUCAACUCUCUGGGCCAAUUCCUNNNNNNNNNNNNNNNNNNNNNNNNNNNNNNNNNNNNNNNNNNNNNNNNNNNNNNNNNNNNNNNNNNNNNNNNNNNNNNNNNNNNNNNNNNNNNNNNNNNNNNNNNNNNNNNNNNNNNNNNNNNNNNNNNNNNNNNNNNNNNNNNNNNNNNNNNNNNNNNNNNNNNNNNNNNNNNNNNNNNNNNNNNNNNNNNNNNNNNNNNNNNNNNNNNNNNNNNNNNNNNNNNNNNNNNNNNNNNNNNNNNNNNNNNNNNNNNNNNNNNNNNNNNNNNNNNNNNNNNNNNNNNNNNNNNNNNNNNNNNNNNNNNNNNNNNNNNNNNNNNNNNNNNNNNNNNNNNNNNNNNNNNNNNNNNNNNNNNNNNNNNNNNNNNNNNNNNNNNNNNNNNNNNNNNNNNNNNNNNNNNNNNNNNNNNNNNNNNNNNNNNNNNNNNNNNNNNNNNNNNNNNNNNNNNNNNNNNNNNNNNNNNNNNNNNNNNNNNNNNNNNNNNNNNNNNNNNNNNNNNNNNNNNNNNNNNNNNNNNNNNNNNNNNNNNNNNNNNNNNNNNNNNNNNNNNNNNNNNNNNNNNNNNNNNNNNNNNNNNNNNNNNNNNNNNNNNNNNNNNUUGCUUUAUCUUUUUUUGAAUGGGAAUCAACUUUCUGGUAGUGUACCCUUGGAACUAGGACUUAUGUCCAAGCUUUUGUAUCUAGAUUUGUCUGCAAACCAAUUGAGCAAGUCCAUCCCUGAAACUAUAGGGAAUCUGUCCAGGUCAUUCUACUUGAAUUUGAGCAUCAAUCGGUUUAGCCAAAGAAUUCCAAUUCAAGUAGGUAAGUUAACUAGGCUGGUUCAUCUAGAUUUGAGUCAUAACAUGCUUUCAGGGGAGAUUCCAGGGGAAUUUCAAAGUUUGCAGAGCUUGGAGACACUAAACCUUUCUCACAAUAAUCUCUCUGGUGAAAUACCAGCCUCUUUGGAGAAGCUCCGAGGCUUGUACACUGUUGACAUUUCAAGUAAUGAACUCCAGGGUCCCAUUCCCAACUGCCAAGCAUUUCUAAAUGCUUCAGUACAAGAAUUGGGACGGAACAAAGGAUUAUGUGGCAAUGCUAGAGGCUUACCGCCUUGCACACCUUUUUCUAAGAAGGGUCACAAAAACAACAAAACCUUUUUAGUAGUUAUGUUCUUUCUUUUAUCGGUUUCUUGUCUCUUGAUAUCAUCAAUGGCUUUGUUGUUUGCCUUCAAGAGGAAGAAAGAUACAGAUGAAGAAAGACAAAGCAAUGCAAGUGAUGGAAUAUUUUUCUCUGUAACUUCCUUUAAUGGAAGAAUAUUGUAUAAAGAGAUCAUUAGAGCCACCAAAGAUUUUGAUGCUCAAUAUUGCAUUGGGAAGGGAGGAUAUGGAAACGUAUACAAAGCAGAGCUGUCAUCAGGAGAUGUUGUAGCUGUGAAGAAAUUCCAUUCGUUGCAUACCGGUGAAAUGGCAGAUCAGAGACAGUUCCUAAAUGAGGUAAGGGCAUUAGUAGAAACAAGACACAGAAAUAUCGCGAAGUUCUACGGUUUUUGUUCCUCUGCAGGUCAUUCCUUUUUAGUAUACAAGUACCUUGAAAGGGGUAGCUUGGCUUCAGUUCUCAGUAAGAAUGAAGAAUCUAAGAAAUUGGACUGGAACAAGAGGGUGAAUAUUGUCAAAGGUGUUGUUAAUGCCCUCUCCUAUUUGCACCAUGACUGUUCACCGCCCAUUGUUCAUCGAGAUAUAACAAGCAACAACAUUUUGCUUGAUUUGGAGUAUGAAGCUCACCUUUCAGACUUUGGCACUGCUAAGCUUCUCAAUCCAGACUCAUCCAAUUGGAGUAAUAUUGCUGGAACAUACGGAUACAUUGCACCAGGUGAUUUUUCAUUUUACUUCCAUAGAUGACAUAGCAUAGAGGAUAAUAUUUGUUAUCAACUAUUAUUUCUUUUUCUUUGCAGAGCUUUCCUACACCAUGCAAGUUACUGAAAAAUGUGAUGUGUUUAGUUUUGGUGUGCUGGCAUUGGAGUUGAUAGUCGGGGCAUAUCCGGGUGAAUUUCUCUCUAAUCUAUCAAUUUUAACAGCAGAAAGCAUUCCACUAAACAAUGUGUUAGAUCAAAGUCUUUCGCCUCCACCACCAGAAGUUGUGAACAAACUCGUAUUCAUCCUGGAGCUGGCUGUUUCAUGUUUAAAUAUCAAUCCAAAAUCUAGGCCAACCAUGCACACUGUUUCUCAGCUGGUGUUCGACCACAUCUAGUCCCAUCUAGGACUCUCUGAUCUUCAUCUAAGAUACCACCUUAGAAACGUUUGGUAUUUGCUCUAAUGUUGUUUCUUUAGCUGUUGUGUAGUUAUAAUGGAGUUAAUGGAUUAGCAUUUUUGUACUCUUAAUUACCUUUUUCCUUGAGAAUUGCUACUAGCUUGUUGGUAGGGCAACAAGAGUUGUUUCCGAUAAUUGUCUGUAACAGUUUAUCAUAAAUUGUAUUCUAGUAUCAUCUUUUCAAAGGUUUGAUCCUCUAAUAUUGAUUGGGUCCUUCAAAGAGCUAAGCCUUUCGAAGCUUUCAACACCCUCCCUAUUGCUAUUAAUCCAAGGCCUAUUGUCUCAUAUUAGUCCUACAUCAAUUAAAGGAUUCGCUAAUCCAUGUAUUAAUGCUCUCAAAUUUUAAUGUCUUCCCCAUUCUUUUUCUCUAAAGGGCCAUACCUAUAUCAACUAUCACUUGUAUUUCAUGGAGUGAUUUUCUUUUAAUUGAAUCUACUUGACCAGCCUCCAUUAAUCCUACCUUGAAUUAACUUAAAUGUAGAACUCAAAGGAUGGAUGAGUAUGUUCUGUGAAAACCUACCUCGCUUUCUUCAAUUGUAAUACCCAACUCAAAAUAAAAUCUAAUUAUCUUUAAAAUAAAACUGCAAUAGGUGGAUUAAAAACAAAGAUACGAGAAAAAACAUAAGAGAACAAAAAUUGGGGAAAAUGGAGGAUGGAAAUUGAAGUUCUAGCCAUAAAUUCCCUGUUUUGAUUGUUUAAAGAAAUAUUUAUUAGACUGCCACAAUUUGAUGGAAUUAUUUGAAAGAAAAUUUCUUAGUGAGUUGACUUUGUAAAAUUAUUAGGUUUUAUUUUAUCACCUAUUAAGAGAUAUAAGUAUGAUUUUUAGUAGAUUAAUCAUAGCAUCCAACACAUCAAUACUUAAUAAACUAAUUUGCACAUUCAAGCCUAUAUAAUCAAUCAUAAAUAGUUAAUAAUCAAAAAAAUAAAAUUCAACCAUGUUAACAUUAUAAGCUAAACUAUUAAAAUAAUUGAACUUUUUUAAGUUACAAGCCCAUCAACCUAGUUACAUGCUAUACGACUCAAAACAUUUAUAUAUAUACAAAAUUGCAACGAAAUGAUUUGAGUUAAGCUGAUGAAAAUGAAUGCUUCAUCUCGAGUUUACUAAAGCUUCUGCCUGAGAUCUGCGCACAAAAACAAAUAUAACCAUACGCUAAAUAAUACAUACUCAAUGAUACUAAUAUGAUUUGAAUUCAAUUAUAAACGUAAUAACAUUGAAUAAACAAAUAAGUAAAAAGAUUAAAUAUAUUAUUCAUUACCCAUUUCAAUAACAACAUUAAUAUGCAUAUACCUAUAAACCACUAUUCCUUUAGAAGAUUCAUAAUCAUUUAUCAUUCCAACAUGUUCAUACUUGCUUACAAAUCACAUUAUCUUCAAGGUAUUUGCAUUUAUUUUUACCAUAUCAAUUUCAUAUAUCAUAUUUCCAUUAUUAUCAAAUUUUACUAUACAAAUGUUUAACAUAUAAUUUCACAUUUUAGCCUCUAUUAACAUAAUCGAACUCAAAAACGGAUAUUCGGAUAAAUCCACCAACACGCCAGUAUCUGCACCGAAGUGCUGACCAUACAUAAAUGCACCAAUCCUACCAAUCACACCAGAAUAUGCUCUUACUCUCAACAAAUUUGAGCUGGCGAUGACAAUUUGUUCUCGACCCUCAAGAAAUUAGAGAAUUAUAGCAAUAGACCCUAUGACAUGCCAACUAUACCCGUUACUCUAUCCAACAACGUUAAUAUGGCAAUUUCAUAAUUAAAGACAUAUCAUCAAGAAAGCAUAUACAUAUAUAUUCAAUUUACCAAAUGAUCGCAAAACACAUAGUUGGGUAUAUACGUACCUUUAAAAUACAAUCUCAUUGAUAGUUUACCAUUUUUGAAUAUUGUACGAGUUGAACAUUUAAUGAACUCAAAUUGUGAGAGUACAAAUUAGAUUAUCUAUUUGUCAAUGCCCUUGGCUUUCCCUUUGCCUUUCGAUGUCCCAGUGUUGUCUUUAGUUAUGUACGAAAAAAUUGAAUACUGGAAAUUAAUUAAUUAUACAAUUCAGACAUAAAAGCAUGAUGAUACAAGCCCUUAUAUUGGAAACACUCGUACCUCACAAUUCACCGAAUCAAAUUUAAAUAUAACUAACAAAUAUAGUACAAGAACUUCCUACAACCAUUUUUUAUUAUCAAACCUCAAGUUUUCAUCCCUUACAAUUAAGUCAUUAAUAACACAUAAUUUAUCAAUUUUCUAAGGUUGAUUCAAGCUUAAUUUAACACUUUUUACUAAAAUUUUAACAUAUUCUACCAUGAUCUUAAUUAAUAUCAACAUGCAUGAAAUUAAAUCUUUAACCUCAAAUAUUCUCAAGUUUUUCCAUCAACGGAAAACCAUAUCAAAGCUCACUAAUUCACUAGAUUAACUAAUGGGUUCUUAAUAAUUAUUCGCUAUUAACAAAAAUCCUAUUGAAAUUCAAAGCUUGAUGCAAGGUGCAGCAAUGGUGGCUUGAUGAAGAAUUCUUUCUUUUGUUUGUUUGUCUUAGCCGAUUAAGGAAGAAGAGAACUGAAUUUUCUCUUUCAUCCGACUACUUUCAUAUUUAUAUGCAUAAUUAGCAUAACGCUUGACAUAAUUAUUUCACUAAUCCAUGGGUUAAUCGACCCAUAAUAUUAGUUUGUGGAAAACGAUUGAUAUGGCUUUUACUUAAAUAUUAACAUGAAUUAACAAUGAUUUUAUUACUACUAAAGUCCUCGACAUAAUUAUACUCAAGCCCCUUAAAUAUAUAUUUUUAAUUCCCCAAUUAAAACCACUUUUCAGUUUAGUCCAUGUACUAUAAUUAUCAAUUGACCCAAGUUACUUCCGCUAAAUGAUUCACACCGAAAUGGACUAUACCAAUUUCCAGUGACUUGUUUUAAGAAAUUUAACCCUAAAAUUGAAUUUAUCGAUGUCGAUAAAAUUAAGAAUCGUUACAAUUUACUGUCAUAAUCUCCCUUUUUUGACAAAGAUGUCAAAGAGACUUCUUCUCACCAUAUGAUCUUCUUUAAAUCAAUCCAACAAAGUGCAUAAAUAUCCAAUAAAGUAAUAAGGUUUAAGAACAAAAUCAAACACAACCACAAUCAGCUUCAAGUAUGCAUAGUACUGAGAUAGAACCUACUUUGUCGAACUUCUUAUUUUAUUCAACAUUAUUAAUUUCUUAUUCAAAAUUUAGGUAAAUUUCAUUAUAAAUGUCACAACUGAAUUAAUCCAUAAAUGGAUUUAGAAAUAUUUUAAUUCGGGUCCCGUUAAUGUAUUGUAAUCUAUGCAAUCUCAUCUAUGUCUUUAUUUAUAAUAGUCAAGAGAAGUUAUGUCCCCAGUUAGAAUUAUAGAGGACAUAAUAAUCCUAACAUGAGUCAUUUCCUCUUUCUGAUGACUACGUAUCAUUUAAAUGAACUAAUAAUAUAAGUUUCUUUUGCAUUAUAAUCAAUUCCUGAAAUGCAAAUUAAUAAUAAUUAAAUCUUAGAUAAUCAGUGAUUAAAUAUUUGUUUCUUCAUUUUACUUUUCAUGCAAAAACUAUUGAGAAUAAAAUACAAAAAAUAUUAAAUAGUCAUGUGAAAAUUUUAUUAGUUCAAAAUAGUUAAAAAUAUUACAAAUAAAUUGCGGUGAAAUAAUUGGGCUAAGGGCACAAUUUCUAACAAAAAGUACAUUCUUAGGUUUGAAUAAAGCUCUCUUAUAUUUUCCUUUAACAUAUUAAAGGAUAGCUUAUGCAAUCCAACAACUAAGUUUUUCAUAACAAAUUCUGUUGGAAAAUUUGAUUAAGAAAAUGGUUAUUUUUGAUACAAUAAAAGUUCAUUUUUUUUCUAAAAUUGAGCCAUUUUGUUAUUUAUAAUAAUAAAUUUAUUGACCGAAAUAGUACAUGUGCUUUGUACGAGGCGAUUAAGUCGAUCUUGACUUUUAACCGAACUACCUUCUUCACUAUCCUUGAAUCAUGAAUUGCCACGAGUGUAGGCUUGAGCAACACAAAUCAAAUCUCUAAAUGAAAACUUUUAAUUAACUUUCAGUAGGUAAGUUAAUUCCUCUUUUUCACUAGUAACAAUAUAUUUUUCCUAGAAAAUAGAAUUUAUUCUUGUUAAAUAAUUUUUUACUAUUUUCUCGCAGAAUAACCAAAUUAUAUGAUGUGUGUAUAAAUUGUAUAACUAGUAGUUCUUAUUUAUAAAGAAAACGUAUAAAAUUUCUAUUUGAAUAAUAUCUAAUUAAAAAAUAAUAUUUUAAUAAAAAUAACUAUAGUAUAGGGGGUGGCGACAAUCUUAGUAAAACAAAAGGGUUUGCCGCCACUUACAUGGUAUAAGGCCAAGUUGGGUUUUUUUUUUUUGUAUUGGUUCUAAGUUUAUGUGUUUCUUACACUUUAAUCCAACAUUUAUAAUUUAUCGAACACAAAAUCUAAUUUCUAAAAUAUUAAUUAAUUAAUUUUUCAAUUAAAUUAUUUUCUAAACCUAAUUCUAAUUCCACAAAAGUCAUUUCAACUUUAUCAUAUCAAAAUUUAUGAGAAACUAUAUUUAAUUGCUCUAUUCAACAAAUCUAGGGUGACUAAUUAAUUUAAUUCAUACUUCAAACUCUAACAAUUUACUUGUAAUUAAAUAAAUAAUAAUUCGAAUAAAUCAAAUUAAUUCCUAUGUUAUUUUUGUACUUAGCAAGAAAAUGCAUUUAUUGCGGAUAGUGAUACAUGAGAUCUAUUUUUCUUAAUUCAUCAUUUUCAUUCAUUCCAUAUUAUUGGUUCUGCAUGCAAUUUGUUUCUGGUUAUCUCGAGCUAGAGAGGGACCGAUUGAACAUAUAUAAUUAGGCUCACAUAAUUUGUAAUUAAAUUCCAAUUUUUUGCCUAUUAACUAUAACAUUAUUCAAUGAAAAAGUCAUUCCACUAAAAUAUCAUGAUUAAGCUCUCCCGUAUUAUAUACCAUUAUGAAAGUCACUCAUGGAGUGCUUGUCCAAUGACCUUAUUGAGUUAAACUUAUAGAAUAUUCUCAAUCUCUUUGGGAUAAAUUAAUUCUCCCAAUAUGAUCAUAUUUUAUCUCACGGUAAGUAUUACAUCUUCUUUUAUGAAAAGUCAAUUGCUAACAAUUAGUAAUUAAAUCAUUUAUCACAAAUACAAAUGACUCAUGACCACACUACUUUUAAUCUAUCAUGUAAUGUCGAUGAGCAAAUAUCAUUUACCCUUUAAUUGGGCUAUAAAUUUUACCAUUGUGAAAUGAUGCUACAUACUGCAGAAGUUUUAUACCCAACGCACCAAGUUUCAAUUCCUUACUUGUUUUAUACCCAACGCACCAAGUUUUAUACCCAAUGUAAUUUAACCAUUUACGUUGAUUUCGGUUACUAUUUUUCCACCUCUCUAUCUUUUCUCCAAAAUAUGUUACAAUAUUUAUAGAAUAUUCUAGUACAACCAGCCAUUCAUCUUGAUAUCGUUUAAGAUGAUCACAACUUAAUAUCCAGUCAUUAUCCUUUACGUAAUCAAGAUUAAUGGCUAGUUGCAGUAAAAUAUUCUAAAAACAUUAUAAUAUAUUUUAAAGAAAAGAUGGAGAGGUGGGAAAGUAGUAACCGAAAUCAGCGUGAAGGUUUUAAUUACAUUAGUAAGGAUUUCGGUAAGAUCUUAAACGAUAUGGCUUGUAUAUGAGCUAAAAAUAAUAAGAGCAUUUACACGUAAGAUCCGAUAAAGUCUAUAUUCAUCACUAAUUUCGAUGGGGUAAAGUUUUUACCUAAUUUGAAUGCAUCUGACCAAACAAUGAAAUGUGAUAUUAAUGAGUUGAAAUAUUUGAUAAACUAUGUCGUCAAUAUUGCAUUCGAAUCUAUUAUCCAAAAUUAUGAGAAUUUCAAUAUGCCGAAUGAAUUAUUAUUGUUUCUUAACCAGCUCAAACUUCAAAACUUGUAAGUUAUCUUUAAUAUAUUUAUUUUAAAGUUUAAUAACUCAUAUGAUCUACUUCAUUAAUUUCAUAAUUUUUUUACUUGCCUAUGUAUAAAUGGAUAGGAAAUACAUGAGUUGCGUUUCUACUGGAUGCGCCAUUAUUUUGGAGACCUGUUGAUAAGUUCUAUUUUAUUAUAAAUCUGGAUCACAUAAUGAAGCGUGAAGAGAUUUGGUGGCAUAAUCUUAACAAAUGCUUAAAUAUGUUGCAAAAGAAAUAUUCAUAUAAUUGGGUGUUGGCAGUGAAACAUGAUUCGGUGCUUAAAUCUAUAUUCGAGAAUGCAAAAUCUAGUUGUCUAACCAAUUCCUAUCCCACUGUAGUACGGUACUGUUUACCGUCAUUACAACAACAAUAUAAUACCAAAACUAAUAUUUCAAUAUUUUUUUAUUAUGAUAUUAUAUUUACUUUUGUUAUUAUUUUUUACUUAAAUUGUUUAUUUUAUAGAUUAACAUUGAGAAUAAGUUGAGUAGGUAACAGCCAGAACUGUAUAUUCAUCUAUUUAAAGAUUUAAUUAAAUAUGCAAUAAGCAAUAAAAGUAGGUAAGGAAUAUAAUAAAAUUAUAUUAUCAUUGUAAAAUUAUUUUUUAAUUUAUAUUAAAUAAAUAUUAUUUUAAUGUCUUGAUGUAGGCAUUAUUUCUGAAAAUAUAUGAAAAGUAAGGAAGUUGGUUUUUGUAAAAUUAUUUUUUAAUUUAUAUUAAAUAAAUAUUAUUUUAAUGUCUUGAUGUAGGCAUUAUUUCUGAAAAUAUAUGAAAAGUAAGGAAGUUGGUUUUCUCUGUAAAUAUAUUUAGAAACUGUCACACCUCAAAUUUUCUUUUCUUUUUCCUACUUCUAGUCCAAAUUUUGGGAUGUGAUAGUUUCUAAAUACAUUAAAGAGAAAACUAACUUACUUACCUUUCAUAUAUUUUCAGAAAUAAUGUCUGUAUCAAAACAUUAAAAUAAUAAUAUUAAUUUAAUAUGAAUUAAAAAAAUAAUUUUACAAUGACAAUAUAAUUUUUCUAUAUUCCUUACCUAUUUUUAUUGCUUAUUGUAUUAUUAAUUAAACCUUUAAAUAGAUGAAAAUAUAGUUCUGGAAGUUGCCUACUCAACUUAAUCUUAAUGUUAAUAAUACUAAUCUAUAAAAUAAACAAUUUAAGUAAAAAUUAAUAACAAAAGUAAAUAGAAUAUCAUAAUAAAAAAUAUUGAAAUAUUACUUUUGGUGUUAUAUUAUCGUUGUAAUAACGGUAAACAUUAGAGCAAUACAGUACUACAAAGGCAUAGAAAUUGGUUGGGUAACUAGAUUCUGCAUUCUCGAAUAUAGAUUUAAGCACCGGAUCACGUUUCACCGCCAACACCCAAUCAUAUAAAUAUUUCUUUUGCAAAAUAUUUGAGCAUUUGUAAAGAUUACGCCACUAAAUCUCUUCACGCUUCAUAAUGUGAUCCAGAUUUAUAAUAAAAUAGAACUUAUCAACAGAUCUCCAAAAUAAAGACGCAUCCAGUAGAAACACGGGACUCAUGUAUUUCCUAUCCAUUUGGUGAUAGGCAAAUAAAAAAAUUUUGUGAAAUUAAUGAAGUAGAACAUAUAAGUUAUCGAACUUUAAAAUAAAUAUAUGAAAGAUAACUUACAAGUUUUGAAAUUUAAGCUGGUUAAGAAACAAUUAUAAUUCAUUCGGCAUAUUAAAAUUCUCAUAAUUUUGGAUGACAGAUUCGAAUGCAAUAUUGACGAUAUAGUUCAUCAAAUAUUUCAACUCAUUAAUAUCACAUUCUAUUGUUUGGUCAGAUGCAUUUAAAUUGGGUAAAAACUUUACCCCCACCGAAAUUAGUGAUGAAUAUAGACUUUAUCCGAUCUUGCGUGUAAAUGCUCUUAUUAUUUUUAACCCAUAUACAAGUCACAUUUUUUAAGAUCUUACCGAAAUCCUCUCUAAUGUAAUUAAACCAUUUACGCUGAUUUCGGUUAUUAUUUUCCCAACUCUUCAUCUUUUCUCUAAAAUAUGUUAUAAUAUUUUUAAAAUAUUCCAGUCAUCAUCUUGUACGGUAUCAAGAUAAACGGCUGAUUGCAUUAGAAUAUUUUAAAAUAGUGUAACAUAUUUUAGAAAAAGCAUGGAGAGGUGGGAAAGUAGUAACCGAAAUCAACGUAAAUGGUUCAAUUACACUAAAAAGGAUUUCAAUAAGAUCUUAAAAGAUUAGGCUUGUAUAUAGGCUAUAAAUAAUAAGAGCAUUUACACGCAAAAUCGAAUAAAAUUUAUACUCAUCACUAAUUUCGGUGGGGGUAAAGUUUUUACCCAUUUUGAAUACAUUUGACCAACAAAUAGAAGGUAAUAUUGAUGAGUUGAAAUAUUUGAUAAACUACAUCGUCAAUAUUGCAUUGGAAUUUCAAUAUGCCGGAUCAAUUAUAAUUAUUUCUUAAUCAGCUCAAAUUUUAAAACUUAUAAGUUAUCUUUCAUAUAUUUAUUUUAAUGUUCGAUAACUCAUAUAUUCUACUUCAUUAAUUUUAUAAAUUUUUUUAUUUGCCUAUGUCCAAAUGGAUAGGAAAUACAUGAGUCCCACGUUUCUACUGGAUGCGCAUUUAUUUUGGAGACCUAUUGAUAAGUUCAAUUUUAUUAUAAACCUGGAUCACAUGAUGAAGCGUGAAGAGAUUUGGUGGCGUAAUCUUGACAAAUGCCUAAAUAUUUUGCAAAAGAAAUAUUCAUAUGAUUGGGUGUUGGAGAUGAAACGUGAUCCAGUGCUUAAAUCUAUAUUCGAGAAUGCAGAAUCUAGUUACCCAACCAAUUCCUAUACCUCUGUAAUACGGUACUGCUCUAAUGUUUACCGUUGUUACAGCGACAAUAUAACACCAAAAGUAAUAUUUUUAAUAUUUUUUAUUAUGAUUUUCUAUUUAUUUUUGUUAUUAAUUUUUACUUAAAUUGUUUAUUUUAUAAAUUAGCAUCAUUAGCAUUAAGAAUAAGUUGAGUAAGCAACUGCCAGAAUCAUAUCUUCAUCUAUUUAAAGAUUUAAUUAAUAAUGCAAUAAGCAAUAAAAGUAGGUAAGGAAUAUAAAAAAAUUAUAUUAUCAUUGUAAAAUUAUUUUUUUAAUUCAUACUAAAUAAUUAUUAUUAUUUUAAUGCCUUAAUAUAGGCAUUUAAUUUUUUCUAAAUUAAUUAUUUCUAAAAAUAUAUGCAAUAAGUAAUAAAACUCAUUUUCUUUUUUUUUCUCUUAAUCACAUGAUUCUUUUAUUCUUUUCUUUUUCCUACUUCUAGUCCAUAUUUUGAGGUGUGACAGUUUCUAAAUAUAUUUAAAAAAAAAACCAACUUCCUUACUUUUCAUAUAUUUUCAGAAAUAAUUAAUUUCGAAAAAAUUGAAUGCUUAUAUCAAAAUAUUAAAAUAAUAAUAUUAAUUUAAUAUAAAUUAAAAAAAUAAUUUUACAAUGACAAUAAUUUUUCUAUAUUCGUUACCUGCUUUUAUUACUUAUUACCUAAUUAAUUAAACUUUCAAAUAAAUGAAGAUACAGUUCUAGCAGUUGUCACUCAACUUAUUCUCAAUGUUAAUAAUGUUAAUUUAUAAAAUAAAUAAUUUAUGUAAAAGUUAAUAACAAAAGUAAAUAGAAUAACAUAAUAAAAAAUAUUAUAAUCUUACUUUUUGUGUUAUAUUGUCAUUGUAAUGACUGUAAACAUUAGAGGAGUACCAUACUACAGAGGCAUAAGAAUUGGUUAGACAACUACAUCGCCAACACUCAAUCAUAUAAAUAUUUCUUUUGCAACAAAUUUAGGCAUUUGUCAAGAUUAUGCCACCAAAUCUCUUCACGCUUUAUUAUUUGAUUUAGAUUAUAAUAAAAUAGAACUUAUCAAUAGGUCUCCAAAAUAAAAGUACAUACAGUAGAAACACGAGACUUAUGUAUUCCCUAUCCAUUUAGACAUAUGCAAAUAUGUAAACAAAAAAAUUUAUGAAAUUAAUAAAGUAAAAUAUAUGAGUUACCGAACUUUAAAAUAAAUAUAUAAAAGAUAACUGAAAAGUUUUGAAAUUUGAGCUGGUUAAAAAAUAAUGAUAAUUAAUUCGGGAUAUUGAAAUUUUAAUAAUUUUGGAUAACAGAUUCGAAUGCAAUAUUAAAGAUGUAGUUAAUCAAAUAUUUCAACUCAUCAAUAACACCUUCCAUUUGUUGGUCAAAUGCAUUCAAAUUGGGUAAAAACUUUACUCCUAGCGAAAUUAGUGAUAAAUAUAGACUUUAUCGGAUCUUACGUGUAAAUGCUCUUAUUAUUUUUAACCCAUAUACAAGCCACAUAUUUUAAGAUCUUACUGAUAUCUUCACUAAUGUAAUUGAAUCAUUCACGUUGAUUUCGGUUACUAUUUUCCUACCUCUCCAUCUUUUCUCUAAAAUAUAUUAAAAUAUUUUUAGAAUAUACUAUUGCAACCAGCCAUUUAUCUUGAUACCGUACAGGAUGAUGACAACUUAAUAUCCAAUCAUCAUCCUUUACGGUAUCAAGAUUAAUGGCUGGUUGCAGUAGAAUAUUCUAAAAAUAUUAUAAUAUAUUUCAAAGAAAAGAUGGAGGUGGAAAAAUAGUAACCGAAAUCAGCGUGAACGUUUUAAUUACAUUAGCGAGGAUUUCGGUAAGAUCUCAAACGAUGUGGCUUGUAUAUGAGCUAAAAAAAUAAGAGCAUUUACACGCAAAAUCCGAUAAAGUUUAUAUCCAUCACUAAUUUCGCUGGGAUAAAAUUUUUACUAAAUUUGAAUGCAUCUGAAAAACCAAUUGAAAGUGAUAUUGAUGAACUACAUCGCUAAUAUGUCAUUCGAAUCUGUUAUCCAAAAUUAUAAAAAUUUCAAUAUGCAGAAUUAAUUAUUAUUGUUUCUUAACCAGCUCAAAUUUCAAAACUUAUAAGUUAUCUUUCAUAUAUUUAUUUUAAAGUUCGAUAACUUGUAUGUUUUACUUAAUUAAUUUCAUAAUUUUUUUUAUUUACUUAUUUGCCUAUGUCCAAAUGGAUAGAAAAUACAUGAGUCUUGCGUUUCUACUGAAUGCGCCUUUAUUUUGGAGACCUGUUAAUUAGUUCCAUUUUAUUAUAAAUAUUGAUCACAUGAUGAAGCAUAAAGAGAUUUGGUGACGUAAUCUUAACAAAUGCCUAAAUAUGUUGCAAAAAAAAUAUUUAUAUGAUUGGGUGUUGGCGAUAAAACGUGAUCCGGUGCUUAAAUCUAUAUUCGAGAAUGUAGAAUCCAAUUACCCAACCAAUUCCUACACCACUGUAGUACGAUCCUACACCAAAAACAAUAUUUCAAUAUUUUUUAAUUCUGAUAUUAUAUUUACUUUUCUUAUUAAUUUUUACUUAAAUUAUUUAUUUUAUAGAUUAACAUCAUUAACAUUAAGAAUAAGUUGAGUAGACAACUGCCAGAACCAUAUCUUCAACUAUUUAAAUAUUUAAUUAAUUAUGCAAUAAGCAAUAAAAGUAGGUAAAGAAUAUAAAAAAUUUAUAUUAUCAUUGUAAAAUUAUUUUUUUUAAUUCAUAUUAACUAAAUAUUGUUAUUUUAAUAUCUUGAUAUAGGCACUCAGUUUUUUCGAAAUCAAUUAUUUCUAAAAAUAUAUGCAAUAAGCAAUAAAACUCGUAUUUUCUUUUCUUUCUCUUAAUCACGUGAUUUUUUUAUUCUUUUCUUUUUCCUAUUUAUAGUCCAAAUUUUGAAGUGUGACAAUUUUUAAAUAUAUUUAAAGAGAAAACCGACUUCCUUACCUUUCAUAUAUUUCCAGAAAUAAUUAAUUUUAAAAAAACUGGAUGCCUAUAUCAAAAUAUUAAAAUAAUAAUAUUAAUUUAAUAUGAAUUAAAAAAUAAUUUUACAAUGACAAAAUAAUUUUCUAUAUUCGUUGCCUACUUUUAUUAUUUUUUGCCUAAUUAAUUAAACUUUUAAAUAGAUGAAGAUACAGUUCUGGCAGCUGCUUACUCAACUUAUUCUAAAUAUUAAUAACGCUAAUCUAUAAAAUAAACAAGUUAAGUAAAAGUUAAUAAAAAAAUAAAUAGAAUAACAUAGUAAAAAAAAUUGAAAUCUUACUUUUGGUAUUAUAUUGUUAUUGUAUUGACGGUAAACAUUAAAGCAGUACCGCACUACAAAUGCAUAAAAAUUGAUUGGACAACUAGAUUUUGCAUACUCAAAUAUAGAUUUAACCAUCGGAUCACAUUUCACCGCCAACACCCAAUAAUAUGAAUAUUUCUUUUGCAAUAUAUUUAGGCAUUUGUCAAUAUUACGCCACAAAAUCUUUUCACGCUACAUCAUGUGAUCCAGAUUUAUAAUAAAAUAUAACUUAUUAAUAGGUUUCCAAACUAAAAAUGCAUCCAAUAAAAAUGCGAGACUCGUAUAUUCCUUAUCCAUUUGGACAUAGGAAAAUAUGUAAACUAAAAAUUAAGAAAGUAAAACAUACGAGUUAUCGAACUUUAAAAUAAAUAAAUAAAAGAUAAAUUACAAGUUUUAAAAUUUGAGCUGACUAAAAAACAAUGAUAAUUCAUUCGGCAUAUUGAAAUUCUCAUAAUUUUGGAUAACAAAUUCAAAUGUAAUAUUAACGAUUUAGUUAAUCAAAUAUUUCAACUCAUCAAUAUCACCUUCCAUUGGUUGGUCAAAUGCAUUCAAAUUGGGUAAAAAUUUUACACCCCCACCGAAAUUAGUGAUGAAUACAGACUUUAUCGGAUAUUGCGUGUAAAUGGUCUUAUUACUUUUAGCCCAUAUGCGCCUUUAUUUUGGAGACCUGUUGAUAAGUUCCAUUUUAUUAUAUAUCUGGAGCACAUGAUGAAACGUGAAGAAAUUUGGUAGCGUAAUCUUGACAAAUGCUUAAAUAUAUUGUAAAAAAAAUAUUCAUGAUUGGGUGCUGGAGGUGAAACGUGAUCCAGUGCUUAAAUCCGAUAAAAUUUAUAUUCAUCACUAAUUUCAAUAGGGGUAAAGUUUUUACCCAAUUUGAAUGCAUCUGACCAACCAAUGGAAGGUAAUAUUGAUUAGUUGAAAUAUUUGAUAAACUAUAUCGUCAAUAUGUCAUUCGAAUCUGUUAUCUAAAAUUAUGAAAAUUUCAAUAUGCCGAAUGAAUUAUAGUUGUUUCUUAACCAACUCAAAUUUUAAAACUUGUAAGUUAUCUUAUACAUAUUUAUUUUAAAGUUCAAUAACUCAUAUGUUCUACUUAAUUAAUUUCAUAAUUUUUUUAUUUACUUAUUUGCCUAUGUCCAAAUGGAUAGGAAAUACAUAAGUCUCGCGUUUUUACUGAAUGCGCCUUUAUUUUGGAGUUCUGUUGAUAAGUUCCAUUUUAUUAUAAAUCUGGAUCACAAGAUAAAGCGUGAAGAGAUUUGAUAGCGUAAUCUUAACAAAUGUCUAAAUAUGUUACAAAAGAAAUAUUCAUGUGAUUGGGUGUUGACGGUGAAUGGUGCUUAAACCUAUAUUCGAGAAUGCAGAAUCUAGUUGCCCAACCAAUUCCUAUACCACUGUAGUACGGUACUGCUCUAAUAUUUACCGUUAUUACAACGACAAUAUAACACCAAAAAUAAUAUUUCAAUAUUUUUUAUUAUGAUAUAAUAUUUACUUUUGUUAUUAAAUUUUACUUAAAUUGUUUAUUUUAUAUAUUAGCAUCAUUAACAUUGAGAAUAAGCUCAGUAGACAACUGCCAGAACUGUAUCUUCAUCUAUUUAAAGAUUUAAUUAAUUAUGCAAUAAAUAAUAAAAUAGGUAAAAAAUAUAAAAAAUAUAUUAUAAUUGUAAAAUUAUUUUUUAAUUCAUAUUAAAUAAAUAUUGUUAUUUUAAUAUCUUAAUAUAGGCACUUAAUUUUUUCGAAAUCAAUUAUUUUUAAAAAUAUAUGCAAUAAGCAAUAAAACUCGUAUUUUCUUUUCUUUCUCUUAAUCACGUGAUUUUUUUUAUUCUUUUCUUUUUCCUACUUCUAGUCCAAAUUUUAAGGUGUGAAAGUUUCUAAAUAUAUUUAAAGAGAAAACCAACUUACUUACAUUUCAUAUACUUUUAGAAAUAAUUAAUUUCGAAAAAACUAAAUGCCUAUAUCAAAACAUUAAAAUAAUAAAAUUAAUUUAAUAUGAAUUAAAAAAAUAAUUUUACAAUGACAAUAUAUUUUUUUCUAUAUUCGUUACUUACUUUUAUUGCUUAUUGUCUAAUUAAUUAAAUUUUCAAAUAGAUGAAGAUACAAUUCUGGCAGUUGUCUACUAAACUUUUUCUAAAUAUUAAUAAUGCUAACCUAUAAAAUAAACAAUUUAAGUAAAAGUUAAUAAAAAUAAAUAAAUAGAAUAACAUAAUAAAAAAUAUUGAAAUCUUACUUUUGGUAUUAUAUUGUCAUUGUAAUGACGGUAAACAUUAGAGCAGUAUCGUUCUACAGAAGCAUAAGAAUUGGUUAGACAACUCGAUUCUGUAUGCUUGAAUAUAGAUUUAAGUAUUGGAUCACGUUUCACCGCCAACGCCCAAUAAUAUGAAUAUUUCAUUUACAAUAUAUUUAGGCAUUUAUUAAGAUUACGCCACAAUCUCUUUAAGCUUCAUCAUGUGAUCCAGAUUUAUAAUAAAAUAAAACUUAUCAACAAAUCUCUAAAAUAAAGGUGCAUCAGUAGAAACACGAGACUCGUGUAUUACCUAUCCAUUUGGACAUAAGAAAAUAUGGAAACAAAAAAUUAUAAAAUUAAUGAAGUAAAACAUAUAAGUUAUCGAACUUUAAAAUAAAUAUAUAAAAGAUAAUAAAAUUAUAAAAUUUUUACCUAAUUUGAAUAGGUCUGACCAACCAAUGGAAGGUGAUAUUGAUGAGUUAAAAUAUUUGAUGAACUAUAUUGUCAAUAUAUUAUUCGAAUCUGUUAUCUAAAAUUAUGAGAAUUUUAAUAUGCCGAUAACUCAUAUGUUUCAUAUAUUUCUCUUUAAAUCUUUCAUCAUAACAGGGGAAAGUGGGCUGCCCUGAGGUAUGCCUUUUUCGUUAUUAUUUAAAUCCCUCCCUUUUUUGUCUACGAUUGGAGUUUUUAGGAAAGCUAAUAUAAGAUCAAAGAAGGGUUGAUUUUCCUUUCCCAAGUAGGAUUGAAUUAUGUUGAUUAGUAGCUCAUGAUCGAUGUUGUCAAAACACCCAACGAUAUCAGACUUUAUUAGUCUAUCGACCUGCCCCCACCCCUGAACUUCCAAAAAAAAAGAAAUCGGACCCCGACCUUUUCUAAACCCGUGUGAAAAGGAGAAAAAAACGUCGUCAAAGAUGAUAUUCAGUAAAUGGGAGAGAGCAUCCAUCACAAUGAUAUCACCUUUGUUUUGUUGGGCUGCGACUUUCAGGAGUUGGUUGGUGGCAUGGACACCUAGCCUUUUCUUAUUUAUAGUAAUAGUCGCUAGGCGUUCUAGGCCGAAUCUGAUGUUAUGAAAAGGGCAAGCUCAAGCCUUAAGUUAAAGGGAAGCUUCUUACAUACUUAUUUAGCUAGGCUUCCUCUUAUACUGCUAAUAAGCUGACUACUUCGAGUGACUUUUUCUUCGGUAUUUAUAAAGAAUCAAACACUAAGGGUCAAUUCUUCAUUGCUUAAAAAAAAUACUUGACUCCAAAAACACUUUUGACAGAGAAGAAGAACAAGCUACUUUUGGUUAAAAUUUUUAGCUUUUUAAAAGUUCUUUUGAAAAGCACUUCUAAAAAGGAACUGAAAAGGAGAAGCUAAAAAUUUUAGCUUUUCCUACCCAAAAGCACUUUUGGUGCUUAAUUAAUUUUUCAACCCUCUAAUAACAUGGUAUUUUAAUUUUUUUUCUUGAUGCUUAAUUACAAUUAUGUUAAAAUCAUUAAUUAAAAAUAAAAAAAUAUUUUUUAAAAUACUAAUUAAAAAUAUUUAAUGGUUAUAUUUAAAUGUUUAAAAUAUAGUUUAUAUAUUCUAAUUAAAUUUUAUAAAUAAUUAAUAUUUAUUUCCUAAAAAUAUUUAAAAUUUAUAUUUCAUAUAUUAAAAUAUUAAUAAUAAGUUAUAAUAAUUUUUUUAUAUUCUUACUAAAAUAUAUUAAUAUUAACUAGUUUAAAUAUUAUUUAAAUGCAUAUUUGUUACUUGAUAAUAACAUGUCUAAAAUGGACAUUUUAUUUCUCAAAAAUACUUUUUGACAGCAAUGCUAAACACUCAAAUUUUAAAUCAAACUUUUCAAAAACACUUUUCAAAAGCAAUGAAGAACUGGCCCUAAUUCAUAUAGUUUGAGAUUGUUAAGAGAAAAAAAAUAAAAUACAUAUGCGGUUGACAUUUGGUUUAAUGGUAUCUCCAUGUACUAUAUCCUAUGACUACAAUAGCAUAGGAGAUCCUUAUGGAUAUUCAUACCAGUUCAAAGCAAGAUUGCUGCAAUCUCAUGCUAAUACUACUAAAGCAGAAUAUCUUGUAAACAAAAGAGGAAAGGAAAUUUUUGAGCAAAAAUCCAAAAAGAAAAUUUAAUUUACUAGCAACUUCAUGGAUAAGUAGGAUUGAUUAUAAAAUGGAUUGAAAAAAACAUACCUGAAACUGGCUGAGAUUGUCCAACGGCGGAACAGAGACAGUUGAAGGUUGCUGCGGAGAAGGAGACGACAGUAGUGAGUGGCACAACGUAACUUAGAAAUUUUUGGUGAAAAUAAAAACUCAUCAUUAAAAAUAUUUAAUCCCAAGCUAAAAAAAAUGCUUAGAUAAGAGUUUAGUAGAACAAUUUAUAACACUAGAACCCAUUUCUCAAGAUUAAGUUAUGAGAUAACAAUAUAGUCUUCCUCGUACCACUGCACUGUCACGAAUUCGCAAAUCACAAAAUCACAUAGUAUAUGAUUAGUGCCCAUGCAUACAGUUCACAAAAGAUUAAGUCCCACACCUGAAUUUGCUAAACUGAAUCAAUAUUGACAACACGAAACGCGUCACGAUUCAAACUUGCCUCGCUUUCUUCCCAAUCUAUACCUUGCAGACAAAAAGUAUACAUGAAGAAUUCAACCACCAAAGAAUUAAAGGAGGGCAAAAUUUGAUUAGAUCACCACAAACUCAUUGCCGGAUAGCAAAACGAUGCAACAAUGAGAUCCUUGAGUAGCCAAAACAUUCAACAAUGGAGGAACAAAAUCAACAAAAGGAAGAAAGAAAAUCAAGCAACGAGUUGUAAAUGAAUAGAAGGGGAGACACAAAAAUAACAAGGGUUUCAAGGCAGAGUAUCCCCACUAUAGAUAAUCUCAAUACAGUACACAUGUAUACAGUUCACAGAACACAAUUCUAGCAGUAAAGCACACACGGUUCACUAAACACUAAUUUAAAUGUUCACACAUAGACACAUACAGAGUUGCAAACAAAUUCGCAUAACAUAAUAGGUUUGCAGAGGUUACAAACAUAUCACAUAAGACGAGCUUUGCAAAGGCGUUCGUAAAGAAUUCGCAUUCAUAUUCAUAUAAGAAAAAAAGGUCCGCAAAGGAUUCACCAAUUACAAAAUCACAUAGCAUAUGGGCAGUGCCCAUGCAUACAGUUCACAAAAGAAUAAGUCCCACACCUGAAUUUGCUAAACUGAAGUACUAUUGAAACCACGAAAUGCGCCACGAUUCAAACUUGUCUCGCUUUCUUCCCGAUUUAUACCUUGCAAACAAAAAGUAUCAUGAAGAAUUCGACCACCAAAGAAUUAAAGGAGAGCAAAAUUUGAUUAGAUCACCACAAACAUACACUGCCAGAGAGCAAAACGAUGCAACAAUGAGAUCCUUGAAUAGCCAAAACAUUCAACAAUGGAGUAACAAAAUAGCACAAGAUAGAAAAUCAAGCAACGAGCUGUAAAUGAAAACAUUGAUCAUUUGCAAAUUGCAAGCCAUUCUAAAAGAGUGCACUCAUGUUUCUCCCUGCUCAGAACUUACUAUAGUAAAUGGGAUCUGUUAAUAAAAUAAUUCAUUCACCACAAGAUGCAACUAAUACCCAAAGAAUGUAUUUAAAACGAAACCAUGCAUCUUAACUUGUACUUAUAAGUUCAGAAACCAUGAAAACAUUUUAUAAACCAUGAAAACAUCAGAAUAAUACAUGCAAAGAAGUUUUUUCAACAGGGCUAAAGAUCUAGAGUUGAAUUCCACUUGUUCAAUCAAUACAAGCAAUGUUUAAACUUGAGAUGAUAAAGCAUACCUACACCAGAUGUUUCACUGUAGUCAACUUUGUCACUACUGUAGACAGGUUUGGAAUAUCAAGAAAAUUAAUCCAUACUCCCACAGAAAACCAGUAGAAAACAAAAUCCAUGAAAUUUUGAAUGAUAAUUUCGACUGCUAUUGACUAUUGUUCAUCUCAACAAUUUUUGGACAAUGAAAGUACUUUGAUAUGGAAAACAAAUACAGAAUUUUGCAUAUUAUAUAUAAUCAAAUAACAUUGAAUGGGUUGAAAUUUUCAACUGAGAAUAAUUAUUAACUUCCUUACCUGAAGUGUGAAGGCUUCUCGAGGAAUUGGCUCUAGAGUUGUUACUAGGUAUACAUCGCUGUUAAGUCAAAAUGGAACUAAAAGCAUCACAAAACCACUUAAGCAUCUCAACAAUAUUGAGAUUCAUCAAUUAAACAAAAAUUCCAAGAAACUAAACGUGGAAUAAUAAUAGUAAUAAUGAUAAAUUGAAAGUGAUGCAGGACCUAGGCGAAAUCUUAAUGUCUAGAUGGUCUUAUCAUUGCAUAAGAUUGAUGCAGCAUACCUCAGAAAAACAAUAAAUCAAAACACUCUUCUCUAAGAAAAAGGAAGUCAAUACAACUAUGAACUUGCAAUGAAAAAUAUAACACCAUUUUUCAGAGUAAAUUUAUGCCAAAUGCUAAUUGUUUAUUGAAAAUAUUGAAUCCUGAUGAACACAAAACAGACUUGAAUUUAGUAAGACGGCAUUAGCAUCAGAAAUUAAUGCACCGAUGGUUCUAGCAAAGCAACAAAACCGGAGAAAAUGUUGCCAAAAUCACCAAAAAAAGCAUCAUACUCAUCUGAUCAGCUGCACCAAUUACAUUCCAAGAAGAGAGUAAAUUACACCAAAACAAAAGAAGAUUUUAUCAACUAACCACUCUUCAAGAAAAACAAAUAUCAACUCAAAUGCAUCCUUUGGGAGGAUCACCCCUAGUUCUUCUUGAAGCUCCCUCCUGAACAAAUAAGAUAUUUAGCAAGCAUUGUGUUUUAACACUAGAUCAACCAAAAAGGGAUAAGUUUCUAACAAUAAUAUGUUCACCAAGUAAUAGACAAUGGAAAAAAUGGGCCAACGAGGUAAAAAGAAAAUCAAUGGAUGCUGAUCUCCAAAGAAUUUCUUGUGUUGAAAGUUACUGCAAAGGAAUGAACAAUAAGAUAUUUAAAUAAGGAAAGAAAAGAAAGAAAAGAAAAAAAAAAAAAAGACUCAGAUGUCUUCGCUCCUUCCGAACAAAAAGGUUUCUUGGCCAUCUAGAAACCACUAGGUUUACCAUCAGUUAGGAAACUAUCAAUUAGAUAUUUAAAAGAAAUGUAUUAACCAAAUCUAGCAAGUACAUAGAACAACAGAAAGUAGCAAUGAUAAACAAGAACAUGGGGAGAAUAUCUGUGCACGGCACACACAGAAAGAUUAAACACCGAACAGUUUUUCAAAUGGGGGAGGUUGCUUAUGCUCCUUGAAAUUGGAACUGGGAAUUGAAAACUUGCAAGCUAGAGCUAGGGAGGCAUACAUUUGAUAUAAAAUAUUUCAUUUUGAGUAUUAUUGUGUGUUAGAGGUUGCUUAUGAUUUCUGUACUGGCGUUUCUCUAUAACGGUAGUUUCUUGAUAUGUAACUCAUUGUGAUCUCUUUGCAGGGGAGAUGUCCAUCGAGAUGGGGAUUACCAUAAAGCAGUCCAUACCUUAGCAUUACUCAAGUUUUUUACAGGAAGUUCCAGGCUCACUAUCAACUUCUUAGCGACAACAAGAGCAAACAAAAUGCAAUGACAAGCAGUAUUGGCAAAUGAAAAAUCCGUCAAUUUACAAGGAUGGGAAUAAUUAAGAUGUGGUAGUGAUGUGAAGGGGGCACCAACCUUCAUUUAGAGCAAACCAAAUGUAAUGGCAAGCAGCAUUGUCAAAUGACAAAUUAUGAUGUAGUAGUGAUAUGAAGGGGGCUCUAACCUUCAUUCAGAACAACUUUAUAUCAGAAAUAUCUUUGGGAUAUGGAACACUGAUGGCAGAUUGAUGCUCUGCAGCUGCAUGAAUCCCUCCCUGCUCGUUGCACCAAAUAUUAAAUCUUAUGUACUCAAAACUCUUAUCGAGAUGGUUGAACCAAACGAAAAUACACUUGCCAUUGCCCAAACGAUACAGAGUGCCAUGUGGAUCCACUGAAAAUUCUGAUGACCAUUUGACGGGCAAAUGUUUCUUAUCAAGCAAAUUAUACGCCUCCAAAGAACGGAACUUAUCAGAAUAAUUAUAAAUGGCAGUAUACAGCACAUCGUCCACGAUUGUCGCUGCGUCAGACCAGUAACAAAAUUUUUGUUCGAGGCAAACCUAUGAUUUACGAUCGUAGUAAUAAGCGUAAAGGGUAUCGUUGGCAUUGCAGUGCACCAAAAUCCGAGAUCGGGAAGAAUCUAGAACAGGAACACAUAGAUCGAUAUCUUCCGGAGGGGGCGACAAUGGUUCCCAAAUAUCCCCACUUAUAUCGUAAACCUCGCCAAAAGAUUCAGAACCCAUAUAUUCGAAGACGAAAAUCUUUCCUUCAGCAGCAACAACCCGGGGCAAAAACCGAGGGAACAACAUAGAAGUAGUUUUUCUCCACCCACGUUCAAGGUCCUUCAAAUCUAAUUGGAAAACAUCGUUUACACCAUCAUAAUCAAAAAGAGUAGCAUCAUUUUGGCGUAUUCCCCCAAUAACGUAAACGUGGUCGCCACAGGCAACGGCAGUGGAACAAAAAGGAGCAUCAGGUGGCAUCGCCUUAAUAAAGACUUUAUUGCUUUCCAGAUCCAAAAAGUGCAAACCGACCGUCAUUUUACCAUCGGUACCCGGCCAAUUCUGGACGAGGGCCCUGAUCAGUUCAUCUGGCUCUCGCCCAUCAAAGUAACUGGAGGAAUCACUAGUAUCGCCCCUCAUGGUUCACCCUCAGCUUCGCCUUUCCAGAUCCAAAAUCACUUUUAGUUUUAGGGUUUCUAGCUUAGGGUUUUUUUUUUUUUUUUAAAUUUGGUUUGGGUUUAGUAGUCAAUGACAAAAAAAAAGAUUCAUAGUUAAAUAAAUUUGUUGACAAGUUAUUCAAUUAUCUGUUCCAAGAAACUAUUUAUAGUUUGUAUUUUACUAUUUAUAGUUAAAAAAUAGUAAUUUGCUUGUUUUAGUUGUUAAUUUCCAAAGUAAAGAUAUUGUCAACUGUUUGUAUUUUAAAAUUAUUUAUUAAUUAUGAUUUUUUAAUGAAUAUAAAAUAAUAUUAUUUCGUAUCAAAUGUUAGAGAUUUGUUGAAAUUUGAUCAAUCAAUUGAAUCAGGAGUUGAUAGCUAUACUAAUUUGAAUGAGACAAAAAAUCGGUUGGCAUGUUAAUAUGAACAAGUUAAAUCGGAUUAAAUUGAUGAUUAAACCAAAUUUUAUAAUUCUUUAUUAUUUACUUAAUAUGAUUGUUUAGUGUAUUAAAAAAGAUGUCAAAAUGUGAAGCUUAAAGUUUUGGAUUUUUUGUUUAUUCAGUAAAUAAAAAUGUCGAUUUUUUAAGUUGAUAGCUUUGUAUAUAUAUUGCUUUGUAUGUCAUUUUGGGAUAAUUAUAUUUGUAGGGGUUGGUUAGUUCUAAUAGUUAAGAGAAGUUAUGUCUCCAAUUAGAAUUAUAGAAAACAUAAUAAUCCCAUUUCCUCUUUCUGAUGACUACGCAUAAUUUAAAUGAACUAAUAAUAUAAGUUUCUUUUGCAUUAUAAUCAAUUUCUGUAAUGCAAAUUAAUAUUAAUUAAAUCUUAGAUAAUCAAUGAUUAAAUAUUUAUUUCUUCAUCUUAUUUUUCAUGUAAAAACUAUUGAGAAUAAAAUACAAAAAAUAUUAAAUAGUCAUGCGAAAAUUUUAUUAGUUCAAAAUAGUUAAAAAUAUUACAAGUAAAUUGCGGUGAAACAAUUGGGCUAAGGGCACAAUUUCUAAAAAAAAGUACAUUCUUAGGUUUGAAUAAAGCUCUCUUAUAUUUUCCUUUAACAUAUUAAAGGAUAGUUUAUGCAAUCCAACAACUCAGUUUUUCAUAACAAAUUCUGUUGGAAAAAUUGAUUAAGAAAAUGGUUAUUUUAGAUACAAUAAAAGUUCAAUUUUUUUUUCUAAAAUUGAGCCAUUUUGUUAUUUAUAAUAAUAAAUUUAUUGACCGAAAUAGUACAUGUGCUUUGUACGAGGCGAUUAAGUUGAUCCUGACUUUUAACCGAACUACCUUCUUCACUAUCCUUGAAUCGUGAAUUGCCACGAGUGUAGGCUUGAGCAACACAAAUCAAAUCUCUAAAUGAAAACUUUUAAUUAACUUUCAAUAGGUAAGUUAAUUCCUCUCUUUCACCAGUAACAAUAUAUUUUUCCUAGAAAAUAGGAUUUAUUCUUGUUAAAUAAUUUUUUACUAUUUUCUCGCAGAAUAACCAAAUUAUAUGAUGUGUGUAUAAAUUGUAUAACUAGUAGUUCUUAUUUAUAAAGAAAACGUAUAAAAUUUCUAUUUGAAUAAUAUCUAAUUAAAAAAUAAUAUUUUAAUAAAAAUAACUAUAGUAUAGGGGGUGGCGACAACCUUAGUAAAACAAAAGGGUUUGCCGCCACUUACAUGGUAUAAGGCCAAGUUGGGUUUUUCUUUUGUAUUAGGUCUAAUUUUAUGUGUUUCUUACACUUUAAUCCAACAUUUAUAAUUUAUCCAACUCAAAAUCUAAUUUCUAAAAUAUUAAUUAAUUAAUUUUUCAAUUAAAUUAUUUUCUAAACCUAAUUCUAAUUCCACAAAAGUCAUUUCAACUUUAUCAUAUCAAAAUUUAUGAGAAACUAUGUUUAAUUGCUCUAUUCAACAAAUUUAGGGUGACUAAUUAAUUUAAUUCAUACUUCAAACUCUAAUAAUUUAUUUGUAAUUAAAUAAAUAAUAAUUCGAAGAAAUUAAAUUAAUUCCUAUGUUAUUUUUGUCCUUAGCAAGAAAACGCAUUUAUUGCGGAUAGUGAUACAUGAGAUCUAUUUUUCUUAAUUCAUCAUUUUCAUUCAUUCCAUAUUAUUGGUUCUGCAUGCAAUUUGUUUCUGGUUAUCUCGAGCUAGAGAGGGACCGAUUGAACAUAUAUAAUUAGGCUCAAAUAAUUUGCAAUUAAAUUCCAAUUUUUCGCCUAUUAACUAUAUCAUUAUUCAGUGAAAAAGUCAUUCCACUAAAAUAUCAUGAUUAAGCUCUCCCGUAUUAUAUACCAUUAUGAAAGUCACUCAUGGAGUGCUUGUCCAAAGACCUUAUUGAGUUAAACUUAUAGAAUAUUCUCAAUCUCUUUGGGAUAAAUCAAUUCUCCCAAUAUGAUCAUAUUUUAUCUCACGGUAAGUAUUACAUCUUCUUUUAUGAAAAGCCAAUUGCUAACAAUUAGUAAUUAAAUCAUUUAUCACAAAUACAAAUGACUCAUGACCACACUACUUUUAAUCUAUCAUGUAAUGUCGAUGAGCGAAUAUCAUUUACCCUUUAAUUGGGCUAUAAAUUUUACUAUUGUGAAAUGAUGCUACAUACUGCAGAAGUUUUAUACCCAACGCACCAAGUUUCAAUUCCUUACUUGUUUGAGCUCAAACUUUCACUUACAUAAAAUUAUACGAGUCAUGCAUACAUAGUUUAUCAUCCACUCAAGAUUGAGGUACGCCGCACUAUGAAAGUCACAAGUAAAUAGAUUCAUAAAUGGAUCUAGGAUUUAUUUUACUUGGGUCCUAUCUGAUGUAUUGUCAAUACAAUCAAUCACAUCCAUGUAUCUAUCUUUUAGGAUUUAAUUCGCUUCGAUAUCCGAAAUAAUGUAUCUCCUCAAUUGAACUUGAUAAAUGUUAUAUUAGUCUUUUAAUUUAUUUGCUCAAUUCCAAUUAGACUAAUGAUAUGUUUAGAUUAUCUACUAAUAUAAGCUAUCUUUCCGCAUUACGAUCCUACCACACAAUGUCGCUUAAUAUUAGUUAAACAUUAGAUAAUCAGUAAACUAAUAUUUGCAUUCAUUUUGUUUUGUGUGCAAAAAUCAUUGAGGAGAAUAUACAGAAGAUAUUAAUAAUACUGAUCAUAUUUAUUUAAACCGUUAAUAUAUUCAAAAAAUUACAAGUACAUAGUCAAAAAUACUACACUAAAGACACUAGAUCUCAACACAUUUAUGCUAACAUGUUUUAAAUUUCUGUGCCAUAACCAAUAUGCCUCUUCACUAUUUGUCAUAAAACACGAAUGAAAAGAAUCUAAAACAUCUAGAUGCACCACAUAAAUAUUACCUAACCUAGGACCUACAAAAAUAAUUCUAUUUGACUCUAUAUUUACAACUUUAGAAUGAGGUUUGAAGUAUAUUUUCCUUGAGACAUUUAGCAAAGAAAAAAACACAUUUUCAAUAUGAGUGAAAGUAUUUUUACCAAUAGAACUCAUGCUUUUAAUAUCUUCGGAGUUGUCACCAAAUGUUACAUCUCUUCCAUUCUUUGGCAUCAAUUCUAUGAAAUGGCUCUUGUCUUUUGUCAUGUGCCUUAAGGAUACACUAUCAAGAUAACAUGAUGCCUUCUUUAACAUGUUAACCUCUCAUCCUCUUACAAACACAAAGUCGAAUCUUGAUUUUGGAUACCCAAAUUUUCUUAGAUCCUUUGGAACUAGUAGUAACAAAUUUUGUUCUUUUUGAAUUUCACGUUAAUAUUUUGACUAGUGCUCGUUUUUUUUUUUUUUUGAAAUCCAGACACUUUUAGUGAGUUUAACCCAUUAAGUGACAAUUUUUAGGGGGACAAAUUUGUCUAUCAUAUUCCAACUUGUGAAAUCCGUACACUCUUAGUGAGUUUACAAUUUAAAUGAUAAUCCUUAAGGGACAAAGUUGCCUCUCAUGAUCUAGUUUGUGGCCGUUGGUACAAGAAAGUAAGGGAUCAUAAAUAUAGCUUUGUCUGACAAAGAAGUUUUUGAGUUGUGUUUUCUUUUUUAAAAAUUUUUAAGCCGUUUGAACACUACAAAGUGAUUGGAUGAAAGUAUAAAUACUAAAGUAGUAAUUACAUCCUCUAGUAAUUGUAAGGAAUUUUAAUAUCCUAAUCAUGUUUAAUUGGUAGAGUGUAAUUAUAUUGUAAUUCCUUAUGUCAUCUUUGAUAGUAGAUAUUGUAAUUACACAACUACAUAACUAUAAAUUCUAAAAAAAAAUAUUAAUUAUAAUAAAAAUUAUUAAUAAUAUUUGAGAAAAAAAAGUUCUCUAAAAAAGUAACAAAACCUAAAAUCAAAUCAAUGUAUAUGCCAUAUUAGUCUAAGAAAAUUUUUAACAAUUCAAUUACUAAUAAAAUUAAAAAAAUAAAUAUACUGUGUAAUUUUAUCUAAUUACUCUCCCAUUCCAAAUUUGUUGGGUGCUUUCUCUCUAACAUCAGACACAUACUCCUUGUUAUUAUUGAUUGGUCAUUGACCUAAUAUAAAUAAGUAACAAUAAAUAAUAAUUUAAUUUAGUUAAAUUUAGUGUAAUCAAUUCAUAAUAAAUAUUAUGCAAUUUAAUUAAUUUAUUAGUUGGUUAAAAUGUAUAAAAAUUUAUUUCUCCUCAAUAAAAAUUUCAAAUCAUUUAAACAACAUCAGUAAAAUAGCAUAUCAUUAUAUUUUAAAAAAUAAAAUGUCCUAAAAUUAAAACAUUAUUAUUGUAAAAAAAAAGUGACUUUUUAAGCUUAAAUCAUAUAUCAACAUGUUUGGAAAGCCAUAGGUAAUUGGAUUGAGUGUAAUUAUUUAUAUUCUAUAUAAUUACUCCAAUUCUCAACCCCUAAAUAUUAGAAAAUACGACUGGAGUACUCCAAUGACACUCAAUUAAGUGGGACUCACAAAUUAUAGUGAUUACCCAAAUAUGACAUAGAUAUGCAAUUAUAAGCAAUUACACUCUAAUCCAAUUAUUAGGUAACUUUUCAAACACACCCCUUAAAAUAUAAUCCAUCUUUCUCAAAACGAAAUAAAUUUUGUAUAUAUCAUUAAGCUUUUGAUGGCCAGAAAGUUAGAAAUUGAAGUAUGCAAAUUCAUAUUCUUUUUGUUCAAAUUAUAAAUUUGAACUUACAUAUCAUUUACUUUUGUUUCAAAAUCACUUUUUUGCUUUGGUUAAUGAUUCAUUUUCUCCUUUCACCUUUGAAUUAAUUUUUGAGUGAAUGUGUAGUUUAACUCUUAAACUUGUCUAAAAAUAUAUAGUUUGUAUUUCUUUUUUUUUUUUUUAUAUAUAAUUGGUAUCUAAACUUAUAUUUCAUUACACAUUUUAAUACCUCUAUUUUGACAUUGUUAAUUUGUGAUGACAUGUACAAGCAACCAAUUAUAUGGUGACACCCAUUUGUGAGGCCGAACUGCAUUUCAGGAUUAACCUUUAGCAACUAUGGUCUAGAAGCUACAGUUCCAUUCUCGUCUUUGCCCAAGCUUGAACAGUUAGGCCUUGGUAUAGAUUAGAUGAAAUUUUUGUAACAGUCCUUUCUUAAAUCAAUCAACUCAUGAACUCACCAACAUUGAUUUGUCACUAUACUCAAUCCUAAGCUUUUUUUAGUGAUACUCACCCUAUAAUUUUCAUUAACACUUAAGAACUAAUGAUUUGUUUCAUUUACCAAAAAGAGGAAAAGAAAAACUAUAAAUGAUUUAGGUAUAAUCUUCAUUUACAAAAUGUAGAUGGAUUGAUAUCAACUAAAUGGAGCUUACAUCUAUUUUUUACUGCAUUACUACUUAAAUAAAAAUACAGAGUUGAAAGUGAAAGGGCUUUACAAGGUGGUAUUGUUAGAGAUGAUCAAGGAAUCAUCAGUCUUACAUUGUUUAGUUGUUUGCCAAACUUUGGCUUGAUUUUGGAUACGCUAUCAUCUUUCAAUCUUUGGGUUAGUGUAGUUUUUAACCGCAUCACUUCACUUCUCUUCCGACUUCCCGUCUUGAAUGUCCUCCUUUUUUUUUUAAUCCGUGGUCAAGUUUUGAGUUCUUUCGUUUUCUGCUCGCAAUAUAUUCGUCAUUUGUCCUCUUAGAAAUAUUCUUUUUUAGUUCUGGUAUCUUAGUUCUUGUUUUGGAACCCUGAAUUCAUUGAAACAUUAUCAAUUUUUGUUUCAGUUAUAGUUAGAACAGUGAAAUAUUCAUUUUUACACAUCUCCCACUUCAAGCCUCGUAUGAUAUUUUAUACUCGUUUAAAUUACAGGAGGGUUGGUAUAAACUCAGAAAUGCUAUUGCUUGGGACCCAAAGGAGACAAAAGAGAAAAGCGUAUUGCCUGUGUGAGUGCGAAUGCCCAAAAUAAAGAUGGAGAGUCUAUGAUAAGCCAACUAUAAAAGAUACCAACGACCAUUAACAAAGACAUAGAAGUUUGAGAAAUGGGUGAGACUUAUGUUACUACAUUGUAUUCAUUUUUCGACAUCUUCUGUUCCAAGUCUCAUGUGAAAAUUUAACUCUGUAAUAGGAGAAAGCUUUGUCUGAAAUGCGAUUGCUUUGGACCCAAAACAGAAAGACGCUUUUAGCUUGUGUGAGUCAAAAGGGACAGUGAUUCAUACCUUAAGACUGAAAGGGGCAAAGCUCUCUUGACCUUGAAUGGGGCUAACAUAAAUUACUAUAAUACAAAGACUUCAACUUUGGAGUGAAACAUGGGUGAGAGACUUUUAAUAGUUAUUUUGAUCGUACAGGCAACUGCAAUUAACCUAUAUAUAGGGAGAUAAAAGCCUAUUGCCUGUGUGAAUGUCCAAGUCAAGAGGGAGAGUCUAUCAUAAGUACAGUACAAAAAUUGCCAACGAAAUUAAUGGAAUAACAUAAACUAAUAGAAUGCGAAGACUUAGAGGGAUAGAUUUAUGUUACUACACUGAAUCCAUUUUUCCACAUCUCCAUUUUGUAGUCUUAUAUGACAGUUGUCUUCUUGACACUAAAUCGGCCAACAUAAAUUAUUAUAAUACAGAGACAUAAAAGUAUGGAGUGAAAAAUGGGUGAAAGACUUAAAUUUUUUUUAUUUGAGGGUUGAAAGACUUAAUAGUUAGUUUGAUCGUACAGGCUACUGCAAUUAACCUAUAUAUUAACCUUCAUAUCAUGGCUGUUACUUGCAUGCAGAGCAUUUGUUAAUCAUGAAGAGUUUAACCUUGCUUGCUCCCUUACUCUUGUGUGUUACUUUUCUAUGUUCUUCUCUUAAUGUUGCUUCUGAUUCUGCAGCAGCAGCAUUGGCAAUCCUCAAAUGGAAAGCCAGCCUUCAAAGCCAAAACCAUUCUGUUUUGCUUUCCUGGAAUACUUCCAACAACCCAAAUACCAAAACAAGUCCUUGUGCCUGGUUUGGAAUCCAUUGCAACCAUGCGGACAGUGUUAUAAAGAUUAACCUCACUGGCUAUGGUGUAAAAGGUACGCUCCAUCUAUUUCCAUUCUUGUCUUUGCCUAAUCUUGCAGAGUUGGACCUUAGCACCAAUGAACUUUAUGGCAUAAUCCCACCUAAAAUCAGUCAGCUCUCCAAACUCACCUACCUCGAUUUAUCCUUUAACCAGUUCUCUGGGAAAAUCCCACCUGAAAUUAGCCACCUUGUACAUCUUCAGACCCUCCACCUUGCUGGAAAUCAGUUGAACGGCUCAAUUCCGCGAGAAAUCGGUCAGCUCAAAUUUCUCACUGAACUUGCCUUGUGUAGCAACAAGCUAAAUGGUUGCAUUCCUGCUUCUCUCGGUAAACUAAGUCGACUUCUUUCCUUAAUUCUCUUUGAUAAUUCCCUUUCUGGUCCCAUUCCUCCAGAAUUGGGGAAACCUUAGGAAUUUGGUUGAAGUUUACCUGGACACCAACCGUCUAACUGGUCCAAUCCCUUCCACGUUUGGAAACUUGAAAAAACUGACGGUGCUUCAGAUGUUUAACAAUAGUCUUUCAGGUCCCAUCCCCUCUGAGUUAGGGAAUAUGGAAUCUCUUUCUGAAAUAAGCCUUUAUCACAACAAUGUAUCUGGCUUGAUCCCAACCUCAUUUGGUGACUUGAGACUUCUUACACUUGCCCACCUUUAUGAAAAUCAACUCUCUGGUCCAAUUCCUGAGGAGAUAGGAAACUUGAAUUCUCUUGUUGACCUAGAGUUGAGUGAAAACCAACUCAAUGGCUCUAUUCCUGCUUCACUUGGCAAUUUGAGCAACUUGGAAAUUCUGUUCCUCCGAGACAACCGGCUCUCAGGUUCCAUUCCUGAAGAAAUUGGAAACUUGAUGAAGUUGACCGUGUUAGAACUAGACCACAACAAUCUGACAGGAAAUUUGCCGCAAGGCCUUUGCCGUGGUGGAUCACUUGAAUACUUCACAGCAAAUGACAACCAGCUUACCGGCCCAAUCCCUCAAGGGUUGAAAAAUUGCACUAGCUUGAAGAGAGUCUACCUUGAAAGAAACCGACUCAGAGGAAAUAUAUCUGAAGAUUUAAGCGUUUACCCGAAUCUAAAAUUCAUUGAAUUAAGUGACAAUGAAUUUUAUGGUGAAGUGUCUUCCAAUUGGGGGUUGUGCAAAAGUUUAGAGAUCCUAUCUAUUGCAAGGAACAAUCUCAGUGGUGCAAUACCCCUGGAACUAGGACUUAUGUCCAAGCUUUUGUAUCUAGACUUGUCUGCAAACCAAUUGAGCAAGUCCAUCCCUGAAACUAUAGGGAAUCUGUCCAUGUCAUUCUACUUGAAUUUGAGCAUCAAUCAGUUUAGCCAAAAUAUUCCAAUUCAAGUAGGCAAGUUAACUAGGCUGUUUCAUCUAGAUUUGAGUCACAACAUGCUUUCAGGGGAGAUUCCAGGGGAACUUCAAAGUUUGCAGAGCUUGGAGACGCUAAACCUUUCUCACAACAAUCUCUCUGGUGAAAUCCCAGCCUCUUUUGAGCAUCUCCGGGGCUUGUACACUGUUGACAUUUCAUUCAAUGAGCUCCAGGGUCCCAUUCCCAACUGUCAAGCAUUUGUAAAUGCUUCAGUACAAGAAUUGAGAGGGAACAAAGCAUUAUGUGGCAAUGCUAGUGGAUUACCGCCUUGCACACCUUUUUUCUAAGAAGGGUCACAACAACAACAAAACCCUUUUCGUAGUUAUUUUCCCUCUUUUAUUGGUUUCUGGUCUCUCGAUUUCAUCAAUUGCUUUGUUGUUUGCCUUCAAGAGGAAGAAAGAUACAGAUGAAGAAAGACAAAGCAAUGCAACUGAUGAAAUAUUUUUCACUGUAACUCCCUUUAACGGAAGAAUAUUGUAUAAAGAGAUCAUUAGAGCCACCAAAGAUUUUGAUGCUCAAUAUUGCAUUGGAAAGGCAGGAUAUGGAAACGUAUACAAAGCAGAGCUGUCAUCAGGAGAUGUUGUAGCUGUGAAGAAAUUCCAUCCGUUGCAUACUGGUGAAAUGGCAGAUCAGAGACAGUUCCUAAAUAAGGUAAGGGCAUUAGUAGAAACAAGACACAGAAAUAUCGUGAAGUUCUACGGUUUUUGUUCCUCUGCAGGUCAUUCCUUCUUAGUAUACAAGUACCUUGAAAGGGGUAGCUUGGCUUCUGUUCUCUGCAAUGAUGAAGAAUCUAAGAAAUUGGACUGGAACAAGGGGGUGAAUAUUGUCAAAGGUGUUGCUAAUGCCCUCUCCUAUUUGCACCAUGACUGUUCACCGCCCAUUGUUCAUCGAGAUAUAACAAGCAACAACAUUUUGCUUGAUUUGGAGUAUGAGGCUCACCUUGCAGACUCUGGCACUGCUAAGCUUCUCAAUCCAGACUCAUCCAAUUGGAGUAAUAUUGCUGGAACAUACGGAUACAUUGCACCAGGUGAUUUUUCAUUUUACUUCCAUAGAUGACAUAGCAUAGAGGAUAAUAUUUGUUAUCAACUAUUAUUUCUUUUUCUUUGCAGAGCUUUCCUACACCAUGCAAGUUUCUGAAAAAUGUGAUGUGUUUUGUUUUGGUGUGCUGGCAUUGGAAUUGAUAGUUGGGGCAUAUCCGGGUGAAUUUCUCUCUAAUCUAUCAAUUUUAACUGCUGAAAGCAUUCCACUAAACAAUGUGUUGGAUCAAAGGCUUGCACCUCCACUGCCGGAAGUUGUGAACAAACUCGUAUUAAUCCUGAAGUUGGCUGUUUCAUGUUUAAAUAUCAAUUCAAAAUCUCGGCCAACCAUGCACACUAUUUCUCAGCUGUUGUUCGACCACAUCUUGUCCCAUCUACGACUCUUUGAUCUUCAUCUAAGAUACCACCUUAGAAACGUUUGGUAUUUGCUCUAAUGUUGUUUGUUUAGCUUUUGUGUGGUUAUAACGGGUUAAUGGAUUAGCAUUUUUAUACCCUUAAUUACCUUUUCCUUGAGAACUUGUAGUGCAAUAGGAGUUGUUUGAGAUCUGUCUGUAACAGUUCAUCAUACGUUCUAUUCCAUGGAAUAAAAAGGUGUUACCUGACCCCUUAUAUUUUCAUACUUUUAAGCCCUCUAUUUUAAUUAUGGUUUAGACAAUUAACUUCUGUUUUUAGCAAAGUUCACUUAUUUUUCUGAAGAACUUGACAUGAUGUUCAAUUAUUUUCCAAAUUCCAAAUGAGAAAAAGGGAAAUUGGGGCAUAAGAUUUGCAACAUUCCUAAGCAGAAAUUGAAGUCCUUGAACGUGAUAAAAAUAUCAUACAUCCAAAGUUUGGCUCGACAAGACAACAACAAGACAACAGAAUAAUACAAGUUGCAACUACAUAAUAAACAACUAGAAGCAAAAAUUUUCUUCUACAUCCUUAGGACUCUUUCCAAAGCAGAUGAUCCGCUGAUCUGAGGCUGUAAGUCUUUUCAUCAAAGACUUCAGCACCAGUAGCUUCAUCUUACAUUCUCUAUCUAGUAAUCCCAGGACAUUUACUUAUUUUGUACUGAACAAGCUAGCAAACUUUGGACGAACAACAACACUUUGGCAAAGUGACUUCGAUCACUUCUUUAGGAGGUUCCUUGAGAAAAUUCUCUUGCAAUACGGGCUGGUACGAAGGAUCGUGUGUGGUCGAACCGCAUCUACUAGAGAAGCAUGUAGAGGACCCUACUCAAGACAAAAUUGAUUAUGUGAUGAAGAGAAUUCCUAUGGCAGGUUUCAUGUGGAUUUGAACUAGUUAUGAAUCAAAGCAUAAAAAAUGGCAGAAGAAACGACAAGUUGUUCCCUUACCUUGGUUACUACUAAAGCAGACUGAAUUACAUAGUUGGCAAAUGGGUCUUGCAAUAAUUGUUCAAAGUGAACAACAGAGGUUAACUCACGGAUGAUCUGAGACCUACUCUCUGCAAAAUGCUUGAGGCAUUUUUCAACCACAUGGCUGCUAAAUUUCUGCAUUGAGAGAUGAACAUAGUGCCCUUUGAACUGAGAUAGUAAGUUGCCAGAGUUGACCUUCAGCUCUAUAAUGUACUGAACAACAUAGUUCCUGUUCCAGACAACAAAAGAAGACUACAAAUGAGAGAGAGAGCGCCAUUUUCUUGAUGAAAUCCUUGUCAUUCAUGAUUAUAUAUGGUUCUAAGGAUGAGUCUAUUUCUAAUGUAGGAGAGUUGUUAGAGGGCCUUUUUUUUUCCCUUUUAGGUACUCUGAUAUGCCAACAAGAAAGACAAUUAAAGCUAUGAAGAAUCUAAUUGUAGAAAAUAAAAAAUUCAACACAUAUAUUGCAGCUAAUGACACAAAAGCUGAACCAGAAAGCACAGACAGCAUUUCGAUUCACAGCCAACUAAUUAUAACUAAUAAGCAUGUUAGCAUUCUAGAUGUAAAAUACCCAUCAAUAUUAGAUAAAUGUGAUGCGAUGCAAAUCUUAUGUACUUACCGGCAGGUUUUUGAGACAUGAAAGCUCGUCUGGCACCACAUUGAGCUCAAGAUGUUAGCUUGUCAUGUAUUCUCAAUACCAAUGAGUACACACCAUACUCAUUUGACAUAUGGUAGAAGGAACAGAAGUGGCUUAAGAAUUAAAUACCAAAAGAGAAAUGGCUAUGUUUAUUAAAUGGAUUAAUGACUCUCAAAAACCUGAUCUAUUGGCCGUAGACAAUCCCUAAGGAUGCAUCCAUUCAACUCUAAUGAAAGAUGCCAGUCAUCACCCUGUUCUAUGAAGCAAGAUUGUUAUCCUAUCAUGAAUUUUUACAUGAUGAUACAAUUCGUUAGCAUGCUAAUCACAUAAAUAUGUAAGUGGGUUGAUUUUUUCAUUAAGCUGGAUCCAAGUUUACUCAACUUGAUUCAAGUAAAUUUCUAAAGUAGUCAGAACCAGCAAUGGAAACCUAAUUUGUCAGAAAACUAGGAAGCAAAGAAAUAAACAAUCAGAGCUUCACUUAUUACCCGAAAGGAUCCUGAGCAAGAAGAAGUCCAUUUCUGGAUAUUUGAGUGAUUAGCUUAUCUCGAUGUGGUCCAUUGGAAUGAGCAAUGCAACGUUGCAACACACAGCAGCCAUGGCGAUGAGUGGCGAUAUCUACGCAAAAUUUUGCAGCAGCAUCAAAAAUAAUCUGCAUCAACCAAAAAAGUUUAAGAAUCAAAAUUUAGUAAAAAUAUAAGAUGUUAGGUCAUACGAAAAUGCAUAAAAUCAAAGUAGAGAUAGAAUUCUUAAAACAGAAAUGCACCAAGCCUGCCAACUACGGUAUGAAAAGAAGCAUACUUCAUGACGAAUUUGGACAAAAUUCUGUAAGUUUACAACUCAACACAGGAGUGCUUGAUCAAUCAUAAGAAGUUGCGAGGUACAAGAGUUUCUUCCAAUGGACUAAGAACUCUUCAAGUGUUUUAUUUAAUAUUAUCUCACUUGCUAUUAUAACCUGUAACAUGUUGGUUCAUCCCAUGGAAAGAAUAUUCGCAUUAAUAAAUAUUCGAAAAGAUGGAACAGAUUCCUUCUAACAGGCUCCUUGGACACAUGACAGUUGACUGUCAUGCAUCGGCAAUAUGCAAAUAACCAAAUAGCCAUAAUUAAGCCUGUAGAAGAAAGCCUUUUGCCUGUUUACAACACACUCCUAAAAACAAUGAGUUAAAAUAUACUAAGAGUAUACAUACAAAGAAUACCCUGAACCGACGAAGAUGAGCUACAUGUUCAAACAGAACAUCGUUGUGAUCUCUAACCUUCAAACUUUGUAUUGAAUCAAACCAAGGUGUGCCUCCAAAUGGCAUCAGAGACAAAAUUAAGUGCAUAGGUAAUAGGCCAUAGAAUAAAGACCCCUAAAAUAGCCAUACAAUUUUCUUUAGAAGAAUUGAGUACCCUUUGUCAAGAUGAAAUACAUGUGAACAAGACAUAUGUUCAAAUAAUUAACUAGAGAUAGAUCAUGCAGUAGGUUGGCAUGAUGAAAUGAGACUGUAGUUGAAGGCCAGAUUCUUUAAUACAGUUCCUGUUGAUUUAUUAAUUAAUGAACCUACAACAUGCUACUGAAGCAAAGAAAGUUGGAUGAGUAAAAUCAUUUAAUACAAUGCAAAAGAUUCAUGUUGCAAAAACUGUUGCUAAACAAUGUAAAAUGUGCAUUUUGAGACUUAAAAUAUAAGUCAUCGUCAAACAGAAAACUCAUGAUGGUAUCAUAACAUGACCUUCACAACAUAUUAAACAAAUAGUAGUGAACCACACAUGAAAAGUGAUUCAUUUUAGAGAUAAAAUAUGGUUCUAAGUAACAAUUAGCCCAAAACAAAAAGAACUUAGAAAUGUGCAUGAUUGGGAUAAUUUACGAGAACAAAUAUUAAACCUCAAAAGUUAAUUUACCCCUCAUCUUUAUACCUUAUUAUCUUCAUUGUUAAGACAUUGCAAGCAGCGCUGCAACACAUGAUUCCCAUUAAGAUCCUUGAUGAGAUCAAGAAUUCCAGGUUUAAGAGCAGAUUUGAUAAGAGAAAUCUGUUGUCUGGAUUUGAGAGUCUCAAUCAACUUCUGUACCACACGUGUACUGAAAUAUAGCACGGUGAAUCCCCUUAGCAACAUAUAUAUGUAUAUUGACAAACAAUAUCAUUAAAAAGAAAAGAAAAUGAAUGAUAAAUGAAGCAAAUACCCAUAUGUGUUCAAGGAAAUCCUCACUAGCUGUCCGGUUUCUUUGGUCACAGUGAGAAUAAUCUGCAGCCUUUGGUCUUCGUUACACACAUCUAGCAACUUUUGGACAAGGUAGUUUCCAAAGGGGUCCAUCAUUAGUUCAACAAUGUUUUCAAUAACCUCGUUGAAUAUAAUUUGAACAUCCAAGCAGCUUCCUUCAUCAAAUAUCCUUUGUAGGAAGCGACAACCUUUCUGGUCCUUAGCCAUGUAAUAUAUACAACCUUGAAACUCGACUAAGGAAUAUGGACUUGGCAUCAGUAUUACAUUUUCUCCAUGUCUUUUAUCAAGUUUAGAGUUUUUCUCUUGCAGGUUUUGCAAUCCAAACUCCUUGAGAGUCUUUUUCUUACAACAUUUGAACGAAUCAAAGCCCUUGUUCUCGAUAUCAUAUUUCAAACCUCUUCCUUGAAUGAUAACACUAUGAUCCUCCAUUACAUUCUCCUCAAGAGGAAUCUUACUGUGCAAGAACCCAGGAGAACUCAAUGAAUCAAUGGCAGCUCUUCCUCCAUUACCAUCAAUUCCACAUUGCUGGGAACAAACAAAAGGGUUACCGAUGUAGGGCCUAGUGGUAAAAGCACCCUGCAGCAACAUCCCCCUAUUAUCCAAUCCCCUACCCUGUUCCAUUCUCUGCUCCAAAAGAUAGUUUCUUUGGUUAUCAUGCCAACUCGGUACUGAAGACAAAUCAUUGGACUGAUUGUAACCAAUACUAUAAGACCCAAAUGAAUCACCCUUUUCGUAUCCAGUACCUUGCAGCCCAAGAAAGGUGGACCUGAAGACAUCACCACCAUCUAAACACAUCGAAACUUGUUGUGGAGACGAUUGAAACCCUUUGUUAAAACCAUCGUAAGAACCAUAUUUUUCAGCGUGAUAAGACGAGACAUCACCAAAACUGAAGGCGAAACCAUCUGGGUCCCUUUCAAAUUUCCUCAUUUGACCAGAAGUAUCCCCAUCCCUUUCAUCAUCUCUAAUAUGCAUUUGAUACAGAUUCUCACACAAACCAAAACCAUCAUCGACCAACUUAUUUUCAUUGACGUUCUUGUUUCUGUAAUGGGAAUCGGGUAACCGUUUAGAAUCCAACCAGAGUCCACAGUGAUGAAACUUGGGGUGGUGGUGAUGGUGGUGUUGUUGUUGGUCCUCAAAUGGUGGGGUAUCUUCGGGUGAAGAAGGGAACCCAUUGGUGAAAGAGUUUGAAGGAGAAGGAGAAACUCUACCCUUUGUUGAAUGGUGUUGAAGAUUGAGCAAUGGAGGAGGAGCCUCAGAGAUCUCACUGCUAAAUAAAGUUUCCAGCUCACUGUUUCUCUUCAUGUCCCUUGUCAUCAUCUUCUGCUCCUUCUUCUCACCCAGUUUAUACAUCUUCAAAAAAAAACAAAAAAAAAAGAACCCAAAUUUUUACAGAUACUAAGAAGCAAAAACCCAAAUGAGAAUAUUUUUUUUUGGUUUUUUUUUUACGUAAAACAAAGUUGACAAAAGAGAAGAACACCAACACCCAAAAAAACAAAAAAGACGUUUCCUUUUCAGAUUGAUUUUUUGGUUGAUUUGGUUUUCGGGUUUCUUUUAAAGAGAAAAAUGAUGGGUUUUUUUUUUGUAUGCGAGAAACGGUUACAAAAAAAAUAAUGGUGUACGGUAAGGAUUAUUGACGUUUUAAGCUCACGCCAUUGGAGUGAGGUGAGCCGGCACUAUACUGUGAAAUACCCAAAAAAAAAAUUACAGAGAAAAAAAAAGAGAGGAUCUUUUUCCAAAAAAAACAAGCUUUUUCUUUUAUUGUUUUUUUCAAAUGAUUUAAGAUUUUUUUUUUAGCUAACUGAAUCUAAAUAGACAAAUAAAAAAAAUAUCCUAACUUCUUUGGCGAAGAAACCUGCUUGAUUUUUGUUUUGAUUAAUUGACCAAAUUGUUUUUAUUCAUUUAUUUAUUUUUAAAAAUUUACUUUUUGAUAUUUUUCUGUAAAAAAAUUUUAAAAAAAAUCUACCUGAAAAUAAGAGUCUAAACUUUAUUUUUAAUAACAAUAAAUAUUACUUUAAGCAUUGUUAUUGCCUAAAAAUAUAUAAACAAAUCCAUGUCAGUGUUGAAAGCUAUGACCAAGUUUUCCUAUCUUAUAGAUACCAACCUUCAUUUAUUUCCGUACUUGUUCACAUUUGCCAAGUCAAAAAUUAAAAUUAAAAAAUCUGAAAUUUAUAUUUAUUUUUUAAAAAAAUAGAAAAAAAAAAGAAUUAUUAGAUUAACAAAAGGAUUUAUCUUUCAACAACCAGACUGGAUUUACCUGAACUAUCUCGUCAAAAAGACAAACUAAAAAAUUUUGAAUUUUAUUUUGAAAUAAAUAAAUUAUGAUAUAGCUUAUAAUUAUUUAUUAUUUUGGUAAAAAAACAUUUUAUCUCAAAAAAAAAUCAAAGUAAUUCGAUCCUUUGAAUUUCGUAAAAGAGUCACUAAUGAUUGUUAAUCACAAUAUUAAUUUUUUUUAUCAGUUAACAGAUUUGAUCCUAAAAUGUUUACACAAUAUACCACAAUAUUUACAUAUCAAUAUUUUAACAGAAUUUGUUAUUAAUAAUCAAAAUAUGUAAAAUUAAAAGAAAAAAUCAACACUAUAAUUAAUUUUGAAAUUAAUAAGAAUUAAAUUGCUUUAAUUUUUUUGAAAAAACCCAUUUUAGAAAGAUGAAUAAAUAGAUAAGGGGUGAGAUAAACUUCCUGCUAUGACUAAAUGUAUUUAGCUUCCUUAUCUACUAAAUAAAUAAAUAAAUAAAUUAUUGCUGUAUCUAUCUGGCAGUGCCACUGAUUCGUACGGUGUGGAUUUUACCCGAAAGCAUGUAAACAGUGGUCUGCAGUGACCACCAUUGAAAAUAAUGACAAAAGCGUGGCAGAGAUCAUGCUCUCCUUAAAUGCCAAAUUCCAUUCGCCAAACCGCGCGGCUUUUUUUUUGUCGGACAAUGAUAUGGGCAUUCAUUAUUAUAGGUCCGUACUCUGCUCACCAUUCCCCUUUCGCCACCUCUUUUUUCGACACGAAUGUAUGAAUAUGUAUACAUACAUUUGAAAAAUACUAUAACUUUUGCCCACUGAAACAAGGACUCCUUUGAAAAGGAGGUUCAAACAAAGCAUAUAGCGAUAAUAAUCAUAUAUAGCAGUAAAGCAAUAAAAUUGGACUUGAAAGAGCCCUAGACCGUCAACGAAACGGGACGGUAAUGCACAAAAUUAUGAAACAAGUAAUUAGCAUAUAGGUUCUUAGGUCAAGUUGACAUGUUAAACCUAAAACAUAAUUCCCAGAACCCAUAAUCACACACCCCCACUGAAGAUAACAGAAAAACACGGUAAUCGGAGACGGUGUUAGACCUAUGAAGUUAAACCAAAGCAAUGGUGCUUUCCCCACCAGGGGGUUUGCGUCCGCUACUGACUCGAGACUCUACCUUCCCUUCAGCAAAGAUGUUGCUACCGCUCAUCUCCCGCAGUUUCGCUACACUGAGUGGUUUUUCAGCAGAACCUGGAGGAACAUCACCCUUAAAUAUGUCGUUUCCGGAUAGCUCUGCGAAUUUCUGGUUAUGUAUUUUCUUUGCUGUCUUAACCACGGUCUCCUCACUUGGCAUGCUACCUCCAGCAGGCUGCAGCAUAGCAUCCAAGUUCAUAAACAGUUAGAUAUUCAAAUUUAAUUAAUUAGGCAAACUUAAGUACAUAAUGAUCGCAAUUCAGCAAGAAUAUAGGAAGCAAUGAUUUGCAAUCCCUAAGCUAAAGUGAAGCACAACAAUGUAAUUCAUACUUCUUGCUAAGCCUGAUAUACGAUCCCUAGCUACCUUAGGUGUCAUUUGUUGCACAAGGAACAAUUUGUUCAAGCAAUGAGAAGAAUUUAGUAAGUUCGGAGUUUUAACAUGUACUUACUUUAUGUGUAUCAGGUUCUCCCAUGUCAAAAUUGUCCUUCAAAGCCAAAGCGCGUACGGUUGUUGGCCUCGGCACAAUUUCAGGUGGGGGUGCAAAGAUGUCAUGUCCACCAAGCUCCUUUGACUUGGCAUCGGAGAGCUGCUUCUUCAACUUCGCCUCCUCACUUUGCAGUGUUCCACUCAAUUCACGCUGCUUCGCCACCUCAGGAAGAGUAGUUGGCUUUUUGGGUGUAAUACUCUCUUCCUCGGCAAACGAGAUGUGACUGAUUCCAGCUAGAGAUUGCUGACAAUGGCAAACAUAAACUUCUUUUUUAAACAUGAUACGAAUAUAAUAUGUUAUUAUGUUCUGAACAUAACUGAAAAAAUGAACAAAUUGAAACCUGGUACAUUCGUAUUGCUGUUUUGUUGUUUGGAGUAGGAUUUGCACUACCAGGUUCUGAUUCGUCAUUUUCUCCAUCGGCUGCAAAAAUACCACUACCAGUCAUCUCCUUCAUUUUAUAUCCAGAACAAGGUUUCCUGGAAAUGGCAACAGAUGACAGCAGCAGAGUGAAUUAGAAAAACAGCAAUAAAACAGCCUUACUGAACUUCUGCUUACAAUUCGAAACUAACAAACGAAUCUUGAAAGAAAAAUGAACGGACAUUUCGGUGGAAAUGAAUAUUUAAUGUUUUAACUGAUUGUAGAUGUACAUUAAAUCAUCAAUCCUCACAAAGCAUUAGAAAUCCAACUCAGGAAAACAGGAUUGAUUGGAUACGUUAAAGAAAGUUACAGCUGGAACAAUUAAGAUCUCCUUCAACGGUUGGUACAAUUGGAGCAGAACGGAGAUCCAAUGGAUCGCUAAUUAAUGACAGAUAAAUAACAUCUAAUAAGGAAAUCAAUCACAGAUAAUAGAACAGAUCAAACUAGAAAGUUUUAAAUUCCUUGUAGAUUUGAGGCCUUCUUUUUUCUUUUCAAAACAGUAUUUUAGAUAAUAAAGAGAGAGAAAAUGGUAGAAACAAUUUGUUUUAAAAAAAAAACAGAAAACUAUAGUAACAGCGUUUUGUUUUUUCCAAAAUGCAGAACGUAGAGCAAAAAAUUUACAAAUGACCAAAGAAAUUUAAAAAAAAAACAAAGAAAAUGAAGAAUUUGUAGGAGAGGAAGAACGCGGAAGUAGAUCUCACCGUUUGUUUAAGCUUUCAAAUUCUUCAUCGGUCACUUGACCUCCAAACACCACUUUUCUGAUCCCAUCCGACGGCUACCAUUAAUAAACGAAAUAAAUCAAUCAAGUACACUAACUCACCAUCCAAACAAAAUCUUUUUUUUCUUCUUUCGAAAGGAAAAAAAAAGUACCUGGUGAGGGCGGGUGGAGCGUGCGGCGGAGGCGGUGAAAUCCGGUUGAGGAGUCUCGGACCAAGUGAGUAGAUCUGCAGUGGAAGUGUGUGGUUUCCUCACUGGAGUGCUCUUCUCCAUUUUUUUCCCUAAUUCCACUCUCAAAACUACCAAAACAAAAAAGUAGCUUGUAAUUGAAUAAAACAACAAUGGAGAAAUGCCUUCGAAUCCUUCUCUGCACCACCAAAAAAAAGAUUCAAAAGGAGUGUGUUUUUUAGAGCUUAGAAAGAGUGAAGCGAAUGAAGGAAGGAAAACGGGAUCUGACAGAGAAAUGACAAGCCUGUCCUGCCACUGACCCUCCCUGAUCUGGAACUUUCCUUUUUUUUUCUUUUUUAAGUUUUAAUAAUAUAUUUAAAAGAAGAAUUUGGAAACUUAAAUUUAGAUUUAAAUUUUAACAAUUUUUGUUUGAUUUGAAUAUAAAUAUAAUUAUUAAAUAAUUUUAUACAUUAAAAUUCAGAUGGUAUAAAUAUUUUAUUUUUAAAAGUGAUAUUUCAACUUUCCAACAACUAUCAUUAAAGAGUAUAUAAAAUAUAAAUAUUAAAAACUAGUUUUUUAUUAAAAUUAUAUCACACAGUCACAGAUAUUCUAAUUAUGUACCAAUAAUAAAUAUAUUUAUAGUUUUUGAAAUUAAACGUCAAUGUCUUAAAAACCUUCUGACAAAAACAAAAUGUCAUAAAAACCAAGGAUUAACUAAAAUAUUUGAAACCAACAAAGGGAUGUCGGCAGGAAUUUUGGAUGAUUUGUAUUUUGAUGUUUAAGCUUACGACUCAGUUUUUUUUUUUAAUUUAAUGUCGUUUGGGAGAAAAACAACCGUUUUUUUUUAAUUGGAUAUUUCAGCUAUCAAAAUAUAUCAAAAAAAUAUAAAAAAUAGGGAAUUUAUUUAUAAAAAUUAUUAAAUGAAAAAUAGAGAAAUAAUGAGAGUAGUGAAGCAGACAUGAAAAGAGAAAUUUAAAUAAAAUGUAGUAUGAAAAGAUAGAAAAUGAUUGGUUAUGUUAUUCUUGUAAGGAAAGUAUUGGAAUUUGGAAAUGAAUGGAGCAGCUUCCAAAACAGAUCUAUAUCUGGUUGAUGUUGAAAUUAGGAAGAAGAAGAACUAAUUUAGAAGAUAUUUUUCUAGUAAACACACUACACCAUUCGGAUUUCUUGCCAUCUUUGGAUUAAAUAAUUAAAAUUAGUAAAUAUUAUUUCUUUUUGUUUAGCUAGGGAGGAAAACAUUUAUUAUAAUGGAAUUCUACAAGUAAUUUAUUUGCACUUAUUGACUUAAACCCAAUAUUAAACUCAUUUAUUGCCAAUUCAUCAAGGUUUUCUUUAAUUACAAUUUAUUUUAAGAUUUUAGUUUACCUUUUUUUUUUUACUUAAUUUUUGACCUGUUUAAUUCAACUAAUAAUAUUCAAUUGGUUCAAUUAAGAUAGUCGAUAUUGUACCAACACAUUUACCGUUCUUUAUGCAUAUUAAUAUAUUUUAGUGUCCUAUUUUAGGCUUUUCAAUUAUUUUUAAAUAUGUAUGAAAAUUAUUAAUUAUUCUGUGCAAAUUUUAAAAAUAAUUACUUAAUUCCAAUAAAAUAAAAUAUAAAAUAACUUUAAAUUUUUAAAAAUCCAUUAAUAAAAAAACCGUAAAGCCCAAAGCCAACUUCUCCCGGUAGUAAUGUCAUCACUUUCUAUUAAGGUUUUGUUUAUAAUUAAACUUAAAUUAAUAAAAAAGUAAUUUUUUAUUUUAAAUUGAGAUUUAGCUCGAUUUAAAAACCUGAUUUUUUUAGCUUUUGUCUUUAGAAAAGUGUUUUAAUGAAAUUAUUUCUUUAUUAUUCAUUAAAUCUUUUACAUUAUAAUAUGUCUAAAUUGAACUUUUUUUUUUCUCAAAUUUAUUUUUUAAUAAUAAUGGUAAACACUAUCAAAUUUUUCAAAUACCUCAAUAGUAAACUAGCCCUUAUUUACUAAAGAGCUAAUCAAAUUUAGCUCAAGUUUUUUUUUUUUUUACUUCAAAUUUGCCUAAGUCAACCUAACUAUCAAAAAAUGAGAAUUCACAAAAAAAAAAUUCUCUAAGGAACCGAAACAAAAUGGAAACAACUCAAAGACAAAGGAAAUCGAAUCAAAUAGAAAAAUCAUAAGAAAACAAUAACACCAAGUGUUUGAGGAAAUGUUCUCAAAGUAUAGUUAAUAACUCUAAAUGGAAUAAUUACAAAUGAGAUGAAAGACCUCUAUUUAUAGCUAAGCUAUUUCAGAUCCAACGAUAUAAUUUAAAUUAUAUCAACAUAUAUAUUUUUAUUUCUAUUUUUUGUAUACAUUAUAUACAAUACAAAAAAGUAAAGUAGGGAUAUUGAUCCAAUUCAUCUCAUUAAUAUUUGUAAUCCAAUCCUUCAGUCGAUUUCGCUUCAUUUAGUUCAGUUUUAAUUUCGGUUUAUGAAAUUUCAAUAAAAUUCAGGUCAAGAUUAAAGUCUAUCUACAAGAUGAGAGUCCUAAGGGAUUUAAACUCUAUACAAUCUUAUCUCUUAUGAUUUACAAUAUUCACCAUGGUAACUCUUGUUUUACAAAAGUAUUUUACUGAGCAACCAAGGCUCCAAGUAGAUAGGUUUUCCAUGUAUUACACGAAUGAAGCCAGUUCAAGUGGAUCAAAUGAGUCACAUUAAAUUAGUUAAUCUUCAUGGGACGUUAUGUGUGCAUUCGUCACAAGCUUUAAUUUGCGACUUGUGACAUAAUACUAUCAAAUUGAUUUCUUUGUAACUAUUAUUUUUUUGUCAGGCCGCUGAUUCUUACUUUUUUUUUAAUUAUUAUAAUUAUAAGGUUUAAGGGUCAAAAAGGCCCUUAAUAAAAAAUGAAAAAAAUCAAUUGAGCCCUUAAAAAAGUACACUCUAUUUGGUCUUUAAUGACAAAAAUAAAAUAAAAUCAACUAGAUUUAGGCCUCCUUUGGAUCCAAAUUUUGCAUCAGUUCAGUGCGUUUUCUAUUGAUUUCUGUGCAACUGCUGCUUUGAAACUCUUUGGAUGGCCAACUUUCAGUGCAGUGGAAGGGAGUUCAUCGCACCACACCCCAAAAUUUCCACUGCUCUAUUUCUGGCCAAUUGAAAAUUCAAAACUCCAAACGCAGCUGUCAUUCCUUUUUUACUCCUUUUCAUUUAUUAAUAAAUUGAAUAAAGAAAAGUAAAAAAAAAAACUUUGAUGGAAAAAAUAGAAAACGUUGAUGGCUAAAGGAAAAAACAUUUUAUUAUAAAUUUAUAUUUUAAUAUUUUAUUAAAUAAAUUAAUAAAUUCACAUAUUUUAAUAAUUUUAAAAAAGUAAAAUAAUUUAAAAUUUUUUUAUUAUAUAUCAAUUCUAAUAUGAUGUCCUUAAUAGUCAUUUUUUAUUCUCACCUCACCGUUACAACUACGUUUGAAUCCAAACACAUACUUCACUGCUAUUUCUAAUCUCACUGCUACAAUACCCAAUCUCACCGCUAUAGUAACUAAUCUCACCGCCACCGCUGUUUUUAACCUCACCGGAGCUAAACACACCGCCCAUCCAAACUAAGCCUUAGUUGACCAGUUUGACCAUUAAAGUCGCUGAUGUGGCUAACGGUAGCCACGAGAUGACACACGACAUGCCACAUUAACUAUUUUUUAAAAAUGAAAAUAAUUAAUAAAAAUUGCUUAUUGAAUGAACCUAGACAUACUUUUGUCUAGGUUUAUUUAAAUCUAGAUAAUCAUUUGUUCAAAUUCGUUUGAGAUGAAUUCAAAAUAUAAAAAUUUAACAACUAUAAAAAAUAUUAAAAAUUAUAAAAAAAACUGGAAAAAAAAUCAAAUUUUAAUAUUUUUAAUUUUUAUUCAGAAUUUUUAUAUAUAUUCGAACUUAAAAAAGUUCAAAUUGAAAAUUUGCAUUAAUGAAUUCGAAUAUAUAAAUUAUUAAUAAAAUUAAUUUGAAUUUUUUAAAUGUUUCGAUUUUUUCAUUUAUGAUAUGCUUCAAAUGUUUCGAUUUUUAUUAAUUAUUUUUUUUAAAAAAUUUCCGGAGGCAACAUGCCACAUCAGCAUCUUUCCUAUGCCACAUUGAAGGCGUUCCAAUUUGGAUUAAGUUUGAGUUAAUUCGAUUUUUAUUUUUAUUUUUUUGCUUCAUAAGCAUUUUGAUGCAUUUGUCAUUUUGUGGGUUGAGUUGACUUUGGGAUAAACUAAUCAUUCGAUUUUAAGUUUAGAUUAUUGUAGAUUCAUAUUUAUCUAGGGUAUGUUUCAUUUUUUUAGUACGGUUGAGCUCACCUAAUUAAUUUUUAAAAAUAAAUUCGGAUUGCAUAAUCAUGUCAGGUCAAGUCAUUUCGAACUUGAGUAAUUACAAAUAAAUUGUUUCGAGUUUAGAUCAUUUUAUAUUUGAAUUAUUUUGGUUAAAAUCAAUUUGUGUUAAUUAAUUUUUACAAACAAAAAUAUCUAACCAGAGCAAAAAAAAAAGGAUUGAAUCUGAAAUGAAGAUUCUACUGAAGAGAUUUUGUUGAGUAAUGCGAAAUCUUUUUCCCUAUGACUAAAUAAACUGUUGAUUUCCUUUUUAAAAUGUUAUAAUAGCAAAGUAUUCGGUUCGUUUCCUUUUUUUCUAAUUUCAUGGCAAGUGUUUUAUUAUUUCAUCACUGGUCUUUAUGCAUUCAUACCUUAUUUUCUUGAUUUCAAACUUAGUUUGAUUUUCUCUCUCCAACAUGAACAUACAUCUUCUUCACUUUGCUAUGAUGUAAUAUUCUUGGUUUUACUAAGCAUUUCCAUGGAAUUUUGGUGUUUUCUAGCUUGAAAGGGACUAAACUGAAAGAAAAUGAAAGUGGCAUGAGAUGUAAGAAAAAUGAAGGAGAAUUCUACAAUUUUCCAUCAUAAAAAUCUAUUGAUUAAAUAAUUAAAAUAUUUAAAAAUAAUAAAAUAAUCCCAACAUCGUUUUCAUCUAAUGGUUACCAUUCUUUCUCAAAUUUCAAUUUCAUCCAAGGGUUCAAAAUUUACCACCAAUUCAUGAGACUUUUCUCAUAAAUAUCUAAUUAUGCCCUUGAACUUUCUCUCCAAUUCCAUCCUUGAUUCAUUGUCCAUUUUUGCUAAAAUUCACUUCUAGUCCUUUCUCUUUCUCACUUCACUUCAAUUUAAUCAUAGGAAAAAUCCAAAAAAGCGCCCACCGUGGGGCUCGAACCCACGACCACAAGGUUAAGAGCCUUGCGCUCUACCGACUGAGCUAGACGGGCCGGUUGAUCUAGAAUGUGUAAAUUCUUUUACAAAUUCAAAACUAAUUGUUUCCAGUUACUUGGAAAAAGUUAAAGAUCGCCCACCGUGGGGCUCGAACCCACGACCACAAGGUUAAGAGCCUUGCGCUCUACCGACUGAGCUAGACGGGCUAAUUGAUCUCCAUUGUGUAAGAUUAUAAACUUCUUACAAAUUUAAAAACUAAUAGUUUCCAGUUCCUUGGAAAAUGUAAAAAAUCUUCCACCGUGGGGCUCGAACCCACGACCACAAGGUUAAGAGCCUUGCGCUCUACCGACUGAGCUAGACGGGCUUCUUGUCGCGAUAUAAGUUUAGUAAUUACAAGCUUCUCAGUUCUCAUUUUAUUAAAUGCUGAAGUUAACCAAACUUGUUAAAAAGAAUCAACCAUUUUAAUAAAAGAAUCUUUAUAUUAUAUAUUUAUUUCGUUGACGAACUUAUUAUUUGAUUUAAUAAAAUUAUAUAAAAAAUCUUACUCGUAAAACACAACUUCAUAACUAGAUUUAGAAUAUAGUAAACUUAAGUUGAAUCAUAUAAGAACGUCCAAAUACAAAGCAUCCAAUUCAGCCUUAAAUUCUCGUUUAUUAAGUCCCUAACUUACUGGUUCAUCGUUAAAGGAUAUUUAGUAUGAUGAAAAGUUAUCAAUUUUUAUAGAAUUUUUAUGAUGAAAAGCUCAUCUUAAAAAAUCAGUUAGUAUAAGUAUCCGUCAAGAAUAAUAUCUGUGAAUACGCCAUCUUAGGUGAGGUGUUCAACAUCUGGUUGUGUGGGAAUCCACCGAAAGUAGAUUUUGUAUGAAUAUUUUUGUGAGUAAUGCAUUUGUUUUCCGAAGAAGAAAUGAGAUCCGCAUUGAGUGGUGAAAUUUGUAAUCUAUCUAAUGAGUCAAUUGGCGUAUAUGUAUGCACCCCAUAUUAGAAAAAUAUCUGCCAAAGACUAAAAAGAAAUCAAGUAUCUUCAAGUUGUGGAAUUUAAGAAUAAACGUUCAAAGGUAACCUGGAUUAAAAUUCACUAAGAUCGUUUGAACUUACAAGCGAUUGUUUGUGAUGCAAGUUCUGAUUAAAGAGUUGGUACGCCAGGAGGGAUUAAGCUAGGAAUGCGCCAAGGUAGUAGUUUGAGUUGCAAUAUUAUGCACACAAAGGACACCAUAAGAAUAUGACACUUAGUAUUCUUUGCCGUAAAGAAGUUUGUCUUUAACAAAGUUUUAAGUUCAAAUGUCAUAUGCUAUUUUCGAAAAUCUGAUGAAAUUAUUAAACAUUCUUUUUUAUUAAUCUUUUGUUUUAAGAACAAUAAAUAAAGGAAGAAGGAGCACGUUUUAGAAUGACUUUAUACCUGUCGUAAAAUUUUUACUAAGUGUUUUAGCUUUGUAACAUCCAAUAUCUGAAUCCGGUAAUUCAGCUCUAGUAUAGGGGUCACACCAUUCUUGUACCUUACCCAAGAAUAUUUGACAGUGCUACUUAUGAUGACAUCAAUUAUACCUGUUCAUGGUUUAGAUUAUCUGCUGAAGGCUUUAGAAAGGUUUGGGCAAAAACAUUAAACCUGAAAAAUGAGAUUAGGCAACAAAAUAAUGACCGUUUAUGUAAUGACUCAAAAUUCACGAGUAUUGAAAAAGUACAUUAUCGGGACUCCGUCUUAGUAAACUGAGUUCGAAAAUAAUUAUUAGAAAUAUUUACGAGAAUAAUUGUGUGUUUAAUUAGGUUUUAGAUAGGUGAAUUUAUCUUAAUUAAGAGUAAUUAGAAAAAAAAGGAUUAAAAUGAAUAAAGGGUAAAAGUCUAAUUAUAGAUUAAAAGAAAGUAAAAAGGACUAAAAGGGAAAUUAAACCAAAAGCAUAACUUGAAACGGUAACCUUUAAAAAAUCUGGGAUUUUUUUAAGUUUAAUAAACAUAUUAUAUUAUUAAAUAAUAAAGAUAUUUAUUAUGUUUUAUUUUAUAUUAUAUCCUAUAUAUAUAUAUAUAUAGUAAAGAAACAAAAGAAGAAAAGAAACAGAAAGCUAAAAACGAAACAGAGCAGGAAAGAAAGGAGAAAGGGAAAAUUAGGGUUUAAAGUUUUGAAGCUUUAAAGGUAAGUUAAAUCAAGUCCUUUUCUCAUAAAUUUGAUGUUUUUGGAAUCCUAGAGUGAAAUACUCUUGGAUAUAAGUUGAAAAUUUGAAAGUUAAUAGAUUUUUGAGUAAGAGUUAUGUUGAAUAAAUGAUGGAAUUGAGGGUUUAUUUGAUAGAAUUUCUAGUUAGAAUUGAUAAAAGGAUUAAAUUGUGAAGUAAGCUAUAAGUUUUGAAUUUUAGGGAUUAAAUUGAAAUAAAUUCGAAAUUAUGAAAAUAUGAUAAAAAUUAGAUAGUUAAAUGUGAGUUUGGUAGGAAAUUAAGUAGUAAAAAGGUAUGAAUUGAGAAAGAAAAAUAUAUAGGUUUAGUUAGGAUUAAAUUAGAAUUAAAGUAAAAGUUAGAUAAAAAUUUCAGCAAUUAAAUUGUUUUGUGCUAAUGAUUGUGAAAUUAUUUUAAUUGUUCGUAGCUAAUAUCGAGCCUGAAGCAUCGGCCCAAAAAGGAAAAGAAAAGAUCGUCGAGGAUUAGAUCCGAAGAGAAUUCCGGUUUGUAUUACUAUAAUUCAAAUUUAUUUAUUAUUAAUUGUUAUAUUUUAAUUAAAAUGCAUGGUAAGUAAAAUUAGGUAAGCAAUUGAAAUGAUAAUAGUGAUUUGAAUUGAAUUAAAUUGAAUUGAAUGAUGGAAAUAUGUGAGUAUUUGAAAUGUAUAUUGAUUGAAAAGUAAUUAGUGAUUUGAAUUUGAUUGGAAAAUGAAUUUAAAAUAUGAAUUAAAUAAAGUGAAUUAACUUAUGAAUAUGUGUGAAUAUGUGAAUUGUGUAUUGAUUGAAAAGUGGUUUGAGUUGAAUCGAAAUAUGAUUAUAUGUGAUUAUUUGAAAUAUGUAUUGUUAUUAAAUUGUUAAUUGAUUAGAAAGUGGAAAAGUGAUCUUGAAUUGGAAAUGAAAGUGAAUUGAGAAUUUGAAUACCCUAUUAACUAGUCGGGCUAAGUCAGAUAUAGUUGGCAUGCCAUAGGAUUGAAAGAGUACGGGAUUUAUCGGCUUUGCCGACCAGGCACUUUAUGUGUUGUAUUUCAGGCACUUUAUGUGUCGUAUCAGGCAUCUCGUGUGUCGUUUCAGGCACUUAUGUGUCGUAUACUGAUCAGGUACUAUGUACCGUUUUAGGCACAAUGUGCCGUACUGGUGUGUUUGGGUUGGAAUCCGUGUAUCCAUCAAAGUCCAGAUUGUUAAUAGGGUGAAUAAUUGAAAUGAGAAAAUUAAAUGAAUUUGAUCGAUUGAGGUAUUGAAUAUGAGAAAAUUUAAAAUUCGCAGAUUGAAAUCGAUAUUGAAAAUAAAAGGCAUGAAUUUAAUGUUUAUGUAAUGAUUGAAAUUGCUAUAUGUGAUAUGUGAUUGAGAUUAAAAGAUAGCUAAAAAUUGUAUUGUUAUUGUUAAAUAAUGAAAGUUUAUGAAUUAAUUGAUAUUUAAGAAAUCGGAUAGUUACAUGCUUCGUAAUUAUAAUUCUUUAUUGUUAUUAUAAUUUGAAUUAUGGUAAUACCAAUAUAAAAUACUCAGCGUACGGUUGUUUCCGUGCUCAGGUUGAAAAAGGGGUCUGAGUCUCGAUUCAGCAUCCAGGUCAAUCCCGAUUCCUGCAUAGAGAUUACGGUGAUGUUUCUUCCUUAAAUGAAAGUGGCAUGUACAUAAGAAUUAUAAUAGUUAUUUUGGUAUGUUAUAUAGUUUUGUUGUAAAGUAAGAUAUUAUGUGUUUUGAUGAUUAUAUUAGUAAAAUGGUGCAAGUCCUUUAUGGCAUUGGUAUCAAAUCGAAAUGACUUGAUUAGUUUUAUGAGUUAAUUAGAAAUGAUAAUAGGAUUUUUUAUUAAUUAGGUUGUUAUGUCAAUAUGUCAAGUACGAUUUAAGUAUAUAAAUGCCUUGAUUGAAAUAGUGGAAUUAGGUUGGUUAUGUUUUGAAAUUUUGCAGGGGGUUUUAUGUAAAAAUAAGUAAAAAUGCUGCAGGAAUUUUUAUAAAAAAAUAAUAAAUGAAAUCAAUUAGUAAAAUUUAUAACAACUUAUGAAUUAUUUUAAUAUGUUGGUUAUUUAUUUAAAAAUUAUUUGUAAAUUGUUUGGUAUGUCCGGUAAUGCCUCGUAAUCCUAUUCCGGCGGCGGUUUGUGGUUAGGGGGUGUUACAGUUUAAAAUAUGAAUCGGGCUCUAGCUCAAGCAUUCUUGAGCCCAGCCUAUUUUCUAAGUUUACAUUAUAUUAUAUUAUUUUUAUAUAUUAAAUAAUUUUUAACACACUAAAAUUAAAUCUAUAGUAAUAAAUAACAUUAUAAUAUAAAUAGACUAAAAAAUAUUAAAUUACGUAUAUAUAAAAAUUUAAUAAACAAAAAAUAUAUCAUAUUAACUAUUAAAUUAAAAUAUAAAUUAAAAAAAUAAAAAUAAUAUAAACGGACUUAAAAUCAACUUAAUUAAUAAUUUUAAAAAAUAUUCAAGACUAAAUAAGAUUUUAAACCCAUAUUCCGAAUCGAAUUAAACUUAAACAAAUAUAAAAUAUUCCAGUCUCAUAUUUAAAUCCAAUCAGACUCAACUACAGCUCCAACAUGAACUCCUUAAUAAACUAUGACGGUCAAACCCCAAGAUUAAGCAACCUGAUAUUAAAAUUAAAAUUAAAAAAUUAUUAAGAAACAUUUAAAAGAUGGGAGCUACUUAUACAAUAGGCCCAAAACAUUGAGCUUGAUGCUUCGAGGCCAGAAGAAUAGAAAGUUUCAAAGCAUAUUUUUACCGAAAUUUUAACCCAAUCCAAUUUAACUGACUUUUAGAUGAUGGGGUCACUUGUCAAUACCCAUCCUACUUACUUGUUUUUAUACAUAACUUUUCAUUCAUUCGUUUAUGAAAAAUCUUGCAUCAUAGGAAGCAAGGUCACAAGAAUUUCUAUCUGUUUUCUGUUUUAAUUAUUUUUCUUUCUAAACAAUGGGUAGUUUGGAGAGGGCCAUAACUUAAUUAGACCAAUGGAUUAUUUAAUCAAUUAUCAACAAAUUUUAUCCAACCAAUUUUCAUCAUACAAGCAUAUUUGUUAACCAAUGAGAUUAAUAAGGAGGAGAAGGGGGUUGAUUUAAAGUAUUUUAGAGGGUAAGAGGAGAAUGAAGGAUGUGGUCUCCUGGCCUCUCUUAGGUGCUAUAGUGAGUUUAUAUAUUAAGGGAUUAAUAUGUCUACGUGUCUUGCCUAAAGAUUAUUGAUAGUGAGAUCACAUUUUGUUCUCUUGCAAUGACAAUGAUAUUAUGUUUUAGGAUAGUUGAGUAAUCAAUGAGCUUGAAUCUCCACAUGCGUCUCAUGCACGUCCAAUGUGUUAGAACAUUUUCAAUAUAUAUAUAGUGUUCUAAUAAUUGCAAAUAGAAAGUUAUAAGUCAUCAAAAGUUAUGCUACUUGGUUAUUAAUCAAAAGUAGUCACUAUUUAUAGUGCAGAGGCGAAACUAGGAGGGCUCGUAGGGGCCUCAGCCCCCUAAAAUAAAAAAAAUUUAUUAUUUAGGCCCUUUAAAAAAUUUUAAAAUUUUAAAUUAGUAAGGUAAAAUUGCACUUUGCCUCCCUAAAAUUAUAAAAAUUUGAUUUAACCCUUUAAAAAUUAUAAAGAUAUAGAUUAUAAAAAAUUAAAAUUUCAUUCGUCCCCCCCCCCAAAAUUGUUCUAGCUUUGCCCCUGUUAUAGUGACGAGUUAUGUCCCUUGUUACUUAAUUAUUAUCAAAGAGUCAUAAUUAUUCAAAUAUAUAUUUAUUGAAUAAUUGUGUUUAUUGCUAAAAGAUGUGACUAUCAAUUUGGUUAGUUAUGUUUUUAUAAAGAGACAUAAGAACUCUUAUAAAUAGGAGUCAAUUGUCAUUUGUUUGACACACCAAAAACACAUAAAAAAUUUCUUUCUAUUCUCUUCUAUUUCUAAUAUUCCUAAAUUGUUUUAUAAAGAAUUAAUGCAAAAAUUGUUUAAAGAAAUUGAUAUUCUUGCUAUACUCCCCUCAAUACUCAAUGGAUUGUUUUCGUCAAUGAAAAACAUAGACAACCAUUAGACUUCAUUGUAUCCUCGAAGUUCAUUUGAUAGUAACUCUUUUGCACACCGAAAUAUAGGUGAGACGAAUAGAACUUUAAAUAAAGUGGCGUUGGCACACGCCUUGAAAUCUUUAUUAAUUUCUCAUAAGUUUAUUUUUAUCCCCACCCACCAACACACAGGUUGGCUAUUCUUUCAUGGUUCAAUUGUAGGUUUGCCCAUUAUAGGACACGUGGAAUGAUACGUUGAGGGGGUAUACCAAUAUUAAAUCGUCAAUUGGUAAAUAAGGAAAAUGACAAAUGACUUGUGUUUAAGUCUUCAGUUAUCACUAAUUAUGAGUUUAAUUUUUAGGGAAUCCUUACACCUUACUAAAAAAAGAAUAUAUAUGAUGUGAAUGUCAACCAAACGCGUAAAGGAAAGCAAAUUUUACUAUUAAUCUCUAUAUUUUGCAUAAGUUAUGAAUUUAAUCUUGUACUUUAAUUUUACCAUUUUUAAUCCUAUACUUUUUUGAAUAUUUAAAUUUUAAAAUUUGAAGUAUGAAAAUUGGAAAAUAAUUAAAUUCAAGAGUAUGAACUAAAUUCACAAGUACUUCACAAAUUAUACAUAUGACUAAUGACAAAAUUUCACAUAAAAAUUUAGUUAUUACCAUUUAAAGCAUAAUAAACAAAUUAAUAAUAGACUUUUACCAAAUUAUUAAGAUGUGUUGAGAAUUUGAAAAUUGAAGAUGGGUUUAGAUAGACAGUUCAUUUACUUAUGCUUAAAUAUUGUAAUAAUACUGUAACGUGAAGUAAAAAAAAAGUAAACACCCUAAGCUGCCAUCCAAACCACACUAAGGUGAACGAGAAUGAAUGAUAAAACAUAAUACAUCAUCAAUUUCUAUCAAUUUAACCAUAAUUUAGAAUUCUAAAUUAAUCUCGAUUUAAUUCAAUGGGCUCCGAUGUAUUAGAAUGAACAACGGAACAAUGAUUGCAAACUUGUACAAAAUAGGAGCACCGCCCCAACUUGGGUAACGGGGCCCCACCCACCCACCAAUCCGACCAUAAAAAAAACUCUCUUUCUCUCUUUAUUAUCUCUCACGUGGACUUAACAUCCACCUGACACGUGUACUGAGUUCUUUCUUCUUCCCCUGACGUCAGUUUCUUGUCAUUUUGUUAAUAUUUUGGGUUAAUUUGUUAUGUAUGGUGCAAGGACAAAUAUGAAGUUCUGAAUAUUAAAAUAGUGUAGGGCACAGCUUUAUUUUCUUGUGUUCCAGGGGACAUCGCCGUCCGAAGAUACAUAGAUAAAACAAACCCACAAACAUUGGCUGUAUAAUAAUCGUUUAAACAUAGUAAAAUGUUAUAGAAAAACGUGAGAAUUCAAAGUGGGUGCUGAUGUGAAGAGAUUUGUAUUUCCUAUGCUGAAGGGGGAAGGGAACCAUCCAUUUGAGUGGGGAACAUGUGGGGUUGCAUAAUAUUCACUUAACACCUGUUGAGGUAGACCGUCUCCCCCCCCCCCCAUCCUUCAAUGCCAUAAUUAAACCAUACAUAAACUAACUUAUUCCUAUAUCUAAUGCCCAUAAUAACUUAAUCUACAAACAAGGGUACAUAUUAGUUUUAAUUAAGUAACCCAAACCAAUUCUAUGGAACUCAUAGCAAUGCAUGUUUCAUGUAUAAGAAAUUUAAUUGCGGAGCUUGCGUAGUAGAGUUGUCCUCCAGUAGGCUACCUAACUGCACCGUAUGCUAUAUAUUCUAAUGUCAUAUGAUAGUGAUAGUGAUAGUGAUAGAGACCUAGACCUAUUCCUAGUUAGGACGCCAACCUCUUCAAAACUAGGCAUUAGCCAAGCCUACCAUCUUAAUUUGGUCCUAGUGUGGUCACUCAUUGCUCAUCUCUUCUUAGAUUUAUCAAUAUUUUGGAUUUGGGUUCUGUUAAAUAAAGUACCACUCUACUCCUUCCUAAGUACUGUAACGUCACAUGCUUAUGUAUGCAAAACCCCAAGAAUAUGAUUUUAUAUUUUGAUGGGGAAAAAUUGAAAAUUUGCCACCCAUAUUCCCUAACAAUCCAAAUAUCGUUGAUUCUUUGUUUGACUUUUGGAGAUGCCACCACUAUUCUGCUUUAGUCACUACUUCUCAGUCUCUCACUCUUCUUUUUCCCUUCAAAAUCUCAACUCCCUAACCUUUAGCCACCCACCACCACUUACUAGCUCCCUCCGUCCUGCAGCUGCCGGCCAACAUCACCAUAUCUUGCCUUUGAUUUUCCCACCACCUGCAGCCACCGUGAGUGAAUCAUUCUGUGGACUUUCAUCUUUCUCACCAACAUACCUCCAUCGUAAGUCACCAUGCAACCAUACAACUUUUGAUUAUUAAAUUCGUUUGCCAACCUAUGUUUGAUAGGUUGGUAGGGUGUUUGAUAACUUGUUUGAUGAUGAUCUUUUCUUUGGCCGUUUAUGUUGUGUUUUGAAGAUAUCAAAUGAAAUGGAUAGAUGGGUACAAAAUCAAUCUGUAGCUAGCACAACGUUAAUCUAAAAUCGCAUUAAUGUCCUUUUAAGUAAAUUCUUGAAUUCGAAGGAGAAUAUCGAGCGAGCUUUGUACCUGUUUAGAAAUUCAAUUCCGCUCAACUUUGAGUUUAUGAAAUUGGAAGACAGUGUUUUGCUUUGAUUUCAGUUUAAUUCAAAAUUGGGUUCUUGAAAAAUUGAUUGUAUGACUGAAUCAAUGGAGAUUGUUAUUAAUGGUUAGCAUGGCAUCCACGAGGAGUGGUUUGGUGUACAUAUUGUAACCAGACUUGGAAGAUGACCAAAUUGCGUCACAAUGCAAUCAACUUUCAUCACUGCUUACGUACACUUAACUUAGAGAACUAAAACACAAUAAUGAAAGUAAAGUAAACAAAUUAGAUGAUUAUUAUUAAGUGGGAAAAGAUGCUUCAACAUCCUCAUCAAAAACUGUUUAACUUGAAAGGACCCUUUUCUGCACAUAAAUAAAUAAUAUAUAUUCCCUUAUUAUAUGUACCAGACAAGGUUCCUGCUUAAUUCUUCUUAUAGCCUUUAUAUCUUUAUAUAAUACUGAUGUUGCUUUGCCCCCAAGAUUAUAAUAUUGCUAUGAGAUAUUGUAUUUAAAUAUAUGUAUGUUUAUUCGAAGAAAAGACAGUGAUCAAAAGGUUUCUGUCUUUUGAAGCAUGCAGCUGGUUCGAAAAUGGAGUAUGGUGUGUUAAUUAAUUAAGAAAAUGUCAAUAUAAACAUACUUUUUUUCAAAAAUAAAAAAAAGUUAGUCCCUUUUAAUUCGUCCAAAUUUAAGUGACAUAUCCUGAAAAUUAAGCAGGGAAAGAAAAAGGGUGGCAGUGCAGUCUCAUUCACAUCAUAUGAGUCAGAGGUGAAAGAUGGAUGGAAAGAGAUAGAGAUGAGAAAAACAAUGAUGAUUGCAAAAAACCAGAUUAUUCUCUGGCAUGGGCCACCAUUUAGCAUCAUUCCAAAACAGAAACAUCACUCUCUCUUUCACCCCCUCUCCUCCCUCUAAUAUUUGUUUAUCGUCCCCCACUCUUUGUUUUCCUUGUUUUCCAAAUGUUUCAUCAUUAUCAUGUUUUUCCUUUUUUCUUCAUUUGUUCAUUAGUAUCAUGUGUAUAAAGGUAGUGUUAUAUUUAGAUCCUUCUUUCAAGCUUUCAAAAUGAUACACACUCUUCUGCUCAUUCAUAUUAUAAUAGCCAUCCAUCAUCCAUGUGAAAUAAUUUUUUUUUUUUUUGCUUUGGCUUUGGAGUGUAUAUUCCAAUGAGAAAGUGAUCUACCAUGUGAGGCAAAAUCUAGGACAACCAAUCAACACAUGAUAAAGAAAUAAUCAUCAUUGACUUUUAGCCCGAUAUCUAUUGUAACCCACCUCUUAUUGCUUUAUUUUCUCAACCAGUUAACCAAUGUAAUUGCUAAACUAUCAUGUUACAAAGGUAAUCUAGGUAUAUUCAAUCCAUGAACAGUAGAGGUGUGGAUGAGUUCAAAUCACUCCAUAGUUAUGGAAUCCCAUUCACUUCUGUUUAGCCAUAUAAAUUUGGUUAAUGAUAGUUGUUAACAUUAUUCUUAUUCCAUAAUCACAUGACUCAUGAUGUUUGGGAUUCGACUAAAGCCGUAAUUACGUCCAAUUAUAUGCGCAUUCAUAUCUAUAAUAUGAUUUUGUAAUAAUGAUAUUGGCAGAGUCUGUAUAGCUCUCAUAGGCUAUGCUUGUUAUUAUCAUUAUUUUUAAUUAAAUGAAUAGCCUUACAAUAGUAUCUCUUUUGUCUAAAAACAAAGUUAGGCACAUAAUUACUUGGAGAUUUUAAUAGAUAUAGAAAUAGGGUGGACUUUUAGUUUCUGGAUUUUAUACUGAAAAAUCAAUUAUUGUAAUCUAAUGAAUGAUUCAUUAAACCUAAUAAUAAAAAUUAAAAACCAAAAGAGGAAUAAUAAAGCAAUUAUUAUUGAAAAUAAUAAUAAUCUAUAAAACACAUGAUUUCUUUUGACUUGUAGUUUAUGAUUGCGGCAGGUAAGGAUUCUUUUGAUCUUUUUUUUGCCACCGAUUGCUUCCCACCAAAUCCAUGUAGUGUCUACCUUAAUCCUCUUUAAAUUCUCCUAAUUAUCUCUAUAAUUUAACAUUAAAAUGGUUACUUAACAAAAGGAUAUCCAUCAUGGACCAAGAGACAUUCUUCGGGGGAAAAAAUAAUUAAAUUUAGAAUUUGUAUUUCAUACGCCUGAUAUUGUGCAUAAAAUUAAAUCAUUACAUAAUUUUUUUGUAGUAUUAAGUUUGUGUAAUAAAGGAAAGGUCCUAUUAAUUAUAAGAAAAAAGAGAAAUGAGAUUUAGGACCAUUAGGGUAGACAUUCAAAUUCCUACUUUUUUUAUUUUAUACACACUAGAAAUGGAGACCAGACAAUGGUACGAGGAAGAAAACCUUUGCUGCUUGCAGUUUCCUUGUCAUAGAGGUGCAUUUGCACUUGAUUUCCUCAACCCAACAUUAUUGACAACACAAUAGUAAAGAGAAUUAUUCAUUUAUAAUCUGAUCCUCAUAUUUUAUAAAAAUUAAAAAAUUAAUCCAAUUGAGAAAUUUAUAUACAAAACAUUAAUAAAAAUUAAAGAUCAAAAUUCCUACUAAUUUCUAGAAUUUCUUGUCAUAGAGCUGAGUUUCUCAACCCGAAAUGAUUGAGAACACAAUAAUAAUAAGUAUUCUAAACAAUACAUAAAUCAAAUGAAAAUGUUGUACUACUGCAAGUGUUUCAUUCCAAUAAAAGACAACCUAUGUAUAUAUGAGCAGCAUAAAGGAAGAAAUAUAUAUAUGUUGUUAAUUAAAUUUCUCAUUUAUUUCUAAAUGAACAAAAAGAAAAAUAAUAAAUUAAAAAGAAAAGAAGAGAAAACGAGAAAGAGAAAGAGAGAAUAUGAUUACUGAUGCAAAACCCUCUCCACAUUAAACUUUGUAUAGUCGUUCUGCAUGAUAAUUUUCUGCACAUUAAUAAAUAUAUAAGUUUGUAGUAAGGUAAUUAAGUUUCUACUCUGCGGGACAAAUCCAUGAAUCAACUGUACCUUCAGCUCUAGAUGAAACGUUCUCCAACCCUUUUUCAUGUGAAUUGUUAUGAUCACUAGUCCCAUAAUUCCAAUCUAAUGCCCUCAAAUGGUCUUGGUUCCCUUGGUUUAGUCCAACCCCAUCUCUCCAGUUUCCAUGGCGUGCCCCAUCUGGUGCGACAUCAUGACUGUGUAAGCCACCAAGGUUGGCAUUGACUUGACCAUGGCUUAACCCCAGUUCAUCAAGGGAAUCCAUGGCUGAACUUCCAUGGGACUUUACACCGAAGCCAGGCAAAUUAAGUGAUGGGUUAAGAGGAGAAGAGUCUAAGAAGGACUGGAAAGGUAGGACCGGGCUCUGGUUCUGCAAGUUUAACAUGUUCUGAUAGGUACUUGGGUUGAAAGCAUUGGUUGUAGCAAUGGUGGUAUUGGUACUUGUAUUGGUAAUAUUAGAAGCAUCAACUAAAGGGUUAUUUAGCAAUGAAGGAGAAGAUGAGGAGGAUACAAAUGGAGUUGGCUGAACUCUUUUAGCUGAAGGGCGUAAAGGGUAGAGAGAACCUAAAGGUUCCAAAUGACCGGACCGUAUACUUGAGCCAGAGCCAAAAAGGUCGAGCCUUCGAGAAUAUGAUGAUGAACCCGAAAAUGGUGGUGCAGGGAUUCCAGUGAAUUCUUGCACCAUUGCUCGAAAAUUCGUUGUGUCGGUGGUGAGAACUGUAGUGGGUGCUCUCCUUGAUGCCCUUGUUCGCUUCUUGGGAUUCUUUGCAACGCUUGUCGGCUGAUCAGGUUUCGAUGAUCGUACACCGUUGUUGCCAUGAGCUGAUGAGCUUGGGAACGAGCCACGGUUGAGCUCUUGUGUCUGUGAAACCAGCAUAGACUGGUUCGAUGAAGAAGAUCCCGGUAGGGUACCAAGGUCAGUGCAGUUGGGGUCGGAUCUUAAACUUCCUCGGGGCCUUAUCCCAUCAAGGUUUAACAAUUGAGAUUGAGAGAAAGGGUUGAGAUAAUUAGGUGAAGGAUCAAAGAAAGUGGGCGAUGGGUGAUGUUGGUGGUGCGAGCCAAGUGAUGGAUGUGGAUUUGAUAAGGCACUAAAAUGGCCUGAAGUGUUCAAAAAAGCUGGGACUGACUCAGGCCGUGAGUCAUAUUCUUCAUCAUCACCACUUGAAGAUUGUAAACUACUACUAUUACCAGAAUCCAUAGCAAAAGCUUUCAAAAAGUAUAAUGAAAACCCUGCAAAGGGUUGAAGAGAAUAGCUGUCGUUGAUAGUUCCACAGUUCCAAAUAACAGAAACAAAGCUAUGAUCUAACCAUUUAGCUAAAAAAUAGCAAUUAUGAAACACUGCAAAAAGGAAAAGACCCAAGGAAAGGAAGGAAAUUAAAAAAAGAUAUAUACAUCCUUCUAAAAAGUUACCAUAUCUUUAAAAGUUAAAAGCUUCCUUUGAUAUCGAUCGAUCCUCUUCGAAAACUACUUUCUAUGAAAAAAGAAAGUUCUUCAUCUUGCUCGCACCUCUUCUCCUAUAUGAUCUGAAUUAGGGUUUUUGUUUUUGGAAGAGGAAAAGAGAGAAAGGAAAAGAAAAGAAAGGGUUAUUUUAAGCUUUUCUUUUAGCUCUAAAAAGGAGGAAGAAAGAGAAGAAAGGGGGGGGGGAGGCUAUCUCUUAUGAUCUAACAAGUGUUUCCACUAAGAAGAUCCUCUCUAGAGAGUGCGGGGUGGGACAGCCAUUGGAGUAGAGAAAAGUGUAGUUGCCGGUGGCUGGCGACGGGUCAAACUCAAAGUGAAUGAGAAAGAGAGAGGUUGGCUUAACAUGAUAUGAAUGUGAAAGCAAGGAAAACGAUAUCUAAGAUUAUUUUAAUUUCCUGUAAAUUUCUAAUAUAAUAAUCCCAUUAGGUUGUGAUUAAAUUUAGAAUUUUGAGGGUUUAAUUAAUUAAAGAGAAUAUGAAAAAGGAAAAGGAAAAAUGUAGAUGUGUAUAUGAAGAGAACAAAAAACAUUACUUCCACCGUAAGGGAUCACUAUUAAAAAAUUCCCACUAAUGUUCACAUUUCAAAUUAUUAAUUUUGAAACUCCUUUUCCUUCUAAAUUGUUUUUUUCUUUUUAUCAAUCAUUAUAUACUUUUUUUCUUUAUAAACUAAAAUUCUAACCUUCUAGAAUUCAGAUUUUUUUUUUACUUAUUUUCUUCUGAAAUUGAUAAUUUUUUUAAUUUUUUAAAUUAUUGUAUUUGCUUGGUGAAAUUAUAAUAUUAAGAAAUUAAAGUUGAGCUCUCAUGAAUUUGCUAGUUUGGUGUACGGAAGAUAGGGUUGGUAAUGUAAUAUAUAUAUACUACAAUGGGCAACACUUAUAGAUAAUUUUUUUUGUAUGAUUUUUUUUAUGUAUUAUCAAACCUAGGAUUUGACCAAUUCAUAUAAUUAAGAAUCAAAAUCCAAGCCAUAAUUGACCAAAAUCAUAUCAUCUUUUACCCAUUUUCAUAAUCUAAGAUUGGGUUUGAAGAACAAGUUAAUAAUCUUUGAUUUUCCCCCACUCUCAUUUUUUUAUGCUUUAUUAUUAAUAUAAAAAAUAAGUUUUAGAAAUGAUUUGAUGGGUAGGAUUAGAUUAAUUAUAGAAAUGAUAUUUAAUAAGGUAGGGUAAUGGGGAUUGGAUUAUGGGAUAUAACAUAUCUUUGGUGAAUGUCAUGUCUUUGAUGCUGAACUGUGGGAGAUUCUCAAUGGGUUCUCAUUUAUCCAAGAUAAAAGUUUUGAGGGUGUCAUGAUACAAGUAGAUAGCUUGGGGUGGUUAAGAUUAUUUAAGAAUCUUUAUUGAUUGAUUCAAACUCUAACCUUAUUAGAAGAAUUCAUCAAAUUCUAGCGAAGGUUGAACAUUAGGGCAUGGAACACAUUCCCCGGAGUGAAAUGAAAUUGCAUGGCUAAAUUGACUUUUGGUACAAGUUAAAACUUGGCAGAUUUUGAAGAAAUCCUAAGGGAGGCGCUACCAAUCUCCUCUAUUAAUAAGGCUAGUGUUAGCCUAACUCAAAAGCUCACUAUGUAAUUAGUUUGUAUUUAGAUUUCUUCUCACCAAAAAAAAUAAAAAUAAAAAAACAAUUAAAUUGAGAACCGACAUAUGAUAGCUCUCGGAUCUAAAAUCUCAACAUCAUCAUUCACGACUCAUUCCCUUCAAAAGAAAAAUUUUCUUCUUCUUCCUUACAUAUUUAGGGUAAACUAUAUCCAAUAUUAGUAGAUUAUUAGUAAAUUUAUAUUUUAAUCAUAUAAUUUCAAAAAGUUACAAAAUAAUUACUAAACUAUUUAAAAGUUUUCAUUUAAGUCACCAAUUUUUGGCGGUUGACCGAUCUGAAACUUUCAAUUCCAUGUAAUAUCCACAUAUUAUAUAAAAACUAUUUUGUAUCUUUAAUUAAUAUUUCUCUCCUCUCUCUUUUUUUUUUCUACUUAUUAAACUCAAAAUAUUGAAACCUAAAUUUGUUUCUCAGUUUAUUUCUUCUCCCUUUCUCACACACUGAACCAGAGAAGCAAAGGGUUUGGCUACCCUCUUCUUCAAAGCCCACCUUUGUCUAUGGUCAACACUUCACGCUGGCGUUUACCUUUAUUUUUGCCUGAAAGAAGAAAUUUUCCACAAUCCCUAAGUUGAUUGCAUUCAUCAAAGGAUAAAAUUCCCCCCAAAUCCAAAAUAAAGUACUAAAUUGAACUCAAGGACAUUCCUAAAAAAAUACCUAAAACGUUGUAAUUUAGGUUAGAUUAAUUCAUCAAAGUAUUAAAAACUGCACCUAAAAUGGUUUUUAGGGAAAAAUGGAAAUUACGCGAUUAAUAUAUAUUAUAUUAUAUAUGAUAAAACAGUGAUUUAACAAUCACAUUAGUUGUCAAUUACAGAUUUAAAACCUUAACGAUUUAAAUAAAAACAUUAAAAUAAUUUAAUGACUAUUUUGUAAUUUUUUAAAAUUGAGUGAUCAAAAAAAUAUAUUUAUUAAUUUAGGUAUAAUUUUCCUUUAUAAUUAUUAAGCGUUAUCAUCACAUAUAUUACCCAUCAAGUUUAAAUAUUUCAGAAUAUAUUUAACCAUGCUUAUAAUUUAUUAUCUUUCUAAAGUUCUCCGCCUUAGAUCCAUUAGUUAAAUUUAGGCUUAUUAGUAAAAUAAGUCCUCAAAUUUUUUUAAAAAAUUUCAAUUAAACCCUUUUGAACUUUUUACUCUCAAUUGGAUGCAAAAAGUUUAGAGGGACUCAAUUGCUUUUUUUUUUUUUUAAUUCUAUCAGCCUUAAACCAAUACAAAACACAAAGAGAUGAAAAACUUGUAUAUAACACAUAAAAAAUAAAAAAUCAAUAGACAGGAUGAAACAAAAUGUUACUAAAAUCUGACUCCAACAAAAUGUUAAAAGUGAUUUAAUUGAAAUUUUACAAUGUCAAAAGAAACAUGAAUACCCAUGAUUAUAUUUCCUUCUACUUUCAAUUAGCAUUAAUAAUGGGAGCCUAAUAUUUGGUGAACACUUUAAUUAGGCCAACUACAUACAAAGUUUGCUAAGGACUACUUUUGGCAACUCAACUAGUUGAUUCUAAAUUAGUGCAAUUAUUUUACCAAGUAGGAUCUAAUAUCAACUCUUUUUUAUAUCCUUAAUAUUAUAUCUUUUGUAUACGAAACGUUUUUGCUUCCAUUGUCGUUUGUAUUCUUGUUUUUUUUCUUUGGUGAAAAGAAAAUAUGAAUUACAUCAACUACAUAAAACAAACAUUGUCUUUUAUCUUCUUGUAAUAAAUCUAUUAUUUCCUUAGGAGCCUCGUUAAGGACUUGUAAACUUGAUUUCCAGCUCAAGCUAAGUUUAGCUAGACGAUCCGCUGCCUAGUUCCGAUUUCUUAGAAUAUGCUUAAUCCUCCACAUCCCUUCUAACCUCAUGAUGCGCUGAGUCAUUCUAAGCAUAGUAAUCCCUGAAUCUUCUAAAUUCAAAUCAUUCAAGAUUUGGGCAACUUCAAGGUUAUUAGUCAGUAUAAUGGCCCGUCUGUAACCCUUAUUUAGCAAAAUAAGGAUCCCACCUAGGAUGCUGCAGACUUCAGCCUCAAACGGAGAGCAUACACCUAAGAAGCGAGUGAAUCCCACUAUCCAAUUUCCAUCAUGAUCUCGAACCACACCUCCUAUUGCAGCGUAUCCAGAAUAUCUGACCACAGCCCCACCAGUGGAUAAAUGACCCAUAAUUACUACGUUAGUAUUCUUUAAGCAAAAGGUUUGCCACAUAAUUACUUGACUAGAAUUUUUUGGUGAAAAUAAUUUAUAUAUAAAUUUUAUAUAUUUGAAAUAUAUAUAUAUAUAUAUAUAUAUAUAUUUACAUUUAGCUUAAUGGUAUUAUAAACCCUUGAAUUUUUCAAAAAACAAAAAUCAAUUCAGUCCCUUUAAUUUUUUUUGCACCUAAUUGAACCCUUGAACUAAUAAAAUUGGUCAAAUUAGUCCUUUUAUUGAUGUUGGUCAUUAGUAUUUAAUGGCAUCGCUGAUGUGGCGGUUAGAAAAAAAUAAAAAAUUAAAAAUAUUUUAAAAAUAAGUAUACAAUGAAUAUGGAUAAAUGAUUGUCCAAGCUCAUUUUGUCUAGGUACAUUAUGGAAUUAUAAAAAAAUAUAAAAAAAUAAAAAUUAUAAAAAUUAUUAUAAAUUAAUUAAAAAUUAUAAAAAAUUAUAAAAUGAUUUACUAUAUUUUAAAUUACAAAACAAAAUCAACAACUUAUAUCAUAAAAUCAAUAUUAACAAUUUUUUUGUUAAUAGUUUUUCCAUCAUUUUUCAAUCUGUGCAAGUUAUAUUAGUAAAAAAAUAAAUUAUUUUUAUGGUUUUUAAUAAAUUGUUAUUUUUAUCCAUGUUCAUUAUGCAUUUAUUUAAAAUUUGUUCAUUUAUUUUUUUCUUACCUGACAUUGCCACAUUAGCAUGAAUUGCUGAUGUGGUGUCUAUUAACGCCCACAUCAACUUUAUCAUUAAAUAGUAACGAUCAACAUUAGUCAAAGGGUCUAUUUGGCUAAUUCUGUUAGUUUAAGGGGCUCAAUUGGAUGCAAAGAGUUUGGAGGGGCUUAAUUGAUGUUUCUUUGAAAAAGUUCAAGAUCUUAUUUUACCAAUAAGCUUUUUUAUGUUUUAAAAAGUAAUAAAAUGGAUAAUUCUUUUAGUGAGAAGUUAUUUGCAUAAGCAAUUUUGUUGAGGAAAAAGAAGAAGAUGACGAUUCAUUCGAUGGUGAAAUGCUAGGAGCCACUAGAUAGAGAGGUUGAACAAGACAAGGGGAUAAAUUGAAGAGGUUAAAAAAGACCCCCUUAAGGUCAAUAAGGCUAUUUAUAAAUGAGGUUGAUGAUUAUUCUAUUUUUCAUUAGGUUUUGACAUGUGUUCACAUUGAUUUUGUUGUGGUUAACCUCUUAAAGAACAUGGUUAUGGGUAUUUAUAGGCAAUUUGAUUAUGAUUAGAUUGAUGCGAACUUGAUGAGGCCCUACAUGUGCUCCUUGCAAGCAAGGAUGAAGUUAAACAAAUAUCAUUUUAAGGGGACCAGAAAUGAAUAAAAAAUUUAGGGAGUCAAAGUGUAAUUUUCCAUGACCCUCUUUCCGCACUCCAUGUGAGGCAGGAGUUUUGGUAAAGUAGGUUGAAAGUAUUCUAUGUGUUAAACAUGCAUGUGCCAGAGAGAACCAUAGUUGGUGAGGUGCCACUCGUAGGUGAUGUUGCAAUUGACGAGUAGAAGUGCUCAUGGGUCAAAUUGGGCUUAAGUAUGAUAUUAAUAUGUUCCAUAUUUGUUCAAACUCGGUUUGAAAUAUGGGCUUAAAAUUUUGCCCAAGCUUGCCCAUAUUUGUAAAUGGCUAACUCAAGCCCAUAUAAGGCCCACCAUUUUUUUUUUCUAAAUUUUAAAAAAUAUAUUUAUAUUAUUUUUAAUUUAAUAUUAAUAAUUAUAUAUAUUUUCUUUAUUAAAAUUUUAUAUAUAGUCAUCUUAACCUUUUUAAUGGUUUCAUUAUAGUAUUAUUAUAUAUUAAUAUAGAUUUGAUUUUUAUGUGUUAUAAAUUACAUAAUAUAAAAUAUUAUAAACUUAAAAAAAUUGCCAAGUUGGCUUUUUAUGUUCAAGAUCAAGUCCAACCCAUAUUUUAAAUAGGCUUAAUUUUUUUGUCCAAGCCUAUUUUUUGAGCCUAAUACUUUUGCCCAAAUAUUUCCAAAUUUUGAGUGAGCCUUUGAGAUUGGGUGGGUAGCUAGCCCUUGAAUAGAUUUAUUGGCGAGGUGAAGGUGGUGAAGCCAAGGAAGUCAAUUCCGUAUGUACCAACUAGAAAAAUGAACCAGAAAAACCAAUUUUAAUUUCCAUUUAGGUGUGAAUUUUGAUCGAAAUCAGCUGUAGCAAUGCAUUUCGAUUUGUUUUGGUCGUUACUUUAAUAUUUUAAAUUGAUUUUACAUAUUUUGUUUUAUAUAUUUUAUUUUUAUAAAUAAUUUUACAAAUAAUAAUUUAAUUAAGUUAUUGAUAGUAAUUAAUAACUUUAAAUAUUAAUAUUUAUAUAUAUGAAAAUACUUAAAAAUAUUUUAAACUCGAAAUGAUACAUCAAAACACACCAAUACAUAUAGUAUAUAUUCCAGUAUCAUAAUAAAAAUGAUAUAUUUAUCUUAGGUGAAGCUCAUCUCCAAAAGUUAUGCAUGACAAAUUUAAUUAAAGAAUUUUAAGUGGUAAUUUUGAGAGUAGUAGAUAAAUCUUAAAUCUUUUGAGAAGUAAAGAAUUUUUUAAAUAAGAAGGUUAUUAGUGGAAAGAAGUGUAAAACAUAAUAUAAAAAAUUAUGAUGACAAUGCUUUCCCUUGUUUUAGUGUUUUCUAGCUCAUUAUUAUUUACUUUUACUUAAUUAAAAAUAUUAAAUAGUUUAGGAAUAUAAAUGUUGAACUAAGAUAAUUUCAUAAAUACAAAAUAAAAUUGUGAAAUUCCCUAUAAAAGGAAGGUCUUUGUCAAAUAGUACAAAUUUUUAAAAGCAAUUGGCAUGCCCUACCCAAUUAAAUCCCAUGCUAACCCUAAACCUAAACCUAAAGGGAUCCCGACUGUCUCACGUCUUCUAUUUUCAUUGGUACACGCAAAUAUUAAAUUUUUGGUCUUCACCAUUUUAUUGGUACACACACACACAUCCAUCACAGCCUUGAGCCUUUGCUGGGAGACAAGUACUUUUACAUUUUUUAUAAUAUUUGUAGUCUUAAUCUUCUUAAAUAUUCUAAUCAAUUCUCCCUCGUAGUUGUUUCUUUUUGAACUUCUAUUAAAAAAAUAAUCGAAGUUUAAGGGUUAACAUGUAUCAACUUCACAAUGGAUUUGCAAAUGCUACAAUAUUUAAUAGCUUCAAUCCAGCUCACCACAUUACUCUAUCCGUUUCGAUAAUUAGAUUGUAAGAAUCAUACCAUUUUGAGGCAGUAAAAAUGAUGACGGCUUCCUUCACUGCCAGCAACUCAGUAACAUUCGAGGCCACAGUCAAUGUGUGUAGAAAAGACCAACACCACCUUCCCUUCUCUUUUCUUAGCAAUCCACCAAUUUCCACUCUGUUAUUGCUACUCGAAAAAGAUCCAUCCACAUUAAACUUUAAAUAACGGCUGGAGGUGUUUCCACAUGACGGUAGUUGUGUUUGUGCCUUUUUCUUACAUAGAGAAUCAGUUCAGCAGUUGAUACUUCUUCUAAUUCGACUGCGCCAACAGUGAUUUCUUACAACACCCUCUCCACUUAUCCUUCACUUACUACUCUUCGAUUUGUGGGUCAAAUUAAGGGUCACUCAGUUCAAGUGCUUUUAAACGGGGGUAACACUCAAUAAUUUUAUUCAGAGUCGUGUAGCUUCUCAUUUGGGUUUGGCUGUUAAUCGAUUGCCUACUUUCCCAGUUUUAGUGGGGGGCGGUGACAAUAUUCCAAGUGAGGUUAAGAUAGCUGACUUUCCGUUAACAAUUCAGGGUACUAACAUUUCAACUGAUUUCUACGUGUUGCCCUUGCAUGGAUCUGAUGUAGUUUUGGGUGUGGCAUGGUUGGCCAUGUCGGGGCCAAUAAUCACCAACUAUGCCGAAUCGACUUUUCAGUUCAACCAUAGGGGAAGAACGAUUUGUUGACAGGGUAUUGGUGCAAGAGGUCCUCAGCAGGUUCAAUUGCCUGCUUUCCGAAGGUUAUGUGAUUAACGUAGUGGCUGAAUUUUUCAGCUUAGAAAUUGAACUUGAAUCAGCCAUGCUCCACUCAAGUCCAGCUACUCUUUUAGUUUCUCUGCUUUAACAGUUUCGAGAUGUGUUCACCAAGCCACCUGGGUUGCCACCGUCAAGGUCGACUGAUUAUGCUAUUCAUUUAUCAUCGGGAGCAAAUCCAAUUAACGUACGGCCCUAUUGCUACUAGUUUGAUCAUCGAUAUAAAUAUAAUUUCAGCGCUCUUUAAUAAAUUAGUUAUAGAUGUUUAAAAAGUAAUUACCUUAUCGAUAACUUCUAAAAUUAUAUGUUUUACAAAUCAAUCCUUAUUUUAAAUAAUUUAUUUAACCACUCUUUAUUUCUAUUCUAUAAUUCAUUUAACAAAUAAUUACUAACUCAAUUUCACAAAUCAAAUCAUCAUAAAUUCAAUUUAACAAUAUUUCACCUAUAGUUUCUCAAAUUUAAGCGUAUAAUUCAAUUUCACCUAAUUUUCACCAUUUAUCAAUUAUCAAUCUAUUAUUUAUCAUAACAUAAUAACCCCCAUGUCAUCAUUCUUGAUUUCAUAACCUUUAUUUUUUUUAACAUUAAUCUCAUUUUAGUUAUUAUUAUGUCUGCUUUUUUUAUAUAAUGUCUAAAAUUACCUAUAAUCCCUUUCCAAUUAGGAAGAUAAUGAGAUUCGGUGCAUUUAAACCCACGUUCUCUUGCACUUGACAACAAUAUCGAUAUCAAUCGAAAUAAUGAUUUCGAUUCAUCACUUAUUCAAUAGUUCUCUUGUAUUUCCUUUCUAAUUUUCAACUUAUCUCUAUUAUUCAAUCAUCAUUCUCAUUCAUCACUUAUUCAAUAUUUCUAUACACAUAAUACACGAACCUUCUUAACAAAUAUAUAUAACUCAAUAUUACUUUUACAUGAAUAAAAAUUCCUAUGUAUAAAAUAAUUCAAUAAUAAUUAAAUCUAUUACCUAAUUCAUCCUUUGCCAUUAACUUUCUCCUAUCCAUAAAAAUGUUUCUCUUUUCCUCGUCCAGAAUCAUUUGCUUUUUCACUAUUGCUUUGCUCAGGAGCAGUGCUGACGUUUGGGGUAGCUGCUUUCCUCGUCCUCUCUCCUACUAACCUUUUAUUCUUUUUUCUUUUCUCUUCAUACUUUCUCCCCUUUUAGUUUAUUGACUUAUUUUAUGAAUAUCUUUACUAUCUUCGCGGGUUGUGAUGAACGACAAUACUUGUCACCAUUAAGCCUCCACCGACCACCAAUAAUUUCUCUUAAAAAAUGGAUUAUCGAUAAAUAAUCAAAUGAUGACUCUUCAUCAACUUUUUAAUUUAUUUCUAUUUUGAAAAUAUUUCGAAAUAAUAAAUGAUUUCAAGGGUCCAAUCAAUUUAGAAUUUUAGACCCGUGUUGUCUUAAGGGUUUUUUGUGUUUUUUUUUGUUUUCCCUAUGAUUGAAUAAGUCUUCCCUUACGGAAGUUUUUGUCUUGUCUUGUACAAUUUUUUUUCUUGCUUAUGCAUGUAAUUUUGCUUUUGCAAGCGUUUUUAUAGAUGCUUGAUCGCCAUCUUUCUAAUUUGGUGGAUGCUCAAUUCUUUUGUUAAUUUUGCUCGUCACUUUGGACCAUCCGAGGUUGGUUCCCUUAUUGUGAUAAGUCCUUGCAAUCGGCCUAGAUAUGUUGUACUUGAGUUGUGACUAAUCCAGUUGCCAAUGUGCUAUGUUCUAUUAUUACUGAGGCCAAAGCCUUUGUCAUGUUGGUGGUACUUGUCCUUCACCACUGAUGAUAAGUGUUUUUUUGUUUCUUUCUUUUCCCCCGAUUGUAUGAUCUAGGCUUUUUUAUUUAAAUAACCCAAUGAUGGGUGUGAGUCCACCAAUAUAAACCUACGCCUAGUUUGCAAUUUGAGCAUUAUAGGGAGUAGGGUCGAUCCCUCAGAGACUGGGUUUACUUCAAAUUGUUGCUCUCUUGACUAGAUUUAUGUCGGGACAGUUGUCGUGCCCAAGAUAUUAGGGGGAGAAUAAAAUCGAAAACCUGGAACCUGAAAUAAAUAAAUAAAACGUGUAAAAAGUAAAAGUUGAAAAUGAAAUAAUAAAAUGCAGUUAAAUAAGUUUGAAGAAAAAUUAAUUAGAAUAAGCUCGGCUUUAGGUACAGAUUUUUCCUCGUCUUUGAACCGAUCCUCGAAAUUAGAUGAACUCCUCUUUUCCAAUAAGCUAGUUAUAGCUAUCAAGGACGCCUCGGACACCAACUCUUCCUUGUGUAAAUUAGUUAUGGAACGUCCAAUAACUAACCCUUACCGAUCGAACAACCACGAAACGUUCGUGAUUUAGAACUCUGGCAGCUUUGCGUUCUAGAAGAGCCUAGCUCGAACCAAUACCCUCAACUGCGUGAGACAUUUAAAUCCGGUUACUACUUCCCUUGACGGAACCAAACAACAAUCUCCACUUGGCACGCCAAUGUGUUCACAAAAAACCAAUUAGAAACGCUCCUUUUGGAAUUCCAACUGUACGCCUAACCACACUAAAUCAAACGACGUCUUUUUUGACUUAGUGUUGAUCUGAAUUUGUGAGUUGACAAAAUCAUACUCUUAAUCCGGAGAAGUAAUAAAUACUGGAACUUUAGGAGUUAAAUUGUUCGGGUUCGUAACUCACGGGUUUUGACGAGACUAAUUCCCGCCUAAAGCUGAAAAUGGGUUUAGUUGGCUAAGGUUUGGGGCAUGUUGGUAUUGGAAUAAUUAAAUAAGGUAAAAUGAGUGAAAGGAAUGGGAAGCGUGAUUUAAUUUGGGGGGGCUAAAAUUUUGGUGGUGAAAUAAAGUAAUAAAGUGAAUUAGCUACUGGAGAUGGAAAGAAAGUUUGAAAAGGAAAUUGAAAAUGGUUUAAGUGGUAACAAGCUGGAAAAUUAGGAAUUGAAAGUAAAGGAAACUAAAUACAACAAAUGAAUUUGUGAGAAAGGAGAGAAUGUAUUGAAAGAUGAAUGCUUGAUAUUUCAAUUGAUGAUUAAAAUGAACAAUGUAGCUUCUAUUUAUACUAGUGGCAUUGCUAAAUUAAGAGCCAACUAGUAUAGAAAAUCAAGGAAAAUAUUCCAUAAUAUAAAAAAUAUCUCAAAAUAAUCUCCCACUAAGUCAACAAUUUCAGCUAAUUAUUCUUGGAUAAAUUCUGCUUUGGCCCUUCCUUCUUUGCUUCUAUUUAACCCCAAAUUGCAUUCCUACACAAAAUUCAAUAAAUAUGGCAAAAUUAGUGGUGCAUUCUCAUAAAUUAAUCAAUUUAAUUACAUAAAAUAUGUAACUUUAGCAUUUAAUCACCCAAAUAAUUUAAUUAAGUACCAAAAUGAACCACCUUUUUAAUUAAACACUAAAAUGACCUGAAAUCUACAGUAAAAGUUGGUGGAGCUAAAUUCUAUGGCGCCACCAACUUGCCACGUCAGCAAGGAGUAUUAAAAAAUUAAUUUUUUGGUGGAGCCAUGUAAAAUGGCGCCACCUACAUAAAUACUAUAGAUAUACUGCAAGUUUUGGAAAAAUGAAGGACUUCAAAACAAUUUUCCAUUUUCUGGUGGAGCCAACUUAAAUGGCGCUACUAGAUCAGACCUGUCACCCUUCUUUUAUUUUUUUAUUUUUUACUUUUUUAUUAACUUUUGUCUCUUUCUUUAAAUUUUUUCUUUUUUUAAGUUUUUAUUAUUUUUUAUUUUAUUUUGUUUAUUUAUUUAUUUAUUUUAUUUUUAUUAAUUUUAAAAAUUUGUAAAUGUAUAUUUGAAAUGUUUUAUAAUAUAUUUUUAAAUAUUAAUAUAUAUUUUAAUAAUAUAAAAUAUUUAAAUAUUUUAAAGAUAUGACCUUUCAAAUUUAUUAUUAGUUUUUAAUAUUUUUAAUAUUAUUUAAUUUGUUUUAUAAUAUUUUAAAUUAUUAUUUUUAAAGAUUUUGGCUUUUUAAUAAAAAAUAACCCAGAAAAUUUAAUUAAUUAUCGAAAUGACCCAUUUUUUUAAUUUGGCUCUACCAACUUUUACUGUAAAUUUCAGGUCACUUUUGUGUUUAAUUAAAAAAUGAGUUAUUUUGAUAAUGAAUUAAAUUUUGUGUUAUUUUAAUAAAAAAGCCAAGAUAUUCAAACCAUUUUUUAAAUUCUAUUUAAAAGUUAAAAAAUAAUAUUUUAUUUAAAAAAGUGAUGUUUGAAUUAAUUAAAAAUAAAAAUAUUUGUUAAAAAUAAAUUUAUUUAAAAAUAUAUAUUAAAAAGUAAAAAUUUAAAUUUAAAUUAAAAGUUAAAAAUAUAUAUUAUAAGAUCACAUCAUGCCAGUAAAAAUAUUAAAUAUUAAAUAUUAAAUAUUAAAUAUUAAAUAUUAUAUAAAAAAUAUUAAAUAAUUAAAUAAAAAAAUCAAUCUUAUAUAAGGGGGUUUGGUCCCCCUUCAGAAGAAAGAAAAGAGAGAGAAAAAAGUUAAGUUAGUUAAAAUUUUUAUAUUUUAUAGUUAUUGUAAUAUAAUAAUUAUUUAUAUUGUAUUUAUGUGUUUUUUAUAUUAUGCAGAUAUCAAAAUGUCUUUUAGAGAUACGGAUCACACUUCAUCGAGGAUCGACGAAACAGUAAAAUUAAUAAUGAAUUAAAUAAAAAAAUCGUUUUAGUUUCUGUUUCUUUCUUGCUAAGCACUACUUUGCUCAACUUGUUUUGAUUCAUGAAUGUGAUCUCUAUUUAGUUAUUAUUAUUCAUUUUUAACUAUUUUCUUGCAUGAAAUUAAUCUGUAUGUGUUGGUUAUAAUUUUUUAAUUUUAGUACACAUUUAUAAAUUUAUAUAUUAAUUUUUUAAUUUUAGUACACAUUCAUAAAUUUAUGUACUUAAUAUAUAUUUUUAAUAGAUAAAGACAAAAAAGCAUUUUCUUAAUAGAUUUAAAAUGUUUAAAAACUUAGAGAAAUUAAAUAUAUUAAAAAAAUGUUAUGUAUAGCCAAUUUUAAAAUUUUAAUAUAUUUAAUAUAUUUUUAAAAAAUUAAAUAUAUUAAAAAAUAUUAAGUAUAACUAAUAUUAAAAUUAUAAUAUAUUCAAUAUAUUUUUUAAAAAUAUAUUUUAAAAUGUUAAUAUAUUUAGUAUAUUUUUUAAUAGGAAAAGAGAAAAAUGAUUUUUUAAUAUAUUUAAAAUUUAAAAAAUAUAUAUUAUAAAAUAUUUCAAAAAUACAUUUUAAGUUUUUUAAAAUUAAUAAUUAAAAAUAAAAUAAAAUAAAAAUAAAUAAAUAAAGAUAAAGACAAAAAUAAAAAAAAAAGUCAGAGAACUGACAAAAGUUAAAAAAAAAGGAAAAAAAAACAAAUUUUAAAAAAUAAAAAUAAAAGCAGGGUGUUCUGGUGGUGCCAUUUAAAUUGGCUCCACCAGAAAUUGGAAAAUUGUUUUUAAAGUCUCUCAUUUUUUCAAAAUUUUUUAAAUUAUGAUUUUUUAAUUAUUUUUAAAGAUAUUUAAACCUUUUUAAAAUAAUUUUUAUUAAAAAAUUUAUUUAAAAAUUUAAAUGUUUAAAUAUUAUUAAAAAUAUAUUUAAUAUUUAAAAAUAAAAAAUAAUUUCAAAAAUAUAUAUUUAAAAUUUAAAAAUAUAUAUUUGAAAUUAUUUUAUUUUGUUUAAAAAUAUAUUUUUAAAAAUAUAUUUAAAAUUUAAAAUUUAGAAAAUUAAUUUCAAAAAUAUAUUUUUAAAAUUUAUAAGACAUAAUUUAAAAAAUAAUGUUUAAAAUUUAAAAAUAAUUUAAAAAUAAUAUAUAUUAUAAAACAUUUCAAAUAUACAUUUCAAAAUUUUUUUUAAAUUAAUAACAAAAAAAUAAAUAACAUAAAUAAACAAAAUAAAAUAAGAAAAAUAUAAAACUUAAAAAGAGAAAAAAAUUAAAGAAAAAGACAAAAGUUAAUAAAAAAGCAAAAAAAAAAAGUAAAAGAAGGGUGUCAGGUCAGGUCUGGUGGCACCAUUUAAGUUGGCUCCACCAGAAAAUAGAAAAUUAUUUUGAAGUCCCCCAUUUUUCUAAAACUUGCAGUAUUUUCAUGGUUUUUAUACAGGUGGCGCCAUUUUAUAUGGCUCCACCAAAAAAAUAUUUUUUUAAUGCUCCCUGCUGACAUGGCAAGAUGGUAGUGCCGUAUAAUUUGGUUCCACCAACUUUUACUGUAGAUUUCAAGUCAUUUUGGUGUUUAAUUAAAAAGGUGGGUCAUUUUGGUACUUAAAUAAAUUACUUGGGUUAUUUAAAUAAAAAAGCCUAUGAUCUACAAUGAAUGAAUUAUUUUUUUGAAGAAAAUACUAUUAUUAAUAAGAACCAUGAACAAUAAUAAUAUAAAGACAUGACAUAUAGUACAAACUAAUGCACAAAUGUCAUGUCUGCAAAAUAAUCUCAGAAAAAAGAGAAGGACAAAUUGAAUCACUGAAAUUUGCAUUCUUACCUCGCCAUCAUUAAGUCAACCUAACGAUGAAUGUCAAUCAACCAAGAAAAACUCUCGAAAGCCCUAAGAGACCCACCCAUCAGUGAUGCACAAAAGGUCAAGUCUCAGAUGGUCUAUCCAUCUCAUUAUCUCGAAUCUAUCACCACCACUGUGAUCUAUCAUAAUAGAGCAUUUGGAGAACAGUUCCUAAUAGAUAUGGUGGCACCAUUAUAUUGCCAAAUCUCGCAUAUAUGCUAGAACAUGAUUAAAAUUUAAAAUAAAAUAAAUUUGCAUUUACUUUCAAAGAAAACAGACUGAACAAAACAAAAAUCAUGAAAAAUGUGGACAAUCAUGAAACUGUGGACAAAAUCACGAUAAUAUUGAUUGAAAUUGAAACAAAAUAGAACUAUGAAGAAAAGAAAAUAUUAAAGAAACCACAAUCAACAACUAGUUUGAAGGUCGACACCACAAGCAACGAAACAAAAAAUUAGUUUGAAAAAAUUGAAUUUUGUAUAAAAAGAAAAGAGAGAUGAGGUAAAAGAAGGAAUUAAAUUUUCCUUCCACUUCAUCUUCCAUAGAAAUCAGGUAGAAAAAUGUUGUUGAAUUAUUUUUAUGCAUCUAACAUUAUUUUCAUGAAGUUUCUCCAUUUUAUUAAGUAAAAUUGAGGAGAGAAUAUGUAAAAGCAUCUCCUUCUCUCCCACGUUUCUUCUAUCUAUAAAAGAGAAAGAGGAUCUCCUUAAUUUCUCUAGAUUUUUCUUUAAUUUACAUAUAUUAUCUUUUUAUUUUAUUUAAUUGUUUAUUAAAUCAAUGACCCAGAUUUAAUCUUGUUUCUUUAAUCCAAUUGUCUAUAUUCAUUUCAUCAAAAUAUUUUCUUUUUUAAAUUAAAAUUUUAAAAUAAUUUUUGAUAAAGAAAUUAUCAAAAUAUCUUUUAAAAUAUAUUUCCUCUACACAAGAGAGGCAUACUUCAAUUAGUUAAGAUAAUUAGGGUGAGUGAAAUUCAAUUCAUUUCAAAUAAUAAUAAUAAUAAUAAUAACAAUAAUAAUAAUUUAACUUUCUGAUUGUAAUCAAGUUAAAUUUUACAUUUUGAAUAUCUUAAAUAAUUAGAAUAAUUUAAAGAAUAAAUUAAUCUAAAUAUCUCUUGGAUUCCUGUCAAUUUAAAAAAUUGAGCAAAUUGACCACUUAAAAAAAUAAUCUUCAAAAAAUUCAUAAAAUUAAAAAAAAUUAUAUAAAAUUCUUAAAAAUGAUAUAAAAACGUCAAAUUCUAAAUUUAUCUCCAAAUUACAAAAAAAUAAUAAUUUUCUUAAUAAGGUAAAUUUGUUAUUAAGAAAUAAAUAUUUAGAAAAAAAAGUCAAUUUCACUAUAGGUCCCCCAACUAUAGUUCAAAUUCUAAAUUGAUCUCCAAAUUUAAAAAAGCUCAAUUGAGUCCUCAAAGUAUUAAAUAUAAUAUCACAUAAGCCAGGUGUGUCGAUCAACCUAACAUAAGCAUGGGCGUUGCAUGUCAAUUUGGAUUUGAUGUGGAGCAAAUUUAAAGCAUGUUAAUCGAUUUUGAAAUACUUGUAUACCUAGUGCAUGGACAACUUUUAAUCUAAAUAGUAAUUAAAUUUUAAGAGGCUAUUUCUUUUUCUAAAAUGUUAAAUUUAAGUUGUACAUACAUUUUCAAGGAAUGUAUAUGUAUAAUAGGAGCUAAGUUAAAAUUAUGGUAAUACUGAAAUAUAUAUUUAUGUCAAUUAUAUAUAAUGAUUUAAAUAAAAAAUAAGUUGUUAAGAUAUAUAUAAGUUAUUUGUCUAAUUUGAUGAUUCGAGCAGAAUUUUUUUUUUAAUUUGGAUAAUUUUUUAAUGAAUUUUAAUUAAAAAAUAUCUUUAGAUGUCAAAUAGUUAAGAUUGAGCUAAGCAAGAAAAAAAAUUGCUACUUGAAAAUGUUUUAACUCAUUUUGUAGACAAAUCUAUUAACAAAACAUCUUAUUUAAAUAUUAUAUAAAUUUUUAACUAAGAAAAAUGUAAAAAACUUAUAAUAUUUUCUUAAAUUUCAAAUAUAACAAAUUAUGUUUUUGGUUAAUUAUUUAAAAAAUUCUAUUAUUAUUAAGGUUUUAAGUUUUAAGAAUUUAUAAUAUAAUUAAAUUAUUGAAAUUUUUAUUAAAAUUUUUAAGAAUAAAAACAUAAGAAUCUAUUGACUUAGAAGUAAAAUAACUAAUAUUCAAUUUGUAGUUUUGUAGUAAAUAUUGAAUUUUUAUUUUAUUUUUAUUGUGAGCAUAGAAUGAAAAAUAUUACUAACAAAUUAAUUAAUGUAAAAAUAUCUAUUUUAUUGAUUAAAAAUAGAGAAAAAUUAAGCUAGAAGUAAUAAUUAAGAAUAAAUUAAAUAUAAUUUUACAUUAUUUGUAUGUAAUGAUAUAAUGAAAUUUUUCCACAAAUAUUCUUGAAAAGACUAGAGAAAUUGAGAGCCUUGCCUGCUCCCACAGUUAUGCCCCUCGACCUGUUAAAAAUUUAUUUCAUGUGAUUUAAAUAUGCUGGAUGUUAAAUUUAAGUUAAUAUUUAAUACUUAAUAUGACAAUUAAAUUAAUUAAAAGAUUUUAUUGAUAUGAUAUUGAAAUUUUAAAAACUCAAUUAGAAUAUUUUAAAAUUUUAAGAUUAAUUUAAAAUGUAUGGUGUAAUUAAAAAAAGAAGAAGAAGAAAGUUAUAAUUUCAUUCAAACAUGAAAGGAAAAAAUGUUAGAAAAUGUAAUGAAACAAAAGUAGGCAAAAAGAGUAGUUUUGUUGAUGGAAAGCGACGGAAUGGAGUAAUGAUUGUGAUGAGCCCAGUGGGUCUAAUAACAAAUGCUUCAUUCAAUACUAACAAAAGCGGGCCGACAUCAAAGCCUCCAAAAAUGGGGAGCCUUUUCUUGUAUUUUUCAUGCUACGAUAGGAGCAUGGGUGAAGUCGAGAAUUGUUCGAUAGGAGCAGAACUGUAUUAAAACGGUUAAUUGAAUUUUUAACUUUUGAGAGGGACCAAACAUGUUACUUUUUUCUAUUUAAUAAAGAGGUUAAAAGUAAUUAAACUAAACUAUUAAUAUUUGAGAGGGACUAGAGUCCAAUUGUACCAUAACGAGUAAUCAUCGAUUGAAUUAAGGAGAAAUGAAGCAGCAACAAUUGUCUCUCCGUCUAGCCUUGCACGGUUUCGUUCACCAUUUUCUUCUGAAGAGGAAAUGGUUACAAAGAAGGUAAAAGAAACAAAGAGAUUAUAAUGGCAAACCUUGAUACUCAACAUUUGAAUGGCACAAGUCAACAAGGAGUUCCUUUUCGUGACAAACUUUGGAGAAUGUUAAUGUUGUUAAUGAUGUGAUUGUGGAUAUAAGAACAUGUUCGUACAAAACUUGGGUGAGGAAAAUCUCGAAGACAUGAACGGAACAUGAACAACAGCUCGAACAAAAAAUAAAGAAUUAGGAUACGGCUCCAAGGCGUGUAUCAAGCCACUAUCUUUAAAAUUCUAUUCGUCCCCACCUAUACUCGAUGUGUAAAUGAGUUUCAAGCAAAUGAACCUUGAGAAUACAAUGAAACCCGAUGACUAUUUGCGUUUUGCAUUGACGAAAAUAGUCCACUAAUCACUGAGCAAUGUAUAACAAGAAAAUCAAUUUCUAUGAAGUUCUUUAUAGGACAAUCUAAUAAUAUUAGAAGAUGAGGAAAGAUAGAAAGAAUUUUUAGAACUUGUUGGUAUGAUUUCCAAAUGAAAUCUCAUUCCUGUUUAUAGGAAUUUUCAUGUCUCUUCAUAAAAACAUAUUUCAAUAGGUAUUUUUUCUGAAUAAUAAUAUCUUUAAAAGAGAUAUAAUUAUUAAUCUAAUAUCUCUUGAUUAAAUAUAACUAUUCAAAGUUUGAAUAGUUAUACUUCUUUGUCAAUAAUCAAAAGGAUAUAAGUUUUGAUUAAUUACACCAUUUCAUUUAUAGUUAUUGAAACACUAUAAAUAUUGUUGAAAAUGUUCCAACAAUCUUCCCUUAUUUUCAAAAUAUUUUAGAUUUUUAUAUUCUUGGAUAUCAAUUUGCAUAAAUGAAAGUGUCUUGUGAUUGAACCUUUAUGGUAGACUAAGCUAUGAACCAACUAUUCCAUUUGAUUAACUAAACACAUCUCACACAAUUAUUUCAACAUUGCUCAAUGCAUAGUAUCCAGGGACACUAUUAUGACCAUGUGUCUGUGUCUUCUUUUCAUGAGUGAUGUAAGAGCCAAGCCCUUGAGCUACUAGAAGCAACCACACUUCCAAUCACAUACGUAGAUCCCAUCAAGAUUAUUCCCAUAAUUAUAACACUCUAACAUAUUUAUGUUAUGGGUCUAUUAAGAGUAUAUUAAUUAUCGUUCCCUUAUCAUUGCGAGUACCUAGCACUUUAAUCUUAGGAUGGAUUUAUUUAUAGUGCUAGCAGACAUAUACUGUAGCGACCUAAAAUUUUGGGCACAGACGCUAGUCGAAGUGAUUAUUGAAAGUUUGAAAACUGAAUCUCAAUUUUAUUUGAAAAAGGAGUCGCCACCAAUCUUUUUUCCUAGGUGUGAUCGGACACCUAAUAAAUUCUCUUUUUAAGAGAAAAAUUUAUUUUUAAAUUUUUCUAAAAAAAAGGGUAAUUUUAGGUCUGCGUGAAAAUCCAGAGAAAAUUAGAGUUCGGGAGUCGGUUACGCGCGAGGAAGAUAUUAGCACCCUCGCGACGCCCAAAAUUGGUAUCUCGUUAAACGCGUUUGUCUUAAUUUUCAAAAAUACGAGUUCAAUUUAAUAUUUAAUCAUGAUCCGAUUAAAACACGAGAAUUUUGGAAACACAAUUUUUUUUAAAAAAACGAAAAUUCAUGAAACACGUGAUUUUUUUUUGAAAACACGAAAAUUUUCAAAACACCGAAAUUUUUGAAACACGGAAAUUUUUAGAAAAUCACGAGGAUUUUUGAAACACGAAAUUUUUUUUUAAACACGAGAAUUUUUGAAAACAUGAAACUUUUUGAAACACGAGAAUUUUGAAAACACGAAAAAUUUUCCAAUUUUAUAUUAAGCACAUAUCGUAUUUAACACUAAUCGGUGAUAUUCACUCAACAUAGCAAUGAAAUCAACGAAUUAGUGUCAAUCGACUCGUUACCUUAUUUUUGAAAACACGAGAAAUUUUUUUGAAGACACGAAAAUUUCAAAACCCGAGGAUUUUUUUUGAAAAUACAAUUUUUGAAUAUUUUUUAUUUUUAAAAGGGCGUAUCGAGUUUAACACAAACCGAUGAUAUUCACCCAACAUAGCGAUGAAAUCAACGAUUUUACGUUAAAUCGAUUCGUUGCUUUAUUUAUUAAAAUUAUUUAAAAUAAAAUAAAAUAAAAUAAAAUAAAAUAAAAAUAUAUAAAUAUAAAAAAUAUAAAAAUGUAUGAAGUACUAAUAACAUUAAAAUGAAAUAGCAUAAAAAUACGAACAUUAAAUUAAAAGUGAAAUAAGCGAAAUUACCGAAAAAUCCAAAAUACGAGCUUCACCAAACGAGUUACACGAAUUGAACCUCUUUUUUUUCUUUUUCUCUUUUUUCUUUUUUUUCUCUUUUUUCUCUUUUCUCUUUUCUCUUUUUUCUUUUUUCUGUUUUCUUUUCUUUUUCUUCUUUUUUUUCUCUCCUUUUCUUUUUUUUUUGCUGGGCUAAUGGGCGAACUGGGCCUGCUGGGCUGCUAGAGGCCUGCUGCUGGUGGUCUACUGGCUUGGGCCUGGCCUGCUGCGUUGGGCUACUGUUGGGAUGCUUUUGGGCUGGCCUGCUAGGCCUGCUACGGGCUGUUUUUUUUGUUUUUUUUUUCCUUUUUUUUGCUUAAUUUCUUUUUUUUUGGAUUGGGCUGCUGCUGGGUCUCUUGGGUCGCGGGUCGGGUCGGACUAAUCAGACGGGUCGGGUCAGUCGGGUCGGGUCGACCCGACUAUAAUAAUUUUUUCUUUUUUCUUCUUCUUCCUUCUUCUUUUUUUCUUCUUUCGGAAACCCUAGCCGCCGCGCCGUCGCAGUCGUAUUCGCCGUCGAGUCACCGUCGGAGGCUCUUCUCUUCUUCUCCUUUCUCCUCUCUUUCUCUCUUUUUUGCAAGUUCUUUUUUUUUUAUUUUUUCGUGGGUGUGGGGGGGGCUUGGAGUUUAAACUCCUUUUUAUAGUUGGUUUUGCUUCUUUUUUUGCAGGUAGCAGGUGGGGAAAGCCAUGCCCUAGGCCGGCGGCCGGAAAUCGUGGGGCAGGUGCACGAAAUCCGCCUGAUUAUUGGGGAUUUUCUGAUAGAAGGACCAAUUUGUAAAUGCAUCAAAAAGUUUUGGGGCCGAAACAAAAUUUUGAGAAAGUUAGGGGUCAAAAUGUAAUUUUAAGAAAGUUUACGGGUCAAAAUGUAAUUUAAAAAUUUUAAGGGUUAAAAUGCAAUUUUGAGAAAGUUUAGGGGUCAAAAUGUAAUUUUAGAAAAUUUUAGGGGUCAAAGUGCAAAAAAAUUAAUUUUUUUUAUAUAUAUUUUUUAAAACACGAAAUUAAUCCCGGAAAAAAUUCAGUGAUUACAGCUGCCCCUCUUUGCUCAUCGCUGUGAAACAGAGAUAAAGCAAAGACUAAAAAGCACUGAAUUUUGUUCGACCAUCCAAAAUUUUUCUUUUUAUUCGAAAAGCAGAAAUCAAGAAUAGCUCGGCGUGCGACUCAAAGCUCAACUCACCUCUCGAAAUAUGAGUUGAUUUUUGAAAAACAAAAAUUUAAAAGAAAUACCUCAGCAUGUGUCCGAGGCUCAACUCACUUCUCGCAGUAUGAGUUGAUUUUUUGAAAAACAGAAAUUUAAAAUACCUCAGCGUGCGACCCGAGACUCAACUCACCUAUCGCAAUAUGAGUUGAUUUUUUGAAAAACAGAAAUUUAAAAAUACCUCAGCGUGCGACCCGAGGCUCAACUCACCUCUCGCAAUAUGAGUUGAUUUUUGAAAAAACAGAAAUUUAAAAUACCUCAGCGUGCGACCCGAGGCUCAACUCACCUCUCGCAUUAUGAGUUGAUUUUUGAAAAACAGAAAUUUAAAAGAAAUACCUCAGCGUGACCCGAGGCUCAACUCACCUCUCGCAAUAUGAGUUGAUUUUUGAAAAAACAGAAAUUUAAAAUACCUCAGCGUGCGACCCGAGGCUCAACUCACCUCUCGCAAUAUGAGUUGAUUUUUGAAAAAACAGAAAUUUAAAAUACCUCAGCGUGCGACCCAAGACUCAACUCACCUCUCGCAAUAUGAGUUGAUUUUUGAAAAUAGAAAUUGAAAAAUAUUUCUUGAAAGAAACAGGGUUUCAGAAAAAAUCUGGUGAAACUAAAAAGCCUUCUUCUUCAUUAAUUCUGUGCAGCUUUCUCCCAGUAUUCCUUGCUCUACUGGUAUACCUGUAUAUGUCAUGUAUGAUGUUAUUAUGAUAUGCACAUGUUUGUCUUAAAUGCUUUUGUGUCUAAAUGAUCAUGUCAUGCACCCUGGGCUGUUUAUCACGUGCCCCCACUUUUGAUUUUCGUGAGGAUCCGCAUUCAUUUCCUCAAUUCUUGACUUUCUCUCAGGUUUUGUGCCCAUCUCCAAGUUUGUUGAGUGAUCCACAUUUCCUCGUAUAUCANNNNNNNNNNNNNNNNNNNNNNNNNNNNNNNNNNNNNNNNNNNNNNNNNNNNNNNNNNNNNNNNNNNNNNNNNNNNNNNNNNNNNNNNNNNNNNNNNNNNNNNNNNNNNNNNNNNNNNNNNNNNNNNNNNNNNNNNNNNNNNNNNNNNNNNNNNNNNNNNNNNNNNNNNNNNNNNNNNNNNNNNNNNNNNNNNNNNNNNNNNNNNNNNNNNNNNNNNNNNNNNNNNNNNNNNNNNNNNNNNNNNNNNNNNNNNNNNNNNNNNNNNNNNNNNNNNNNNNNNNNNNNNNNNNNNNNNNNNNNNNNNNNNNNNNNNNNNNNNNNNNNNNNNNNNNNNNNNNNNNNNNNNNNNNNNNNNNNNNNNNNNNNNNNNNNNNNNNNNNNNNNNNNNNNNNNNNNNNNNNNNNNNNNNNNNNNNNNNNNNNNNNNNNNNNNNNNNNNNNNNNNNNNNNNNNNNNNNNNNNNNNNNNNNNNNNNNNNNNNNNNNNNNNNNNNNNNNNNNNNNNNNNNNNNNNNNNNNNNNNNNNNNNNNNNNNNNNNNNNNNNNNNNNNNNNNNNNNNNNNNNNNNNNNNNNNNNNNNNNNNNNNNNNNNNNNNNNNNNNNNNNNNNNNNNNNNNNNNNNNNNNNNNNNNNNNNNNNNNNNNNNNNNNNNNNNNNNNNNNNNNNNNNNNNNNNNNNNNNNNNNNNNNNNNNNNNNNNNNNNNNNNNNNNNNNNNNNNNNNNNNNNNNNNNNNNNNNNNNNNNNNNNNNNNNNNNNNNNNNNNNNNNNNNNNNNNNNNNNNNNNNNNNNNNNNNNNNNNNNNNNNNNNNNNNNNNNNNNNNNNNNNNNNNNNNNNNNNNNNNNNNNNNNNNNNNNNNNNNNNNNNNNNNNNNNNNNNNNNNNNNNNNNNNNNNNNNNNNNNNNNNNNNNNNNNNNNNNNNNNNNNNNNNNNNNNNNNNNNNNNNNNNNNNNNNNNNNNNNNNNNNNNNNNNNNNNNNNNNNNNNNNNNNNNNNNNNNNNNNNNNNNNNNNNNNNNNNNNNNNNNNNNNNNNNNNNNNNNNNNNNNNNNNNNNNNNNNNNNNNNNNNNNNNNNNNNNNNNNNNNNGAUAUGCGUACAAAGCGAAUGGUAGCUUCUCAUGCCAGUCUUUAUACGUCUCAGUCAUCUUCCCAAUAAUCCUCUUAAUGUUCUUAUUAGCGGCUUCUACUGCUCCGUUCAUCUUCGGGCGGUAGGGUGAAGAAUUAUGAUGCUUUAUCUGGAAUUGCUCACAUACUUCUUUCAUCAUCUUGUUGUUCAAAUUUAAAGCAUUAUCUGAAAUGAUUCUUUCAGGCAGACCAUAUCGACAUAUAAUCUCCUUUUUUAAAAACCUACAGACUGCAGCCUUUGUCACAUUAGCAAACGAAAUGGCUUCUACCUAUUUUGUGAAGUAGUCUAUAACCACAAAGAUGAAUCGAUGCCCAUUGGAAGCUUUCGGGGAAAUUGGCCCUAUAACAUCCAUGCCCCACGUAGAAAAAGGCCACGGAGAAGUCAUGACAUGAAGGGGCGACGGAGCUGCAUGAAUUUUAUCACCAUAAAUUUGACAUUUGUGGCACUUUCGUGCGAAACCAAUGCAAUCCCUUUCCAUCGUCAGCCAAUAAUAACCAAGCCUCAUAAUCUGCCUGGCCAUGGUGAAACCACUGGUAUGUGUUCCACAAAUUCCUUCAUGAACCUCCUCAAGUAUCUUUCUAGCUUCAAUAGCGUCCACGCACCUCAAGAGCACUUGAUCUUUUCCCCUUUUGUAUAGAAUAUCCCCGUCAAGAACAAAUCCAAUUGCCAUUCUUCUGAUUGUUCUUUUGUCAUUCUCGUUUGCUUCCUCGGAGUACCUUUGGUUCUUGAUGUACUCUAAAAUAUCAUGGAACCAUGGUCGUCCAUCUGACUCCUCCUCAAUGCUAAAACAGUGUGCGAGGGUCUCAUAUAUGCUCAUUUGGAUAGGCAUUAUUUCAGUUUCUCUGUUUGCUUUGAACAUUGAAGCCAGGGUGGCCAGAGCAUCAGCCAAUUGGUUCUCUUCUCGUGGAAAGUAGUUAAAAGUCACUUCCUUGAAUUCUUUGACCAAUUUCACAACGAGAUCGUGAUAUUUGACUAAUUUCAAAUCCCUCACUUCCCAAUCUCCACGAAUUUGAUAAAUGACUAAUGCUGAGUCCCCGUGUACCUCUAAAAUUUUGAUCUUCCUCUUGAUAGCUGCACGAAGUCCCAUGAUGCAAGCUUCAUAUUCCUCUAUAUUAUUUGUACAAAAGAAAUUCAAUCUGGCAGUAAGCGGGUAAUGGUCACCUUCAGGUGACACUAAGACUGCUCAUAUUCCAUGUCCCAAUGCAUUUGAUGCACCAUCAAAACUCAUCUUCCAUGACUUUCCUUUUGAUAACUCGCCCUCUUUUUCUGAAAUGCACAUCAAAUCUUCAUCUGGGAACUCAAAUCUCAAAGGCUCGUAUUCCUCCGUUGUUCAACUUACCAAGAAGUCAGCUAUUGCGCUUCCUUUUAUCGACUUUUGGCUCACAUAUACAAUGUCAUACUCAGUCAACAGGAUCUGCCAUCGGGCCAUUCUCCCUGAGAGUGCAAGUGACUCCAUCAUGUACUUUAUUGGGUUCAGUUUUGAAAUUAACCAUGUCGUGUGAUAUAGCAUGUAUUGCCUGAGCCUUCGAACCGUCCAAAUCAAUGCACAACAAAACUUCUCAAUUGAAGGGUACUUUGCCUCAUAUUCUGUGAACUUCUUGCUGAGGUAGUAAAUUGCCUUCUCUCUUCUCCCUGACUCAUCAUGUUGCCCUAGUAUGCAACCCAUUGAAUUCUCAAACACGGUCAGGUACAAUAUUAAGGGUUUUCCAUGGGUCAGCGGUACUAGCACAGGAGGAUUAGACAAAUAUCGUUUUAUCUUAUCGAAGGCCACUUGGCACUCCUCGUUCCAUUCUCCCGGGUUAUGCUUUCGAAAGAGUCGAAAAAUUGGAUCACACUGAUUCGUAAGUUGGGCAAUGAAUCGAGCAAUGUAAUUCAAGCUUCCUAAAAAUCCUCUGACUUCUUUUUGUGUGCGCGGGGGAGGCAAUUCUUGUAUAGCUUUUAUCUUGUCUGGAUCAACCUCGAUACCUCUUUCACUAACAAUGAAACCUAGCAGUUUUCCUGAGGUAGCCCCAAACGUACAUUUGGCCGGGUUUAGCUUCAAUUGGAACUUUUUUAGCCUUUUGAACAACUUCUUGAGAUUUUCAACAUGCUCUUUUUCUUCCCGAGAUUUGGCAAUCAUAUCAUCGACGUAAAAUUCUAUUCUUUGUGCAUCAUAUCAUGGAACAACGUCACCAUUGCUCUCUGAUAUGUUGCCCCAGCAUUCUUUAAUCCGAACGGCAUUACUUUGUAGCAGAAGGUCCCCCAUAUUGUCACGAAUGUGGUUUUCUCCAUAUCUUCGGGAACCAUAUUUAUCUAAUUAUAACCUUGCCGUCUUUCUUCGGUACCGGGACUAUGUUAGCCACCCACUCUGGAUAUUUAGAGACUUGUAGAAAGCCAGCGUCAAAUUGUUUCUUGACUUCUUCUUUUAUCUUCAACAACAUUUCAGGUCUCAUCCUUCUUAGCUUUUGUUGAACAGGUUUGCAUUCUGGUUUCAGUGGGAGCUUAUGGACCACAAUAUCUGUGUUCAACCCUGGCAUAUCCUGAUAAGACCAGGCAAACACAUCCUUGUACUCAUGGAGCAAAGCGAUCAAGUCCUGCUUGGUAUUUUCUGCAAUAGAAGUCCCAAUCUUCACUUCUUGUUUCUUUUCUUCACUCUCCAAGUUCACUACUUCAACAAAUUCUUGAUGGGGUAUGAUCUAUUUCUCUUCUUGUUCUACCAUUCUCAGUAAGUCAGGAGACGAGACACAAUCUUCAACAUUUUUGUCAGCUUCAAAUUCUCCUAAACAAACAGUCUUCUCGAAAUCGAUUUCAGGACUCGUAACGGGNNNNNNNNNNNNNNNNNNNNNNNNNNNNNNNNNNNNNNNNNNNNNNNNNNNNNNNNNNNNNNNNNNNNNNNNNNNNNNNNNNNNNNNNNNNNNNNNNNNNNNNNNNNNNNNNNNNGAGAAAGGAUAUGAAGCGAUGGGGGUAAUCAUGAAACUGAUAGAAAUGAAAAGAUCAUGACAAAAUGCAUCUUCAUUAAUGUUCAUUGAAAUGAUAAAGAGCAAACAAAAGCUCUUACAAAAAGAAUCCCUCUAUUUAGGGGCACACAAAAUAAAUGGAGAAGUAACAUUGGGCAUUACUCUGGAGAGGACUUAAAAACUACAAGAAGGUCCACAGCAGUCCAAUUGUUCAAAACAUAUCAUGGAAGACAGGGGUGUAUCAUUAAAACAUCCUCAAUUGUAUCACUUUCGUUGAGCUCAGCAUCCAUAGUUCUAGCUCUUAAAUGCGUUCUAUAAGAAUGGCGUGAUUCCAGACUUGUAGUGUCACAACUGUGGAUUAUGCGGUUCUAGCCUUAGUGAAUGGUUAGGGUGAUAUACACAUGCAAUGAAUGAAUGAAUGUCAGUCAUGGAUAAAUAUGCAAAAAAUGGUGUUGAUUUCAAAAUAGCCCCAUAUUUUGGUGUUUCAUUAAUCAAAAGAGCCAAUUACAAAAUGUUUUGCCAUUUCAGAUUUAACAGUUACACAAAUUUCCUAGCCAUGUCGCCUUGUUUCUUCACUCGUUCUAGGAACUCUGACAUACUUGAUCUUUGGCUUAGAGAUAAUUGGCAACUGAGAGCUUCGGCCUCAUCUGAUAAUUGCACAAUUUGCAUAGCCGCCUAGCGAAUUUCAUUGACUAAACUUCAGCCCAUGUAUCAGUCAUCCCUGUCAACUUCAUUAGGUUUUUUUUGAAGGUAAUCGGUUUAGACUCAUUCACAUAUAUCUUAUUGAGUUGCACAUUGUCGAUGCGAAGUAGGGCAGCAUACUCUUCUAUGGUCGGAGUCAUAUCUUCCUGAUUGAAAGUGAAACACUGAUAGGCUGGGUCCCAGAAUCGAACCAUGGCUUGGAUCAACUGCUUGUUCACAUCGAUUGCUAUCAAGUGAGCUAUAUCUCCGAACUUUUCAGUGAAGAUGCCUCCAGUAUCUGAGUCCUACUGCCUCCAAAUCUUAGUCAAGUCUUCGAGAUUAUUCUGAUGAGUAUUCGAAGUCACACGCUCGGGAAGAUCAGAGGUGUAUCCUUCCUUCAAACUGUCCCCCUUUCACUUUUUGAGUUCUCAAAGACCAAUCUCGGACUACAGUAUUUUUCUCGGUUACUCGUGUAAUUGACUCCUCUAUCAGAAACCCGUUUUUGGCAACCAAUCUCUAAUCAACACCUUCCUAACGAUGUCUACGAUGCAUGAUGAAAAAUAAAAUGAAGAACAAAUAACCUUAGUUAGAGAUCACAACAAAUAUAAACAGAAGAAAAAAAGAAAAAUAAAGACUAUGAAAAAUUUAACAAAUUAAGCUAUUCAGUCAUGCAAUUUGGUGGAACAGACCCACAUUUUUUUUGCCCCAACAUGCUUUACAAAAACCUACCCCACAUACCAUCAGACAAUCUAUCCAACCCAAUUUAUUAAACAGACUCAAUUCAUUUGCAAAGAAGUGUAAAUGUAAAAGAAAUAAAAGGUAAGAGGCGUUUCUCCCGUGUACUUAUUUUGGUGACUAUUCAACGGACGAAGGUUCGGCAUGGCUCUAAUUGGGUGGCUCGUACGGUUCACUAUAUGUGGCUUCGGUUCUAGAAAGAUACUCGAAUUGUCCAUAUUGUCACCUACUAAGGUUAGUACAGAGCCUCGGUUAUCACCCGUCAUGGGCUUGCGAGCUCAAUUCGAGGGGUUACAUUUACUUAUACCUAUGCGGAGGGACAAGUUAACUCACAAAAGCAUAAGUCGUACGUAACCCGGAAGUAUUUCACUAGCCUGUGCGGAGGGACAAGUUAACUCACGAAAGCGUAGCGUUUACUUCCACUUAAACGGACGGAGCUCGGGUAGAGAGCUCAUGUUAUGCAAGAAUGCAAGUGCACGGUGUGUGGGGAGAAACUCACAAACCUUUUAUUUUUUAUUUACUGAAACAAAAAACGUAAAACGUAAAACUUAGAGCUGACAAAAACAGAAAAAUAAAACACGUUAGAAAAAUAUUAAUUUAAAAACCGAAUGCAAAUGCAUGACUUUUUAAAACAAAAUUCAAGGAUCACGAUUAAAAAUUAAUUUGAACAAUAAAAUUUGAAAAUUUUGACAACACGCGUUUAACAUCAAACUCGACUCUCACAAAAGGUCCCCAGUGGAGUCGCCAGCUGUAGCGACCUAAAAUUUUGGGCACAGGCGCUAGUCGAAGUGAUUAUUGAAAGUUUGAAAACUGAAUCUCAAUUUUAUUUGAAAAAGGAGUCGCCACCGAUCUUUUUUCCUAGGUGUGAUCAGACAGCUAAUAAAUUCUCUUUUUAAGAGAAAAAUUUAUUUUUAAAUUUUUCUAAAAAAAAAGGUAAUUUUAGGUCUGCGUGAAAAUCCAGAGAAAAUUAAAGUUCGGGAGUCGGUUACGCGCGAGGAAGGUAUUAGCACCCUCGCGACGCCCAAAAUUGGUAUCUCUUUAAACGCGUGUUGUCUUAAUUUUCAAAAAUACGAGUUCAAUUUAAUAUUUAAUCGUGAUCCGAUUAAAACACGAGAAUUUUUAAAACACGAGAAUUUUGGAAACACAAUUUUUUUUAAAAAAACGAAAAUUUAUGAAACACGAGAUUUUUUUUAAAACACGAAAAUUUUCAAAACACCGAAAUUUUUGAAACACGGAAAUUUUUAGAAAAUCACGAGGAUUUUUGAAACACGAAUUUUUUUUAAACACGAGAAUUUUUGAAAACAUGAAACUUUUUGAAACACGGGAAUUUUGAAAACACGAAAAUUUUUCCAAUUUUAUAUUAAGCACGUAUCGUAUUUAACACUAAUCGGUGAUAUUCACUCAACAUAGCAAUGAAAUCAACGAAUUAGUGUCAAUCGACUCGUUACCUUAUUUUUGAAAACACGAGAAAUUUUUUUGAAGACACGAAAAUUUCAAAACCCGAGGAUUUAUUUUUGAAAAUACAAUUUUUGAAUAUUUUUUAUUUUUAAAAGGGCGUAUCGAGUUUAACACAAACCGGUGAUAUUCACCCAACAUAGCGAUGAAAUCAACGAUUUUACGUUAAAUCGAUUCGUUGCUUUAUUUAUUAAAAUUAUUUAAAAUAAAAUAAAAUAAAAUAAAAUAAAAUUAAAAUAUAUAAAUACAAAAAAUAUAAAAAUGUAUGAAGUACUAAUAACAUUAAAAUGAAAUAGCAUAAAAAUACGAACAUUAAAUUAAAAGUGAAAUAAGCGAAAUUACCGAAAAAUCCAAAAUACGAGCUUCACCAAACGAGUUACACGAAUUGAACCUCUUUUUUUUCUUUUUUUUUUUUCUCUUUUUUCUCUUUUUUCUUUUUUCUUUUCUUUUUCUUCUUUAUUUUUUUCUCUCAUUUUCUUUUUUUUUUGCUGGGCUAAUGGGCGAACUGGGCCUGCUGGGCUGCUACAGGCCUGCUGCUGGUUGUCUGCUUGCUUGUGCCUGGCCUGCUGCGUUGGGCUGCUGUUGGGAUGCUUUUGGGCUGGCCUGCUAGGCCUGCUACGGGCUGUUUUUUUUUGUUUCUUUUUUUUUUACUUUUUUUUGCUUAAUUUCUUUUUUUUUUUGGAUUGGGCUGCUGCUGGGUCUCUUGGGUCUCGGGUCGGGUCGGACUAGUCAGACGGGUCGGGUCAGUCGGGUCGACCAGACUAUAAUAAUUUUCUUUUUUCUCUUUUUUCCUUCUUUCUUUUUCUUUCUUCUUCUUCUUCCUUCUUCUUCUUUUCUUCUUUUGGAAACCCUAGCCGCCGCGCCGCGCCGCGCCAUCGCUUGUGCCGUCGCAGUCGUAUUCGCCGUCGAGCCGCCGUCGGAGGCUCUUCUCUUCUUCUCCUUUCUCCUCUAUUUCUCUCCUUUUUCCUCUUCUUUUUCUCUUUUUUGCAAGUUCUUUUUUUUGAUUUUUUCGUGGGUGUGGGGGGAGGGAUUUUUGGAGUUUAAACUCCUUUUUAUAGUUGGUUUUGCUUCUUUUUUGCAGGUAGCAGGUGGGGAAGGCCAUGCCCUAGGCCGGCGGCCGGAAAUCGUAGGGCAGGUGCACGAAAUUUGCCUGAUUAUUGGGGAUUUUCUGACAGAAGGAUCAAUUUGUAAAUGUAGCAAAAUUUUUGGGGCCGAAACAAAAUUUUGAGAAAGUUUAGGGGUCAAAAUGUAAUUUUGGGAAAGUUUAGGGGUCAAAAUGUAAUUUAAAAAAAUUUAGGGGUUGAAAUGGAAUUUUAAGAAAGUUUAGGGGUCAAAAUGCAAUUUUAGAAAAUUUUAGGGGUCAAAGUGCAAAAAAAAUAAUUUUUUUAUAUAUAUUUUUUAAAACACGAAAUUAAUCCCGGACAAAAUUCAGUGAUUACAUAUACUAAUAAUGUACUUUGUCUCAUUGAACUCAAGACUUGACGUUAUACCAAGCGUUGAGUCGAGUUUCCAUCAUGGGUGACUUUAAUUAAUGGGCUUGAACCCCAUCCCUUUUGAGGUCUUGUUGAUUACAUCUCUAGCAAGACUUUUUGUCAAAGGAUCCACCAAAUUUUCACUUGACCUCACAUAAUUAAUAGUGAUCACUCCAUCAGAGGUUAAUUGUUGGAGAUAGCUGUAACAACCCGUUUUUAGUUAAAUCGGAAUAGUGGUUUCGAGACCACAAAUUUGAAGUUGGAAGAAAAUUUAUUUUAAUAUUAUUUUAUGGUCUAUAGUAUGAUAGGAAUAUCGUAUGAAAAUUUCGUUAAGAAAUUUUAUCGUUUACAUGCCUAGCUUGAUAAAAAGAACCAAAUUGCAUAAAGUGUAAAAGUUGAAUUGUAGCAGCUAGAGGUAUUAAAUAGCUAUGGAAUUUAAAAUUUGAGGUCAUUAUAUGGAAAAUAAACCAUUUAGAGGAGUUAGUAUAUAAAGAUGAUUAUUCAUCAUUGGAAUUUAGUAAAUUAGUAAGGUUAAUUUCGGAAAGUAAAUGAUAAAAUGAUGAUAAAUGAAUUAAAUAAUUAUCUUUUUCAUCAUCUUUCCUACAACAAAAGCAUGGAAACCCUAGCCAUGAAAACUUAAGUUCAAGCAAGCUUACUUUGCUUAAUUAGGUGAGUAUUCUUGUCCGGUUUUUAAUGAUUUUUAUGUUUUCGAGAUCGUAAUAGCUUAAUCUAGUUAUCUCAGGGGUUAAUUUGCAAAAUUGUUAAAGUAUUAGGGUUUUGCUAUGGAUGAGUAUAGUUGAAUCUUGAAGUUUUAUGGUAGAAAGUGAAAGGUUGUUGUUAGAUAAACAACUUUUGUAAAGAGAAUUUUGAUGAAAUUAUGAUUUAGGGAAGAAAUUGAAAAGAUGAAAAAAUUCUGAAUUUUGUGAAAAAUAUGGGCUACUAUUGAUAUGUAUAAAAAUCAGUUAGGCUUGAAAUAAUGGUUAAAUUGUAUAAAUUUCAUUUUCUGAGCCUAGAGACAAAAUCAUAAUUAAUUAAAAGUAUAUGAGCAAAAUAGUAAUUUUGCCAAAGAUGUGUGUUGGAUUGAAUUGAAUAUGAAUUGUAUUAAAUUGAGUUAAAUUCAUUCAUAUAGAUCCAGAUAGACCUAAUACGGAGUUAGAUCGUGGAAAAGAAAAAAGUAUUGGAUUAUUAGCCUACAAAAUUACGAACACUUGUUGAAGCAAGUUCAUGUAACUAAAUUGUAUAUUUGUAUAUUUGAAUUGAAUAUUAUUGUGUGUGUGAUUUGUAUAAAAUGCCAUGUAUAUUAUUGAUCACAUAUUCGACAAGUACAGAAUCCCGUUUGAACCUUAGAAAUUAGAUGGAUAGAAAUGACAUGUCAUUAGGGUUCCUGGAUUUGUUGUGGUCCUGCAUGUGUUGCGGACACACGACAACUCUUAUGAGCAUCCCGAUAUUUGGCUCUCACGAGCUUCCCAAUUUAUGGCUCUUAUGAGCUUCCUAAUAUACAGCUUGAUUGAGCUUCCUGUUAUACAACUCACAUGAGCUUCCCAUUAUAUGACUCAGAAGAGCUUCCUGUUUACAUGCUCGUAUGAACACAUAUGUAUAUGAAUUGACGAUUACAGAUUUGUACACUUCGUGUGUACUACCCGUGUAUCCAGCGAUAUUUUAAAUGGUUUAACGGGUAAAGUUCUGAUAUGAAACAAUAUGAGUUCGAAACGAACAAUUACGAGUAUAUACUUGAAUUACAUGGAAAUGAUAUUACAUGAUAUGUUGAAAAAUAAGAUGGAUGAUACAUGUAUGUGAAUCUUACCUAGUGAUUAUGUACAUCCAUGUCUAUCGAUUAUGGAAAGUGUUACAUAACUAAUAUGUGGAUAUGUGUUUAGACUUUUGGCCAAAUUGGUUUGGUUAUAUUAACAUGCUUACCUUAAAUGUAAUUAAAUGGUAAGUUAAUUUCCUUGUUAUACAAACUUACUAAGCAUUAAAUGCUUACUCUGUUUUAUUUUUCAUGUUUUGUAGUAAUUCAUAAACUCAUUUUGGUUGGAAGCGGGUCGGAGCAACUUCACACUAUCCAUCGACCUUUCGGUAUAUUUAGUAAAUUAGUUUUGGUUAUAAUGACAUGUAUAGAUUAACUUGGUCAUUGAUGGCAUAUAAAGGUUUUGUUGAGAUUAGCCAUUUGAAUGACUUGUGUUGGUAUAUUUUGAUGUGUAUAUAAGUGGUUUUAUCAUGUUUGAAGUGUGAUUUUUAUUAUGCAUAUAUAUGCAUUUGGUUAUCUAGAUAAAUAUGAAUAUUUGGUUGACAUGUCUUUAAAUUGUCAUUUGAGGUGUCUAAGGGCACAUUGGUUGUAUGUGGUAAUGUCAUGUUUAAGACAUGAUUUGGUUUGUUUUGAUUGCUUUGUUAUGGCUUGUUGAGGUGUUAAAACGUUGUGUUUAGGUUGAUACCAAAAUGGGUGAGAAAUGUGGCUUGGAAAUAACCUAUUUUUGUCCAUACGGGCAGAGACACGAGUGUGUGUCUUAGCCGUGUGUGACACACGGCCAGGUGACACGGUCGUGCGUCCCCUGUAUCUUUAAUUUGCACAAAACAGAAUGCUCACACGACCUAGCACACGGACGUCAGGCUUGGCCGUGUGACCCAAGUCAGAGAGCUCAUACGUUUGGACACGGACUGAGACACGACCGUGUAUCCCUAUUUCAAAUGUUCAAACGGCCUGAGACACGGGUGUGUCUCUUGACCGUGUGAGACACACGGCCUGGCCACAAGGGCGUGUGUCCCCUGCACUUUUGAAAAAUUUUAGUGUUUUUCAAAAAAUUCUUUGAGUUCCAGAUUUAGUGUCGACUUGUUUCUAAUGUGUAUUUUGGGUCUCGAUGGCUCACAUAAGGGACAUUAUACUUGAUUUCGAUUGGUUUCUGAUAUGAAUGCUAUAUGAUAUGAAAUAUCUGUUUAUUUAUUUUGUAAAUUUUGGUAAUACUCUGUAACCCUGUUUCGGCGACGGAUACGGGUUAGGGGUGUUACAUUUAUUAUGUCUUAAUCCAAUGUGUCUAGACCUUCCAUUAUAUACUUGGCUAUUUGCCUUUGUUAGAGUAAUCUCACUAUCGCAAUGGAUAGAAAUAAGUGAAAUUAGCUUAGACCAUAGAGGUACAUCAUAAAGCAAAUUUCUUAACCAUUAUACUUCUUUAGAUACAACGGAUAAUGCAAUAAAUUCGGUUGCCAUGGUGAAAUCAGUAAUACAUGUUUGUUUCUUGGAACCCCAAGAAUGACUCUUCCACCAAGAAUGAAGAUCCUUCCACUAGUAGAAGCACAGUAUUCUAAACUUGUAAUCCAACUAGCAUUCGAAUACCCUUCUAAAAUUGAAGGUAUCCAUUAUAGCACAACCCAAGUUAAUAGUUAUCUUUAAGUACCUAAGUACUCUAUUCAAAGCUUUCCAGUGCAAACUACUUGGAUCACUUGUGUACCUACUAAAUUUCCCAACAUCAUACGUAAUAUCUGGUAUUGUACAAGUCAUUAUGUACAUAAGACAACCAAUUAGACUUGCAUAUUUCAAUUGAUCAAUUUUCCUACCAGCAUUAUAUGCUUAUUUUAUUUAAGGAUCCAUGGAUGUAGAUGCUGGUAUAUAAUUGAAAAGAUCAAACAUUUUAAGCACCUUUUCAAUUUAAUAUGAUUGUGAUAAAGCUAUAGUGAUUUCCUCUCACGUUAUUUUAAUCCCAAGAAUAACAUUUGCUACACCCAUAUCCUUUAUACUAAAAUUGUUUGACAAGAUUUUUUUAUGUUUUCUAUUUGUUCCAAAUUCGUGCCAAAUAUGAGCAUGUCAUCUACAUAAAAGCAAAUUAUGACACAUUUUUCAAUUUUAAAUUUGUUAUAUAUUUUGACACCCCAAACCCGACAGGGAUAGUCCAACCCAAAUUUCAAGCGGUACAUUAGCCACCGAGGUGACUCUCCAAAACAACUACCACAAAUCACACCAAUCAUCCAUACUCACCAUACAUAUACAAAAUAUUUCAUACAAGCAUUUAGUCCUAAGAGCAUGCUUUUCUAAAUCAAACAAUAAGUCAUAUAAUAAGUGAAUUAAGGCGUACCUUAAUUUCGGUGGGCUCUACUAGUUGUAAAAUGUCUCAUUAGUUCCUAUAGGCAGUAUCAUAUAAUUCAAAUAACAAUUUCAACCAAACAAGCAAACACAAAGUUUAAAAAGGUCCCAAAAAUUAAAUAGACUAAAAAGUCCAAUUACAACCCUUUAAAAAAUAUUUUUAAAUUGUCUAGAAUUAUCUAAGUCCCAUUCGAAGUCUCUAGCCUGGGACUGUCCCACAUUGCCUUCUUAGGGUUCUAUAAGCUCAACGCACUUAUUGUAGAAAGAAAGUUUGUGUAAUGGAUCACUAAAUUGUCACCCUCCUCGCUAUCCCGCAAGCUGUUUAUUUGGAAGAGAAAAAUAAAGAGAUGAGCUUAGGAAAACUCAAUGAAUACACAUGUAUACAACACUAGAAAACACAUCAAUAAUCCACAUACAAACAAAUCAUAUAUAACAGUUCGCAUAGAAACGAUUUCGCAUAAUGCAUGGAUGAGGUUCGCACAUGCACAUGUUCAAUUCACAACAUGAUGAUAGGGUUCACACGUCUUACUUGCUUCCAAUAGAGUGCAAUCUCGUUUUCAAGUGCAAUAUAUAUUGUACUCACCUUGUUCACCACAAUGUCGACUAUGUGACCUUCUCCUUGCCUUUAUCUCUGCUAGUCGAUUCUCCUCCAAAAUUUUCAACUUUGCAUGAAAAAAAUGCACAUCACAUAAUUGUUUAAAAUAAUUUAAUUCAUUCUCUACUCAACAACAGCCCACUAUUUAUGUUAUUUCUAAUAGAUUUUUACUAUGUCAUUAUUUUCCUUUAUUUUUCUAACUUUUAACCCUAAACUAGCCACUAUUCAUCGUCUUCCUCAAGAGCAAAACCAUUUGGUUUAUAAAUUCCCUUAAAAACUUUGCUAAAUCGGAUUGUAAACCUUUUAUUUUUAUUAAUGCUCUUUGAAAAUCAUUUUAGAAAACAUUUUAUAGCUUUGCCAACUUCGAUCCACCAUUUUCAUGAAGCCAAACAUUAAAAAAAAUAUAUUUAUAUUUCUUAUCUAAAUCAUAGAUACUUUAGCCAAAAGCAUCUCAUGCGGAUUUGAUAUGAAAAUAGAUUGUUUACUUUCGAUCUUGCUAUCUUUCGUAACUCCCAAGUGGUCUGCUCAAUAAUCGAACUAGGGUUUAAAAAGAAAAAUGGUGCUUGGUUGUUUAGAAAAUGUAAUGCACAAGAAAAUUUUGAAGGAAAAUUAACUACUAGAUGCAACAGCUUUUGAAAUGAAGAAAGUGUGAAAAGAAAAAAUAUAGUAAAAAAAAAAGGAAAUUAAAACAUGAGAAUAAAAUGAGCAGUGACGACUUAUAUAGCCAAAUUCGUUUAUAAAGUUGGUUUAUUUAUCUUAUAGAUCCCUCCUAAUUCUACCCUUGUUUUAAAUAAAUCCCCCACUAAUCAUUAGUCCUAAUUUACCUAUUUAAGUUCUCUACUUUAGCUAUUAUUCCUAUUUAGUCCUAAUUACUAACGUGAUUUCUAUUUACUCUAUUUUUAAUCUAUAAUUUAAUGUCAAUACUACCAGCCUGAUUUCCAGGAUGUGACAUAUAUGCACUUAUCAGAUUCAUUUAUUUUAUAGACAUUAGCUAGAAUAACCUUGUCAAACUUUUGGUGCCAUUUACUUGGUGCUUGUUUAAGCCCAUAUAAAGAUUUAAUAAGCUUACUUACCUUAUACUCCUAUCUUGGAAUAAUAAAUUCUUCGGAUUGUUCCAUGUACACUUCCUCUUCUAAUUCACUGUUUAAAAAUGUAGUUUUAACAUCCAUUUGGUGAACAACCAAAUUAUACAUUGAGGUAAGUGAUAUUGAGAGUCUAAUCAUAGCAAUUCUUGCUACUAGAGCAUAUGUAUCAAAGUAAUCAAAACCUUGUUUUUGUUUAAAACCUUUGACUACCAACCUUGCUUUAAUUUAUCAAUGGUUCCGAGAAAGACACAAUAUCCUGAAGUGAGUCUUCUAUUUGAUGGAGAUCUUGGCCCAAUCAGCAUCUAAAUAUCCAACAACCUAUGUAUUUCUCUUAUCUUCAUAUGUAUUUCUCUUAUCUUUAUAUAACAAACCUUGUUUAGACACACCUUUGAAGUAUUGAAGGAUGUGCUUCAUUGCAUCCCAAUAACUGUCACAAAGAGCUUGAAGAAAUUGACUAACCAAACUUACUGAAAAGAACAUUUGGAUGUAUGAUAGUAAAAUAGUUUAAUUUCUUGACCAACCUUCGAUAUUGACUUGGAUUUUGUAAUAACUUUUCCUAUCUCAAAAUAAGUUUGAUAUUAGGGUUCAUAAGCAUAUCAACAAGUUUACAAUCCAACAUCUCUAUUUCUUAUAAUAUAUCCAACACAUGAUUCCUUUAAGAAAUAACGAUGCAUGUCUUCGAUUGUGCCACUUCAAUACCCCAAAAAAAUUUCAACUUUCCCAAGUCUCUAGUUUGAAAGCGGCUGAAAAGAUGUUGCUUGAAUUGUACUAUCCCUUCAUGAUCAUCACAGGUGAUAGCAAUAUCAUCCGUAUAAACAACUAGAUAUAUACACUUAUGACGAGUUUUGUGACAAUAAUAGAUUGAGUAGUUUGUUUCACUCCUUUUCAUCCCAAGUUGUUGAAUAACAACAUCGAAUCAUCUAACCAGGCUUUUAGAGACUACUUUAGACCAUAAAAAUAUUUUCUCAAUCGACAUAGUAGCCCAAACUUCCCCUAAACAACAAAACUAAGAGAUUGUUCCAUAUAAAUUUGUUUUUUCAAAUCUCCAUGAAGAAAAGCAUUUUUAAUAUUUAACUGGUUAAUAGUCUAAUGAUUUAUUGCAACAAGAGAGAUUAAGAGUCGAACUGAGGUAUUCUUAGCAAUCAGAGGAGAAAGUUUCCCCAUAAUCGAGACUGAAAACCUGUGUAAAUCCUUAAGAAACUAAAUGUGCCUUCAUUCAAUCUAUAUUUCCAUCCAAACCAACUUUAACUAUAUAUACCCAUUGACAACCAACAGUUGAUUUGCCCGAUGGUAAGGGAAUAAGAUCCCACGUAUGAUUAGCUUAAAGUCUAAACAUUUCUUCUAUCAUAGCUUAGUACCAUCCAAUAUUAGCCUUUGCUAUACUGACAAUCUUAGGAAUGGAUACAUUGGAUAAAUACGAGGUGAGGACAUAAUAUGAAAGUGAUAAUUGAUGAUAACUCAAAAAAUUAUAAAUAAGAUGAAGAUUACGAAAAGAAUAAAUACCAUUUCUGAGAGAAAUAGGUGGGAUGUGUUCUUAAGGCAUGACUAGAGAUGAAAAUAUGAUAGGGUAGAAGGUAAGUUACAUGGAGCAUCCACCUAACUUGUAUUUUCGAAAUAAUGAUUAAAAGCAUCAUUAGAGGAGCGUUGAGAAUAGACUUGAAGAGGUUUGGUGGGAGGAGGAUUAUUAGUGACAGAAAAAUAAGGAUAGGGAGAACUUCAAUAACGUCCUUUUAUUUUGGAAGUGGAAAAAAGAAAUUUGGAGCAAAAAUGGAUAAAAAAUUACUUUACAAUUUAAUUAGUGUGAGAUUUUACUAAUGGAGAUUAAAUUGUAAGAAUACUCUAGGGUAUACAAUAUUAACUUUACUGGAAUUUAUGAAGGAGGAUUGAUUUCUCCUAUCCCUUUAACGAUAGUUUGAGUACUAUCACUAAGGUAAUUGGAAAACAGGUAAAAGAAAAAAAACAAGGGUUGAGAAAAGGUUUGUUAUUACAAGAGAUGUGAUUUAAAGCACCCAAGUCAAAUAUCCAAGAACCAUUUCAAAAUGACUAUGUUAGGAAAGCAAAAAAAUUACCAUGCUAUACAAUCAGAGCUAUUGAGGAAAAAGAUUGUUGUUUCGAUGUUUGAUACAAUAGGUAUUCAUCUUAAUAUUUUCCAAUUAAAGUAAUAGAGUUAACUCCUUGUGUAAGAGGUAAUGGUAGUAAACCACCCCUUUGAAAUUAAGUGACAUAAGCAAAAAAUCGAGAAUUUUGAUUAUGAUGGGAAGGUCGUCCAUGGAGGUCCUAACAAAGAUCUAUUUUGGAAGUAGAAAACUAAUGAGAAGAGUCAAAGGCAAAGUUGCAUAAUGUCAACACCACUAGAGUCAACGGGAUUGGGCUAAGCUCUUGGAGAACUUGUGACAAAGCACGAUAGUCGAAGGAGGACUUAUGCAGCUUCUUAAAUUAAUUCUCAGUCGAAGGGUUGAUUGGGGCAAGGCUUUUCAGUGAUGGGGGUUGUGAGAACUAGAAGGCUCUGAUACUAUUUUUAUUUUGAGAGAGGAGAAAAAUUGAAAUAGGGAGGUUGCUGCCACAAAUGACACAUACCAUGUGAAUUUCGUAGAUGUUAUACUGUGAUACUAGAGAAGAUAUUAUCGAUGUCCUUCGAGAAUGUACUAUUGCUACCUCAAUUUGGAUGAGACUCAUCAAACCUAGCAAACUGAACGAGUUCCUCUAACGAGAAAUUCAGGAUUGGGUGCACAUUAAUUUAUCCCUUUCAAAACAAUUCGCGGUUGGUAGCUAGGAUUGGAGUCUGAAGUUUAGUGUCAUUUUCUGGUGUGUUUGGCAUCAUUAUAACGAGGAAGUGUUAACCAUGUUGAUAUUGAAGGCAUAUGGGACAGAAGCUUAAGACUCUUCCAUGAAUUUAAAGGUAGUGCAAGGGCUGGGUAUAUACUAAUGGAAUAGACAAACUUUUACCACAUAUGUUGCUUAUUAAUUGGUCCCCUCUCCAGAAGCUUGGUAUAAAAUCAACGCGGAAGGCACAUUUCAAAAAGAAUAUCAAUUGGCCACUGUUGGUAGGGUGAUUCGUGACCAUAUGAGAACCUUGACUCUUGGGGUUUGCCAAGUGCAUUGGCAAUUGCACUAUUAGUGAAGCAGAAGCUUGAGGUGCUGUGGAGGGUCUCAAACAGACUUGGAGAGGUGGUGAAUUCGCUUAAGGAUCUUGGUCAGGCUAAGCAUAUGAGUGGUGUAAUCCAAGCUAUUAGCAGGAUGUUGGAUCAUGAUUGGGAGGUGCGGUUAAUACACACUUAUGGAGAAGGAAACCAAGUGGAUGAUGUAGUUCGUCGACUUGCUGGAAUCAGGGUUGGUGAAUUGUUGAUCUUUACUUUGCCACCUGAUGGAAUACAGCAGAAGCUUCUUGGUGAAUUGAUGAAUUGUUGACCUUGUGCAGUGUACAAUUCCUAGACUCGUUCCUUAAGCUUUGUAUUUCUCCGAUUAAAAAAACAAUUAAUUGUACCGUUUAAUCAAGGUGGUGCAAAAUCCCCUCAUGUACUACGCCUGUGGGGGCAAAUCUUUUGUGUGAUAAAACCAUCAAAUUUUUACAUGAUAAAUAAGUUGGGAGAGAGAGUCUACCGAAUAUUCUCAGGCUUAUUAUAUCAUGAUUUGAAUAGUAGUUUAAGAUGCUUGCAACUUAAACUUUGAUAAUGAAGUGCUGACAGCGUGACAAGGGUAUCGAAUUUUUCACAUGGCAGGCGGUAGUUGCCUAACCAUAUAAUGGAACAGAUAUAUAUAGAGAAGAACAGGUUCGAUGCUUGCCUUUUGGAUAAGGUGUGUGUUAGUCAACCACUAUUAGGAUGGAUCCCAGGCCCAAAAAAUUGAAAACUACAUAAAUUGGAUCAUCGGUGCAUUAAAAACUAAAUAUAAAGCAAGUGCAAUAUAGCUUCAAUUGUUAUCAAGAGAUAUUCGAGUAAGAAAAAGCCUAAUGAUUCGAUGAUAUGCAGUGCAGAUUACAUACAUUAAUAAUCAUCAAGCAUGGACCAUGUGGGCUUUCAACUAAACAAUUAUUGGACGAUUAACUGCAUGCAUGUUUUUGUAGUACCAAAGAUAAUGUUUUUGUGAACUGGAUAGAGAUGAAAAUGUGCAUAGAGGGAAGUGAGAAGGCCCGGAAUGUCUUGUUGAAGCUGAUCCCAAUGUGACCCCUCCAUGCUUAUAGCUGAAGUUUUGGGUAUCCUUUAAAAAAUCUUUGGAUCACGCACCCACAUCUUUCUUCUUUACGUAAAACCCCACGUGCAGUCCUUUAUUUAUUUAUUUUUUUGUUUAAGCCUUGAGUUUCAAGAGUGAAAAGCUAUAGGCUGUGUCAUUUCCAAGUUUCAUUUCAUGUGCCAAAACUUUGAAGAAAUCUCCAUGUAUUAUUGGUACUUAGUUUCCACUCAUUUUGAGCCUUGCAUUCCAAGCCUAACCCCCCAAAUAUUUACUCAGUUUUUCCCUAUUUUCUUUUUCCUUUCGAAGAUUCCAAGUUCCCAAUCGAGAUUGAAUAUUACUUAUGGAUAUUGACAAAAGAAACUUCACAAUUCUAUUCUCAUACAAUUUUACUUAGUCAUGAUCCAUUCAAGUUUAAAAGCUUACUCGAUAUUUUGAAUUUUUUAAUAAAAAUAUUAAAUUUAAAAAAUAAAUUUGAACAAAAAAUAUUAGAUUCGUCUAAAUUAUGGAUUGAACUUAGGUUCCAAUAUUUAAGGUUCGAGCUUGGCCUAACCCAUUUAAAAUUUUAUAAUUAUAUUUUCACUUUUUCCCUCUUUAUAUAUUAUUUAAUUUAUAUUAUAUGAAAAUUAAACGUAUGAUAAUAUAAUAUAAUAUAAUAUAAUAUAAUAUAAUAUAAAUGUUAAAAUUUUAAUAAAAGAAAAAAUAUAUAGAAUUAGAAAAUAGUAAAUAAGAAAUAACAUACAUUUUAUUUAAAAAAAAGGUAUGGAUGGAUUUAAAUAGGCUUGAGUUUUUUUUUUGUCAAAAUUAAAGUAUUCACAGUGGUAGUAGUGAUUAAUUUGCUCGUCAUGGUUGCUCUAUGAAGAAGUAAACUGCUAGCCAUGAAAUGUUCUCCAUUCUUAUGAAUAGGGAUCAAACCCCAAACCACAUGAUUUAAGAGACGAAGUGAAUAAUUAUCACGCCACACCUUGUGAUUAAUAAGUCUAAAUUAACUAUUUAUAAAUGCAAUUAAAUUUAAAUAAAAUUUAAAAUUUGACCAAACUAAGCUAUAGAGUGGACAUAUAAUCAACUUAACCCAAAUCUAAUCUAAUCCAGGAAAACUUUUACAACCUGCCAAGGCAGCUUUAAAAUAUAUUUUCAUAUCCAAGAAAGCAAAGCUCUAAAAUCCUUAAAGAUUCACUCAAAUUGUCCAUUUCUGAACACUUUGUUUAAAUUGUAGCAUAUGUAGCCCUGCAGGUGCCCCCACAAUUGGUUGGCAUCAACUUUCUCUUUGUCGACCUUUAAUAUAUAUGGGGUACUAAUGAACUAAUUAAUAUUUGUUUGAAGAUUAAUGUAUUGAAACUUGAGUAUCCCAUAAGAUACAAAGAAAUGGGGUUAAAUUAGAGAGAUCCCUUUUUGAUCAUUUGCUUGAAAUAGUCAAAAUUCACAUGUGCUUUUCUCUUUAGAUUGCGCCAUAAACAAGGCUUACCUUCGAUUGGUCUAAAAGAAUAAUUCCAAGUUUUAUCUGGCAAUUCCAUGUCUUCAUUAUAGACAAGGAAAACAUGUGAAAUUUGACAAAUCCCUCACCUAAUCCAGUAGCUUAAUAUAGUCUUAUCAACCAAUUGAAUUGAAUUUUGAGUUCGUCACACAUCGUCUUUGAAACCUAAGCAGAGGAUUGGAAACUGGAAAGUGCUCUUACGUUAUAGUUUUUUUUCCUUUAAUUUUGAUUUUGCUAUUUUUCUUUUCUUGUAUAGUUUGACAUAUCUCUUUAUUUUUAUAAUAUCUUUAAUUAGUCUAAAUUGUUAAUGUUGGUUAUUCUUGUUAAACUGUUAAAUUCAAAUUGGAACAUAUUUUUGUCAGCAUUUUAACUGAAAUAAUUAGGAAUAGCAAAACUUAAAAAACUUACGACGGAUUUUGCUAAAAUGGAACAUAUUUUUUUAAAAAGUGGAUGUGGGGUAGAGUGAAAAUUUUCAUUUAGACAGUGGAUAUAGAGUGAUUAUAGUAAUUGAUUGCCUCGAUUCACUAUAUAAAACUAUCGUUUUAUUCUUGUAUAUAUAAACUAUUAAAAUGGUAAAACUGUAAUAAUAUAAUAAAGAAAAAAAUUCAUAUAUUUUAUAUUUAAUUUUUUUUGAAAAAUUAUGUUCAAACAUCUAACUACUUUUAAUAAGAUUGAAAAUAUUAAAAAUAAGUAAAAAAAAUUAAAUUGAAGCAGAAAGAGGUGGGGUGAGAUGGAUAGAUUCAACAUCCAUGAAGGUGAUAGUGGUUUUUAAGAUUAUACAUCCAUAAUAAGACGAGACAGAUGGUGGAACGAAGUAUGCCAAUUGUGGAGAGAUAGUGAAUUUAGCAAUAUUCGCAUCUGUCCUGAUCCAUCUCCAUCCCUGAGAAUAAUGUUAUAAAAGUAGAGGGUCAAAUUGUGCCAAAUUAAAAUGUAAAAUUAAAUCUCAAAUUUGAGUAUAAUAGAAGGACCAAAACAAGAAUUUGACCUAUUUUCUUAUCUUUUAUUUCCGUAUAAGACGUAAACUUUGGACCACUUUUUUGAGCUUUUAGCGAGAACAGAAAACAUGAUUCGAGUGGAUUUUGGAAAGCCCUGAGAACUUGUAAUAUUUUGUGUUUCCAUGAAAUAAAGCAGGUUGUGAAAUUGAUUUCAAAAAAUUUUCAAUGCUGUCGGUAGAAUUUAAACCCCUUAAAAGAGACCAAAACCCCAUCUUUAUUCAAUUUCUGACCCUGUUUUCAACUUUUAAUAAAAAAAACCCAACUGCAACAAUCCCCAGCCACACGAUUUCAUCAUACCAUUUUCUAUGGGUGAAAAGAUUCUAAUAUCAUAUUGGGUGUUUGUCACAAGUUUUGUGUAUGUCAAUAAUAAAUGUAUCAAGAGCAAUCAUAGAGGAACUUAUGGCUAAUUAUUUUCUUAAAUAUUUUGACCCAUAUAAUUGAAGGAUGGUAGAAUCAAAAUAUGCAGGCUGCCGUCUCAAGCUGGUGGGUCUAGGAGAAACAGUGUGGAAACCGGCACCGACUGAAACAAAUUAUGUAGGGUUUGGACCCGGACAAAAUCUUUCUCAAUCUUUGGGUUGCAUUCAAUGUUUUUAUAUGACAAGAGUUCAAUGUUUGAGCCAAACAAGUAGAGUGGCGGCAUCCCCUGUCAACAGCUUCUGUAUGUAUUAUAAUGAAUACCCAUCAUUAAGUACCAAAAUUUAGGCUCGAAUAACUAAACAUGUGGCUAGUUUGGUUGGAUUUUCAGUCCAUUAAUACCAUGCUAGUUUCAUAGCACAGUUGAAUUUCCUUAUUAAUCGAAACAAUGUGUUGGAACCAACAGCUAUGUUGAACAAACAACAAAUAAAUGCCUCUUUGGCCGCCGAUCAAUAUAUUGUAUUUUUCCUCAUGUUUUGUUUCGUGCUAAGUUUGAAAUACAAAUGGGUUUAAGGUUUGAUAGAAUAAAUUUAAAAGAUUAAUAAAUUAAUGAUAAAUUAUGUUUUUGUCACUUAAAUUUAAAAGUUAUAAAAUAAUUAUUAAAUUAUAUGAAAGUUUUUAUUUAAGUCAUUGGGCUGUUGAAACCGCUGGUAUAUGGCCUUAUGUCUGCAGUAGACAAAUAUCUUUAAACAUCAUAAAUUUAUAAAUUAAAAUCCAAACAACUUUCUUUUAAUUUACCCAUAAAUUAGAAAAAGUGGGGGGGGGGUGCUGUUGCUAGGAAAUUGGUUGAUCAUAUUUGUUUACUAGCUAGUAUGAUAAAAAGAACCAUAGCCACCCCUUGUAUGGGGCCAAUUCAAUUGAUUGUUUGGAAUUCUUCCUUUUAUUUUUGUCAAAUCACAAUAAUAUGCAACAACCGAACAAAAACAUUCUUUUUGCAUUUAAUUUAAAUCAUGUGGUCAUUAGAGAUUAAAAAAAUCAUCAAAGGGUAGGAUUCAUCCCCAUAUUUAUAAACAUUAUUUUCAAAAAAAAAAUUUGUGUGUAAACCUCCAUCCCCUUUUCCUCAGUAUCCUAUAAAGAUAAAGUAGGUUUCUUGGAAGCCACUCUAGAGGGGAUAUAAAUACAUCUUCUAGGACUAAGCCUGUUACAUAGAACGAAUCCUUCAAAUUCAAGUCAUCUUUUAUUGUUGCUUCAAUUGUUUGAUUCUUUGAAUUCUUUUGGUUCAUAUUUUUCUUCUUGUACAUACGUAGUGGUUGUGGUUAUAUUAAUAUUGCUCUGAUUCCCUCUGUUCUGUUGACAAAUUCUUUGCCUUUAGACUAAUUCAAUAUAUCUUCCAUAACAAUCAUUUUCAAGUGGAAAAGUUGGCAAAGAUGACAAAAUGUUCAAUGGAGCAGGAGCUAGGGUGUGGUCUAAUGGGGGGAGUUUUACAACGUUGGAGCAACUGGUCGAAAAAAUCAUCGGUGCCGGCACUGCCCGGAAAAGGGAUGAACAAGGUUUCAAAAGAACCGGUUACUGAUAAGUCUAAGAAGCUUUCAAACAAUGAUGAUUCCAGGAGGAGACGGAGUACCAGCACCGUGGAGCCUGUCCUCCUGGAUUCAUCCAACUUGGCUAAGCCUUUACCGGAACAGGAUCAGAAACCGGUAAGGAAGUCCGAGUUGUUGCCACCGCGAAACUCGGUUUCGUAUUCUCACCCUGUGAAAGACAGUAGGAGACGUUCAAAUACCGGCAGAAGCUCGACAUCGUCCUCGUCUGGCUCAACACAUCACUCCAAGGAGCUUGCUAAGGUAACCACUAGUGAUCAACAGCAAUCAAACAAUAGCAAAGCUCUUAUUCGAGCAACUUCGAGUAAUAUAAUGCUAGCAGGCCAGUUGGGAAACUUAAGACAGCUUGGAGCUGGGAGUGCUGUAGGGAACAAUGGUUCCAAUGCAACAAUCGAAGCUUUGGAUAAACUACCAAGAAAAAACAGCCUUGGUAAACUUGGUGGUUCAGUGAUGGGCAAUAUUAUAAGGCAACCUAGUGAUGAGUUUAAACAGCUUCACGGUCUAACAGGUAGAUUGGAUCCUGAAACACUGAAGAACAAGGGAAAUGAGGCAUACAAGCAAGGAAGGUUUGAAGAGGCAUUGGCUUUAUACGAACGAGCAAUCUCUCUCGAUUCUAAACAGGCGACAUAUCGGUGUAAUAAAAGCGCUGCCUUGUUAGGUUUAGGCCGUCUUAUGGAGGCUAUUGUUGAGUGCAAAGAAGCUAUCCAGCUUGAUCCUACUUAUUGCAGAGCUCAUCACCGUUUGGCAACAAUUUAUUUGAGGUAGUAUUCAAUCAUAGUGUAAAACUUUAUAUGAUCAUCCACAGAAAGGAAAAUCUAAAAUUGGUAUUGCUUGCAAUGCAGAUUGGGAGACCCAGAACAUGCAUUAUAUCAUUACAAACAAGCCGGAAAUCAUGCAGACUCUAAUCACAUAUCUGAAGCUCAAACUCUAAUCCAACGUCUCAAAAGAUGCUCUGAUGCACGAAAAUCACACGAAUGGAACACUUUACUCAAGGAGACUCAAUGUGUUAUAACCUCAGGAGUCGAUUCUGCACCCGAGGUCAGCUUUUUUUACAAUUUAUAUACGUCGAGUUUUAUCGUAUGCUGUAUGUAGUUGUUUAUGGUCAUAUGUUGUUCUUUGUGAUCUAUUCCAGGUCUAUGCUUUACAAACAGAGGCCUUGUUGAAGAUCAACAAGCAUCAAGAGGCUUGUAUAACUUACAACAAAGGACCAAAAUUUGCCAUUGAAUCGUGUAUUAAUUUCUUUGGCCUGACUGUUAGUGCUUAUCUUUUAAUGAUCAAAGCACUGGUAAACAUGGUUUCUGGCAGGUUAGUCGAAGAACUCUAGAUGAUUAUACGCUUGUGAUUACUUUUAUGUAAAGCAUGCGGACUGUCUAUUUUAUACAUAUGCAUGCGCCCAGAUUAUUGUAGUUCAAUAAUUAAUUGUAGACUUGAUGGGAUGACAAUAGGCUAGAUGAGGCUGUAUCAGCAGCUCAGCAUGCGGCUAGACUCGAUCCAGGCAACAAGGAAAUAAGCCUAGUGGUAAAGAGGACUAGAGCAGUAUCGUCAGCUCGAUUGAGCGGUAACUUGCUCUUCAAGGCAUCAAAAUUUGUAGAGGCUUGCAUCGUAUAUGGUGAAGGACUCGAAUACGAUUCAUACAAUCCACUUUUGCUAUGCAACAGAGCAGCUUGCAGAUCAAAGUUAGGCCAAUUUGAAAAAGCCAUUGAAGAUUGCACAGCUGCUCUCAAUGUUCAACCAUCUUAUAGCAAGGCAAGGCUAAGGAGAGCUGAUUGUAAUUCCAAGGUAAAUAAUUCACACUUCAUAAUCAAAGGGCCUAAUCAUGAGCCACAUAAUUAUUCAUUAUUGUUUCUUUCCUUCAUCUUUUCAGCUUGAAAGAUGGGAAACUGCAAUCCAAGAUUAUGAGAAGUUGAUAAGGGAAACCCCUGGAGAUAAGGAGGUGGCUCGAGCUUUGUUCGAGGCUAAGGUCCAACUCAAAAAGCAGCAUGGUGAAGACAUUGAGGACUUGAAGUUUGGGUCAAAUCUAGUUUUGGUCUCUAGCAACGAGCGUUUCAGGCACUUUGUAACCUCAGCUGGUAAGUAGCCAUAGCUUCAGGUACUUUGUAACCUCACCUGGUAAGUAGCUCAUUGGUAAAUCUAAUUAGAUAAAGCUUUUUAUUCAAAUGACAGGGAUGACUGUGGUGCUAUUCUGUAACAAAACAAAACACAAGAAAGUAGUGCAAAUUAUGGAACAAGUGUGCAAGAGAUUCCCAUCAAUCAACUUCCUCAAGGUGGAGAUAGAAGAUCAUCCCUACUUAGCUAAGUCAGAGGCAUUAACCUGCAUUCCAGCUUUCAAGAUAUACAAGAACGGAUCAAGGGUUAAAGAAGUUCCAGGCAAUGACCCUGAAUUGCUAGAAAGAUCAGUCAAAUUGUACAGCAGUUGAGGACAGAAUGAAACAACAUCAUGGGGCAAGUGCAAAGAGAAGAUAUGCAGGGAGAUUUGUCACCUCUUUGUUCACAAAGAAAGAGAGCCAGGUUCAACAAGAGAGAGAAAUUUUAAUGAUGGGGCUAAUCCUAAUAAAAUAUGCUAAUGAUGGGGCUAAUCUUAAUCAUGUCUGCUCAGUCACUUUACCAGCAUUAGACUCAUACAUGUCUAAAAAGCUGUGAGAAAUUUGGGCGGCAACUUGAGAUUUAAAUAUGGAAAAGGGAGAUUUUUAUUUUUUAUUAUUUUAUUUUUCUUCUUUUACUGUUUUAAAGGAAAGAAACAAAGAGUUGUGUAUAUUGCAUUUAUAGAAAUGGAACCAAAAAAGAAAAAAUAGUAAGUGUGAGGAUAGAAAAGAAAAUUUGGUUUGUUUCUUUUAGCAGAAAGAUUGCAUAAUGGAAAGGUCAUGAUUAGUGCCAGUAAUGGAAAUGCCAAAAGAAUGUCCAGAAAGGAACUGUAUGCUAUUAUUUUUAUUUUCAGUUUUUCUACUAUACAUAGGUUAACACUUUUCUUUCUCCCUCCCAGUUUUUCAAUAAUUUUUUUAUUUUCAGCAAAUUGUUUAUUUUUAUAAAAAUUAAAAGAAUUUGAUCUUAUCAAUUUGAUAUGCGAUCAACGCGACAUUAAUACUUUCAGUUAUUUGUACAUAAUUUUAAUUUGUAUGAUAACAAAUUUAGCAUUUUAUGUUUAUACAUUCUAUGUAAAUGUAAACAGAACUAUAAAUGUUGCAGGUUAAAUCAAAUUCUAUUACACCAUGUUUGGUUCGAUGGAAUUGGUAUUUCAUUCCGUCUCUAUUCUGUGCGGUACAGUAAUUCCGUCCCUAUUCCAUGUUUGGUUCACAAUUUUCUAUUCAGUCAACCAUUCUAUUCCAUCCCUAUUCCGUGCGAUCUUGUAAUAGCCAUUCUGGGCACGUUUGUCUGAAUUGCUAUUCCAAACCACCCGUAAUAACAUUUUCCCCUUUUUGGACCAAAAUAGCACGCGUCUGUUCUUCAUCGUUUUCACUCACUUCUGCAGAUUUCUUCCUCAACAUUUAUCCCCAAACUGAACCCCAGAAAUUAGCUCUUUAAUCGACGACAAAUCAAUCAUCCAUUCGCCAUCUUCAUCUUCAUCUUCCUUCUAGUUGAACGUCCUUAUUUACAGUAAGUGCCUUUGAUUCCAUUUUUUUUCUCUGAUUUUUUUAGUUAAAGUUAUUUCAGUUCUUUCAACUUUUCUUUUCCGCUUUCAUAUUUGGAUAUAAACUAGCAAAGCAAAGGUUGUUUCCAAUUAUUUGGUUUGAUAUACUUUAUGCAUCUUCUUGGGCCGUCUCUUUUCGCUUUUUGUUGCUGUUAUCGCUUGUAUUUAUCCAUUCAAACUUCAAAUAUGAACAUGAAAAUGGUAUAAAAAAUGUUCAAAAUGAAAAAAGAAUAAAAGGUCUUUGUCAUGCUAAAAGUGAUUACUUUAGCUUCAAAGAAGUUUGUUCGUUCUGCAAAUGUGAAUUUUUCCUAUUGUGGUUGUGCUUUGUUUUGGAUAUCUUGGUGAAAUAAGACAAACCCAAAUUUGCAAAUUUGAUAUUCACUUUGAAUGUUCCUUUUUCUUGGAUAUGGAAGGAAAAAAAAAUUAGGAUCUAUAAAUUUGGUAUGCUUUGUAUAUGAAAUUUCUUUAUUGGAAAAGAAAAAGAAGUUCGGUAUUGAUUUCUCUUAACUGGCUUUGCUUCAAAGUAGUUUAGAUGCAUUUCAUAAAGAUUAUAUGCUUUUCUUCUUAAUUUUGUGUUAAACAUUGUUUUUAACAUAUCCAAUUUGAUAUGUGGGAUGUAAAAGCUUUUUGGGUUUUAAGAAAUGCAACCUUUUAUCUAAAGAGAUUUCAGUAGGUGAAAGUGCAUCAUGCAUGUGUACACUUAAAUUUAUGUUUACACUUAAAAUUUUUCAUGGACUAUAUUUAUGCAAUGGUCCCGGGAUGCUAUGUUCAAAGCUUAACCUUGUUUUGAUCUCUAAUUAGUUUAUGACUAACCCCACCCCAGGAUUCCCGCGUUUCCUUUAUCUACACUUGCUGAGUUUAACAUAGAGUUUAAUAUAGCGUUUCCUUUAUCGCUUUAUGUUCAUUAAGCUUGCCAUAUAGAGUUUUGCAAACCUUUACUGAGUUUAAUAUGGAUGAUUUUUUUCUACUUGGCCCUUCUUUUGUGUUCUAUGCCAUGCAGUUUCUUGAUUUAAUUAGAUUUAAAGCAGUUUAUAGAUGUUAAAACUAAAGUACUGAUCCCAUUGAGGCAUACCUCCUAUCAAUGUUUUAAGGGUCUAAUCAUUGACAAGUCUUUUUAUUGAGGAUGCUGAUGCUAGUUGGUCGAUUAAGAUUUUGUAUUGACAAUAUGUUUCUCAUUUUAGAAAGAAAUUAUUUGCACUUUUGUAGAACCUGAGGUUGAUUAAGAUUGCAAUUCGCAACUCUUAGAUAAAUAACUUACACCAUUUCUUGCCAUUCUUCAUUAGUUGUAGGUAUUAGUAAAAUAAAGCUCAUUUACAACUAUGGAGCUCCUUAUUAUUUUUCGAAAUACUAGUCUUUAAUUGUGAGGAAAAAUAAACAAUGAAAAAUAACUACACACUUGAGACGGACAUGAUAUCUAUCAGUCACGGUAUAUAUAUUUGUUCCCUUCACAUAAUAAUCUAUAUUUACAACAAAAAGAUAUCAAUAAUGUUGGGAAAGUUGUUAUUGCUCGUUUCAUGUACCGUUAUAAUAAAUUUGUUUCUUUGCUUAUGCCACUGUUUUGGGUCCUAUAUAAGUUUCGGUUGGGCUAAAUAUGAUCCAUUGGGAAUGAUCAAGUUUUAAGAGUUGAUUUCUACUGAGAAUCUGCUCACCUUGCGCCUAAUGAAUAUGAAACUUGCCUUGUUUUUUAUUUAUUCACCAUGAGCUAUAUUGUUCUCUUUAUAAAGUUAAAUAUGUAUGUGCAAAACAGUAUGGAUUACUUUUUAUAUCUAAAGAUACCUCUUGUAUAUGGAUUACUUUUUCUAUGCAGUUCCUUUUUCUAUGCCAUGCAGAACCUGAGGUUGAUUAAGAUUGCAAUUCGCGGCUCUUAAACAAAUAACAUUGUAAAGUGUUUGACUAUGCCAUGUUUGAGAAAAUGAUAGCAUAGGUCAAUUAAGAUGUCUUAUUAGUCUCCCAAUUGAAUUUCUCAAACACUAGUAAACUGUUUUAAUCGAGAAUAGUCAUAUUGCUAUAUAUCUACACUAGUAAACACUAGUGAACUGUUUGAUAAGCAUGGAGGUCAAACUGUUAGCAGAUGAUUAAUUGGGAUUGAUCAAGUUUAAGAGUUGAUUUCUACUGAGAAUAUGAACAACUAGUGUUUCGACUAGCUUGUUUGUUUCAUUUCUUGUUCGAUUAUUUGUUUAGUUGACUAAUAAGGUUGUAAUAGUUAAUGCAAAUCAGUUUUGAGUGACUAUUGUAAUAGUUAGUGCAAAACAAUUUAUUUUUAUUAUUUUUAAUUUUAACUAUUAUUUUUCAAUUAUUAUUCAAGUUUUAAUUUUAUUGUUAUGGAUUGGUUUUAUGCAUUUGUUUUUCAAUUUACUAAAUAAUGCAUUUGUUUAUUUUUGCAAUUCAAGUAAAGUUUGGAUAUUUUUUAUUUUUAAUAUUUCAAUUUAUUAAAUAAUGCAUUUGUUAAAAUAAAAAUAAUUAAAUGCAUAAAACUAAUUAAAUUAUAUAUUUAAUUAAAAUAAUUAAAUUAUAUUUUUUAUUUUAAAUAUUUUUUUAUUUUUAAUAUUCCAAUGUAUUAAAAUAAAAAUAAUUAAAUUAUAUAUUUAAUUAUUAAAUACUGUUUAAUAAUUACAAAGUCUUUAAUUGUUUUAAUUUGAUGUAGAAUGUGAUUUAAAAAUUUUAUUUUGGUGCAGUUGUAUAAAUAUAAAUUUAAUUUUAAUUCAAUAUAUAGAUGAAAUUUUAAUUUUAGCUCAAUUAUUCAUAUACCUACAAAGCAUCAACAUAAUAACAUGAUCAAAGAUUUUGAGGACGAAUAAUUUAUGCAAAUUGCUCUAGACUAUUUUCAAAAUUUGUUCACCUCACAAGGAUAGUCUAAUUCUACAUAAGGUUUUGGUUAAUAGACAAAGGCAUGGCAUCUGUGAUUGUAUUAUCGAGGCCUAAAGUGCUUUUAUAUCAUGACAACUAAUUUGAUAAAGAAAUGAAUUUCAAGUUGCAAAGAUAAUUUUAAUUUCUAUUUUUUGCUUCGUAAAGAUUCUAAAUUUGUAUUGUUCAUUUUUCUUUGAUAGUGUGUUAUUGCAACUUGAAUUCUUUGGCAUGUUUGAUUGCUUCCUCCACCCACAAUUGAGCGUCUUGUAUUCACUAAAUCACUGUAAGUUCUUUGGCAAUUAAAUUCUUUAAUUUUAUUUUACUGUUAUUGAAAUUAGUAAUGGAGAAAUGUGACCCUUUUACUACGAUUUGAAGAUAUAUAACACUUUAAUAUCUUUCAGUAAUGGCUCGUCUGCCUUUAAUAGGACAAAGUGUGAGGCGUAAAAGAAUUGGUAUUGUAUUGACAAUAUGGUUGCAAAUCUGUAGAAUUGCGAGUUGGUUCUUACUUACAUUGGGUGCCAUCCAUAGCCUACAUACUUAUAGACCAAGGAUUAGGUCCUAUAUUUUAGAUUUUUAUGCAAAAUGAGAUUAUGUGAAAAGGCUUAUAAAUGCUAGUGACGAGACUUGUAUUGAACAACUUAGGAUGAAUAGAAUUUCCUUUUUUAAACUAUGUGAGAUGUUACAAACGUUAGGGGGAUUGAAGUCGUCAAGGAACAUGCUUGUUGAUGAGCAAGUGGUAAUGUUUUUACAUAUCAUUUCCCAUCACCUUAAAAAUCGAGUUAUCAAGCAUCACUUUAAUAGGUCCGGGGAAACUGUUAGCAGAUCAGUUCACCAUGUUUUAAAUGUUGUCAUACGUUUACAAGAUGUGUUAUUUAAAAAGGCAGAGUCAAUUACAGUUAAUUCUACAGACCCAAGAUGGAAAUGGUUUAAGGUAUUGGACAUGUGUUAUAGAAUUGCUUAGGUGCUUUAGAUGGAACCUACAUCAAGAUUAAGGUUCCAACAGUUGAUAAACCUAGAUAUCGAACGCGAAAAGGUAACAUAACAACAAAUAUGUUAGGUGUUUGUACACAUGAUAUGCAAUUUGUAUAUGUUCUUCCUGGUUGGGAAGGUUCUGUUGUUGAUGGACAGGUUCUUCGAGAUGCCAUUAGUAGGAGACAUAGACUAAAAGUUCCUCUGGUAAAGUACAAAAUUAAAGGACUUUGAAUUAUUCUUUAAGAUCAAACAUUAUUAGGGAAUUAAUCAUUUUAAAAAAAGUUUUUUUUUGUAGGUUGUUAUUAUCUAGUUGAUGUUGGAUAUACAAAUUGUGAGGGAUUUCUUGCACCUUUUAGAGGACAACGAUAUCAUUUGAAUGAGUGGCGUCAAGGUUAUCAACCAAGUACUCCAGAAUAAUUUUUUAAUAUGAAACAUGCCUCAGCACGUAAUGUUAUUAAAAGAUGCUUUGGGUUAUUAAAACUUAGAUGGGGAAUACUUAAAAGUCAAUCAUUCUAUCCUGUAAGGGUGCACAAUAGAAUCAUUAUUGCAUGUUGUUUGCUCCAUAAUUUUAUUCGAACCCAUAUGAGUAUUGAUCCUAUUAAAGCGGAGUUGGGAGAAGGAUUACCUAGUAAUGUGAUAGAUGACGAUGAACCGAAUAUCGUAAAUAUUCAUCCAUCGGAUGCAUGUGCUACUUGGAGGAUGAAACUAGCCAACCAAAUGUUCGAUGAAUGGCAAGCAUCUAGAAAUUAGUUAGGUUUAGGGACAAAAUGAGUUUGAGUUAAUUUGUUUAUGUUAUUUUAUGUAUCUAGUUUGUGAAACUUUGGUGGUGUUUGAAUUGUUUAUUGUAUUGUACUAAACUUGUUGAAUUAUAAUUUAAUUUCUUUUAAUUCAUCAUGUGUUAUAAUUUUAUAAAGUGUUGAGCUUUUGAUUCAUGAUAUUGAACUUAAUUUUAAUUUUAUAAAGUGUUCACCUUUUGAUUCAUGAUAUUAAACUUAAUUUUAAUUUGUUUUUUUUCUUAUGAUAAUUAUGUCAGGUGUUUCAGAAUCAAAUAUUUCUUCCCAAACUUCUCGAGGAACCAAAAGGAAAUGGGUUCCAGAAGAAGAUGCAGCGUUGGUUUCUCGUAUGGUGGACUUGCACAAUGUUGGAACCUUUAAUGCUGAUACGGGGUUCAAAGCCGGUUAUUUAAACGAGUUGGAAAAAUGUUAGAAAAAGCUUUACCCAAUGCAAUGUUGAAGGCUAGACCUAAUAUUGAAUUGAGGAUUAGGGUACUGAAAAGGGAUUGGUCAAUCGUGUAUGACAUGCUUAAUGGCCAAAACAAUAGCGGUUUUGGUUGAGAUAAGCAUAGGCAGCUCGUUGUUGCUGAAGAUGUGGUUUGGAACUCUUAUUUAAAUGUAAGAAUUAUUUCAAGUCUUUAUUAUCUUAUUUUGACCAAACUUAUAACUAAUAUGAUUUCCUCAUUUUUAUAGAGUCAUAAAGAAGUUAGUCAAUUCAGACAUCGUAGUUGCCCUUACUACGAUCAACUUACUACCAUCUACGCAAAAGAUCGAGCGACUGGGAAAGAUGCUCAAAUAGCCGCUGAUGUUAUUGAAGAAAUAAAUGUUCAGGAUGUACCUACUACAGAUAUUAAUGAAGAAAGAAACGAAAUCUAUGACUGCGAAGCUGAUGUCUCUUUGGAUGACAUGGAUGUUUCUACUACAGAACCGCAACCAGAUAGUCACCAAGGGGGUUCCACAUCAUCAAAGAAGAAAAAAAAGAAUUCUGAUGCAAGUGAUCAUAUUUCUUCAUUUCAUGAUGCUACCACUUUAUUGGCGGAAAACAUGCGGGCCAUUGGCGAACAAAUCAGCAGGAGUAUUGCCUCAAAUGUGGUAGUUCAACAAAAGUCAAAAGAAUUCCAGAUCAUCCAAGAAAAAGCUAUAAAUUUAUAUCCAACCUUAUGUGAAAUAGAAAGUUUAACUGUGGAUGAGCGCUAUCGAGCAUUUUCUUUAGUUUACCUUCUGAUGUGCGGUUGGAAUGGGUCAGAAGAUUUCUUGCUGACCAUUAAAAAUCAUGGUUCUGUUGAUGAUAUUUUGGUAACUUUUUCUGUUUGUAAUAUUUGAGAUGGUAUGUUAUUACAAUGUUCUAACUUUUUGAUGUUGUAAAACUGUAUAACAUAUGUAUUAUGACAUAGAAUUUCAUGAAUUUCAUGUAACAUUUUGUUAAUAUAUGAAUAUUAUCUUUAUGCAAAAUAUAAUUCUCAAGUUAUUUAUUACUGCUAAUAUUUUUUUCAUUGUAGAAUAAUUAAAUUAUUUGUUUCACUAAUGAUAUUUUAGCACAUUAAAUAUGUAUUGCAAUUUAAAAAUAAUAAAGUAGAUUAUAUAUUAUUUUUAUAGUAUUAUAUAUUAUGAUUUUAGUAAAUUCAUAUAAGAAUAAUUAUAUUAAGAAUUUUAUUAAAUUAUAUAUUUUUAUUAAAUUAUAUUUAAUAAUUAUUAUUUUAAAUUAUAUUUUAUAGUAUUAUAUAUUAUGAUUUUAGUAAAUUCAUAUAAGAAUAUUUAAUAUUAAGAAUUUUAUUAAAUUAUAUAUUUUUAUUAAAUUAUAUUUAAUAAUUAUUAUUUUUAAUUAUAUUUAUAGUAUUAUAUAUUAUGAUUUUAGUAAAUUCAUAUAAGAAUAUUUAAUAUUAAGAAUUUUAUUAAAUUAUAUAUUUUUAUUAAAUUAUAUUUAAUAAUAAUUAUGUUAAAAUAUGAUUAAAUUAUUUAUUAUUUAUAUUAAUAAUCUUAUUAAAAUUUAAUAACAAUAACAAUAAUCAUCUACCAAAAAAAAUUCUGCUAAGGGUAUUCUAGUCAUUUUAGUUUUUUUCCUUAUGCUAUUACAACAUCAUUCCAUUCAACCAAACACAAGAAUACUAUUACAGUUCUAUUCCAUUCCAUUCCAUUCAACCAAACAAUUGAAUUACUAUUACGCCUCUAUUCCAUUACACCUCUAUUCUAUUAUAGCGAACCAAACGUGCCCUUAGUCUUGUACUAUGCUAAGUGGUAGAUUUAUUCAAUGUUCUAUAAUUUGAUCAUUUUAGUUCUUAUAAUUUCCAAAUUUUAGUCCAUACUCAAAUAAUAACCAUUAAAUCCAUUAACUAAAAUGGCAAUGCCCUUUUGUGAGUAUUAUGUGGAAAUAGCAAGCUGACAUGGUAUUAUACAUGUAAUAAAAUGUUUGUCACAUAAGAUUUUAAAAAUAAUAGAUAUUAACAACUUUAAUGACUAUUGUUUUUGUCAAGAUUAAGAUUUCAAAUUUUAAAAAGUAUAGAAACUAAAAUAACUUCAUUAAGGUACAUAAAUUAAACUCACAACUUAUGUAUGGUAUAAUAGCAUAAUUUGGUCUUUAUUUAUAUAGUUAAAGUUUUUCGCUUGUUGGUCCACAAAGGGUUUGUCAUUUUUUUUGUUGGUCUUUAAGGAACGACUGCUAACUAAUGCGGAGCAAUGUAAAAAAGGUCUCUCGAAAGAUCCUUCAUGCAAGACAUGUGGGAGUGUCGAUGAAUCCUGUCUUCACGUUCUUAGGGAUUAUUGUCAUGCACGAGAGGUGUGGAAGCAAAUUAUCCCGUCGAGGGUUUUGCCUCAAUUCUUGUCCUACCCCUUGAUGGAUUGGCUUUUGGCUAAUUUAAGGAACAAAGUCGGCUUAAUCUUUUAGGAUGUAGAUUGGCAGUCCUUAUUUGGUAUUGUAUGCUGGAAGAUUUGGAAACAAAAGAAUUUUGCAGUUCUUCAAGGUGACCUUUUUAAUGUUGAAAAUGUUAUUCAGUCUUCAUGGUAUUGCACGAGAUCUAUUAAGCAAAGGCCAAGUAAUUUUGGUGGCUCCUCUAGGAAUCGUAUCAUGUAUCAAGUAUGGAAUCCACCACCUCCUGGUUCUUUUAAGCUGAAUGCUGAUGGAGCUCGCAUUCUGUCCUUGGGAUUGGCUUUUUUGACAGCAGUAGCAAGAGACGAGUAUGGUAGAUGGAUGUGGGGGAUAGGACAUAACAUUGAAAGAUGUAGCGUAGAGAAAACAGAACUUUGGGCUAUCUAUGAUGUCCUUCGGGUGGCUUGGGAUGCUAAUUGGGAUAGAUAUAUCAUUGAGACUGAUUGUGCUCUAGCCAUCAAGGGGAUUCACAAAGGCAUCAAAUGUUAGUCGAACAGAGAUUUGAAUUUAAGAAUUCAAUAACUAUGCAAAUGUGAUUGACGUGUGGAAAUUAAGAAAAUAUCAAAGGAUGCAAAAUUUGCUCAUCAUAUUCUUGUAACACCCCAACCCAUAUCCCUCGUCGGAACUGGGUUACAGAGCAUUACCGAAACUUAUCGAUCAAACAGACAUAAAUUUAAACCUUGAUAUCAUAUAGUAUUCAGGUCAAAAGCCAAUUAAAUUCAUACAUAAUGUCCCUUAUUUGAGCCCUCAAGGUCCAAAAUACGUGUUAGAAACAAAUCGGGACUAAUUCGAAACUCAGAGAAUUUUUUGAAAAAUAAUAAAAUUUUCAAAGCUGCAAGAUUCACACGGCCAUAUGGCUAGAAUGUACCCUAAAUAACAAGUUUACCAUUCCCUGCAAGCUUGGACAUUAAGCAAUUCAAAAAUCAUUCGUUUAACUAGUUCAAAACACAUUCAAACACAUAUCAAAAUAAUCAUCCAAGGUGCCUAACCAAUGUACCCUCGUUGGUACCACAUUUAUAUCAUCAAUUUGUAUUAUCAAAACAUCAUUCAAAUUCAAAUUAUAAACAUACCUAAUUUAAUUCAUUUUACCUAGUUAUGAAUAUUUAAACAUCAAUUUAACAUGCCAUAAUAAAACUUCAAAAACAAACACAUGUAUAUAUAUACCAAACCAAUAUUAAACUUAUAACCUCAUUUACAUUCAAUCCACAAAAUAACUAUUAAUUUGACACCCUAGGUACAUGCCGACACAAAAGAUAGACAUCGCCACAUUUGAGUUAGGGAUAGUUGUUGGGUGCUGAAUCGGCGAUCAUAAGUUAAGUACCUAACCUGCGGAUGGAAAACAAAACCGUACGUUGAGUAUAAACUCAAUGAUAUUUCUAUAAUUCGAAUAUUUAAAGAUAAGAGAUUAAAAAUGUAUGUUUGAAAUAUAAACACAUAUUAAUAUUAUUUAAAAAUCAUAACUACCAUAUGCCAACUCUUUGAAUUCAUACAUAAUAGCAUAUCAUAUUUCAUUUGUUUCACAAAUAUCCCAAUUCUCAUACUUGUUAUAUAAAUAGUUUUUCAUAACUUGUUUCACAUUUUAUUUAAACAACGGCAUUAUCCAUUCCAUAUUCAAUUCAUGAGUAUAUAACUCAUAUAUUCCAUGUAUUUACAACAUAUUUCACAUUUUAUUUUUAAUUCACUAUUUCACUUCCAUUUCUCAUACCAUGCCAUUUCAAUAUCAAUUAUAAAAAUUUAUUAUUCAUUUACCCCUAUUAACACGACCAGACUAACACGGAUAUAUGGAUCCAACCAAAACAAACCAGUUUGGCACCCAGUGUCUCAUCGGAUAAUUCGAAGUAAUAAUUUGACACACAGUAUCUCAUCGGCUAAAUCGAAGUAAAUUGGCACCCAUUGCCUCAUCGAAUAUAUCCGAAGUAAUAAUUUGACACCCAGUGUAUUAUCGACUCGAAGUCGAAGAAAUCCCUGAACUCUUCCAAUCCUAUGGCAUGCCAUCUAUAUCCUACUUAACCCGAUACAGUUAAUAGGGUUUAAUUUCACUUUUCAAAUAAUCAAUUUAUUCAAUAUAUAUACCAAUUCAAUCAAUAUAAAUUCAAUAAAUUUAUCACAUACUAAAUCAAUCAAUUUCAAUUACAAAACACGAUAAUUCUCACCUCAACACUUACCAUAUACAUUAAAUUGAAUUAUAACAAUUAACAACUAAAUUCAUAUUAUAGAAAUACAAACUAGAAAUUCUGAGCUAUUCCUCGUCGACUUUAUCUUUCCCCUUUUUAGUCGAGGGUUCCGGUACGACGUUAGCUACAGAAUUAGAACAAUUAAAAAUCAUCAAUACAACACAAUUUAAUUUCAUAUUGAAUAUUUCAAUUUUUACUCAAAUAUUGCCUAAAUUUCAAUUUAGUCCCUAAACCGAGACUAACUUUUAUUCUUCACAUUUGAUUCUUUAUUUUCAUGUAAAUUCCACUUUAGACUAAAUUCAACUCCCUAUUUUCACAUAAAUUCCUAAAUUUCAAAUUUUUUACAAUUUAGUCCCUAUUACACAAAAUUUACUAUUUGUUCUACAAUUUAAUCCUUUUUCAUUUGUAGCUUAAAAAUCUAUCAAUUUAAUCUCUAAUACUAAAAUUAUUCAACAUUAAAAACACCUAAAAACUCAAUAAUUUCUAAAAUUUUGGCAUAGGUUGGGUAGUAUUUAACACCGGGAUUCUAAAAACAUAAAAAUUAAAAGAAAAAGGGACUAAAUUGACUAACCAAUUGAACUUAAAACUUUGAAACCCCUAAGUCCCUUCCUCAUUCUCCUUUCUCUCUUUUCUUUUUCCUCUUUCUUUCUUUUCUAAUUCGUUUGGAUUUCUCUGUUUCUUAUUUAUUCAUUCUUUAUUUAUUUGUUUUAUUAUAAUAUAAUAUAAUAUAUAUAUACUUAAUUCUUAAGGUAAAUAUAUUAUAAUAAUAUAUAUUUUAAUUAAAAUUUUAUAAUAUUUUCAUCCUUAUGCCGCCUCAUUUAAAGAUAAUGGCAUAAUUUCUUCUUUGGUCUCUUUAAUUUUUCUUUAAUCUAUGAUUCAACUUUUAUCCUAUAUACCAUUUAGUCCUUUUACCUAAUUACUCUUAAUUCAUACAAAUUUACCUAACCAAAGCCUAAUUAACCACACAACUAGCUUCGCAAAUAUUUAUAGUAAAUAUUUACAAGUCCAAUUUACGGUAACGGAGUCUUGGAAAUACACUUUCCGACACUCCUGACUAUCGGGUGGUUACAAUUCUGGUCGGAUUGAUGAACGAAUUACCCAUUGAUCCCAAAAUGUUUCAUGCAUCUCCUUCAAGGGUUGCGGACCAUAUACGAUUAGAUAGAUGACUCUUGAUGCCUAGUCUUGCCGAUACUAAUAUUAUUUUGUAAUAGAUACUCUCAUAUUUUUGUCACCAAAAAGAAAGUUGGUCUUAUAUGAAUUCAAGUAGGACUCGAGUUGUUUAUCUUAGUUUAAAAUUUUUAUUAUUUAAAGGAGUUUUAUAUUUAAUUAUUAGAAAUAAAAGUCCUUAAUUAUGGUUGGUUUGGAUGAUUUAGUAUGUCUUAGGAGUUUAUUUAGGACAUUAAAUAUUUAUUUAUUUAGAAUUCAAUUAUAUAAGACUUGCAAAGCCAAUUUUUUAAUUAGUUGUUAGGAGUUUAGCCAAGCAUUAAAGAAUGGAGAUUUGAGUUCCAAGGUUUAGCCAUUUACCUUAUAUAUUUUCUAGUUAUCAUUAUUGCUAAGUCACAAGUUGAUUAGAUUUCCUUCUUAAUUUUACAUUAAAAUCAUGUUCUUUUGUUGAUUUUCUGAAUUUUCUUGGUUCUAAGGUUCCAUAUCAAUUAAGAUUCAAAGGUUGCAAUCCAACAAGAUGACAAUAUUUUUUCAACAGAUAUUUAUCUUAGCUUAAGAUUUUAAUUAUUUAAAUGAGUUUUAUAUUUAAUUUUUAGAAAUACCUGUAAAUUAAACUCAUUCAUUAUGGUUUAUGAGGAUAUUAUCUUACUUGAAAGCCUAUUUAGGAGAUUCAACUUGUAAAAUUGAAUUUUUAUUUAGUUUUUACGACUUUUUAUUUCUUUUAAACUAUAGCAUAUUAAAAGCAUUUAAGUAUUUGGCUUGACCAAGCAUAAAAAGAUGGAGAUUUUAGUUUAAUAAAUAUGGUCUCGAGCUUUUCUUUUCAAGGUUGAGUGAUUCACUUUAUUUAUUUCUUUUUCUUGUUUUUUUUACGAAGAUGAGCAAUUCAAAUCGAUUAUCUCUCUGUUAUCCAUGUUUCUAGAUGCAAACUGUUUUUAGAUUUAUAUCGUUUAUCUCCCGAUCAUAUUUAUUUUUUUUGAUACAAUGCUUAGAACUAUCCCUAGUCCCUCCCCAAUCCAUAAAUAGAAGGAUUAUAUGCUUCAGCGUACUCGAACCUACGUCAUCUUGCAUUAGCAACCAUGCCCAUGUCAGUCGAGCUAAAACUCAAUUAGCAUAUUAAUUUAAAAUUCUAAUUUUUCAAUGUCAUUUAAAAAAUGAAAUUAUACUUGUCAAAAUAGUUGUUGUUUUUAACUAAUUUCUUAUUUAGAAAAAAACUCACAUUAAAAGUUGAAGAAGAUCAUAGUUUGUAGGUCAAUUCCAACAUGGCUCAAUCGAAUUCUAGGCCUGACUAAGGCUUCCUUUGGUUUGGCUUUUAAUGCCAGUGAGGUGCAGUUGGGGGGAAAAUAUGGUGCCAACCUCACUGGUAUGCUGUUUGGUUCAGCAGGUCAGUCCAGUGAGCAGGCAUCUCCACCACGCUGGUCAGCUAAAAAUCAGCAGGAGAUUUCAGCUGGAGAUUUCAACUGUUGGUAUUUUUAACAGACAAAAAUACCCUUACUCUUCUGCCUCCAAUAUUUUACCCUCUUUCCAUAGGCUAUGCAGCAAAAUAUUACAAGUAUUAGGGACAGAACCAUUUCUCAUCAUCUCAUUUAUAAUAGCAUUUGCUUCAGAUAACUUCCCUUUAUGAUAGUAGCCAUGCAGUAAAGUGCUAAACUCAUUCGGCAAGCAACCUUUCUCAGGCAUUUUAUCAAACAACUCUCGGGCAAGCAUUUAGAGACUAGCAAAUACUAACAAUAUUCAAAAGCACAAUAAUAAAAUGUAUUUAUCACCCAAUGUCGAGGUAGGAUUGCAUUCACUCACUGCAGCUUUUUUCUUCUAUCUUCUCUUUUCUACAUCCAAAAAAUUUUGCAACAAAAAUUAGCAUAUAUAUGCUUCAAAUAGGAAAGGUUGAAGGAACUGAAUGGUGUUUCUGCAUCAGAAAUAAGUGGGGUACUUGGCAAAAAUUAGUGGUGAGUAAUGAUAAUAAAGUAGGUUGUAAACUUUUAAAUUUGUAAAAUCUAAUAAAUAAUUUAACUAUAAAAAAUUAAAAAUAAUGAUCAUUUUAUCUAAUAAAUAAUUUAAAUUGAUUAUAUAGUUCAUUAAAAUAUUAGAAGAAGCAUUUUAAUAUUUUAUUAAAUGAAUUUAUAAAUUCACAUAUUUUAAUAAUUUUUAAAAAGUAAAAUAAUUUUAAAAAAUUCUAUUAUAUAUCAAUUCUAAUCUGAGGUCCUUAAUAGUCAUUUUUUAUUCUCAUCUCACCGCUACAACUGCGUUUGAAUCCAAACACACACUCCACCAUUGUUUCUAAUCUCACCGCUACAGUAUUCAAUCUCACCGCUAUAAUAACUAAUCUCACCGCCACUGUUGUUUUUAACCUCACCGGAAGUAAACACACUGCCUAUCCAAACUAGCCCUAAAUGCAUCAAGAAAGUUUGAAAUGAUUAAUGCUUCUAGGCCACCAAAUACAACAGAUGUUAGAGCUCAAAUUCUAGGCCCAGUUUCGGGUCAAUGACUCAAAACUGUCUACCAUUCUAUAAUUUUUUUAAUAUUUAGGGUUAUUUUAGAUAGGCAGUGCAUUCACUCACGAUUAGUGUACAAACAGUGAUGAUGAUAAGAUUAGAUAUUUUAACAAUACUAUAGCAUAAGACAAAAAAGAAGAAACUAAAUACACCGCAAUGAAAAUAAAGUUCUUUCGAAAGGGCCAUUAGGAGAUCUCCUCAAAUUUUUUUUCAAACUUAUUUAAAAAUCAAAUUUCAAAUAAAUAUUAAAAAAAUUGAAUACAAUUUAUUUUUUUAUACAAAUUCACUCAUAAUUCAAUCGACUUUCACCUAAGUUUUCAUCCUUCAAAAUCUCUUUAACCUUGGGUGAAAAUUGUUGCAUCCCAUCGGUUUUAUUUAUUUAUUUAUUUAUUUUGGUUUAAUUUUUUUUACGAGAAAAGAAUAAAAUUUUAACAAUAAUGCAACUAAUACAAAUUGACCUAAACAUUGAACCCACAAUUAAUUUGAAUGGAACUUACUCGGUCCCAUGCGGGGUUUAUUCUCUUCAUGAUUUAAACCAAAUAAAUGAAGUUAACAAAUAUUCAACGACAAUGUACAGCACAUAAUUAAGUCAACAACCAGGUGGUUCAUGCAUCACUUUCCACAUAAAUUAGACAUCCUUUCUUUCUUCUUGUUCAUAAACUAGACAACCCUUAUUAUUAGGACAACCAAUAUUCUAAUUUCACUCUUUAUUUUUAGUUUUCCACAUAUCCCAGGUAAUAAAAAAUUGCUUAAGUAUCUCACUCUAAUAUACUGUUAUUGAUUGGUUUUUUUUUUUAUUCAAUUUGGUACAUAGAUUUAUUUUCCAUCUAUUAUUUUAAUUUUUUUCGUAACAUCCUUAAAUUUGAGAUAUGUAAUACUUUGCCAAUAGUGACGCAUGAUAAUGAUUAUAUCAUCAUCUAAAAAUAUAUUUUUUUUAAAUUUAAAAAUAUAUAAAUCAUAGAGUAAAAAUUUAAAGGUUCAAUUAUGUUCCAAGUCCCUAUGCAUUUUGUACAUUUGAAAUGUAAUAUUUUUUAUGUUCAAGAAUUUAGUUUUUGUACUUUUUGAAUUUAAAAAUUCAGGUCCAGUUGUUACUCGCUAAAAUUCUUUUGUUAAAUUUAGUGGUGUGAUAUUUUGAAAUUAUUUAAAAAAAAAAUUCAUAUGGUAGUCUUAUGACAAAGAAAUGACAUUAAAACGCUUAUGCAAAUAAUAAAAAAAACACUUAUUUGAACUCAUCAUAAUAAUUUUUCUUUUUGAAAUUGUUUUCUUAAGAAAAGUUGGUAAGCAUUUUUCAAUUGAACAUAUGUUUAUAUAUAUAUAUAUAUGAAAUGGAGAAUAAUAUAACAUUUGGUUAGGUAUAACUUAUGGAAUGUUAAUAAAUAUGGUAAUGUAUCUAAAUACCGAUAUAUAUAGUAAUGUGAAUUUGAAUGAAUCUGUCGAAAUGGGUGACAACUUUUAUGCAUAAAUGGUAGUUUAGCUCUAAUGGGAUUCAUUGGAUAUGUAGAUUUGAUUGAAGUUAUAUUUGCAAAUGAGUUUGAUGUGAUUUAGAUGAUUGCAAAUAGGUAUCAAAAUUUAACAAAAAAACAAUACGUCAUGUCACGAUGUCGAAUAUUUGUCGUCAUGAUGAGAUCAAGUUGUCAUUUACAAUGCGACAUCGAGUAUUGAUUGUUGUGACGAGGCUUGUUCAGUAUGUUACGUCACGACAUCAACCCAAUGUUUUGAAAUCUUUAUAAUUUGGUCUUAAUUCGGCUUUGCGUUGACUUUAGAACUUUCGUAAGCUCAUAUAAUUAAGACCCGGAAACAACUAUAUAUUGUAUUGUAUGAUUGUAUUAGUUGAAAUUAAUCAUUUAAUAGUAUAAAUCGAAUAUAGUUUGGUCGUAGUUGUUCCGGCAGGGAAUAUGACAUCUCAUAACUCGAAUCUGAUGAUCGGGUCAAGUAAUGAGAUGUUACAUUAACUAUCUUUUAACUUUUUUUUCUAUUUAAAAUAUUUUAAAUAUAUUUCAAAUUUCUCCAAAGUAAUGAACUUGCCAAUUCUAAUAAGUACUAAUGAUAAAACAUGAGAUUUGGUAAUUAGUAAGUGCAGAUGUCCAUUUUCCAUGUUUUCUAGACAUAUACAUUAUAGACAUGUUUUAAGGUUACAUUGAAGAUCAAUUGAGUAUUGCUGCACACUCUGCUGGUUCUUUCAUUAUUGUCUUAGUAUCAUGCCACUCACGGUGCUAUAACAUCCCUUGUAGAGAUAGAAAUUAGCUCAAGCAAAUCCAUAAAAUUAAAAAUAAAUAAACACCAGGAGAAAAAGGCUGAAAAUUAAGAGAAAAAAUCUGAUUUAUCAUUCUCUUAUUGAAAGGAGACAGAGAUGAAGUGAAAUCACAGUUUUAUACAACCCUUUCUCAUGAGUUAAAGUGAUCAAACAUCAAUAAUAGUUAAAUGUGUUGGUUAAAAUGAUAAAGAAUCUAAUUUUGUUAGGUAAAGUUUUAGGUUGGAGUUUUUUGGAUAGAAAAAAUAAUAGUGGAGGAGUUUUGCUUUGCGUAAAUCGACUUGAUUGAACUUCAAAUCUAAUUCAAAUUUAAUCAAAAAAUCUAAUAAUUUUAUGAAAGAUAAAAAUAAUACAAGUUAGAGAUAGAAAUUUAUACAUUAUUGGAUAAAAAUCAAAAGAAAAAUAAAGGUUCAGAAUUCAGGGAUGUAAGAACAAUUAAUGUACAAUGGCAGCAAAAUCUUUUCCUAUGGAAAAGAAGUGGAAAGCUGUACAGAUUUCAUGAUAGAAACUACAAACAUUCAAAUCAUACAAUAGAAAUGGAAAAUAUAUUAUCACUAAUCAAAUGGAAAACUAUAGGUGGUGAUUAAGUUCUCCAAUUCUCAGUUCCUCCUAGAAAAGAACUCAGAUACAAGUAGGAGAAAAUGUUCAAAAUAAAGCACAGAAAAAGAGAGAAAAAAGCCAAUCAUCUCUUCCAACUUCGACUUCGAGAUAAUGGAUCUUUGAAUCCACCAACAACCCAUGUCUCUUUGGCUGUAUCAGAAGAACAAGUUUUGUAGAAACCAAGGUCGUACUUCAUCACCACCAAGCUUUGUGUUGUUGUCUUUCUGUUUUCUUCUUCCAUUAAUGACCUUAAAUUCUUUGUUUUCUUCUCACAUUUCUUCUUGCAUUCUUCUUCUUCAUCAUCGUUUUGUAUGUUUUCUUCAUCUUUAACGUUCUCUUUUAACCAACUUUUAGCAGGAGCUGACCUACAGCGCAUAAGCAAGAGGGCAUUUGGAGGUGGAACUGCAGUUUGAGCAUCAUCAUCAACAACGUCAACGUCAUGGGACUUCCCCUUUUCUUCUUUUAAAAGUCCGUCGUUUUGAUUCUCUUGAAGCACCAUGAACCAUUUCGAGAAUACGGUUCUCGAUGCCUCCUUGUCAUCAUCAUGGAUAUGGUUAUGGUUUUCUUGAGAUUCUUCAUCUUCGUCAUCAUCAUCUUCGGUAGUGAUAUCGGAUUGAGGGAAUGACCUGAAACAUCGAAAAUCGAAACGGAUGCUCCGCAAACAGGUAAAGAACUGCAUCACUUCCUUUUUAAAACCAAGGGACUCGAUCCAACCGGGUCUCUUCUUGUGACGCCUGCUGUUGUGAAUCCUUUCAAUCUCUUCCAUCACUGAUUGCCAGGUUUUGCAUGAGGUGGUUUUAGACCUGACUUUGAUCUGCCCGGCGCAGGUGACUUUAGGGGAAGACGGUUCCGUGAUCUCGGGUCUCAUUUGCUUGUUGUUUGCCCAUAGAAGAGGGCUAGCUAAGCCUACUCCACUACCAUUCCUGGUUCUUGAUCUCUUAAUGAGAGGGUGGUGGUGAUGGCGGUGAUUGUGGUGGCGGAUGUCGGGUUCCGAUGGCCUUGCUGGACUAGAAAUGGGCUUAGGCAUUAAGGUUAAACGGGAUCGAGAUGGGAAACAUACUAGCAAAUCUGCUGAAGGAGCUCCUUUGGUUUUUCUUCCUUUCAUGGUGAUGGCAGGGCUGUUUUGAUUUUGUUUCUCUUUUGUUUCCCUCUUAUUCUCUUUGCUCAACUAACUUCAAUGGUUUCUUUUGACAUGUUGGACAAUGGGCACUUUUCAACUUUUUCUUGGCUUGUAAUUUAUUUUGAAAAAUAAACACAUAUAUUAUACACAUAAAUUAACUCACAUGUCAAUCAAUAGUCAACACAAUUUAUAAAAGAAAAAAUUUUAAAUUUUUAAUACUCAAAUUUAAGACUCAUCUAUAAACUAUUCAGAAUUCAAAUUAAAUUUAAAGUAAAUUCAUAUGUAAUAAAAUUUAAACGUGAGAUAUCAAAAUCUUUUAUUAAACCAAAGUGUUAUGUGUUUUUUUAAUGAAAAGUGUUGUGGGGUUAAGAUUAUGUUUUUAAAAUAGAAAGGAGGGAGAUGGUGGACAGCUUUAUUUACCCUUUUUUAAAUAUGUAUCUCAUUUUAAUUUCCUAUUAACUCUUUUUUGCUCUCUUUCAAAAUGGGGCCACUUUUUCACAGCUCACAAGUGGGGUUUCUUUUUGGGUCCUUACUUUUACUUUUUUUAAUCUACUAAUACAUAUUAAAACAAAUCAAAUUAGAAAAAGAAAAGGUUAAAGUCCACAAGCUUUUUUUCAUGCUCCCAUCAUCAUACCCUCAACUUGUAAGAGCCCAUGCCCUUACUUGCCAUAGUUGCCUAUACAACCAACAAAGAGUACAAUAUAUAAACAGAUUGGUCAAUUUUCAUAUAGUAAUAUUCUUAGUUUGGAUAAAAUGCAGCAUGUGAUUUGGAAAAAAGGAGUAAACACACCGGAAGAUUUUUAAGGGGAGGGAAAAUUGGGUUGAAAAUUUAAAACAAAAAAAGGGGAAAAAAGUUGAAGGAAGGUAUAAUGAGGGGGGAGGGGGGUUAAUGCACUUGAGAGCGGGGGGGGAAAGAAUGGCCCCCUCCAUCCACUAACACUUUGCUUUAAGAUUAGACUUGAUUUGCCUUUGUUUGUGAUUUUUAUUUUAGACCGUGGAAAUAUAAGUAAUCAAUCUAUUCUUGUUCAUUUUAUAGUUAUCAUUAUCAUCAUGAGAGAGAGAGAGACUAGUGGGGGAUAGGAACUAUGGAGAGAUGCUCUGUUUUGUACCAAAGUUGUUAAUUAGUGUUGCAAUAUUACUUGGUUAUUUGGCGAAUGUAAUUUUUUUUCUAGAAUGUUUCGACAACCCUAACGUUGGAUCUUAAGUUAAAGCUGGAUUUAAGCUUGUCAGCUUUUAGUUGUCCCUCCUCACUAUGCCUUUAAAAUUCUGAAUAUCAUGAGAUAUUCAUAGAUGGUAAUAGUUUAAAAUGGUGUAAAAGAAUGCAGUGCUUAGAACAGAUUUUUACAAUUUGCGUACCGAAAGCUUCUGAAUAAGUGUGGUUGCGUGAUCCGCUCGCGUCUCUGUUGUUUUUUCCAUUUUGGUAUGCAUAAAGCAAAGCCUAUAUACAACUUACGUAGGCCUUUUAGGUCUACAGAUAGACAAACGGGUAAAGUGGAUUUUUUUUGUCUACUUACAAUCUCAAUUUAACUUUUGCUUAUAGCAUUCAAACUUGAAUAAGCUAGAGGUGCUUAUGGCCGUGCCGGGCCGGGCCGGGUUCAGGCAAUGCCCAGAAAAAAUUUUAGCCUACGUCCUAGGCCCAAGCCCAGCCUGAAAUAUGGGCCUGAAAUUUUAUCUAGAUCCGGCCCGGAAAAAACUCUUAAGCCCGGUCCGGCUCGGCCUAUUUUUUAAUAAAUACUAAAAAUUUAUUUUAAAAAUAAAAAUAAAAAAUUAUUUUAAAAUAUAUUCGGGUCGGGCCGGGCCCAGGUCAAAAAGGGCCUCGUUUUUUUGCCCAAACCCAUAUUUCGGGCCUAUAUUUUUACCCGAACCCUCCCAUAUUUCGGGCGGGCUAUCGGGCCGGGCUGCCCGGCCCAUGAGCACCUCUAGAAUAAGCCCUCCCUUCAACUUUAUUUAAUAUUUUUGUCCUCAAUUUUGACUCUAACAUGAAAUGGUUUCUUCUAUUUCACCAUGUCUUGUCCACAAAUUCUAGAUAUUAUUUUUAUAAAAUUAAACUAAAUAUAUAUUAAGAAAUCUUAUUGUUAUACCCCUACAUUUCAGACACACUCCUCACACACUCACUCCUCGAAAUUAUCCCUCAAAGUAAUCUUUUCAAAAUAACUCAUUAAGUAUGAAUCCAUGUGGGGCCUAUAUGGUAAUCAUCAUUUAUUAUGUCAACUAUCACGUCCCAUCUAAAAUGAUUGAUAGUAUGUCCAAUCACCACCCUAUUUAGGUCUAUGGUGGCAAACUACUUUAAUAACCUACUCCAAGAUCACCAAUAGAAAGAUGACAUGUGGCACAUUAGGAUCAUGGAUAAGUGUAUAUAAACUCUUAGCCUCGUAUGUGAAGGGGAUUCUCUCUUUCUCUAAGCCACUCAUUAGGCUCUAACCUCCAUUUACGACGACUCUUCACGUUGUCAUAAGCUAGGUGAACCACCUAACACCAUCAUCAUCUUCGUUUUCUCUAAUCUCACCAUUAACAAUUGGUGCAAUGAGUGUAAACCACUUCCAUUGUCUGAUCUUUCAAAAUUUUAGAUGGCCAACCCAGAGGCCAGAAUCCAAUUGGACAAACUCAAGAUCAUGCCCAAAAUACCACUCAGAUUCAAACUUCAAUGUAAUAUACAAGAUCUUUUGGUUGCUAACAGGCAAGACAUAAAAAGAUAAUGAUGAUUAUGAUGAUAAUGAUGAUGGUGAUAAUGAUGAUGAUUUAGAAAAGGUUUCAUUUAUCCUAAAAGAGCAAAAUCCCAACCCGAGCGAGGAUCACCUAGACAAAAAGAUGCAAAUAUUAAACUAAGGAUCGAUAUAAAUGCACCUCUACGAAAAGACCUAAAGUACAUCCCCCAACACAUUUCCACCAGAGAAAUGGCAUGGAGAAAUAAGGUUAAACUCCUUCAAAAGGAGAUACAAGACUUGUAGGCAACACAUCUUAUAUACACAGAGUGGACCCUUAAAGCCAAUAACCCUUAAGCCCCACAUACCACCACCACUACAAGGUAUCUAACAAACUUUAAAAUCCCAAAGAUGAAGUUUGAUGGAAAAAAGGACCAUACGAAUCACAUGGCUCAAUUCAAGAGCUACAUGGAAAUAUUAGGGGCUUCGAAGGAAUUAAAGUGCAAGGCUUUUCCACUAACUCUCCAGGGUCAUGCCAUAAACUGGUAUAAUUCAUUACAGCCAAGAUUUAUUAAUAGCUUUGAUGAGCUCGCCAAAAUCUUUGUGGGUCAUUUCCUCGCCAACAAGACAACCCUUAAAUCAAAACAAAGCCUUUUAGCAUUAAGAUAGCGACAAUGGGAACCCCUCACUAAUUUCACCAAAAGGUUUAAUCUAGCUACCUUGGAAAUAAGAGACCUUACUUAUCACACACGGAUUUCUUUAGGGACCCAGAUUUAAAGAAGUUUUGGUAGUUGAUUGAGCAAAGUAGAAGAAUAGACUCUACUGGGAAUUUUUGGAAAGCCUUGUGUUUGUUAGGCAAAUAAUUAGAUUUCAAUUUUGAUUUUGUUAAGAAGGAACUGACUGGUCCUAGAGUGGGAGACAUAAUAAUUACUGAUAACUGGCUAAAAGAGAUUGGGAGACCAUGUAUAGGAGUUGUAUAUGUAGGUGAAAAGUGGACAAUUUAAAGGAAUGAAAAUUCCUUCUCAAAUUUGUCUACCAAAAAUUUCGUUUCGAAAAAGAUGAAAACUUAGAAAAGUUUUGCAUGGAGCUGAUGACGUGAGAAGUGAAGUCUAGAAGUAGAGGAAUUAAGAAAAUUGGUAAGCUUUUUAACUUUUCUGUGCUCAAGAUCUUAAGAAAAGAAUGAGGGAUAGAACUCCUAAUAAGUUUUUGAAAAGUUGAGUUAUGGGUUUAAGGUUGAAUACCUUCGAAGUAAUUGAUAUAUGACUAUCAUGCUUAGCUGUCAAGAUAAAUGAGGCUCUAGCGGUUGGGCAAGCUAAGCUGAUUAAGGAUAAUGAAGCAAUGUGAAUUUCUAUGCUUUAUAUUUGAGUAUUCGAUAAUAUCAAAUUGCUAAUUAAUAUGUGUUUAUAUUUGUUUUGUGUUGUCUAAAUCGUAGUUGUGUAUGAACAUGGUGACUGAGUACACUUGAAUGUACAUAUACUGGAUGUUUAAUUAGUUACGAUUGAAGUAUUAAUGGAUGGCGUACUACACGCUAAUGGUAAAUACAAUUAUAUAUGUGAAUUGCUUAUAAUAUAUACGAUAUGCAGGGUACGGAAGGAAGUACCAUGACGGGGUAGUUGAAGAUAGGAAUAAUUGGCGAAAAAGAGGAAUGGGCAAACUAAAAUGGAGAUUUAAAGGAGAUUGGGCGGCAUCGCAAAAUGGUAUCGACUGGCUCGCUAAAGUGACACUGUGACGACAGUCUAUCAACUCUAUGGAGCCACACUGCGACGAUGAUUUAUAGGUCUUAUGGGGCAACACCUCAAAAGAGGUAUAAUGUGUAAGGCCAUAACUCAGCUUUGGCAACAUGUAAAGUCCACGAAAACAUUAAAUAUGGGGUAUAAUAUGUAAGAACAUAGCUUGGCUAUGGCAACAUGUGAAGUCUACCAAAACAUUAAAUAUGGUGUAUAGUAUGUAAGACCAUAGCUUGGCUAUGGCAACAUGUGAAGUCCACCAGAACAUUAAACAUUGGGUAUAUUAUGUAGGACUAUAGCUGGGUUAUGGUGCCAGAUAGAGUUUCCUGGGAUGGUGAACCAAGAAACUAGACAAGCAAAGAAAGAGGAAUCAUUAUAAGACACAUGCGAAGAGUAGUACAAUUGGAUGAUUACGGCAAGUCUGAGAACGCAAGUAAGUGGGAAGGUAAGGAAAUCUGCCAAACUAUAAAGAGAAUAGUUGAAAGAAAUAUCCAAGAAUGCGAGUAAGCUUACUAAUAUGGGAACCUGCCAAGUUUGACAGAAAAAGGAAUUGAGCUUAAAUGUGGGUUUAUCGAGGUAGAGGAAAUAGAAGGGGUAUCCUAUUCUGGGUAAAGGGUAUCUGUCAUUAUUAAUUCACCAGUGGUUAGCGAGUAAUAGAACAUUGAGUAUAAUAAGUGGGUCAACAAGGUAGAUUCUAAGAUAAAGGGUAAGAGCAGUAAGUUCACCAAUGAUUUGAUAAAAAAGGGUGUUAGAAUAAGACUAUGUAGGUUUAUUAAAGGUGGAGACCGCCAGGAAUUUUUGGGUAGAAAUAGUCCGCUAGGGACAGUCAAUAAUUUGGAGCAUCUUAAAAAGGUUAGACCAAGGAGAGUAAACACUCUAAGGGUCACGUUACGGAUGUGAGCCCGCCAGGAAGGAAGUGGUGUUGAUUUAUUCAGCCAACUGACUUAUUGAGUUCGCAGAAUAGAAUGAUAGAAGGAGACCUUAUCCAGAAAAUGAGGAAUCAGGCAUAGGUCAAGUCAAAAGUUUAUCUCCGCUGAAGUAAGGGGAUAAGAUGAUAUGAAUUCCAGGUGGAUCAAGGAAGGGAUUCACAGUUGUGGCAAAGUCUAAAUUAAAAUGCUAGUAAGUUGCCAAACCUGUGAAUGUAUCUAAGGGAUUUCCGAGUAAGGCAUACCCUAAUAGGUUCAAGAAAAUCUUGAGAUAACGACAAACAGGGUUAAGGCCCAUAAGAAAAUGAGAUACUAUCCUUGAUACAGUAAAAUAAGCUUCAAGAAAAGCUUGAAGAUGGUUUUGCAAGUGAUAAUGCCCUUUGACAGUACGUUCUGUAACACCCCGAAAGUUGUUAUAGUAAGAAAAUGAGAUACUAUCCUUGAUACAGUAAAAUAAGGAAAUAAAGUGAAAAAAGGGGCUAUUUUGAGUUAUGUAAAGAAAUUUUCUUAGGAAGUAUAUUAUGAUGUAUUAAUUCAGUAAAGGACUAAAUCGCAAAAGUGAGAAAAGUUUUGUUGCCCAAGAGUAAAUACUAAAAAUUUGAGUGGUUAAAAUGUAAAUAUGGAAAAUUUGAAGGAUCAAUAGUGAAAAUAUUUUAAGGGUGGAAUGAUCUAGAAAAUAAGGAAAAUGGAUGAAUUAGGACCAAAUUGAAUAAGUGGAAAAAGUAUGAGGGGUUAAAUCGUAAUUUUCCUGAAAUAAGUGAUGAUUCAAUGGAAGAAUUUUGAAGGAUCAUAAGGGGCAAAAUGAUCAUUUAUCAAAGAUAUUUUGAAGAGUAAUGAUGAUGUUGGUGAUAUUUUAAAUUAAUUAAAUAGAUAAAUAUUAUUUUAUUAAUAUUUUGAUUUUACAUUUAUUUAUAUUUUAUUAAUUUUUACUUAGUAUAUAAGGAAAGAAAGAUGAAGAAUUCUCUUUAUCUUUCCAUGCUUCCAACGUGAGAAGAAGAAAAGAAAGAUUUCUUUUCUUUACAAUUUAGUCCUUUCACCAAAAAUCCACCAUUUUCACUUAGAAAUCAAAAGAAUUUCCAUAGCCACCAAGAGAGAAAAAUAAUAAGAAGAAUAUUGGGAACUAGAAUAUCAAGUUAUAUUCAAGAAAAUAGAAGUUGAAGGAGAGAGAAAGUCAAGUUAAAGUUUGGUUUAAAGAGAAUAAGUGUAACAACCCGCUUUAGACCCUAGUCGAAUAGUGGUUUCGGGACCACAAAUCUGAGUUAGAAAAAUAUUUUAAUAUUAUUUUCCAUGAUUAUAGUAUGUGAAUUUGACAUGUGUGAAAUUUUCAUGAUUUAAUUUAUCCGUUUGUGUGCUUAAUUUGUGAAAAGGGCUAAAUCGCAUAAAAAGUAAAAGUGGCAUUCUCAUUGUUAAUAUGCUAAUUUGAUUUAUGUUAAGUCCUUAAAAGGUUAAUAUACCAUUAAAAGGUUAGUGGAUAUUUAUGUCCAUGAUUCAAGUGAUUUAUAUUAAGAUUUCAUUAAGGUUAAAAUAGUAAAAAGCAUAAUAACAUGAAAUUAAAUAAAACAAAAAAAAUUAAAGUGGCCAUACAUUCAUCUUCUUGGCCGAAACUAGAGAAGAAAAGAAAGCUUUGAAAGCUUUGAAAUGUUCGGCACUUUGGAAGCUUGAAUUAGGUAUGUGUUUUGCUCGGUUUUCGAUAAUUUUUACGUUUUUGAUAUCGUUGCUUCGAAUACUAGCUAGCCCAUGCUUGAAUUUUUGAAUUGGUUAUGUAUUUUGUGAUUUUCCAUUGAUGAGAGAUUGUUGUUCUUGUUGUUUGAUGAUGGAAAAUUAUAAAUAAGUUGUUAGAUUAUUAUGUUUAAUUAAGUGAUUUUUAGUAAAAAUGCUUAUUUAGGAUUAAAUUGUGAAUUUUGUAAAUUUAAAGGUCAAAAUGCAAAAUAAAUGAAAGAAAUGGGCUGCUACGGACCUUAGUGAAUUUCAGCCAAGCUUGGGUGUGGUGAAAUUUUGAAUAUUUUGUGUUUUGUGAAAUAAUGACUAAAUUGUGAAAAAUGUGAAAUGUUAGGGGCUAAAAUGAAAUUUGCCCAUUUAUGUGUUUUUGGAUGAAUUUGAAUAAAUAUAUGGUCAAACAAGUCAAAGUUGUAUUUAAUUAGAUCAAGAAAAGAGAAAAUCAGAUUUGCAUUAAGGGAAUACAAAAGUUGUCGAAUUGUCAUCUCGGUUUAUUCGUCAUCGUCCGAGGUAAGUUUGUAAGUAAAUAAAUGUCGUUAAAUUUGAAUGUAUAUGUGUUAUAGAUGCUGACUUGAAUUUUAAUGAAUAUAUGUGUAAAUGCCGAGUUGUUUUUAAGUAUGGGAGAAUUGUUUACGAGCUUAAUUCGAAUGAAUUACGACAUUUGAAAGCCCAUACGAACCAUAGGAUUCUGAUGUGUGAUAUCAUGUAAGAUCACGUCUGGGACGUUGGCAGUGAUUUGAGAUUUACGUGUAAGACCAUGUCUGGGAUAUUGGCAUCGUAUAUGAUUUCGUGUAAGACCCUGUCUGGGACAGUGGCAUCGUUAUUUGAUUACAUGUAAGACCACGUCUGGGACGUUGGCAUUGUACGAGCUUUUUGAACUAUUCGAGUAUCCUUUUUGAUUUCGAAUGGUUCAACAGGAAAUGAUACGGCAAAACCGAAUGUGAGUUCGAAUUAAACGAUUCAGGUAUGUUUGAGUUAUAUGAAGUUUGGAAGUAAAGGUAAGUAUUGUGGUAUAGCAGGAAAAUGUGAACUAAUCACUUAAAUAUGAUUAUAUAUAUGUGUGUGUGUUUAAGAUUGGGAGUAUUCGGCCUACUUGUAUGAAUUAUAUAUGUUCUUUGAUAAAUUAUUUGCUUAUGACUUUCUAAGCUAUUUAUGCUUACUGUGUGUUUGUUCGUUCAUUGUUUUAUAGAUUUUAGAAGCUAGUUACGAGCUCGGGGAUCGUAAAGGAAAUCCGUCACACUAUCGAACGCUAUUUUGGUGUUUUUAAAAGCUUGAAUUAUGAACUUAUGGCAUGUAUAGGCUAGCAUUUGUUUAGGUUGGUUUUGAAAGCGUAUACAUGUAUAAGCUAGUCUUAUCAUGUUUGAGUUGAAAUUGUAUAUAUAUAAACCAUGCAAAAAUGGCUUGAUAGUUAUGCUUGAGUUUGGUUAUGUUUGAUUAUGGUUUAAGCUUAUUGUGGUAAGUAUGUUUCAUAACUUGGAUGAAUGGUAAUUUGGUUAUAUUAUUUGUUAGCAUAUGUCAUGAAUGCCUUGUAAUAGCUCGUCGAGCAUGCUUGUUAUAUGGUUAGAUUUGAAUUUAUGGUUAGUUUAUAAUUCGACCUUAAAUGAGGUAAAAUGAUGAAUUUAUAUUUGAUUAUGAUGUUAGGGCCUGUGCAAAUUGAUCAUCGUCUAAGAUUAUUUUGGAAGUAUUAUGUAUGAUUUUAUAAUGUGGAUUGGCAUGAGUUGGUAUGAUAAGUGUGUAUUGAAUGUGAAUUGGCAAUAUAAGGUUGGGUGUUAAAUGUCAAUCAAUGAAAGUGUUUUAGGUUCAUUUUGCUAGCCGAAUGGAUAAGAAGCAAUUGGUCUUGUGUGAUAAUUUGGUACAAUGCAUAAUAUGUGUAAUAAACAUGAUUUGAUUCGGCAUUUGUACUUAUGAGUUAAGGUGAUUUGGUUUGAUUUCAUGAUUAGUUAAUAAGUGAAUUAAUGCAGGUUUAUAUUUGGCUUGUAAUAGGUUAAAUUAACAAUUUAUGUCUAUGAAUCAUUAGUUGUGAAAUGAUUAACUUUGUUAUGACUAGGAAAUGACAUAUUUUUAGUUUAUGAUUGUAUGGCAUAAUUUGUUCAAGGUUAUUAUGGAUAAUUCUGCAUCGCAGUUUAUUAUAGCUAUGGUUUUUAUAGUGACUUGCACAUAUUUCAAUAAAGCUAAAUGUACAUAGAAUUAUGUCUUAAUGUUAGUUAAAGGUUUUAUAAGUUAAUGAUAAUAUAACCAUGUGAUACGGAUUGGUAUGGUUACUUAUAUGCAUAGUUUAUAAAAUGAAACAUACAAAAUUUUAAAUUAAGUGUUCAAUAUUUGAUUAAGUUAUAAGCAUUGAUGUAAUUGAAUUUUGAAUUGUGAACUGAAAUGAUUAUCUGUAUGAACUGUGAUAUGAUCAGUAAUGCCUCGUAACCCUAAUCUGGCGAUGGAUACGGGUUAGGGGUGUUACAAUAAGAGAGAAGUUGAGUAAGUGAAUCAAGUGGUAGGAGAAGAGUAAAACAAGAGAUUUUGAUAGAAAAAAUGUAAGUACCCAUGAACUUCCUUGUUAUUUAAGGAUUAAAAUGUGAUCUUUGUAUAGUAAGUGGUAAUUAAGUAAAAAUAAUAAUGUGAAAUAAUUUCUUAAGUGAAGUAGGAAAUUAUAAUAAAAGUAUAAUAGUUGGGUUAUUUGCUAUCGAAAAAUAUACAAGGUUUUAGAUAAGUAAAAUCAUGGGAAAAAAUGUGAAAUUUUAUGGAAACAAUGACUAAAUUGAAAGACUAAAUUUUAUGUGAAAUACAUGUGGUGGAAAUAAUACAAGUGAAAUACAUAGAAAUUUGAUGUGGAAAUUGAGAUAGUGGAAUUAAUUAUGUGAAUUAAGUGAGAUGUGAAAGAAAGAAAAAUGUUUAAUAAUGAAUAGAGAACUUUUAUGGAAAAAAUGAUUAAAUUGGAUAAAAGUUUACAAGAAACUAUUGAUAAUAAAGCACAUAGUGGAAAAUAAAAGAAUAUAUGAAUUUUGUAAUCCAAACUACAAUUAUUUCCUAAGUUGUGGAAAUUAAAGGUUAAAUCGUAAAUUUGGGAAAAUUCAUAUUAGAAAUAGAAAAAAAAGAAGUGCAUAACACUUAAAAUGAGAGAAAAAAAGUGAUGUUGUAGUAAAUUUUAGAAUAUUAAUAAGUAUUGAAUAAUGUUAUAUGUGUUAUUAAAAGUAAAAUAUAUUGUUAUAUGAGAUAUUAUGCUAAGGACUAAAUUACAAAAUAUAUAAAAGUGAUAUGUGAAAUACAUGAUAAGGAUUAUUAGUGAAUUAUAGAUGAAUAUUGAACUUAGAGAUAUAUUACAUGUAUUAAAGAUAGUGGAAGAUAUAAGUAUAUGGAUUAUUGAUACAAGGACAAAAUUUGUAAAAAAAAGUAAAAUUGUUAUAUAAAAGUGUAAAAGUGAUAUGUCUGUAUGAUAUAAUUUGCCCGAGUAGAUGAGAUUAGAACUAUUGGGAUAUAGAUGGCAUGCCAUUAAGGAAAUUUUAGAGCUCUUAUCGUCUUGCACUUUAGCGCUUACUAUUUCGCACUUCAAUGCUUACUAUUUCGCACUUCAAUGCUUAUCGUUCUGCACUAUAGUGCCUAUUGUUUUGCACUUCGGUGCCUACUAUUCUUGUAACACCCCAAAAUUUUAAUUUUGGGUAUUGUGAAUGGUUGACACAAAAUAUUUGUCUGCUUUAGUGGUUAUGUGUUUUGGGUGUGUUUGGGAGGUCCCAAGUUCAAGCCAGAACUUGGGCAAAUUUUGGUAUUUUUAUGAAUAAGCCCUAUCUUUGGUCAGUAAGCUUUUAAGUAAAAGUUGGAAAAUAAUUAAUAGAAUGGGCUUGAUGGUCUGGUGGAUAAGUGGAGUGUUGGUGUGAAGGAGCUCUUGUGUUUGAAUCUCUACGUGGGCAAGAGAGAGUUAUUUUUGCUUAGUUUGGUGACUGAGAGUUUGAGUUAUGAUUGAUAAUUGAAUAGUGGGUGGUUGAGAUAAUGUGGGUAGUGAGAUUGAGUGAAUCAGUUUCCCCAAAAGUCCUCUUUGUAACCAACGUCUAACUCCCUCCUCUGCCAGUUUUUUUUCUUUGCUACUCUUUUCUCUAUCUUUUGUCUCUAUAGCCGAAUUUACUUCUCCUUCCCCACCAUUUUUGUUUUCUUUAUUUUGCAAAUCUUCUCUCUGGGUGUAUCCAUCGAUUUCAUCUGUUUUGGUAAGUUGGGUAAGCAUGUUUUAGUUUCGAUAUCCUUGAAUCAGUAAUUAAUGGAAUUAUUUCGUGUUUAGGAGACUCUUUGGCGGCUAUGGAUUCCAAUCGGUGCCAAGGAAGUGCGAUUUCGUUAUUGUAUGUUCAAGGUAUGAGUUGUUGAAAAUAUUUGGGGAUGGUUUGUUCUUAAUAAUUCAGUUUGGUAUCGGUUUAAGUGACUGAAAUUGGUAUUUGGAUGGUCAAAAAUAGGUUUUGGAGUGCUCGAGGAUCGUUUUAGCUUCAAUUGAAACCAGGUGUGUACCCGAAACGCAGAAAAUGAGAUUCGGCGAAAAGCCGAAAUUGCUUGCGGCACUAAAAUAGUUUUGGACGGCAGCAGUAGGCUAACUUUGAAAAAUCACCAUAAAUUAUGGAAAUCGAAUUAUAGGAUGAAAAGAAUAUGUAAUUAAAGCUUAUUGAGUCUAAUUUCUCAUAGAAGAAACAGUGUAAGUAAUGAAAUUGUAAAUCGUGAGAUAUAAUAAACUUUGUGAGACAAGGUCAGAAUGAAUUUGGGUUCCCUUGUUCUGACUUUGGAAAAUCAUCAAAAAUUGGAGAAAAAUAAUUAGGGGUUAAAAUUUAAAAUUUUAAAUUAUUAAUGAGUCUAUUUUCAAUAGAAACAAAUGGAAAUUUCAUCCAAAUUUUUUACUAAGAGAUAAUUAAAUUUUAGCAAAGAAGGGUUGAAGCUGUCAGACAGCAAAACAGGGGUAAGUUUGAAGAUUUUACUGUACUUAUUGGCUGAACUAAAAAAUCUAAAUUUUUUUUUGUAGAAAGGUAUUUGAGUCUAGUUUCAAAGACAUCAAGCAGGUUUAAAUUUGGAAUUUUGUAGCUCAAUAUAUAAAUAAUUUAGUAACAGUGACUCAAGUAGACAACUUUGAAGGAACACACAAGCAAAUAGUGAAAACAUAUAUGAAUAUUUAGCUAGCACGGGUUACAUUAAAAAUGGAUCACGAGGCCAAGGCCAACUUGGAUCGUGUGGGCCACAUUAGCGUGUGAGCCCAUUUUUUGAAAAGUUUUGUAAGGUUUCACGAGUCGCCCAAGUCGACUGUGGACCUAUUGUAGGGUCGGUAAGCUUUACUUAGACUCCUAUAUAUGUGAUCUAUCGGUCUGAUUUCUAUACCGAGCAUGACUUAUGAUAUAUGAAUGUAUGUACUAUUAAUUGCAUAAUGGCAUGUCAUAUUUUGUAUGUUGCAUUGCAUCGAGGUGGGUUGAUAAUAUUUGGAGAAAGUAUCUGAAAGGCUAUUAAGCCUAUUAUCUGGCAACUCAGCUGCAACCUAUUGAUUAUGUGCCGCAUUUCAGUACAGCAUGGUGUGUAAGGAUGGGUGGGUUGAUUUAAUCCCCACUAUGUGUGUAGGGUUGCACGGAGAUGGUGUGUAGAGGCUAGUGGGUAGGAUUCUAAUUUACUGUAUCUGCAUUCUGUAUCUGAUAUGGGCCAAGGCCCUAAUGUAUUUCUGAGACUGUAUCUGAACGAGGUAAGGCCCAAAUUGAUUCUGUGAUGGACCCAGGCCCCAGAUUGUAUCUAACUAAAUUCUGUUGAAUAUCUGUAUGCAUGUUUUCUGUGGAGAUUACAAACUGAAUUUGCGAAAACUCACCCUUUUUUCUGUUUGAUCUAUACAGGUAAUCCCCAGACUUGACAGGUCGGUGUAGCGGAGGACUCGACGGCGGUCACACGUAAAUUUUAGACUAUUUUUCAUUAAUGUCUAGAAUUUAUUACUUAUUUAGGGUUUUUUAUGUAACUUUUGGACUAUGGAAUGGUUGGCUUUAAAUUUGGGACUUUAUACUGUUUUUAUGGGUUUUUUUUAACUGUAACUCAACAAAAACAUGGUUUUUCUAAAAACUAAGGUUUUUGUAAAUAGAAACGAUUUUCCCUAAAUUAAUUGGUGGCAAAAGCUUCCACUAAGAGACAAGUUUUAUAGCAAAUCAACUAGUACUUAUUUUUCUGAAUUAAAUAAAAGCUAACUAACUGUAACGGUUUUAACUCGACAAUCUUGUCUUCAAAUCUCAUUCCAUGUGACAUCGCCAAAUUCGGCCAUAACGUCUAGGCCAGGUUUGGGGUGCUACAGUUCUAUUAGUGCAGCUCUAUAUCAAUUUCAUAUAUCCUAAGUGUUCUGUUUAGUCUACUGGGCCUCUGCUAAAAACAAAUAAACAAUUUUUGUUACAAGGUAAAGGUAUAUCUUCGAUUAAUGUUCGAAAUAUUGAAUCAGUAAAGAAAAGAUAUAAGCAAAUCAAAUGUAUUUGAGGGAGUAUAAGAAAGACAAUAACUAGUAAGUUAAAUAUGUAAAAAUAAAUUGUGAAAGAAAUAGUGAUUGAAUUAUGAAAAAUUAUACUAAGCAGUGAAACAUGAUACAUGUAUUAAAAAAAAGUAGUAAUAUCUAUGGGUUGAAUUGAGGUUUUAAGGACUAAAAUGUGAAAUAAGUAAAAAUUUACAAAUGAAUAUGAUAAUAAGAAAUUGGAUGUAAUAUGGUAAAUAAACAAAGAAAAGAGAUAUUGGGAACUAAGGAUUUUAAUAGAUUUUGAAUUUCAUGGGUACUUACUAAGUCUUCACCGACUUAACGAGUUUACUUUCAACACGUAGGUACAGUGAUUUUGAAGUGUCGUAGUUGAGGUCAUGGACAUCCAUCUCAUCACAUCUCUAAGUGCCAAGAGGGUAUAUUUCAUAAUUUGGAAGACCAAGUGUAUUCCAAGUAGUAGGGACUAAAAUAUAGUUAUAAAAACCUUACUUAUUUUGGAGUCUAAAGAUGAACUUUGGUAAUAUUUGCAUUGAUUAAUAAAAAUCUAAAUGCAUACAUGCAUAAUUGAUGGGAUACAUGUUAAAUAAGGUUGAUUUGGGAUUGUUUUGAAUUGGUUUUUAAACUUUGAAACAGCUCGAAAACUGUGCAGGGGAUUUUUAGCAAUUUUUCCAAGUGUUUUUUCCAACAAAAAUUACCUAAGGUAUUGAUACCUAGAGCUUGAUUUUGAAAAUUUCCAAAACAGAAUGCACUUGUGGUAUCGAUUUUUAGGUUGGUCUCGAUAAUGAAGGAAAAGUAUCGAUACUUAAGACAAAGGUAUCGAUAUUUUGCCCAUGUUUUGUGCAAAAGUCAUAUUUUAAACAUUUCUAGGCAUAGAAUAAUAUCUGGUAAUGUCCCUGAACAUUGAGAAUGAUAAUAUAAAAUUAAUUUAAUGAAAAUUUUAUUUUUUUCUUAACAUUUAAUUUUAUUAGUGUUUAGCUAAAAUCACUUUGGCACCAAAUGUAAUAUUUCUAUAUCAGGUUCCUUGGGUUGAACCGGGUAUAGGGGUGUUACACGUUCGGAGAAAACAAGCUAAUGGCUACGAUGGAUAAAAUUUCGGGUCUUCCUACACAUUCUAAGGACUUUCUUAUUUGUGCUUUAAGUUUCAUGUUCCUUAAUUUUAAAGGAAAUCUUCCACGAAAAUCAAAGUAUAGGAUCUCACUAAGUUCUCUUGAACUUAUAACGUUUUCUGCUUCUACGUAGGUUAAGUUAUGUCUGGGAAAUUUUAGUGGAGGGACCAAGCUAGACAUUGCUUAUUUCAAGAGAUGGGUGUGGUUGUUGAUUCAUUUAUAUAGAGGGGCAUCCCUAGAGGCCACGCCAUUGGUUCUAUAUAAGCUUUAAUAAUAGUUAGAUUUUGUAAAAUUUAUGUCGUUUACGUAUGUAAAUUAAGCAAAAUCAAAAACAUCGUUAAGUUAUUUUGGUUAUUGUAUCAUCUGAUACCUAGACCUGGCGAUCAGGCCGGGAAUAAAGUGUUAUAUUACUAAUGAUUGGGCAAUCUUAGACUACAUUGUCAGUGUAGAACCCUUUAUCCUACCUGUUAACAGUUACAGAAAAAGUGUGUCACAUUAAAAUAUACAAUUCUAAUCUCUAACCCUAAUUUACUUUUCUAACUCCAUAAUCUCUUUCAAAAGUCCAUCAUUUAUCAAGUUUUGAUUAGAGAACCUUAAUUUCUUUUUUUAGAAUAUUUUCACGCCAAAUUAUGAUUUAAAAAACAAAGGUAUCAAUAUCUUAUUCAUAAGUUUUAGAACAUGUACUAGAUUACUAUUCAUUUUUAGCUUCAAAGUCUUCAUGUAUCGAAACUUUGAAACACAUGUAUCAUGUAACAGCCUGUCUGGCGAAGUCAUGGUAUCUAGUUACUAUUUGGAGUCUUGGUAAAAUAAGUGUAGAUAUGAGUAAGUAUAGUUUUAUUUUGUCUAAGUAUAGGAUUCUUUGUAUGCGUCACUUGACGAACUUUUACCUUUGGUGUAGAUCUAUGGUUUGACAGACUCUUUUGUUAAGUGUAAGCCACCCAGAUGCUUUAGCAAGAAAAUUUUGUUAGUUAAGUUGGGAUUUAUUUACUUAAGUUGAGAAUUGAACUUGGUGAUUAUUCUACAACUCUCAAAAGUUCUUCAAGUAUCACUUUACUUCGAGGCUUAAAGUUAUCCAUGUAGCUUUCCUCGAGGAAAGUAGUACAAGUAGAAACUUCGAUCGUAUUAUCUUUCAGAUUGUAGAAUAAUCCACCCUUUGUUUCUUUCAGAUAUCUUACAAAUAUGCAUAAUUCUGUCCGUACACCCAACUUCUUUGCAUCCUUAUUUAGAACGUGUGUUGGACAACCUCAUAUUCUAAAGUAAUUUAAAGCGGGUUUCUUUCCAUGCGAUAAUUCAUAAGGUGUCUUGCAAGUAGACUUGGUUGGCACAACAUUUAAAAUAUAGUAAGUCAUUUGUAUUGCAUAAUCCCAAAAGGAAGUAGAGAGUUGUGAAUAUCUUAAUAUUGAACGAACCAUGUCAAGUAAGGUUCUAUUCCUUCUCUCAACUACGUCAUUCUACUGUGGAGUGUCCGGUGUAGUCAACUGGGAUAAAAUCUCAUUCUCUAUAAGGUAUCCUAAGAACUCGUCAGACAAGUAUUCCCCACCUCGGUCAGUCCGAAGAUUCUUUAUGGAUAAACCUAAUUGAUUUUUCACUUUUGUACGAAACUCUCAAAUUUUAUCAAACAUUUCGUUGUUGCAGUGCAUUAGAUACACAUAUCUAUAUUGAGAAUAGUCGUCGAUAAAAGUCACAUAAUAAUCAUAACCCCUCGGACACUGAUGCUCAUGGGACCACAUACAUCAGUGUGCACAAAUUCUAAAGGUUGGUUGACCUUUAUACCUUUUGCAUUAAAAGACCUCUUAGUCAUUUUACCUUCCAAGCAAUAUUCACAUUGUGGAAGAUUAACUUCCAAGUAGAGAUUGUUUUUCAUCCAUCCAUUAUAAAUUAAUGAAUGAUAUCUAUGAAUAGCAAUCCAUUUAUUGAAUGUCACAGUAUAACUGUCAUAAAAUAAACAUGCUACAAAAUUUAAAUUCAUCUUACAAUAAGGUACAUAAAACACAUUCUUUAAAAUAAUCUUCCUAAAAUUAUCAAAACGUAAAAUAACUUCUCCCACUGUUUUGGCUGAAACAUAGCUCUCAUCUCCGAUCCGCAACAAGAGGCAUUUGUCACACAAAAUUCUCGUUUCGCUGAACCCCUGUAAAGAAACACACACACGGUUAGUGGCUCCAGACUCAAUAACCCAGUUAUUAAUUGAUUCUUCCACUAAGUAAGCUUCAACCACAAAGAAUUCCAUACCUUUGUCUUUUUCGGCUAGGUAAUCCAAAUAUUUCGUGCAGUUUGAUCUGAAAUGCUCUUUCCUAUUGUAGAAGAACCAUUUGAUCCUUUUAGUAUCUUUUGACUUCUUAGUCUUCUUCCUAUCCACACGAGGUGGAACAAAAAACUUAGUCGGUUUCUUCUUUCCCUUAGCUUCCAGCUUCCUCUUAGAGGAUUAGAGGCUUACAACUAAGUUUGCCUUAGGUUUCUCCUGAACCAGUUUACCACCAUUCAACAUCAACUCAUAAUAUUGUAAUUCCUUCAUGAGUUGAAUCAAGGUAAGCGCCUUGUUCCCCAAGUUGUAAGCGGCCUUAAAGCCAAAAAACUCCUAGGUUAAGGAUUUGAACACUAUUUCAAUCUGAGUGUUCACAUCUAGUUCAGCCCCAUUGUCCUCCGUUUUCACAAAAAAAUCACAUAAGCUUAAGCAUAUGUUCUUUGAUCGGAGUGUCGGGUUUCUGCUGAAAGUUCAUCAAAUUUGUAAUAGCGAAUUGUCGAGCCAAUGCAACUUGGCCUCCGAGCAAAUCCUCCAAAUUUAUCAUGAUCUCUUUGGCAAUACAAAAAUUCUUGUGUUGCUUUUGCAACACGUUACUCAUGCUCGCUAACAUAUAACAUUGAUCAAUUGAGUUAGAAUCUCUCCAGCGAUUUCUCGCUUUGGGCUAAGCUUCAGGAGGGCAUGUUUCAUCAAGAACGAAUUUUUGUUUCUUACAGUUGAGAACUAUUAGUAAGUUUCAUUUCUAUUCUCGAAAGUUAUCCCCAUCCAAUUAAUGUACAUAUUUUAUCGAUGCUUAAAAAAGUUAUGAUAUUUUAAAUUAAAAAAUGUUUUCAAUAUUUAUUUUUAAGAUUUGAUUUAAUAUAGUUUGAUCUUUGAAAUUGUAAAUUUAUUUAAAUGUUUUUAAAAUAUUUUUCAAAAUUACAAAAUUUCGAUUUUAUUGAUUGGUUUUAAAAAACUAAUUAUGAAAUCUAUAUAAGAGAUGUUUUUAAAAUAGUGUCUUUUAGAUCUGUUUUUAAUUUUUUUUUUAAAUCUCUAUUUUAAUUUAUUUAAACAGUUUAAUCUCAUUAAUCUAUUACAUAUUUUAAAAUUUAAUUUCAAGUUUAAAAUUUUAAAUCGGUUUCAUUACAUUUUUAAUUAUUUAAAUGUUGUAUUAAAUAAAUAUAUAAUUUUUUUAGGGUAAAAAUAUAUAUAAUUUUUGUAAUUAUAUAAAAGAAAAUUUCAAUAAUGUCAGGAAAAAUGGACUUACAUUUUAAAAAGUUACAACUAGAGUAAAUUGUGAAAAUUUUAAUUAUGUUAUUAAAAGUAUACAAAUUUAAUAUUAUAUUACUAUUGUUAAGUAAAAUAAUAUUAUUAUAAUAAAUUUUGUUAAAUAACUUAAAACUACAAUAUUAAUAUUUCAAUUUUCAAAUUAUUUUUAUUUAAAACUUAAAUAAUGAUAAAUUAAGCGCAUAAAAGAACAACUAAUUUAAUAAUACAUUUGAAUCUCAAAUUAUGAUUUAUUGAUUAGGUGUGUGCUUUUUUAAAAAAUAAUUUGAGUUUAAAACAUCAUUUUGUUGAGUAAUUUUUUGUCUGUCUCAUUAGAGGGAUAAUUGAAUAUUUAUAUGUGUAUACAUAAUUAAUGUUCAUAGAAUUGACGCUCUUAGUAGACUCUAUGCAUUCUAGACACGUGUAUUGCUCUAGGCUGCCUGCUGGACACUCCUUGGGCAUCUGCAAGCCGAGACUAUGAGCUCCCCUUAUGAACACCCCCUGACAUGUGCAAGUUGAGUGCGUGAGCUCCCCUUGCGAGCUUCAUACUAUAAGGCUUGCAUGUAUCCAUCUGGUGGGCUCUAGCUAGGUUGCGGGUAGGCAACCCAGACCCUAUCAAAACUUAAAUAAUGAUAAAUUAAAUGCAUAAAAGAACAACUAAUUUAAUAAUACAUUUGAUUCUCAAAUUAUGAUUUAUUGAUUAGGUGUGUGCUUUUUUAAAAAAUAAUCUGAGUUUAAAACAUCAUUUUGUUUAGAAAUUUUUCGUCUGUCUCAUUAGAGGGGACAACCGAAUAUUUAUAUAUAUACAUAACUAAUGUUCAUAGAAUUGGCGCUCUUAGUAGACUCUAUGCAUUCUAGACACGUGUAUUGCUCUUGACUGCCUAUAUAACCCAUUUAAAAAUACAAUACUAGAAUUAUGAAAGGUAACAAUAGAUUUAUUACUCGAUAUCAUUUUCAUUGGGAUGUAUUCAAGGUAAAUAAUAACUAAAUGUAAUAUAUUUAUUUGUUUUUAAAUUAAAAAUUAAUCUAUUUAAUUAAAGGUUUAAGGGUGUAAAAAGUCCUCAAAUUAUUUCCAAAAAAAAAACAAUUAAGCCCCUCUUUUUUUUUUCCUUUUUUUGCACUUAAUUGGAUACUUGAACUUUCAAAAUGCAUCAAAAGUCCCUCAAACCUUUUAAAAAAAUAAUUAAACCCUUCUUUUUUGCACUUAAUUGGAUAUUUGAACUUUCAAAAUGCAUCAAAAACACUCUCAAACUUUUUCAAAAAAACCCCUAUUUUUAUUAAAAAUUAGAAAAAAAUAUAUAAAAAUCAUAAAAAAUAUAAAAAUUGUAAACUUUUAUAAAAACCAUAAAAAAUAUAAUAACAUUUUAUUUAAAAUUUAAUAAUUUAUUUAAAAUUUUAAUUUAAUUUGUCAUUAUCUAUUUUUGAGAUUAUUUUGUAGACAAGACAUUUGUGCAUUGGUUUGUACUAUGUGCCAUAUAUUUGUAUUAUUAUUGUUCAUUAUUAUUAUUGUUCAAGACAUCGUGCAUUUUUAGGGUAGCCUCAAGGUAUUCGUAUUACAUUAACGAAUAUAAAAAUAUCAACAACCCCUCAGAGUAUUAACGUCUCGUUUCGUAUAGAAAAAAUAUAAACUCAUUAAAAAUAUUUUAAACAUAUCUAAUUAUCAAUUAUAAUUCACAUUUAUUUUCUCAUUUCAGACCCUAUCAAAUGACUUUGACUCAAGGAUGGAUGCACAGAUUGAACCACCAACAAACACCAUAAUACGAACAUAAUUGCUAAUCGGGUGUAAUGCACUGGUUCCACCAAUCACACCAGAAUACACUCCUACUCCCAGGGUAUUGGAGAACUAUCAGAUAGUAAUACAUGUUCUACGCUAGAUCUCUCACCUACAAAAUAGACUGUAUGACAUGUCAACUAUACUUGAAACUCUAUCUGAUAUUGUUAAUAGGCAUCAUUCAUCGUUAUUAAUCAUUGAAACACAUUAUAAUUCAAGAUUAUAUGAUAUUAUCAUAAUAAAAUCUCAUUGUCACAACCAUACAUACACAUAUUUCAAGCGUAAUCUAAUCGACUCAAUCAAUCAAGUUUAUACAUACCUCGAGUCAUGCUUAACAUCGAUAUUAUUCGAUUAUAUUAAACUACCUAUUUAAGCAUAAAUUGAAAUAAAAUUAUGAGAGUGCAAACGGGAAUUACUAUUUGUCAACGACUUUCGUUUUUCCCUUGUUUUUGGACAUCUCGGCGUCGCCUUUAGUUACGUUCGAUAAAUUCGAUUAGGAAAAUCAUUAAUUUCACACAUUAAAUAUAAAAUUUGAUACAUGCACGAAUGAAGUGAAAUUUAUUAAAUUGCAUUCACCGAAGCACUAGUUUUUAAGUUUGGAAAAAUCAAUCCACUUGCAACGAAUUUUUGGAUGGGGUCCAAAUAUUUCUGGGUUGAGUUGCCUUCAUAAUGUUUGAAUAUCUACCUCUAAGCUUAGUAUUGCACUUUAAAUCACUUGAUUUCGAAUUUAGGAGCUCAAGUUAUGAUUGUUUUAGUGAAGAUCGCGUUAGUAUAAUUUUUGAACGAGAUUAUUACGGAAAUAACAUGAAAACACACUAAACAUUUAUUAAAGCAAGAACUUUAAACUAAGCAAAAAUAAUAAAAGACACAUAAAUUGUUCAAGAAUAAUCUCCUUAAGUGUAAUGGAGAGCCUAAUUUGACGUAUUAAAUUACAUGUUCUGGUCUUUUCUUUAAAAUAAAUUUCUACCAUUUUUGCAAAUGAGUCCCCAUCAUAAUCCAUGAUUUUCAACAUGCUACUCACUUUCUCCUCCAUACCUGUCAUUCAUUUUGAACAAUUUUUUUUAGAAAAAAAGGGAGUUGCCAAAUAUAAGUUUUUUAAAUUAUAUACGGUAAAGUACCUAGGAGGUGGAAUCUCAUCAAAUUAGUCCCUUUAUUAUUAAAUCCCAAAUAAAUUAAACUAGAUGUGUCCAUGAGUCGGGCUAGGCCCUAACAAAAAUCUAGACUCAAUUAAUAGGUUCAGGCUCACCCCAACCGAAAAAUGGGCCUAAUUUUUGACCUAGCCCAGCCCAAAUAAAAAUGUUAAAAUCGGGUCUAGACCGCCCAUAUUAAUUUUUAUUUUUUUAAAUAAUUUUUUUAAAAUGUAAUAUAUCAAAUACACAAAAAAUAUUAAAAUAAAUAUUUUUCAAUAAAUUAAAAAUAAACUUAACAACUAAAUACCUUUAAAAUAAAAAAAUUAAUAAUAAGAUAAAAGUUAUACAAUAUCUAAAUAUUAAAAACAAAUUAAUAGCAUCAUCAUAAUAGAUGAAAGUAAGACAGAAAUAGUCAGGAAAAAAAAUUUACAAAUUCGGGCCGGGCCGCCCUGCCAUAGACACCACUAAACUAAACUCAAACAGAAUAAAAGGGGAUAACCCAAAAUAUAUAUAAACCUAAAACUAAAAGCGAUUUUGGAUCUGGAAAGGCGAAGCUGAGGGUGAACCAUGAGCAGCGAUACUAGUGAUUCCUCCAGUUACAUUGGUGAACUGAUCAGGACCCACGUCCAGAAAUGGCCGGGUACCGAUGGUAAAAUGACGCUCGGUUUGCACUUUUUGGAUCUGGAAAGCGAUGAAGUCUUUAUUAGGGCGAUGCCACCUGAUGCUCCUUUAUCUCCACUGCCGUUGCCUGUGGCAACCACGUUUACGUUCUUGGGGGAAUACGCAAAAAUGAUGCUACUUUUGGUGGUUAUGAUGAUGUAAACGAUGUUUUCCAAUUAGAUUGGAAGGACCUUGAACGUGGGUGGAGAAAAACUGCUUCUAUGUUGUUCCCUAGGGCUUUUUCCCCUGGUUCUUGCUGCUGAAGGAAAGAUUUACGUCUUCGAACUAUUGGGUUUUGAAUCUUUUGGCGACGUUUACGAUAUAAGUGGGGAUAUUUGGGAACCAUUGUCGCCCCCUCCGGAAGCUAUCGCUCUAUGUGGUCCUGUUCUCCUAGAUUCUCCCCGAUCUCAGAUUUUGGUUCUCUUUACGCUUAUUACUAUGAUCGUAAAUCAUGGGUUUGCCUCGAACCAAAAUUUUGUUACUGGUCUGACCCAGCGUCAAUCGUGGACGAUGUGCUGUAUACUGUCAUGUAUAAUUAUUCUGGUGAGUUCUGUUCUUUGGAGGCAUAUAAUUUGCUUGAUAAGAAACAUUUGCCGGUCAAAUGGUCAUCAGAAUUUUCAGUGGAUCCACCAAGGAGUGGCACUCUGUUUGGUUUGGGCAAUGGCAAGUGUAUUUUGCGUUGGGUCAACUAUAACGAUGAGUUUUGAGUACAUAAGAUUUAAUAUGUGGUGCAACGAGCAGGGAGGGAUUGAUGCAGCUGCAGAGCAUCAAUCUGCCAUCACUGUUCCUUAUCGAUCCAAAGAUAUUUGUGAUAUAUUUUUGUUCUGAAGGAAGGUUAGCGCCCCUUUCAUAUCACUAUUACAUCUUACGUAAUUAAAGAAAUAAAGACAUCAAAUGCAAUUGUGCAAUUUAUAUUAAUAAUUGAAUACGUUCAAAUGCAACCGAAACACAUAGUUUUGAAUAGUCAAAUUAAAAAGGUAACAAAUAAUUUAAAUUUAAUAAUUAAUGAUGAAAUUCAAUCAAAUAUAGAAUACAAAAGCUUCCAUAAAAAAUUGUAAAUUACAUGGUAAAACAUGUUAACACAUUGCAAUCUUUUAUUGUGUCAAACAUCAAAUAAAGAACUUGACCAACAAAUUAACUUUGAUUUUGUCCAAACCUUUGUCUAAAUAAAAAAUGUUAAACUCGAGCCCAAAUUAAAAAUUUUAUAUAAAAAUAAAUUUUAAAAAUAUAAUAUAUUAAAUACAUUUAAAAAUAUUAAAAUAAAUAUUUACCAACAAAUUGAAAAUAUAUUAAAAAUGUUUAUACUUAAAUAAUACUAAGAUAGUUGAAACUUAGCCCAAAACGUUAAAGUUUAGAUGUGUACUGAUUGGGUGGUUAAACACUUGGUGUAUCUACUUAAAGUUUUGUGUUUGAGUCUUCGUGUGCGCAAGCAAGUGGGGUUUAUUUUGCUGCCUAUGUUUAGUAAAUAAGCCUGAUAUGGUUAUUUUGUCUCAAAUCUUUGCUCAUUCUUUUCUUUGUUUGUCUUGACUUUUAAUCUUUUGGUUCCCCAUUCUGCCAUUAUUUCUCCUUUUGUUCUUGCGGCCUUCUUGCUCGCUUACGAUUAUUACGGUUGUGCUUGAGCCUACUCGUUUUAUUUGGUUUUCAGGUUGUGAAGGUAAAUAGUCGUUUGUCCUUCUUUGUUCUUUAAAUUAGAAUUGUUGUGAGUAGUUUCUUGGGAAAACUGUUGUUUCGGGUUUUUGUGUAUUGUACUAAAGUAAUUGAAUCGUUUUAGGAGAAGGUGGUGAGAAGGUUGGUGUCCCUCCAGCAACUUGAAUCGUUUGGUGUUGUACAUUUUUCGGUAAGGGUUCGAUUGUGUUUUGGGAAUUGUUUGAGGGCGUUGUGUGUUAUACAGUUACUUGUUUUAAUAUCGUGAAUCAUCGCUAAAUUGAUGAAUUAAAUUUUGUUUUUAGGUUUCGGGAGUGUCGUAUGUGCAUUUGUGUAAAAAUCAAUUUAGGUGUGUAACGCUAAUCACAAAAAAACAGCAAACGACGAAAGCUGAAAAAUUUUCCGUGUGCCAGGCCGUGUGUCAUGUGACAGACCGUGUAUUGGACCAUGUGUGACACACGGUUUAGGCUAUUUGGGUCAUGUGGACCACAUAAGCGUGUGGGUCAUACGGGAUGGCCAUUUGGACCGUGUGGGCCAAAAAUUCUAAAUUUUUUUCUAAGGCCAUACACCUUGUUUUGAUCGACCGUGGACCUUCCGUAGGUCGGUAUGUGUUCAAAUAGAUUGUAUAAUAUGAAAUCCAAUCGUACGUUUGCAUGAAUCUCGAUAGUUGCUCAGAAAAUUGAAAUGUCAUAUGAUGAGUAAACUACGUAAUAUAUUAAAAGAAAACCAGAAAAUGCUAUGUAUGUUUUGUAUUUACUAUGCUAUGUGUAUAUACUGAAAAUAUGUCUAAUAUCUAUUACAUUCUAUAUUUGCAUCUGGGACGGGUUAUAUAUUAUGUGGAGGAAAUGUUUUUGUAAAAGGCGAUAAUUCGCCUAUUUAUCUGGCAGCUCAGCUUCAAAUUUCUGUAAAGUGUCUUAUCGACACUAAGCGGUGAGUAGGGCUGGGUGGGUGUUUCAUACCCUACAUGGUGUGUUGGAUGGUCGGAGUUGGUGUGUAGUAGGUGGAGGUAAGAUUUCAUGUCUGUACCUGAAUUGCUCUUAUAUGAAUCUGAUUCUGUUAAUUUGUCUAAUAUGCAUCAACUAUUUUAAGUUAUUCGUUAUACAUUGGGUUUCAAAAACUCACUUUCUGUUUGACUGAUAUUUCCAGGUAAUCCUCAGACUUAGGCAGAUCAGUGCAAUUGGGAGCUCGGAUAAAAAUAAUCUUUUCUUAAAUUUGACUUACUUAAAAUUUUGGUUUGAGAGUUUUGUAACUUUUGGACUCUUUAGACUGUUUUGGAUUUUAGAACUUUAAUUCCAUAUUUUGCUUAAUAACAUUUAGUCAACAAAAUUCGUUUUUCUGCAAAAUUAAUGGUUUUCCAACAAUAAACUGUGUUUUCCAAAAGGUCACCCUUUUAAGGAGUCUUCGCUGCAAAAUAAUAAGUUCUUAGAAAAAUAAACCAACAACGUUUUCCGUAAUAAAAUCAGACAUGAUACGUUUUCGAAUAAUUUGGAAUUUUAAGGGAUUAUGCUAAUUGUUCAAAUUUAUGAAAACUGGAAUAUUCCAAAAAAAAUUAGGUAACACUUUCUGAUCUGGCCAUAACAUUUAGGCUAGAUUUAGGGUGUUAUAGGUCAGAUUUAUGAUCAAGUCUAGAUUAGAUAAGAUAAGAUAAGAUAAGAUGUAUCUUAUAUUUAUUUGUUUAUAUUCGUUUCAAGUUUCAAAGUAAAAUCAUUUUGUAGCUUAGUUGUAAUAAAGAAUAUAUGUUUAUGAGAAAUACUAACAAAUAAUUUACCUUUAUUUUACUUAAUAUUCUUUUGUUCAUUGGAAAGUAGGUACUAGGCUAACUUAGUCAGGAAAAGAAAUAAUAUUGAAAAUAGGUUGAAAUUUUGAAAAAUUAGAGAAAUAAAUCAAUUUUGGAGAGAGUGUGGGAACAUGUUUUUUGCACAAUUGGCAGAAAAGUGGGCCCAACGGGACUUAUUUUCCCUUUAAACGCAUUUUUUGACUUUUAAAAUAAAAUAAAGCAAGUCAUAUGGUUAAAUGUUAGUUGUUUUAUCCUUGAGCCUUAGAUUUGAUUCCUCUCUUACACACAAUUGUAUUUUUUUUAUUUUAUGUUGUUCUAAGUUUUUUUUAAUUAAUAUUUUUAAUACAUAAACUCCAUUGGUUAAAUGGUUUAACAAUAAUUAUUUCAUUCUUAAGUCUUAGGUUCAAUUUCUCUUUUAAACACAUUUGUAAUUUUUAUUUCAUCUUGUUUUAAGUUUUUUUUUACUUUUAAUUAAUAAAUAUAUUUUCAAGUCUUUUUAUUUUUAUUCAUCUUUUUAAUUAAUGUCUCUUUUAUUUAUAAAAUCAAAUAAUAAAUAUGUAAUUAUAUAAUAGAAAUAUAUAUUUUAUAUAUAUCAUUAUGUUAAAAAUAUUUGAAAAUUAAUAACUCCUUAAUAUAUAAAAUAAAAAAGCAAAUUUUAAUUAAAAAAAGCAAAAUUCUUGAUGUAAUGCUUAAAUUUUUAUCACCUAUUUACAAGUGGGAAGACGUGUUUGGUGACUCACUGAUGCAAAAAAUGACAUUCUCUACCGCACCCAAGACUAUAGCCAUAUCAGGCACCCGCCUAUGUCCUGUGUAUUGUGCUUUGUCGUCUAACAAAAAUAUUUUCAAUUUACUCAUCCAAAUAAUAUUCAAAAUAAUUAUUUACCACUUUGAACAUCAUAAAGACACAAUUCAUCAUCCGCACUAAUAAACUUUGAAUUACAAAUUUUCAUAAUUAAACCACUCACACUUACUUUCUUUUAAUUAUUCACUUAAAAUCAUCCAUCGUUCUGUUCAUACAUAAACAUAAUAUUAUCUUUACUUAGAACAUUGAAAAUAUAUAAUUAUACAAAAUUAAUUAUUACAAUUUAACUAAUUUCUUUACAUACCUGUGCUUUUUCACAGUUCCAUCUUCAUUUUCAAGCCUGAAUACAUUGGUUUCCUAUUUUCUCUUAACUUCUUUCACUUCCAACUCCAAUGUCUUAGUUUCAAAUUGAUAAUCAAACUCUCUAGGAUCUCUACUUCACUUUUCCUUUUUGGUGGCUUUAGAAAUUUUCAUGAAUUUUGGAUGAAAUGGUGGAUUUCAUGGAAAAAAGACUAAAUUGCAUAAAGUGCAAACUGUUGUUUCUUCUUCCUUUCAUGGACAUUGGGAACUUUGUGAAAGUUUGAAGAAUUUUAUUCGUACUUCCUUUAUAUUUAUCACGAGUUCAAUUAAUCAGUACGAGUUUUCAAAUUAAAAUAUCACGAGUUAUCAAAUUCAAGUAAUCAAUUUAUAUUUUUAUAAUGUUCCAAAUUCAUAAUAGAAUAUUUAAUUAGUGAAUUUAAUAGUUUAUUAAAUUGAUAUCUUUAAUUUCACUAAUUGAAUAUUAUUUUCACUUAAUAAAAUAUGAUUAAUUAAUAUCUUUUUCAUGUGAAAUUUAAACAAAUUAUUGAAAUAACAUUUUUAUUCAAUAAAUUAUGAUUAAUAGACUUGCUUAUAUGAAAUAACUAUAAUUUUAGUUAAAAUUUUAGGCCAUAAAGAAUGUACUUCUUAACCAUUAUUAUUGCUAUUAUAAGUGAAAAGUUGUUAUAGAGUGUUAGAAUAAAACAUAAAAAAUCGAAUCUACUAGAAACUUAGCUGUUUAAACGAAAUGUUAUUAUAUCAAAUGACCGUUAUAGAAAGGAUAGACUAUAUUUUUAGAGUUUGUGACUACUCUUCCCAACAACAUCUGAUUCUUCAAUAUUAAUACCCGAUAUAAUUAUCAUUGACAUAGUUUAGGAUCGGAAGAAAUGGUAGAGAAUUAAUAUAUAUAAAUAUAAAGAAAAAUAAAAAUUUAAUUCAAUACUUUCUUCUUAUUACUUAUUUUCCCAGAUAGUUUAUCAACUUCGAAAAAAUAAUAAAAAAACUGAAAUCCAAUAAAUACCUGUUCUGACUAAUUUGUUCGAUCGGAGAUGGUGAGGAAUAUGAAGAAAACAGACAAAAGAAGCUCCUUGCUUGCGGAUAAUAUGAUAGAGAGGAGCCCCUCCAAAGGGUUUUUCUAUGCCUCCCCUUAAAUCAUCUUCACUUAAGCAAGAUUUACCUUAAUUAAUACAUCAAAAAUUACAUUCUAAUCUACUAUUAUAAGAUUAAUUUGAUGAUGAACUCCGAUCAAUUAAAAAUUUAUUGUCAAUACAUCAAUGAUGAACAAAGAGCUAAGUAUCCAAUACUACAAGAACAUUUGAGAAUGGUUUCCAAUUUGUCUUGACAAAUCUUAUAUAUAUAUAUAUAUAUAUAUAUAUAUAUAUGCAUAGUAGGCAACAACCGCAAUAAAUUUUAAAAAAAAUGGAGUAAUAAACAAAAAUAAAAACAACAACUGCUUUCAUAGAAACAAAAUGGAUUGAAAUAAAAACCGACACAAUAUUUUAAGAAAGAAUAGAGUUGAAAAAUCCCCUACCGACAACUAACUAGGAGAUUGAUGCCUCCGCCGACAAGAUUAAGAUUUGAUUCUAGAAAGUUAAUCAAAAUUUAGCUUCUAUAUUUCAUGUUAAGCUCAAACUUCUCAAUUUUUACUAAUUUAUGAUAUGUGAAUCCUUGAAGUGCUGAUUUUUUAUUUUGUAAUUCCAUAACCAUCAUAGCAAAUAACCCUAGAUCUCCCACGUCCCUACUUUUUUUAUUUUCUAUUGCAUACGGUACUAAUAGAGCAUUUUGUCAAAACUGGAAAAGAAAUUAGGUGCAUCCUAAUUAAUAGGUACCAGGCAGAGGCGAUUCUAGGGGUGGCAUUGCGCGGGCCCCCUCAAAUAAAAAAUUGUUCUCUUAAAUCUUUUUAAAAUUAAUAAAGAUAAAAUUAUACUUUCACCCUUAAAGUUAUAAAAUUUUGAUUUAAUCUUUUAAAAAUUAUAAAGAUAUAAACUAUAAAAAAAUAAAAUUUCAUCCUGCCCCUUUUAAGAAAAUUGUUCUGGCUUUGCCCUGUUACCAAAACUAUAGUUUCAAUGCUGAAAGGGAAAGGAAAAGAAAAAAAAAACCAAAAUGCUGCAGAUUUCGUGUAAUAGUUUUCAAAUUUGUUUGAAGAUUUCAAAGAUAUGCUAGCAACUCUUAUUGACUAUUAAUCUAUGGCACUCAAAACUGCAAACUCCAAAGGCACCAAUUGAUCUACAUCAUCAUGUAUGCUAUAGAUUGAUGAACGUCGAACUCAGUUUCAUGAUAAAAAAAUUCAUUAGAAAUUGCAUUCAUUUUUAUUUUACUUAUACUUUGAGACCCUUUUAUGAUUGCUAUAAGAUUUUUCCAAUAAAUAUGUUCAUACAAGGUUUGGUUGACGUGAGGUUGGUCGGCUCAUCCCAUUUAAGACAAGGUGGAGAGCCAAUGAUGGUGACCGAAGUAUGGUCAUUGGUGAUGAUAGCCCACUUGCUUAGGCGACCAUAAGAUUAAUUUAAUUAAAGUUCUUAAUACACAAAAAAAAAAGUAUCAUAAAAACCUCUUUUUUAACUUAUGAUUGAAAAUACAUGAUUGAAGCUGAACAAAUCUUUUGAACUACAUGUGCUUUUAAGGAAAGUGGCGAAGGUUAUAUCUAACCUGACACCCUUUAUUUCAUAAUCCAAAACCAUUGUUAAAACAUGAUUAAUUGAUUAUGAAUGGGAGAGAGUAAUUUUGUUUGUUUGUUUGUUUGAAAGUAUAGAGAUUCGUAUUUUGUGUAUAUAUAAUUUCAUGUAACUUUGCUUACCGCCAAGUUGAUAUUAAAGUUUUGGAAAAGGUUUGGCCAUGGCUGACCCUGUCUUGCUUUAAAUUCAUCAAUGACUUUUUUUUCUUUUUGGUUUCCUUUUUAGAGCUGUUGAAGUUGAAUUCUCAUACCCGUGCAUUCAAUAUUCUCUUUUACUAAUUGUUUGCGUGCUAGAAAACAAAUUUGGGCCAAAAAUGUUGGUUCUAGUAACCCCUUUUUCCAAUCUUACACAUGGUACGAAGAGAAAGUGUGAAGUAAAUCCAUGAAAAACUGUCAUUUUAGGAGCGAAGUAAUAAGUAGCACCAAAAGGGUUUCAGUAGGAAAUUAAUGUUGAAUAUUUCUGUAUGUUGAUGCUCUAAUAGGAUGGUGAUGAUGGAUUGGGCAUGGUUGAGCUGGAAUUUUGUGAGCGAGGGGAUAUUAAAAGUUGUGAUAAGAGACGUUUUUGGAUAUUUAAAUUUGUAUAAAGAAAGAAGUUAUUAAAAAUAAAAAAUAAAAACAGAGUAUGAUAUUUAAAACCCAUUCUGGUAUGGGUGAAAGCUAAGACUAAAAAAAUCACAUAACCAUGUACUUUUCACCACACAUUCAAAGGUACCUAUCAUGGGGUGUGGGCAAUUGGCCAAUCUGGCUAGCCUUCUAAAAGGUGAAUUAGUCAUGCCGGCACUCUUUUGGCCCUCAAUUUUCUUUAGGCAUAACCUGUGGCAUAUUGGUGUAUUAUUGUCCUUGCAUCCAAUCUCUUGAGACUAAUGGUACCCUCCUUCCUUCCAACUUUCUAGAUUUGUAUUGCUUCCACCAUUUCAUUGUUCUUUACAAAAAUAUCCAUAUCUGAAAAUACUAUUUUUGCUAAACAGAAUAUUUUUAAGAAGAAACAAAAAUAAAGUAGCAAAUUUUAACUUUGGGAAGAAUGAUGGCAGAGGGCACUUAUUACACAAGAAUUGCAUUGUCCAAUCGUAUUUUUUUUUCCAUUUUGGUAUAUAAACAAAGCUACAUACAGUGGAGUAUAUACAUACAAAUACAAAUACUAAAACGAGUUCAUUUCCAGAAGAUAGCUCCUCGCCUUAAGCAAUUCCCUGACAGCAUCCCCAUAUACGCCAUUCCCGAAAGCCCUCACUGCCAAAUCAGCAUCUUCCACGUCUGCUUCCCUCCCAUUGUGGGUCCCAUCUUUCACCGCCCUUACCACCACCAGCGUCGCCCCCAACCUUGGCUCAUGCCUCAUCCUCAUCCUUACACUCGGGACCACUGUCCUCCCUCUCUCCUCCUCUUCUUCCUCCACCCUCACGUGACUCUCACGUGCCUCCCUCCACUCCCUCAGCCCUUGUUCCUCCAUUAGCACCUCCCCUUCCCCUUCCCUGUCCGUUAUAACUAACUCUUCCAUCCCCUUGUGUUCCCUAACCACUUCCCGUAACAGGAAAUGCCUAACGGAAGCAGCCAUCAACGCGCUUAUCGUCCACAUCACGCGCCUCUUCAACCCUCCCGCGAACUCCGUUUCGUAAUUCCCGUCAUGACCCAAACGGAACCCGAAUAUGACGCAGGUUUUCAACGCCUCGCCGAACUCCGCUCUCCACUUAACCACCGUGCCUUUCUCUAAUUGAAGAUCCCCGGCCGGUAAUUCCACGUGGAGUUCCCUGAUUCGUUGGAACCGGGAGAGGAUUUGAGCCGGGUAAGUGUGCGUCCGGCUCGGGAGUGGACUCUGUGUAGGCUUGGGUAGGAUGAAGUUGAAAAAGGACUUGAGGAGGGUGAGGAACAACGAGUCGGAGUCUGACUCCGACGAGAUGACGCGGUCGAUUUUCAAGAGGAUCGAAUCAGUUUGCGGUACGAGAGAGUUGAAUCGUUUGGAGACGGAACGGCAACGUAUCAGGCUUUUGACGUCGGAGACUGAGUUGAAGAUCAGGAGGAUCAGAGAAUCCGGUAGCUGAUCAAAGCCGUCCAUUUUCUUUUCUUCAGUUUUUGGUUCAUGCUUGGCACUUCGAUAUUUAUACAAAUUGGAAAAAAAAAAAGAAAAAAGAAAAAAGCUUUGAAGUUAAUGAUAAAAGAAAUAAAAACAAAAGGUUUAAAUUGCUCUCAGUCUCUGUACUCUUCAGAGUUUUGAAACUUAGUCCCUAUAUUUUUUUAUUUCUAGAAAUUUAAUCUUUUUAAUUGCCUAAUGUGAAAAUUAAAGUUCAUUUAUUCAAAUUUAACCGAAUUCAAUUAAUAAUAUUAUCAAUUAAAUUUUAAUAUUAAAAUCAAACGAGUAAGGGACUAAACUCUUGAAAUUGAAUUUUAAGGGACCAAUAUUUAACUGUAUUGUGAAAAUUAAAGUUCAUUUAUUCAAAUUUAACCGAAUUCAAUUAAUAAUAUUAUCAAUUAAAUUUUAAUUUUAAAAUCAAACGAGUAAGGGACUAAACUCUUGAAAUUGAAUUUUAAGGGACCAAUAUUUAACUGUAUAAGAAUACAGGGACUAUAUCAUAAUUAGACAAAAAUAAAAAGGCAUUAAAUAGUGGUGGAGUACGUUUGACCGUUGACCUGUAAAACAGUUGGGCCCCUAAUAAAUUUUGGCGGGUAAUGCGUCAUGAUCAAAAAACGUAGCGGUGUCGUUUUAGUUAUCCCAUUGAUUCUCUCAUUUGAUUUUAUUUUUCGAUUAAGAUUAUAAUUUAUUUAUGUUGAAUUUAAAAGAUUUUCUUUGAUCACGACUUUGAAACAGGGCUAUUGAAAACAAUAUUUUGGCUAAGAAAUUUCUGAAAUCAUGAUCAAAUCAACCAAUUUUUGGUUUAUAUAAAUGGGUAAUGUUUAAAAAAAUAUUAAAUUCAAAUAAAAUAAGAUAGAGCAGAUAUAAUUGGAAAAUGUUAUGUAUCUUUAAUAAAGAUUACACUAUUGAGGAGAGGUUGGUCUUGGACCCUCAACGGAAGGUAUUGUUUCCGCGUUGGGGUUUUGUCUCAAAUUAUAAGAAGCAUAUCGGUUGAUGUAGAUAUGACCUAUAAACUCACAAAAGAUGUGCGAAUAUUAUGUGAAAUAUUAAUUAUGCUUAUUGUGUUUGCGGGAGAUAGAACCAUCAACCAAGGCUUAAAUGCCUUAACUUAACAUACUUGAUACCACUCGACCGACCUUCUUUGGACCUUUUUUUACUUUCGAACUCUACCAAAGCCUAAAUUUGGUGAAGUCUUUUGGACUCUCUUAGCCACCCCAAGAACAAUACUUGCAUGGUUGAAGAAGUGAGACACUCUAAAAUAAAUACUCGGCUUCAAUAUAAAUUAUUUCUGGAGAUGAAUUUCAUAGUAUACAUAAAUAAAUAAUUAAAGGCUACCCGGCAAGUUGUUAAGAUUGUCCAAUCAGGAAAAAAAUAAUUGUUUAGUUGGAUGGAAGUUAUGUAUUAAAUAAUAGACAGUAUCUUGUAGAUUAGUUUAAAGGGUAAUUGAUUUUCUAAAACUCCAACCAUAUCCAAGAAUAUCAUUAAACACCAUUGACUCAGUCCUCAUUUUCUUACACUCUAGCUUAAAACUAUUGACUUUGUCUUUAGGGAAAUUAAUUGAUCAGAUCCCAUUUUAAAUAUAUAUAUCAAGAGAAUCAAUCCUAUUAACAUGUUUCCUCUCACUCUAACAUGUACAAUCUCCUUAAUUUUCUUCAAGAUAUUUCCAAUUUGUGUAUAGGAAGAAUGAGAGCUUUGGUUUUAAGCUUCGAAAUAGUCCAAUCCAGUUCUUGACUUCAUAAUCCAACAUUUCUUUUGAUAUUGCACAAUUGCAACACCUAAUCAUUAAAGGCACAAUGGAAAGAACCAAUUGGGCUGAUUUAGACACCAAAUCUGAUUUACUAGGCCUUGGAAAUUGCCUACCACCAAGCAUUUAUUUCUUGGUAGUUUCUGCAGUUUUAAUGCAUGGUCCACUGAUUUUAAUUUUUUUAAUGCAAAGGAAUUAUUUGAUGAAAAAGAUUAUUUUUUUAUUCAAACUACAUAUAUAUUAGAUCAUUUCCAUCGAGAUCUUAGCAUUGCUAGAAGAAAGUGAGGUUGAGUCCUUCAGUAUUCGGUUUUGAUUAUCAUAGGUAACUGCCAUUCGGAGUCUUUAGGAGAGAGGAAGCUAAAAAAAAACUUUUGGGAGUUGUAAAUGAAUCAAAUUUUAGAAGGAUUAAAAUACAUUAUAUUAAAUUAUAAUUUCAUAAAAUUUAAACCCCUUUGUCUACUUUCUCAUAGUUGUUAUGUGUGGAAUAUGUUGGAUUCUAUUUCGAUUCUUAAUUAUUUGUAGAGGUGGAAAAUGGGUAGGCUCAGACUCGGCUUUUUUUUUAUUUGAAUUUUUUUAUGUUCGGAUUUUCUCGAACUCGGAUCAAUUUGGGCUUAGAUUUUCUCAAGCUCGGGCCCUUUCAAAAUUAAAUUUUUUGGGUUCGAAUUUUUUUAAAUUCGAGCUCAGAUCAAGUUGGGUAGGCUUUGACGGAUUCAAAUAAUUUUAAAUUUUCCAAGUUAUAAAUAUUUUAAUUCCAAAUGUAAUAACCCAUUUUACUUUUAUAUAAUGAAAAACACAUUCAAAUGUGUCUUAUAAACUAAUUAUAAGAUCUCAAGUCCAAAAUAAAAAAUUAAGUUCAAUAUCCAAAUACAAUUUGUAAAAGUUAACAUCCAAUUUAAAAUCUAAUUUAAUAAAAAUACUAUUUUAUUAAGAUAUUAAUUUUUUAAUAAUAUUUUAUCUAUUACUAGUUAUAGGCAUGUAUUGUAAUAUACUAAUUUAUCAAAUUGUACUUGUUUAAUGUUACCGAAAACUCUAAAUUUCUUUUCUUAUAAUCUAUAAUGUGAUGAUUGUUAUCUAUAUGUAUUAAUAGAUUUAGUCGUAAUUAUAUACUAUAUAUUAUUAUAUUAUGUAAUAGUCUAUCAUCUAUUAUGGUUAGUUAUUAAAACCGAUUUAACUGACUAAAUUAAGGCAAUUUAAACAAAUUGAUUGGUAAAUUUGAUUUUGGACCAAUUAAUAGUUAUAUAUAUGUAUCAAUAGUUUUAAAACUACAUUGUGUAAUACUAUAUCACAUACUAUAAUAGUAGUACAUAAUAUAGUAAUUAUUAUAUAUUCUUGUUUAUUAUUAUAUUGGUUGAAAUAUGCUUUAAGUCCCUCUAUAUAUACUUUGUCCAUUUAUAAAUUAGCCCUCCUACUAUAUUAUAUAAUGCUAUAUCAUAUAUUAACAAUUUAUAUAUAUGCAUUAAUGAUUAAAUAUAAUCAGUUAAUAUAUUAAUACUUUAUGUAUUUGCACUAUGGUCGGGUUAGGUAACCGAUUGAUUUAAUGUUGUUGAUUCGGUUUCGGUUUUAAAAAUUUAAAACCGUUUAAACCAAAUUAAUCAACUUUGUACAUGUAAUAUAUAUUUAAACCCAAUUCCAAAUCCAAAUCCAAACCUAAACCGAAGCCUAAGCCCAAUUUAAACUUUAUUUAAAACCCAACCUAAAUAAAAAUAAACUCGUUCCAAAUUAAAAUAUAAUAUAAAGAUAAUAAUAUUAAUAAAAAUUAAAUAUUUAUAAAAAAAUUAUUAAAAUUAAAUUUAUUAGUAAUGUUAUUAAUAUUGCAUAAUAAAUCAUGUUCUAUCAUUUGUGAUAAGUAUAACACUAGUUAUUGUAUUAUUAAAUUAAUGUAUUAUGUUAUUAUAUAUAUUUUUAUAUUAUCGUUAAAUUUAAAUUUUAUAGAUUUUAAUAAUUAUUAAUUUCAUCUAUUUAUUGUACAUAUAUAGUUAUAGUAUUAAACCAUUUUUUAUUCAAUUAAUGUUUUUAAAAAUUUACUUUAUAAUUUAACAUAAAAAAUUAUUAUUGAUUAUUUUUGCUAUUAAUAAAAUUUUAAUAUAAAUAUGUAAUGCUUAUGAACCCCGACUUCAUAAAAUAAAUAAUUAUUAUUUAUUUUUAUUUCAAGUAAUAUCAUAAAAUUAAAUUAAUUAUUAAUGUCUAUUAUGAUUGUUCAAUUAUAAAUUUGGGUUGUGUGUCAGAUUUAUCUCAGGCUCGGGCCAGAUACUUAAACUCAGAUUUUUAUGGGCUUGGGCUUUCUCGAGCUUAGGUUAUGUCGGACUCAAAUUUUCUUGAGUUCAUAUAUGCCACGUGCUUGGGUUUUCUCGGACUUAGAUCGUUACGGGCUCAGAUUGGAAGGACGAGCUUUUAAGCUUGGGCUUAUUUUUUUCGCUUUAUCUAUUUGUAUAUUUGACUAUAUGUUGUUGUUACUUGGUAUUUUACAAUAUUUGUAUUUAUAACUUCUAAACAAAAUUCUAUACAUCUUCAUAUUUAAAUUAUUUAUUUGUUGGCAUAUAAUGUUACUGUAAAAACCUAUUUUCAUAUGGGUAAAUUACACCAUUAAUCACUAAAUAGGUAAGUUUUCGCUUUGGUCGCUUAACUAAAAAAAGUUACAAGUUGGUCAUUGAACUAUUUGAAAUUCCCAUUUAAGGUCACUAAACUAUUCAAAAGUUUUUAUUUAAGUCACUAGGCUGUUAAGGUUUUUUUUUCUUUCAAAAAAGAAGGUUCUGUUAGUGAGCUCCAAGCGACGAUUUGAUGAUCGAUAUAGUGUAUUAGUACCCAUUGACAGGUAGAAGAAUAUACCUUAGAUCCAAUUCAAUCUGACGGUCAAUGUUGAAGAUUGAAGAAAAAGCUAUUUGAACUUUGAUUCGCAGAUUCGUGACGUCUAAAGCUGUUUCAUAAAAAAAAAUUGAACUGUAGUAGAGAAGGGAAAGAGAGCUUUUGAUAGGUAUAGACAGUGCAAAGAGAAAGCCAUAUAGCAUCGAUUUUAACAACCUAGUGACUUAAAUGAAACUUUUAAGUAGUUCAGUGACCAAAUUAUAAUUUUUUUAGUUAAAUGAUUAAAACAAAAACUUACCCAUAGUUUAGUAACUAAUGGUUUAAUUUACCCUUUUGAUAUUUCAAUCAACAAAAACGAUGAGACAAAUUCCUCCAUUAUUAUAAUUAUUAUUAUUGUCUCAUGCACGCAAUUCAUGAGCUGCAUGCACCACCUUUCCAUGCAUGCAAGGCCACCGCCACCUCAGUUAUUACCCUAUUGAUCGUAAAAUACCACCGUCCUCCUCCUCUUAUCUCCACGGCUCCUCAUCACUUAUAGCCCGAACCUUCGUAAAAAAAUUGUACGGGCACAGAAAUCUCAGCCUGUUUGGUGUGUGCUUCCCUGUCUAAUUAUAUUAAUAUGACUUCCUUUUUGUAAAUAUGUCCAUCUCUCUCUCUCUGUGAUCUGUUUUUUAGGUACAAGAUAAUAAGGAAGCACUACAAAAGAUACACUGCAAGGUUUAAGACAGAACCAUCUGGAUUUUCAUGUACCAAUUAUCUCACCUUAUCUAAGUCCAGGUGCCCCUAUGUUUUGUAUAUAAUUAAUAGAAAAGAUAAACUUUUUAAAUAGAAGUGGGAACCUUUUCACGGUCUAUAUAUAUUAGGUCAAUACGGAAAUAGUGGAAACCAGGCAGGCACCUUGGCUGGUUUAAACAAUUCGAAAAAAAAAGGUUUUGAAAUAUUUGAAGUUUGUUGUAUGUGCAAAUGAUCAAUUGUCUUUUUUACAGGAUUUAUAGAAAUAAAUCUUUGUGCUAAUUUAAUAUUGUAGUUGUUGAGUGAUUCAAGCGAUUAAUUCACUUGAAAAAUCAUAUUUUGAGGAUUGAAAUUGAUUGGAUAGAUUAUACUAAUUAACUCCUUUGGAUCAAGGAUGUUGGAUUGGGAAGAUUUUUUUGAAGACUUAUCUACCAACAAUUCACCUUGCUGUGGUCAUUAUUAUAUUAUAUUUAGUUAUUUGAACUACUGUUUAAAAGAGAUUGUGAUUGACCUUUUAGUAUGCUACCAAGUCUCGUAAAUAUAUAUAUUGGAGAGACUCGUGUAGGUUGAUGUAUUGAAUAUUGAGAGCACUUAUCAGUUUAUUGAGGAAUGUUAUAUUUUAGAGUGUAUUUGAGAAAGUAAAACCUUUUGUUGUUAGUUUUACGAGCUAAGUUCUUGGGAGAGGAUUUAGUGGUGAGAGAUUUAGUCUUUUGAGUACAAGAGUGAGAACUUUUCACUGGAGUUUGUUAGAACUAGGUUCACUUGUUGCAUUUGUUUCAAAGACAAUAGAUUUAUCCCAUUGAAUUAGACUCUCCAAAUAUAAAGAAACCAAACUGCGUAAACAAUUUAUUCUCUCUUAUUUUAUUGUGGUUAUCACAAUCAUGACACAACAUAUGACCACUUCUACUGUCACUUCUCAUAUUUUGUUUCUUGUAACUUCAACAACUAGUUCAAGUCCACAAUUAUAAUCAUAAUUAUUGAUAUGAUUGUAAAUUAUUAUAUCAAAAAUAUUAAAUAAUAUAUAUUCAAGUACAAUGUAACAAGAAAACUACUUAAAUAAACACAUCGGCACUUCCAAUUAUUGUACAACUUUUCAUAAUUGAAAAAUCUUGAAUAGACAUAAUCAUUAUUUAAUCAUCUAAUGAACUUAUCCCGAAAUAAUUGUCAUUUAAAUACGACCCAAGAAGAAGCUUAGGAGAGCUUUGGCUCAAAUAUGCAUAAUGCCGAUAUGAACUCAAACCCCUUAAGGCUCACAAGAUCACCAACUAGCGUAGUAAGGUCACAUGGCGCAAAAAGGAUUCAUCUCCCUGUAACAGAAGAAUGAGCUAAUAACGUACCUAAACAAAUAGGAGACAUCACGUUAACCAAGAGAUAGAUCUAGGCAACAAACAUACAAGCUCAAGAAUCAACUGCAAAUACCAAACAUUGACCUCAUUUCCGGUAUGAUUUCUCUCUGUUUUAUAUUUGAUCCAUGAUCAUCUUCAACCUGACACCCUGUUGAAACGUUGAAUUAUUAUAAAAAAAUAAAAAAUAACCAAAAUAUUAUAACUUUUUUUUUAUUUACCAAAAUUUUAUAAAAAAAAUUUAUUUACCAAAAUAUACAAAAAAAAACAAAAAACAAAAGAAAAAAAAACCUGACACAGCCUGAUCAGGCCAAUCACAUUGGCGGCACCAAAGGUGCCAAUGUGAUUGGCGGCACCAAUGGUGCCAAAGGACUAAAAUGUUAGUUAAGGGUAGUUUCAAGGACCUGAUAUGCAAAUUUACCAUUUUAAAUUUUGAAAGUGAAUUGAUGCUGGGGCACACUAAAAUUGAAAUGUGGCUAAUUGCCUUCUAAGCCCUCCUUAUUUAUUAUUUUCUUUUUAUUUCCCUUCAACUCACUUUUUUAUUUAAUAAACAAGGCCUCAACUUAUUUUUGUAGUUAAAUAAGCUAUUAAUCUAUGAUUUUUACUCAUAAAAGCCCUUUAUUUUAUUAUUAAAGUAAAUAUAUUUUACCUAAAAUAAAGCUAUUUAAAAAAGUAUAAACUAGUUCGCAUUUUAUGUAUUAUUUUGAUAAUUUGAUGAGAAUAGUUUAUUUAAAAAANNNNNNNNNNNNNNNNNNNNNNNNNNNNNNNNNNNNNNNNNNNNNNNNNNNNNNNNNNNNNNNNNNNNNNNNNNNNNNNNNNNNNNNNNNNNNNNNNNNNUAUUUGGGUUACAUUUAUGGGUGAUCAGUUUUAUUAUUACUUCUGGUUUUUCAAGAAGGCAUGCCUGGUAUUUCUAUUAAUUUUUUUAAUUAAAUCUAAUAUUAGUUAAGUGAUAAUUAAGAUACUUAGAAUUCUAAUUCAGUAAUAACUCUAUUUUAAUUUAAUAAACUAUUCUCAUCAAAUUACCAAAAUAGAGUUUAUUAAAUUAGAGUUUAUUAAAUGAGAAUAGUUUAUUAAAUUAAAAUAGAGUUAUUACUUAAUUAGAAUUCUAAGUAUCUUAAUUAUCACUUAACUAAUUAGAAUUUAUUACUUAAUUAAAAUAAGGAGGCUUAGAAGGCAAUUAGCCACAUUUCAAUUUUAGUGCGCCCCACAUGCACAGCGGCAGCAAUUCACUUUCAAAAUUCAAAAUGGUAAAUUUGCAAGUCAGGUCCUUGAAACUGCAGAUAGUUACAUUUUAGUCCUUUGGCACCAUUGGUGCCGCCAAUCUCUUUAGCACCUUUGGUGCCGCCACAGGUUUUUUUUUUUGCAGGUUUUUUUAUUUUUUUGGUAUAUUUUGGUAAAUAAAAAAAUUAUAAUAUUUUGAUAAAUAAAAAAAGUUAUAAUAUUUGGUUAUUUUUUAUUUUUUUAUAAUAAUUUUGUAAAAAAACCCUUCGGAGUGUACACAAGCUUCGGCACCUCUUAAUUUCUUUUGUCUUGUAGGCAACCUCCAUCAAGCCAACGCAGCACAGAGAAACAUCAACAAGAUCAAAUCAUUUGAACAUAAUAAUUUUUAAUAUCCCAUUGAACUAAUGCCGAAAUAAUUGUCAUUGUAAUUUAGAUAAAAUCAUUUGAACAAACAAAAUGUGCCUACAUUUAUACUUGAAAACAUACUUUUAUAAGAAAUUCAACAUGUUUUAUUUACGAGAAAUAUGUAACUAUUGUCCUGAACUGUUCCAAGUGAGAGCUGUUUAAUCAAAUGGGACCAUUAAGUGAGACUCGAUUGUGGAAGGGAAGUGGUUUCUUUUCCUCCAAUAAUUGGAGGCUUCGGCUACUUAGUUUAAUUGAGUUUAAGGACCUAAUGAUGGGUUGAAUCUAGUGGUACCUUUCUUUACACAUAUGAAAGAGCCAGAGAUAUAGAGAGAGAGGUUUCAUGGCUUGAAAGCAUGUGUUGGAUGUCCCCAUUAAAAAUCCAAGUCCCACGUCUUCAACUCAAAGCACUUCAAGUGGAUUCCAACUCCUCUUCAACCAUGGGUUCCCCCUUUCACCUAGUGGCCAUCCUUUUCACCACCUAACCUUAUAACUCAUUAAAAUUAAAAAAAAAAAAAAAAACCCCAAAAAAACUUUAAGAUUCUUUUUUAAUCUUCAGAGGUGGGCUAUCUCAAAUCCAACUGUCCAAUGGUGUAGCUCUAUGCUUCUGUUUGUGAGCAAUGAUCUUCUUUCCCCACUCUUUCAGUCCCUAAUAUCUUAAACGUGCAUAGAUUUCUUGUCCUUGUUUUUUAAUGUGUUUUUAAGGAUCAUUUAUUUGGUCUAUCACCCAAUUAGCCUAUGUUUCUGCUUUAAAAGCAAAAGCUUGCUCCUUUAACCUGUACUUUAAUAUCUGGUUUAAGAUAUAAUAAUCAAUGUGAAACCUAUUUUAUUCUUCUCUUGUACCCUCUAAUGGUGCCAAUUCUCUUUUCUUUCCCUUUUUUUAAUUUUCAUGCCACUCUUAUCCGAGACUAGGGUUUUAAAAUAUAUAAUAUUCAUGAAAGAUGGCUGCAAUAUUUAUAUAUUAUGGAGGGUUAGAAGAUAUAAGAAUUUAGAUGAAAAUAUAUGUUAAUUAAUUUGUUUUAAACAUAAUUUUUUGUUAGGUAAAUGGAAUUUUGGUUUAAUGGUAAAGUUGAUGUUUUGAAAAUUUUGAGUGUUAAAAAUUAAGUCCCAUUUAAGAAUUGUAACUGGUUCGCCUUCUCCUUAGAAGGGUUUCGAGGUAAGACGAGUUGGUUUUUCAAUUGUUGAGGUUAGGUUUCAGUAAAACUUUCUUUGGGCUAUAUCUAGGAAUAUAAAAAAUUGGAUUGAAUUAUGGUGAGCAAAACAUUUCUUCAAUAUCGUCAGUGUAAAUCAUGAGUGGGUGAGAUCCAAUUUAUUUAGCCAAUACUUGUACUGAUUGAUUGUGAUGUUAGUUUUAGAUUCAUUUUUGAAUAAUUUAAAGAUAUGAGUAUGUGCUCAUUUGGAAUCUCUUACCUGUUGCUAGAAGAUAGAUACAUUGGUGAGGAUGAAGAUGAGGGUUAGUGAGUCGAAACAAGAAGCUUCAUCAAAGUUUUGUUUGUUUGUGAUCAUUUAACCAUUCUUGUACGUAUUAUGUGAGAAAUGAGAUGAAUGAUUAGAAGUACAAUUUUGUCACAAAUUGCAUUUGGAAACCUUUUAGAACUACCAUUCUCAUUUGGUUUUUAUUUUAGAAGAGAAAUUACUUAUCUUGUGGUUGGAAAAAUUCAUAAAGAUCAUAAUUAUGUUGAAUCCCCAUAACUAAAAAAUGAUUAUGUAAAUUGGUUGACCAAAGUUCUAAAAUUAUUUAGAUAUGGAAAUAAAACACUGUUUUUGUAAUAUUAUUCAUCAUUAUGUUUGAAAAUCUGUCAAUCCAUUUAUAUUAAAAAAAAAAAGCUUUUAAAAGAAUACUAAAAAAUCAAUUAAACUCCUACAUUAAAUUUACACUCAAUUAAGUCCCCGCUGUCAAUAGAAAAAAACCCUUUCGUUAACGGUUUUUGUCAAAAAGUGACACUUGGCAGCUUCUAGUUUAAUCCAAUAUUUUCCCAUACAAAAUAUUACAAUUUCAUAAAAAUAAUUUAUAAUUUAUUAAAAGUAAUAUAAACUUAUAAAUAUAACAAAUUAUAAAAAUUAUUUACAAUUAACAAAAAAAUGUAUAAAAAAUCUUAAAAACUUAUAAAAAAUAUUUAAAUUUACAUAAAUUUAUAAAAAAAAAUUAAAAACUUAAGCUGAACCGAAUCAGUCGGUCGGACUAGUUAGAUCGAAUUCAACAAGGUUAUCAGUCUAGAGAAAACCAUUAGAUUGAUUGACCUAGGAACCGGGUGGUUGAACCAACUUUUUAAAAUCUUUUUAUGUUUUAUUUAAUUAGACUAGAUUGAACUGUCGAACUGGCAAACCAGCAGCCUGAUCGGCUCAACCACUGGUCUAACUAUAAAAAAAAUACUUGAUUUUGAAUAUUUUUUAUUAAUUUUAUAAUUUUUCAUUAUCCAAAUAUUAGCAUAUAUCAAUAUGAAAUAUUCUGACCAAGGUUUUAAGAAUCAAAUCAAUGAUCGAACGGAUCAAGCAACCGUUUUUCAGCUUGACUAGCCUAUACAGUUUAAUUAAAUAGAAUAUUAAAAAUAAAAAAAAUCGGUUCAACCGCUCGACUCCUGGGUCAAUUAAUCUAAUGGUUUUCUUUAGACUGGUAGCCUUGUCAGUUUCGAUUUAACUGGUCCAACUGACUGAUUCGGUCUUGUUCAUGUUUUUUAUGAUUUUUUUAUAAUUUUAUAUCAAUUUUUAUAAUUUUUAUAAAUUUCAAUAAUUUUUAUGAUUUUUUAUAUGUUUUCAUAAAAUUGCAAAUAUAUUCUAUUAAUUUUAUAAUUGUUUUAAAUUGUAUUAAAAUUUAUUUUUAUAAUAUUUAUAAGUUUUUAUUAAUUUUUAAUAUUUUUAAUUUUUAAUAGUUUCAGUAUUUUUUUAUAAUUUUUUAUGGUUUUUAUUUUUUAUGAUCUUUUAAUAAUUUUCUAUGAGAAAAAUAUUAGAUUAAACUAGAAGUUGCCAUGUGUCACCAUCUGGUUGGUCUGUUAGUUUUUUUAACGAUCAACAUGGUCAAUGACAGAACCGAUAAUGAAAGGACUUUAUUGAUUUUUUUUUUUGCAAUUUCCUAAGCGCUUUUUUGUUUUUUUACAUAUAAGUCUAUUAUAUUUAAGUUUUAGACUAAGUUGGUGUCACUAAUCAAUCAAACACCAAUUCAAUUGAAAAAUGACUAAAAAAUAAUAAUUAGAAGGUAACACUAUUAUGAAUAUGUUUUUUGUCUUUUUAUAAGUUUUUGUCUUUUUAUACUUUUAUAUAAAAUUUAAUAAAAAAUUGUUGAGGCUAGGUCUAUUGAAUGAGUUGAGUGGCACUCGGUAGUGCCCAUUGCAAACUGCCACUAAGGCAGUGAAAAUACUUGCCAUAUUUAAGUUGGAAAUUUCAUGAAAAAAUUAUUUGGACCUUUAAUGGGUUGUUAUAUUGAAGAUGUUGUGGCCUGCCUAUGGAAACCAAUCAUUGACUAUUGAAGAUUGGAUUGGAUUUGAGUGAAUCAAUUUAACCCUUAGAAUGUAGAGAUCCGAUCGAGAUUGUGUUACUAUUUCAAAGAGCCUAUUUUUGAUUGAUUGUGCUUUGAAUGUGUAUGUUGUAAUAGUUAUUUUCAAGGAGUUAAUUUGUAUUCACUUAGUUUCUAUAUUAACGAGCUGAAUUUGAUAUAUGUUUUAAGGCUUGUUUAGUUAAUGUAUGAGAGUUUAUUGAAAGCACUUGAAUCUAUUCAUUGAAGAAUUGUUUUUUUGAAAGAGUGCAAUCUGAAUUGUAAACAUUGAGUAUUUAUUGUCCAGGUUCUUAAGGGAGAAUUUGGAGGUGAGUGUUCUAGUUUAUAGGUACAAAAGCAUGAUCUUUAUACUUGGGGAGUGAUAGAGUGUAAAUCGUUGUUGUAUUUAUGAUUAAAGAUAGUGGAAUUAAUCAUUGAGCUAGGCUCCACAGACGUAGGAAAACCAAUCGCAUAAAGAAAUCCUUGGUGUUAUUUUGUUUUGUUUGCACAGUUUUUCAGCAAUGCCAAGUUGUAGUGGUUAUUGCAAUCAAGUACUUCCAUGAACUACAGUCAUAUUAAGCAAACAACAACUGUAGGUAGCAACAAUUCUCAAUGUCAUUAAUACCUUGGCUAUGGUCAUAUUCAAGCUAAGUGUGCUAACACUUUUAAGAAGAUAAAGAAAGUUUUAUGUCCUACAUGGUGUGAUGAAGACAUCUCUAACAAUUUUGGAUCUAAUGAGGACCAAGUGAACAAUUAUGUAAAAUUUGCUUUGAAUGUGGUAUAUGGUUCUGAAGCUGAGACAGAUGAUAAAUCUUAUGAUGGUUCUGAAAGAGAGUUUCUAAACACAUACAAAUUAUGCUAGGAAAAUGUGAACAUGUAUUGUAACAACCCGAUUUCAAGGGUGUUGAAAAAGUGGUUUCAAAAUUACAAUUCUAAUGUGUGAGUUAGUAAAUGUUAUUUAUUUAAUAUUUACGAAAUUAUAUAUGUAUCUUAUUAAAGUUUGGUCCGAUAAUUUUAUCGUUUGGCUAGUUGAUUAAGGAAAAAGACUAAAUUGUAUAAAAUACAUAAAACUUUAUCUCUAUUGAUUUCUAUUAACUAAAAUGCUUGAUUAAAGUUUUUUUAAUGGUUUUAAAUGGUAACUAUAUCAUUUUAAUUUUUGUUUGGACGGUUAGUAUGUUUAGUUAGUUAAAAUAUGAUUUUUUUUAUAAUAUAAAAUAUUAUAAUAAUGUAUAAUAGUUAAAAUAAGAAAAACAAAAGCUAAGAACAUUUUUGUUUUUAUUUUUGGUUCAUCUUUUUCUCACAAAACAAAAAGGGGAGCUAGGGCUUGGUUUCAAAUUUUUGAUCCUUGAUUGGUAAGUCAACUCCACUUUGUUUCUUGUAAUUUUUAUGUUUUUGAAAUCCCGAGAGCUUGAUUUAGCUAACCCAUGGACUAUUUUGCGAGACUGGUAAAGUUUUUUUUAAGUUUCCAUUGAUAUUUUCUUGAAGCUUUUGUGGCUAUUUGGUUAGUUUUGAAGCUUAGAUAUGUAAAUGAACUAGUUUGUAAAGUAAAAGAUGUUAGUUUUGAACUUAUGGACUAAAAUGCAAAAAAGUUCAAAAUGUGUAUGAAUAUUCUAAAUUUUUGUGUUCUAUUGGACUAUUGGAGGAUAAAAUUGAGAUUGAUUUUGAAACCGAAGCUCAAAUGUGUAAAUUAUAGCAUUUUCGGUUAUAGGGACUAAAUUAAAAUAAAUACAAAGCUUAGAGAAAUAUUGUAUAAAUGAAAUUGAGCUAAGUCAUGACUACAAUAUGUUGUUAAAUAUUGAUUGUAAUAGUUAAUUGAGUUAAAUCAUGCUUUAGAUCAAGAAUUACAACCAGAGGACAUACGAGGAAAAUGGAAAAUUGUCGACUAGUCCUUAUCGGCUAAACUACUACAGUGAAAUCAGGUAAGUUCAUACGAUAUAAUUUAAAUUGCUUAUGGUAACGUGUUGUAUUUGAUUUGUUAAUAAUGGUUGUUGGUGAAUUGGAAUUGUGUAUAAUGUGAAAAUGUAACAGCCUGAUUUUGAUCCUAAUCGGAACGGUAGUUUCGGGACCACGAAUCCGAGUCAAAAAAAUAAAAAUAAUAUUUUAAAAUUAUUUUUGGUGUUUAUAAUGUGUGAAUUAGAAUGUGCUAAAAUUUCGUUUAAAAAUUUUAUCGUUUAGAUGUCCAAUUUAAUAAAAGGGCUUAAUCGCGUAAAAUGAAAAUUUGGUGGUUUAAUGUGCAAGGGCCGAAUUGCAUUUGUCUUUUUAACAUGGAAUGUUUAAGUUUAAAAUUGGCCAUAAUUUAAGUUAGUGGACGGUUUUGACUUAUUUAUAUAAAGGUUUUAUAUUUAUUAUUAAAGGUUAAUUAAGUAAAUGAUUUAAUAUAUUAUAUGUUAUAAUAUAAUAAAAUGAAAGUGGUCAUUCAUUUUGUCCAUUAACUAGCCGAAAAUACUAAGAAAAAAAUAAGAAGAAGAGGUUCAUACAUUCGGCCAUUGUUGGAUCUAAUUCAAGGUUAGUUUUGUUUCUAUUUUUGAUAAUUUUUACGUUUUUGAGAUCGUUGCUUCGAAUACUACCCGACCCAUGCUUCAAUUUCUGAUUUUGAUGAAUAUUUUGAGUUAUGCCAUUGAUGAAUAAUUGUGUUUUGUGAUGUUUGAUGAUGAAUUAUUGAAGAUAUGUUUUGGGUUAGUAUGUUUUGUAUUGGAAAUUUUGAUGAAUUUGAGUAAUUAGGGCUAAAUUACAAAAAUAAUAAAUUAAGGGACUAAAAUGUGAAAUAAAUGAAUUUUUUGGGCUUGUAUGGACAGAAUGAAUAUUCGGCCAAAGCUUGGUAUGUGUAAAUUUUGUAUGUUUUGUGUUUUAUGCAAAUUGGACUAAAUUGUAAAAAGUAUAAAAUGUCAGGGGUAAAAUAGUAAUUUGAUCAUUUAUGUGUUUUUGGAUUAAAUUGAAUGAAAUUGUGUUUAAAUGAGCUUAAUUUGAAAUUGUAUAGAUCAAGAACAAAAGAAAUCAGACUUGGAUCGGGGAAAAAAAUAAUAGUUGAAUAGUCGUUCUAUAUACCCGUCGAUAUCCGAGGUAAGUCUAUAAGCAAAUAUAUAUUGUUUAUUUUAAUUAAAUAUGAAUUUUAUAUGCUGAAAGGAAAUAUGUGAAAUUAUACAUGUGUUAACUAAAUGAAAAUAAGCUUGGAAGUUAUGUUUAUGAAUUCGUUUCGACUGAGUUACGACGUCCGAAAGCCCCGUAUGAACCUUAGGAAUAGCUAGGAUACAUAUGUCAUGACAUAGGAUUUUCGAUAUGUGUUCUCGUGUAAGACCACGUCUGGGACGAUGACAUCGAUAUAUGUGAUUACGUGUAAGACCAUGUCUAGGACAUUGGCAUCGUAUUUGAUUCGUGUAAGACCCUGUCCGGGACAGUGGCAUCGAUAUGAGAUAGCAUGUAAGACCACGUCUGGGACGUUGGCAUUGUUCNNNNNNNNNNNNNNNNNNNNNNNNNNNNNNNNNNNNNNNNNNNNNNNNNNNNNNNNNNNNNNNNNNNNNNNNNNNNNNNNNNNNNNNNNNNNNNNNNNNNNNNNNNNNNNNNNNNNNNNNNNNNNNNNNNNNNNNNNNNNNNNNNNNNNNNNNNNNNNNNNNNNNNNNNNNNNNNNNNNNNNNNNNNNNNNNNNNNNNNNNNNNNNNNNNNNNNNNNNNNNNNNNNNNNNNNNNNNNNNNNNNNNNNNNNNNNNNNNNNNNNNNNNNNNNNNNNNNNNNNNNNNNNNNNNNNNNNNNNNNNNNNNNNNNNNNNNNNNNNNNNNNNNNNNNNNNNNNNNNNNNNNNNNNNNNNNNNNNNNNNNNNNNNNNNNNNNNNNNNNNNNNNNNNNNNNNNNNNNNNNNNNNNNNNNNNNNNNNNNNNNNNNNNNNNNNNNNNNNNNNNNNNNNNNNNNNNNNNNNNNNNNNNNNNNNNNNNNNNNNNNNNNNNNNNNNNNNNNNNNNNNNNNNNNNNNNNNNNNNNNNNNNNNNNNNNNNNNNNNNNNNNNNNNNNNNNNNNNNNNNNNNNNNNNNNNNNNNNNNNNNNNNNNNNNNNNNNNNNNNNNNNNNNNNNNNNNNNNNNNNNNNNNNNNNNNNNNNNNNNNNNNNNNNNNNNNNNNNNNNNNNNNNNNNNNNNNNNNNNNNNNNNNNNNNNNNNNNNNNNNNNNNNNNNNNNNNNNNNNNNNNNNNNNNNNNNNNNNNNNNNNNNNNNNNNNNNNNNNNNNNNNNNNNNNNNNNNNNNNNNNNNNNNNNNNNNNNNNNNNNNNNNNNNNNNNNNNNNNNNNNNNNNNNNNNNNNNNNNNNNNNNNNNNNNNNNNNNNNNNNNNNNNNNNNNNNNNNNNNNNNNNNNNNNNNNNNNNNNNNNNNNNNNNNNNNNNNNNNNNNNNNNNNNNNNNNNNNNNNNNNNNNNNNNNNNNNNNNNNNNNNNNNNNNNNNNNNNNNNNNNNNNNNNNNNNNNNNNNNNNNNNNNNNNNNNNNNNNNNNNNNNNNNNNNNNNNNNNNNNNNNNNNNNNNNNNNNNNNNNNNNNNNNNNNNNNNNNNNNNNNNNNNNNNNNNNNNNNNNNNNNNNNNNNNNNNNNNNNNNNNNNNNNNNNNNNNNNNNNNNNNNNNNNNNNNNNNNNNNNNNNNNNNNNNNNNNNNNNNNNNNNNNNNNNNNNNNNNNNNNNNNNNNNNNNNNNNNNNNNNNNNNNNNNNNNNNNNNNNNNNNNNNNNNNNNNNNNNNNNNNNNNNNNNNNNNNNNNNNNNNNNNNNNNNNNNNNNNNNNNNNNNNNNNNNNNNNNNNNNNNNNNNNAUGUGUAGACUAUGUUAUGCUAUGAAUAUUUGGUAAAUUGAAAUGGUUAAUUUGAGUAAAUUUGUAAUGGCAUGAGUACAUUGGUGAAAUGGAUUGAAAAUGGAAAUUAAUAUAUUAUUAUAUAUAUUCGGUUGAUGAAAUGUAAACAAAUAUAUAUAUAUGUCUUUGAUAAGUUAUUUGAUAAUUCGGUAUGUAAAGGACUAAUGGUUUUAAUGCUUGAAUUACAAAAUGUGCUAUAUGUAUACAUAGUGGUAUGAUCGAUUAUGGUAAUUGACUUAUUACUGUAAGUAUGAAAUAUUUACAUUGUAUGUGUUCUUUUAAGUUUAUGAAAUGUUUAUGUCAUUAUUAUGAUUUGACUAUUUAGACUUAAUAUAGGAUGACAAAGGUUGUAUGUGAUUUAAAUAUUAUAUAGAAGUUAAUUUGCAUGAUCAGAUAUAUAUAUAUAUAUAUAUAUAUGUAUAUAUAUAAUAAAUUGAUUUGGGUGUGUAUAUGAAAUUUUGACAUGAUUUAUACUGUAUGGAAUUGGCACGUUUUGAAUCGGUUAAAGUACUUGGAAAAUGGCUAAUGUUAGUCAAGUGAGUAAAGUAUGAAUUGGUUUUAUAUGUAUUUUAGGCUUAAUAAUUAACAUGCGAAUUGGGUGUAAAUUGUAUGGUUAGUUUGCUAGCCGAAUAGAAGAUAAGAUGAAUGGCAAAGCAUACACAUGUUUUGUACUUAAAUGGGAAGUUAGGCAUGUAUGUCUUAUUAGUUGAGUUUAAAAAAAAAAAGGUUCUUAUUUGAUAAGGUUAAAUGCAUUUGUGGCUAAGAUGUUUAUAUGCUAAACUUGACUAUUUGGUGAAAUUGAUUAUGCUGCAUUUUCUAAUGGACAAUAAGCCGAGCGAUAUGGAUUGUUUGGUUUUAUGCACAUGAAUAGAAGUAUGAAUUAAUAUGUUUGAUAUUUAGCUUAAGAAGUAAAAAAAAAAUUCUUGGAUGUCUUAAUGUAUGCGCAUGGAAUUUGUAAUGUGAUGAGUCAUCUUAUAAUUUGAUUUUUGAAUUAUAGGAGUAAGAAGUAUAUAUGUUUCGAAUGGUGGGAUUUUAAAGCAUGUGUAAUAUGACUAUUUUGAGCCGUGUUUUAUAUGGUAAUGCCUUGUAACCCUAUUCCGGCAACGGAUACGGGUUAUGGGUGUUAUAGAAAAUCCCGGUGAAAUUAGUAAAAGUCUUGUAUAUGAUUAUGAGUUUUUGCCAAGGUACCGAGUUCCUAGAUAUGUUGCAUACUUGAGAAUACAUGUUUAGGUUCCGAGCUCCUGCAUAUGUUGCGAACUCGAGAAUACAUUAAUAUUAAGCCCUAGCCAGGCUAUUUAUCGUGUAGGUUCAACCCUAACAGGUAAUCGGCACUAUAAUCUACACAUGUGUACAAAGUUUUUUUACGAAGUUUCAUCGGGUAGAAUUGUGAAUGAAUUUUUAGAGAUAUGCUAUUUGAGGUUGGCUAAGUAAUGAAUAUGUUUUGGUUAUGAGAUUCAAGUUAAAUUGAAAAGAAAAUAAGAACAUUUGAGGGUAUAUAUGUGAUUGAGCUCAAAAUCUUAUAAGUUGAUGUUGCUUGAAUUUUGAUAGGUAAAUUUUAUAUAUAAAAUGAAUUGUGUAUGUGUUAAAUGAUUGAGGUAAGUAAAUGUUUAAUUGUAUGAACUUACUAAGUAUUUUAUAUACUUACCCGUGUUACUAUUUUUCUGUAGAUUUGGACGUUCGGAACUUGUCGAUCGGAUUGGUGAGAAGCUCACACCUACCGUCUCUCGUUUUGGUAAACUUUUGAUGUUUUGAAGUUGGUCACUUGAGACAUGUAUAUAAGAUGGAUAGUCUUUGCAAAUAGUGAUAAUGUUUUGGCAUUUUGGUUGUGUAUAAACCUAUAUAUGUAACCUUGUGAUGUUAAGUGAUUGGUACCAAAUUGAUACUUAGUAGAUUGAUGAUAAUGGCAAAGGACUUUGGUUGUGUUAGGCAAAUGUUAUAUUUGGUGUGAUUGAAUUGUGGUUUGAAAUGGUUAAAAGUAUUGGUAAAUAUGAUAUAAUUUGCUUGAUGAAAUAUGUACUUAUAUUUUAGACCAUUUGAUGAACUUUGCCUAUUGAUAUUUUAGUUAUAAAAAUGAUUAUUGCACAUGUAUGGUUAGGUAUGAAUAACUUGGCAUGAAUGGUAAGGAAUAGUUGUUAUUUAAUGGUUGAAUUGUGGUGCCAAAUGUGGCAUAUUGGUUAGGCACUUAGAUUGAAUGAAAUAUGUUGUAAUUUGGUAUAUUUUUUUAUGUCUUUUAACAAGUUAAUCAAAGGUCUAUUGCAUGACUUGAGGCUUAAAAGAGCCUAGGUUAUAUUUGCUUAUUGUGGAUGCCAUUUUAGGUACACACAGUUUGUGAUACGACCUGCUACACGGCUAUGUGUCAUACACGGGUGCAUGGCACGACCGCAUGGUUUGUUUAAUUUAAAUGUAGGAUGAUUCACACGGUCACAGUGUGUUAUAUAGCCUAGUAACAUGGUCGUGUGACCCUGGAUUACAAGGCAAUAGAGAGUUACAUGCCUUGGGGACACGGUUGUGCGAUAGCGCCACACGACCUCAACCAUGUCAUACGACCGUGUGACCCCUAUUUCACUAUUUUACCUAUCUUUUUGUAAAAGUUUUAAAAUGGUCCCAAUUUAGUUCUGAGCUUGCUUAAGGGAUUUCAUAAGCCCGAUUGGGACUCAGUUUUGAUUAUAAUGUAUGUUUAACUUGAACUUAGUUUGUAUAUAUGGAUUUAUUGGAUGUUAUUGACUAAUUUGCUCGUGAAUGUUUCAGUUUUUUGUGUGGUAGCAUCCUGUAGCUCGGGUUCGGCGACUGGACUGAGUAUGGGGUGUUACAUGUAUGUGAGUUGAACUUGAAAUUGUAAAAGAGAAUUCUCAAUUGAAAUUGGAAAAUCGACCUACGAUUUUGAAUUUUUUUUAUAAAUCGUGGGUCAAAUAGAAUACUAAAAAUCUUUUUUGACUAGGUGAAGCCAUCAUAAAACAUAAUAAAAGAAAUGGAGAGCAGUGGAGGGGAAGAAAGUUGUAAUCGCGAGAGGGUUAGAAGGGAACAAAGUUGUCAUCAAAACGACACCGUUUUAAUAAAAGUAAAAAAAUAUUGGUGGCGUUUAUGGGAAAAACGUCGCUAUUGCUUUACCUUCUGCGGCAUUUAUGAGAAAAACACCGUAUUGCUUUACCUUUUACGGCGUUUAUGCAAAAACGCCGCUAAUACUUUACCUUUUGCGGCAUUUUUUGGUUAGCGCCACUAAUAGUAUAACCUUUGCGGUGUUUUCGAUCCAAACGCCACUAAAAACCUAUUUUGCUAUAGUGUUUAACCAACUGAUCUUUGACAUUAAUAAUGGAAAAAUACAAAUUCAUUAGUUAAUUAUAUAUCUUUUUAUAGUUAAACAACUGCGUUUAAGUUAGUAACUAUAUUUUUCUUUUCUCCUAAGCACCUUAAAACUAAGAAAUUACAUGUUGGUCCAAAUAUUUACUAUUUUUUCUUGAAAGUAUGGAGUUAUAAUAAACUUUUUGUCCUUUCAAGGAGACAAAAAGAGAAAAGUUGCCUCCAUAAUUUCCCUUUUAUUGUACUUUGUUGGGUUUUUCAAGAAGGGAAAAUAAUAAUGAAUGGAUUUGUAGUUUCUGAAUGUUUGUUUGAUGGCAUUAUUGUUUAAUAUAAGAAGUGUUAAUUGCUUGUGCCUGCAGUUAUUACUUACAUGAUAACAUAUUUAUAAUAAUAUAUUUUAUAAUCAACAAAUAGAAAUGAAGAUGGAUGGGCACGUUGGUGUAUCAUGAAACCAUCUUUUUCCAUUUUUAAUGGUUAACAUAUCUCUAUGCAAAUACAAAAGAGGAGAGAUUAGUCGGUUUAAAGAAUUUCCAAAUUAAUGGAACAAUUCUUUUUUUUUAACAGCCUCUGAACACUGGUAUUUAAUUACAAUUAUAAAAACUCUCUCUAAACCAGCAAGGUCCUCUAUAAGAACUUCAUUUUAGCCAAUUAUGGGUGUUUGUAGCGACAACUUUUUCCACUCCACCAAACGUCGCAAGAACUCCUUAACCUGAAAAUAAUUAUGUUUUUAUGAACACUUAUAGACCAAAAAUACAUUUAAAUAAAGAAGAGCAAAAUAUGCCAAAAUUAGUAAUAAAUCGUGCCUCAGAUGGUUCUUGGAGAGAAUAGGAUGCAUUAGUUUCUUUGGGUAUUUUUGAAACCAAAAUCCCAAACCCUAGUCCUCUAUCACGUAAAACCUGAUCAUAAAACCAUGCAAAGGCAAAAAAACAAAUGCGUUAAAAAUUGACCAGAAAUUAUUUAAUUUUUAUAGAUUAUUUAAUUAUAAUUUGUAGGUUACCUUGAAAGCAUCUUCAUCAGUUCGAUCAUCGCCGAUAUAAAUUGGUAAAACAUCAUUUGGAUUGUUAUAUCCUUUAAAAAUAUUAAAUUGAAUCAAAGUUAAAUUAGUAUUAUAUUUAAAUAAUUAUUUAAAAAGGCAGAAAUUUUAGUGUAUAUAUAUAUAUAUAUUCACCUAGUGCUUCCAACAAAAAUUCAAGGGCUCUCCCUUUGUCCCAUUUGAUAGUGGGACGUAUCUCUAAUACCUGCUUGAAUAAAGGAAAAUAAAAUAAAAUAAUGAUUCUUCUUCUUCUUCUUCUUUUAAGAAAAAUGGGUUCAAGAAAAAGAACAUAUAUUAUGAUUAUGAUUAUGAUUAUACCUUCCUCCCUUGAGUUAAUUUAAGCUUAGGGUAGUGGUUCAGCACUGAUCUAACUUGCUCAGCUAUUGUAGCCCAACUCUGCACAGUAAAUCAGUGAGAUUAGGAUUGAAAUUUAAUGACGAAAAUAAUGAGACAAAAAGUGGGUUCGAUGUGUACCUUUUCAUCAACACAUCGAUAGUGUACGGAAACACAAAACUUGUUGUUUUCCACCUUGGCUCCUGAAAUGGAUUUUGUUUUCUCUGCCAAUGCUUUGUACACCUGUACUUUUUUUAAAAGAAAAAAAUUAAGUAUAUUUUUUUAUAUAUAUUUCCAGAAUAUGCAUUGUACAUAAUGGGGGAAAAAAGGAACCUCAUCAAUCAUGGGCAAGAAUUCACUUGCAGGCUGGAAAAGCACUCCCUGCUUACCCUGAAAUAUAUACAAAAAAGACUAACAGAUAAAGGGAAAUUAAGGGUAGAAAAAGAUUAAAUUUGUACAAGUAAACUGAUGGUUUCUUACAUUAUUAUUGUCUUUGCAGCUUUUGGAUGGUCCCUUGAUAUCCAUACCAUGGCUACCAGCAUAAUAAAGUCCAGAUAGUUUUACAAAGCUGUAAACCUGUAGGAUUUCCAUCAUCAAGAAUAGUUUUUUUGCUGUUGGUAAUGAUUAAAGAAUGUUAUGUAGGUAGGUACCUUGUCUCUGCAUCUUCCGGUGAGUAUUGCAGUAGGAAAAUAUCUUGAAACAUCUCUUACAGCUGCUCUCAUCUCUCUGGGCAUGAAAGCUCGAUCCGGGUCUUCAACGAUUGGUGACAGUGUGCCAUCGUAGUCAAGGAACAUCGCAAUCUGUUUCCCUUUUGAAGCAGUCACUAUUUGUUCAAACAUGUUCAAAGCUGAGGGAUGAUGAACCUGUUCCAUAAGGAUUAGACAACAAUAAUAAAAAAAUAAGGGGGGUUAUUUACUUUAUUUAAAUCAAGAUUGACGGAGAAAUAGCAACUUACAAUCCAGGAACUUUUGACAUCAGUUUCAGGUAAGGAAGUCGUAGUAGGGUUGCUGAUACGAGUAGGUGAAGAAGCUCUCAUGGAAUCCAGUACCCAAGCAUUCUCAGUUUCAAACCUUUUCUUCAUUAACAAUAACUUCAGGUCUUGUGGUGAAAAGGACUUGGCCACUGGCAAUGAUAAUGGUGGCUUAACACCACCAUGGGGUUUCACAUCCACAACCACCACAUUUUGUUGGUUAGUCAUUCUUCUUUCUUAAUUAACUUGUUCUGCAUAUUCCAAAACCCAAAAAAACCAGACCAGAUAAGCAAAAGCAGAAAAGAAAAGAAAAAACAUCAAGUUCAAUGACUAGAAGGAUACCUGAACAGAGUGAAGAAAGAAAACAGAGAAGAUAACAAUGGCAAUGACAAAAUGACUAGGAGUAGUACAGAAAAAAUGCAGCGAAGGGCAGGGUUUUAAAUAGGAAGGCAAAGGGUCUAGAGAGAGAAAAUAAUAAAUUGAUUUAAAAAAAAAAGAUACUGAAAAGAAAAGUUGAAAAUCACAGAAGCGCACUAAUUAAAAAAAAAAGGAAAAACCUUGGUAUGGCAGCACUAAGCGACGAAACAGCCAUACCUUUCUUCGCCACCUGUACUUUUAGACACCUCCUUCCAUUGUUUUCUUUGAAUGAGAGGCAGGGGGAACAGUAAUGAGAUCCAUGGUCUAUUUCACACCCCAUGAAAAACAGAAAUGGGGGGUUUUUAUUUUUAAGCAACUUGUUGGUAAAGUGAUAAAAAUUGAAGUUGAAGUUCAUAAUUGUAAAGGUAUGGAAUAAAGAAAUUAGUCACUAUUACAUUGAUCAGCAGGAUUUAAGGAUUCAACUGUCUUAUUUACCUUGUCUCUAAGAAAAAUUAGAAAAAGAAAAUGGCAGGUACAUGGUCUUGUCCUGUUCAGAAGCCUGUAAAAAAUGGGGAUGAAGGGGUUCUUUCAAUUUUGAUUCCUCUCAUUGCUAAGCAUCCCAAGAAACUCCUUCAACACUCACAUAGGGACUUAUUUAUUUGUACAAAUUUAACUUUAAAAUAACAAUUAAAAUGAUUUUAAAUUUUAUAUUUAUCUUAAUUUAUUAAAAUAAAAUAAUAACAGUCAAUCUUUCCCUUCUUUUUUUUCCUUUCACUUAAAAUAUUAUGGUUUUAGAUUUUUUUUUUUGAGAAAAAAUCAGAAUGAAAAAUAAAAUAUUAUGUUUGUUUUCCUUGAUUGAAAAAAUUGGUCGAUUAUUUUAUUCUAAAAAUUUCGAAAUUUUUUUCUUAAUUAAUUUCAAAGUCAAACAUAUCUCAAAAUUUUAUUAUAAUAAAAUAAGAUAAAUACAAAAUUUAAAUUUUAAAACCAUUUAUUUCGAUAUAAUUAUUAAAAUCAUUUUAAAAGUUGUGACUGGAAUUAAAAUUUUAGUAGAUAUUCGACUUGCUAAUGUACCUACUUAUGGUGACCGAUGAAAUGUGAGAGUUUGAGAAGUGAAUUACAACAAAGGAAAAACCAUUAGCUCACACGUGAUUUUUUCAAUGUUUUUAGUUAAUAUAUUGUCGGAUUGAGUGUCAAAAGAAAUAAAGUUUCGAGUUUAAAUAUUAUAGGUGAAGAAAAUGUUAUUCUUAUUUAAAAGUCUGGCUCAGGCCAAUACUAAAUUAAGUCGAGACUCAACUUGACUACCCUAAUUAUAACUUUUGUUCUAAAUUGACCUCUAAACUUAAAAAGUGUUGUAAUUAUGUUUUUUCAUUAUUAAAAUUGUGUGAUGUAAUUAUUUUAAAAUAAAACAAAUAAAUAAAAAUGUUUUAUCAUUAAGAAUGUCUAAAAGAUUAUUUAGAAAAAAAAAGAAUGUUUCCAUCAUUAAAUUUUGAAUUAUUGAGAGUCGUGCAAAUUAUGGGAGACGUGACUGGAUAUAUAAAAGAAAAGUCUAAGAAAUUAACUUCUUACUUUUUUUCAUUUGUUUGCAACUGUUUUUUAUCUGAUUGGUAAUCAACAAGAGAGCUCAAUUUUUAUUUCUCGAGAGUCAAAUAUACUACAAAAUUUAUGAUGCUAUAGGAAUCCAUUUUCAUGCGUGUGCUUUUGACCACCUAAGUGUUUAUUUUUAGUACGAUUCAUUCAAUUUUUUUUAUUUUAUGUUACGCUACAGUAUUUAAUCUCUGAAAUUUAUGUUAUUUAUAAAUAAAAUGGUCUUUAAGAAUUUAAUGUUUUAACACAAUUAUUCCUUUUUCUCGGAGAGGAACUAUAUUUAAUACAUCAAAUGCAUUCCCAUUAUUUCAUUGUUUUUUUUAUUAUUAUCAUUUCUAUAAAAUAUAGAUGAAUUAUGCAAUCAUGAUAUAGGUUUUACCCUACAUUUUCUGGACAUUGAAAACAGUCGGAAAAGUUAAUUUUUUGGUCAAAUAUUUCUAGAAAAAGAAAAAGACUUUUUUAUGCUCUAGAAAUUAAUGAAGUUGAAUCUUCGAGUGCAGACUUUCCUAUUAAGGAGUUUGUACAUGGAAACAUGAAGAAUUACUAUGUUUAGGAUAAUUCAAUGGACUAGAAGAGAUAAAUGAGAUUGUAAUCUAGUUGCAGAUCGUCUCGUUAAGAUGAGUUUAACAUGGAGGUCAAGUGUAGAUGCUUUUGAUACCGCAUCAAUCGAGGUUUCGAAACUCCUUCAACAAUUCUUUUUUUUUGCUAGUCAAUAAUUUCUAUUUGACAUAACUACUUUUUAUUCACAACAUAUGGAAUGAAUUUAUAUAAUUGCCAUGAAGACUAGUUUCAUAAAUGAAUGUUGAAAAAGGCAAAGGGUGUAUGUUAUCAUUUCUCUUUAACUUUCCAAGUAAUUUAUAUGUUGAAAGAAAUUUGAUUUAAGGGAUUCAGAUAAAAUUAUAUAUUGAUAUUUUUCAUGUAAUUCAAUUCUACCUUCCUAAAAUAUUUUAUUUCUAAUUUCACCCCUUUAACUUAGGUCCAAUUUGAAUAAGUUUAUUAUUCUCUCAAUGGUAGAUUUGAAUGAGCACCGCCCCUUGUAAAGGCAUACUGAAACAAGCAGCUCCAAUCCAACCCAACCUAACCUUUGAUGCAGUUUGAAUCAAAACCAGCAGCUUUUUUGUCUUAUAAACUUGACAUUUAUGCCCUCACCUUUUUUUAUUAAGGUCGGCAAUUAAAACUAAAUUUUUCAUAACGUACGGUUUCACUUAACCAAUUAUUAUCUGAUUUGGACUCUUCACUUUUUGUCCCCCAAAAUAUUAUUUGUUUUGAACCACAAAACAUUUGUUCAAAUUUUCUUUCGUAUCUGAAUUAGAUUUACAACUUUUCUUUUUAACUUAUAUAUGGUUAAUAAUAUUUUCAGGCAAUUAUUGAAAAGAUGCAUGCAUGAAUGAAGUUUCCCAUCCAUUUUCAUAAUAAUAUUUCUUUAAAUUUCACCUUUUGUACCCUAUCUCUUUAUUAUAAAUUAUACUUUCUAACGUAUAAGCCAUGUGGUGGAGCAUACCUUAGGGUUAAAUCACUUUUUGGGGUUUGAAUUUGAUUCUUUUUCUUGUAUUGGGAUUUGUUCUUUUUUUAAGUUAGACAUUGAACUUGACAGUUAUUCCCACAUUGAGGUUUGAACUUUUUUUUGUCUAAGUUAGACCUUAAACUUCACAAUUAUUCUCACAUUGAAGUUUGAGGUUUUUUUUUUAUCCAAGUUAUUUCUUGAAAACUCUAGAUUUUAGGCAUUAAUGUGGAAAUAAUUACUAAAUUCAGAGACUAACUUAGGCAAAAAAAAUUAGACCCCAAUAUGAGCAAAAUUAUCAAAUUCAAACCCCAAAUAGGGAUUUAACCCAAAAUAUUUUCACAAUAUCAAUUGAUUAAGUAUUCAUAAACCGACAUUAUGAUUUGAGUAUCAUUUUCAGUACUCUACAAGAUUGAUGACAUGCCAUGAUCCUAUAAUCUUUCCUCGUGUAGACAGUGAUAUAAUUAGAAACGAAAGUGGUAUCGUUGCCCAUAAGAUGGAGCAAACCAGAAGACACGAAUUGCAUGGGGAAAAAAGCAUGUAAGAAUUGAAGGAAAGGAAGUUUGACUUCAAAUACCAAAACCCCAUUUGUUGAACGUAAGUCUUUAUACACUAGGUUUAUUCUUUUGAGGAAAGGGAACAGUAAACAAAGUAUGUUUGCAUGCAAUGUAUGGUAGUUUCUAUACCAACUUUCGACUUUCUUUCAACCUUAAUAUAUGCAUAUAUAAUAUGGUUUAAUGUUAUGUGUUUAUUAUUUGCUUUGGAUGCAUGUAAAUAGUCAAAACUGGAGGCCAUGGAGAUGCCUGGAAGCUACCUCUCCCAUGUGAUAACUGGAAGUUUCAGUUUCAAAAUUCUGGUUGUGACGAAAUUUUGUCAAAAAGGAGAGUGGGUUAGGCAAACAAUAAGUUAGAUUAUUAAAGAGAUUCCCUCCAACAAAAAUAUUCAGAUCUCCCAAAUACCAAAAACUCUUUAUUUCGGAAUAACUUUCUUGUUAAGAAAGUUUAGUAUUCUAAUCUUUUGGUUUAAUGGAAAUUUCAAUAAAUCAUUUUUGAGCAAAUUUAAAAUUUUUAUUUUCCUAGGCUAGUCAUUGUUACGUAUUGUCAAUUUCAUAUUUUAUUUUCUAUCAAAAUAAUAAAAAUAUUAUCAAUCGCUUAAACUUGAAGAUACAAGGCGGUGAGAAAAGCACGUUGCAAGUUGAAAGAGUUGUGAGCCGGUUACCAAAUGCCACUCGUGUGCUCUUGUUUACUUGUUGGAAAUUGCGCUGCAUCUGAUUGGGUGAGGGGCAAGAACUGCAGGGCCACAAAUAGGGUCGUGGUUUUACAACCAAUUUCUUGAUUUGACUUGAAAAGUAAUUUUUAAAAAUAUUUUUUAUUGCAAAAACUCUCAAUUAUUGUCAAAAAUUAUGAUAAAAUGCAUAUGUACUGUGGUUGAUUCAAACAUAAAGCCUUUUAAGUACCCAUUAAAUCUCUUUUCAUUAACAAAAACCAUAUUUUUUUUUGGUAAGCAAACAAAUUGAUUAGUGGUGAUAGAAGCAAACAUUAAUUACUAUAAUUAUAAAAAUUAUAUAUAUUUUUAAAAAAUUUAUAAUUUAAUUAUGAUUCUUAUAAUAUAAAUUUUAUAGCUUCGAAUAUGAAUAUGUAAAUGCGAGUACAAAUUUAGUUAAGUUGUGAAUCAUGAGAUUUUGGAUUCAAUCUUUUAUUCCGAUUAUAUAUAUAAACACAAGCCAAAAUUGUUGUAAAUGGGGGGAGGGUCUUCAAAGUGGGUCAUAGCAAAUAGUGACUAAAAUCGCUUCUAAGCAUCUCAAAGAUAUUCAUUCAACGAAUCAAAGGGAGAUUAAGGGUAUAUUUAGCUUUGCAUAUCUUUUUAAAGUGGAGAGUAAUGAUAGAGAAUAUAGAAGCUAACCCUUUGGGUUGCUUGCCUAUCCCAUGUUGGCCAUGAAUGCCAUCUUUGGCCGGUAUGCCAAAAUCCAUUACUUUAUCCAUCGAUGCGAUGAUAUUUGCAAGUGGAUGCAAAUCUUAUUGCUUCCUUGGUUUAACUAGAUUUGAUCAUCUUUUUGCAGGCGGAAAAAUAUGUGAGCAAAUCUAAUUAAAAGGUGCUUGGAAUACACAAAGAAUAACUGCAUUUGGUCACUUUACAAAUUGUGGGUUCUACUCGGAUUUAGUGGAAUAUGCUAACAAUAUAUAAUUUUACGGUUCACUUAAAAAGGACAAAUUUGAUACAAGGCACUUAUACUAUGCGUUUUGGAGGAUUUAGUUCAUCCUUUGAUCAUUUCCAUUCACUAUAUGCCAAUUGUUUUUUUGUUAAUUACAUCAAAUAAUUUGACACCACUUAUCUAUUUAAGCAUGAAAUAAUAUGAGUCUGUGACAUAUAUAGAUUGGUACAAUUGGAUAACUUUUUUGAUCUUUUAAAAAAAACAAAAAAGAGAAAUUUGUAUAACAUUUAUUUAACUGUACAAAAAUGUUAUGUUUUAAAACAUAAGUCAUAUCGAAUUAUUUAACAAAAUUAAUGAAGAGAAGUUGGUGUUAAAAUUGAAAAAUACACGUUUCAAUAAAUAGAGGGAUUGUGGAUAAUUAAUUUAUAAUACAAGUAUGAGGACUUUGUAUAGGAUUUAAGGGUUGAUUCUAAUAUUAUUUUGUGAGGGUAAUUUCUCAAUAUGCUGAAAAGAUAUAAUCUUAGAUUCCAUUUAAAAACAAAAUUCUUAUCAAUCAAGAUUUUUUUGGGGUAGAUAGCUAGCCAAGACCGGUAAAGGUGGUAUUGAGAGGGAAAUUGAAUUUAUAAAUAUUUGAUUAGAGCAUCAUAAGAUUUUAUAACAUAUAUGUGGUAUUGAAAUUUGAUACAAUGUGUAUUGUAUUGUAUUGUAUUUGAAAUAGCAACCUAUUUGCUUUCUGUCCCAACUGAUGUUUGAACACAAGUUUAGAGAAGACUAUGUAACAAAGGCAAUAAGCAAAUAAGAGAAAAAGAAAAGAUAGACACAAAAAAAUUGUUAACGCAAUUUGGCAAAUAAUCCUACUCAACGAAGCCUAGCUCUAUGAAUUAUUUAUUCAAUAAUCAAUCAAAUACCUAUUGGCUAAAGCCCGAUCUACCCUUACACAAGAACUAAUUGCAACCCCAACAGGUAACCCCGACUUGUUACAAUCACUCACCCAAAUCGCCUUACUUACCACAAAGUGCAAAUUACAAAGUAAAUGCUAGCUACAAUUACACAAGAAAAAUAAAACAAAAGCACUCCACAAAAGAUGCAUUGGCACGUGCAUAAGUGUUUCCUAUUUAUAGGGAAAAUAUGAUAGUUUCUUCAAGUAACAUUGUAAAGAUAAAGUCACCAUUUGAAUUGUAACAUUAUCCAAGAUAAAGUCAUCGAGUUUCAAUCUCAAAUAGUAAAGUCGAUUAUCAAGUAAAAGGCUUAAAGGAUAAGGAUAAGUUCCUGAGAUAAGGAAAGCCGAUCCUUCAUCCUCUUCCUCUCCCAAAUUUGAUUAGCAUAAUAAAACAUGGCUUGAGGAUCUUUUAGUGAUGGUAUAACACAUCAUGAAGGUCAAAGUAAAAGAUACCAACUACAUACUACAUUUAGGCUAUCUUAAAGAGAUGUCUCAACUAUUGACUAAAGGUUUGUCCAAACAUGAUGUUUGAACCAGAGAUAAAACAUAGUGAUGCAAUUCAAAGAAAUGUUUGAACACAAGGAGAAACUUCAGAUGUAAGACAACUAAGAGUCUCAACAAUAUUAUGUUGUAUUAUAUAUUAUAUUAUGUGAUAUUAGUUCAGUCUACUUAAAUAUUAAAUAUAAAAAUUGUUAGCUCGAUUAAUCAAACCGAAAUUGUCAAGAGGGGAGGUGAAUUGACUUUUAAAAAAUUUAGUAAAAGCAAGGAAAGAAAAUGAAACAAUGAACACAAAGAUUUAGAGUGGUUUAACCCCAAUUGCCUACUCCACAACCUUAGCUUUUCACAAUUAAGGAUUUCUCAAAUUCACUAAUUUGUUCAACCUUUGAGGACAAGGUUUAACCUUACAACCCUCUUAAGAUUUCUACCCUAAAUCUUAAGAUAAACCCUCUCAAAAAAUUACAAAUAAGCAAACAAAGAGAUAAUCCUAACAAAUUCAGAAUGUUUGCAAAUUAAGCACAAACAUACUAGAAUACACUUGAGCAAAAGAAAAACAAUGAGAGCUCACAAGUGUAUACAAGAGAAUUAUGAAAGUAUUGAGUACAAGUGUAUACAAUCUUAAAUAUUCUUUGUUGUUGUUGUAGGAACUUUAGAAGCUGGUAUUUAUACUCCCUAAUUGAUUUCCAACCAUUGAGGUUAUUGUGGUAGUUAAUAGAGCCAUUGGGGAUGUGAAAACCAGAGUAUUUAAUACACCUAUAACAGUGAGUAUCGAUAUCAGAUAAAAAUGUAUCGAUAUUUUUGUAAUAAAUGCUAAAUUUAGUGACUGUUGGAGAUUAACUAUCAAUACCAACACAAUUUUAUCGAUACUUUAUGAAAAGAUAUCGAUACCGUAUCAAUACUUUGUAGGUUUUGUGAAAAACAUAAUGCCAUUUUGAUAUCGAUUUUCCAAUUAAACCGAGUGUGGUUGGAGAUAUUUUAUUUUUAUGAAUUUUUAAUUAUUUAUUUAAUUUAAAUUGGAUUGACCAAUUAAAUCGACCGGAUUGAACAUUAAUAACUUAAUCGAUUCAAUCACUAAUUAGAUUCAUUGCAAACGUAGUUAACUGUUAUAAUUAAAUAAAAUACGUAGCUUUUGAAAUAAAACAAACUAUUUUAAUUUUUUUUAUAGACAUGUAUUAGUCCAUAUUUGAAGAUUGAUAUUAUGAAGCAACAAAUUUUUAAAGAUCAGAUUUAUUUAAAUCGACCAAAUAAUAUUUUUAUAACACUUAAUUAAAUCAAAUAAUUAUUCUAUAUGCAAUUAAAUUAAUAUGGGAAGUCACUAAAUUAAAAAAUGGAUAACGGCUACUUACCCAUUUGAAGUUGUGAGAAGACCAUUGCAAUUGAGUUCCAGCACACUAGGCGGGGCUAAUUCCCAAAUUGCUACAACUAAGUGGAUAUAAAGCUUUUAAUAAAAUCCUCAAAAUUGUUUCUAAAAAAUUUAAUGGUUUUCUAAUUGUGACAUGGGAAGCAGCACCAGAACAUGGGGAGUUCAUCUCACAUUUAUGUUUCUAUUUUGUUCUAAGGUUUUAAUGGGUGUGCUUAUGGGUAAGGAAUGGUAGUUGCCUCCGGCUAUCAGACUCAUUGAGCUAAAUACUACAUAUGAUGGUGAUGGGUGGGGUUAGAUUAGUUGGAGUCUGGGUUGAUUUUAUACGUGGUAUUAAUAUUGAAUAUAAUUAUUUAAAAAUAAUCUGGUUCUAUAAACCUCAAAUUGUACUAAAUUUGUCCAUAUCAAUAUAUAAUUAACACAAAUUUGCUGCAAGGCAUUUGCCAUGGUGGACCACUUGAAUACUUCACAGCAAAUGACAACUAGCUUAUUGGGCCAAUCCCUCAAGGGUUGAAAAUUUGCACUAGCUUGAAGAAAGUACGCCUUGAAAAAAACUAAUUUAGAGGGAAUAUAUCUAAAUAUUUAGGUGUUUACCCGAACCUAAAAUUUAUUAACUUGACAAUGAAUUUCAAGGUGUAGUGUCUUCCUAUUGGCAGUUGUGCAAAAGUCGACAUCUUAUGUCCAAGCUUUUGUAUCUAGACUUGUCUGCAAACCAAUUGAGCAAGUCCAGCCCUGAAACUUUCAGGUUAAAAUAAUCGACUAAACAUCUCUAUCAGUAUUUGUAUUUUAUGAAAGUUACGGAUUCAGUCCCAAUACUUUAAAUCGGGUUAGGUUUAUAAAUUAUACUAGAUUAGGUUUAUAUUGGGUUAGUAUCAAUAUCAGAUAAAAAUUAUCGAUAUUUUUUGUAAUAAAUGCUAAAUUUAGUAACUGUUGGAGAUUAACUAUCAAUACCAACACAAUUUUAUCGAUACUUUAUGAAAAGAUAUCGAUACCGUAUCGAUACUUUGUAGGUUUUGUGAAAAACAGAAUGCCAUUUUGAUAUCGAUUUUCCAAUUAAACAGAGUGUGGUUGGAGAUAUUUUAUUUUUAUGAAUUUUUAAUUAUUUAUUUAAUUUAAACUGGAUUGACCAAUUAAAUCGACCGGAUUGAACAUUAAUAACUUAAUCGAUUCAAUCACUAAUUAGAUUCAUUGCAAACGUAGUUAACUGUUAUAAUUAAAUAAAAUACGUAGCUUUUGAAAUAAAACAAACUAUAUAGAAUUUAAAAGAAUAAAUAUAUAUACAAAUAGGUUUGACCAAGAAAAUCAAAUUGGAGCUAAAAUUAUUAAUGUGGUUGGGUUGAAUAAUAAAGAAUAUAAAAUUUUCAAUACUAUUUUAAAAUUAAGUUUUAUUUUUGAAGAAAACAACGUUGUCAUUAAAAAGCUAAUUUAAUUUAACAUUAAAUUUAAUCAAAUUCAUAUUUUAAAAAAACAUAAAAAUAGAAAGGACAAUGUUGCAAAGGGCAAUCGAAAUUGGGCAAGGAAGCAACUGAAAAAACUGUCAGAAGUGAUUUUGGUUUAUUAAAAAACAUGGGGCCUGCCCCACAAAUCAUGCUCACUCAACCCUACCAUCAACUUAUAAAAUAUUGUUUAAUUUCACGAUUUUAUUAAUAAAAAGUGAUUUUAGACCAAAUCUAAGAUUCAUAACUUUUCUUUAACAAACAUCGAGAAUUGGGAUAAAUCUAAGUUUAUUUUUUUAUUUGAUUUUUAAUUAGUUUUAAUUUUCGUAUCAUAAAAUAGUUUUUAUUUUUAAAUUAAUGAAAAAAAUUCAAACUAUAUUUUUAAAAAUUAAGAAAGUAACAUAUGAUAUUUGCGAUUUUUUCAAGAAACAAAAACAUUAUAUCAAAUUCCCUAAAUCACUAUUUCUUUCAAAAUUAGUGGAGCAUUGAGAUACAUUAAUACAUAAGUGUAUUGGGAAUAAGGCAAAGGAUAUUUUUUUCCUCAAUUAGAUAACCCCAAAGAUUGAAUAAAUAACUUAGGUCCUAACAUAUAGAUUAUACCUACAUAAGGUUAAUGAUUAGCCUAUUGGAUUCUUUUUCUUACUUUUGAUUAUCAUCACCUUACUCAACUUUUAAAUAAUUUUAAAUUAAGCAAAAUAAAAGCUUCAUCUACUUAGUAUUUAAUAUAUAUAUAUAUAUAUAUAUAUAUAUAUCGAUUGAGUCUUAACUCAAUUAAUAUGAAUAUUGUUGUUAAUGUGAGAGAACGCCGAUUCAAAUACACUAAAAUAUAUUAUCCUUCUAUUUAUAAAUUGAAAAAAUUAUUAAGUAAUUUUAAGAAUUGCAUCAAACAUAACAGGUAUGAUCAAAACUUCUAAUGAAAUUGUUCAAAAAUAUAAUAUAUAUUGCUAACAAUUUCUGUUAGAAAGUAGUUACAAGACUAAUAACAUUAAUAAUAUUUAUAAUUGCAAAAUAACCCAUUAAUUCCAUUUCUUUCUCAAUUAUUUGAAUUUUGCUAACUUGAAGACAAAAUUUAGUAACAAAUAUUUUCUAUAUUCUAUUUUAAUAUUUAACAAUAAUAAGUUAAUUAAUAUAAUAUUAAAAUUCAAUAAAAAUGUCUAUUUUAUAAAAAUAAACUUAUCUUUUCUUUUAUGAUAGAUGUAUUUUUAUAGUUAAAUAAGCUCCAAACCUAUAAAUUUUAUUGAUGAAAGUCCUCCAUUCUAAUAUUAAAAUAAAAAUAUUUAAAUAAAUUUGCAUUUUAAUGCCUACGUGAAUUUGAUAAAAAUGAUUUAUUAAACAAAAAUAAAAUAACAUUUUUUAAAAGUAAAACAAAAUAAUAUUUCUAAAAAAAUUUAAAGUGAUUAUAUACAUAAGAAACAAAACAACUUACCUACUAAAACAAUGCACAUAAUUACAAUUUAUUCAAUUAGGAUAAUUUGUUUAAAGGAAUUCAAUCAAACAACAUAUUAUCCACCAUGAAGUUUUAAUUUAAUUUUCAAAUACAAAUAUAAUGAACAAGAAAAAGACUUAAUAUUUAACUUGAAUUUUUAUUUAAUUUAAAAAUAAAAUUAAUUAAUUAUUAAAAAUAAAAAAUCAAACCACGUAAUGGGUGAUAUUACUAGUUAUUUGAUUAUAUAUACAAAGGCAAGAGCAAUGGCCUUAAAAAGAAUUGAAUAAAAUGCAAAAUCAGAAUACCAUAUAGUUAUGCUUUAAACAUGUUCUAUCUGCAGUUUUAACUUUGUCAAUGUUUCGGUACCCAAAAUAAACUACUCAAUUACAUCAACAACUUCAAAGUUCUAACAAAAAUAAUUAAAAACAUAUCCAGCAACAGAACACAUCAAAAGGCACCAAAUGACCCUAAAAAUCAACAUUGUUAAUCAUAAUAAUAAUAAUAACAAAACCUUCUUACUUUCCAAGAAAACAUGCGACACAAAACCGGAAAUAGGAUGGCAAAAUAUUUAACAGGAAUUUCCAUAUAAACAUUUUUGUCCCCUACUAAUUACUUUUUCUCUACUUCAAAUUCUCUAGUUGUAGGACUAAGUAAUUCCCAUUUUGAGAGUUAUAUUCUUAAGUAAUAUUUUGUCCACUCUCUUACUGAUUUCAACAAGCAAAUAGCUCACUUAGUAAUAACAUUCACUAUCUCGAAUCAAAUUCAGCCUAUUGAAUAAAUCUAUCCUCACUACAUCAAAACAGGCUUUUAGCGGCGCUUUUUUAGGCCUUUAGCGGCGCUUUUCGAAGCGCCGCAAAAAAUGCCGCUAAUGAUAGCGUCGCUAACUUUAGCGGCGCUUUUACUACAAACGCCGCUAUAGAUCAUGACCUUUAGAGGCGCUUUUACCACAAACGCCGCUAUAAAACAGACAUUUACCGACGCUUCUUGCAAAAACGCCACUAAAAACAUAACAUUUAAAAAAAAUUGUUUUAAUCAAAUAAUAUUUUUUUAUGAUAAAUAUUAUAUUAUGUUUUAUUUUUUAAUUUAAACUUUAAAUAUACUUUUAAGGAUAAAUAAAAAAUAUUAUUUAAAUUAAUAUACUUUUAAUCAAAUCAAUUUUAUAGUGAAUCGAUAUUUUUCACCACGUUUAUCGUCUUCUGAAGCAUUAAAUUUCAAGAUAGCAUCACUUAAUCUCGGGCAUAUUAAAUGUUAAAUUGGUUUGCUACCAUCAAAUCUUAUUUAUAAGAUAAAAGCAGCAUAAUGCUUCUAGAAAAUAAACCAAGUGAGAAACUAUGGAAGUAAUACUGCAGAAAUCAAUAACAAGGGUUUUAACAAACAUGUUCAUAUAUCCAGCUUGCAAUUGAAUAACAUAUAUCAUACAUCCAAUAUUUUCAAGCAGUAAGCAAAUCAAUGACGAAACAAGGAUAGCAGUAAAAUAUGUAAUGCCCACCGGUGACCAAAAGGAGCCCAGAAGUAAGUUGCUUCAAGAAAACAACUCUCUUCCCCAUAAACCUUCCAGCCAACAAAAUUAACACAGUCCCUGGUGUAAUGCUUGCUGUAACUUUGCUAUGGUAAUCUCGAGAACAGUUAUGCUAUCUAAAAGCUCCUGGGCCUGAAAUCCAAGUUUCAGAAAUUGAGAAAAGAAUAUAAAAAAAGAACAGAAAUCCCACGGAAGGAGACUGACCUUAUCUGGAAGCUUGCCUGGAGAACUAGAAGAAGGUGAACCACAAUGUUCAACAGCACUUGCUAGAGCUAAGUGCAAAUCGGUCUCUUCCUGCAACUGCUGCUGCAACUUUUUAACCUGUAUCACCCAAGUGGUAGCAUGUUGCAUGAGAAUGAGAUAUAAAUCCUGCACAAAGCUAGCUGUUACCGGUAAGAAAAAAAAGAAAAUCAAAACAUGUAUAUCAUGAUAACGACAUGUCAUUCAUUAGCAAAACCGUUAAUUCUCAACGAGUAAACAAUUGUUUCAUGUUUUCAUAUGUCUCCCCUUAAAAGUCUAUUGUUAUGCCAAUGCUUCUUUGCUAGUAUAACAACAUGAUUUCAGAAUCUAAAACUCUUUUCAUGGGACUUACCAUCCUGGUAUAACAACAUGAUUUCAGAAUCUAAAAGUCUUUUCAACAAACCUAAACAAAUAUAUCAUAAAUUCAUAAUAAAAACCCUUGCUCUCUUAGUAAAAUUAACAAUUUCCCCUCAUAAUAAUUUGGAUUCUGGAAAUUUUAAGGAACAUAAUAAAAUUAGCUAUUGCAAAUUACCUCCAAUUCAGAACAAGAAUUACAAGAAUCAUCCCCAGCUGAAAAUGACUUGCUCCAAACCUUACCACUCUUCCAUUGUAAAUACCUAUUAAUAGAACUUCUUCCCCUGCAAAACCAUCAACCAUACUGCAUUCACCAUUACAAAACCAGAAAAAAAAGUAGAAAAUGAAAAAGGACAAAAAAAAGACCACCAACUGAUUGGUAGAAUAAAACCCCCAUUAUAACCAUCUCAAAAAUGAAAAGCUAUUAAACUAAAAUAUGAGCAUGAAUUUGAUAGUAAAAACAAUUGCACAUAAAAAAAUCAUGUAAAACAAACCUUAUUGGUGAGAAUUCCUUUGAUAAUCCUACAAAGCACUUCCAUUGCAUAUUUGUUCAACACAAACUCAAAUGUUGAAUAUCCUACCAUGGUACGAUACAGAUUUGCACAAACAGAAGCAUAACACAUUCAUAUCAAAACACCAAUUUCAAUAGGCUAUGCCUAAUUUCCAAUUUUUCAUAUUUGGAAUGCAAAGGCAUAUAUAAUUUCAACUUAGAUAUAGGUAUAACAGGGAGUAAAUCUAUCUAAUUCACUAACAGUAUAAGCUAUUAAAAAAAUAAAGCAGGUAAUACAUAAUUCCACAAAUUUUCAAGUAAACUCAACAGAAUAAAUUGAAACGAAUGUAUAUAUAUUUUUAAAAGUAGGGGUUUUCAACGAACUCGACUUCAACAGUGAGGAAAAAGGAUAAUUACAAGUUAACAGUGAGGAGAUCGCGUGAAACUGAAAGCAACAGAUCCAUAUCGAAGCUAGUUAGAAUGGAAAUCUAUGGGAAAACAAGCAUAGAUUAAAACUUCAUAGAACUUUCUCUAAAAACUUCAUAGUAAACUGCUUCAGUCUACUUUUUACUUUACUUGUACAACAAUUACAUGAUAUGCCAAAAUAAAAAAUAUGGGUCUGCGCCACAGAAUCCAUAAAAACUUCAUAGAACUUUCUCUAAAAAUUUACUUGCCAAUGUUCUCAACCUUUUUUCAGGAAUUUGGAGCAUGCAGAAACCAUAUAAUUUAGCUAUCCUAUUUUACAGUGAAAGCUAGGAACACACAAGAAGCAGAUGAAAAAGGAUAAAUCUAAUACCCGUAAAGCAUCAGUAACUUGGCGUCCUUGUAGCCCAUCUUUUUGCAGAGACCAUCUAUUCUCAGCAUUUUUCUUCUUUGAAAAACCCGUAAAAUAUGGGUUUUGGUGUUAAAUAAUGCGACUGCCAUCAACAUCAAGGUCAAAAUCAUAGCUUAUUCUUCCAUGUUAAGAAAAGUAUGCUAAAAAAUGAGGGUUAGAAAAUAAAAUAAUGCCUGGUUUGAAAUAUACUUUAUAAACUUGCAUAUGGAAAGCAACUGAUGAACCGAAUUUCAUCACAGUUUCAGAUGAGAUGGAAAAUUUAAGAAAUGAGAUAUCAAGAACAGUAAAUCAGUGCCAUGUAACUUGAUAGUUGAUAUACAACUACAUAAAUCAAAUAAGCAAUGAAAUUUAAGGCUUUACUAAGUUCAACAGUCACUAUAAUAAGCGCUUUCAGUUUAUACAUCAUUAAUACAAUUGACAACCACACUUCUAAUUAAAAGGUGAAUCAAUCUUAACAGUUACCUGGUGUGAAUAAUGCUCAGCGUCCCUCUUCAUGGCAGCCAUUUCAACCCUCAUUUUCUGCACUUCAGCCUGCAGCUAGACAAAUAGAUCAGAGAAAAUAAAUCCACAAAUCAGUCAGCAAAAGAAAACAAAAUAAUCUUGAUAUAAAUGUACAAUGAUAAUACUUGCCUCUAAUGAAGAGAGCUUGCUCUCAGCAUCUCUUUGACCUUGGCGUGCACGCUCCACUUCCUGCCAUGCCUGCAUCUAACAUCACCAUCUUUAAGCCAUUGCCUCUUACAUUAAUUACAGUUGGUGGAACAGCUAAUGGCCACAGAUUGUGCCUAUAACUAGAUAUUAAUUACAUUUUGAACUGUUGACUUCAGAAUGUUCUUAAUAAUAUAGAAACCCACAUUCCAGUAGAUUACUUGAGGUACUGAAAUCAAAUAGGUAAGAUGCAUUUUAUUUUCUAGACUGGCUAGAUGGAAAUAGACCAAAAAAUAUAAUUUUCAAGACAGAGUUCAGAAAGUUACAUCCUCAUCAUAUUUACCUGAAGCAUUUGAUUUGCUUCUUCUGGGGACUUCUUUUGUCCACGACGAAAACGAGCUUCCAUGUCUUGCAAUUCUUGAUUUAAAGAUGUGCAUUCAACUUGAUAUAUCAGGUUAAUUUCAAGAGCUUUUUCACUUCAUAUUUAGCCCAGCCAGAAGGACAAGCUUUCAUUAAAAAAGCACUGUUAUCAUUUUGUUUUACCUCAAGAAGUGCCACCUUCUGCUCAAGCUCUGCAGCUUUUGUUGCCCUCUCAUCAGCAACCCUCUGAACAAAGAGACAAGCAGAAAUUUACCAUGCUUGUUGGAAUAAAUAUAGAGGCCAAAUAAUCAAUGUACUACACCUUUGCAUUUGAAAAAGGAAGAGGCGCCACAUUUACCAAAAUAAUCAAUGUACUACACACUCUGUAAGUUUUAGCAUUCCAUUGUGAAUGUUAAAAAAUUUCCAAACUCACCGUCGAUCACAAAGCACGAGACUGCCGCCAUCGAAGCAUAUAAAACAAACAUCUUCUUCAUCAUCCUCAUCCUUCCUUUGAAGCAGUGGCGGCGCCGCCGAUGACGACGUGGUUCUCACUUGAUUCAUCGGCAAUCUUCCCCGUCUCCGCUUUCCAGCAUUCAUCUCAACAACUGUCACUCCAUUCUCCUCUUCCGCCGUAGCACCAGCAACUCCACACCUCGUAAAGAAUCACCACUCAAACUCCUACAACUAUUAUCAACAGAAAUAAUCAAAAAAAUAUAUACUGAAAGCAAUAGAAAUAAAAAAGAACACCUCUUGAACAGGAGGAAGUGCGACUCUUCUUAGUUUUUCUCUUGACAUUUUCCCUUGAAAUCCUGUUUCAUUUCUAGUUCUUCAAUGGAAAGAAAGUACUGAUUUUUCUUUUUCUUAUUCAGAAAUAUCUGAUUGAAAGGGAAAAUGGGAAAUUUGGGGGCAAAUUUUGAGAUUGAAAGGGAAAAAGAAUUAAGUACAAACUUUUAUUUGGGGGCAUUUAGGGCGCUCCAUGGAUAUGAGAAGAAGAGGGAGUAAUGAGCGGGUAAUCAAAAAUUAUUUUUUGGGAGUGGGCGUGAUUUUGAUUUUUUUUAUUAUUUUCGGCGUUUUUCUUAAAAACGCCGCAAAAAAUUAUUUUAUUUUGUAUAAAACGACGCUGUUUUGCUCUGCUGAAAUUUCAAUAUAUUUUUAAAUCCACAUGCCAAUAAAUAUAAAGUCUAUCUAUUAUAUAUUUCUUAAAUAAUUUAAACUGUACUCAUAAUUUCAAUAUAUUUAAUUUAUUAUUAUCUCUUUUAUAAUUAUAUAAGAACAUAUUUAAAAUAUAAAUUAAAAAAAUAAUUAAUCUAAACCCAACACCCUAACCCGACCCUUAAAUCUCUAAACCCUAAAUUCCUAACUCUUAACCCCUAACAUCUAACUCCUAAACCCCUAACCCCUAAACCUUAAAUUCCAACCCUUAAACCAUAAUCCUUAAAUCCAUACUCUCUAAACCUUAAAAUAUGAACUCAUAAACCAACCUUAAAUCUUAAAUUAAUCAUAUACCCUAAACUAAAAACCUUAAACAAAUUUAUUAUUAUCUCUUUUACAAUUAUAUAAGAACAUAUUUAAAAUAUAAAUUAAAAAAUAAUUAAUCUAAACCCAAAACCCUAACCCGACCCCUAAAUCCCUAAAUCUUAAAUUCCUAACUCUUAACCCCUAAUGUAUAACCCUUAAACCCCUAACCCCUAAACCUUAAAUCCCAACCCUUAAACCAUAAUCCCUAAUCCAUAAUCACUAAACCCCAUACUCUCUAAACUUUAAAAUAGUAACUCCUAAACUGGCCUUAAAUCUUAAAUAAAUCAUAUACCCUAAACUAAAAACCCCAAAUUAUAGUGAUAAUUAAUUUAAUAUUUUAAAAUUAAUACUAUAUCUUUUACGAUUAUAUAAGAAAUUUUUUAAUAUAUAAAUUAAAAAAAUCAGUAAUCAGGUACCCAUAAAACUUUAAAAUUAUUUUAAACAAAAGUUUUUUUAAUUUUUCCAUGUGUUUUAUUUCAAAUUAUUUCUACGUGUCAUUAUUUUUUCCUAAAGAUUUUAAAUAUUCAAUUAGAAAUAAAUUGAAUUUUAUUUAAUUAAUAUAAAUAAACUAAUUAAAAUAAAAAAGCUUUUAGCGGCGCUUAUCCAAAAACGCCGCUAAAACACUGAGCAUUAGCGGCGCUUUACCAAAAACGCCGCUAAAGCCCCUAUCAUUAGCGGCGCUUUACCCAAAACGCCGCUAAGUCCCCUAGCAUUAGCGGCGCUUUUUCAAAAACGCCGCUAAAGCCCCGAGUAUUAGCGGCGCUUUAUUAAAAACGCUGCUAAAGCCCCGAAAGAUAAUAAAACGACGCCGUUGCGCUUUUAUAAAAACACCACUAAUGCUCAAUCUUUAGCGGCGAUUUCCAUAAAGCGCCACUAAUGCUUGAUUUUUAGCGGCAUUUUUUGUCCAAACGCCGUUGAAGGUGCCGCUAAAAGCCUGUUUUGGUGUAGUCCUCCAUUCUAAUAUUAAAAUAAAAAUAUUUAAAUAAAUUUGCAUUUUAAUGCCUACAUGAAUUUGAUAAAAAUGAUUUAUUAAACAAAAAUAAAAUAACAUUUUUUAAAAGUAAAAGAAAAUAAUAUUUCUAAAAAAAUUUAAAGUGAUUAUAUACAUAAGAAACAAAACAACUUACCUACUAAAACAAUGCACAUAAUUACAAUUUAUUCAAUUAGGAUAAUUUGUUUAAAGGAAUUCAAUCAAACAACAUAUUAUUCACCAUGAAGUUUUAAUUUAAUUUUCAAAAACAAAUAUAAUGAACAAGAAAAAGACUUAAUAUUUAACUUGAAUUUUUAUUUAAUUUAAAAAUAAAAUUAAUUAAUUAUUAAAAAUAGAAAAUCAAACCACGUAAUGGGUGAUAUUACUAGUUAUUUGAUUAUAUAUACAAAGGCAAAAGCGAUGGCCUUAAAAAGAAUUGAAUAAAAUGCAAAAUCAGAAUACCAUAUAGUUAUGCUUUAAACAUGUUCUAUCUGUAGUUUUAACUUUGUCAAUGUUUCGGUACCCAAAAUAAACUACUCAAUUACAUCAACAACUUCAAAGUUCUAACAAAAAUAAUUAAAAACAUAUCCAGCAACAGAACACAUUAAAAGGCACCAAAUGACCCUAAAAAUCAACAUUGUUAAUCAUAAUAAUAAUAAUAACAAAACCUUCUUACUUUCCAAGAAAACAUGCGACACAAAACCGGAAAUAGGAUGGCAAAAUAUUUAACAGGAAUUUCCAUAUAAACACUUUUGUCCCCUACUAAUUACUUUUUCUCUACUUCAAAUUCUCUAGUUGUAGGAUUAAGUAAUUCCCAUUUAUUAGAGUUAUAUUCUUAAGUAAUAUUUUGUCCACUCUCUUACUGAUUUCAACAAGCAAAUAGCUCACUUAGUAAUAACAUUAACUAUCUCGAAUCAAAUUCAGCCUAUUGAAUAAAUCUAUCCUCACUUAGUAAUAGUUAUAUUUUCUGCACUUUCAUCUUGCUUCUUAUCAUAUGUAUGUUGCAAAAAUUUCUGUUCAGUAAGAUGAGGAAACCUUGUAAACCACUAAAACAAGAUGUUGCAAGAAGACAGAAAGGAAGACUAAAAGGAACAAGUGCAGUGAUGAAGGUUGUACAUUCCCGAGGCCAGUUAAAUCAUGAUGACCGUACCAAUCAUACAGAAUUUCUUCAGAGCCAAAACUUCAUCUCUGAGACAACUGUAUAGCCUUUUCGAGUGAAGUUAAAAGGGCUGGGAAUCUAUUAGGAAAGCACUAAUAUGAAAUAAUCAUGUAUAAAAAAGUAUGAAUUUGUCAAAUUCAUACAUACCUUAGGAACCCAAAUCUACUAGUUAGUAGGAAUCCAACAAAUUCUUGUUUUUAAGAAAUAAUCAUGAAUGUUAUAUUUUGUAUAUAUGUUAUCACUCAAUCUGUAUUAGAGGUGCUCAUGGGCCGAGCGACCCGGCCCUGCCCGACGGCCCGCUCGAAAUAUGGGAGGGUUUGGGUAAAAAUAUAGGCCCGAAAUAUGGGCUUGGGCAAAAAAAUGAGGCUUAUUUAGAAAACGGGGUAUUCAAUUGCUUGAAAUCAGAUAAAAUUUAUAUUAAACCAAUGAAUGCCAUUGAGACUCAGCCAUGCACCCCACAAAACAACUCCAUCAUGGUCCCUAGCCACAAAGCCCUCCCCCUCCCCCUCCCCUUAAUUAUUAAACCAUUUAUCAUACAAGUAGAAGUCAAUAUUCUUAAUUUAUGAGAUAUUACUCCUAGAGCUGAGCUGAGUAAGAAAAUUGAAAAUCUAUUUGAAUUAUAAUGUUGGGUUUAUUAUUAAAUUUGUGUGAUUAUUAUUUAAAUUUAUUCAGUUUAACUUGGUUUUUAAUUUAUAAAAUAAAAUAAAAAUUAUGAUUAUCCGAACCAAGCAUAAUUUUACUUUUUAUUUAAAUUAUAAUUUUUUAUAAUAUUAAAAAUAUUUUUAUACACAAACUAGUACCACUAACUAUUUUUAAAAAAUCAAUAAACCGAAACCAUCUGAAGCAAUAAAAUUCGAUUUGUUGGGUUGAAUUACUUCGAUUACCUGUGAAUGGAACUGUUAGUACUGUAAUUAUUCAAAGGUAAAACUUUAGUUGAUGGUAAAAGGAAUAAUGGGCUCACUUUGAACCCAUCCAAUCUGCUUUCAGCCAUCUGAUUUCCAUGGUGCCGAGUGAUGACUUUGUAGAUUAAGAAGAAUCAAGGGAGAUCACUUUGAACUGAUUAGACAGCAUUUUGAUACUAAAGAUGAAGUUAUUUUAACGAAAGUGUUUUUGGAGAAAAGCUUCUAAGAGAUAGUUAUCUUCAGUCCAAUCAUGAGAUGGAGUAUCCUUUUGAGGCACAUAAUUGAUAAAUCUUGCAUACUCAUAAGAUGGAUACCAGCUAAAGAUGAUUGGUAGAAAGUAAACACUGAUGGUGCAGUUUGUCAGAGGUCUGGGCAUGCUUCAAGUGGCGGACUAAUACGUGAUCAUCAUGACUUUUGGAUUGCUGGUUUCUUAAAAAAUAUUUAUUGUUGUUAGGUGAUUAUGGCUGAAUUUUGGGGUGCAAUAGAAAAGCUCCAAAUAGCAUAGAAUUUCAGCUUAAAGUGGAUGAUACUUGAGAUGGAUAGUACUGAAAUUAAGUGAUCGAAGUAAAUGGAGGUGAGCAAUAUUAUUCAGUUGUGACACGAGCAAUUAAAGAUCUACUUCAACAUAUUUGGAUGGUUCGAAUUUCACAUGUCUUUCUGUUGGCAGCACCAUCUCAAGGCCCUUGGGUAGAUUUAUAUUCAUGCGACCAUGCUAUGAAAAUUUUUAACUACUCCAUGAUGAUUAUUUUAAAGUGACUUGGACUCGAUUAAUUUAAUCUUGACUAAAUCUAUCUUUUAUAUCAAAAAAAUAAAAAAAAAUGUUAAUCUUCCGUCACAAAUAAUAUGCUAAAAUAAAAUAUACUUUAGUAUGAAAUACAUGAAAUUAUUAUCCAUCUAUAUAAUUAGAAUUAGAAUUAAUCAUGAAAAAGCUAACUUGCUAAUUAGUUGGGCUUUGAAUUUUUUUUGAAAAUGUGCUUAUGUGGAUGUUUUAUGAUAAAUUGAAUUUUAAUUUAAUUUUUAGAUUAAAAAUAAUCUGGUAUGCACCUUCCUACUCAUAUCUUCAUGAACCAUAUGCAAAAUAUUAUCUGGUGGCUGACCAUUGCAAUGUAAUAAAAUUUCAUCUUAAUUUUUGAGGGGCAAAACAAGGUUUCAUCGUUUUGGGAUUAAGGACUGAAUUGAAUAUUUAUUUUGAAUUUUAGUGGGUAAUUGGAAAUUUUUAGGAGGGAUGAAUAUUUAAAUGUUAGUAUGAGCUUUCAAGCUGCAAAACGAUUCCCUGGUUGUUAUCAGCGCUUUCCAAGGCUUUAAAUUUUUCCUCCAACCAUUUAUAUUUAUCCGCCCAUUGUUUUGGUAAUUCCACGUUCGCCUUUCCUUCUUCAGCAGCUUCAUCAAAAUCAGGAAUGAUAGGAUUAGGUGGGUUAUCUCCCGGGCUUAAACUUGAUCCUCCUAGGAAAAUCAAGAGAACUGAGACACCAGUUUGGGGCCUAAUUGUGACGGAUGGUCUCCUUGGGUAUAUUUCAGCUUGGGUCUGUGCAUUUGGUGGGGUAAAACCCAAAGGAUAUAACGGAUCCUCACUACCUUCUCUAGGAUUGGCCAUAGGGCCCUUUCCUUUAUCUACUCCUCCCGUCAGUAGAUGGGUCAAUUCAGCCAUCGCAUCUUUUUGAGCUUUGAUCAAAUUUUCCGUCAUGUCCUCUUGGAUUUUAUCUAGACGCUCUUGCAUUUGUACUUGUAACCGUUCUUGCAUAUCUUUUUGCAUUUGCUCCAGUUUCUCUAAUCUUUGGUUCGUUUCCUUAGUUUUUUGGCGAGUACCGUAUUGAUGCUUAAUCGGUAAGCUUUUGUCGGUUUCCAGAUUAGCUGUAAUAAUUUUAACCAAUUAGGGUCUUUCGGUGGACUCUAAUGCAUAUGAUGUAAUGCGAAUGCAUGAAUGCAAAGAGGCGUCGAUUCUGAUUCAAUUUCAUUUAGAAAGCUUUGUUAGAAAACAAAAUUCUUUACAUAAAACAGGUUACAUAUAUGCUCUGGCCCUAAUGCUCAGAACUUUAAUUUUUCUAAGUAAUGAAGCUAGUUCUUGUCCCUGACUUGAUUCCAGCUCAUAUUUUACGCUCAGUGCAUCGGCUUGUACUGCCAAAGUUUGCAGGUGAUCAGCUACUUCUCGGAUUUGAACUAUGGCUUCUCCCAUGAUAUGAUUUCUAUUUUCAACUUAACUCUGAAGAUGGUGAAUUUGCUCAUUCUGUCGAUUUUCGUUGAUUUCCAAGUGCUCAGUCUGGAUCUCAAAACUUUGCAAUGCCGAUUCCAACUCAUCUAUUCUUCCUUUCAUUUCUUCGAUCUUGCUCAAGCUUGCCUUCAACUCCAUCGCAGAAUUUUGACUUCGAUAAUGAUGAAGAGAUCUUUCUAACUCGACCACUCUAUCUUUUAGUUCACAUUUUUCCUUUUGGUUCUCCGACAGACUUUUCUCUAAAGCUCCGUUUCGCGUCUGAACCUCUCGAAAUUUCUUUUCCCAUCCAUCAGCCUUGUUCUUUUCUUCCCGAAUCUCUUGACGCCACUGUUCUGAGGUCUUCCCUAGCCCAGCAGUUCUCAUUGAUAACCUUAUCUUCUUAUAGUCUGUCUUCAAACUUUCCAGGUCUUCCUCAGCCUUGUUCUUACCUUUUCUUAAUUUCUCAGUCUCUAACUUUUGAACAUCCACAUCUAAUCCCAAGUGCAUCUUUUCUUCUUCCAAUUGUUCAAUCUUCUUUUCAAGCUCUGCAUUCCUCUUCUCAAAAUCUUGCUUCAUCAUUUCCAAUUCAGAGGGAACAACCCGCAAAUGUUCUUCUAUCGACUGACUAUUUUGUGUUACGCUGAUAUGGUUGUAGUCCCACAACUCUGACGUGUGUUCCCCGGCUAGACUAUCUCCUUUCUCUAAUUGUGUUUUCUCUGACCACAUACGGACAACAGCAUUGUCCUCUACUUUAUCAAGAAAUCCGUUCUCCAUGCCAAACUUUCUAGUUUAGUAAUCGAACUUGAAUCGACACUCUUUUGAAUAUGAAGUGACAUGCAAACAUAGCAAAAAUACCAUAAGUUAAUGCAAUAUACAAAAACAUAACUUCAAGUAAAUAAAAGAAUCGAACAUCUAUCUGGGUAACUGCUAGGGUUUCCGCAGUAUGAUCAAGGGUGGGCUCCUAGUGUUUUCUAUAUGCGGCUUGGUUCUACAGUUGAGGUACCCGAACCAGCAGAUUCCUCGAUCUUUACCCAUUAUAGGCUCAUACGGACCGAGUUCGGUUCAAGGGAAUACAUUUCCCUAUGGCUACACGGAGAUGAAAAUCUCACGAAGACAUAGGUACGGAUGUAUCCCGAAAGCGAUUCACUAUCCUGCACGGAGGUGAAAACCUCACUAAGGACUAGUUUCUCACUCCCACUUAAGAGGGUAAGACUGACAGUCUUAUGCAAUGUGAUGCCAGGAUAUAAAACUUAAUUUACAAUAAUCGUACCACACACAAAUGCAACGAGAGGAUUGUAAUUUUUCUAAUUAAAUCUUCAAUUUUCAAUAAUAAGACAAAAACAAUCAAUUUUACGGCUUGACUCUCUUGGUGUCCCCAGUGGAGUCGCCAAGCUGUCGAAACCACCCUUUUUUGAAAAACAAAAAAAAAAGUUUUAGUUGUCAACUUUAAAAAAACGAAAAUGGGGAGUCGCCACCGAUCUUUUAAAGAGGUGUGAUUGGAUCACCUUGAAAACGAUUUUAGGUCUACGAAUUUUGAGAAAAUAGGUUCGGGAGUCGGUUACGCACGAGGAAGGGUUAGCACCCUCAUAACGGCCAAAAUUGGUACCAAAUUGAUUGUUUAAUGUCUUAAUGUUGAAAAUUUGAAAAGAUUUUAAAAUACGAUUCUUCCUUUUUUAUUAAUGUUAAUUUUACAAAGGAUGCUUGGAUAAAGCGAGGUGAAUACUAAAGACCAUCUCAUCUCAGAGUAAUAAAAUGUCAUACCCAAUACAUUAGGACACGACAUUUUUAGUCCUUGAGAACGAGCUUGUCUUUUGAUUUUCAAAAUUCUUGAAGCUUAAAAGGGGUAUUCAAUUGCUUGAAAUCAGAUAAAAAAUUGAAACCCAAUACGUUAGGGCACGAUUCCUCAAAAUUCCUAGCAUUGAACACAACCCUUAUUUUUUUAAAAAUCUCAUUUCGAGAAAAUGACAUGUCACAUCCAAUACAUUAGGACACGUAGCGUCAAAUUCCGAGAAUGAGUUUUUUUAUUUACGCAUUUUGAUUAUAAAAGUUUUUCGAUCAUUUAAAUUCAACGAGGAAAAUUAGAACCCAAUACGUUAGGGCUCCAUUUUCUCGAGAAUUCUAAAUUUCGAGUAUCGCGUUAUCUUGAAAACUUUUGCAUGAAGUAAUUUUGACAUUUGUAAUCUUUUGAAUGAAUAAAUAAAGGAACGAUUGAAUAGUGAUGUACAACACGAAAUGAUAAUUCGUAAACUAAAGCACACCCAUGAGCAAUAGGCAAUUAAUGAACAAAUACAAGCAAGCACAAUAAUAAUAAUUUCGUACAUUAUGUAAAUAUCACUAAUAAGAGGGAACUAAUUAAGAAUCAAGCAAAAUGACACCAAUGAAACAUGUAAGAUUAAACAUAAUUUAAGAAAUAAAUCUGAUAUAUGUAUUAAAAGAUUAAAAUAAAUUUGCAUGAAUUAAAAUAUUGACAUAAUCUGAAAUAGAUUAAAGAUGCUAAAGUAUUUGAAAGAAAUAAGCUAUCUAUAUAAUAAUGUAAACUCAACGAUAGAUUAUGCGUGUAAAUAUAAUGAAAACAAUUUAAUAAGAAAUAUAUGCACAUAUAAUAGUAUUAUGUAAAAUAUGUAUGUAUAUACAUAUACAAAUCUAAGAAAUACGUGGGAAGUGGAUUUUAGAGAAAUCAUAUUGUGGAAUAAGACAAAAACAAGUAAUAAUAAUAAUAGUAUAUCGUAAGAAAAAUGAAUACAUAUAAAAAUUUUAAAACGAUGAUGCCCAUAAAAUAAAGUAGUAUACUAAAAAUAAACCAAUGCAUAUAUAUAUGUAAAACGUGAUAAUAUAAUAGUAUAUUAAGAAUAAGAAUGAAUGUGACAAUACUGAUGAUAGUAAUAACAAUAAGCUUCUUAAUGAAAAAAAACUAAAUAACAAAAAGGAUUAAAUUACAAACAAAACCGAAUUAACAGGUAACUAAUGAGAUAAAAAAAAACCAUACUACAACACGCGAAUCAUAUGGGGUUCGAUUGGGAAAAAAUCCCGUUUCCCCAAAACGCCGUGUUGCAAACCGGGUUGAAUUUAAACAAAAGCAAAGUGUGAGACUAAAUUGAAAAAGGGGUGAGACCGAUUCGAACACAUCAGAAAAGGGGGCGGACUGAUUUCGGAAAUAACCCAAUAAGUCAGAAUGCGCGGAUCCUCCCCGGGUCGGGUCAUCGCGCGGGUCACGGACCUCCAGACGGCGCCGUUUUGAAGCUAUCACAUUAUCUACAAACGGCAACGUUUCAAGUCUCACCAUUAAAACUAAAAUCAACCCUAAAAACUGAAGCUCCUUUUUUUUUUUUCGCUCGGCUCAUCGAUCCUUCAAACGGAUCUCUGAACCCCUGCUCAGGCUCCGAUGACGACAGAGAGAGCAAGGAUUCGACGGCGAGGUACCCCCUUUCUCUAAACUUGCUUUCUCUUUUAUUUCUACCCUAAAAGAUGAACUCAAGAAUCAAAGAAAAUAGGGAAAACGAAGAAAGAUUUGAAAAUCACCUUUCAGAAUUUCCUUCUUGAUUUCUCUCUGAAUACUUUUGUUUUUUAAUUUCUCUGUAAAAAAAACUGUACAAAGGCCCCGGCCUUCGUUUUAUAGGCCGGGAGAAAGUAAACAAAAAUAAAAAAAUGAAAAGAAAUACGGUUUUUCUCUUUUGUCGUGUCGUUUUCUCUGUUUGCAGGUCAGCUGCAAGGCCGUACGGUGAUGGUGACGUGGCACGGCUUUUGUUUUUAUAAUUAGUUUAGGGACCGGGCAAAAAUUGGUAUUACAACAAUUACAGCAAUUUGAUGCCCAUCAACAAUGAAAUACAACUGUGCAUUUGAGACUACCAGGAAAACUCCAAAAACAGAAAGAUUUAAAGUUUAAACUAAUAGUAAUAUAAGGAACGAAAGAAUCAUUAUCAUUAAGAUAUGCAUAAGUUGCCUAAUGGGGAACCUAAACUCCAUUUGCAGAUAUGCUUUUGUUCAAAGAUUCUUUUUUGUAAGCCUUUUUAAAAUUCAACCCAUGUUUUAUUAAAUUGGGUAAUUAGGAGUUGGGUAUUUUUAAAAGAAAAAUUGAAUUCGAAUCUUAUGGUAGUACAACACGUUUCAAGAUACCUAAAAAAAACCAACAAUAAGAUUGAACUACAAUGAAAAUUUCAUAUGCCAGCUAGUUAGACCAAAUUAUACCAUUCAAAUCGUGACCACAUCAGGUUGAAUCUGUCAAUGAGAGAGCUGAAAACAGCUUUAAAAAUAAUCAAUUUGCAGGGGUAUUUUAUCUAAAUAAUCUAAUUAUUCAGGUUAGCAUCAUAAUGGACAACAUAAGGAUCAUAAUGCCAAUAGCUAGUUGCCAGCAACCAGCAGCAGAUAAUGAAAUUUCCAGGCAAAUUAGAUGGAAUCUGUUUUCACCACCCCAGUUUUUUUUCCAGUGAUAUAACUACUUAUUUUUCUGCAAACAAAUUGUUACCAUUUUUAAGGGUUAAAUCAUUUUUUAGAACUUGAACUUGGUGACUAUUUUCACAUUGAAAUUUGAACUUUUUUUUAGUCUAAAUUAAACCAAUUUGCAACAAGCACUCGAUGUAUCUUUAAAUAUACUUUUUCUUCUUUUUUUUUUGGGGGUGAAAUUUUGGGUGUUCAAGUUAUGUGAAAAUCUAUAUUGUAGGCUCUUCAGUUGUUGCAAGCUUCUUAUGAAUGAGCAGUACGUGAUUUCCUGUUGUCUUCUGUUCUUAGGAGAUAAUCUAAUCUUUUACCUUUUGUUCUGUACAUAGGUCAAUCCGAGGGUUAGAUUUAAAGAAAAAUCUAAAGAACACUCAUCGCUUGAAGAAGAUGUUGGCUUGAAUGAAGACUAUGGAGACUCAGCUGUUGGGUUUGAUGGUUCUUCUAAUACAUCAGAAAGUUUAUAUGCAGAGAAGCAUGAUACUUCCAGUACUCAUGAAAUUGACAGCAUAAAGAGUACAGUCUCAGGUGAUUUGACAGGCCUUGGUCAUAGCCCUCAGCAAGAGAAAGGAGAUCCUUCAGAUCAUCGGUUUUUGGCACAGGGGACUAACAAUUGGGUUCAUGGCUGGAGUUCAGACCAUUCUGGGGAUAAUGACUUAACCGUUGUCUACGAAGAAAAUAGCAGACUUAGAGGAUGCUUGGAAGUGGCAGAGUCAUCUAUUCAGGAACUUAAGAGGGAAGUAAGCUUGUUACAAAAUCAUGCUAGUCAAAUAGGUGCUGAAACUGAGAAGUUUGCUCAGCAACUUGUCACGGAGAUUUCUUCAGGAGAAAGGUUGGAAAAAGAGGUUUCUGCUUUAAAAUUAGAGUGCUCGAGGUUGAAAGAUGACCUUGAGCGGAUGUCGAGUUCUACACUGUGCCCUUCUCUAACCAGCAAAGAAGCCAUUAAGAAAGACCAGGAUCACUUACUUCAAGACUUAGAGGUCAUAUUCUCAAAGGGGCUUUUAGUUAUGGAAGAAAAGAUAAGGGAACUUCAAAACAAGGCAUGUCUGAAUUACCAUGAAAGAGACCAAAGGUUCCUUCAAGCAGACUUGGAGGCAUUGUUUGGCAUCUUGCAAGAUCUCAAACAGGGAACUCAAAAAGAAAUUUUUAUUCUUAGGUCAGUACCAUCCGACAGAUGCAACAUGAAGAGUACCAGAGAAAUGAGUUUAACUAAUUCUUUUACACCGGCAACUAGUUUUGAUGCAGAACUUUAUCAACCAGAACCAGGCAUGGUACCUUGUAUUACUGUGCCUGGCCUUGUGUCACAUGAACCUGAUUCUAUGAGUACUUCUAAUGCAAUGAAAAGCAAAAUCUUUGAACUUCUGAGAGAGUUGGAUGAAUCAAAAGCUGAGUGGGAAAGCCUUGCAAAGAAAAUGGACCAGAUGGAGUGCUACUAUGAAGCUCUUGUUCAGGAGCUUGAGGAAAACCAAAGACAGAUGAUGGCAGAAUUGCAGAGUCUCAGAAAUGAGCAUUCUACUUGCUUGUAUAGGGUGCAAUCUGCUAACGCUGAGAUGAAGGCUAUGCGCCAAGAUAUGAAUGAACAAGUCUUGAGAUUUGCCGAAGAAAAACAAGAUUUGGAAUCUCUAAGCAAGGAACUGGAAAGAAGGGCUAUUAUUGCAGAAGCAGCACUGAAAAGGGCACGCCUUAAUUAUUCAAUUGCGGUGGGCCAGUUGCAAAAGGAUCUUGAGCUGCUUUCUUCUCAGGUUAUGUCUGUGUUUGAGACAAAUGAGAAUCUUAUCAGGCAAGCUUUUGUAGAUUCUUCACAGACAAACUCUCGAGGAUACUCAGAGAUGGUGCGGAACCAUGGGCUGGAUUCAGAAGAAUUCCAACCCACCAAGCCCUUGCAUUCUCAAAAUCAGUAUGUAGGGGUGAAGAAACAACAUUUGGGUGGAGAUAUUCUUUUAGAAGACUUGAAAAGAUCCCUCCAUUUGCAGGAAACCCUUUAUCAGAAGGUUGAAGAAGAAGUUUGUGAAAUGCAUUAUCAGAAUGCAUACUUGGAUGUGUUUUCAAACACUCUACAAGAUACUUUGCUUGAAGCAAGUGAUGAAAUGAAAACAAUGAAAGAGAAAAUGGAUGAGCUUACAUGGAAAUUGGAACUUUCUGUUGAGUCCAAGGAGUUAUUGAUGCAAAGGCUGCAGACAGCUACCGAUGAUGUUCAUUCCCUUAAUGAGUACAAGGCUACUUGCAUUGCCAAGUAUAAUGACUUGGCUUUGGAGAAACAAGCUUUGGAAGCAAAUGUGGAAAAUGUUACCCAUGAAAAUCAUCUUCUCUCUGAGAAGGUAACUGAACUGGAGUGCCACUUGAUGGAGUACCAAAGUUACAAGAGCAAAUUUGAUGCCUGUGUCAUGGAGAAAACUGAGUUGGCUAAUUUAUUGAAGGAAGGAACUCUGGAAAAUGAUAAUCUUAGAAACAAUAACUCUUCUUUGCAGGAUGAGUUGAGAAUGAUCAAAACUGAGUUUGAUGAAUUGAACCUUGUGAAGGAAAAGCUGCAAAAUACUGUUGACUUUCUGCGAAACAAGUUUCUUAACUUAUUGUCAUCCUAUGGUAAGUUUUUUGAUGAACCAUCCCUCUCAAGUGACUUGGUUUGUCAGGAUAGAGAAUCCAUGGACUUGACAUCUGUCAUUGUCGAGGUAGAAGAGGCCCAGAAUAAUGCAUAUGAAAAAUUUCUUCAUCUCUUGGAGGAAAAGAAAGAUCUGAUGGAUGAAAGAGACAAGGCUCAGGUGUCUUUAAGUGCGGUAGAAUCAGAGAUGGUGCUAAUGAAACAGAAGUUUGAACGUGAUAUACAAUCAUGGUUGAUAAAAUGGAUUUGUCCAAUGUGGUUGUAGAAAAGAUUCAGUUGGAAAUUGAAGCUGUUACUGACAAGCUCAAGGAUAGCUCUGAAGUUGAAACCUAUGCACAGCGGCAGAGAGAUCUUUUAUCUGAUCUUCAGCAUUUUGAAGCAGAGCUGCAAGAACUUACUUCUAAGAAUAAGGAGAUUGCUGAAGAACUGUUGGUUUUAGAGUCUGUUAAUGAAGAUCUGGGAAGCAGUAAGUUGAUUGUGGCUGAACUUGUGGAAGAAAACAAAACGUUGGUGCAAUCUUUACAAGAUAAAUCUGAGGAGGCAGCCGAUCUUGCUUUGGAGCUUAAUGGUUUGAAAGAAAGUUUGCAUUCUGUGCAUGAUGAGCUGCAAGCAGAAAGAAGCACCAAAAAUAAUUUAGAGAGUAUGGUUACAGACCUUACUUCCCAAAUGAAUGAGAAGCACCAUCAGUUGUUGCAAUUUGAUCAGCAGAAUUCUGAACCGGCCCAUCUUAAGCAAAUGCUAUUUGACCUAGAAUCAGAGAAAUCUAGAGUUUGCAGUCUUUUACAGCAGUAUGAUGAGUGCCUCAAUAAUGCUCUCAAAGAGUCUUCCACUAUUACUUCUCUGGAAUCUGAGUUGUCUGAAAUGCAUGAACUUUCAGUAGCUGCAGGUGUUAGCGUCAUUUUCUUAAGAACUCAAUAUGAAACCUGGACCACUGACCUUGUUUGUCAACUUUCCAGCUCUGAAAGACACCUUGGGGAGCUUCAAGAGAAGCAUCUUAAUUUUGAGAGUAUACUUAAUGAUUGUCUUGCUCGUGAAGCACAUUGCAUUGAAGAAAAUAGAAGAUUAUCGGUGAGUCUGGACUCCCUAAAAUCAGAGUUAGAAGCUUCCAUGGCUGAAAACAAGGUGCUUCUAAAUAAAAAUAGCUCUGCAAUAUCUGAGCUUCAGGAUUACAAAAGUAGGAUUGAAAAAUUUGAGUUUGCUUUCUUUGAGGAUAAACAUCAGCAUGCUCUUGAAGUUGAAAGGCUGAAGCACUUACUAGGUGGUUCCCAAGAAGAGAUUGAUGAUCUGAUGAUAUUGAAGGAAGGACUGGAACUCAAUGUCUUAGUACUCAAAGCUAAAUUGGAUGAACAAAGCACUCAGAUAAGCUUACUGGUAGGGCGUAAGGAUGAAGUGCUGCUGCUGCAGAAUCAGUGUAAUGAGCUUUCUCAAAGGCUUUCUGAACAGAUUUUGAAGACUGAAGAGUUCAAGAACUUGUCCAUUCAUUUGAAGGAGCUCAAAGAUAAGGCUGAUGCGGAGUCCAUCCAGGCUCGGGAGAUGAGGGAAUCUGAAGCACCACCAACUGCUAUGCAAGAGUCCUUACGAAUUGCAUGUAUCAAAGAACAGUAUGAAACACGGCUGCAAGAACUAAAGCACCAGUUGGCUAUCUCCAAAAAGCAUAGUGAGGAAAUGCUAUGGAAAUUACAAGAUGCCAUUGAUGAGAUUGAGAAUAGAAAGAAAUCAGAAGCUUCUCAUUUAAAGAAAAUUGAAGAACUGGGUGUUAAGAUCUUGGAAUUGGAGGCUGAGUUACAGUCGUUGGUUUUAGACAAGCGUGAAAAAAUGAGGGCUUAUGAUCUGAUGAAAGCUGAAUUGGAUUGCUCAAUGAUAAGCCUUGAAUGCUGCAAGGAAGAAAAAGAGAAACUUGAAGCUUCUUUGCAAGAAUGCAAGGAGGAAAAAUCUAGAAUCUCAGUUGAACUUAGCAUAGUGAAAGAAUUGCUUGAGGCAUCCACAUCAACCAUGAAUGUUCAGAACGAAAAAGAUGGCAAACUGAAAGAUGGUUGCUUCUCUGAUGAGCUGGUUGUCAAUAAUGCUCAAACUAGGGACAUUGAUCUUAAAUAUUUGGACCAAGAUACUCCAAAAAACUCCAAAGAUGCAGAUGAUGGAAGUGACUGUACAAGUGCACCCACAAAUUCGCAACUUGAGCAGGUAACUGUUAUAACUUUGCUAUAUCUUUCACUAUUCUUGAUUCAAUUGACAAUUCUCAGUUUUUGAAUGACCUAUAUUACUAUAAUAUUUAUGUGGCAUAUGAUUCUAUUGUGUUGCAUAUAUAUUUUUUUCACUAUCUUAGAUUUAAUGAUGUAAUUUAAGCAUUUAGUAUGUUGAUUAUCAACUUAAUGUGAAUGCUAAGUAUGCCUUUCUAAGAAACAAAUGAAAAUGCAUUUGGUCCUAAGGAUACAAUUGCAUUAUUUUUACUUUGAUGUUAUCUAGACCUGUCCACAGGCUAGGCCUUAGGUUUAGUAGCAUCGUCAAAGUUGUUAAUCUUUAAGGUCUCCCUUUCAGUUCUUCUGAUAAGCUAUCUUGCAUUUUGUGCUUUAGACUGUAUGUUAACUGGUUAAAAAGUUUUUUUCGAUUUUCAAAUUUAUCCUAUUCCUUUAUCAAGAGUCUUGGAUGAAGGUUUCUUUGAAGAAAAUGUUAUCUAUUCAUUUAUCCUUCCUCUACUGUGUGACUCUUCUAUUUACAUAAUGAAAUUUCUUUAUAGUGAUGAUUUACUUAAUUGUUUAUCAGGAUCUUGUAUCUAAUGAUAUACAUGAAGUUCACAGUCUGGCACUUGUCAACCAAUGCAACUUGCCAAACAGUGAUGCAAAGCAUCUAGCUUUAAUCAAUGAUCGUUUUAAAGCUCAAAGCUUAAGAUCUAGCAUGGACCACCUAACUAGUGAGGUAUGUUUAUUGUCAAAGCAUAAGGUGCCAGUUAGUGAUGAUCUAUCUUGAAUUCAAUUGCAAUUUCUUCUUACAUUGUUGAGCUAGGGAAUCAUUACAUUUGUGGCAUAAAAUUUCUUUAGGAUAAUACCUAGUAAUGGUGAUUAAUUUACUCUUCUUUCUUUUCUUUUUAUGCUUUUAGCUGGAAAGGAUGAAAAAUGAGAAUCUGGUUCUUUCAAAAGAUGCUCAUCAUUUCGACACCAAGUUUCCAGGUUUACAGCAAGAAUUAAUGCAGUUAGAUAAGGUGGAUCAAUAUGGACCUCUUCCAUGAAACUUUGAUAGAGUAAUUCAAUCAGGUUCUCACUNNNNNNNNNNNNNNNNNNNNNNNNNNNNNNNNNNNNNNNNNNNNNNNNNNNNNNNNNNNNNNNNNNNNNNNNNNNNNNNNNNNNNNNNNNNNNNNNNNNNGAAUGAAGAACUGGGAAGCAUAUUUCCUAUGUUUAAUGAAUAUUCAGAAACUGGAAAUGCAUUAGAACGAGUACUUGCAUUGGAACUUGAGCUUGCGGAGGCACUGCAAACAAAGAAGUCAAGCAUCCUUUUUCAGAGGUAUACUUGUGUUUUAGAAAAUAACACUAGCCUGCUUUUCUGAGACAACCUUUUUGAUUAAGGGAAACAACUUGCUUUGACCUUGAAGGUCACUUCAAGAAAAUUUCUGUGGCUUGCAUGUUUAAAGUACUAACCCUAGCUGAGGAAAGGAAACAUCAAAGAAUAUUUGACAUAAUAUUUUCUUGUGCUGCAGCUCUUUCCUGAAACAACACAAUGAUGAGGAAGCAGUGUUCAAAAGUUUCAGGGACAUCAAUGAACUGAUCAAAGACAUGUUGGAGAUAAAGGGCAGAUAUGGAGCUGUAGAGACUGAACUAAAAGAGAUGCAUGAACGAUACUCUCAGCUAAGCCUUCAAUUUGCAGAGGUUGAAGGAGAGAGACAAAAACUAAUGAUGACUCUCAAGAAUGUUCGGGCAUUGAGGAAAGGUCAAAACUUAAUUCGCUCCUCAUCAGCUUCUCCUGGGGACCAUUCCUGAGCCACAAGAACAAGCAUGGCACUGGAUGUCCUCAAAAUGACCCCUUACAGGAUUAAGUUAAUGCCUGCUGCUCCUUAUCAUUAAAUUAUUAAAUUUCCUAAGACUUCACUGGCUAUUAAGCUAUUGCAGGGUUCAAGUUUGCCAAGCUUGGUACACAAUGUUCAAAAGCACAGCAGCUGUAUUUUAUGUAAAUAAAUAUAAAUUUCCCGGCCUCUGUAACGGGUUUAACAGUAUCAUAAGGUAUAGAUAGAUGCAACACUUCGACCUUUUUCCCCUGGUCAUAGUGAUUUAAUUCUUCUAUUGUAUAGUGAAAUUCUUUAUUGACAACUAUUUUCACUUCAUCACUAGCAGCAGUUAUUCAAUAUUUGUGUCACACCUGUCUUUAAUCUCUGCUUCCUUUUUCUGCAUACCUGCCCUUUUCUUUGUUGAUUUUCUGCUUGACCUUGCGUUCUUCACUAGGCUUUUCUCAAGCCUUUCUGGUUUCAAUCAACCUUGUUUUAACAUGGGAAAGUUCAUUGUAAUGAUGCUAAAUCUAAGGUCUACUCUACUCCAUGUAUAAUGGAAAAAAAAAAGAUCAUUGUAAACAAUCAAACAUGGUUAUCCACUGUGCAGGUGACAAGGAUUUACAUUUUCAAAGCAGUAUCAACAAAAAAACAAAAAAUUUAAUAAUUUCUCCUAUAAAUUUCACUUUUUAAUCUUUUUCUGAUCCAUAAUCAACUAAACUUCAAAUUGAACACUUCUUGUCUUUUACCCUUUUUUUUUCAGAAGCAACAAAGGAAAUGCAAGAUAUUCCAGUAAAACCAAAUCAUACUACUUUUUCUGUUUAUGUUUCUGCAGCCAUCAGAAUAAGCCUCAAACAUGUAAAGAUGAAGGAUUGCAAUCAGAACAAAUCUAACAGGAAUGCAUUGAAGAAACCAGUAUCGGAUCUGAUUAAGCAGCUACAAUAUUGUGCAUGAACAGCUACUUUUCUUUUGAGAAUCAUCCUGUUGUUUCUCUGGAUAAAAUGUGGGGAAUUAGUAAUUAAGGCACAUCAAGCAAAGUUCAUAAUGCAAAUAUGGUGCUAAACAACAUAUAUUUGAACCCCGGUUUUCCAAUUUCCAACAGCUAUGGGUGCUCAGAGACAAGAAUAGGAAAACAAAGAUGGAUCAUGUGGAAAUGAACUAAAAGAACCCUAAUUUUUCACCUAUAAGCAAAAACUUUGUGGAACUUUUGGCAUGCAGAAGAGGAGGAAUAGGAUCAAAAUGUUAAGGUUACUUAUGGAAUGAUAGCUGCUGAAAGUAUAUUGAAGAAAAUGUUCACCAGGGGGCAACAUACUAUAUUGGUGAUUUAGUUGGUCGAUUGUAAUAAUGGUUAAAAGAAGGCAUAUUGUGUCAUAUCCCUCAAGCUACUUUCAUGUGCAAUGAAUCAAAUAGAUAUGCUGGGGAUUUACCAUUGUUUUUGUCUGACAAAGGAAGGCGCAGAACGACAUGCAUUGUAAUUACACCUCCUGGAAGUUCACCAACUGGAAGUGUGGACUCAGCAAGUGUCUUGUUGUUUUCAAGUAUCUUUCCAGCAUUAAUUAGCUUCACAUCCUGUAUUGUCUUUGGGCAAUUUUCUUUGUCUGUGAAACAAAAAAGAGUGAUUUCAUAUGAAAACAGAGGUCGAGUAUAUACCAUAUCACAGUGUUAUAACCUAUGUUACCCGGACUUCUAUAUGAGUUUGUACACAUUAGAACGUUUGUACGAGUGUAUAAUAAUCCUUCAAACAUAUGAAAAACUACGAAAAACUGAACAUAUUAGUGUUCGAUACAUAUGACACACCAUAUAAUAACAAAAAGAACACUAGAAUUCAGAUAUAAAGCAAAGUGCAGGAGGGUUAAAAGCAACAUAUAUAGUACCUAUAUACACUAAAAACUGUGACUGUCUUCAUUAUAGGAGGCAAAACUGAGUGAAAGACUGUUACUAGUAACUAAGGGCUCCUUUGGUUUGCCAUUGCAUACCAGUGAGGUGCGGUUGGGGGGGGGGGGAAUGGCAGCAACCGCACUGGUCAGCCCUUUGGUUCAGCAUGCCAGUCCGGUGAGAAGCAGCCUCCACCACGCUGGUCAGCCCCAAAUCAACUGGAGAUUGUUGGUCCGGUAAAAAUUUAGCAACUCCAGUUGCUUUUUCUUUUCCUCUUUUACCCAUAUUAUUUCUUUUGUUUCUUCUGAUGUUUGGUUACCCUUCUUCUCCCCUUUCCCCUUCCCCUUCCCUUUCCCCUUCCCCUUGGUUUGCAAAUCAGUUUGGUCAAGGUGAUGGUGGUGACUGUUUACGGGUUAACAUGCAUUUCUCCUUUUGCAGAUUUCAACUAUUGCUGGUGAAUUGAGAUACACCGAUGCCAUGAAACUGCUGUAUACCUUAGAGGACGCAACCAAAGGGUCUGUUUUUGCUAAAAUUUCAUUUUAUUUUAAUGNNNNNNNNNNNNNNNNNNNNNNNNNNNNNNNNNNNNNNNNNNNNNNNNNNNNNNNNNNNNNNNNNNNNNNNNNNNNNNNNNNNNNNNNNNNNNNNNNNNNNNNNNNNNNNNNNNNNNNNNNNNNNNNNNNNNNNNNNNNNNNNNNNNNNNNNNNNNNNNNNNNNNNNNNNNNNNNNNNNNNNNNNNNNNNNNNNNNNNNNNNNNNNNNNNNNNNNNNNNNNNNNNNNNNNNNNNNNNNNNNNNNNNNNNNNNNNNNNNNNNNNNNNNNNNNNNNNNNNNNNNNNNNNNNNNNNNNNNNNNNNNNNNNNNNNNNNNNNNNNNNNNNNNNNNNNNNNNNNNNNNNNNNNNNNNNNNNNNNNNNNNNNNNNNNNNNNNNNNNNNNNNNNNNNNNNNNNAAUUCAUAGUUGGUAGCAACUUAAUAUUAUGUUCGGUAAUGAUUUUCCAGUGUAUCCAUCGCCUAGUGAGCAGUCAGCAGCUGACGGUGCUCAAAAGCAAAAGCUGGAUGAUGCCGACAAAAAAAUUGUUGUUUUCUUCUUCCAUAAUUCUAUUCCUUUUAGUGCUGCUAAAUCCAUGUAUUUGCAUGUUGAAUUUUAUAUAAGCAAAUUAAGUGAUCAGUUUACUAAUGCAGGGAAGAAGCAGAUGAGUUGUGCCGAACGCGGGAGGAGAAAGAGGACAGUUCAUGUACUGCCUCAGAAAUGUUCUUUGAGCUAUUGAUGUAUAAACAUUUUCUUUCUUUGAGCUAAAUGCUAUUUGUUGUUUACUUAUAAGUGAUCUUUGAGCUGUUACCAGUAGUAAUUUAGAUUCUUGGUCUCCAAAAUGUUGGUGUAUAAACAAUCAUGAGAAGGAAAAUGUUCGUUUUGCAGCCAAAAGAAAUUUCAUGGUUUUUAUGUUUAUUGAUUGUAGGCUGUCAGAAAAGAUAACAAACAACGGUUUAGCGUUCUUGAGGAAAAUGGGGAGCUUCUGAUACGUACAAACCAAGGCCAUACCGUUAGGGGUGAGCAAAACUCGAUUCGACUCGAAAAAAUCGAAAAAAAAUUUGAAUUUCGAGUUAAACGAAUCGAGUUAUUCGAGUUAAUCGAGUUAUUCGAAUCAACUCGAAUAUUUUUUUCGAAUUUCGAGUUCGAAUCGAGUUGAGUUUUCGAAUUCGAAUAACUCGAAUAAUUCAAAUAAUUCGAAUAUCAAACUAUAAUAUUUUAUAUUUUUACCCCAAACUCCCAAACCUUUUUACUUUUCCCUCAAAACUUUGACUCCUUCCCACUUUCCCCCCAAAACUUUGACUCCCCUCCCCUCCCAAUCCCCCAAUCUACCUAAAAUCUAUUUUCCACCAAAAUUUUACUCCCAAAAACCCUCAAAACCUUUAAUUUUCCCCAAAAUUUUUACUCCCUCCCACUUUUCUCCUAAAACUUUUAUUGCCAUCCCACCUCUCAUCUAUCCCAAACCCUCCCCCCUCCAAUUUUUUUUAAUAUUUUCCCUCCAAAAUUUUACUCCCCCUAUUUACUUUCCCUCAAACUUUUAUUCCCAAAACUUUUUUAUUUUUCCCCUAAACUUUUACUUCUCACCCUUUACUCUCAAAUAAAAAAUCAAAAUUAUCCAAAAAAAAUUACUAAACAUAAAUAGUAAUAAUUUUAUUUAUAUUUACUAUUUAUAUUAUUAAAUUAAAUUUCACAUUUUAUAUUAUUUAUAUUAUUGAAUUGUUUAGUCAUAUUGAAUAUUUAUAUUAAAAUUGAAUUAUUAAUUAUGCCAUAAAAUAUUCGUGUUAAAAUUUUAUAUUGGUAUCAAUUUCACAUUUUAUUUUUAAAAUAACUUUUAUUAAAAAAAUCAUAUUUUUACAUUUAAUAUAUUUUUUAAUUCUAAAAUACAUAGUGACAAGAAUCUGAAGAUAAUUGAAACAACUAAGCAAGCAAAGAAGCUAACCAAUAUAUAAAAAAUUAAUAAAUAAAUUAUGAAGUGUUGAAAGUUAAUAAAAAAAUUGAUUAAGGUGGACAAAUUUUAUUAUGAUGGGUGACAAUGGUUAUAAGGACCAAAAAUUAUUUUUUAAAAUUUAACUCGAACAAAUAUAUUCGAUUCGAUUCGAUUCGAAUUCCAUCUCACUCGACUCGAUUCGAGAAAACUUCAAAUAAAUUUAGGAUGAUAAAAUAAGAUUCGAAAACUCGAUUAACUCGAAAAUUUUCGAUUCGAUUUGAUUCGAUUCGAUCGAAUGCUCACCCCUACAUACCGUCAUGGUGAUGAAUCUUUCUUAAAAAUUUAUUAAUUUCUUCAUGCUUUAUCUGAAUUGUCACCUUAGAUUAUUUUUAGCUGUUGUUUUGAGCAUCUUUAUUUAUGUCUAUGCACUUCUAAGGAAGAUAUUGUAUGUCACGUUGGCAGACAGUUGAGUCCGAAAGAUUAUUAAAACAAAUACUUUCAGCUGAUGAAGUGCAAUGUAAGAACAUCAUGUCUCUUAGAUUUAUGGACUUUCUUUAUGCCUUUUAUUUUGCAUAAUCCUCUUGAUUUUCCCUGAGAUGAUAGUUUGCGUACAUGGAACCUAUAAGAGGAAUUUGGAAUCAAUUUUGGAGUCGGGUUUGAAGCGCAUGAAAAGAUUGCAUGUUCACUUCUCAAGUGGCUUGCCGACUGACGGUGAAGUGACAAGUGGUGAGAUAUCAUGAAAUUUCUCUUUACUGUUCCUCUGAACUUUGACAUACGAACUCCUUCAUUUUACUCUCUAUUUUUAAUAUGCCAGCACUGUAUACGUGACAAACUGCUUAGGGGUGUUGUUAUGCUUGUUAUCUACAUUUCACCAUAGGAUUCAUGCUAAAGAUUAUGAAAGGGGAUUAUUAAGGUGCCGAUAUAAAACGUGAAUUUUAAGCGAUAAUGGGAAAUGACAAGCACUAAUCGGCAUAAAUUGAGUUUUAGUGAAUCUAAAUGCUGUAGAGGGCUUAUGAUGAUUUGUAUCUUUUACCCUCUUCAGGUAUGAGACGAGAUGUUAACGUUUUGAUCUAUCUUGAUGUUAGAAAAGCUUUGGAAGGUAAGCAUGCUUGCAGUCAUUGCUUCGGUUCAUAGAAUCAUGAAAGAAGCAAGUCAUCUUUCUCACUUUUCUUUAGAGUCGUGGCCGAACAUAUAUUGAUUUGUUCUUGCCAAACUACGGUUCUUAAGUUGUCUUCGCUUGUUUUCUUGAUGACUGCAGAAGGCAUGAAGCUUUACAUUUCAGACAACAAAGUGAUAUUGACUUAAGGUUUUGAUGGGGUGGUACCUGUCAAGUGCUUUGAGAAAAUAGAAUCAUGGCCAGACAGAAAACCUAUACCUUUCUUAAAUGUUUAAAAUUGAAUGAUGAAAUGAUCAGCUUUUUUUUACUUUCUUUUAAACUUGUGUGAUGACAAAUUUGUAUUUAUAAAAGAUGACCACCAUUAAGUCGAUUACAAUAAGAGUACUGUAAUCACUGAAUUUUGUUCGAGAUUAAUUCGUGUUUAGAAAAAAAGAAAUUUUUAUUUUUAUUUUUGCAUUUAACCCUGUACUUUUCAAAUUACAUUUGACCCAACUUUCUAAAUUACAUUUGACCCAAACUUUAUAAAUUAUAUUCGACCCUAGACUUUCUGAAANNNNNNNNNNNNNNNNNNNNNNNNNNNNNNNNNNNNNNNNNNNNNNNNNNNNNNNNNNNNNNNNNNNNNNNNNNNNNNNNNNNNNNNNNNNNNNNNNNNNUGGAGUAUCAGAUCUGAUCUUUACCUCUUUUCCCGAAACAAGGCUUACGAGGGGAUUGGUUUCUUGAAAAGGACGAAUAGGUUCGUGGGUCGUUCGAUUUUCUUCAACUGGUCGAAAAACAAACCAAAACAACUCCUACUCUUCAAAAUCUUGUGACACCUUGUAAGAACUGUUGAAGUCAAAGAGAGAUUCUGUAUUUCUGAUAGUGCCGCAAGAAGAAAUUACAUUUUGGCCCAUAUUUUGCUAAAAUUACACUUUUGCCCCAGAAGCUUUGCAUCCUAUGCAAUUUAGUCCUUCUGGACUUGUCUAAUCGCCGCUGCAGCAGCCGAGCGUACCCCUCCCAGCCGAGCUACUCCAGCAGCCCCCCUAGGCCAUCAUGGCUCCUCUGCCACCUACAAACAAUGAGAAAGAGGACAAAAUUUGGAGCUUUUAAAAAGAAAAAAUUGAAGAGAAGGGAGGGGGGAUUUUCAGCAACCAAAACAGAGAAAAACCAGCAAAAGAAACGGUUUUUUUGAGCAAAAAUUCAAACAGCAGCAAGCAAAAGGGCCUCCACCGCCGCCUUCACCACCACCGUGCUCACCGCCGUGCGUCGGCAUCCCCUCACCGCCUUUGUACCUACACGAACAAGCAAGAAGAAAACCAAAAAGCCAUAAAAAAAAAAACAACCCAAACAGCAAAGAAGAAGGAAGAGAAGGAAGAGAAGGAAGAGAGGAGGAGAAGGGAAGCACCGCCGCUUGUCCCACCACCGUGCGCCGGAGGUAUCAACGGCGGCAAAAAAAAAGGGGGCUAGGGGUGACCCGAAAAAGAAAGAAAAAAGAAAGAAAGAAAGAAAAAGGGAAAGAAAAUAGAAAAAAAAGAAAAAAAAUAUUUUAAAACCAGCCGGGUCGACCCGACCAGACUCGCACCGACCCGACCCGACCCGCGCUCCAGCAGCCCCAAAAUAGCAAGCCUGUCCAGAAAAAAAAAAUAGCAGCAGCAGAUUAGUGCAGAAGCAGUGGGCUGAUCCAGUAGCAGAAGCCCAAAAUAGUAGCAGCCCAGCAUCCUGUAGCCCAGACGCAACAGGCCAGCAGCCUCCAGUCCAGCAGGCCCAGUCCGCCAGUGCAGCCCAACAGCAGUGAAGCAGGCCCGAUUCGCAGCGGCCCAAUCUACAGAAAAAAAAAGGGAAAAAAGGAAAAAAGAAAAAGAAGGAAAAAGGAAAGGGCUUUUGGUAAAUUUUUUUUAAUCUUUUUACUCUAGUUCAUUUAUUUAAAUAUUAUCUUAUUUAAAUUAAAUUAGCAUUUUUUUUAAAAUAAUUUAUUCUUUAGAAAUAUUAUUGUGAUUUUUAUUUGUAUGUUAAAAAAUAAAAAAAAAACAAAAAUUAUUUUUAAUGCACAAGGCAACGAACCGGUUUAGCAUCGAGCCGUUGAUUUCAUCGCUAUGUUGGGUGAAUAUCGAUGACUCGUGUUAAAUACGAGACGCCCUUCUAAAAAUCGAAAAUAUUCAAAAUUCCUCGUAUUUUAAUAAAAAUUCUCGUGUUUUAUUAGAAUCCCGAUUAAAUAUCAAAUUGGAUCAAUUUAACACUAAUUCGAUGAUUUCAUCGCCAUGUAGGGGUGAAUAUCAUAGUUUUGUGUUAAAUACGGUACGUUUUUAAAAAAAAAUUCGUGUUUCAAAUUUUCGUAUUUUCAAAUAUUACUCGUAUUUCAAAAUUUUCGACUUUUAGCAUUUUCAAGAGUUUUCGUGUUUUACAAAUGUUAGUGUUUUAAAAUUUUUGUGUUAAAAAAAUCUUCUCGUAUUUUGAAAAAUCGUGUUUAUAAAAUUUUCGUGUUUCAAAAAUUUUCGUUUUUUUAAAAAAAAAAUUCUGCUUCAAAAUUCUUCAUGUUAAAAAAUUUCUCGUGUUUCAAUCGAAUCACGAUUAAAUAUUAAAUUGAACUCGUAUUUUUUAAAAUUAAGACAACGCGCGUUUAACGAGAUACCAAUUUUGGGCGUCGCGAGGGUGCUAAUACCUUUCUCGCGCGUAAUCUCUUCAUCCGUCGAGUUUGAUUCCAUGCACUGGUUAUCUCUCGAAUUUUCUUUUUAUAGCCAUUGUCCUUGUACGAGAAUUAGAACUCAGCUAAACCUUGGGUCGCAGGAAUAAACUGCCUUGACCUGUACUGUCUUAGCACCAUCAAUGGAGCAUACCCAACAGCUCCCCAGAUUCCAAGUAAUGGGACCCAAUCAAAAUUACCACAUCGGUACAAGAUCUCAUCCGAAAGCAACCACGGGGCUCUCCACUCUAUGUCCUCCUCAUGAAGACUCUGAAGAAUGACCAACCAUUUCUCUUCCAAGAUGUCAUCUCUUCUUGGUGUAGCUGCUAUCUCUUUUAAUGGCGAAUAACUUUCAGAAAACACUCGAUACGAAACCUUAUCAAUUUUCCAAAAAUGACUGUGGAACCAUGCAAGUAGAAGCUGCACACAUCCGAUGAAUUUGCCUUUGCCCGUCCUUCGACAUGCAUUCAGCGACCUGAAGGUUUCUGCUAAAAUUGUCGGAACUGGUGUAACCCUCUUAUCAAGUCGGUCAAAGAGGUUAGAGGUCGCCUCAUCUAUGUGCCUUAGGGCCCUAGGAAAAAUUACUAGCCCAUAAAUGCUCAAAGCAAAGAUGUCGACUUUUUUUCUCGCAUCAGGGUGCGCCAAAAUCAGCUCUUGCAGGAUUUUCCAAGGGAUGCAUUUGCUUUCCCCCUUCUGCUUGAUCCGUGCUGUGACCCACUGCUCACUCAUUCCGGUGACGUUUAUCAACUUCUUUACAAAGGUUGGGACAUUAACGGCUCUAGAGUAGACUUUAUCAACUUGGAUCUUCGGGCAACGAAGCAAAGCUGUAUAUUCCUCUAUAGUGGGCACUAAAUCAACCCUUCCGAAGGUAAAACAACUAUACGCGGGGUUCCAAUACUGAGCGAAAGCCCGAAACAGAUGCUCAUCUGCCUUAAUGUCGAGUAGAUAAGGUAAAUUCCCAUAACUAGAGUUGAACAAUUGCUUAGUUUCGUCAUUCCAGUGAUCCUAUAUUACCUUUAAUUCCUGAAGGUUAUUUUGAGUUACGCUGAUACGGGUGUAGUCCCACAACUCCGACGUGUGUUCCCCAGCUAGACUAUCUCCUUUCUCUAAUUGUGUUUUCUCUGAUCACAUACGAACAACAGCAUUGUCCUCUACUUUAUCAAGAAAUCCGUUCUCUAUGCCAAACUUUCUAGUUUAGUAAUCGAACUUGAAUCGACACUCUUUUGAAUAUGAAGUGACAUGAAAACAUAGCAAAAAUACCAUAAGUUAGUGCAAUAUACAAAAACAUAACUUCAAGUAAAUAAAAGAAUCGAACAUCUAUCUGGGUAACCGCUAGGGUUUCUGCAGUAUGAUCAAGGGUGGGCUCCUAGUGUUUUCUAUAUGCGGCUUGGUUCUACAGUUGAGGUACCCGAACCAGUAGAUUCCUCGAUCCUCACCCAUUAUAGGCUCAUACGGACCGAGUUCGAUUCGGGGGAAUACAUUUCCCUAUGGCUAUAUGGAGAUGAAAAUCUCACGAAGACAUAGGUAUGGAUGUAUCCCGGAAGCGAUUCACUAUCCUGCACGGAGGUGAAAACCUCACGAAGGACUAGUUUCUCACUCCCACUUAAGAGGGUAAGACUGACAGUCUUAUGCAAUGUGAUGCCAGGAUAUAAAACUUAAUUUACAAUAAUCGUACCACACACAAAUGCAAUGAGAGGAUUGUAAUUUUUUAAAUUAAAUCUUCAAUUUUCAAUAAUAAGACAAAAACAAUCCAUUUUACGGCUUGGCUCUCUUGGUGUCCCCAGUGGAGUCGCUAGGCUGUCGAAACCACCCUUUUUUGAAAAACAUAAAAAAAAGUUUUUGUUGUCGACUUUAAAAAAACAAAAAUGGGGAGUCGCCACCGAUCUUUUAAAGAUGUGUGAUUGGAUCACCUUGAAAACGAUUUUAGGUCUACGAAUUUUGAGAAAAUAGGUUCAGGAGUCGAUUAUGCAGGAGGAAGGGUUAGCACCCUCAUAACGCCCAAAAUUGGUACCGAAUUGAUUGUUUAAUGUCUUAAUGUUGAAAAUUUAAAAAGAUUUUAAAAUACGAUCCUUCCUUUUUUAUUAAUGUUAAUUUUACAAAGGAUGCUUGGAUAAAUCGAGGUGAAUACUAAAGACCAUCUCAUCUCAGAGUAAUAAAAUGUCAUACCCAAUACAUUAGGACACGACAUUUUUAGUCCUUGAGAAUGAGCUUGUCUUUUGAUUUUCAAAAUUCUUGAAGUUUAAAAGGGGUAUUCAAUUGCUUGAAAUCAGAUGAAAAAUUGAAACCCAAUACGUUAGGGCACGAUUCCUCAAAAUUCCUAGCAUUGAACACAACCUAUUCCCUUACUGGUCAGGGAGCUAGGACUUGCAAUCUUCCACCUAUUCCCUUGCUGGUCAAGGAACUAGGGCUUGUGAUUUCUUCUUCCUAUUCCACUGCUGGUCAGGGAGCUAGGACUUGCAAUCUUCCACCUAUUCCACUGCUUUUCAGGGAACUAGGACUUACAGUCUUCCACCUAUUCUACUGCUGGUCAGGGAGCUAGGUUUUUGUGAUUUCACGGAUCUGUUCUUUGGGGAACAUGACCUGUAUAAUUCAUUUUAUGAACUUAAUUAUGCCUAGUGAUUAGGAUGUCAUGAUCAGAAUGAGUCAAAUGCUCCUAACUAGGUAUGUAUGAUGUUUGCAUGAAUGCAGAAUGUCAUUUUUUUACAACAAUUUUGCUUUAUUGCUUAAGUUAUUAUUGUACGAAAUUUAUUAAUGCUUUAUCACCGAAACGCUGUAAUGCCUUCCCUCUCAACUGACGUCUCCAAAGAAACACCUAGUCGGAUUGCCCCCACUAUGAACUUCAACGUUCAAUCCACUGGGAUGCAAAAAUUGUACCAUUAUUCUCCCACUACAGCUCGAUGGUAUAAAUAUAUACUCAAAUGAAGGCUUUUCUCAAUCAUCUCUUAUCACAAUUCCAGGAUACGGGAUCUAAAUCUCUUUGGUCCCUUACGCCAUUCUCAGGGUGACAUACCAAAGUCUUACACUCAAAUGAAGGCUUUCUUCUUCGAGGAAACCUCCUCUUAUUGCCUGAUAAUCAUUGUUUGCCUGUUUAUUUAAGUUUUGCCACCAACAUGGCAUCUUGUCAUUUUGUUCAAUCAAUGUUUUUGACAACAAAAUCCAAAGAGCAAGUCCAAAUUUAGAUUCUUCCUUCCUAAAUUUCCAACCUUUAAACUUGGAGCAUUCUAAACAAUGGUCCUGUUUCAGGCUCUUAUUAUUUAGAAACUUUUCAGAGUAAUAUGCGAAACUUCCUUUGUGAAAGUUUUAUUAGUCCAUUAAUCAUUAUUCCAAUGCAACAUGCUUACAAAAAGAUCAUAAUAAUGGAUAAGAAUAAAGUUGGUUAUGAACAUAGCUCGGAAGAAAUAAAGCAUCGAGGAUAACGAAGAAAGAAUAACAAAAAGUUGAUUGAGAAUGAGUAUCUUAACAAGAAGAGAAAGGUAUUUGCAAGGAUAACACAUUUAAUAAAAUAAGAACUAGGUGCCCUAGUUAUCGCAGCUUGAAUUUCUCUGUACAAACUUUCUGAAGGCCAUUUUGAGUUUGAUAUGUGUUUAGGGGAUCUGCAGUACUUUGUCAAUGCUCCAAGAUGUCGCGUACCCUUUCUUAUUGGUUCAGGUAAAGCAAGAUCAUCAUAUGCCCCAAUCAAAAUUUGAGCAGCUCAACUCACCUCGUGCCCCAUUUCGAUCAAUACUUGAGCCGCCCUUUUCGGGUUUUUGACUUAAGUCCCAUUUGGUCUCAAGGCGCCCUUUGCGGGUCUUCACCUUGGCCUCUCCAAAAGUUUUUUUUAGGGAGCAAAGUGCCCUUUGCGGGUUUUCACUUUGGUUCCCUUUUCUUUCAAGUGAAGUAUUUCUUGACGGAGUCUGCGUUUACAGGAUUUGGUAAACUUUUACCAUUCAUCUCACUUAGGAUCAAAGCUCCACCGGAAAAGGCCUUCUUCACAAUAUAAGGACCCAAUUUGGCAUCCGUUUUUCUCUAAAGUCUUUUUGCAUAGGAAGAAUCUUUUUUAGCACCAAGUCCCCUUCACGAAAUUCUCUGGGGCGAACCUUUUUAUUAUAGGCUCGCAUCAUUCGUUUCUGGUACAUCUACCCAUGGCGGAUAACAUUUAACCUCUUUUCUUCUAUUAGGUUCAACUGAUCGUAACGAGAUUGGACCCAUUCGGCUUCGUCCAACUGUAGUUCAGAUAACACCCGUAGAGAAGGGAUCUCAACUUCAAUGGGUAAUACUGCCUCCAUUCCAUAAACUAGAGAAAAUGAUGUUGCACCGGUAGAAGUUUUAAUUGAUGUCCGAUAGGCAAGGAGAGCAAAUGAUAACUUCUCAUGCCAAUCCUUGUAAGUUUCAGUCAUUUUCCCCAUAAUUCUUUUAAUGUUCUUAUUGGCCGCCUCCACUGCACCAUUCAUUUUUGGACGAUACGGCGAUGAGUUAUGAUGUUUGAUUUUAAAUUGGCUGCAAACUUCAGCUAUUGUGCUAUUGUUCAAAUUCAACGCAUUGUCGGAUAUGAUUUUCUCUGGCAUUCCAUAUCGACAAAUGAUCUCCUUUUUUAAGAAUUUCCUGACUGCUGACUUCGUGACAUUUGCGUAUGAAACAUUUUCCACCCACUUGGUAAAGUAAUCAAUGACCACGAAGAUGAAGCGAUGCCCAUUAGAAGCCUUUGGUGAUAUUGGCCCAAUAACAUCCAUACCCCACAUGGAAAACGGCCAAGGAGAGGUCAUGAUGUGAAGAAGUGAAGGAGGCGCGUGUAUUUUGUCUCCGUAAAUUUGGCAUUUGUGACACUUUUUGGCAUAAUCAAUGCAAUCUUCUUCCAUGGUGGACCAAUAAUACCCGAAUCUCAUGAUCUGUCUGACCAUCGUGAAACCGUUGGCGUGUGUCCCACAGAUACCCUCAUGGACUUCCUCCAAAAUUUUCUUGGCUUCCACAGCAUCCACACAUCUUAACAGUACUUGAUCCUUCCUUCUUUUGUAUAACACUUCCCCAUCUAAGACAUAUUCAAUGUCUAUUCUUCUCAGAGUUCUCUUGUCGUUCUCGGUUGCUUAACUAGGGUACUCCCGAUUCUUCACAUACUAUAGGAUACUCUGAUACCAAGGAUGAUCGUCUUUUGCCUCCUCCUCAAUACUGUAGCAAUGAGCUGGGGUUUCGUAGAUACUCAUCUGAAUAGGCCUUGUCGAAACCAUUUUUAUGUUUGAAAAAAUGGGGAUCGACUUUGGAAAUGGAAUGGGAGUCGCCACCGAUCUUUUAUUGGGGUGUGAUCGGAUCACCUUGAAAAUAAUUUUAGGUCUGCGAAUUUUGAGAAAACAGGUUCGAGAGUCGGUUACGCACGAGGAAGGGUUAGCACCCUAGUAACGCCCAAAAUUGGUACCGAAUUAAUUGUUUAAUGUCUUAGUGUCAAGAAUUUGAAAAGAUUUAAAAUACGAUCCUUCCCUUUUUUGUUAAUGUUAAUUUUAUAAAAGAUGCUUGGAUAAAUCGAGGCGAAUGCUAAAGACCUUCUCGUCUCAGAGUAAUAAAAUGUUAUGCCCAAUACAUUAGGACACGACAUUUUUAGUCCUCGAGAAUAAGCUUGUCUUUUGAUUUUCAAAACUGUUGCGGUGAAGUUAAAAAGGGAUAUUCAAUUGCUUUAAGUCAGAUGAAAAAUUGAAACCAAAUACGUUAGGGCACAAUUUCUCAGAAUUCCUAGCAUUGAAUAUAGCCCUUAUUAUUUUUUAAAAUCUUCAUUUCGAGAAAACGACAUGUCACAUCCAAUACAUUAGGACACGACGUAUCGAGUUCCCGAGAAUGAGUUUUUAUUUAUGUUUUGAUUAAAAGGGAUAUUCUUGAUUAUUUAGAUUCGACGAGAAAAAUUAGAACCCAAUAGGCUCAAUUCUUCCGAAGAUUCCAAAUACCGAACUUUGCGUUAUUUCAAAAGCUUAUUGGAUAAAAAUGCUUUUGACAUUUAAAUGAUAUGAAACGUAAUCUUUUGAAUAAAUAAAACAAUGGAAGAAUAACGUACAAUGCGAAAUGGUGAUUCGUAAAUUGAAAUGCACACUAAUAGACGAUAAGCAAUUAAUAAACCAAUAAAGCCGUACUUAUAAGAACAAUGGUUACAUGUACAUAUCGCAUUUAAAAGCUAAUGAAUUAAAAAUCAAUAAUAUACGCACAUAUAUACACAUAUAUGAAAGUAUACAUAUAAAAUAAAUACACAUAUAUGAAAGUUUGAAAUAAAUCAAAAAUAGAGUUAAAGUAAAUACUACAUAAAUUAAUAGUAUCUAAAUAAAUCUUUAAAGAAAACCAAAAUACAUAAAACGAUAUAUGUAUUAAUUUGGACAAAUCAAAUAUAAAAUGGUAACCUUGGUAUAAAUAAUAAUAUAAAUGUUAAUAUAUAUGCAUAAUAAUAUAUAUAAAGUUGAAAUAAGCCAAAGUAUAUUAAUGUAGGUUUUUUUUAAAAUAAAAACAAAUCAUACAUAUGUAUAAAUAAAUAAGAGAUAUAACAUAAAAUCAAUAAUAUAUUAUAUAUACAUGUAUAUAAUCAAAAUAGUUUAAUAUAAAUUGCAUAUAUGUAUAAAAUAAUAUCGUAUAUAAAUGUUAACACUUAAAAUAAUAUUAUAUAGUAAAAUAAUGUAUGUACAAAAAAUGUAAAUAAAUAUAUAUACUAAUAUAAUAGUAACAUUAGUGAUAUUAACAACGGUAAUAAUAAUAAGUUAAUUAAUGAACUUAUUUAAAAAGCAAAUAACAAAAGUAUUAAAUUAAACUAAGAGAAAAAAAAUGAAAAUAAAGUAAAACAAAGGGGGGUCAAAUACGAUUAAAAUAAAAUUAAAGAACCACAAACAGAAUUAAAAUAAAUAAAAAGGACAAAAGUGAAAAGCGCGAAUGAUACGAGGGAUCAAAAGGGAAAUAAUCCCAACACCUCGAAAUGCUGCGCUGAGAGAAGGACUAAAGUGAGCAGAAUCCAAAACACAUUGGGUAAAAUUAAUAAAUAAAGAAAACAUAAUUAGAAAUAUGAGCUAAAACAGAGGGACCAGUGGCGCAAAUAUCCCUCUCCAUGCCGCAUCUGGGUCGGGUCAUCGGGUUAAUGGCCCAAUACGACGCCGUUUUGGGGCCACUGAGAAAGACCUCAAAUGGCAUCGUUUUAUAGUGUGCAUAAAAUUAAAAAAAACAAAGGCCCUAAGCCAUUUUGACAGAUCUGCAAACCCUAAGCAGACCUUCCUUUGUGCGCCGCUCAGUCAUGAACCCGAUCUGACUCCGAUUCAGACGGAGCAAACCAGGUUCCAAUGGCAUCUACUCCGGUAAGAUACUUCUUCUCUUCUUCUUUUUAUUUUCGUUUGGUGCCAAAGAAGAAAACAAAGAAUCAAAUAGAAUGAAAAAGAAAAGAAAAGAAACAAAAAAAUCACCUCUUUGAACUUUUUUGAUUUUUUUAUUGCUUUCUGAUUUUUUUGUUUGCAUACAAUGUUCGUGUCCCCCUUUUUGCAAUCGCAAUCGGUUUAUAUACCGAAAAGAUACAGAGUAAAAAAAUAAAAAUAAAAAUGAAAUCUCCUUUCUUUUUUGCUCUUUUUUGUUUUUUCUCUCAAUUUUCUCUGAUUUGCUGGCGAUUUUAAUUCUUUUUGCUUGAUUUUCUCUGCCUUUUCCAUUUGUUUGUCUUUCUUGCAGGUAUACAGAGGCUGUACGGUGAUGUGGCGCGGCUCAACGCAGUGCAUGGAGGCGUGGCACGUAGCGGUGGCGCACGUACGGAGGCGCGCGCGAGGGCAAAGACUUGGCACGUGAGGACGAAGGUCUUGGUGGCUGCGGCGCUUGGAAGUUGUUUGCUGCCUAGGGUUUUUUGAGUGCUGCUUGGUGUUGGGCUAUUAGGCUAGGGUUGGCUAAUGGGCAUUAGGCUUAGUGGAUUGGGGACAUUGGGCUAGGCUAGUGGGUUAAAACGAUUUGGGCCGAUGUAUUUGGACUACUUUAUUUGUAAAUGGACUUUUAACAUUUUUGCUUUUAUACUGGUUUUAUUUACUUUGUUUAUUUAUUUCUGAUUUGGGCCGGGCAAUAUUGGGCCAUUACAGCUGCCCCUCUUUGCUCAUUGUCGUGUAACGGGAAUGAAGCAAAGACUAAAAAGGGCCAAUUUUGCCCGGUAGUGCUGGACCUUGGUACUCUUCUUCUUCACGUAGCCUCAUUCCAUUCUACUACAUCUUCAGUGGUAUAGGAAUGGGUGUUUCGAUCCACUUCACUUCAACUUCAGGGAGAUAGGACCAUUGGCUUCGAUCUGCUUCACUGUUGAUGCAGGAAGGUAGGACUUGCCAUCUUUAACCUAUUCCACUAAUGGUUAGGGAGCUAGGAUUUGCAGUCUUCCACCUAUUCCACUGCUGGUGAUGCGUGUCGAAUCCACCAAUAUAAACCUAUGCCUUAAUUUGCAAAUUAUGCAGUAUAGGGAGUAGGGUCGAUCCCUCAGAGACUGGUUUACUGUAAAUUAUUUCUCGCUUGACCAGAUUUAUGUCAGGGCAACUGUCGUGCCCAAGACGUUUGGGGGGAUAAAAAUUUGAAAUCCUGAAAUUAACAGAAAAAUAACAUCAAAAGUAAAAGUUGAAAACAAAAUAAUAAAAACUGUGAAAUAAAUAUUAAGAAAAAUUAAUUAGAAUGAGCUCAGCUUUAGGCACGAAUUUUCCUCGUCUUUGAACUGAUCCUCGAAAUUGGAUGAACUCCUCUUUUCCAAUAAGCUAGUUAUAGCUACCAAGGACGCCUCGGACACCAACUCUUCCUUGUGUAAAUGAGUUAUGGAACGUCCAAUAACUAACUCUUACCGACCGAACAACCACGAAAUGUUCGUGAUUUAGAACUUCGGCAGCUUUGCAUUCUAGAAGAGCCAAGCUUGAACCAAUGCCCUCAAUCGCGUGGGAUAUUUAAAUCCGGUUACUACUUCCCUUGACGGAACCAAACAGCAAUCUCCACUUGGCACGCCAAUGUGUUCACAGAAAACCAUUAGAAACGUUCCUUUCGGAAUUCCAACUGUACGUCUAAUCACACUAAAUCAAACGACAUCUUUUUUGACUUAGUGUUGAUCUGACUUUGUGAGUUGACAAAAUCAUACUCUUAAUCCGGAGAAGUAAUAAGUACUGGAAUUUUAGGAGUUAAAUCGCUCGGGUUCGUAACUCACGGGUUUUGACGAGGUUAAAUCUGACCUAAAGCUGAAAAUGGGUUUAGUUGGCUAAGGUUUGGGGCAUGUUGGUAUUUGAUAAAUUUAAUAAGGUAAAUGGGUGAAAAGAUGGGUGACGUGAUUGAUUAUGGGAGUUGGAAAAAUAUAUUAAAGUGGGGUGGUUGACUAUUGGGAAUGAAAAGAGAAUUUGGAAAAGAAAUUGUAAAUUAUGAGUGGUAACAAGCUGGAAAUUUUAGGAACUGAAAGUAAAGGAAACUAAAGACAAAUAAUAAAUUGUGAAUAGUUGAAAGUAAAGGUAAAUGGGUGGUUGGUUAUUGGAAAUUAAUAAAUUGAAGGAAAUGAAACUAAAGAAACAACAAUGCUACGUGAGAAAGGAGAGAAUGAAUUGAAAGAUAAAAACUUAAUAUUUUUGAUUGAUGAAUAAAAUGAACAAUGUAGCCUCUAUUUAUACUAGUGACUUUAUUAAAUUAGGAGCCAACUAGUUAUAGAAAAUUAAAGAAAAUAUUCCAUGAUAUACAAAAAAAAAUCCCAAAAUAAUCUCCUCACUAAGUCAACAAAAACAAUUUCAGCUAAUUAAUCUUGGAAAAAUUUUAUUUUGGCCCUCAUUCUUUGCUUCUUUCUUCAAUUUAGCCCAAUUGUUUCCUUUUUCUUCUAUUUAGCCCCAAAUUGCAUUCCCGCACAAAAUUCAAUAUAAACAUGGGAGAAUUAGUGGUGCACUCUCAUAAAUUAACCAAUUUAAUUACAUAAAAUAUGAAAUUUUAGCAUUUAAUCAAAUCCCCCUACUUAGCUUAUGCUAGUCCUCGAGCAUUUUGUAUGAAUCUGCAAAAGGAAAAAUUUUCUCCAAAAUAGGACUUGACCCCCAUGAUUUGUACAAUUCAACAAUUUAAUCCUGGAACAUUAACAUCUCAAAUAACCUAGCCUAAGAAGUAAGUAAAUAUAUUUCAAAAUUUAGUAGAACUUGAUAGGCUUACCUUUCAUUUUAUUAUUUAUUGUACUUAGGACAUUUUCGAAUUUUUUGACGCGCGACAUGAUGACAACCCAAGCACCAUGUUCCUGUUACUUAAUUCAGACGUCUCUAAGCGGGUUAUUUCGCCCUACUCAUGAUAACUUGUUAGCGGAGUGAGUGCAAAGAAAUUAGACAGUCACACAAACCUUUUUACGUGAGAUGUAAUGACAACCCAAGCACCACAUUCCGGUUACUUGGUCUGGUGUACAGCUCCAAUUUUUCACUCUUAACAAUCAUAUCAGAGGAGAAUUAUUAUAAUUUUUUCUCUUUUUUUUUUGAAAGACAAUAAGUUAGGCAGUCAAGCAAACUCAUAAUUCCUAAAAAUUUCCUACCCACUUAGUCUAGGUUAUUAAAAAGUUUAUGUUAAAGAACUAAAUAGCUAAAUAGGUCGAACCAUAAGUGUACCAUCUCAACUUAAAAGAAAAAAAUUUACCUUUUACCAAAAACAUGCAAAAAUAGCGAUGACAGAUAAGCAAAUUUAGAACCAAUUUAUGUUUCCCUCCCCCUACUUAUUUUACAUUGUCCCAAUGAAAUAUUAAAGGAUAUAAAGUAAAAGUAAGUAUGUAAAAGAAGGAAAAUAAACUCCCCAUGUAUUUUAAUGUCGUGGAGGGUUUUCUCAUAGAUGUGUGAGAACGUCUGUCACUAAGGUACGUAAAGAGUCGAGUCCUUCCUCGAUUCGGGUUAAGCGAGAUUCGACAGAACUUGGAGGCUUCGGCCCUUGAUGGUGUCUUCAUCGGAACACUCUAUGCGACCGAUCUGUUCUUGUACCUGGAGGGACAAUAAAAAGAAGAAGGGGUAUCGGCAAGUAACCCCAUAGAAUCCAAGCAGUAUGUAUCUAAAGAGUCCGUUUUGUAUGCCAAAUUUAAAGAACUAAAAUUGAUAGUUGAUGGAUUCAAAUUGGAGGCUAAACGUGUGAUGUAAGUACCCAAGAUUAGUGGCCGAUUCGACCGCAAAACAUGCUGAAACUGAAUAGCAAACCAAUAGCCUAUUUCACUUUCCUGUCCGAAUGCAUGCACCAUAGAAAAAAUAAUUCAGUUCUAGUUAAAGAGGCAGACGCAUCAUUACGUCCUGAAAAAUUGAAAGCAAGGAAUCGAUGUAUAUAUCGUAGUGCGGGGCUAUGAAUUCCUAUGUCCUUACAACGUUUCGGAUCGUACGAAAUUUGUCUCAUUUCAGUUAACAAAGCUAAAGCUUCAUUAGCAUCAAAGUCAGGCGGUAUGUCGAGAAAUGAGUCAUAAUAGUCAUCAGUUGCUAAAUAGUCCUCACUAACAAAUCCCAGAGCAACAUUAAACUCAGAAAUAGAUAGAUUAUAAUAUACACCUAGCAAGCGAAAAUUAACAGCAUGAGGUGUAUCUAUGGUGUUAGCAGAACGGUCGAAGUAAAAUGUUGAAUAAAAUUCAAAAACCAACUCAUAAUAUGCAGGUUCAUCAAUGGCAGCAAAAUCGGUCCACCCAAUAGCAUCAAAAUAUUGAUUAACAGAUUCUUCAAUAUUUAAAGAAUAUAAUGAGAAUGAGUCCAUGUGUUUACAUACUAGAAGAGGGCGAUGUUGGAUUUGUUCGAAUUGUGCUUGAUGUGCCGGGUUUGUAAACGUUAGAUUCCCGUGAAAUUUGUUCUCCGGUGGCAUGAAUCCUCUCCCUUGUCGGAAUUGACCUCACUCUCGUGGAUGAUACUCAGUGUCUUGAUUUUUCGUUUCAUUUUCAUAAUUUUCAGUAUCAUCUGCCGUUGGAGCGGAUGAACCGGCCAAAGGUGGCUGUUGGUGGCCUCGGGUUUGUCUUUGCGUUGAACGUGGUUCAGUACCAUCGUUUGGGGACCGCAGAGUUCUUCUCGAAGGUCUCAGUUGUGGUGGUCGACGUGCAUGGACGUUUGGUCGGGGAGAUGGGCGAUCGUGACUGUUAGAUGAGUUAGGUGGUUCGACUGGGCUGUCGGAAUGGUGGUCGGCCGAAACGGGUGGCUCAUGGGGUAAGUAGACUACGGUGAUCAGAGUUGGGCUGCGAUUGCUUCUAAGGCGGUGCAGUUGUGGUGGCGAAGAGGGAGGAGAUUCGUCGGGGUCAAUUAUGACGAAUGUUGGGGCAGUGAAUCGGUGUUGUUGUCAGUUUAUGGUGGAUGGCGAUUCUUGCGUCGCGCGUUCGCGUGUACGAACCAUGAUUUGGUGGUGGACGGUGGUGGUGGUUUUCUUGGAGGUUUGAGUUAUGGUGUUGAAGAUGAAGAAGAAAGAAAGGGGAAAUAAAAGAAAGAAGGUAGAGUUUGAAAAAUAUUUUUUUUAUCUUUCUUUCUUUGGCUGGUCAAAUGGGGGGUAAAUGUGAUUGUGUGUUGUUUUAUUUUUUAGGGUAAAGAAAAGGCUAUGAUGUGAUGGGUGAAAGGUAUAGGAUUUGAUUGGUGAAAGUUUUUUUUUUACUUGAGAGGAGUAGACGGUUGGGGGGUAAAAGUGGAGAGUUAAUAUGGGGUAGUGGGGUUGUUUUUUCUAGGUGAAAAGUUUGAUUUGAUGGGUGUAAGACUUUUUGAUUUUUUUUAAAUGGAAAAGGGGUGGACGGUUGGGGGGGAAAUUUUGGGUUUAAAUUUUGAUUGUUUUUUUCUUUUUUGGUUUUGGGUAGGUAUGAUGGGUUUGGGUUUGGUUUAAUGGGUUAGCUUGGAUUGAUUUUAAAAUGGUGGAUAUGUAGAGUGGGCCUUGGCUGAAAAAUAAAAAGAAUUUGUGGGUUGUCAUGUGGAAUUUUACUUUUGUCUUGGAAUGCUUCCCUGCAAAAAUAAAAAUAGAAACUAAAUAAAAUAGUAAAAAUAAUAAUAAUAGGAAAAUUAAAAUUAAAUUUUUUUUUCAAAAUUAUUAGCUAAGCUAUAAACUCCAGAAAUAAAUUAAAAACUAAAAUUACGAUAUUUGGUAAAAUAGUCGUGAUAAAUGCACCAAGUAAGUUCCCAGGAAAGAGAGGUGAGUCACAAUGGACAUACUUAAGUACCAAGUCUUUCCUUAGACAAAACUAAUCCUCGACAUGCAUUUUCAUUUUUCAUUUUACCAAAAAUUUUAUUUGCAUAAAGGAAAAGAAAAUUUGGGUUGCCUCCCAACAGCGCUUUGUUUAACGUUGUUAGCUCGAUGACCUGUUAUUCAACUUCCGGGCUCCUCGAGAACGACCUCCUCAAUUGUGUGCGUUUGAAAAUUCUCGUAGAAGGGUUUUAGUCGUUGACCAUUCACCUUAAAAAACUUUCAGGUUUCUUCACUUUGUAUUUCUACUGCACCAUUCGAGAAUAAAUUAGUUAUAAUGAAUGGACCUAUCCAUUUGGAUCGAAGCUUACCAGCGAAAAUUUUUAAGGUGGAGUCGUAUAGUAGAACUUUUUGUCCUAUUGAAAACUGCUUCCUAGUGAUCAUCUUAUCGUGGAACGCCUUCGUCUUUUCUUUAUAAACUCGAGCAUUUUCAUAUGCAUCGUUUCUAAUUUCCUCAAGUUCCUGAAUGUCCAACUUUCGAGCCCUUCUUGCAGUCUCCAUCUCCAUAUUACAUUGGUUAAUUGCCCAAAAUGCCUUGUGCUCUAAUUCGACUGGGAGAUGGAACGGUUUACCAAAAAUGAGUCGGUAAGGUGACAUGCCUAUUGGUCCCUUGUAAGCUGUCCUGUAAGCGCCCAAAGUGCGUCAUUUAAUCUCAAGCUCCAAUCCUUUAUGUUAGGUUUAACGUUCUUUUCCAAGAUGGACUUGAUUUCACAGUUUGACACUUCAGCUUGCCCAUUUGUUUGUGGAUGGUAAGCAGUAGAAAUUCGUUGAGUCACUCCAUACUUCUCCAUAAGUGCACUUACGAGCUUAUUGCAGAAAUGAGUUCCUUUGUCACUGAUUAAUGCUCGUGGAGUGCCAUAGCUGGAAAAGAUAGAACUUUUAAGAAAGUCAACCACAGUUUUAGCAUUAUCAUUACGAGUGGCUUUCGCCUCUAUACAUUUAGAAACGUAAUCAACAACUAAGAGUAUAUAAAAAUUACUGAAAGAAGAAAUAAAAGGACCCAUAAAAUCGAUGCCCCACACAUAAAAAUUUCGCAAAUAUGAAUAGGAGUAAGGGGCAUCUCAUUUCGACGACUAAGGUUACUGACUUUUUGGCAUCUUUCACAGGUUUUGCAGAAUAAGAAGGCAUCACGAAAUAUGUUUGGCCAAAAUAGUCCACACUCGAGAAUUUCAUGUGCGGUACGUUUAGGUCCAAAGUGUCCUCCACAUGCAUAAGAGUGACAAAAAGUUAAGAUAGACUGUACCUCUGUUUCUGCUAGACACCGUCGAAUUACCUGAUCGGAGCAAUGCUUCCAAAGGUAGGGAUCGUCCCAAAUGUAAUAUCGAGCAUCCUUUUUAAUCUUAUCUUUUUUAGACCUUGGUAAUUCUGAAGGUAUAGUACCUGUGAUGAGAUAGUUUAUUAUGUCUGCAUACCAAGGAUGAACCGCAUUUGCUGAAAACAGGUUUUCAUCUGGGAAGUUAUCUUUCAAUGGUGUGUCAUCUGCUGGAAUCUGUAAUCGACUCAGAUGGUUAGCUACUAAUUUUUCGCAUCCCUUCUUAUCUCGAAUUUCAAAAUCGAACUCUUGUAGGAGCAGAAUCCAUCUAAUCAGUCAAGGUUUUGCCUCAUUCUUCCCUAUUAAAUACUUCAAAGCUGCAUGAUUAGAAAAGAUGAUUACUUUAGUUCCCAACAGGUAAGAUCUAAAUUUAUCUAAAGUAAACACAACAACUAAUAAUUCUUUCUCAUUGGUUGUGUAAUUGCUUUGGGCAGCAUCCAAAGUUUUCGAAGCGUAGUAGAUAACAUGAGGCUCUUUCCUUAGUCUUUGGCCAAGAACAGCUCCCACACUACGAUCACUUGCAUCACACAUAAUUUCGAACGGGAAGUUCCAAUUUGGUGGUUGCACUAUGCGGGCGGAGACUAAUUUCUGCUUCAGCACGUCAAAUGCGUCUUUACAAGUCUGGUCAAAUUUAAAUUCUUUAUCCUUCUGUAACAGACUGCAAAGUGGUUGAACGAUCUUCGAGAAGUCUUUUAUGAAUCGUUUGUAAAAUCCUGCAUGCCCAAGAAACGAACGAAUUUCCCUCACAGAUGUGGGGUAAGGUAAUGAGUUAAUAAUAUCCAUUUUUGCUUUAUCGACCUCAAUACCUUCUGAGGAAACUAUAUGACCCAAAAUUAACCCUUUGUCAACCAUGAAGUGGCAUUUUUCAUAAUUUAAAACAAGAUUAAAUUCUAGGCAUCUUUGUAAUAUCUUAGUAAGAUUAUCGAGACAUUCGUUAAAAGAGUUACCGUACACCGUGAAGUCAUCCAUGAAGACUUCAAUGAUUUUCUCGACAUAAUCAGAGAAUAUGCUCACCAUGCAUCUCUGGAAAGUGGCUGGAGCAUUGCAGAAUCCAAACGGCAUUCGUCUAUAUGCAAACGUUCUGAAGGGGCACGUGAAAGUUGUUUUGUCUUGAUCUUCAGGUGCCACAGGGAUCUGGAAAAAUCCUGAAUAACCAUUGAGACAACAAUAAUGGGUCUUACCAGCUAAUCGCUCGAGCAUUUAAUCGAUGAAGGGAAGUGGAAAAUGGUCCUUUCGGGUAGCUACAUUCAACUUUUUGUAGUCGAUGCAAACCCUCCAUCCAUUCUGGACUCGGGUAGGAACUAGCUCUCCUGACGAAUUUUUUUCCACUGUUACGCUAGUUUUCUUGGGCACGACAUGAACCGGGCUAACCCAAUCACUGUCAGAGAUUGGGUAUAUCAUUCUAGCAUCCAACAUUUUCUGGAUUUCCUUCUUUACUACCUCCAUCAUCGGUGGAUUAAGGCGCCUCUGAGCAUCUCUCUUUGGUUUCGUGUUAUCUUUGAUGGAAAUUCUGUGCAUACAUGUGGAUGGACUUAGCCCUUUUAUGUCGGCUAUUGUCCAACCAAUAGCUUCCUUAUAAUCCUUCAGAACUCGAACUAGACUUUCCUCCUCGUCUUUGGUUAGUCUGUUUGACACUAUUACCGGUAAGGUGUCUUUCUCUCCCAAAAAGGCAUACUUGAGGUGGUCCGGUAACGCUUUAAGCUCUAGGGUUGGUGGCUACAAAAUCGAAGGCAACAUUUUAAUUUGGGAAGGUAAUAGUUCAAAUUGGCUACCUCGAUUCGUCAAUGAUGGUUGCGUCUCCAAGUGUUUGACAAUUUCUCGCAACGGAUCUUCUAUAACUGCUAACUUCUCGAGACGACUUAUGUCAUCCAUGUCAAUGCUUCUGUAAAGGACAGUUUCCAACUCAUCAAAGUCAUGAUAUUCAGAAUAAUUUUGAGUUAAACAAUCUAUACUAUCGAUACUGGAAAUAUUUGAUAAUGAGUUAGGAUGACUCAUGGCUUCGUAGACAUUGAAUUUCACGAUUUCGCCAUCAAACUCCAUUGUCAAUAUUCCACUCUGAACAUCAUUUUUUGCGCUUGCGGUAUUUAGGAAUGGUCUUCCAAGUAAAAUGUCAGGCGAAUUAGUUGAGUUAUCGUUCUCCAUAUUAAUAAUAUAGAAAUCUGCAGAGAAAACUAAUUCGCUAACUUUAACGAGAACGUCUUCAAGCAACCCUUCGGGAUAGAUGACUGAUCUGUCCACCAACUGGAUUAUUACUCCUGUCUUUUUCAAAGGACCCACAUUAAUCAACUUAUAAAUAGGAUAAGGCAUAACAUUAAUGGAAGCCCCUAAAUCACACAUGGCUUUCUUAAUGCCUACAUUACCUAUCUCACAGGAAAUAGCAAACAUCCCUUGGUCCUUGUAUUUGGGUGAAACUUUCUUUUGCAGUACUGCGGAGACAUUCUCUCCUACAUUUACUCUUUCGUUUCCUAUUGACUUCCUUUUGCUAGUACACAAUUCCUUGAGGAAUUUUGCAUAACGAGGGAUUUGCUUGAUAGCAUCGAGUAAAGGGAUAUUUACCUCCACUUUCCUGAAGGUUUCGAGGAUUUCUUUUUCCUCUUUCUCUUUCUUAUCCUUUGCGAGCUUCCCUGGAAAAGGAGGUGGCAUCAUGAUUGGUUUCUGAAUUUCUGAUUCUGGUCUGGCUUUUGGAUUAGAGAUCUGCUAUUCCCGUUCCUUGUCUUGCCCAUGACUUUUGUCGGGAACUGGUUCCAAAAUUUUUUCGCUACGAAGAGUUAUUGCACUUGCAUUUUGCCGAGGAUUUGGCUCCGUCUGGGACGGUAGUUUACCUUGAGAUUCCAAACAAUUUACCGCCAUCGAGAGUUUACUCCUGUAUUGAUGCGUCUGUCCUCUAUUGGUACUUCGCAACAUCGACGGCAAGUCUUUCCAUAACAGCUUCUAGAGAUGUGCUCGGCUUGGGUGGCAGUUGCAGAGGUCUUGGUACGAUGGAUUAUAUCGGGGAUGAGCUCCGUAAUUCAAGUUAGGAUGAUCCUUCCACCCGGGAUUGUAAGUGUUUGAGAAAGGAUCAUAGCGUCUUUGUGGAGGUCCCGAAAAACCUCCAACAGCGUCAACAUGUGCUGUUGAAUUUUCAUUAAAGUGUGGGCACAGAUCCGUCAGAUGUUCAGAUAUAGUACGAAUUCCACACAGUUGGGUCAGAUUCUUCUUUUCUGUAAGCAUAGAUUGAACAAUAUUCGUCAGCUUAUUCAAUUUAUCUUCUAAGGAUGAAACAUUUACCCCACUAACCCAUCUUGUGGGUUCUGUAUUUGGCCGAUAUUGUUGGGAAUUUGCCACCAUGUUGGAUAUCAAUUCUCUUGACCUUUGAGGAGUCAUAUUGACAAGCGCCCCACCACUAGCUACGUCAAUCAUUUUCAUCUCCAUAGGGAGCAAACCCUCGUAGAAAUACUGAAGAAGUGAUUGCUCGGUCAAACCGUGUUGAGGACAACUUGCACACAGUUUUUUGUAUCGCUCCCAAUAGUCAUAGAGUGAUUCACUUUCCAUUUGGUGGAUUCCCACUAUGUCCCUCCUAAGUUCAGCUGCUCGUGAUGCUGGAAAGAAUCUGUCAAGAAAAACACGAGAUAAGUCAUCCCACGUUGUAAUAGAACCUGGAGGUAAGUAAAAUAACCAUUCUCUUGUUGUAUCAACUAAAGAAAAAGGAAAGGCCCGAAGUUUAAUUUCAUCUUCGGUUACUCCCUGAGGUUUCAUGCUCGAGCAGUCCAUGUGGAAUUCUCUUAAGUGAGUGUGUGGAUUUUCAUUCUUCAAGGCUCGAAAAGUGGGCAAAAGGUGAAUAAGACCUGACUUCAACUCGAACGGAGUUUCUCCAGUUGGAUAGUUGAUGCAUAACGGUGUUUGCUCGUUGGGACCAGCGGCUAAUUGACGAAUGGUUCGGUUCGCCAUCUUUUCUGGUUCACCGAGGUUGUCUUCUACUUCUUUUGUUUCAGGAAGUGGUUCGGUCUCAGGAUCAAGCACUUCGAUUUGUUUCCCACGUCGAAUUGCCUCUGUACGAAUUGCUAGUCUCAACUUUUCAACGUCAGUUUCUAAGAGCCUUUGUCCUAGCUCAACUUCUGCUUUACUUGCACGUUUAAGAGCUUCUAUCUCUUUUCGUUGUGCUCGUGCUGAUUUUUUGAUCUCUGGGUCGUAUUCAAGAUCUCCGGAUGUAGAUCUGGUCAUGAGGAUGAUUUAAACAAUUGUAAGUGUUGCCAGUCCCCGGCAACGGCGCCAAAACUGAUGGGUGUCGAAUCCACCAAUAUAAACCUACGCCUUAAUUUUCAAAUUAUGCAGUAUAGGGAGUAGGGUCGAUCCCUCAGAGACUGGUUUACUAUAAAUUGUUGCUCGCUUGACCAGAUUUAUGUCGAGGCAGCUGUCGUGCCCAAGACGUUCAGGGGUAUAAAAAUUUGAAAACCUAAAAUUAACAGAAAAAUAACGUCAAAAGUAAAAGUUGAAAACAAAAUAAUAAAAACUGUGAAAUAAAUAUUAAGAAAAAUUAAUUAGAAUGAGCUCAGCUUUAGGCACAAAUUUUCCUCGUCUUUGAAUCGAUCCUCGAAAUUGGAUGAACUCCUCUUUUCUAAUAAGCUAGUUAUAGCUACCAAGGACGCCUCGGGCACCAACUCUUCCUUGUGUAAAUUAGUUAUGGAACGUCCAAUAACUAACUCUUACCGAUGGAACAACCACGAAACGUUCGUGAUUUAGAACUCCGGCAGCUUUGCAUCCUAGAAGAGCCAAGCUCGAACCAAUGCCCUCAAUCGCGUGGGAUAUUUAAAUCCGGUUACUACUCCCCUUGACGGAACCAAACAGCAAUCUCCACUUGGCACGCCAAUGUGUUCACAGAAAACCAAUUAGAAAUGUUCCUUUCGGAAUUCCAACUGUACGUCUAAUCACACUAAAUCAAACGACAUCUUUUUUGACUUAGUGUUGAUCUGACUUUGUGAGUUGACAAAAUCAUACUCUUAAUCCGGAGAAGUAAUAAGUACUGGAAUUUUAGGAGUUAAAUCGCUCGGGUUCGUAACUCACGGGUUUUGACGAGGUUAAAUCUGACCUAAAGUUAAAAAUGGGUUUAGUUGGCUAAGGUUUGGGGCAUGUUGGUAUUUGAUAAAUUAAAUAAGGUAAAUGGGUGAAAAGAUGGGUGACGUGAUUGAUUAUAGGGGUUGGAAAAAUAUAUUAAAGUGGGGUGGUUGACUAUUGGGAAUGAAAAGAGAAUUUCAAAAAGAAAUUGUAAAUUAUGAGUGGUAACAAGCUAGAAAUUUUAGGAACUGAAAGUAAAGGAAACUAAAGACAAAUAAUAAAUUGUGAAUAGUUGAAACUAAAGGUAAAUAGGUGGUUGGCUACUGGAAAUUAAUAAUUUGAAGGAAAGGAAACUAAAGAAACAACAAUGCUACGUGAGAAAGGAGAGAAUGAAUUGAAAGAUAAAAACUUAAUAUUUUUGAUUGAUGAAUAAAAUGAACAAUGUAGCCUCUAUUUAUACUCGUGGCUUUACUAAAUUAGGAGCCAAAUAGUUAUAGAAAAUUAAGGAAAAUAUUCCAUGAUAUACAAAAAAAAAAAUCCCAAAAUAAUCUCCCCACUAAGUCAACAAAAACAAUUUCAGCUAAUUAAUCUUGGAAAAAUUUUAUUUUGGCCCUCGUUCUUUGCUUCUUUCUUCAAUCUAGCCCAAUUGUUUCCUUUUUCUUCUAUUUAGCCCCAAAUUGCAUUUCUGCACAAAAUUCAAUAUAAACAUGGGAAAAUUAGUGGUGCACUCUCAUAAAUUAACCAAUUUAAUUACAUAAAAUAUGAAAUUUUAGCAUUUAAUCAGCUGGUCAGGGAACUAGGCUUUACAAUCUUCCGCCUAUUCCAUUACUGGUCAGGGAACUAGGACUUGCAGUCUUCCACCUAUUCCAAUGCUGGUCAGGGAACUAGGUUUUAUAAUCUUCCGCCUAUUCCACUGCUGGUCAGGGAACUAGGACUUGCAGUCUUCCACCUAUUCCACUGCUGGUCAGGGAACCAGGUUUUACAAUCUUUUGCCUAUUCCACUACUGGUCAGGGAACUAGGACUUGCAGUCUUCCACCUAUUCCACUGCUGGUCAAGGAACUAGGUUUUAUAAUCUUUCGCCUAUUCCACUGCUGUUCAAGGAGCUAGGACUUACAGUCUUCCACCUAUUCCACUGCUGGUCAGGGAAAUAGGUUUUACAAUCUUUCGCCUAUUCCACUGCUGUUUAGGGAGCUAGGACUUACAGUCUUCCACCUAUUCCACUGCUGGUCAGGGAACUAGGUUUUACAAUCAUUCGUCUAUUCCACUGCUGUUCAGGGAGCAAGGACUUACAGUCUUCCACCUAUUCCACUGCUUUAGAAUAUUCUAUUGCAACCAGCCAUUAAUCUUGAUACCGUAAAAGAUGAUGACUGGAUAUUAAGUUGUGGCUUGUAUACCGUAAAAUUUUUACCCAAUUUUAAUGCAUCUGAAAAACCAAUUGAAGGUGAUAUUGAUGAGUUGAAAUAUUUGAUGAACUACAUCGUCAAUAUGCCAUUCGAAUCUGUUAUCCAAAAUUAUGAAAAUUUCAAUAUGCUGAAUGAAUUAUUAUUAUUUCUUAACCAGCUCAAAUUUCAAAUCUUGUAAGUUAUCUUUCAUAUAUCUAUUUUAAAGUUCGAUAACUCAUAUGAUUUACUUAAUUAAUUUCAUAAUUUUUUAUUUACUUAUUUUCCUAUGUCCAAAUGGAUAGGAAAUACAUGAGUCCCGCGUUUCUAUUGGAUACGCCUUUAUUUUGGAGACCUGUUGAUAAGUUCCAUUUUAUUAUAAAUCUGGAUCACAUGGUGAAGUGUGAAGAGAUUUGGUGGGGUAAUCUUAACAAAUGCCUAAAUAUGUUGCAAAAGAAAUAUUCAUAUGAUUGGGUGUUUGUAACACCCCUUACCCGUAUUUGACACCGGAAUAGGGUCUGAGGCAUUACCAGAACACAUACACUUAUAAACAUGUUAAACCGAGUUAUAAAAUUUUAUUCAAAUUUAAACUCUUCAAAUUUUUAACAUGCUUUUAUAAAUCUUCACGUUAUAACUUCAAAAUACUAUAUUCGUAACAAAUUGGGCUUUUGAGACCCAAUACAUACUCAUGCUAUUCAAUACUUCAUUUCCAUUUCAUUUAAUUCACGAUUCUCAUGUUCACGAUUCAAUUCAAUUUCUCAAUCCAAUAUACAUUUCAAUACCACAAUAAUUUAUUUAAUUCAAAUCAUAUCAUUUGCAAUUUCCAUUUAAUUCACGUACAGUUCAAUUUCAUUAAGUUCAAUACUAAUACAUAUUUAUCGUUUAACUUAACGUCCCCUUUUUGCGUCAUUUUACACUUCAAGCAUGAGCUUAGUAUUUCAUUUCCUUUCCACUCUCGUUUCCUAUGCAUAUCACACAAGAUAUAAACAUUACACUCAACCAUAGUCGCAAGCUAGUCUUUUUUUGAAGACUAACCACAUGAUAAACCAUUUUAAUAAAGAUUACAAACUUUAAACCUUACCACCCUUUUAUGAUCACAAGCAUAUUUCCAUCUAGGAAUUUACCAUCUCAAUGCAUAAUUUUAAAAAUUUAAUGUGGCGUAAUCCAGCCACAACUUGGCCAAAGCCUAAGCAUACACACCAAAUAUGUUAGCCAAAUAAACAUAUAGUAUAAGCGUUAUAAGCAUGGAUAAGCACCACAUUUAUUUAUGUAUCAAACUUACCAACAUGAGUUAAUUCAUAAACCAUUUCUGACAUUGCUACAUACCAAAUCAUAUACCAAGUAUACCACAUACACAUACUAUGAAACUUUAUUUUCUCAUAUGAACUUUAACCAUAACUAAUAAUGCACAAUUAUAAACAUCAUUUCUUUUCAAUCGUUUAUCGAUUAUAAUCGAGCAUAUGGCCAAUUAUACACAAAUAAUUAAUAUGUUCUUCCAAUUUUUCUCCUCUUCCUCCUCUCCAUUCCACAUCCUUAAUGUACAUAACACUCUUAGAAAUAACAUUUUCUAUAGUUUCACUAUUCACUUAAAUGUAUACUUAAAAUUGUUUCUCCAAGUCAGAGUCACUAAAUUAUUUUUACCCAAAGCUAUAGAGCUCCAAAUUAAGAACUAUUAAUUUUCCCCAAAACUAGAUUCACAUAUCUUCUUACCAUAAAAUUUUCAGAAUUUUUGGUUUAGCCAAAUAGUACAGUUUAUUCUUUAAAUUUCCCCUGUUUCACCACUCGACAGUUCUAACCUCUCUUCACUAAAAAUUAAUUAUCCCAUUGUACAAAAUUCAUAUAUUGUUUCCAUUUCUUUCCCUUGGAAAUAGAUUCACUGAGGAUUCUAAAAAUAUAAAAUUUAUUCAAUAAUUAGUUUUGUACAAUUUUUGACUAUUUUCCAAAGUCAGAAUAGGGGAUUCCGAACUCAUUUUGACUUUGUCUAACUAAACUUCAAAUAUCUCAAAAUAUAUAACUAUUUUGCUUGAUUUGUUUCUUUUAUGUGAAAAUAGACUCAUUCAGAUUCAAUUUUAUAUAUUAUUCAGCCUCUAAUUCAAUUUCCACCAUUUUUGGUAAUUUUUCAAAGUCACACAACUGUUGCUGUCUAAACUGUUUUGUUGUUAAAUGUACUCUUUCAUAAUUUCACUUUUCCACUUUCAAUCACAAUUCAAUUCAAAAUUCACUUUUCCAUUUCUAAGUCGAUAUUCAAUUAAAUUCCACACCUAUAUUUAUUAUUCAAUUACACUUAGUCAAUUUCUCGAUGAACACUUCGGAAUAAUAAUAAAGCAACCACCUUAUUAAUCAAUGAUGUUUGGUGGAAUCAGCACAGAGCAACCACCUUAUUAAUCAAUGAUGUCCGGUUCACGUAGUAGCCUACACAUGUGACCAUUACCAUCUGAUACACGUAGUAGCUUGCACAUAGUCCUACACACGUGAUAUAAACUAUCCGGUAUGCAUAGUAGCCUGCAUAUAUUACUACGCAUCGACCUAUCAUUCCGGUACACGUAGUAGCCUGCACAUAAUACUACACACGUGACCAUCACUUUCACUUUUACAUAGUGGCCUACACACAGUCCGUGCCACAUAUGUGAUCAUUUCUGUCACUUCAUUCGUAUCCCUUUUUAUUCCAAAGGUUUAUUCGGGAAUUUUUCACUUUUUCUCACUUUUCUUUUUAUCGAUCAAUUUUAAUUUCUCGUCUUUCUUGAUCUAUAACAACACAUUUAACUUAUAUAACAUUCACACUAUUCAUUCCAGUCCAAAAAUCAUACUUUGGAAAAAUUAUGUUUUUGCCCCUAAAGUUUCACAAAAUUACGAUUUUGCCCCUGGGAUCGUAAAAUAAUUUUUAUUCAAUUUCCUUGCAUUUUAGGCCUAGCCGAACCAUUUUCAUAACUAUAGCAGUCCACAAUACUCACUUAUCCACACACUUGUGACAUAUUUUAUAACUUUUACAAAUUAAUCCUUUUAGACAUUUUCAUCGAAAAUCAAUUAGUAAAAGACGUUCAUCACACCCCAAACAUUCAUAUUCUUCCAUAAAACAUCAAAAUAAAUGCAUAUAAUUCAUGGGUAAAUUUUUAAACACAAACCCUAGUUCAAAAUAAUGGUAGAAAUAGCUAGAUCUUGUUACGAGGAUUUCAAAAACGUAAAAAAUUAAAAACGGGGCAAGGAUGGACUUACUAUUGAGCUUGGAAGCUUGAAAACCCUAACCAUGGCUUCCCCCUUGCUAAAUGCCCUUAAUGAAAAACUUUGUAAACAUGCCUAGCCAUGCCCAUUCUUGUCCACCAAUUUAACCAAUGGUCUAAUUACCAUAUAAAGACCUCCAAUUUAAAAUUUCAUAACAAUUGGAGACCUCUAACAUAUAGAACUCAACUUUUACACUUUUUACAAUUUAGUCCUUUUGACUGAAUUGAGUGCCCAAACGUCAAAAUUUUUUAACGAAAUUUUCACGAAAUCAUUUUGUGAAAUCAUAGACCAUAAAAAUAUAAUGAAAAUAAUUUUUUUCUCAUCGAAUUUGUGGUCCGAAAACCACUAUUCCAACUAUCCCCAAAUUCGGGUUGUUACAGUGUUGGCGGUGAAACAUGAUUCGGUGCUUAAAUCUAUAUUCUAGAAUGCAGAAUCUAGUUGUCCAACCAAUUCCUAUCCCUCUGUAGUACGGUACUUCUCUAAUAUUUACCGUCAUUACAUAGACAAUAUAACACCAAAAGUAAUAUUUUAAUGUUUUUUAUUAUUAUGAUAUUAUAUUUACUUUUGUUAUUAAUUUUACUUAAAUUUUUUAUUUUAUAGAUUAAUAUCAUUAACAUUGAGAAUAAAUUGAGUAGGCAACUGCCAGAACUGUAUCUUCAUCUAUUUAAAGAUUUAAUUAAUUAUGCAAUAAGCAAUAAAAGUAGGUAAGGAAUAUAAAAAAAAUUAUAUUAUCAUUGUAAAAUUGUUUUUUAAUUCAUAUUAAAUAAAUAUUGUUAUUUUAAUGUCUUGAUAUAGACACUCAGUUUUUUGAAAUAAAUUAUUUUUAAAACUAUAUGCAAUAAGCAAUAAAUCUCGUAUUUUCUUUUCUUUCUCGUAAUCACGUGAUUUUUUUAUUCUUUUCUUUUUCCUACUUCUAGUCCAAAAUUUGAGGUGUGACAGUUUUUAAAUAUAUUGAAAGAGAAAACCAACUUCCUUACCUUUCAUAUAUUUUCAGAAAUAAUUAAUUUCAAAAAAACUGGAUGCCUAUAUCAAAACAUUAAAAUAAUAAUAUUAAUUUAAUAUGAAUCAAAAAAAUAAUUUUACAAUGACAAAAUAAUUUUUCUAUAUUUGUUACCUAAUUUUAUUGCUUAUUGCCUAAUUAAUUAAACCUUCAAAUAGAUGAAGAUACAAUUCUGGCAGUUGCCUACUCAACUUAUUCUAAAUGUUAAUAAUGCUAAUCUAUAAAAUAAACAAUUUAAGUAAAAUUUAAUAAAAAAAGUAAAUAGAAUAACAUAAUAAAAAAUAUUGAAAUCUUACUUUUAGUGUUAUAUUGUCAUUGUAAUGACGGUAAACAUUAGAGCAGUACCGGAUCACGCUUCACUGCCAACACCCAAUCAUAUGAAUAUUUCUUUUGCAAUAUAUUUAGGCAUUUGUCAAGAUUACGCCACCAAAUCUCUUCACGCUUCAUCAUGUGAUCCAGAUUUAUAAUAAAAGAGAACUUAUCAACAGGUCUCCAAAAUAAAGAUGCAUCUAGUAAAAACGCGAGACUCGUGUAUUCCCUAUCCAUUUGGACAUAGGGAAAUAUGUAAACAAAAAAUUAUAAAAUUAAUGAAGUAAAACAUAUGAGUUAUCGAACUUUAAAAUAAAUAUAUGAAAGAUAACUUAAAAGUUUUAAAAUUUGAGCUGGUUAACAGACAAUGAUAAUUCAUUCGACAUAUUGAAAUUCUCAUAAUUUUGGAUAACAGAUUCAAAUGGCAUAUUGACGAUGUAGUUCAUCAAAUAUUUCAACUCAUCAAUAUCACCUUCCAUUAGUUGGUCAGAUGCAUUCAAAUUGGGUAAAAACUUUAACUCCACCGAAAUUAGUGAUGAAUAUAAACUUUAUUGGAUCUUGCGUGUAAACGCUCUUAUUAUUUUUAGCCCAUAUACAAGCCACAUCUUUUAAGAUCUUAAUGAUAUCCUCACUAAUGUAAUUGAACCAUUCACGUUGAUUUCGGUUACUAUUUCCCUACCUCUCCAUCUUUUCACUAACAUAUGUUAUAAUAUUUUUAGAAUAUUCUAGUGCAACCACCCAUUCAUCUUGGUACCGUACAAGGUGAUGACAACUUAAUAUCCAAUCAUCAUCUUUUACGGUAUCAAGAUUAAUGGCUGGUUGCAGUAGAAUAUUUAAAAAAUAUUGUAAUAUAUUUUAGAGAAAGGAUGGAGAGGUGGGAAAGCAGUAACCGAAAUCAGCGUAAAUGCUUCAAUUACAUUAGUGAGGAUUUCUGCAAGAUCUUAAAUGAUGUUGCUUGUAUAUGGGCUAAAAAUAAUAAGUGCAUUUACACGCAAGAUCCGAUAAAGUCUAUAUUCAUCACUAAUUUCGGUGGGGGUAAAGUUUUUACCCAAUUUUAAUGCAUCUGAAAUACCAAUGGAAGGUGAUAUUAAUGAGUUGAAAUAUUUGAUGAACUAUAUCGUCAAAUUGCAUUCGAAUCUAUUAUCCAAAAUUCUGAGAAUUUCAAUAUACCGAAUGAAUUAUCAUUAAUUCUUAACCAGCUCAAAUUUCAAAACUUGUGAGUUAUCUUUUAUAUAUUUAUUUUAAAGUUCGAUAACUCAUAUGUUCUACUUCAUAUAAUUUCAUAAAUUUUUUAUUUGCCUAUGUCCAAAUGGAUAGGAAAUACGUGUGUCCCAUGUUUCUACUAGAUGCGCCUUUAUUUUGGAGACCUGUUGAUAAGUUCCAUUUUAUUAUAAAUCUGGAUCACAUGAUGAAGCGUGAAGAGAUUUGGUGGCGUAAUCUUGACAAAUGCCUAAAUAUUUUGCAAAAGAAAUAUUCAUAUGAUUGGGUGUUGGCGGUGAAACUUGAUCUGGUGCUUAAAUCCAUAUUCGAGAAUGCAGGAUCUAGUUACCUAACCAAUUCUUCUGCCCCUGUAGUACGGUACUGCUCUAUUGUUUACUGUCAUUACAACAACAAUUUAACACCAAAAGUAAUAUUUCAAUAUUUUUUAUUAUGAUAUUCUAUUUACUUUUGUUAUUAAUUUUUACUUAAAUUGUUUAUUUUAUAGAUUAGCAUCAUUAACAUUGAGAAUAAGUUCAGUAGGCAACUGCCAGGACUAUAUCUUCAUCGGUUUAAAGGUUUAAUUAAUAAUGCAAUAAGCAAUAAAAGUAGGUAAGGAAUAUAAAAAAAAUUAUAUUAUCAUUGUAAAAUUGUUUUUUUAAUUCAUAUUAAAUAAAUAUUGUUAUUUUAAUGUUUUAAUAUAGGCACCCAGUUUUUUCGAAAUCAAUUAUUUCUAAAAAUAUAUGCAUUAAGUAAUAAAACUAGUAUUUUCUUUUCUUUCUCUUAAUCACGUGAUUUUUUUUAUUCUUUUCUUUUUCCUACUUCUAGUCCAAAUUUUGAGGUGUAAAUACUCUUAUUAUUUUUAGCCCAUAUCAAGCCACAUCUUUUAAGAUCUUACCGAAAUCCUUACUAAUGUAAUUGAAACAUUCACGUUGAUUUCGGUUACUACUUUCCCACCUCUUCACCCUUUCUCUAAAAUAUAUUAUAAUUUUUUUUCGUAUACAGGGGGUGCCGGCCAUUGACAGGCCAACACCCAAAAUUUUUUUUUUCCCUUUUUUCUUUUUUGUAUACCAGUAUUAUACAAUUUAAAGAAAAUACACUGGUUCCAGCCAUUGACAGGCCACAACCUCAUUUCACUGUUUAUUUCAGGUUAUUUUGGUGAUUGUUUUUAAACUUGGGUUAUUUUUGUAAAUAUAAUAAUUUUUUGGACUAUUUUGUUAAAAUAGCCACAUAAAGAGGUUCGCAGAGGAUACAAACAUUCAACAUUGGAGGAACAAAAUCAGCAUAAGGAAGAAAGAAAAUCAAGCAACGAGUUGUAAAUGAAUAGAAGGGGAGACACAAAAAGAACAAGGGUUUCGGGGCAUGAUUGUGGUGAAAAUGAAAAGAAAUUUGAAGAGGAGGAGAGGAGGAAGGAAAAGAAACGACAGAACGGAAAUCGUAGCAACAAAAAGAAAACAAACGUGAAAGUCAUGAUGGAGAAAGCGGCGAAAAAAUGGGGAAGUGAGUAAAGUGUGGAACUAGAAAAACAAUUUUAUUUUUUUCUUAUUUUUAUUAUUCUUAUCUUCUUAUAAAAAAAAUAAAUUCCAAAACAAUUUAAUUAAUACCCAAUUUAUCAAAAACCCUCCAAAGGUUUAACAUAUAUUUUAAGGAGUUAAAAUUGUAAAUAAAAAAAAUACUUAAAAAGAGAAAAUAAAUUCCCACAUUGUUCACACCUGGACUCAAACUCUAGACCAAAGAUUAAGCUGCCAAAGACCUAGCCACUAACCCUGAUGGUUCAUUUUGGCACUAAAACGCAAAAAUCAACUUAACAGUCCCACAACCAACUAACCUGAAUAAUUCUAACCCAAUUCCGGGGUGUUACAUAGGCCGUGUAACUCACUAACUUGCACCCUAAGGAAAUUAUCAGAUGACACACGACCAUGUCGCCAGGUCUUAUAUUUCAAUCCUAAUCUCACUGAUUUACUGUGCAAAAAUUUAGACUUAAAAAUUUGGUUUGGGUAACAAAAGUAAAGCCCAUUUAAAAAUGGGUCGAGCCUCAAGUAAGCUUUUUUUGGCCCAAACCCGACCCGACCUAAAUUUGCAAAAAAAAAAAAUUAUUGUUAUUUCACUAUUAUAUUACUAUGUAUUAUUGUUUGGAUAUUAUAUUAGUCUUGUUUUAUUGUUAAUUUUGUUACUAUUUUAUUUUUAGAGGCACUUAUCUUAGUGUUAUUUAAGUAUAAAGACUUCUUUUUAAUUUACUUUCAAUUUGUUGAUAAACAUUUAUUUUAAUUUUUUAAUAUAUUUAAUUUAUUAUAUUUUUUAAAAUCUAUUUAUAUAUAAAAUAAUACGGGUGAAUCGAGCCGGGCUCGAGUUUUAACUUUUUUUAUCCAGACCAAGUUUGAACAAAAAUUAAGGCCUAUUUUUGGUAUCAGGUCGAGCUGGGCUGGGCUUAUAAAACAAGCUUGAAAUUUUGUUACAACCUGUCCCAUAAUCACCUCUAGUGCAGAUCAAGUCAAACUCGAAUUCUUUCAAACUUAUUUGAGUUAAAUUUUGGUAGAAAAGUAACGUUACGCUUUGAGUAAAGUCAAGUUCAGUCAAAUAACAUGCUAUAUUUUAUUUAAACUCGACCCACGAAUAAAUCUAAUGUUUCAAGAUUGGAGUGAAAUGGUUGAAUGUAGAGGUGAGCAAAAUUCGAUUCGACUCAAAAAACUCGAUAAAAAAUUUAAAUUUUGAGUUAAAAAAUUUAAGUUAAUCGAGUUUUUCAGAUCAACUCGAAUAAAAAUAUCAAAUUUUUUGGUUUAACUCGAAUGCGAAUUAUACAAUUUGAGUUAUCCGAAAAUCUGAUUAAGAAAAUGCAAAACUACGUCGUUUUGAUAAAUGUUUACAUUUUCUAGGUUAAAAGUCAAAACCAUUAAGUUAAAAGGCAAAACUAUUUUGUUUUGAUAAAUGUUUACCUAUUAAGUAAAAAGGAAAAAUCAUUAUAUUGUUUAUGUAGUUAAAUAAUCUUGUACUUCGUCUACUAGUUAAAUAAUUGAUUCAUAUAAACACAACAUUGAGCAUAAAUAAUAGGAUUUGUUAACUCGACUCGACUUGAGUCGAAUUUUUUUUACUUGACUCGACUGAAUACUCACCCCUAAUUGAAUGAACUCUAAUAAAAUACAAUAGAAGUUUAUGCCUAAUAAAAUUAAAUUUGUUAGUUUGGUAUUAGACUCCAAUUGAAAUUGCUUUUAAAAGAAAAUGUUUUAAAAUUGUUGAGGCACUUGUAAGAGCAAUGACACAAAGUAUUUACAAUUAUGUUGAUAACUGCCCAUGGUUUUAUAAUUUGGCAUAUUUGAAGUUAGCAAUUUUUUGAAACAAUAUAGUUGGGCCAUGAAUUAGUUGAUAUUAUGGACAUGUAUUAGUCCAUAUUUGAAGAUUGAUAUUAUGAAGCAACAAAUUUUUAAAGAUUGGAUUUAUUUAAAUCAAGCAAAUUGGAUCUACUAUUUUGUGGAGAUUGAUUUGAAUGGCUUCAAAACAUAUCUUAGAGAUUUUUUAUUUAAAUCAACUAAAUAAUAUUUUUAUAACACUUAAUUAAAUCAAAUAAUUAAUCUAUAUGCAAUUAAAUUAAUAUGGGAAGUCACUAAAUUAAAAAUGGAUAACGACUACUUACCCAUUUGAAGUUGUGAGAAGACCAUUGCAAUUGAGUUUCAACACAGUAGGCUAAUUCCUAGAUUGCUACAACUAAGUGGAUAUAAAGCUUUUAAUAAAAUCCUCAAAAUUGUUUCUAAAAAAUUUAAUGGUUUUCUAAUUGUGACAUGGGAAGCAACACCAAAACAUAGGGAGUUCAUCUCACAUUUAUGUUUCUAUUCUGUCUAAGGUUUUAGUGAGUGUGAUUGUGGGUAAGGAAUGGUAGUUGCCUCUGGCUAUCAGACUCAUUGAGCUAAAUACUACAUAUGAUGGUGAUAGAUGGGGCUAGAUUAGUUGGACUCUGGGUUGAUUUUAUAUGUGGUAUUAAUAUUAUAUAUAAUUAUUUAAAAAUAAUCUGGUUCUAUAAACCUUAAAUUAUACUAAAUUUGUCCAUAUCAAUAUAUAAUUAACACAAAUUUGCUGCAAGGCAUUUGCCAUGGUGGAUCACUUGAAUAAUUCACAAUAGAUGACAACCAGCUUAUUGGGCCAAUCCCUCAAGGGUUGAAAAUUUGCACUAGCUUAAAGCAAGUCCGCCUUGAAAAAAACUAACACAGAGGGAAUAUAUAUAAAUAUUGAAAAUUUGCACUAGCUUAAAGCAAGUCCGCCUUGAAAAAAACUAACACAGAGAGAAUAUAUAUAAAUAUUUAGGUGUUUACCCGAACCUAAAAUUCAUUGACUUGACAAUGAAUUUCAAGGUGUAGUGUCUUCCUAUUGGGGGUUGUGCAAAAGUUGACAUAUUUGCUUUCUCUUGGUUUGAAUGGGAAUAAACUUUUUGGUAGUGUACUGUUGGAACUAGGACUUAUGUCCAAGCUUUUGUAUCUAGACUUGUCUGCAAACCAAUAGGAUUUGUUGACUCGACUCGACUGAAUACUCACUCCUAGUUGAAUGAACUCUAAUAAAAUGCAAUAGAAGUUUAAGCCUAAUAAAAUUAAAUUUGUUUGUUUGGUAUCCUAUAGACUCCAAUUGAAAUUGCUUUUAAAAGAAAAUGUUUUAAAAUUGUUGAGGCACUUGUAAGAGCAAUGACACCAAGUAUUUACAAUUAUGUUGAUAACUGCCCAAGGUUUUAUAAUUUGUCAUAUUUGAAGUUAGCAAGUUUUUGAAACAAUAUAGUUGGGCCAUGAAUUAGUUGAUAUUAUGGACAUGUAUUAGUCCAUAUUUGAAGAUUGAUAUUAUGAAGCAACAAAUUUUUAAAGAGUUGAUUUAUUUAAAUCAAGCAAAUUGCAUCUACUAUUUCGUGGAGAUUGAUUUGAAUUGCUUCAAAAUAUAUCUUAGAGAUUUUUUAUUUAAAUCAGCUAAAUAAUAUUUUUUAACACUUAAUUAAAUCAAAUAAUUAAUCUAUAUGCAAUUAAAUUAAUAUGGGAAGUCACUAAAUUAAAAAAUGGAUAACGGCUACUUACCCAUUUGAAGUUGUGAGAAGAUCAUUGCAAUUUAGUUUCAACACACUAGGAUGGGCUAAUUCCCAGAUUGCUACAACUAAGUGGAUAUAAAGCUUUUAAUAAAAUCCUUAAAAUUGUUUCUAAAAAAAUUAAUGGUUUUCUAAUUAUGACAUGGGAAGCAACACCAAAACAUAGGGAGUUCAUCUCACAUUUAUGUUUCUAUUCUGUUCUAAGGUUUUAAUGAGUGUGAUUAUGGGUAAGGAAUGGUAGUUGCCUCUGGCUAUUAGACUCAUUGAGCUAAAUACUACAUAUGAUGGUGAUAGGUGGGGCUAGAUUAGUUGGACUCUGGGUUGAUUUUAUACGUGGUAUUAAUAUUAUAUAUAAUUAUUUAAAAAUAAUCUGGUUCUAUAAACCUCAAAUCAUACUAAAUUUUUCCAUAUCAAUAUAUAAUUAACACAAAUUUGCUGCAAGGCAUUUGCCAUGGUGGAUCACUUGAAUACUUCACAGUAGAUGACAACCAGCUUAUUGGGCCAAUCCCUUAAGGGUUGAAAAUUUGCACUAGCUUAAAGAAAGUCCGCAUUGAAAAAAACUAACUCAGAGGGAAUAUAUAUAAAUAUUUAGGUGUUUACCCGAACCUAAAAUUCAUUGACUUGACAAUGAAUUUCAAGGUGUAGUGUCUUCGUAUUGGGGGUUGGACAAAAGUUGACAUUUUUGCUUUCUCUUGGUUUGAAUGGGAAUAAACUUUUUGGUAGUGUACCGUUGGAACAAGGACUUAUGUCCAAGCUUUUGUAUCUAGACUUUUAGGUUAAAAUAAUCGGCUAAAUAUCUCUAUUAGUACUUGUAUUUUAUGAAAGUUGCAGAUUUAGUCCCAAUACUUUAAAUUGGAUUUGGUUUAUAAAUUAUACUAGAUUAGGUUUAUAUUGGGUAGGACUUAGGAGUGCUGGGGUGAGCAGCUGGUUGGGGAUUAGGUUGGCAGUAGGCUAAGCCUAAUAUGUAACGCCCCAAACUUUUAAUUUUUGGUAUUGUGAAUGUGUGACACAAAUAUCUGUUAGCUUUAGUGGUUAAGUGCUUUAGGUGUGUGUCGGAGGUCCCAAGUUCAAGCCAUGACUUGGACAAAUUUUAGCAUUUUAUAAAUAAAAACUUAACCUAGCCUAAAGGGCUUAAGUUUAAUAGUCGGUAAUAAAUAACAAAAUGAGCCUACUGGUUUAAUGGUUAUGUGGAGUGUUUAAUUGUAUGAGGUCUUGAGUUCGAAUCCAUGUUGGAGUGUAGGCGUUAUUUUUGCACAGUGAUGGACAAGUAUUUCGGCAGAUUGGGAUUCUAGAGUGGUUGUAGGUUAGUAGGAUUAGUGGAGGAAAUUAAGGGAUAAUGGGAGUAGUGGUGAGAUAAUUAAGGGAUAUUGGGAUUCUAUCAAAAUCUUUUUGCUAAUUUCGGUUCAUCAAAAAUUCUAUUCCCUCUUCUCCAAAAUUUCUUCCAUCGUUCUGACGUUUAUUCACCCUUUUUCUGCCGAAUUUUCAUUGUUUCCUCCCUCUUUUCUUUUGAUUUCUUUUAUGCCUCCAUCGUACUCGAUGAAUGAACUCGCUCGAUUCGAUAAGUAUUCGUUUUGCCACUUUCUCUCGUUCCAUGGUUGGUUUUCUAAAAAAGGGUUGUUUUGGUUCUUUCGGAUUAGGUCAAAAUCAAGUAGCUGUAGGUGCUUUUGCAGAGAUUUGAAUGUUUGAGUUUUCGGUUUGUUGCCGGUAAGUGUUUAGGUUCGCUAUCGAUUUUGAUGUAGACGAUUUUCAGUUGUGAGUUUUCAUUAGUGAUCUAAAUUGGGCUCUAAUUAUUGAUUUUAAGGUCUUAGAGUGCUUGGGAGUGUAUUUGCAACGAAACGAUACCAGGUGUGUACCCGAAACACAAAAAUAAGAGAUUCGGCGAAAAGCCAAAAUUGCUUGCUGUUUGGACAGCAACAGUAGGCUAACUUUGAAAAAUCACCAUAAAUUGUGAAAAUUGAAAUAGAGGAUGAAAAAUAUGUGUGAUUAAAUAUAUUUGAGUCUAUUUUCUCAUAGAAGAAAUGAAGUAAGUAAAAGAAUUUGAUAUUAUGAGAUAUUUUAAUUUUAGUGAGACAAGGUCAGAAUGAUUUCAGAAUCCCCUAUCCUGACUUUGGAAAAUUAUUAAAAAUUGUAUAAAAAUAAUUAUGGGUUAAAAUUUAUAUGUUUGAAAUUUUGAAUGAGUCUAUUUUCAAGAGAAAUAAAUGGAAACAUCAUUCGAAUUCUGUACGAGAAGAUAAUUAAUUUUUAGUGCAGAAAGGUUGAAAUUGUCAAAUAACAGAAUAUGAAAAAAUUUAAAGAAUAAACUGUACUUAUUGGCUACACCAAAAAUUUUGAAAAUUUUAUGGUAAGAAGAUAUACAAGUCUAGUUUUACAGAAAAUUUACAGAUAUUAAUUUGGAAGUUUUUAGCUUAAGAUACAAAUAAUUUAGUAACAGCGACUCAAGUAGAUAGCUUUGAAGGGUUAUAUAGGUAAAUAGUAAAAAACACAUAUGAAUAAAUAACUAGCACGGGUUACAUUAAAAUGGAUCAUGAGGCCAAGUCCAAUUUGGUUCAUGUGGGCCACACGGGCGUGUGGGUAACAUCAUGGGCUUGUAGGCCCAUUUUCACUGUUUGACUGAUAAGGUUGCACGGGUCGCCCAAGUCGACUGUGAACCUAAUGUAGGGUCGGUAAGUUUACCUAGACCCCUAAUUGACUGAAAUGACUAUAUGACUGAUAUGAUUAAGCAUGAUGAUGUCCCACUGAUUUGAUAGUGUAUGCCCUGUUUACAUGCGUGAUAUUAUGAUAUAGCAUGUUAUAUUUGUAUAUUGCAUUGCAUUGGGUUAGAGGAUUAUAAUGUUUGGAGGAAGUGAACUGAAAGUCCUCGAGCCUAAUUUACUGGUAGCUCAGCUGCAAACUACUGUCUAGUGCCGCAUUCGGUACUACUUGGAGUGUAGGGAUAGGUGGGUUGAUUAUAUCCCCACAUGGAGUGUAGGGCUGGAUGAAGAUGGUGUGUAGAGGCUGGAUGGGUAGGAUUUUUGUGACUACAUAUUUUUCACUGCUACUGAUACUGUGAUAGGCUAAAGCCCUACUACAUGACUAUUUUGUACCGAGAUGGGCUAAGGCCCAAACUGGACUGACACUGAUACUGAAAAGGGCUUAAGCCUAGAUUGUGAUUAUUUGUUUACUGUCUGUUCAUUUGUAUGGGGAUUACACACUAAGUUUACGUAAACUCACCCCUUCUGUUUAAUCUGUACAGGUAAUCCCCAGACAUAGGCAGAUCGGUGCAGCGGAGGACUCAAUGGUGGCCACACGACUUCUUUUACAUUGUUUUCUACCUAUUAAUGAUUUUACUUAUUUUUGGGAGUAUUUUGUUGUAAUUAUGGCCUUUACGAAUUUUGGUUAAAAUUUGGAUUUUAUACGGUUUUAUGAUUUAAAUCUGUUAGUGUUAGGUAAAACUCGGGAUUUCAAAUGAAAUUAAUGUUUUAUCAAAAAUACCACGAAUAAGCAAACUGUUUAAAACCUUCUGCAAUAAAAAUAAAAAAAAAACGUUGUGAAAUUGAAUAACAAUUUGUAAAUGAAUAAUGUUUUGAAAAUGAACGACACGAUUUGGUGACUCCAUUGGGGAUUGGUUUUGAGAGUCAAGCCACAAAUUGAUUAAUUUUUGCCUUUUUGUCAAAAAAUCAAAAUUUAUUUUAAAUUCACGAUAUUUCCUUUUGCAUUUUAUCCAUUAUUUUCAUGGUGUUGUCCAAAUCUGUCAAUGUGUAUCUGCAUUUUUGCAUUGCAUAGGUUGGGCAAUCUUACCCCUCUAAGUGGGAGUGAGAAACUAGUCCUUCGUGAGGUUUUCACCUCCAUGCAGGAUAGUGGAUCGCUUUCGAAAUACAUUCGUACCUAUGUCUUCGUGAGAUUUUCAUCUCCGUGCAGCCAUAGAAAAAUGUAUUCCCCUGAACUGAACUCAGUCUAUAUGAGCCUAUAAUGGGUGGGGAUCGAGGAAUCUGCUGGUCAGGUACCUUUUCUUUAGAAUCGAACCGCAUGUAGUAAGCCCUAAGAGUCAACCCUAGGUACAACCAGUCCAAACCCCUAGUGGUCACCCAAAUAGGUGCUAUUUAUUUUUUGCUUGCUUUUGCCUUGUACUAACCUGUUUUGUUGUGGUUAUGCUUGCAUUGCAUUUUCAUCAUAAAAAAAGAGGUGUUGAUUCACGUUCGAUUACUAAAUAGAUAGCUUGACAUGGAGAAUGAAUUUCUUGAUAAAAUGGAAAAUAAUACGGUUGCCCGAAUAUGUUCUGAGAAAGCACAAUGUGAGAAAGAUGAUAGUCUAACGAAGGAGCACACGACUUUGCUUUGUUGUCUGAGGAUUCAAGUUGACAAAGAGUCAUCAACUCCCUACCUUUUUUUAAAAAGAAGCUAACGAGUAUCACGAUGAUGAGUGAGCAAUGAGUCAUAGCCCGGAUCAAGCAAAAAGGAGCUAGUAGAGGCAUCCAUUAGAAAAUUUGCAAGAUUUAUCUUAACAUCCAGAUGAAGAAAAAGAUUGAUGUCUUCGCCUGGAGUAUGAGGGCAAAGCCGUAUAUAUAUCCACUUUAUGUAAUGAGAUUUGUUUUCUAGUAAAGUUGUUCUAAUAGAAUUGAACCAAGAAUCAACGUCUCUUUUUUGCAUUCAUUUCCUGCAUUUGCAUUACAUUACAUUAUAUGCAUUAAAGUCCACCAAAAGAUCCUAAUUGAGUGAAAUUAUUUCAGUUAAUCUGGAAAUCAGAAAAACCUACUAACCAAACAUUGUUACUGCACCCCAGUAAAAGCUAAAGGAAUGGACCAAAGGUUGGAGAGAUUAGAGCAAAUGGAAAUAUAGAUGCAAGAGCAAUUAACCAAAUUUCAACAAGAUAUGAAUGAUCAAAUGCUAGAAUUCCAAAGAAAUAUGAUAAGCCAAUUAGCCCAGUUAUUGGCUAAAGGGUUAGAAAAAAGGAAAUCCAGUGGUCCACUUUGGGGAUGAUAAUGAGGACCCUGCAUAUCCUCCAGGCUUUACCCCAACAAAGACCCAAGCACAACCAAGUGCAUACUUACAAAAGAUAACUGUUAACAUCUGAUCCCAAUACCAGACUAAUACCUCGACACCAGUGAAUUUUUCGACAUGCUCAGGUUCCAACCUAAAGGAAAAUCUAACUAAUCCUGUUGCCAUUGAUGACCUAGCAGAAAAAAAAAGGCAAGAGUGGAGUUCCCAAAACAAUUUGAAGAUCAUUACAAAAGGAAAGGGCAAGAGUGGAACUCCCAAAUCAAUACUUUAAAGGCCCUGAGGAAAAGGAAAAAUGAGUUGAAUAAUGAGAGUAAGUAUAAGAAGGGCUAUUCAAAGCCGAUUACCACAAGCCAGCCAAUGACGGUUACUACUAGCCAUCAGAUCCCCCAAGAAAAAAAUUUGGCACAAAGCAAAACAUUGAGAAGCUCCAAUUUGCACCAACCCCAAUGUCGUAUCGAGAUCUGUAUCAGAUUUUAUUUGAUGCACACGUUGUUUCCCCUUUCUACUUGAAGCCCUUACAAUAUCCGUAUCCUAAAUGGUAUGACGUGAACGCACAAUGUGACUAUCAUGCGGGAAUUACGGGGUAUUCUAUAGAAAACUACACUGCCUUUAAAAAGCUGGUCGAAAGGUUUAUCAAUAUGGGCAUUAUCAAAUUCGAUGAUUCCUUAGUAUAGAAAAUCCGCUACGCAAUCAUAUUGAUAAUGGGGUGAAUGAGAUAAGUGAAGAAAUGUUAGGAAACGUUCACAUCAAUGUCGCAUACGAAGAAACAACUGAAGAAGGGACCUUAUUAGAUAUUCGCCUUUAUCUUGGGAAUGUUCUAAAUAAUUGGACUGUAGAAGAAACCCUAGUAGUAUUUACAGCUUACUCAAAGUAAUAUUAAAAACACACUUGUUGCUUUUAGCCUAGAGGCAAUAAGAACUCCUUUGUGAAAUAGACUCAUGUCUGAAAGUCAUUAUUUUAAUGAAAUACAUGUUUGCAAUCAUUUUUGAGCCAAUAUUCUUUCAUUCUUUAUGAAUAAUUAUUUUUUAUUCUUUCAUUCUUUUAGAUUUUCUUCAAAAUCAUUCUUUCAUUCAUUCAUAAUCAUACUGUACAAGUAAUUAUUCAUAAAUUCAUAUAUUCUUUGAAUAUUCUUUAGUACCUACAAUAGGUCCCUAGAUAUCAAUGACAUGAGUGAUGCUGCUAUAGACUCAGAAUCUCCUUUUGAGCGAGACAUGGGUUUAGAAAGAUCUAAUGACCUUAAAGAUGACAUAGAAUGUAGCCUAUCUCUGGGCUUGUUAAUGAUGGUAGAACAGGAAGAGAAACAAAUUUUACCUCAUGAGAAGACAAUGGAGAUUGUGACCUUGAAGGAGGGAAAAGUAGUAAAAAUUAGAACAUACAUAGCCAAAGAAAUGAAGCAAGACCUUGUUGAGCUAUUUCAAGAGUUCAAAGGUGUCUUCUCAUGGUCAUACCAAUAUAUGCCCGGGUUAAGCACUGACAUUGUAAUUUGACAAUGCAUUAAUUUUGAACAACGGCACGAUAUCAGAAAUUUAUAGUAUGUUUAAGAUUAACAUCAUGAACGAUGUAGUAAAAAAAAUUUCUACUGGAGCAACACAUUUCUUUUUGGCGUAUCACAGCUUUGCUCAUUGAAGUUGAGUUUCCAUCUAUCAGAGUUUUUGUUGGAUUUUAUCCCGAUUGAAGAGGAAGAUCCAAAGUUUUUCAUCAUAGUCAAAUUUUAACCUCAGAAAGCCCUGUGAGAGAAAUCUAAUACCAAGGAAGAUUCUUUGCAUACAAAAUGAAAGUGGAUGGGAAGGAUCUUGUGUGGAAGACUCUGUCUGGAAAAGCAUUGAUUCUGAUCGAAAGGGAUAACAAGGACUUGCCUAAUCCUAUGAGUUUCAAAAAAAAUAAAAAAUAAAAAAAUAAAAAAAUGAAAAUGAAAAUGAUGAAAAAAGAAAAGGAAAGAGAAGGAAAAAGAAAAAGAAAAGAAAAAGGAGAGGCCAAAGCAAAAACCCGCAAAGGGCGCUUUGAGACCAAAGGGGAUUUGAGUUGAAAACUCGAAAAGGGCGGCUCAGAUUUUGAGCAAAGUGGGGCAUGGAUGUCAUCGGGCCAAUAUUACCGAAGGCUUCUAAUGGGCAUCGCUUAAUUCUUGAGGUCAUUAAUUACUUCACCAAACAGAUAAAGGAUGUUUCAUAUGCUAACGUCACCAAAUCAGAAGUUAACAAAUUCUUGGGAAAAAAAGAUCAUAUGCUGGUAUGGAAUGCCGAAGAGGAUUAUAUUGGACAACGCAUUGAAUCUAAACAAGAGUACGAUAGUUGAGAUCUAUAAUUAAUUCAAAAUUAGACACUAUAACUUGUCACCGUAUUGCCCAGAAAUGAAUGGUGCAUUGGAGGCGGCCAACAAAAAUAUCAAGAAAAUUGUGGGAAAAAUCACUGAAACUUACAAAGACUGGCUUGAGAAAUUACCAUUUGAUAACUUACAAAGACUGGCUUGAGAAAUUACCAUUUGAUCUCAUUGCUUAUCGAACAUCUAUCAGGACUUCUACCGUGGCAACUCCUUUUUUUCUAGUUUACGGGAUGGAGGCAGUUUUACUCAUUGAAGUUGAAAUCUCUUCUCUCCGGCUAUUAGCUGAAUUAAAGAUGGAUGAGGCUGAAUAGAUCCAAUCUCGAUAUGAUCAGUUGAACCUGAUAGAAAGAAAAAGGCUAAAAGUUAUUCAUCACGAUCAGGUGUACCAAAAACGAAUGAUGCGAGCCUAUAACAAAAAGAUUCGUCCUAGAGAAUUCCACGAUGGGGACCUGGUGUUGAAAAAAGAUCUUUCCUUUACAAAAAGAUUUUAGAUGGAAAUGAAUGCCAAACUGAGAAGGACCUUAUGUCGUCAAGAAGGCAUUUUCUAGAGGAGCAUUGAUCUUAAGUGAGUUGGAUGGUAAAAACUUACCUAAUCCUGUAAACUUAGAUUCAGUUAAGAAAUAGUUUACCUAAAGAAGGAGAAGGGACCAAGGUGAAAACCCGCAAAGGGCACCUUGAGUCCUUAAAAAAAAGACCAAGGUGAAAAUCCACAAAGGACGCUUUGAGUUUAAAAAAAUAAAUGGAAAAAGUAAAAUAGAGAGGCCAAGGUGGGCGCCUUGAGACCAAAAGGGAUUUGAGUUGAAAACCUGAAAAGGGCGAGUCAAAUUUUGAUCAGAAUGGGACAUGAGGUGAUCAGAGCAGCUCAAUUUUGAUCAUAUUGGGGCAUGUGGUGAUGUUGCUAUACUUGAAUCAACAGGAAAGGGUAGGCAACAUCUUGGGGGCAUCAACAAAGUACUGUAGAUCUCUUAAACACAUGUCAAACUCAGAAUGGUCUUCAGAUUGUUGUACAGAGAAGUUCAAGCUACGAUAUCUGGGGCACCUAGUCUUCAUACUAUUUAUAUUGAAAUUUUUUCUUAGAAUACUUCAUUCUUUUUCAAGAUACAUGUUCCGAGUCAUUUCUAUUUCAUUUCCUUGAUAAUUUAUUCAUUUCGAGCCAUGCUCCCAAAUCAAUUCUAUUUUACCCAUUGUUAUGAUCUCUUUGCAAGCAUGUUGCAUUAGAAUAAUGAUUAAUGGACUAAUAAUACUGUCGCAAGGGAAGUUUUGCAUAUUACUCUAGAAGUUUCUAAAUAAUACAAGAACCUAAAAUAGGGCUAUUGUUUAGAACGCACCAAGUUUAAAGGUUGAAAUAUCUAAAAAGGAAAAGUCUAAGAUUAUCCCUUCGGAUUUUAUUGUCAAAACAUUAAUUGAACAAAACGACAAGAUAUCAUGUUGGUGAUAAAGCUUCAAUGAACAAGCAAGCAAUGAUCAUCGAGUAAUAAAAAGAGGUUUUUCUUGGAGAAGAAAAUUCUACAAUUGUGCAUAAACAUUUGGUAUGACACCUUGGAAAUGGUGCAUGAGACCAAAGAAAUUUAGAUCCUGUAUCCUUGAAUUACAGUAGGAGAGGAUUGAGAAAGAGCCAGAUCUUAUACUCCUAAUUUACAAUGGGAGGAAGAUGGUUCAAAUUUUAUGUCCCAAAGGUACAGUUGAUUGAGCCUUAAAGAUUACAGUGGGGGCAAUUCGAUUAAGUAAGAUAUGAGUGUUACCAAAAGAAUAAGAUUGCGUUCUGACGUGUUGGUAAUAAAGCCUUAAUGAACAACAAACAACAACAACUCAAACAUUAAGGGAUCAUUUUUAUGACAUUUCGCAUUCAUGCAUACACAUCUAGUUAGGAGAUUUUGAUUCAUUUUGAUCAUAACAUCCUAAUCGCUAGGCAUGAAUAGGCCCAUGAAAUGGAUUCUACAGGUCAUAUUCCCCAAAGAACAGAUUGGUGAAACCACAAAUCCUAUACCGUUGAAGUUGCAGUGAGAUGGAUUAUAAGUUAUGGUAAAUAUUAUCUUCCUGAAGUUACAGUGGAGUAGAUUGAAGCCAUCAGCCUUAUUUCCCUGAAGUUACAGUGGAGCACUCUGAAGACAUCGAAUCUUAUUUCCUUAGCGUUAUAGUGGAACAGAUUAAAGCUACAAAUUAUGGCGAAUCUUAUCUUCCUGAAUUUGUAGUGGAACAGAUUGAAGCCAUCAGCCUUAUCUCCCUGAAGUUGCAGCGGAACAAACUGAGGACAGCGAAUCUUAGUUCCCUAGCGUUGCAGUGGAAUAGAUUAAAGCUACAAGUUAUGGCGAAUCUUAUCUUCUUGAAGUUGCAGUGGAGCAGAUUGAAAUCAUCAGCCUUAUCUCUAUAAAGUUACAGUUAAGCAGACUGAAGACAGUGAAUCUUAUUUCCCUGGCAUUGCAGUAGGGUAGAUUGAAACGACAAAUUCCUAUACCCCUGAAGAUGCAGUGGAAUGGAAUAGGACCUCUUAAAGAGAAGAAGCAUCAAGGAGUCGAGGCUCGGUAGGACCGGGCAAAAUUGGCCUUUUUUAGUCUUUGCUCCAUUCUCGUUAUACGACAACGAGCAAAGAAAGGGCAGCUGUAAGGCCCAAUUUUUGCCCGAGCCCACAACCAAAUAAUAAAGUAAAUAAAAAAAAUUAAAAAACCAAAUAAAAAAGAAUAUAUAAAAGUCCAAUAAAUUAAUGUCCAGAUGACAAAAUGCCUGUAUGGCCCAAUAAUACCCAAACCUGUUUCUAGCCCAAAACAAAACAAAAAAAACCCUAGCAGUAGCAGCAACCUUCUGCCUCUAAGCCGCAACUGAACCCAAGCCCCUGCGCGUGUUGCGCCUCUGCGCUCGUGCGCCCUUCCAAAUGUGUACUUGCAGCAAAGGGGCAGCAAAGAAACAUGUCUGCUAAUAACAAAAAAAAGGGAACGAAAUAUAUCUUUGUAAUUUUUAUUUUAUUUUCGGCUAUAAAAAGGUCGUUUCAAAUCUGUAAAAGGGGGAUUUUUGAGGAAUCGAUGAAAAAUAGAAAAAAUUGAUAUCGAGAAAUUUUAUAUUGAAGGUAGAUAUUUGUUUUUUUUUCUCUAUUCUUUUUUGUUCCAAUUUAUUUUUCUAAAAAGGGGUAAAACAAUAAGUAAAAAAAGAGAGAAGUUUACCUGGUUGCCUUGUGACGACCGACCCUCAGUCCCGCUCGUAAACGGGCUAAAAAACCCAAUAUAGUGCAGCUCUGACCACCGUGCAUAGUGGAAUCACGGUGGCGAUGAGGCGGACUGGCGGCGGCUUGGGCAGGGUAUAAAACCCUAGCAGAGAAAGAGAGGAAUCAUUUUUUUUGGAACAUAUGCUGCUCAUGUUUUUUUAAAGAAAAUUUUGUUUAAAUAAUAACCCAAUACGACGCCGUUUUGAGACAAGGGCACCAGCGCCAAAAUGACACCUUUGGUCUAUUAACCCGCGCGGUGACCCGACCCAGGGGAAGGAUCCGCGUGUUUUUACUUCAGUGGGAUAUUUGCGCAAAUGGUCCUCUGCUUCUAUAGCGUAUUCAGAUCAAUCUUUUUAUUUCUUUUAAAUUUGGCCUGACAUUUUAUUUUUGCUGCAUUUUAGCCCAUAUCACAGUGUUGCGUUUUGGGAGGAUGGGGAAUAUUUCCCAAUUAGUCCCCCAUGUUAUUCGUGCACUGCAUUUUCGCCCUUCAAUUUUUUUUUUCAUUUUUUCUUUCUGAUUUUGUUUUAAAACCAAUUUAAUCCUUAUUAGCUUGAUUUAAUUAGCUCUUUUUUUAAUUUAUUUAAGUAUUUAUAUUUCAUUAUUUUUUGAUAUAUUUAAUUUUUAAAUCUAACUCUAUUUUUUGCAUUUGUGCUUAAUAUUAUUCUAAAUCCAUUAUGAAUUUUUUUAAAUUUAUCUCAUAUUAUUAUUUUAAAUUUAUCAUAUAAUUAUUUGAAGUUUUCAUGUAUUAUUAUUCAAAUUUAUUAUGUAUUAUUCUACAUGUUUAUAUGUAAACUUAAUAUUAUUUAUACACAAUUUAUAUUAUACAUAUUAUACAUAUAUGAUAUAUUAUUGAUUCCAUAUUAUUAUAUUUUUCCUUAUUCUCAUAUAUGUAUAAUUUAUUUCUUUUUUUAAAAAAAAACCUACUUUCUUAUAUUUCACCCAUUUCAACUUUUUUACAUGUAUUAUCAUAUAUAUUAUUAUUUAUUUUGAGUUUUUCAUUCCAUAUGUAUUAUUUAUUUAGAUUAACAUAUAUAUAUAUAUAUUAUUUUAUAUAUUACUUAUUUUGAUUUUAUUCAUAUGUAACAUUUACUUUAAAAUUUAUUUAGAUAUUUUUGUUUCACAUAGUAUAUAUAUUUUUUAACUCCAUUUUUGAUCUAUUUUAAAUUUUCUUACAUAUUAUUUGUUUUAAAUUUUUGUACGUACAUUUUUUUGGUUUACAAUUUCCUUUCUUUCAUGUUUUUUUUUUUCAAAACUUGUACAUUGGGUUGGUGUUUAUGUUAAUUUGCUUGUUUCUUAGUUUUUUUAUUAGCUUUUAAAUAUUAAUGUUGAUAUUUACAUGUGAUGUGAGAUUAUUGCCUUUAUGUGUAUGGUAUUUGUUUACUGUUAUUUAUUGAUUAUUUGUGUUCAUUAACAUAUAUUGUGGUUUACGAAUUAUCACCUCGCGUCAUACAUUGUUAUUCCAUUGCGUUUUAUUUGUUCAAAAAGUUGUGUUUAAUAUGGUUUAAGUUUUGGGAAUCAAUUUAUUCAAAAGCUUUCAAGAUAACGCAAUACUCGGUACUUAGGAUCUUCGAGAGCAUUGAUCCCUAACUUAUUGGGUUCCAAUUUUUCUCAUUAAAUCUAAAUAAUCGAGAAUAUUCUUCAAUCAAAACACAUAAAUAAAACGUUCCCGAAGAUUUGAUACGUUGUGUCCUAACUUAUUGGAUACGGUAUUUUGUUUUCUCGAGAUGAGGAUUUUUUUCUAAACAAUAAUAAAUGCAAUAUUCAAUGUUCGAAAUUUUGAGAAAUCGUACAUUUACUUAUUGGGCUUCAAUUUUUCAUCUGACCUAAACAAUUGAAUAUCAUUUUUAAACUUCACUGCAUGAGUUUCAAAAAUCAAAAGACAAGCUCAUUUUCGAGGAUGCAAAACAUCACAUCCUAACUCAUUGGGUGUGACAUUCUAUCUCCCGAAAUAAGAGGGUCUUAGCAUGCAUUUUGAUUUAUACAAGUUUUUUUUUAAAUAAAAGGAUCGUAUUUUUAAUCUUUUCGAUUUUUUGAUAUUCGGCAUUAAGACAUUAAUUAAUCAACUAGGUACCAAUUUUAGGCAUAUCGAGGGUACUAAUCCUUCCUCGUCCGUAACCGACUCCUGAACCCGUUUUUUGGAUUUUGUAGACCAAAAAUUAUCAUUUUAGUAAAUUUAAACUUUUAUUAAAAUGAUUAAAUUAUGAGAUGAUUCGAUCACACCUAAAUAAAAAAAAUUGGUGGCGAUUCCAUUUUUGUUUUUUAAAUAAAAGGUCGACCCCUUUUAUCAAAAAAUGGUUUUGACAAAGAUAAUAAAAAAUGGUUAAAUAGAAAAGAGGAUUUAGCGACGACAUAUUUAAUGAUGACAUAAGAUAAUAACGUCUAGACCGGAUUUGGGGAGUUACAUUUAAUGGUAUCAAAGCCAGUUACAAAACUCAGCUAUGGAUGUGGGUUUUUAAGACGUGAUUUCUGAGAACUGAUUUUUAAAUGUUUUUAAUGAAAGUGUGGUACACCGAGUCUCCGGCAUCGAUCCAGUAAGUUUUCUGAAAGCAUGAAUUGAUUAAACUGAAACUGAAAUUGUCUUUGAUAGUAUAUCCUAAAACUGUUAUAGAUAGUAUAUACUAAUACUACUAUAGAUAGACUAUACUGAAAACACUUAAAAUAGUGUAUACUGAGACUGUAGUAAAACUUAUAGACAUUGAUUGACACUGUGAUUGAUGAAAAAACUUUAACACUUCUGAUACUAUUUUUUAAAAAAUAUCUGUUAAUAAACACUGAAACUGAAAUUGUAAAUUGAUGCAUAAAACUAUUAAUACCGAUAAAACACAAUUAGACAAUGAGCACCGGAGGUACUCGCAGACGGAGUACUAGAGGCCAAGGUAAAGGCUGUAGAAGGGCUCGAGCUGAGUCCUCGUCAUUGCACAGUCUGCCAAAUUUGGAUACGAGUGAGAUGCCAGUGUCGCCUGCUACUGAGACUAGGUCUCAAGAUCUCAUGGUUGGGGACGAUGCAUUGUCUUAAGCUAUCCUAAGGAUUUUGGAGAGGGUCGCUGGGCCUAAUACUGGAUUUGGGGGCCGAGGGUCAGUUACGAAACUACUCCAGUCCAAUGGAGCUGAGCUCUUUAGGGGUGUCACUGGGGUCACCUUAAUGUAGCCGAGUAUGAGGUCGAGUUUUUGAGACUGAGCCACUAUGCGCGAGGUAUGGUGGCAUCUGAGUAUGAGCGAUGUGUCUGCUUUGAGGAUGGCCUUAGAGAUAAUUUGAGAGUUCUGAUAGCCCUGCAGGGGGAGUGAGAUCUUUUUGCCCUGUUCGAAAAGGAAAAAAUCGCCGAUGAGGAUAUGGAGGUAGUCAUGAUCGGAGAAUGUCAGAACUACUUAUCUAAUGUGAUCUCUGCACUGGUGGCAGAGAAUUUGGUUCGUAAGGGAUGUGAGGUAUUCUUGGCCUAUGUAAGUGUUUCAAAUUCUAAGGACUUUACAAUUAAGGAUAUCAGAAUGGUAAAGGAUGUUCUAGACAUCUUUCCUGAUGAGGUAUUGGGUUUACCUCUGAAUCGUGAAGUGGAAUUUGGGAUAGAGCUCCUUCUUGGUACAGCUCCAGUGUCCAUCGCUCCCUAUAGAAUUGCCCCGAAGGAGCUUGUGGAGCUUAAGGCUCAGAUUCAAGAGCUUAUUUAGUAGAAAAUUCAAAUUUCUUAAAUUAUUUAGGGCUAAUAUGCAAAAUUGCAUGAAAUUUGAAAUUUACCACUAUACUUCACUCUCAUCAAUAUUUUAAAAUUUUAAAAUUUUUUAUAAGGCCAAAAUAACAAUUUCCCAUUUUAGGGGCCCGACCCCCUGCCAACCCCCUGGAUUCACCUCUAACCACGAAGAUUUAAUUUAAUUUAAUUUAUUUGAAGGGCAAGAGAGAUGGCAUUAAGAAAGCUGAAUAAAGUGCAUAAUCACAAUACUAUAUAGUUUUAACUUUGUCAAUAUUUUGGUAUCCAAAAAGAAAGCACCCAAUUACAUCAACAACUUAAAAGUUUUAACCAAAAUAAUUGACGGCAUCUUCAAAGUCUCUCUUCACCAUCAACAUGGGGCUUGACUCAACUCUAUGCAUCAACACGUUCUAGCUAAGGCCUAAAAGGGAGGGGAAAAAAUAUGAGAUUAGGAAUGUAAUUUUAUAUCAUUGCAGCGAAAAUUGAAGGCUUAAGGGACAAAAACCAAAAAAGGCCCCUACACUUUUCCAAAAAAAUAAUUGAACCCCUAGAUGUUAGGAUUGUAAUAAAUUAAACCCUUUUAUCAUUAAAGUUAUCCAUCAAAUUUACAAAGCCAAAAGUGCCAUUUUUUUUUGCUAGUUGUUUUCACCACAUGGCACUAAUAUGAAAGUAACACCAAUCAUGAGUAGUGGGAGAGACGAAGGUUAUCAAAAGUAAUUGGAGGGCAUGGAAGUCAAAUAGAAGUUACAACCUAAGUAAUAGUUUGGUCAUAGGUAGGCCUGCUCACAAGUCGAGCCUAGACAGGAUACUAACACAUUUCACGUUUGGCAGGGCCCCUAACCCAUCACAAAAUAUGGGCAAUAUCAUUCGACUAGACCCAACCCUAAUUACCAAAAGGGAGCCAUGAUUGGCCCAACACAACCCACCCAAUUUCAUUUUCUAAUUUUAUUUAACUGGCAGUCAAUUUGUUUACUUAUUGUUCAAGGUUAUCAUAGUCCUUAUCAAUAUUGGCAUUUUUAUUUAUGGUAUCCAUCACCGACAAAAGGACAUCAUUUUACUAAAUCUUCACUUAUAGGUAAUGACCUCACUCUGAUAUUUUAUGUAGAAACAUUAUCAUAGUCUACCAACUUCCUAAGUAGGAAUUUAAGCCUUUGUUUAGAUCAGGAUAUUUUAUUUUCUUGUUGGAACAGAAAGCUGGAUGCAACUAUUGAGGGUAAUGCAAGACAGAACUUGAGUUCUAGUUCUCUAAAGGUGCUAGGAGCCUCGUACCCAUUUAAAACAACAAAUAGAGCAGACAUUUUCACACAAUGCAAAUUCGACGUCUGAUUCGUCUACUCCAUACCUUAGCAUUACUCAAGUUUUAUACAGGAAGUUCCAAGCUCACUAUCAACUUCUUAGCGACAACAAGAGCAAACAAAAUACAAUGACAAGCAGUAUUGGCAAAUGAAAAAUCUAUCAAUUUACAAGGAUGGGAAUAAUUAAGAUGUGGUAGUGAUGUGAAGGGGGCACUAACCUUCUUUUAGAGCAAACCAAAUGUAAUGGCAAGCAACAUUGGCAAAUGAAUAAUUAUGAUGUGGUUGUGAUAUGAAGGGGGCUCUAAAGUUCAUUAAGAAAAACUAGAUAUUAGAAAUGUCUUCGGGAUAUGGAACAGUAAUGGCAGAUUGAUGCUCUGUAACUGCAUGAAUCCUUCCCUAUUCGUUGCACCAAAUAUUAAAUCUUAUGUACUCACAACCUUUGUAGAGAUGGUUGACCCAACCCAAAAUAAGCUUGUCAUUACCCAAAUGAUACAGAGUGCUUUCCAGUGGUGGAGCCACUGGAAAUUUUGAUGACCAUUUGACGAGCAAAUGUUUUUUAUCAAGCAAAUUAUAUGCCUCUAAAGAACAUUUAUAAAUGAAAGUAUACAGCACAUCGUCCACGAUUGUCGCUGAGUCAGACUUUAACAAAAUUUUUGUUCGAGGCAAACCCAUGAUUUACGAUCAUAGUAAUAAGCAUAAAGAGUAUCACUGUUAUCGCAGUGCACCAAAAUCUGAGAUCAGGAAAAAUCUAGAACAGGAACACCUAUAACACAUAUAUCGAUAGCUUCCAGAGGGGGCGACAAUGGUAAAGAUAUUGUUAAUUUCUAACUAUUUGUAUUUUAAAACUAUUUAUUAAUUAUGAUUAUUUUUAAUGAAUAUAGAAUAAUAUUAUUUUGUAUCAAAUGUUAGAGAUGUUUUGAAAUUUGAUCAGUCAAUUGAAUCAGGAGUUGAUAGGUAUACUAAUUUGAAUGAGACAAAAAAUCAGUUAGCAUGUUGACAUGAACAAAUUGAAUCGAAUUAAAUUGACUUAAUAUGAUGGUUUAGAGUAUUAAAAAAGAUGUGAAACUGUGAAGCUUAAAGUUUUGGGGUUUUUUUUUGUUUAUUCAGUAAUUAAAAAUGUUGAUUUUUUAAGCUGAUAGCUUUGUGUAUUUCUCUAUAUAUAUUUCUUUGCAUGUGCUUUCUGCGAUAAUUAUAUUUGUAGGUGUUUAGGUAGCCCCCAAAAUCCAACAUUAUUUUUUAUACGAGUUUCCUUUUGUGAUUUUCACUGCACUUUUCUCUAUUCACAUGGUUUCCCUUAAUUGGUUAGAUGCGUUGAAGUUGGACUCCCGACUUUGAUAGCAGUGAUAUUCCUUUCUCAAAAUUUUGACAGCAACUGGUGCUUAUGAUAAUAGUGCUUAAAAAAUUGAGUUCACCUGUCGUACCGAUCGUUCUAGCCUCAUUAAUGUUGCAUCUUAUCCUUCAGGAAAGCUAAUUCAAAUUGAGCAUGCCUUGUCGGCAAUCGUAUCGGGUCAAACAUCUCUUAGAAUCAAAGCUGCUAAUGCGGUAGUAAUUGCUAUUGAGAAGAAAUUGCCUUCGAUCUUGGUUUAUCUGUUAAGAAAAUACAGUGUCUGACACCAAGUGUUGAAGCUGUUUACAGUGUUGGGUAGGUUAUAGUGUUUUGGAUCAAGUGUAACAUAAAGUCUUUCUAAACUUGGACAGAACUUCAGGAAACAAAGACAUUGAUUGAUUCUUUUUCCAUUGAACAAUCAAUCCACCAAAGCUCUUUUAAUUCGCUCAAAUAACAUUCAGGUCACCUACUUGAGAAGGCCACAAUGAUUUCUUUUAUAGAGACCAUAACGAGCAAAAUUUGGGCUGAACGGGUUGCACGAGUGUGUGGGCCCACUUGGGCAGAGUAAUAAGCCUCGGGCCCAUUUACACCCAUUGACGCUGUUAUGACCAAUUUGGUUACCUAAGUCACUCAAGGUGACUGCGGACCUUUUGAGAGGUCGAUAUCUACACCGAGACCCCAAUAUUGGUAAAAUAACCGUAAUGCCCCUGUAGGGUAAAAUGACUAUAAUGCCCCAGUGGGGUAUAAUGACCAUAAUGCCUCUGUAGGGUGAUCGAAAUACCCUUGUAAGGUAAAAUAACCAUGAUGCCCCUGUAGGUAAAAUGACUGUAAUACCUCUGUUAGGUAAACUGACCGAUAUACCCUCAAAGGGUAAAAUGAUUAUUUUUUCCAUCGAGGUUAAAUGAUUGAUUUGUUCGUGAUGUAAAUGACUAAUUUGUCUGUGAUUUAAAUGGUUGAUUUGUCUAUGAUUGGUAUGACUGAUUUGUCUGUGAUUUGUACGACUGAUUCUGAGCAUGGCAUUCUGCAUGCAUGACAUAUUGCAUAUGGUUGGGAUACUGUUGAGGAGGAAAUACUGUACUGGUGGCAGCCACAAUCAUUGUUACUAGUGGCUUGGUCAUAUAUACUGUGACUGUUGCUGGCAGCUUUGCUGUGAUGCUACUAAUGGCUUUGUCUGAUCAUAUUACCGUUACUGAUGGCUUUGUGUCGAUCAUAUUAUCGUUAUUGAUGGCUUUGUGCUGAAUAUGUUACCGUUAUUGAUGGCUUUGGGUCGAUCAUAUUAUCGUUACUAAUGGCUAUGUAACGAUCAUAUCACUGCUACUGAUUGCUUUGAGCCAAUCAUAUUACUGUACUUAUGGCUUGUAGCCAUUUUGUUUAUAGCUUAUAGCUAUGCUGUUUAUGGCUCUUAGCCAUUUUGAUUACUGGCAGCUAUGCUGCGAUAUUGGUGUGAGGGCUAGGUGGGUCGACUCUAUCCUCACAUGGUGUGUUAGGUUGGUACGGGUGGUGUGUUGGCUGGAUUGGGAUGGGUUUGCAUACUUGCACCACACUCUGUUACUGUAUUGGGAUAAGGCCCAUACUCUGUUACUGUAUUGGGCUAUGGCCAUACACUGCUACUGUAUAGGGCACAGGCCCAGACUGUUACUGCAUAUAUUACUAACUGAAUGAUAAGGGAUUACACACUGAGUUUUCAUAAACUCACUCUUUCUUUUAUUUACUUAUAGGAAAUCCUCGGCCAUAGGCGAUUUGGUGCUGUGAGGGACUCGAAUGUGGCCAUACUACUGCAACUAUUUAUUACUAGUUUUUAUUUAAAUUUAAAGUUUGUGUUGGGUUUGUUAAUGUAAUAAGGGUAUUUUAAGUUUGUUUAAGUUUUUAAUUGGGCUUUUUCUUAUUUAAUUUAAAUUGCUAGUUUAGGGAAGACGAACUUUCAAAAUAACUACUAUUUCAAAAACAAAAAAGUUCAAAAGCUUCCGCGAUUUUUAGAUCACCGUUUAAUAACAAAAUGAUUAAUUGAUUUUAAAAAAUUUCAAUGACAACAAGUUUUACACUAAACACCUCAAUGUGGCACCGCCAGAUUCGAUCAUAACUCCUAGACCAGGUUUGGGGUGCUUCAAAUUUGCUCCAUAGCCCGAGGAUUCAAGCUGACAAAGAUUAUUCGAAAGCCACCGAACUUUUUUAAAGAAGCUAAUAAGCAUCACAUGGAUGAGUGAAUAAUGGAUCGCAACUCGGAUCAAGCAAAAAGGAGAUCAAAGAGGCACCCCUUUGGAGAGUUGGCGAGAUUCGAUCUCAGCAUUUAGAUAUGAGAAAAAGGAUCGAUGUCUUUACUUUGAGAUUAGGGCAAGGCUGUAUAUGUAAAUAUCCAUUUUAUGUAAAGAGAUUUAUCUUCUACUAAAGUUGUUCUAAUAGAAUUGAAUCAAAAUCAACGCCUCUUUUUGCAUUCAUUCCAUUCAUUUGCAUUACAUUUCAUUGCAUCAUGUGCAUUAAAUUCCACAAAAGAUCCUAAUUAUACGAGAUUAUUUUAGUUAAUUUGGAAACCAACGAAAAUCCACCAACCAAAUAUUACUACGGUAUCCGCUACAAGAUGAAAACAAUGCAUCAAAGAUUGGAAAGGUUAGAACAAUUGCAAAAUGAGAUGCAAGAUCAGAUGCAGGAACAACUGGCUAAAAUUCAACAAGACAUAAGGGAUUAGAUGCUAGAAUCUCAAAGAAAUUUAUUGAGCCAAUUAACGUAAUUAAUGGCUAGGGGGCAUGAUAAAAGGAAGAGUCCAGUGGUCAAUAGUAGGGAUGAUAAUGAAACCCCCAUCUAUCCCCAGGUUUCACCCCAAUAGGUGUCUAGGCCCAACCAGACGCCCAUCUACAAGGGGGACCCACUACUAACAGACCCUAAUAUCAGACCAGUACCUCGGCACCAAUGAACUACCUGACAGGCUCAGGUUCUAGUCCGGGGGACAAACCAACCAAUCCUAUAGUUCCUGAUCUAGAUAAAAUGGAAGAAAUAGAAAAAGAAAGGGUAGAACUGCCAAAGAAACUUGAAGAUCGGUACAGGUGGUUGAAAGAAAAACUCAAAGCAUUGAGAAUUCUGAUUACCAUUGCGGGGUUGAUGCGAAGGAUCUGUGUUUGGUCCUAAAUCUAGUACUCCCGCCGAAAUUCAAGACUCCAGAAUUUGAAUAGUAUAACGGGGACUAGCUAUCCUAAAGCUCACAUCAUUAUGUUCUAUCGAAGGAUGACAGGAUAUGUUAAUAACGAUCAACUAUUAAUCCACUACUUCCAGGACAGUCUGAUCGGGUUUGCAGCCAAAUGGUACAACCAAUUGAGCCGUGCCAAAAUUCACUCAUGGAAGGACUUGGCACAAGCUUUCAUGAAGAAAUAUGGCCACGUGCCAGACAUGGCACCCGACAGAAUCACACUGCAGAAUAUGGAAAAGAAGCAAAGUGAAAGCUUUAGGCAAUAUGCCCAAAGAUGGAGAGAGGUAACAAUGCAAGUCCAACCACCUCUUUUGGAGAAAGAAACCACGAUACUUUUCAUCAACACUCUGAAGGCCCCAUUCAUUAACCACAUGUUGUGAAGUGCUACCAUGACCUUCUCAGAUAUGGUAAUGUCUGGCGAGAUGAUUGAAAAUGCGGUAAGGAGUGGGAAGAUAUACGCGAGAGAAAGCGCCAAAAGAUCAACCCCAAAGAAAAAUAAAAAUGAAGUGAAUAAUGUGAGUAAAGGGUAUUCCAAAUCAGUCACCAUAGGCCAACCAAAGGCCGUGACCACUAGCUAUCAAGGCCCUUCGAGGCAAGAAUCUAACUCAAAGCUAAACACAAAAAGACUCGAGUACACACACAUUCGGAUGACAUAUAGAGUGUUGUAUUAGAAUCUGUUUGAUGCACAUGCAGUAGCUCCGUUCUACUUAAAACCCGUGCAACCUCCGUUUCCGAAAUGGUAUGAUGUAAAUGCCCAAUGCGAAUACCACACGAAAAUAAUAGGACACUCAAUUGAAAACUGCACUGCAUUUAAAAAGUUAGUUGAAAGGUUCAUCAAGAUGGGCAUCGUAAAUUUUGACGAUCUAUCAAGACCUAAUGUGGUAGAAAAUUCGUUACCCAGUCAUCCAGACCUAAGGGUAAAUGCAAUAAUUGAGAAGGGAGGAGAGAUAACCAAAAUCAAUGUUGCAGAAGUAAAAACCCCACUGAAAUGGGUUUCAAGACAAAUGAUAGACAAGAGAUUACUCAUUCAGAAUUUGGAGAAUAGACCAAAAAGGAUAGGAAGUUACUGUGAGUUCUACACUAAAGAAGGUCAUGAAAUCCAAGAGUGCGCUGAAUUCAAAUCUUUGGUGCAAAGCCUAAGGGAUAAUAAAGAUUUGGAAUUCCUUGAAGAGGUCAAAGGCCCAGAAAGGAUGUUGGGGAAUUCGAAUGUCAACGCCAUACCCGAAGAGGGAGUCAGGGAAGAGAAAUUAUCAGAUAUUUGCCCUUAAAACACAUGGGAGUGUUUUGAACAAUGGGAAUGUAGAAGAGAUCCCUGAAUUUUUUAGACCUAAUUCAGAGUAAUGUCCAAAACACACUUGUUGCUCUAAACCUAGGAGUAACAAGAAUUCUUUUGUGAGAUAGGUUUAUGUCCAAAUCUUUAUUUCAAUAAAAUGCAUCCUUGUAUCUCACUUCGAGAAAAUAUUCUUUUAUUGUUUCCAUUUCAUUCAUAAUCAUACUAUACAUAUAAAUAUUCUUAGAUUCUUUCAUUCUUUGGAUCUAUCUUCGUCCCUAUAGCAGGUCUCCAGAUAUAAAUGAUAUGAGCGACACUGCUAUUAACUCAAAACCUCCUUUUAAGCAAGAAAUGUGUCCAGAGGAACUUCGAGACUUUGAAGGCAACCGAGACUGUAGCUUAUCUCUUGAUUUGUUAAGAAUGGUAGAACAAGAUCCUACCUUACAAAGAAUCAAUAGAAGCCAUGGCCUUUCUCUAUGUGGGGCAGGAUGUCAUUGGGCUAAUCUCGCCAAAAGCUUUUUGUGGUCAUCAAUUCAUCUUUAUGGUCGCCGAUUACUUCACUAAGUGGGUGCAAGUUGAUUCAUAUGUUAAUGUCACAAAGUCGACAGUCAGCAAAUUCUUGAAAAAUCAUAUGUUGGUAUGGAAUGCCAAAAAGGAUCAUAUCUGACAAUGCGCUAAAUUUGAACAACAGCACGAUAUUUGAAGUUUGCAGCCUAUUCAAGAUUAACACCAUAUCGCCCUAAAAUGAACAGCGCGAUGAAAAAAACUCUACCGGGCAACGCCUUUCGCUUUAGCUUAUCGCGAUUUUGCCCAUUGAAGUCGAGAUUCCUUCUCUUUGAUUUUUUUGAAUCCAUUCUCGAUUGAAGAGAAAAGUUCAAAGUUAUCUGUCAUGUUCAAAUGUACCAAAAAAAUGAUGCAAGCUCACGAAAAAGGUUCGCCUCAGAGAAUUCCAUGAUGGAGACCUGGCAUCGAAGAAGAUCCUACCCAUACAAAAGGAUUUUAGAAGAAAGUGGAUGCCAAACUGAGAAGGACCUUAUGUGGAAGGCCUUAUCUGGAGAAGCGUUGAUUUUGAUCGGGAAGGAUAACAAGGACUUGCCUAAUCCUAUGAGUUUAGAUUCAAUCAAAAAAAUGUCUAGAAAAAAAAAGAAAAAGAAAAAUGAGAGGCCAAGGUGAAAACCCACUGUAAUGGGCUAAUUUUGGCCUAGACCUAAUAAACCAAAAUAAAAUAAAAAAAAUCCAAUUCUAAAUGUCCAUUUACAUUGGCCUAGUAAGGCCCAAAUCCUAACCCAAACCAACAUUAGCCCAAUACCCAACUACAAACCCUAGCCCUAAUCACAAACAGAGACCCCAGCAGAACGAAACCCUAGCAGAACAUUACUCUGCUAUUUUGAAUCAAAGGGAAAAAUGAAUUUUUUAGAAAAAAAAAUUGGUUUUAUAAUGGCCGUGAAACGACGCCGUUUGAGGCCUGCUUCAGCGGCCUCAAAACGACGUCGUAUAGGCCAAAACCCAACGACUCGACUCGAAAGGCGCUAGAUCCACGCGUUUUGGGUUGAAUGGGGAAUUUGCGCAUUUGGUCCCCUAUUUUUAUUUGAUUUUAAUGCAGUAUUUCAUGUAUUUUCAAUUUAGCCAAAAAAUUUCUUUCCUGUUUCAAUUUGGUCCAUAGACCCUGCGCAUAGAUCUCGCUAAAACGAUGUCGUUGGAUCAGUGUAGGGAUAUUUCCCUUUGGGUCCUCCUCUUGUUGUGUGCAUUUUGAUUUGGUCCCUUUUUGUGUUUUCUAUAUUUAAAUUCGGCCCCUAAACUCCGUUUAUUUUUCAAUUUGAUCCCUAAUAAGGUUUUUUUAGUUUUUUUUAUAUUAUUGAUAUUGUCAUUGUAUCAUUAUUAUUAUAUUAUUUAUUAUCAUUAUUAUUAUUUCUAUAUCUAUACACACACAUUUUUUUAUGUAGUAUAUAUAUGCAUAUUUUUUUAUAUAAUAUAUGCAUAUAUUUUUAAACUUUUGUAAAUACAUGUAUAUAUUUUAUACAUAUAUAUUUUUUAUUAUUAUUUUAUUUUCAUGACUUUUAUAUACAUAUAUAUAUAUUUUUACAUUUUAUAAUACACAUAAAUAUUUAUCUUUUACAUAUUAAACUUUUACAAUACAAGUAUACAUGCAUCUUCUAUAUUAUAUAUGUAUACGUUUUUUUUAAAUAUUAUAAAUAUAUAUUUCAUUCAUUUAUAUAGGUAUACUUAUAUAUAUUUUAAUAUAUGCAUAUAAAUAUUUUCAUAUUUUAUUUAUAAAUCAUAUAUAUAUACAUAUCUUGUAAAUACAUAUAUAUAAUUUAAAUUAAAGUAUUUGUUUCAUGUUAUACAUUAACAUUUUAUCAUACUUUUAAAGAAAAUAUAUUUGGUUUCAUCAAAUCAUUAAAACCAUUUUUGUUCAAAGGCUUUCAAGAUCAUGUAAUAUUCGAUAUUUGGGAUUUUCAAGAAAAUUGAGCCCUAACGUAUUGGGUUCCAAUUUUCCUUGUUAACCCUAAAUAAUCGAGAAUAUUUUUUUUCAAAACGCAUAAAUAAAAAUCACUUUCGGGAGUUCAAUAUGUUGUGUCAUAAUGUAUUGGGUAUGACAUAUUGUUUUUUUUAGAUGAAAAUUUUCAUAAAAAAGGGGUAAUAUUCAAAGUUUGGGAGUUUUGAGAAAUUGUACUCUAACGCAUUGAGUCUCGACUUCUUUAUCUAACCUAAACAAUUGAAUAUUCCCUAAAUAAGAAGAUUUUAAUAUGUAUACAAGUUUUUAAAUACAAGGAUCAUAUUUUAAAAAUCUUUUCAAGCUUUUGACAUCACGACAUUAAUAAUCAAUUUGGUACCGAUUUUGGGCGUUACGAGGGUGCUAACCCUUCUUCGUGCGUAAUCGACUCCCGAACCUAUUUUCUCAAAAUUCGUAGACCAAAAUAGUUUUUAAGGUGGGCCGAUCACACUUCAAUAAAGGAUCGAUGGUGACUCCAAUUUUUGUUUUUUUAAAGUCGACGACUAAAUUUUUGUUUUCAAAAAAGUGGUUUCGACACCCACAAAGGGCACCUUGAGACCAAAUGGGUUUUGAAUUGAAAACCCAAGAAAAGGGCAAUUCCAAUUUUGAUCAAAGGUGGGGCAUGCGGUAGUCUUACUACGUCUAAAUUAGCAAGAAAGAAGGAUGCUACAUCUUGGGGCAUCAACAAAGUCUUCUACGACUUAUAAACACAUAUCAAGUUCAAUAGGGUCCUUAAGAAGUUUGGGCAGGGAAGCUCAUGCUACGAUAUCUGGGGCACCUAUUUCUAUCUUAUUCAUUUUUGUAUUUUGACAAAAUACGCCAUCUUGAUUAAUUUAUUCUCAUUUUGUAUUCUAGCAAAAUUUGCUAUCUUGAUUUAUUUAUUCAUUUCGAGCUUUGCUCUCAACAAAAUUUCAUCUUUUCUAUUGCGAUAAUCUUUUUCAAGCAUUUUUCAUUAAAAUAACAAUUAAUGGACUGAUAGUAUUCAAGUAAAAGAAGUUCUGAACAUUGCUCUGAAAGCUUCUAAAUAGUACAAUGACCUGAAAUAGGACUAUUAUUUAGAACUAACAAAAACUAAGGGUUGGAAACAUUUGAGAAAGAAUAGUCUAAAUUGUGACUAUUUCUUUGGAUCUUCUGUUAAAUAUACCAGUUGAACAUGAAAACGGGGUAAUACGUUAGUGUUAGAACCUUGAUGAACAACGAGCAAUGACAACCCAAACAAAAAAAGGAUCAUUCUCAAAAAUGACAUUCUGCAUUCAUGCAAAUAUCAUGCAUACACAUCUAGUUAGGAGUAUUUGAUUCAUUCUAAUCAUAACACCCUAAUCUAGGCCUAUGAAAUGAAUUUUUCAAGGUCAUGUUACCCGGAGAAGGGUGUAACAAAUCAAUAAAAUUACAUAUCCCAUACCCCUAAAAUUGCAGUGGGACAGAUUAAAGUUGCAUAGCAAACCUUACCUCCCUAAAGUUGUAGUGAGGCAAGUUGAAGUUACAAGUCUUAUCUCCCUGAAGUUGCAAUGGAGUAGAUUGGAGAUAGCAAAUCUUAUUUCCCUGAAGUUGCAGUGGAACAGAUUGAAGCUAUAAAUAACAUAUCUUAUUUAUCUGAAGUUGCAGUAGAGCAGAUCAUAUCAAACCUUAUCUCCUUGAAGUUGCAGUGGAGCAGGUUAAAUCAAUCUUAUCUCCUUGAAGUUGCAGUAGAUCAGAUUGAAGCCACUAAUCUUAUCCCCCUAAAGUUGCAAUGGGGCAGAUUGAAGAUAGCAAGUCUUAUCUCCCUGAAGUUGCAGUGCAGCAGACUAAAGAUAAAUCAAUCUUAUCUCUCUAAAGUUGCAGUAGAGUAGAUUGAAGACGAGCUACAUAUCUUAUCUCUCUGAAGUUACAGUAGAGCAGAUCAUAUCAAACCUUAUCUCCCUGAAGUUGUAGUGGAGCGGAUUAAAACGAUGAAUCCUAUACCUCUGAAGUUGCAGUAGGUCGGAUUAAAUUUACCAUAACAAGUCUUAUCUCCCUAAAGUUGCAGUGGAGCAUACUAAAAACACAAAUCUCAUCCUCUUGAAGUUACAACAGAGUAGAUUGAAGCUACAAGUCGUAUCUCUCUGAAUUUACAGUGGAGUGGAUUGAAGCAACAAGACACAGUGGAUUGGAGCAAUACUAAGAAGUCAAGACCUGGCAAGACCAAGCAGAAUUGGCCCUUUUAAAGUCUUUGCUCCAUUCUCGUUACACGACAAUGAGAAAAGAGGGGCAGCUGUAAGCCCCAAUUUCUGCCUGGGGCCCAAAUAUUAAAACAAAACAAAACAAAAAAAACAAUCCAAUUACAAAGAAAAAAUAAUAGGCCCAAUGUAGCCCAAGGCCCAAAACAAAAAUAAACCUUAGCCUAACCACCUAAAACACAUCAGAAAAAAAACCCUAGCCACAUGAUCAGCCGCCCCAGCUCUUCCACAUCAGCAAGCAUGCGUCUGUGCGCGCCUCUGCCACCGCUGCCGUCAGCCUCUACCACCACCUGCAAAGAAAAAAAGACACGCAAAAUAGAAGAAAACAACAAGGAAGAGACAAAGAAGUAGCAACAAACAAGAACAAAGAAAAAAAAUAGAUUUUGUAAUUUCGGUUAUAGAAGCCCGAGUGCAUCUUUGUAAUUUUUUUUGGUCGGAUGGAUUAAAAAUACAAAAGAAAUUGGAACAGAUUAAAAAAAAAAGGUGCUUUUCUUAUUUUUUUAUUUCAAAAUAAAUAAAAAAUAGUAUAAAAAAAUAAAAGGGUAUUUGGUUACCUUGGAGGCUGUGGUCGGAGGCUCCUCCGGCCCUGAGAGCAGUCGAACCAGUGGGUUCGCCAAAGAAACCUCACCGAUGGUAUGGGAAACCGAAAGGUUCCUUUUUUUUGUUUUUUUCUUCGUUGUUGAAUUUGGGGAUAUUUUUGGACUGUUUUAACCCCAAAUUAGGGUUAUACUUGAAAAAAGAGUGAAAAUGGGGUUUUUGAAUUUUUCAGCCACCGCGGCGGCAAUCGACCGGACUCCUGGUCGGAGCUAAGCCAGCGUCUGGAGAGGGAGAGAAGGAGAGGAUUCUUUCUUUUUUUUUUUUAAGGAGGAGGUUUAAAAUGAUUUUUUUUGUAAAUUUUUUUCACUUAUAUAGGAGUAUGAAACGACGCCAUUUUGGGCCUAAGCUUCAGACGCCAAAACAGCGUCGUUUUGAGGGAGCCGACCCGAACCCAACCCGCUCCAUGGCUAGGAUCCGCGUGUUUUUUUUUGGAAGGGAUAAUUUCACUUUUAGCCCUUCCGCUUUUUAAUGAUUUUUCAAUCAAGUUUUUCAUUUUUUAAUUUUACCCCAGAAUUUAUUUCGGCUUUCAAUUUGGUCCACCUUGAAGCUGUGCAUUUUGGACGGUGGGGAUUAUUUCCUAUUUGGUCCCUCCUUGUUAUUUGCACGUUCAAAUUGGUCCUUUUCCUUCUUAUUUAUUUUCAAUUUGCCCCAAAUUUCUAUUUUUAAUUUCAAUUUAGUCCUUUUUUGUCAUUUUUGCUACUUUAUAAUUAAAAUUAAUUAAUUUAACAUUAUUUUUGUCCUUUUUAUUUGUUUACUUGCAAUUUUAUUAAAUUAAUUAGUUUCACAUUAUUAUUUCUAUUAUAUUUCUUUUUAUAUUUUAUUUACCUAAAUAUUUUAAACACAUUUAAUUCAUUUUAUUGUAUUAUUUAUUUAUUUAUUAUUCUUUCAAACUUUAAAUUAUUUAUUAUUCGUAUUAUUUUUAUUAAUAUUAUCAUUAUCAUUAUUAUCUUUUUAAUUUAUAUAAUAUCUAUUUGUUCACUAUUAUUUUUAUAUAAACAUAUAUACAUAUAUAUAUAUUACUUAUUCUUUUUUUAAUAUUUCAAAUACGUUUAUUUCAUUAUGUCACUCUUUUAUUUAUAUUUUUUGUCGCAUAAUCUUUAAACUUUAGAUUUCUAUUAUAAUGAUUAUUAUUAUUAUCAUCAUCAUUAUUAUAGUCAAUGUUAUUCUUAAAUUGUUUUAUAUAAUAUAUAUUUAUUUUUAUAAUAUCAAGUCUUUAACUUUAAAUUUCAGGUUCCUUUAUUAUUCAUUUUGUUUAUUGUUUUUUAGCUCGUUUGUUUUAUUCUUUAUAUCGUCAUUCAUAUAAACUCAUUUAUCAUUAUUCCGAUAUGCAUAUUCCUACCGUACUUUAUUUCUAUCGAUUCGUAUUACAUUAAUUUUACUCAAUAAAUAAAUCAUGAUUUUAAAAUAAGUAAAACUUCUUAUUUUAAGAUUCGAAAAGGUCGUAUCCUAACUUACGGGGUUUCGAUUUUCUCAAUAAAUUCAAAUAAACGAACGUUUUUUUAGUAAAAUUUUUAAAAUAAUCUCGGGAAUUAAGAAAAAUCGUAUUCUAACUUAUGAAGUACGAUUUCUUCCUAAAAUCGAGAGGAUCAAAUACCUUUCAAUAAAUAAACUUUUCGGUGUUUAUUCUCUACCGGGAAUUCAAGACAUUGUGUCCUAACUUACGGGACAUAAUUCUCUUUCUCGAUUAACGUGAAAUAUGCCCCUUCCUCGAAAAUCCUCAGCAUUUCAAAAAGGGAUCAUAUUUUAAAGUUUCAUUCAAAUUUUCAACCUUCGACAUUAGGACAUUAAUUAAUCGAGUAGGUACCAAUUUUGGGCGUAUUGAGGGUGCUAAUCCUUCCUCGUGCGUAACCAACUCCCAAAUCCAUUUUCUAGAUUUUGCAGACCAAAAAUUAUUGUUUUAAUAAUUUAAACUUUUAUUAAAAUGAUUAAAUUACGAGGUGACCCGAUCACACCUCAUAAAAAUGAUCAGUGACGACUCCCAUUUUAAUUUCUGUUUUCAAACAAAAGUCAACCCUUUUAUUAAAAAAAUGGUUUUGACAGCUAUAGGAUGUUCUCAUGGUUAAUUCUUCAUUUGAUCANNNNNNNNNNNNNNNNNNNNNNNNNNNNNNNNNNNNNNNNNNNNNNNNNNNNNNNNNNNNNNNNNNNNNNNNNNNNNNNNNNNNNNNNNNNNNNNNNNNNNNNNNNNNNNNNNNNNNNNNNNNNNNNNNNNNNNNNNNNNNNNNNNNNNNNNNNNNNNNNNNNNNNNNNNNNNNNNNNNNNNNNNNNNNNNNNNNNNNNNNNNNNNNNNNNNNNNNNNNNNNNNNNNNNNNNNNNNNNNNNNNNNNNNNNNNNNNNNNNNNNNNNNNNNNNNNNNNNNNNNNNNNNNNNNNNNNNNNNNNNNNNNNNNNNNNNNNNNNNNNNNNNNNNNNNNNNNNNNNNNNNNNNNNNNNNNNNNNNNNNNNNNNNNNNNNNNNNNNNNNNNNNNNNNNNNNNNNNNNNNNNNNNNNNNNNNNNNNNNNNNNNNNNNNNNNNNNNNNNNNNNNNNNNNNNNNNNNNNNNNNNNNNNNNNNNNNNNNNNNNNNNNNNNNNNNNNNNNNNNNNNNNNNNNNNNAUUGGUUAAGUUGGUGGACAAAAAUGGACAUGGUUAGGCAUGUUUCUAAAGUUUUUCAUUUAGGGCAUUUUGGUUAUUUUGAUAUUAAAAUGAAUUAAAAACAAAAUUAAAAGCCAAUUUUUGUCCAUCUUCAAGCUUUGGCUGAAUUUUUCAUGAAGAAACCAUGGCUAGGGUUUUUCAAGCUUCCAAGCUCGAUUGUAAGUCAAUUCUAGCCCCGUUUUUAAUGAUUUUUACAUUUUUAAAAUCGUCGUAAAAAGAUCUAGCUAUUUCUACCAUUAUUUUGAACUAGGUUUGUGUUUAAAAAUUUACCCAUUUAUGAUAUGCAUGUAUUUUGAUGUUUUAUGGAAGAAUAUAAAUGUUUGGGGUGUGACAAACGUCUUUUACUAAGUGAUUUUCGAUGAAAAUGCCUAAAAGGAUUAAUUUGUAAAAGUUAUAAAAUAUGUCACAACUGUGUGAAUAAGUGAGAAUUGUGGGCUGCUAUAGUUAUGAAAAUGGUUCGACUAAGCCAAAAAUGCAAGUAAAUUGAAUAAAAAUUACUUUACGAGCCUAAAGGCAAAAUCAUAAUUUGGUGAAACUUUAGGGGCAAAAAUAUAAUUUUGCCAAAGUGUGAUUUUUGGAUUAGAUUGAAUAAUGUGAGUGUUUAUAAGUUUAAUGUGUGAUUAUAAAUUAAGAAAGACGAGAAAUUGACUUUGAUCAGUUAAAAAGAAGAGUGAGAAAAAGUGAGAAAUUCCUGGUUGAACUUAGGAAUAGAAGUGGAUAAAAGUGACAUGUCACUAGAGACCAGUGUUACAGUGUUACAGUGAGUUCCAAGUACUGGGUGAUCUAGUAUGUGUUGCAGACACCUGACAGCUUGUAUGAGCAGGCCCGUGGACAUUUCUAGUGUUAUUGAUCAGUGGUAGCUUCGGCUACAUAUCAGUGGUAGCUACGGCUACAUAUCAGUGGUAGCUUCGGCUACAUAUCAGUGAGGCACUUAUGUGCUAAUUCUCUAUGUAUCCAUGUAUAUUCCAAGUGUUAAAUGGGAUUAAUAAUGAGUUAAAGUGAAUAUGAAAUGAAGUAAUGAAAUUAUGAAAGAGUAAAUUUAACAACAAAACAGUUUAGGACAGCAACAGCUGUGUGAAUUUGAAAAAUCACUAAAAAUAGUGCAAAUUGAAUUAUAAGCUGAAUGAAAUGUGGAAUUAAAUCUGAAUGAGAUAUUUUCACAUAAAGGAAAUAGAGUAAGCAAAAGAUUUAUAUAUUUUGAGAUUUUUGAAUUUUAGUGAGAUAGGGUCAGAAUGAUUUUGGAAUCCCCUGUUCUAACUUUGAAAAUUUUUUAAAAAUUGUACAAAAAUAUUUAUGGGUCGAAAUUUAUAUUUUUAGAAUUUAGAAUGAGUCUAUCUUCAAAAUAAACAAACGAGAGAAUUAUUCGAGUUCUUUACAAUGAGAUAUUUAAUUUUUAGUGAAGAGGGGUUAGAACUGUCGAACAAUGAAACAGGGGAAAUUUUAAAGAAUAACCUGUAUUUAUUGGCUAAGCCAAAAUUCUGAAAAUUUUAUGGUAAGAAUAUAUGUGAGUAUAGUUUUGGGGAAAAUUAAUGAAUCUUAAUUUGGAGCUCUGUAGCUUAAGAUAUAAAUAAAUCAUUGACUCUAACUCAGAUAGUUAGCUUGAAUUUACAUAUGGGAAAAUAGUGAAAGUAUGGAUAAUGGUGUUUAAGUGUGUUAUACACAUUAAGGAUGAGGAAUGGAGAGGAGGUGGAGAAAAAAUUGGGAAAUAUAUGAAUGCUUUGUGUAUAAUUGAUAAUACGUUCGAUUAUAAUUGAUAAACGAUGAAAUGGAAAUGAUGCAUAUGUUUGUGCAUUAUUGGUCAUGAUUUAAGCUCAUGUAGGAAAAUAAAGUUUCAUAGUAUGUGUGUAUGGUAUAUUUGGGGAAAAUUAAUGAAUCUUAAUUUGGAGUUCUGUAACUCGAGAUAUAAAUAAAUCAUUGACUCUGACUUAGACAGUUAGCUUGAAUUUACAUAUGGGAAAAUAGUGAAAGUAUGGAUAAUGUAGUUUAAGUGUGUUAUACACAUUAAGGAUGAGGAAUAGAGAGGAGGUGGAGAAAAAAUUGGGAAAUAUAUGAAUGAUUUGUGUAUAAUUGGUAAUACGUUCGAUUAUGAUUGAUAAACGAUGAAAUGGAAAUGAUGCAUAUGUUUGUGCAUUAUUGGUCAUGAUUUAAGCUCAUGUAGGAAAAUAAAGUUUCAUAGUAUGUGUGUAUGGUAUAUUUGGUAUAUGAUUUGACAUGAAGUAAUGUCAUGAAUGGGUAUUGAGUUAACACAUGUUAGUAAGUUUGAUACAUGAAUAAAAAUUGUGUUCAUCCAUGCUUAUAAUGCUUAUGUUAUAUGUUUAUUUGGCUGGCAUAUUUGGCAUACAUGCUUAGGCUUUGGCCAAGUUGUGGCGGAAUUAUGCCACGUUAAAUCUAUAAGUUAUGCAUCGAAAUAGUAAGUGCCUAAAUGGAAAUAUGCUUGUGAUCAUGAAAGGGGAGGUAAGGUUUAAAUUAUGUAAUCUGUAGUGAAAUGGUUUAUUAUGUGGUUAGUCCCAAAAAGAAUUAUGUUUCAAUGCACUAGCUUGCAACUAUAGUUGAAUGAUAUGUUUAUGUCUUGUGUGAUAAGCAUAGGAAACGGGUGUGGAAAGUAUGAAAUAAAAAGUUCAUACUUGAAGUGUAAAAUGACGAAAAAAGAGGAUGAUGAGUUGAAUUGAUGUUGUUAUUUAAGGUAAAAUGAUAUUUUCAUUGCAAAAUUGAGAAUUUCAUAAAUGUGUUAAUGAAUGGUAUAAUCAAUAAACAUUGAGUUAAAUGGUAAAUACGUAUUAGUAUUGAUCUUAAUGAUAUUAAAUUGUAAGUGAAUUAAAAAGGAAAUUGAUAGUGAUAUGAUUUGAAUUGUAAGCAUGAAAAAUUGUGAAAUGAAUGAAAAGGAAAUGAAGCAUUGAAUUGCAUGAGUAUGUAUCGGGUCUCGUAGGCCCUAUUUAUUAUGAAUAUAAUAUUUUGAAGAUAUGUAGUGAAGAAUUAUAAAAGUAUAUUAAUAAUUUGAAAGUUUUAAUUUAGAUGAAAUUUUAUAACUCGGUUCAGUACAUUUACAAGUGUAUGUGUUCUGGUAAUGCCUUGUACCCUAUUUCGGUAUCGAAUACGGGUAAGGGGUGUUACAUGUUUAUUUUAUACAUUAGCAUCAUUAACAUUGAGAAUAAGUUGAGCAGGCAACUGCCAGGACUGUAUCUUUAUCUAUUUAAAGGUUUAAUUAAUAAUGCAAUAAGCAAUAAAAGUAGGUAAGGAAUAUAGAAAAAUUAUAUUAUCAUUGUAAAAUUAUUUUUUAAUUGAUAUUAAAUAAAUAUUAUUAUUUUAAUGUCUUAAUAUAGGCACCCAGUUUUUUCGAAAUCAAUUAUUUCUAAAAAUAUAUGCAAUAAGUAAUAAAACUCGUAUUUUCUUUUCUUUCUCUUAAUCACGUGAUUUUUUUAUUCUUUUCUUUUUUUCUACUUCUAGUCCAGAUUUUGAGGUGUGACAGUUUCUAAAUAUAUUUAAAGAGAAAACCAACUUGCUUACCUUUCAUAUAUUUUCAAAAAUAAUUAAUUUUGAAAAAACUGGAUGCCUAUAUCAAAAUAUAAAAAUAAUAAUAUUAAUUUAAUAUGAAUUAAAAAAAUAAUUUUACAAUGACAAUAUAAUUUUUCUAUAUUUGUUUCCUGCUUUUAUUGCUUAUUACCUAAUUUAUUAAACCUUCAAAUAGAUAAAGAUACAGUUCUGGCAGUUGCCUACUCAACUUAUUCUCAAUGUUAAUAAUGCUAAUCUAUAAAAUAAACAAUUUAAGUAAAAGUUAAUAACAAAAGUAAAUAGAAUAACAUAAUAAAAAAAUAUUGAAAUCUUACUUUUGGUGUUAUAUUGUCAUUGUAAUGACGGUAAACAUUAGAGCAGUACCGUACUACAGAGGCAUAGGAAUUGGUUGGGCAACUAGAUUCUGCAUGCGCGAAUAUAGAUUUAACCACCGAAUCACAUUUCACCGCCAAUACCCAAUCAUAUAAAUAUUUCUUUCGCAACAUAUUUAGGCAUUUGUCAAGAUUAUGCCACCAAAUCUCUUCACGCUUCGUCAUGUGAUUUAGAUUUAUAAUAAAAUAGUACUUAUCAAUAGGACUCCAAAAUAAAGAUGCAUCCAGUAGAAACGCGAGACUCAUGUAUUCCCUAUCCAUUUGGACAUAGGCAAAUAUGUAAACAAAAAAAAUUAUGAAAUUAAUGAAGUAAAACAUAUGAGUUAUCGAACUUUAAAAUAAAUAUAUAAAAGAUAACUUAAAAGUUUUGAAAUUUGAGCUGGUUAAGAAACUAUGAUAACUCAUUCAGCAUAUUGAAAUUCUCAUAAUUUUGGAUAACAGAUUCGAACGCAAUAUUGACGAUGUAGUUCAUCAAAUAUUUCAACUCAUCAAUAUCACCUUCCAUUGCUUGGUCAGAUGCAUUCACAUUGGGUAAAAACUUUACCCCCACCGAAAUUAGUGAUGAAUAUAGACUUUAUCGGACCUUGCGUGUAAGUGAUCUUAUUAUUUUUAGCCCAUAUACAAGCCACAUCUUUUAGGAUCUUACUGAAAUCCUCACUAAUGUAAUUGAACCAUUCACGUUGAUUUCUGUUACUAUUUUCCCACCUCUCCAUCUUUUCUCUAAAACAUGUUACAAUAUUUUUUGGAAUAUUCUAAUGCAACCAGCCAUUCAUCUUGAUACCGUACAAGAUGAUGACAACUUAAUAUCCAGUCAUCAUCUUUUACGGUAUCAAAAUUAAUGGCUGGUUGCAGUAGAAUAUUCUAAAAAUAUUGUAAUAUAUUUUAGAGAAAGGAUAGAGAGGUGGGAAAGUAGUAACUGAAAUCAGCGUGAAUGUUUCAAUUACAUUAGUGAGGAUUUCGGUAAGAUCUUAAACGAUGUGGCUUGUAUAUGGGCUAAAAAUAAUAAUAGCAUUUACACGCAAGAUCCGAUAAAGUUUAUAUUCAUCACUAAUUUCAGUGGGGGUAAAAUUUUUACCCAAUUUUAAUGCAUCUGAAAAUCCAAUUGAAGGUGAUAUUGAUGAGUUGAAAUAUUUGAUGAACUACAUCGUCAAUUUGCCAUUCGAAUCUGUUAUCCAAAAUUAUGAAAAUUUCAAUAUGCUGAAUGAAUUAUUAUUUCUUAACCAGCUCAAAUUUCAAAACUUGUAAGUUAUCUUUCAUAUAUUUAUUUUAAAAUUCGAUAACUCAUAUGUUUUACUUAAUUAAUUUCAUAAUUUUUAAUUUACUUAUUUGCCUAUGUCCAAAUGGAUAGGAAAUACAUGAGUCCCGAGUUUCUACUAGAUGCACCUUUAUUUUGGAGACCUGUUGGUAAGUUCCAUUUUAUUAUAAAUCUAGAUCACAUGAUGAAGCGUGAAGAGAUUUGGUAGCGUAAUCUUAAUAAAUGCCUAAAUAUGUUGCAAAAGAAAUAUUCAUAUGAUUGGGUGUUUGUAACACCCCUUACCCGUAUUUGACACCGGAAUAGGGUACGAGGCAUUACCAGAACACAUACACCUAUAAACAUGUUAAACCGAGUUAUAAAAUUUUAUUCAAAUUUAAACUCUUCAAAUUUUUAACAUGCUUUUAUAAAUCUUAACGUUAUAACUUCAAAAUACUAUAUUUGUAACAAAUUGGGCUUCUGAGACCCAAUACAUACUCAUGCAAUUCAAUACUUCAUUUUCAUUUCAUUUAAUUCACGAUUCUCACGUUCACGAUUCAAUUCAAUUCCUCAAUCCAAUAUACAUUUCAAUACCACAAUAAUUUAUUUAAUUCAAAUCAUAUCAUUUGCAAUUUCUAUUUAAUUCACGUACAGUUCAAUUUCAUUAAGUUCAAUACUAAUACAUAUUUAUCGUUUAACUUAACGUCCCCUUUUUGCGUCAUUUUACACUUCAAGCAUGAACUUAGUAUUUAAUUUCCUUUCCACCCCCGUUUCCUAUGCAUAUCACACAAGAUAUAAACAUUACACUCAACCAUAGUCGCAAGCUGGUCUUUUUUUGAAGACUAACCACAUGAUAAACCAUUUUAAUAAAGAUUACAAACUUUAAAACUUACCACCCUUUUAUGAUCACAAGCAUAUUUCCAUCUAGGCAUUUACCAUCUCAAUGCAUAAUUUUAUAAAUUUAAUGUGGCGUAAUCCAGCCACAACUUGGCCAAAGCCUAAGCAUACACACCAAAUAUGCUAGCCAAAUAAACAUAUAGUAUAAGCAUUAUAAGCAUAGAUAAGCACCACAUUUAUUUAUGUAUCAAACUUACCAACAUGAGUUAAUUCAUAAACAAUUUCUGACAUUGCUACAUAACAAAUCAUAUACCAAGUAUACCACAUACACAUACUAUGAAACUUUAUUUUCUCACAUGAACUUUAACCAUAACUAAUAAUGCACAAUUAUAAACAUCAUUUCUUCUUAAUCGUUUAUCGAUUAUAAUCGAGCAUAUGGCCAAUUAUACACAAAUCAUUCAUAUGUUCUUCCAAUUUUCCUCCUCCUCCUCUCCAUUCCAUAUCCUUAAUGUACAUAACACUCUUAGAAAUAACAUUUUCUAUAGUUUCACUAUUCACUUACAUGUAUACUUAAAAUUGUUUCUCCGAGUCAAAGUCACUAAAUUAUUUUUACCCAGAGCUACAGAGUCCAAAUUAAGAAUCGUUAAUUUUCUCUGAAACUAGAUUCACAUAUCUUCUUACCAUAAAAUUUUCAAAAUUUUUAGUUCAACCAAAUAGUACAGUUUAUUCUUUAAAGUUCCCCUAUUUCACUGCUCGACAGUUCUGACCUCUCUUCACUACAAAUUAAUUAUCUCAUUGUACAGAAUUCAGAUAUUGUUUCUGUUUUUUUUCUCUUGAAAAUAUAUUCACUGAGGAUUCUAAACAUAUAAAAUUAAUCCCAUAAUUAUUUUUGUACAAUUUGUUACUAUUUUCCAAAGUCAAAAUAGGGGAUUCCGAACUCAUUCUGACUCCAUCUAAUUAAAAUUCAAAUAUCUCAAAAUAUAUAACUCUUUUUCUUGAUUUGUUUCUUUUAUGUGAAAAUAGACUUAUUCAGCUUCAAUUUCAUAUAUUAUUUAGCCUUUAAUUCAAUUUCCACCAUUUUCGGUGAUUUUUCAAAGUCACACAACUGUUGCUAUCUAUAUUGUUUUGUUGUUAAAUGUACUCUUUCAUAAUUUCACUUUUUCACUUUCAAUCACAAUUCAAUUCAAAAUUUACUUUUCCAUUUCUAAGUCGAUAUUCAAUUAAAUUCCAUACAUAUAUUCAUUAUUCAAUUACACUUAGUCAAUUUCUCGAUGAACACUUCGGAAUAAUAACAGAGCAACCACUUUAUUAAUCAAUGAUGUCUGGUGGAAUCAGCACAGAGCAACCACCUUAUUAAUCAAUGAUGUUCGGUUCACAUAGUAGCCUACACAUGUGACCAUUACCAUCCGAUACACGUAGUAGCCUGCACAUAAUACUACAAACGUGAUAGAAACUAUUCGGUACGCAUAGUAGCAUGCAUAUAGUACUACACAUGCGACCUAUCAUUCCAGUACACGUAGUAGCUUGCACAUAGUACUACACAUGUUACCAUCACUUUCACUUUUACAUAGUGGCCUACACAUAAUCCGUGCCACAUAUGGGAUCAUUUCUGUCACUUCAUUCGUAUCCCUUUUUAUUCCAAAGGUUCAUUCGAGAAUUUUUUACUUUUUCUCACUUUUCUUUUUAUCGAUCAAUUUCAAUUUCUCGUAUUUCUUGAUUUAUAACAAUACAUUUAACUUAUAUAACAUUCACACUAUUCAUUCCAGUCCAAAAUCAUACAUUGGUUACGUUUUUGCCCCUAAAGUUUCUCAAAAUUAUGAUUUUGCCCCUAGGCUCGUAAAAUAAUUUUUAUUCAAUUUCCUUACAUUUUAGGCCUAGCCGAACCAUUUUCAUAACUAUAGCAGUCCACAAAACUCACUUAUCCACACACUUAUGACAUAUUUUAUAACUUUUACAAAUUAAUCCUUUAGGCAUUUUCAUUGAAAAUCACUUAGUAAAAGACGUUCAUCACACCCAAAACAUUCAUAUUCUUUCAUAAAAUAUCAAAAUACAUGCAUAUGAUUCAUGGGUAAAUUUUAAAACACAAACCCUAGUUCAAAAUAAUGGUAGAAAUAGCUAGAUCUUGUUACGAGGAUUUCAAAAACGUAAAAAUCAUUAAAAACGGGGCAAGGAUGGACUUACUAUUGAGCUUGGAAUCUUGAAAACCCUAACCAUGCCUUCCCCUUACUAAAUUCGGCCUUAUGGAGAAGAUGGACAAAAAUUGACUUUUAAUUUUAUUUUUAAUUCAUUUUAAUAACUAAAUGACCAAAAUGCCCUUAAUGAAAAACUUUGGAAACAUGCCUAGCCAUGCCCAUUUUUGUCCACCAACUUAACCAAUGGUCUAAUUAGCAUAUAAAUACCUCCAAUUUAAAAUUUCAUAACAAUUGGACACCUCUAACAUAUAGAACUCAACUUUUGCACUUUUUACAAUUUAGUCCUUUUGACUAAAUUGAGUGCCCAAACGUAAAAAUUUUUGAACGAAAUUUUCACGAAAUCAUUUUGUGAAAUCAUAGACCAUAAAAAUAUAAUGAAAUUAAUUUUUUUCUCAUCGAAUUUGUGGUCCCGAAACCACUAUUCCGACUAGCCCCAAAUUCGGGUUGUUACAGUGUUGGCGGUGAAACAUGAUUCGGUGCUUAAAUCUAUAUUCUAGAAUGCAGAAUCUAGUUGUCCAACCAAUUUCUAUCUCACUGUAGUACGGUACCGCUCUAAUAUUUACCGUCAUUACAUCGACAAUAUAACACCAAAAGUAAUAUUUUAAUAUUUUUUAUUAUGAUAUUAUAUUUACUUUUGUUAUUAAUUUUACUUAAAUUGUUUAUUUUAUAGAUUAACAUAAUUAACAUUGAGAAUAAAUUGUGUAGACAACUACCAGAACUGUAUCUUCAUCUAUUUAAAGAUUUAAUUAAUUAUGCAAUAAGCAAUACAAGUAGGUAAGGAAUAUAAAAAAAAUUAUAUUAUCAUUGUAAAAAUGUUUUUUUAAUUCAUAUUAAAUAAAUACUGUUAUUUUAAUGUCUUGAUAUAGACACUCAAUUUUUUUGAAAUAAAUUAUUUCUAAAAAUAUAUUCAAUAAGCAAUAAAACUCGUAUUUUCUUUUCUUUCUCUUAAUCACGUGAUUUUUUUAUUCUUUUCUUUUCCUACUUCUCGUCCAAAUUUUGUGGUGUGAUAGUUUCUAAAUAUAUUGAAAGAGAAAACCAACUUCCUUACCUUUUAUAUAUUUUUAAAAAUAAUUAAUUUCAAAAAAAACUGGAUGCCUAUAUCAAAACAUUAAAAUAAUAACAUUAAUUUAAUAUGAAUAAAAAAAUAAUUUUACAAUGACAAAAUAAUUUUUCUAUAUUUGUUACCAGAUUUUAUUACUUAUUGCAUAAUUAAUUAAACCUUCAAAAAGAUGAAAAUACAGUUCUGGCAGUUGCCUACUGGACUUAUCAUAAAUGUUAAUAAUGCUAAUCUAUAAAAUAAACAAUUUAAGUAAAAUUUAAUAAAAAAAGUAAAUAGAAUGACAUAAUAAAAAAUAUUGAAAUCUUACUUUUGGUGUUAUAUUGUCAUUGUAAUGACAGUAAACAUUAGAGCAGUACUGUACUAUAAAGGCAUAAGAAUUGGUUGGACAACUAAGUUAUGUAUGCUUGAGUAUAGAUUUAAGUACUGGAUCAUGCUUCACUGCUAACACCCAAUCAUAUGAAUAUUUAUUUUGCAAUAUAUUUAGGCAUUUUUCAAGAUUACGCCACCAAAUCUCUUCACGCUUCAUCAUGUGAUCCAGAUUUAUAAUAAAAGAGAACUUAUCAAUAGGUCUCCAAAAUAAAGAUGCAUCCAGUAAAAAUGCGAGACUCAUGUAAUCCCUAUCCAUUUGGACAUAGGAAAAUAUGUAAAUAAAAAAUUAUAAAAUUAAUAAAGUAAAACAUAUGAGUUAUCAAACUUUAGCCCAUAUACAAGCCACAUCUUUUAAGAUCUUAUUGAUAUCCUCACUAAUGUAAUUGAACCAUUCACGUUGAUUUCAGUUACUAUUUCCCUACCUCUCCAUCUUUUCACUAAAAUAUGUUACAAUAUUUUUAGAAUAUUCUAGUGCAACCAGCCAUUCAUCUUUAUACCGUACAAGGUAAUGACAACUUAAUCUCCAAUCAUCAUCUUUUACGGUAUCAAGAUUAAUGGCUAACUGCAGUAGAAUAUUUUAAAAAUAUUGUAAUAUAUUUUAGAGAAAGGAUGGAGAGGUGGGAAAGUAGUAACCGAAAUCAGCGUGAAUGCUUCAAUUACAUUAGUGAGGAUUUCUGUAAGAUCUUAAACGAUGUGGCUUGUAUAUAGGCUAAAAAUAAUAAGUGCAUUACACGCAAGAUCCGACAAAGUCUAUACUAAUUUCAGUGAGGGUAAUGUUUUUACCCAAUUUAAAUGCAUCUGAAAAACCAAUAGAAGGUGAUAUUAAUGAGUUGAAAUAUUAGAUGAACUAUAUCAUCAAUAUUGCAUUCGAAUCUGUUAUCCAAGAUUAUGAGAAUUUCAAUAUGUCGAACGAAUCAUCAUUGUUUCUUAACCAGCUCAAAUUUCAAAACUUGUAAGUUAUCUUUCAUAUAUUUAUUUUAAAGUUCAAUAACUCAUAUGUUCUACUUUAUUAAUUUCAUAAAUUUUUUUUAUUUGCCUAUGUCCAAAUGGAUAGGAAAUACAUGUGUCCCGCGUUUCUACUGGAUGCGCCUUUAUUUUGGAGACCUGUUGAUAACUUCCAUUUUAUUAUAAAUCUGGAUCACAUGAUGAAGCGUGAAGAGAUUUGGUGGCGUAAUCUUGACAAAUGUCUAAAUAUUUCGCAAAAGAAAUAUUCAUAUGAUUGGGUGUUGGCAGUGAAAUGUGAUCUGGUGCUUAAAUCCAUAUUCGAGAAUGCAGAAUCUAAUUACCUAACCAAUUCCUAUGCCUCUGUAGUACGGUACUGCUCUAAUGUUUACUGUUAUUACAACGAUAAUAAAACACCAAAAGUAAUAUUUUAAUAUUUUUUAUUAUGAUAUUCUAUUUACUUUUGUUAUUAAUUUUUACUUAAAUUAUUUAUUUUAUAGAUUAGCAUCAUUAACAUUAAGAAUAAGUUGAGUAGGCAAUUGCCAGAAUUAUAUCUUCAUCUAUUUAAAGGUUUAAUUAAUAAUUCAAUAAGCAAUAAAAGUAGGUAAGGAAUAUAAAAAAAAUUAUAUUAUCAUUGUAAAAUUAUUUUUUUAAUUCAUAUUAAAUAAAUAUUGUUAUUUUAAUGUUUUAAUAUAGGCAUCCAGUUUUUUCGAAAUCAAUUAUUUCUAAAAAUAUAUGCAAUAAGUAAUAAAACUUGUAUUUUCUUUUUUUUCUGUUAAUCACGUGAUAUUUUUAUUGUUUUCUUUUACCUACUUCUAGUCUAGAUUUUGAGGUGUGACGGUUUCUAAAUAUAUUUAAAGAGAAAACUAACUUCCUUUCCUUUCAUAUAUUUUCAGAAAUAAUUAAUUUCUAAAAAACUGGAUGCCUAUAUCAAAACAUUAAAAUACUAAUAUUAAUUUAAUAUGAAUUAAAAAAAUAAUUUUACAAUGACAAAAUAAUUUUUCUAUAUACGUUACCUGCUUUUAUUGCCUAAUUAAUCAAACCUUCAAAUAGAUGAAAAUACAGUUACUGGCAGGUGUCUACUCAACUUAUUUUAAAUGUUAAUAAUGUUAAUCUAUAAAAUAAACAAUUUAAGUAAAAGUUAAUAAAAAAAGUAAAUAGAAUAACAUAAUAAAAAAUAUUUUAAUCUUACUUUUGGUGUUAUAUUGUCAUUGUAAUGACGAUAAACAUUAGAGCAGUACCGUACUACGGAGGCAUAGGAAUUGGUUGGACAACUAGAUUCUGUAUGCUUGAAUAUAGAUUUAAGCACCGGAUCACGUUUCACUGCCAACACUCAAUCAUAUGAAUAUUUCUUUUGCAAUAUAUUUAGACAUUUGUCAAGAUUACGCCACCAAAUCUCUUCACGCUUCAUCAUGUGAUCCAUAUUUAUAAUAAAAUAGAACUUAUUAAUAGGUCUCCAAAAUAAAAGUGCAUCUAGUAAAAAUGCGAGACUCGUGUAGUCCCUAUCCAUUUGGACUUAGGGAAAUAUGUAAACUAAAAAUUAUAAAAUUAAUUAAGUAAAACAUAUGAGUUAUCGAACUUUAAAAUAAAUAUAUGAAAGAUAAGUUACAAGUUUUAAAAUUUGAGCUGGUUAAGAAACAAUUAUAAUUCAUUCGACAUAUUGAAAUUCUCAUAAUUUUGGAUAACAGAUUCGAAUGGCAUAUUAACGAUGUAGUUCAUCAAAAAUUUCAACUCAUCAAUAUCACCUUCCGUUAGUUGGUCAGAUGCAUUCAAAUUAGGUAAAAACUUUACCCCCACCGAAAUUAGUGAUGAAUAUAGACUUUAUCGGAUUUUGUGUGUAAAUACUCUUAUUAUUUUUAGCCCAUAUCAAGCCACAUCUUUUAAGAUCUUACUGAAAUCCUCACUAAUGUAAUUGAAACAUUCAUGUUGAUUUCGGUUACUACUUUCUCACCUCUUCAUCCUUUCUCUAAAAUAGGUUAUAAUAUUUUUAGAAUAUUCCAGUUAUCAUCUUGUACGGUAUCAUGAUGAACAACUAGUUGCACUAGAAUAUUCUAAAAAUAUUGUAACAUAUUUUAGAGAAAGGAUGGAGAGGUGGGAAAGUAGUAACCAAAAUCAACGUGAAUGGAUCAAUUACAUUAGUGAGAAUUUCGAUAAGAACUUAAAAGAUGUGACUUGUAUAUGGGCUAAAAAUAAUAAGAGCAUUUACACGAAAAAUCUGAUAAAGUCUAUAUUCAUCACUAAUUUCGGUGGGGGUAAAAUUUUUACCCAAUUUGAAUACAUCUGACCAACCAAUGGAAUGUGAUAUAUAUGAGUUGAAAUAUUUGGUUAAAUAUAUCGUCAAUAUGCCAUUCGAAUCUGUUAUCCAAAAUUAUGAAAAUUUCAAUAUGCCGAAUGAAUUAUCAUUGUUUCUUAACCAGCUCAAAUUUCAAAACUUGUAAGUUAUCAUUCGUAUAUUUAUUUUAAAGUUCGAUAACUCAUAUGUUUUACUUCAUUAAUUUUAUAAUUUUUUGUUUACAUAUUUCCCUAUGUACAAAUGGAUAGGAAAUACGUGAGUCCCGCGUUUCUACUGGAUGCGCCUUUAUUUUGGAGACCUCUUGAUAAGUUCCAUUUUAUUAUAAAUCUGAAUGACAUGAUGAAGCGUGAAGAGAUUUGGUGACAUAAUCUUGACAAAUGCCUAAAUAUUUUGCAAAAGAAAUAUUUAUAUGAUUAGGUGUUAGCGGUGAAAUGUGAUCCGAUGCUUAAAUCUAUAUUCGAGUAUGCAGAAUCUAGUUACCCAACCAAUUCCUAUGCCUCUGUAAUACGGUACUGCUCUAAUGUUUAACGUUAUUACAACGAAAAUAUAACACCAAAAGGAAUAUUUUAAUAUUUUUUAUUAUGAUAUUCUAUUUACUUUUGUUAUUAAUUUUUACUUAAAUUGUUUAUUUUAUAGAUUAGUAUCAUUAACAUUGAGAAUAAGUUGAGUAGGCAACUGCCAGAAUUAUAUUUUCAUCUAUUUAAAGGUUUAAUUAAUAAUGCAAUAAGCAAUAAAAGUAGGUAAGGAAUAUAGAAAAAUUAUAUUAUCAUUGUAAAAUUAUUUUUUUAAUUCAUAUCAAAUAAAUAUUAUUAUUUCAAUGUUUUAAUAUACGCACCUAGUUUUUUCGAAAUCAAUUAUUUCUAAAAAUAUAUGCAAUCAGUAAUAAAACUCAUAUUUUCUUUUCUUUCUAUUAAUCAUGUGAUUUUUUUAUUGUUUUCUUUUACCUACUUCUAGUCCAGAUUUUGAGGUGUGACAGUUUCUAAAUAUAUUUAAAGAGAAAACCAACUUCCUUUCCUUUUAUAUAUUUUCAGAAAUAAUUAAUUUCGAAAAAACUGGAUGCCUAUAUCAAAAUAUUAAAAUAUUAAUAUUAAUUUAAUAUAAAUUUAAAGAAUAAUUUUACAAUGACAAUAUAAUUUUUCUAUAUUUUUUAUCUGCUUUUAUUGCUUAUUAUCUAAUUGAUUAAACCUUCAAAUAGAUGAAGAUACAGUUCUAGCAAUUGUACACUCAACUUAUUCUCAAUGUUAAUAGUUCUAAUCUAUAAAAUAAAUAAUUUAAAUAAAAGUUAAUAAAAAAUUAAAUAGAAUAACAUAAUAAAAAAUAUUGAAAUCUUACUUUUGGUGUAAUAUUGUUAUUGUAAUGAUGGUAAAAAUUAGAGCAGUACCGUACUACAGAGGCAUAGGAAUUGGCUGGGCAACUAGAUUCUGCAUGCUCGAAUAUAGAUUUAAGCACCAGAUCACGUUUCACCGCCAACAUCCAAUCAUAUGAAUAUUUUUUUUGUAAAAUAUUUAGGCAUUUGUCAAGAUUACGCCACCAAAUCUCGUCACGCUUCAUCAUGUGAUUCAGAUUUAUAAUAAAAUGAAACUUAUCAACAGGUCUCCAAAAUAAAGGCACAUCCAGUAGAAACGCAAGACUCAUGUAUUUCAUAUCCAUUUGGACAUAGGCAAAUAAGUAAAUAAAAAAAUUAUGAAAUUAAUGAAGUAGAACAUAUGAGUUAUCGAACUUUAAAAUAAAUAUAUGAAAGAUAACUUACAAGUUUUAAAAUUUGAGCUGGUUAAAAAUCAAUGAUAAUUCAUUCCGCAUAUUAAAAUUCUAAUAAUUUUGGAUAACAAAUUCGAAUGGCAUAUUUACGAUAUAGUUAAUCAAAUAUUUCAACUCAUCAAUAUCACCUUUCGUUGGUUGGUCAGAUGCAUUCAAAUUGGGUAAAAACUUUACCCCCACCGAAAUUAGUGAUGAAUAUAGACUUUAAAAUAUGUUAUAACAUUUUUAGAAUAUUCUAGUGGAACCAGCUAUUAAUCUUAAUAUCCAGUCAUCAUCUUGUACAGUAUCAAGAUUAAUGGCUAGUUGGAGUAGAAUAUUCUAAAAAUAUUAUAACAUAUUUUAAAGAAAGGAUGGAGAGGUGAGAAAGUAGUAAUCGAAAUGAAUGUGAAUGGUUCAAUUACAUUAGUGAGGAUUUCGGUAAGAACUUAAAAUAUGCGACUUGUAUAUGGGUUAAAAAUAAUAAAAGCAAUUACACGCAAGAUCCGAUAAAAUCUAUAGUCAUCACUAAUUUUGGUGAGGUAAAGUUUUUACCCAAUUUGAAUUCAUCUGAAAAACCAAUUGAAGUUGAUAUUGAUGAGUUGAAAUAUUGCCGAAUGAAUUAUCAUUGUUUCUUAACCAGCUCAAAUUUCAAAACUUGUAAGUUAUCUUUCAUUUAUUUAUUUUAAAGUUCGAUAACUCAUAUGUUCUACUUCAUUAAUUUCAUAAUUUUUUUAUUUACUUAUUUGCCUAUGUCCAAAUGGAUAUGAAAUACGUGAGUCCCACGUUUCUACUGGAUGCGCCUUUAUUUUGGAGACCUGUUGAUAAGUUCCAUUUUAUUAUAAAUCUGGAUCACAUGAUGAAGUGUGAAGAGAUUUGGUGGCGUAAUCUUGACAAAUGCCUAAAUAUUUUGCAAAAGAAAUAUUUAUAUUAUUAGGUGUUAGCGGUGAAACGUGAUUCGGUGCUUAAAUCUAUAUUCGAGUAUGCAGAAUCUAGUUCCCAACCAAUUCCUAUGCCUCUGUAAUACAGUAUUGCUCUAAUGUUUAACGUUAUUACAACGACAAUAUAACAACAAAAGUAAUAUUUUAAUAUUUUUUAUUAUGAUAUUCUAUUUGCUUUUGUUAUUAAUUUUUACUUAAAUUUUUUAUUUUAUAGAUUAGCAUCAUUAACAUUAAGAAUAAAUUGAGUAGGCAACUGCCAGAACUGUAUCUUCAUCUAUUUAAAGGUUUAAUUAAUAAUGCAAUAAGCAAUAAAAGCAGGUAACGAAUAUAGAAAAAAUUAUAUUGUCAUUGUAAAAUUAUUUUUUAAUUCAUAUUAAAUAAAUAUUGUUAUUUUAAUGUCUUGAUAUAGGCACUUAAAUUUUUCGAAAUCAAUUAUUUCUAAAAAUAUAUGCAAUAAGCAAUAAAACUCGUAUUUUCUUUUCUUUCUCUUAAUCACGUGAUUUUUCUUUUUCCUACUUUUAGUCCAAAUUUUGAGGAGUGACAGUUUUUAAAUAUAUUUAAAGAGAAAACCAACUUCCUUACAUUUCAUAUACUUUCAGAAAUAAUUAAUUUCGAAAAAAUUGGAUGUCUAUAUCAAAACAUUAAAAUAAUAACAUUAAUUUAAUAUGCAUUAAAAAAAUAAUUUUACAAUGACAAUAUAAUUUUUUCUAUAUUCGUUACCUGCAUUUAUUUCUUAUUGCCUAAUUAAUUAAACUUUCAAAUAGAUGAAGAUAUAGUUCUGGCAGUUGCCUACUCAACUUAUUCUAAAUGUUAAUAAUGCUAAUCUAUAAAAUAAACAAUUUAAGUAAAAAAUAAAAAAAAUUAAAUAGAAUAACAUAAUAAAAAAUAUCGAAAUCUUACUUUUAGUGUUAUAUUGUCAUUGUAAUGACGGUAAACAUUAGAGCAGUAUCGUACUACAGAGGCAUAGGAAUUUGUUGGGUAACUAGAUUAUGCAUGCUCGAAUAUAAAUUUAAGCACCGGAUCACAUUUCACCUCCAACACCCAAUAAUAUAAAUAUUUCUUUUGCAACAUAUUUACGCAUUUGUUAAGAUUACGCCACCAAAUCUCUUCACCCUAAAUCAUGUGAUCCAUAUUUAUAAUAAAAUAGAACUUAUCGACAAGUCUCUAAAAUAAAGGUGCAUCUAGUAGAAACGCGACACUCGUGUAUUCCCUAUCCAUUUGGACAUAGGGGAAUAUCUAAACAAAAAAUUAUAAAAUUAAUGAAGUAAAACAUAUAAGUUAUCGAAUUUUAAAAUAAGUAUAUGAAAGAUUAUAAAAUUAUAAAAUUUUUACCCAAUUUGAAUGCAUCUGACCAACCAAUGGAAGGUGAUAUUGAUGAGUUGAAAUAUUUGAUGAACUACAUCGCCAAUAUGCCUUUCGAAUCUGUUAUCUAAAAUUAUGAGAAUUUCAAUAUGCCGAAUGAAUUAUCAUUGUUUCUUAACCAGCUCAAAUUUCAAAACUUAUAAUUAUCUUUCAUAUAUUUAUUUUAAAGUUCAAUAACUCAUAUGUUUCAUAUAUUUAUCUUUCGUGUUUAAUAUGUUAUAAAGAAUCAAACACUAAUUCAUAUAGUUUGAGAUAGUUGAGAGAAAAAAAAUAAAAUACAUAUGCGGUUGACAUUUGGUCUAAUGGUAUCUCCAUGUACUACAAUAGCAUAGGAGAUCCUUACGGACAUUCGUACUAGUUCAAAGCAAGAUUGCUCUAAUCUUAUGUUAAUACUACUAAAGCAGAAUAUCUUGUAAACAACAAAGGCAAGGAAAUUUUUGAGCAAAAAUCCAAAAAGAAAAUUUAACUUACUAGCAACUUCAUUGAUAAGUAGGAUUGAAUAUAAAAGGGAUUGAAAAAAAACAUACCUGGAAUUGGCUGAGAUUGCCUAGCAGCGGAACAGAGACAGUUGAAGGUUGCAGCGGAGAAGGAGAUGACAGUAGUGAGUGGCACAACGAAACUUAGGGAUUUUUGGUGAAAAUAGAAACUCAUCAUUAAAAAUAUUUAAUCCCAAGCUAAAAAAUUCUUAGAUAAGAGUUUAGUAGAACAAUCUAUAACACUAGAAUCCAUUUCCCAAGAUUAAGCUAUGAGAUAACAAUAUAGUCUUCCUCGUACCACUGCACAGUCACGUUCCUGCUAACACAAUUCUCACAAUUUUUCGGCUUCUUAAAUAUGAUUUAGGAUCUCAUUAGAUUGAGUAUCCCCACUAUAGAUAAUCUUAAUACAGUACACAUGUAUAUAGUUCACAGAACACAAUUCUAGCAGUAAAGCACACACAGUUCACUAAACACUAAUUUAGAAGUUCACACAGACACAUACAGGGUUGCAAACAAGUUUGCAUAAUAUAAGAGGCUCGCAGAAGUUACAAACAUAUCACAUAAGACGAGUUUUGCAAAUGCGUUCGUAAAAGAUUUGAAUUCAUAUUCGUAUAAGAAAAAAAGGUUCACAAAGGAUUCGCAAAUCACAAAAUCACGUAGUAUAUGGUUAGUGCCCAUGCAUACAGUUCACAAAAGAUUAAGUCCCACACCUGAAUUUGCUAAACUGAAGCAAUAGUAACAACAUGAAACGCGUCAUGAUUCAAACUUGCCUCACUUUCUUCCCGAUCUAUACCUUGCAGACAAAAAGUAUACAUGAAGAAUUCAGCCACCAAAGAAUUAAAGGAAAGCAAAUUUUGAUUAGAUCACAAACUUACACCGCCAGAGAGCAAAACGAUGCAACAAUGAGAUCCUUGAGUAGCCAAAACAUUAAACAAUGGAGGAACAAAAUCAGCAGAAGGAGAAAGAAAAUCAAGCAAUGAGCUGUAAAUGAAUAGAAAGGGAGACACAAAAAUAACAAGGGUUUCGAGGCAGAGUAUCCCCACUAUAGAUAAUCUCAAUACAGUACACAUGUAUACAGUUCACAGAACACAAUUCUAGCAGUAAAGCACACACGGUUCACUAAACACUAAUUUAAAUGUUCACACAUAGACACAUAUAGAGUUGCAAACAAAUUCGCAUAACAUAAUAGGUUUGCAGAGGUUACAAAAAUAUCACAUAAGACGAGCUUUACAUAGGCGUUCGUAAAGGAUUCGCAUUCAUAUUCGAAUAAGAAAAAAAGGUUCGCAGAGGAUUCACCAACCACAAAAUCACAUAGCAUAUGGGUAGUGCCAUGUAUACAAUUCACAAAAGAUUAAGUCCCACACCUGAAUUUGCUAAACUAAAGCACUAUUGAAACCACAAAAUGCGCCACGAUUCAAACUUGUCUCGCUUUCUUCCCAAUCUAUACCUUGCAAACAAAAAGUAUACAUGAAGAAUUCGACCACCAGAGAAUUUAAGGAGAGAAAAUUUUGAUUAGAUCACCACAAACAUACACUGCCAGGGAGCAAAACAAAGCAACAAUGAGAUCCUUGAGUAGCCAAAACAUUCAACAAUUGAGGAAAAAAAUCAGCAGAAGGAAGAAAGAAAAUCAAGCAACGAGUUGUAAAUGAAAACAUUGAUCAUUUGCAAAUUGAAAGCCAUUCUAAAAGAGUGCACUCAUGUUUCUCCCUGCUCAGAACUUACUACAGUAAAUGGGAUCUGUUAAUAAAAUAAUUCAUUCACCAUAAGAUGCAACUAAUACCCAAAGAAUGUAUUUAAAAUGAAACCAUGCAUCUUAACUUGCACUUAUAAGUUUAGAAACCAUGAAAACAUUUUAUAAACCAUGAAAAAAUCAAAAUAAUACAUGCAGAGAAGUUUUUUCAACAGGACUUAAGAUCUAGAGUUGAAUUCCACUUGUUCAAUUAGUACAAGCAAUGUUUAAAUUUGAGAUGAUAAAGCAUACCUACACCAGAUGUUUCACUGUAGUCAACUUUGUCACUACUAUAGACAGGUUUGGAAUAUCAAGAAAAUUAAUCCAUACUCCACCAGAAAACUAGUAGAAAACAAAAUCCAUGAAAUUUUGAAUGAUAAUUCCGACGUUAUUGACUAUUGUUCAUCUCAAAAAUUUUUGGACAAUGAAAGUAUUUUGAUAUGGAAAAAGGAAUACGUAAUUUUGUAUAUUAUAUAUAAUCAGAUAGCAUUGAAUGGGUUGAAAUUUUCAACUGAGAAUAAUUAUUAACUUCCUUACCUGAAGUGUAAAGGCUUCUCGAGGAAUUGGCUCUAGAUUGUUACUUGGUAUACAUCGCUGUAUUCAUUAUUGAUGAGCUUUCCAUUGUUUGUGACACUGCAAUCAAAUGUAAACAGCAUAUGUUAAGUCAAAAUGGAACUAAAAGCAUCACAAAACAGAAAAACAAUAAAUCAAAACACUCUUCUCUAUGAAAAAGGAAGUCAAUACAACUAUGAACUUACAAUGAAAAAUAUAACAAAAUUUUUCAGAGUAAAUUUAUGCCAAAUGCUAAUUUUUUAUUGAAAAUAUUGAACCCUGAUGAACACAAAACAGACUUGAAUUUAGUAAGAAGGCAUUAGCAUCAGAAAUUAAUGUGCCAAUGGUUCUAGCAAAGCAACAAAACCAGAGAAAAUGUUGCCAAAAUCACCAAAAAAGCAUCAUACUCAUCUGAUCAGUUGCACCAAUUGCAUUCCAAGAAGAGAGUAAAUUACACCAAAACAAAAAAAGAUUUAAUCAACUAACCACUCCUCAAGAAAAAUGAAUAUCAACUCAAAUGCAUCCUUUGGGAGGAUCAUCCCUAAUUCUUCUUGAAGCUCCCUCAUGAACAAAUAAGAUAUUUAGCAGGCAUUGUGUUUUAACACUAGAUCAACCAAAAAGGGAUAAGUUUCUAACAAUAAUAUGUUCACCAAGUAAUAGACGAUGGAAAAAAUGGACCAACAAGGUAAAACGAAAAUCAAUGGAUGCUGAUCUCCAAAGAAUUUCUUGUGUUGAAAGUUACUACAAAGGAAUGGACAAUAAGAUAUUUAAAUAAAGAAUGAAAAGAAAAAAAGAAGACUGAGAUGUCUUCACUCCUUCCGAACAAAAAGGUUUCUUGGCCAUCUAGAAACCACUAGGUUUACCAUCAGUUAGGAAACUAUCAAUUAGAUAUUUAAAAGAAAUGUUUUAACCAAAUCUAGCAAGUACAUAGAACAAUAGAAAGUAGCAAUGAUAAACAAGAACAUGGGGAGAAUAUCUAUGCACGGCACACAUAGAAAGAUUAAACACCGAACAGUUUUUCAAAUGGCGGAGGUUAUUUAUGCUCUUUGAAAUUGGAACUGGGAAUUGAAAACUUGCAAGCUAGAGCUAAGGAGGCAUACAUUUGAUAUAAAAUAUUUCAUUUUGAGUAUUAUUGUGUCUUAGAGGUCACUUAUGAUUUCUGUACUGGCGUUUCUCUGUAAAGGUAGUUUCUUGAUAUGUAACUCAUUGUGAUCUCUUUGCAGGGGAGAUGUCCAUCGAGAUGGGGAUUACCAUAAAGAAGUCCAUGUUUGGAUUUUUGCUAAGAGUACACAAGAAUUACUUCUCCAAAAACGCGCAGACUGCAAGGACUCAUGGCCAGGGUUAUGGGAUAUCUCCAGUGCUGGGAAUAUAUCUGCUGGUGACUCGUCGCUAAUAACAGCACAGUAAGUGAAACCAAUUUCACAAGACUUCAGUGCUGCAACAAUGAGAUCCUUGAGUAGCCAAAACAUUCAACAAUGGAGGAAAAAAAAUCAGCAGAAGGAAGAAAGAAAAUCAAGCAACGAGUUGUACAUGACAACAUUAAUCAUUUGCAAAUUGCAAGCCAUUAUAAAAGAGUGCACUCAUGUUUCUCCCUGCCCAGAACUUACUACAGUAAAUGGGAUAUGUUAAUAAAAUAAUUCAUUCACCACAAGAUGCAACUAAUACCCAAAGAAUGUAUUUAAAACGAAACCAUGCAUCUUAACUUGCACUUAUAAGUUCAGAAACCAUGAAAACAUUUUAUAAACCAUGAAAAAAUCAGAAUAAUACAUGCAGAGAGGUUUUUUCAACAGGGCUUAAGAUCUAGAGUUGAAUUCCACUUGUUCAAUUAGUACAAGCAAUGUUUAAACUUGAGAUGAUAAAGCAUACCUACACCAGAUGUUUCACAGUAGUCAUCUUUGUCACUACUGUAGACAGGUUUGGAAUAUCAAGAAAAUUAAUCCAUACUCCACCAGAAAACCAGUAGAAAACAAGAUCCAUGAAAUUUUGAAUGAUAAUUCCGACUAUUAUUGACUAUUGUUUAUCUCAACAAUUUUUGGACAAUAAAAGUACUUUGAUAUGGAAAAGAAAUACAAAAUUUUGCAUAUUAUAUAUAAUCAGAUAACAUUGAAUGGGUUGAAAUUUUCAACUAAGAAUAAUUAUUAACUUCCUUACCUGAAGUGUAAAGGCUUCUCCAGGAAUUGGCUAUAGAGUUGUUACUAGGUAUACAUCGCUGUAUUCAUUAUUGAUGAACUUUCCAUUGUUUGUGACACUGCAAUAAAAUGUAAACAGCAUAUGUUAAGUCAAAAUGGAACUAAAAGCAUCACAAAGCCACUUAAGCAUCUCAACAAUAUUGAGAUUCAUCAAUUAAACAAAAAUUCCAAGAAACUAAACGUGGAAUAAUAAUAGUAAUAAUGAUAAAUUGAAAGUGAUGCAGGACCUAGGUGAAAUCUUAAUGUCUAGAUGGUCUUAUCAUUGCAUGAUGUAGGAUACCUCAGAAAAAUAAUAAAUCAAAACACUCUUCUCUAAGAAAAAAGAAGUCAAUACAACUAUGAACUUACAAUGAAAAAUAUAACACCAUUUUUCAGAGUAAAUUUAUGCCAAAUGCUAAUUGUUUAUUGAAAAUAUUGAACCCUGAUGAACACUAAACAUACUUGAAUUUAGUAAGACGACAUUAGCAUUAGACAUUAAUGCACCAAUGGUUCUAGCAAAGCAGCAAAACCAGAGAAAAUGUUGCCAGAAUCACCAAAAAAGCAUCAUACUCAUCUAAUCAGCUGCACCAAUUACAUUCCAAGAAGAGAGUAAAUUACACCAAAACAAAAGAAGAUUUUAUCAACUAACCACUCCUCAAGAAAAACGAAUAUCAACUCAAAUGCAUCCUUUGGGAGGAUCACCCCUAGUUCUUCUUGAAGCUUCCUCCUGAACAAAUAAUAUAUUUAGCAAGAAUUGUGUUUUAACACUAGAUCAACCAAAAAGGUAUAAGUUUCUAACAAUAAUAUGUUCGCCAAGUAAUAGACGAUGGAAAAAAUUGGCCAACAAGGUAAAAAGAAAAUCAAUGGAUGCUGAUCUCCAAAGAAUUUCUUGUGUUGAAGGUUACUACAAAGGAAUGGACAAUAAGAUAUUUAAAUAAAGAAAGAAAAGAAAAAAAAAAGACUCAGAUGUCUUCGCUCUUUCCGAACAAAAAGGUUUCUUGGCCAUCUAGAAACUACUAGGAUUACCAUCAGUUAGGAAACUAUCAAUUAGAUAUUUAAAAGAAAUGUAUUAACCAAAUCUAGCAAGUACAUAGAAAAACAGAAAGUAGCAAUGAUAAACAAGAAUAUGGGGAGAAUAUCUGUGCACGGCACACAUAGAAAGAUUAAACACCGAACAGUUUUUCAAAUGGGGGAGAUUGUUUAUGCUCCUUGAAAUUGGAACUGGGAAUUGAAAACUUACAAGCUAGAGCUAGGGAGGCAUAUUUGAUAAAAAAUAUUUCAUUUUGAGUAUUAUUGUGUGUUAGAGGUUGCUUAUGAUUUAUGUACCGGCGUUUCUCUGUAAUGGUAGUUUCUUGAUAUGUAACUCAUUGUGAUCUCUUUGCAGGGGAGAUGUCCAUCAAGAUGGGGAUUACCAUAAAGCAGUCCAUGUUUGGAUUUUUGUUGAGAGUACACAUACAGGGUUGCAAAUAAAUUCGCAUAACAUAAAGAGGUUCCUAGAGGAUACAAACAUUCAACAAUGGAGGAAAAAAAUCAGUAGAAGGAAGAAAGAAAAUCAAGCAACGAGUUGUAAAUGAAUAGAAGGGGAGACACAAAAAGAACAAGGGUUUCGGGGCAUGAUUGUGGUGAAAAUGAAAAGAAAUAUGAAAAGGAAGAGAGGAGGAAGGAAAAGAAACGAUAGAAAGGAAAUCCUAGCAACAAAAAGAAAACAAACGUGAAAGUCAUGAUGGAGAAAGCGGCGGAAAAAUGGGGAAGUGAGUAAAGUGUGGAACUAGAAAAACAAUUUUAUUUUUUCUUAUUUUUAUUAUUCUUAUCCUCUUAUAAAAAAAUAAAUUCCAAAACAAUUUAAUUAAUAUCCAAUUUAUCAAAAACCCUCCAAAGGUUUUACAUAUAUUUUAAGGUGUUAAAAUUGUAAAUAAAAAAUACUUAAAAAGAGAAAAUAAAUUCCCACAUUGUUCACACUUGGACUCAAACUCUAGACCAAAGGUUAAGCUACCAAAGACCUAGCCACUAACCCUAAUGGUUCAUUUUGGCAUUAAAAUGCAAAAAUCAACUUAACAGUCCCACCUAACCGCUAACCCAACCAACUAACCUGAAUAAUUCUAACCCAAUUCCGGGGCGUUACAUAGGCCGUGUAACUCACUAACUUGCACUCUAAGGAAAUUAUCAGAUGACAUACGACCAUGUCGCCAGGUCAUAUAUUUCAAUCCUAAUCUCACUGAUUUACUGUGCAAAAAUUUAGACUUAAAAAUUUGGUUUGGGUAAAAAAAAUAAAGCCCAUUUAAAAAUGGGUCGAGCCUCAAGUAAACUUUUUUUGGCACAAACCCGACCGACCUAAAUUUGCAAAAAAAAAAUUGUUAUUUGGUCACUAUUUUGCUGCCAUUUCACUAUUAUAUUACUAUGUAUUAUUGUUUGGAUAUUAUAUUAGUCUUGUUUUAUUGUUAAUUUUGAUAAUAUUUUAUUUUUAGAGGCACUUAUCUUAGUGCUAUUUAAGUAUAAAGACUUCUUUUUAAUUUACUUUUAAUUUGUUGAUAAACAUUUAUUUUAAUUUUUUAAUAUAUUUGAUUUAUUAUAUUUUUUAAAUCUAUUUAUAUAUAUAUAAUAAUACGGGCGAAUCGAGUCGGACUCGAGUUUUAACUUUUUUUAUCCAGACCAAGUUUGAACAAAAAUUAAGGCCUAUUUUUGGUAUCAGAUCGAGCUAGGCUGGGCUUAUAAAACAGGCUUGAAAUUUUGUUACAACCUAUCCCAUAAUCACCUCUAGUGCAGAUCAAGUCAAACUUGAAUUCUUUCAAACUUAUUCGAGUUAAAUUUUGGUAGAAAAGUAACGUUACGCUUUGAGUAAAGUCAAGUUCAGUCAAAUAGCAUGCUAUAUUUUAUUUAAACUCGACCCACGAAUAAAUCUAAUGUUUCAAGAUUGGAGUGAAAUGGUUGAAUGUAGAGGUGAGCAAAAUUCGAUUUGACUCGAAAAACUCGAUAAAAAUUUAAAUUUUAAGUUAAAAAAUUCAAGUUAAUUGAGUUAUUCAUAUCAACUCGAAUAAAAAAAAUCAAAUUUUUUGGUUUAACUCGAAUGUGAAUUAUACAAUUUGAGUUAUCUAAAAAUCUGAUUAAGAAAAUGCAAAACUACGUCGUUUUGAUAAAUGUUUACAUUUUCUAAGUUAAAAGUGAAAACCAUUAAGUUAAAAGGCAAAACUAUUUCGUUUUGAUAAAUGUUUACCUAUUACGUACAAAGGAAAAAUCAUUAUAUUGCUUAUGUAGUUAAAUAAUAUUGUACUUCGUCUACUAGUUAAAUAAUUGGUCCAUAUAAACACAACAUUGAGCAUAAAUAAUAGGAUUUGUUAACUCGACUCGACUUGAGUCGAAUUUUUUUACUUGACUCGACUAAAUACUCACCCCUAAUUGAAUGAACUCUAAUAAAAUGCAAUAAAAGCUUAUGCCUAAUAAAAUUAAAUUUGUUAGUUUGGUAUUAGACUCCAAUUGAAAUUGCUUUUAAAAGAAAAUGUUUUAAAAUUGUUGAGGCACUUGUAAGAGCAAUGACACCAAGUAUUUACAAUUAUGUUGAUAACUGCCCAUGGUUUUAUAAUUUGGCAUAUUUGAAGUUAGCAAUUUUUUGAAACAAUAUAGUUGGGCCAUGAAUUAGUUGAUAUUAUGGACAUGUAUUAGUCCAUAUUUGAAGAUUGAUAUUAUGAAGCAACAAAUUUUUAAAGAUUGGAUUUAUUUAAAUCAAGCAAAUUGGAUCUACUACUUCGUGGAGGUUGAUUUGAAUGGCUUCAAAACAUAUCUUAGAGAUUUUUUAUUUAAAUCAACCAAAUAAUAUUUUUAUAACCCUUAAUUAAAUCAAAUAAUUAAUCUAUAUGCAAUUAAAUUAAUAUGGGAAGUCACUAAAUUAAAAAAUGGAUAACGACUACUUACCCAUUUGAAGUUGUGAGAAGACCAUUGCAAUUGAGUUUCAACACACUAGGCUAGGCUAAUUCCUAGAUUGCUACAACUGAGUGGAUAUGAAGCUUUUAAUAAAAUCCUCAAAAUUGUUUCUAAAAAAUUUAAUGGUUUUCUAAUUGUGACAUGGGAAGCAACACCAAAACAUAGGGAGUUCAUCUCACAUUUAUGUUUCUAUUCUGUCUAAGGUUUUAGUGAGUGUGAUUAUGGGUAAGGAAUGGUAGUUGCCUCCGGCUAUCAGACUCAUUGAGCUAAAUACUACAUAUGAUGGUGAUAGAUGGGGCUAGAUUAGUUGGACUCUGGGUUGAUUUUAUACGUGGUAUUAAUAUUAUAUAUAAUUAUUUAAAAAUAAUCUGGUUCUAUAAACCUUAAAUUAUACUAAAUUUGUCCAUAUCAAUAUAUAAUUAACACAAAUUUGCUGCAAGGCAUUUGUCAUGGUGGAUCACUUGAAUAAUUCACAAUAGAUGACAACCAGCUUAUUGGGCCAAUCCCUCAAGGGUUGAAAAUUUGCACUAGCUUAAAGAAAGUCCGCCUUGAAAAAAACUAACAUAGAGGGAAUAUAUAUAAAUAUUUAGGUGUUUACCCGAACCUAAAAUUCUUUGACUUGACAAUGAAUUUCAAGGUGUAGUGUCUUCCUAUUGGGGGUUGUGCAAAAGUUGACAUAUUUGCUUUCUCUUGGUUUUAAUGGGAAUAAACUUUUUGGUAGUGUACCGUUGGAACUAGGACUUAUGUCCAAGCUUUUGUAUCUAGACUUGUCUGCAAACCAAUUGAGCAAGUCCAUCCCUGAAACUUUCAGGUUAAACUAAUCGGCUAAAUAUCUCUAUUAGUACUUGUAUUUUAUGAAAGUUGUGGAUUCAGUCCCAAUACUUUAAAUUGGAUUUGUUUCAUAAAUUAUACUAGAUUAGGUUUAUAUUGGGUAGAACUUAAGAGUGCUGGGGUGAGCCGCUGGUUGGGGAUUAGGUGGGCAGUAGGCGAAGCCUAAUAUGUAACGCCACAAAAUUUUAAUUUUGGGUAUUGUAAAUGUGUGACACAAAUAUCUAUUAGCUUUAGUGGCUAAGUGCUUUGGAUGUGUGUCGGAGGUCCCAAGUUCAAGCCAUGACUUGGGAAAAUUUUAGUAUUUUUAUAAAUAAAACCUUAACCUAGCCUAAAGGGCUUAAGUUUAAUACUCGGUAAUAAACAAUAAAAUGAGAUUGCUGGUUUAAUGGUUAAAUGGAGUGUUUGAUUGUAUAAGGUCUUGAGUUUGAAUCCAUGCUAUAGCGUAGGCAUUAUUUUUCCGCAGUGAUGGACAAGUAUUUUGACAAAGUGGGAUUCUAGAGUGGUUGUAGGUUAGUAGGAUUAGUGGAGGAUAUUAAGGGAUAAUAGGAGUAGUGGUGAGAUAAUUAAGGGAUCUUGGGAUUCUAUCAAAAUAUUUUUGCUAAUUUCGGUUCAUUAAAAAUUCUAUUCCCUCUUCCCCAAAAUUUCUUCCAUUGUUCUGACGUUUAUUCACCCUUUUUCUGCCGAAUUUUCAUUGUUCCCUCCCUCUUUUCUUUUGAUUUCUUUUAUGCCUUCAUUGUACUCGACGAAUGAACUCGCUCGAUUCGAUAAGUAUCUAUUUUGCCACUUUCUCUCGUUCCAUGGUUGGUUUUCUGAAAAAGGGUUGUUUUGGUUCUUUCAGAUUAGGUCAAAAUCAAGUAGCUGUAGUUGCUUUUGCAGAGAUUUGAACAUUUGGGUUUUCGGUUUGUUGUCGGUAAUUGUUUAGGUUCGCUAUCGAUUUUGAUGUAGAUGAUUUUUAGUUCUGAGUUUUUAUUAGUGAUCUAAAUUGGGCUAAUUAUUUAUUUUAAGGUCUUGGAGUGCUUGGGAGUGUAUUUGCAGUGAAACGAUACCAGGUGUGUACCCAAAACACAAAAAUAAGGGAUUCAGCGAAAAGCCAAAUUGCUUGCUGUUUGGACAGCAGCAGUAGGCUAAAUUUAAAAAAUCACCAUAAAUUGUGAAAAUCGAAUUAGAGAAUGAAAAAUAUAUAUGAUUAAAUAUAUUUGAGUCUAGUCUCUCAUAGAAGGAACGAAGUAAGCAAAAGAAUUUGAUAUUAUGAGAUAUUUUAAAUUUAGUGAGACAAUGUAAGAAUGAUUUCAGAAUCCCCUGUCCUGAAUUUGGAAAAUUAUUAAAAAUUGUAUAAAAAUAAUUAUGGGUUAAAAUUUAUAUGUUUAAAAUUCUGAAUGAGUCUAUUUUCAAGAGUAAUAGACAAGAACAUCAUUCAAAUUCUGUACGAGAAGAUAAUUAUUUUUUAGUGCAGAAAGGUCGAAAUUGUCAAACAACAGGACAUUGAAAAUUUUAAAGAAUAAACUGUACUUAUUGGCUAAACCAAAAAUUCUAAAAAUUUUAUGUUAAGAAGAUAUGCAAGUCUAGUUUCAGAUAAAAUUUGCAGAUCUUAAUUUGGAAUUUUGUAGCUUAAAAUACAAAUAUUUUAGUAACAGUGACUCAAGUAGACAGCUUUGAAGGGUUAUAUAAGUAAAUAGUAGAAACACAUAUGAAUAAUUAACUAGCACGGGGUACAUUAAAAUGGAUCACGACGCUAACUCCAAUUUUGUUCAUGUGGGCCACACGGGCGUGUGGGUCCACACGGGCGAACAUCAGGGGCUUGUAAGCCCAUUUUCACUAUUUGACUGAUAAGGUUGCACGGGUCGCCCAAGUCGACUAUGAACCUACUGUAGGGUCGGUAAGUUUACCUAGACCCCUAAUUAACUGAAAUGACUGUAUGACUAAUAUGAUUAAGCAUGAUGAUGUCCCAUUGAUUUGAUAGCGUAUGCCCUGUUUACAUACGUGAUAUUAUGAUAUAGCAUGUCAUAUUUGUAUAUUGCAUUACAUUAGGUUAAAGGAUUAUAAUGUUUGGAGGAAGUGAACUAAAAGGCCUAGAGCCUAAUUUACUGGCAGCUUAGCUGCAAACUACUAUCUAGUUCUGCAUUCGAUACUACUUGGAGUGUAGGGAUAGGUGGGUUGAUUAUAUCCCCACAUGGAGUGUAGGGCUGGAUGAAGAUGGUGUGUAGAGGCUGGAUGGGUAGGAUUUUUGUGACUGCAUAUAUGUCACUGCUACUAAUAUUGUGAUGGGCUAAAGCCCUACUACAUGACUGUUUUGAACUAAGAUGGGCCAAGGCCCAAACUGGACUGAUACUGAUACUGAAAAGGGCUUAAGCCCAGACUGUGAUUAUUUGUUUACUGUAUGUUCAUUUGUAUGGGUAUUACACAUUGAGUUUACGUAAACUCACCCCUUCUAUUUAAUCUGUACAGGUAAUCCCUAGAUAUAGGCAGAUCAGAGCAGCAGAGGACUCGGUGGUGGCCACACGACUUCUUUUACACUAUUUUCUACCUAUUAAUGAUUUUACUUAUUUUUGGGAGUAUUUUGUUUUAAUUAUGGCCUUUACGAAUUUUGGUUUAACUUUUUGAUUUUAUACGAUUUUAUGAUUUAAAUAUGCUAGUGUUAGGUAAAACUCAGGUUUUCAAGUGAAAUUAAUGUUUUAUCAAAAAUACCACGAAUAAGCAAACUGUUUAAAAGCUUCCGUAAUAAAAAUUUUAAAAAAUGUUUUGAAAUUUAAUAACGAUUUGUAAAUGAAUAAUGUUUUGAAAAUGAACGACAGGAUUUGGUGACUCCACUGGGGACUGGUUUUGAAAGUCAAGCCACAAAUUGAUUAAUUUUUUCCUUUUUGUCAAAAAAUCAAAAUUUAUUUUAAAUUCACGAUUUUUCCUUUUUCCUUUUAUCCAUUAUUUUCAUGGUGUCGUCCAAAUCUGUCAAUGUGUAUCUGCAUUUUUGCAUUGCAUAGGUUAGGCAAUCUUACCCCUCUAAGUGGGAGUGAGAAACUAGUCCUUCGUGAGGUUUUCACCUUCGUGCAGGAUAGUGGAUCGCUUUCGAAAUACAUUCAUACCUAUGUCUUUGUGAGAUUUUCAUCUCCGUGCAGCCAUAGAAAAAUGUAUUCCCCUGAACUGAACUCGGUCUAUAUGAGCCUAUAAUGGGUGAGGAUCAAGGAAUCUGCUGGUUCAGGUACCCUUUCUUUAGAAUCGAACCAUAUGUAGUGAGCCCUAAGAGUCAACCCUAGGUAGAACCACUCCAAACCCCUAAUGGUCACCCAAAUAGGUGCUCUAUUUAUUUUUUGCUUGCUUUUUCCUUGUACUAACCUGUUUUGUUUUGGUUAUACUUGCAUUGCAUUUUCAUCAUAAAAAAAGAGGUGUUGAUUCGCGUUCGAUUACUAAAUAGAAAGCUCAACAUGGAGAAUGAAUUUCUUGGUAAAAUGGAAAAUAAUACGGUUGCUCGAAUAUGUUCUGAGAAAACACAACAUGAGAAAGAUGAUAGUCUAACGAAAGAGCACACGACUUUGCUUUGUUGUCUAAGGAUUCAAGUUGACAAGGAGUUAUCAACUCCCGACCUUUUUAAAAAAAGAAGCUAACGAGUAUCACGAUGAUGAGUGAGCAAUGAGUCGCGGCCCCAGAUCAAGCAAAAAGGAGCUAGUAGAGGUAUCCAUUAGAAAUUUGCAAGAUUUAUCUUAACAUCCAGAUCAAGAAAAGGAUUGAUGUCUUCGCCUGGAGUAUGAGGGCAAAGCCGUAUAUAUAUCCACUUUAUGUAAAGAGAUUUGUUUUCUAGUGAAGUUGUUCUAAUAGAAUUGAACUAAGAAUCAGCGUCUCUUUUUUGCAUUCAUUUCCUGUAUUUGCAUUACACUACAUCAUAUGCAUUAAAUUCCACCAAAAUAUCCUAAUUGAGUGAAAUUAUUUCAGUUAAUCUGGAAAUCAGCAAAAACCUACCAACCAAACAUCAUUACUGCACCUAAGUAAAAGCUAAAGGAAUGGACCAAAGGUUCGAGAGAUUAGAGCAAAUGCAAAUACAGAUGAAAGAGCAAUUGACCAAAUUUCAACAAGAUAUGAAUGAUCAAACGUUAGAAUUCCAAAGAAAUAUUAUGAGUCAGUUAACCCAGUUGUCAUUAAUGACCUAGCGAAAACCAAACAAGCAAGAGUGGAGUUCCCAAAACAAUUUGAAGAUAUGAAUGAUCAAACGUUAGAAUUCCAAAGAAAUAUGAUGAGCCAGUUAACCCUGUUGUCAUUAAUGACCUAGCGAAAACAAAACAGGCAAGAGUGGAGUUCCCAAAACAAUUUGAAGAUCGUUACAAACAGAAAGGGCGAGAGUGGAACUCCCAAAUUAAUACUUUAAAGGCCCCGAGGAAGAGGAAAAUUGAGGUGAAUAAUGUGAGUAGGUAUAACAAGGGCUACUCAAAGCCUAUUACCACAAGCCAGCCAAGGACGGUUACUACUAACCAUCAGAUCCCCCAAGAAAAAAAUCUGGCAUAAAGCAAAACAUUGAGAAGCUCUAAUUUGCACCAAUCCCAAUGUCGUACCAGGAGCUGUAUCAGAGUUUAUUUGAUGCACACGUUGUUUCCCCUUUCUACUUGAAGCCCUUACAACAUCCGUAUCCUAAAUGGUAUGACGUGAAUGCACAAUGUGACUAUCAUGCGAGAAUUAUGGGGUAUUCUAUAGAAAACUACACUACCUUUAAAAGCUAGUCGAAAGGUUUAUCAAUAUGGGUAUUAUCAAAUUCGAUGAUUCACUUAGUAUAGAAAAUCCGCUACCUAACCAUAUUGAUAAUGGGGUGAAUGCGAUAAGUGAAGAAAUGUUAGGAAACGUUCACAUCAAUGCCGUAUACGAAGAAACAACUGAAGAAGGGACCUUAUUAGAUAUUCGCCCUUAUAAACCUGGGAGUGUUCUAAAUAAUUGGACUGUAGAAGAAACCCCUGUAGUAUUUACAGCUUACUCAGGGUAAUAUUCAAAACACACUUGUUGAUUUUAACCUAGAGGCAAUAAGAACUCCGUUGUGAAAUAGGCUCAUGUCUGAAAGUCAUUAUUUUAAUGAAAUACAUCCUUGCGAUCAUUUUUGAGCCAAUAUUCUUUCAUUCUUUACGAAUAAUUAUUUUUGAUUCUUUCAUUCUUUUAGAUUUUCUUCCAAAUCAUUCUUUCAUUCAUUCAUAAUCCUAUGUACAAAUAAUUAUUCAUAAAUUCAUAUAUUGUUUGUAUAUUCUUUGGUACCUACAAUAGGUCCCUAGAUAUCAAUGACAUGAGUGAUGCUGCUACAGACUCAGAAUCUUCUUUUGAACGAGAUAUGGGUUUAGAAGGAUCUAAUGACCUUGAAGAUGACAUAGACUGUAGCCUAUCUCUGGGCUUGUUGAUGAUGGUAGAACAGGAAGAGAAACAAAAUUUACCUUAUGAGGAGACAAUAGAGAUUGUGACCUUGAAGGAGGGAAAAGUAGUAAAAAUUAGAACAUGCAUAGCCGAAGAAAUGAAGCAAAAUCGUGUUGAGCUAUUUCAAGAGUUCAAAGGUGUCUUCACAUGGUCAUACCAAGAUAUACCCGUGUUAAGCACUGACAUUGUAAUUUGACAAUGCAUUAAUUUUGAACAAACAGCACGAUAUCAGAAAUUUGUAGUAUGUUCAAGAUUAACAUCAUGAACGAUGCAGUAAAAAAAACUUCCACUGGGCAACACCUUUCUUUUUGGCGUAUCACAACUUUGCUCAUUGAAGUUGAGUUUCCAUCUAUCCGAGUUUUUGUUAGAUUUUAUCCUGAUUGAAAGAAAGAUCCAAAGUUUUUCAUCAUAGUCAAAUUUUUGCCCCAGAAGGCCCUAUGAGAGAAAUCUAAUACCAAGGAAGAUUCUUUGCAUACAAAAUGAAAGUGGAUGGGAAGGAUCUUGUGUGGAAGACUUUAUUUGGAAACGCAUUGAUUCUAAUCGAAAUGGAUAACAAGGACUUGCCUAAUCCUAUGAGUUUCAAAAAAAUGUAAAAUAUUUCAAAAAAAAUGAAAAUGAAAGUGAUGAAAAAAGAAAAGGAAAGAGAAGGAAAAAGAAAAGGAAAAGAAAAAUGAGAGGCCAAAGCGAAAACCCGCAAAGGGCGCUUUAAGACCAAAGGGGAUUUGAGUUGAAAACCCAAAAAGGGCAACUCAAAUUUUGAGUAAAGUAGGGCAUGGAUGUCAUCGGGCCAAUAUCACCGAAGGCUUCUAAUGGGCAUCGCUUGAUUCUUGAGGACAUUAAUUGCUUCACCAAACGGAUAGAGGCUGUUUCAUAUGCCAAUGUUACCAAAUCAGAAGUUAACAAAUUCUUGGGAAAAAAAGAUCAUAUACUGGUAUGGAAUGCCGAAGAGGAUUAUAUCGAACAAUGCAUUGAACCUAAACAAUAGUACGAUAGCUGAGAUCUAUAAUUAAUUCAAAAUCAAACACUAUAACUUGUCACCGUAUUGCCCACAAAUGAAUGGUGCGUUGGAGGCAGCCAACAAAAAUAUCAAGAAAAUUGUGGGAAAAAUGUCUGAAACUUACAAGGACAGGUAUGAGAAAUUACCAUUUGAUCUCAUUGCUUAUCGAACAUCUAUCAGGACUUUUACCGUGGCAACACAUUUUUCUCUAGUUUACGGGAUAGAGGCAGUUUUACUCAUUGAAGUUGAAAUAUCUUCUCUCUGGGAAUUAGCUGAAUUAAAGAUGGAUGAGGCCGAAUAGAUCCAAUCUCGAUAUGAUCAGUUGAACCUGAUAGAAAGAAAAAGGCUAAAAGUUAUUCAUCACGAUCACGUGUACCAAAAAUGAAUGAUGCGAGCCUAUAACAAAAAGAUUCGUCCCAGAGAAUUCCACGAUGAGGACCUGGUGUUGAAAAAGAUCUUCCCUCUACAAAAAGAUUUUAGAGUGAAAUGAAUGCCAAACUGAGAAGGACUUUAUGUCGUCAAGAAGGCCUUUUCUGGAGGAGCAUUGAUCUUAAGUGAGUUGGAUGGUAAAAACUUGCCUAAUCCUGUAAACUCAGAUUCAGUCAAGAAAUACUUCGCCUAAAGAAGGAGAAGGGACCAAGGUGAAAGCCCGCAAAGGGCACCUUGAGUCCUUAAAAAAAGACAAAGGUAAAAACCUGCAAAGGGUGUUUUGAGUUAAAAAAAAUAAAUGAAAAAAGUAAAAUGGAGAGGCCAAGGUGAAAACCCACAAAGGGCACUUUGAGACCAAAAUGGAUUUGAUUUGAAAACUUAAACAACAAUACGAUAGAUGAGGUCUGUAAUCAAUUCAAAAUCAGACACUAUAAAUUGUCACCGUAUUGCCCAGAAAUGAAUGGUGCGUUGGAAGCGGCCAACAAAAAUAUCAAGAAAAUAUUGAGAAAAAUGACUGAAACUUGCAAGGACUGGCAUGAGAAAUUACCAUUUGAUGUCAUUCCUUAUCGAACAUCUAUCAGGACUUCUACGUGGCAACACAUUUUUCUCUGAUUUACGGGAUGGAGGCAGUUUUACUCAUUGAAGUUGAAAUAUCUUCUCUCUGGGUAUUAGCUAAAUUAAAGAUGGAUGAGGCCGAAUAGAUCCAAUCCCGAUAUGAUCAGUUGAACCUGAUAGAAAGAAAAAGGCUAAAAGUUAUUCAUCACGAUCACGUGUACCAAAAACGAAUGAUGCGAGCCUAUAACAAAAAGAUUCGUCCCAGAGAAUUCCACGAUGGGGACCUGGUGUUGAAAAAGAUAUUCCUUCUACAAAAAGAUUUUAGAGGGAAAUGAAAGCCAAACUGAGAAGGAGCUUAUGUCGUCAAGAAGGCCUUUUCUGUAGAAGCAUUGAUCUUAAGUGAGUUGGAUGGUAAAAACUUGCCUAAUCCUGUAAACUCAGAUUCAGUCAAGAAAUACUUCGCCUAAAGAAGGAGAAAGGACUAAGGUGAAAACCCGCAAAGGUCACCUUGAGUCCUUAAAAAAAAGACUAAGGUAAAAACUCGCAAAUGGUGUUUUGAGUUUAAAAAAAUAAAUGAAAAAAGUAAAAUGGAGAGGCCAAGGUGAAAACCCACAAAGGGCGCCUUGAGACCAAAAUGGAUUUGAGUUGAAAACUUAAACAACAGUACAAUAGCUGAGGUCUGUAAUCAAUUCAAAAUCAGACACUAUAAAUUGUCACUGUAUUACCCAAAAAUAAAUGGUGCGUUGGAUGCGGCCAACAAAAAUAUCAAGAAAAUUGUGGGAAAAAUGACUGAAACUUACAAUGACUAGCAUGAGAAAUUACCAUUUGAUCUCCUUGCUUAUCAAACAUCUACCAGGACUUCUACCGUGGCAACACAUGUUUCUCUGGUUUACGGUAUAGAGGUAGUUUUACUUAUUGAAGUUGAAAUCCCUUCUCUCCAGGUAUUAGCUGAAUUAAAUAUGGAUGUGGCUGAAUGGAUCCAAUCUCAAUAUGAUCAGUUGAACCUGAUAGAAAGAAAAAAGCUAAAAGCUAUUCAUCACGAUCAAGUGUACCAGAAACGAAUGAUACGAGCCUAUAACAAAAAGGUUCAUCCUAGAGGAUUCCACGAUGGGGACUUGGUGUUGAAAAAGAUCUUUCCUCUACAAAAAUAUUUUAGAGGGAAAUGGAUGUCAAAUGAGAAUGACCUUAUGUCGUCAAGAAUACAUUUUCUGAAGGAGCAUUGAUCUUGAGUGAGUUGGAUGGUUAAAACUUGCCUAAUCCUGUAAACUCAAAUUCAGUCAAGAAAUAUUUUGCCUGAAGAAAGAGAAGGACCAAGGUGAAAAACCCGUAAAGGGUUCCUUGAGUCCUUAAAAAAAAGACCAAUGUGAAAAUCUGCAAAUGGCACUUUGAGUUUAAAAAAAAUAAAUGAAAAAAGUAAAAUGGAGAAGCCAAGGUGAAAACCCACAAAGGGCGCCUUGAGACCAAAAGGGAUUUGAGUUGAAAACCUAAAAAGGGCGGCUCAAAUUUUGAUCAUAUUGGGACAUGUGGUGAUCUUGUUAUACCUGAAUUAAUAGGAAAGGGCAGGUGACAUCUUGGGACAUCGACAAAGUACUGUAGAUCUCCUAAACACAUGUCAAACUCAGAAUGGUCUUCAGAAAGUUGUACAGAGAAGUUCAAGUUGCGAUAUCUAGGGCACUUAGUCUUCAUACUAUUUAUAUUGAAUUUGUUGUUCUUGGAAUACUUCAUUCUUUUUCAAUAUACAUGUUCCCAAUCAUUCCUCUUUCAUUUUCUUGAUAAUUUAUUCAUUUCGAGCCAUGCUUCCAAAUCAAUUCUAUUUUACCCAUUAUUAUUAUCUUUUUGCAAGCAUGUUGCAUUAUAAUAAUGAUUAAUGAACUAAUAAUACUUUCACAAGGGAAGUUACAGUGGAGCAGACUGAAGACAGCAAAUCUUAUUUCCUUAGCGUUAUAGUGAAACAGAUUAAAGCUACAAAUUAUGACGAAUCUUGUCUUCCUGAAGUUGUAGUGGAACAGAUUGAAGCCAUCAGCCUUAUCUCCCUAAAGUUGCAAUAGAGAAGACUGAAGACAACGAAUCUUAUUUCCCUGGCGUUGCAGUGGAACAAAUUAAAGCUACAAAUUAUGGCAAAUCUUAUAUUCCUGAAGUUGCAGUGGAGCAGAUUGAAGCCACCAGCCUUAUCUCCCUGAAGUUGCAGCAGAGUAGACUGAAGACAACGAAUCUUAUUUCCCUGGCGUUGCAGUGAAGCAGAUUAAAGCUACAAAUUAUGGCAAAUCUUAUCUUCCUGAAGUUGCAGUGGAGCAGAUUGAAGCCGUCAGCAUUAUCUCCCUGAAGUUACAGCGGAGCAGACUGAAGAUAGCGAAUCUAUUUUCCCUGGCAUUGUAGUGGAAUAAAUUAAAGCUACAAAUUAUGGCGGAUCUUAUCUUCCUGAAGUUGCAGUGGAGCAGAUUGAAGCCAACAGCCUUAUCUCCAUAAAGUUGUAGCGGAACAGACUGAAGACAACGAUUCUUAUUUCCCUGGAGUUGCAAUGGAACAGAUUAAAGUUACAAAUUAUGGCAAAUCUUAUCUUCCUAAAGUUGUAGUGGAGCAGAUUGAAGCCAUCAGCCUUAUCUCUCUGAAGUUGCAGCGGAGCAAACUUAAGACAACAAAUCUUAUUUUCCUGGCUUUGCAGUGGAACAGAUUAAAGCUACAAAUUAUGGCGGAUCUUAUCUUCCUAAGGUUGUAGUGGAACAGAUUGAAGCCACCAGCCUUAUCUCCCUGAAGUUGCAGCAGAGCAGACUGAAGACAGCGAAUCUUAUUUCUCUGGCAUUGCAGUAGAAUAGAUUAAAGGUACAAGUUAUGGUGAAUCUUAUCUUCUUGAAGUUGCAGUGGAGUCGAUUGAAACCAUCAGCCUUAUCUCCCUAAAGUUACAGCAGAGCAGACUGAAGACAGUGAAUCUUAUUUCCCUAGCAUUGCAGUAGGGUAGAUUGAAACGACAAAUUCCUAUACCCCUGAAGAUGCAGUGGGAUGGAAUAGGACCUCUUAAAGAGAAGAAGCAUCAAGGAGUCGAGGCUCGGUAGGAUCGGGAAAAAUUUUUAGUCUUUGCUCCAUUCUCGUUAUAUAAAAACGAGUAAAGAGGGGCAGCUGUAAGGCCCAAUUUUUGCCUGGGCCCACGACCAAAUAAUAAAGCAAAUCAAAAAAAUUUAAAAACAAAAUAAAAAAGAAUAUAUAAAAGUCCAAUAAAUUAAUGUCCAGAUUACAAAAUUCUCGUAUGGCCCAAUAAUACCCAAACCCAUUUCUAGCCCAAAACAAAACAAAAAAACCCUAGCAGCAACAACAACCUUCUGCCUUUGAGCUACAGCCGAACCCGCGUGCUGCGCCUCCGCGCUCGUGCGCCCCUUCCGAGCAUGUACCUACAGUAAAGGAGCAGCAAACAAACAUGUCAGCUAAUAGGAAGAACAGAAAACAACAGCAAAUAACAAAAAAAAAAGAAAAUAUAUCUUUGUAAUUUUUAUCUUAUUUUUUGCUAUAAAAAGGUCGUUUCAAAUAUAUAAAAAAGGGGAUUUUUGAGGAAUAGAAAAUUUUGAUAUCAAGGAGAAAUUUUAUAUUGAAGGUAGAUAUUUGUUUUUUUUUUCUCUCUUCUUUUUUGUUCCAAUUUAUUGUUUUUUAAAAAGAGGUAAAACAAUAAGUAAAAAAAGAGAGAAGUUUACCUGGUUGCCUUGUGGCGAUCGACCCUCAGUCCUGCUCGUAAACUGGUGAAAAAAACCCAAUAUAGUGCAUCUCUAACCACCGUGCACGGAGGAAUCGCGACGGCAAUGAGGUGGACUGGCGGCGGCUUGGGCAGGGUAUAAAACCCUAGUAGAGAAAGAGAGGCAACAUUUUUUUUGGAGCAUAUGCUGCUCAUUUUUUUAAAAAAAUUUUGUUUAAAUAAUAAUGCAAUACGACGCCGUUUUGAGACAAGGGCACCAGCGACAAAACGACACCAUUCGGUCUAUUGACCUACGCAGUGACCCGACCUAGGGGAAGGAUCCGCGUGUUUUUACUUUAGUGUGAUAUUUGCGCAAAUGGUCUUCCUGCUUCCAUAGUGUAUUCGGAUCAAUCCUUUUAUUUCUUUUAAAUUUGGCCUGACAUUUUAUUUUUGCUGCAUUUUAGUCCAUAUCAUAGCAUUGCAUUUUGGGAGGAUGGGGAAUAUUUCCCAAUUAGUCCCUAAUGUUAUUCGCGCGCUGCAUUUUCGCCCUUUAAUUUUAUUUUAUUUUCGUUUUUUUCUUUCUGAUUUUGUUUUAAAACCAAUUAAUCCUUAUUAGCUUGAUUUAAUUAGCUCAUUUUUUAAUUCAUUUAAGUAUUUAUAUUUCAAUUUUUUUAUAUAUUUAAUUUUUAAAUCUAACUCUAUUUUUUUUGUAUUUGUGCUUAAUAUUAUUCUAAAUCCAUUAUGAAUUUUGUUUAAAUUUAUCACAUAUUAUUAUUUUAAAUUUAUCAUAUAAUUAUUUUAAGUUUUCAUGUAUUAUUAUUCAAAUUUAUUAUGUAUUAUUUUACAUAUUUAUAUGUAAACUUAAUAUUAUUUAUACACAAUUUAUAGUAUACAUAUUAUACAUAUAUGAUAUAUUAUUGAUUCCAUAUUAUUGUAUUUUUCCUUAUUCUCAUAUAUGUAUAAUUUAUUUCUUUUUUUUUAAAAAAACCUACUUUAUUAUAUUUCACCCAUUUCAACUUUUUUACAUGUAUCUGUUAGAGUAUGCCCAAAGAUCAAUCAUGAGAUGGUUAUAAUAACAUACUUGAUUUAUCAUGUUUAUUAAUAUAAGGCGUUACCAUUAUUAUUUCAGUUUCUUUGCUGUGUAUAUGAAUAAACUGUUUUAUAAUAAUGUCCUAAGAAUAAUAUGAUAAUUCUUAAAAGAUCCUUAGUCAAGUAUUAUUGUUGGAUAGGACAACGAUAAUGCAUUAAGACUAAUAUGUAGUUGAUUGAUGAUAAAGAGUUGAUAUGGAAUGUCAGAAUCGAUGCAUGAAUAUGUGUGUUAGAGAACAACAUAUUGGACUAACCCAUUAUGAGUGUGUUUCUUGGAUUAUUAUGUAAUUGUCACGACAUUACUCAUAGUGAUUAAUAUGUAUAUAAUCCUCAGACUUGAGAUCAUCAUAAUCCCAACGUCAUGAGUAGUAUAUUUUGAUACAGUCAAACGUACACCGUAACUGGUUGUUCUAUAAAGGCUGAUGUUGGAUUUACCACAAUCGAUGUAGAGGGAUAUGGUUGGUUGAUAUAGAAUAAGUCCCUCCUACAUAAUGGGAGUAAUAUCUUAGGCCACUUGAUUAAGUGAGACUAGAAAUGCAUGGCCAUGCUCAAAUAAGUUGAUAUGAGAUCAUACUUAUUUGUAUAUCGUAGUCUGCUUAAAAUAUCAAGAAACAUGGAAUGGACUAUACAAGUGUGACUAUUCCAUGACUUGUGUCUAAUCCAGAGAUAAAGGACAUAAGGAUUAUUGCAUAAAAGGUUAAUCAUAAAAAUAUUAUGUCGAAUCAUGAUCUCUUGUGACUUAGGUAGCAAUGAUGCAUUGCUAGAUGCCACUCAUUGUUUGUAACAUUGGAAUCGUUCUAGUAUUACUGCUAACGUUACAAGAACCUACAGGGUCACACCCUAUAGUUGAAAUGAACGGAAUAAACCAUAGUUGAUAUUGUUUUUGGGUGUCGCUUGAAUUAAAUUAAUUAUAUAAUUAAUUUAAUUCGGUAAUCAAAUUUCCAACACAUUAUGUACAAGGUUAUUGUACGCAUAAUGAGGACAUAAAUUUGGUUAGCAUAUGAAUUCAAAUAAAUAUAUGGUUUACCAAAAUUAUAUUAUAAUUAAUGUAACUAUAAUUUUCGAUUUAAAACAUUAUUAUAUUUAUUUAAUUCCUAAAAACCCUAAAAUAAAAAGAUAUAUAAGAAUCUCGUUUUUCUUUAUUUUGGGGUCUAGCAUCCGUCAAAGAAAAAUCACUCUCAAAAUCGUUUUGGGGAUUUCUUCCGUUUGUAGUCAACUGGGUGGAUUACGUAGAGGUUGGAGUCUCGAUAGAUCGGCUUGGUUCGACUGUAGAUCAGACUACACGUUGUUAAGAAGUUGCUGUCUACUCAGAAUAAACAUUAGGUAAUUUCGUAACCCUUUUCCACCCCGAUUCGUUCCUCACACAUGGAUCCGUGGUUAAGGUCGCCGAUUAUUAAAUUUUUCCGCUGCGCCGUAGGGGUGCCAGUGAUCCAAUAGUGGUGUCAGAGCCACUUGUGUGACACGAACUCGGGUUUUAAAUACUUGGGUGAUGCAAUUGUAUGAGAUGCAUGCUUCAAGUUUAUUAAAUUUCUGACUAUUUGAAUACUUCGGCCCGCUCUCUCCACCACCUCAGUCCCCAUCUUCUUAAAGUAUGUUUGUUUUAAUAAAUAAAACUUGAUGGGCCAUAAAAGUUGAAAGGAUAUGUUUUAAUACACCUUAACAAAAGUGUUUAUUUAUGUAUGCUAUUUUUGACAUGCACAGUGUUUGAAAUGCAUAGUUAUAGCCCGACAGCCCAUUUGAUAAAAGGUUGUAAUUUUAUAAAUACGACCUGCGUGUCGUGCCUUGCUACUAUUCUCUUGUAUUUCUCUUCUCAUCUUACUCCCUCGUAUGUAAAACGAGUUUCUACAUAUUGUAAUUUGCAAGAGUUGCUGUGGGCUAGCCGAGAAGGAAGAUGGGCCAACAAGUGUGGACUGAUAGCUUGAAAACCGGCUUACACCUUUAGGUUUCCUUUUGGUUCUCCCAUUGGCUUGGGUUGUGCCACCUUAGUUUAUGGCCUAUAACUAUUGCAUUUAUUUAUUGCUUUAUUCAUGUNNNNNNNNNNNNNNNNNNNNNNNNNNNNNNNNNNNNNNNNNNNNNNNNNNNNNNNNNNNNNNNNNNNNNNNNNNNNNNNNNNNNNNNNNNNNNNNNNNNNNNNNNNNNNNNNNNNNNNNNNNNNNNNNNNNNNNNNNNNNNNNNNNNNNNNNNNNNNNNNNNNNNNNNNNNNNNNNNNNNNNNNNNNNNNNNNNNNNNNNNNNNNNNNNNNNNNNNNNNNNNNNNNNNNNNNNNNNNNNNNNNNNNNNNNNNNNNNNNNNNNNNNNNNNNNNNNNNNNNNNNNNNNNNNNNNNNNNAAAUUGGUUAAUGACUUAACUAGGUUAUUCUAAUAGGAUUAGAAACCUAGAGGCGAGUAAUUUGGAUAAAUCAUAAGAUGAUUAGAACAAGAGUUGUUCACCAAACUUUAGGAGUUACAUAUGAUGUAAUUAGCAAAGUGUUGCUUACCUAGAUAACCAUAAUCUUGAGAGUAAAGCCAAAGUUGACUUAAGAGGAGGUGAAAUAUAGAUCCUUAACCCACUUGAAAUACUUUUUUUGAGAAAGUAUUUCCGAAACUAGUCUAUGAGGGUAUUAGUUUUGUAAUAAAAUAGUGGGAACAUCAUUUAAUUAAGUCCUUUUAAUGAUUGAUAUAAAUUUGAUAAAUUUUCACACGCAUAAUUUCAUUGUUGUAGAUAUAUUAUGGCUGCAAACACAAAUACACUAUCAUUGCGAUUGGUCCUUGAGAAGGACAAGUUGAAUGGUUUAAAUUUUCUUGACUGGUUCUGUAACUUGAGGAUUGUCCUCAAACAAGAACGAAAAUUAUAUGUCAUUGAACAACCAGUUCUUAACGAACCACCCGUUAAUGCCUCGAGGGCUGAUAAAGAUGCUUACAGGAAGCAUCUCAAUGACAUGGUAGACGUUGGAUGUCUUAUGCUUGCCACUAUGAAUCCUAAGCUUCAGAACCAACAUGAGGACAUGGUUGCUUAUGAAAUGAUUGAGCACCUGAAAGAACUUUAUCAGGGGCAAGCACGGCAAGAGAGGUUCGAUAUCUCUAAGGCCCUAUUCCAAUGUAACCUGGCUGAAGGAAGCCCAGUAGGACCUCAUGUCCUUAAGAUGAUUGGCUAUAUUGAAAGCCUGUCUAAGUUUGGGUUUCCAUUGAGCCAAGAGUUGGCCACGGAUGUUAUUCUGUAAUCGUUGCCAGAUAGCUACAGCCAGUUUGUCCUCAAUUUCAAUAUGAAUGAAAUUGAUAAGACUCUUCCACAGUUGCUCAGUAUGUUACGAACUGCUGAAGGCAACAUGAAAAAGAUUGGACCCAAGCCUAUACUGAUGGUCCGUAAUAAUAAGGGCAAGGGAAAGGCCAAAGUUCAAACAAAGCCCAAGGGCAAAGGUAGGCCCAAGCCUAGAAAAGUAAAGGCAGCAUUGAAACCUAAAGGAGGGGUGGCUAAGGAAGGAAACUGUUUUCAUUGUGGUGUGACUGGACAUUGGAAGCGGAACUGUCCUAUCUAUCUUGAGGAAGUCAAAAAGGCCAAAAUAAGCAGAACGUCUGCUUCAGGUAUUUAUGUUAUUGAUAUUAAUUUAUCAACUACUACUUCAUGGGUAUUAGAUACUGGUUGUGGUUCUCACAUUUGUACUUCUGUAUAGGGAUUGCAAAGGAGUAGAACUUUGGCUAGAGGAGAUGUGGACCUACGAGUUAGAAAUGGAGCAAAAGUUGCUGCAUUAGCUGUAGGAACAUAUAAUUUAUCUUUGCCUAGUGGACUUGGUUUAUGUUUAGAGGAUUGUUAUUAUGUGCCCAGUUUGACUAAAAACAUUAUUUCAAUUUCUUGUUUAGACAAAAUUGGUUUUGAGAUACCUAUUAAGAAUAAUUGUUGUUAAUUUUAUCUCAAUAAUGUUUUCUAUGGUUCGGNNNNNNNNNNNNNNNNNNNNNNNNNNNNNNNNNNNNNNNNNNNNNNNNNNNNNNNNNNNNNNNNNNNNNNNNNNNNNNNNNNNNNNNNNNNNNNNNNNNNAUCAAACAAAUCCCAUCUACAACAUAAAUACUAAAAGAUCAAAAAUAAAUGACUCAAAUCAAACUUAUCUAUAGCAUUGUCGUUUGGGCCACAUAAGUGAGGAACGCAUAUCCAAGCUCCAUAAAGAUGGUCUCUUGGAUUCUUUUGUUUUUGAACAAUUUGAAGUAUGUGAAUCUUGCUUAUUGGGAAAAAUGACUAAAUCUCCUUUUACUGGUAAAAGUGAACGAGCUAGUGAUUUAUUAGGCUUAAUACAUUCUGAUGUAUGUAGGCCAAUAAAUACACAGGCUAGAGGAGGAUUUCACUACUUCAUUACUUUCACUGAUGAUUUCAGUAGAUAUGGGUAUGUCUAUCUCAUGCGCCAUAAGUCUGAAUCCCUUGAAAAGUUCAAGGAAUUCAAAAAUGAAGUACAAAAUCAACUAGGAAAAACUAUCAAGACACUUCGAUCUGAUCGAGGUGGGGAGUAUAUGAGCUUAGAGUUUGAUAAUCUUUUGAAGCAAUGUUGGAUUGUCUCACAACUUACUCCUCCUGGUACUCCUCAAUAGAAUGGAGUUUCUGAAAGAAGAAAUCAAACUUUGUUAGACAUGGUUCAAUCCAUGAUGAGUCAUGCUGAUCUGCCGACUUCUUUUUGGGGACAUGCACUUGAGACAGCUGCUUUCACACUAAAUCGUGUUCCAUCUAAAUCGGUUCAAAAGAUACUAUAUGAGAUAUGGAUUGGGAAACGUCCCAGUAUGUCUUUUAUGAAAAUUUGGGGUUGCAAAGCUUAUGUUAAACGUCAUACGUCUACUAAGCUUGAACCCAAAUCUGAAAAAUGUGUUUUUGUGGGGUAUCCAAAAGAAACUAAAGGAUAUUAUUUCUUUAAUCCCACUGAGAACAAAAUACUUGUUGCUCGGACUGGUGUCUUCCUAGAGAGAGAAUUUGUUUCUAGAAAAGGAAGUGGGAGAAAGAUUGAACUUGAUGAAGUUCGAGAAUCGCAAAAUACCAAUGAACCAGAGAUAGAACAACAGCAAGUUCCACAAGGGAUUGAGGAAUAAAUAAUUACUGUAGAAACACAACCACUGCGUAGAUCUUUAAGAGAAUGCCAAGCACCCGAGAGAUAUAGAUUUCUCAUUACAACGCAUGGUGACGUUCUACUUAUAGAUCAAGAUGAGCCUAAGACUUAUCAAGAAGCGGUGACGAGCCCAGACUCUGAGAAAUGGCUUGAAGCCAUGAGAUCUGAGAUGGAUUCCAUGUAUGAAAACCAAGUAUGGACUUUGGUUGACCCACCCGAAGGGGUUAAGCCCAUAGGGUGCAAGUGGGUUUUCAAAAAGAAAACCGACAUGGAUGGUAAUGUACAAACAUACAAGGGGCGAUUAGUCGCUAAAGGGUUUCGCCAAGUUCAUGGUGUUGACUAUGAUGAAACUUUUUCUCCCUUAGCUAUGUUUAAAUCCAUCAGGAUCUUGCUCGCUAUAACUGCAUUUCAUGACUAUGAAAUCUGGCAGAUGGAUGUCAAAACAGCUUUCCUUAAUGGGAAACUUGAAGAGGAUGUGUACAUGACACAACUUGAAUGUUUUGUCAAUCCAAAGGAUGCUGGAAAGGUAUGUAAGCUACAAAGAUCCAUUUAUGGAUUAAAGCAAGCUUCUCGAAGUUGGAAUCUUCGUUUUAAUGAUGCAAUCAAAGAGUUUGGUUUUAUCAAAAAUGAAUAUGAGCCAUGUGUUUACAAGAAAGUUAGUAGGAGCACUAUAACAUUCUUGGUACUGUAUGUGGAUGACAUACGUAUCAUAGGAAAUGACAUACCUACCCUGCAGUCUAUUAAGACUUGGUUAGGAAGUUGUUUUUCCAUGAAGGACUUGGGCGAAGCCACUUACAUCUUAGGAGUAAAGAUCUAUAGAGAUAGAUCAAGACGACUAUUAGGUCUAAGCCAAAGUACAUACAUAGAUAAAGUGUUGAAAAGGUUCAGUAUGGAAGAAUCUAAGAGAGAAUUCCUACCUAUGAGACAUAGUAUUUCACUCUCGAAGGAAAUGUGUCAUUCAACUCCACAAGAGAGAGAACGCAUGAGUAAAAUUUCAUAUGCUUCUGCUAUUGGAUCUAUCAUGUAUGCCAUGUUAUGUACCCGUCGAGAUGUCUCAUAUGCCUUAAGCAUGACGAGCAGAUACCAAGUAGAUCCCGGUGAAGGUCACUGGACCACAGUCAAGAAUAUCCUUAAGUACUUGAGAAGGACUAAGGAUACUUUCCUAAUAUAUGGAGGUGAGGAAGAGUUACGUGUAAAAGGUUACACUGAUGCCAGCUUCCAAACCGAUAAGGACGAUUCUCAAUCACAAUCAGGUUUUGUGUUUUUCCUUAAUGGUGGUGCCGUGAGCUGGAAGAGUUCAAAGCAAAGUACAGUGGCCGAUUCUACAACAGAGGCCGAGUAUAUUGCAGCUAGUGUGGCAGCAAAAGAAACAAUUUGGAUCAAAAAGUUCAUUACUGAACUAAGGGUUGUGCCUAGCAUAUCAGAUGCUAUAGAACUCCGAUGUGAUAACAAUGGAUCCAUUGCACAAACUAAAGAACCUAGAUCUCACCAGUGAUCCAAACAUAUACUUGGGCGCUACCAUCUUAUUCGAGAGAUUAUUGAUCGAGGGGAUGUAGAGAUAUGCAAAGUACCUACAGAUGAUAACAUUGCUGAUCCCUUGACCAAGCCUCUGACACAGCAGAAGCAUGAUCGUCACAUUAAGUCACUUGGUAUUAGAUAUAUAAGUGAUUGGUCUUAGUGCUAGUGGGAGAUUGUUAGAGUAUGCCCAAAGAUCAAUCAUGAGAUGGUUGUAAUAACAUACUUGAUUUAUCAUGUUUAUUAAUAUAAGGCGUUACCAUUAUUAUUUCAGUUUCUUUGCUGUGUAUAUGAAUAAACUGUUUUAUAAUAAUGUCCUAAGAAUAAUAUGAUUAUUCUUAAAAGAUCCUUAGUCAAGUAUUAUUGUUGGAUANNNNNNNNNNNNNNNNNNNNNNNNNNNNNNNNNNNNNNNNNNNNNNNNNNNNNNNNNNNNNNNNNNNNNNNNNNNNNNNNNNNNNNNNNNNNNNNNNNNNGAUUGAUGAUAAAGAGUUGUCAUUGAUAUGGAAUGUCAGAAUCGAUGCAUGAAUAUGUGUGUUAGAGAACAACAUAUUGGACUGACCCAUUAUGAGUGUGUUUCUUAGAUUAUUAUGUAAUUGUCACGACAUUACUCAUAGUGAUUAAUAUGUAUAUGAUCCUCAGACUUGAGAUCAUCAUAAUGCCAACAUCAUGAGUAGUAUAUUUUGAUACAGUCAAACGUACACUGUAACUGGUUGUUCUAUAAAGGCUGAUGUUGGAUUUACCACAAUCGAUGUAGAGGGAUAUGGUUGGUCGAUAUAGAAUAAGUCCCUCCUACAUAAUGGGAGUAAUAUCUUAGGCCACUUGAUUAAGUGAGACUAGAAAUGCAUGGCCAUGCUCAAAUAAGUUGAUAUGAGAUGUCAUACUUAUUUGUAUAUCGUAGUCUGCUUAAAAUAUCAAGGAACAUGGAAAGGACUAUACAAGUGUGACUAUUCCAUGACUUGUGUCCAAUCCAGAGAUAAAGGACUUAAGGAUUAUUGCAUAAAAGGUUAAUCAUAAAAAGGUUAUGUCGAAUCAUGAUCUCUUGUGACUUUGGUAGCAAUGAUGCAUUGCUAGAUGCCACUCAUUGUUUGUAACAUUGGAAUUGUUCUAGUAUUACUGCUAACGUUACAAGAACCUACAGGGUCACACCCUAUAGUUGAAAUGAACGGAAUAAACCAUAGUUGGUAUUGUUUUUGGGUGUCGCUUGAAUUAAAUUAAUUAUAGAAUUAAUUUAAUUCGGUAAUCAAAUUUCCAACACAUUAUGUACAAGGUUGUUGUACGCAUAAUGAGGACAUAAAUUUGGUUAGCAUAUGAAUUCAAAUAAAUAUAUGGUUUACCGAAAUUAUAUUAUAAUUAAUGUAAUUAUAAUUUUCGGUUUAAAGCAUUAUUAUAUUUAUUUAAUUCCUAAAAACCUUAAAAUAAAAAGAUAUAUAAGAAUCUCGUUUUUCUUUGUUUUGGGGUCUAGCAGCCGUCAAAGAAAAAUCACUCUCAAAACCGUUUUGGGGAUUUCUUCCGUUCGUUGUCAACUGGGUGGAUUACAUAGAGGUCGGAGUCUCGAAUUGCGGCUUGGUUCGACUGUAGAUCAGACUACACAUUGUUGAGAAGUUGUUGUCUACUCAGAAUAAACAUUAGGUAAUUUCGUAACCCCUUUCCACCCCGAUUCGUUCCUCACACAUGGAUCCGUGGUUAGGGUCGCCGAUUAUUAAAUUUUUUCACUGUGCCGUAGGGGUGCCGGCGAUCCAACAGUAUCAUCAUAUAUAUUAUUAUUUAUUUUGAGUUUUUUAUUCCAUAUGUAUUAUUUAUUUAGAUUAACAUAUAUUUAUAUUAUUUUAUAUAUUACUUAUUUUGAUUUUAUUCAUAUGUAACAUUUACUUUAAAAUUUAUUUAGAUAUUUUUGUUUCACAUAGUAUAUAUAUAUUUUUAACACCAUUUUUUAUCUAUUUUAAAUUUUCUUACAUAUUAUUUGUUUUAAAUUUUUGUACGUACACUUUUUUGGUUUACAAUUUCCUUUCUUUCAUGUUUUUUUUAUUUAUUUCAAAACUUGUACAUUGGGUUGGUGUUUAUGUUAAUUUGCUUGUUUCUUAGUUUUUUAUCAGCUUUUAAAUAUUAAUGUUGAUAUUUACAUGUGAUGUGAGAUUAUUGUCUUUAUGUGUAUGGUAUUUGUUUACUGGUAUUUAUUGAUUAUUUGUGUUCAUUAACAUAUAUUGUGGUUUACGAAUUAUCACCUUGCGUCGUACAUUGUUAUUCCAUUGCGUUUUAUUUGUUCAAAAAGUUGUGUUUAAUAUGGUUUAAGUUUUGGGAAUCAAUUUAUUCAAAAGCUUUCAAGAUAACACAAUACUCGGUAUUUGGAAUCUUCGAGAGGAUUAGGCCCUAACUUAUUGGGUUCCAAUUUUUCUCGUUGAAUCUAAAUAAUCGAGAAUAUUCUUUAAUCAAAACACAUAAAUAAAAAGCGUUCCCGAAGAUUCGAUACAUUGUGUCCUAACUCAUUAGAUACGGUAUUUUCUUUUCUCGAGAUGAGAAUUUUUUCUAAAAAAAAAUAAAGGCAAUAUUCAAUGUUCGAAAUUUUGAGAAAUCGUAUAUUAACUUAUUGGGCUUCGAUUUUUCAUCUGACUUAAACAAUUGAAUAUCCUUUUUAAACUUCACUGCAUGAGUUUCAAAAAUUAAAAGACAAGCUCAUUUUCGAGGAUGCAAAACAUCACAUCCUAACUCAUUGGGUGUGACAUUCUAUCUUCCGAAGUAAGAGGGUCUUAGCAUGCAUUUUGAUUUAUACAAGUUUUUUUAAAAAAUAAAAGGAUUGUAUUUUUCAUCUUUUCAAGUUUUCGAUAUUCGGCAUUAAGAUAUUAAUUAAUCAACUAGGUACCAAUUUUGGGCGUAUCGAUGGUGCUAAUCCUUCCUCGUGCGUAACCGACUCCUGAACCCGUUUUCUGGAUUUUGUAGACCAAAAAUUAUAAUUUUAGUAAAUUUAGACUUUUAUUAAAAUGAUUAAAUUAUGAGGUGAUCCGAUCACACCUAAAUAAAAAGAUUGGCGGUGACUCUAUUUUCGUUUUUUAAAUAAAAGGUCGACCCCUUUUAUCAAAAAGUGGUUUCGACAAAGAUAAUAAAAAAAUGGUUAAAUAGAAAAGAAGAUUUAGCGACGACAAAUUUAGCGAUGACAUAAGAUAAUAACGUCUAGGCUGGGUUUGGGGGUUACAUUUAAUGGUAUCAUAGCCAGGUUGCAAAACUCAGUUGUGGAUGUGGGUUUUUAAGACGUGAUUUCUGAGAACUGGUUUUUAAAUGUUUUUAAUGAAAGUAUGGUACACCGAGUCUCCGGCAUCGAUCCAGUAAAUUUUCUGAAAGCAUGAAUUGUUUAAACUGAAACUAAAACUGUCUUUGAUAGUAUAUCCUAAAACUGCUAUAGAUAGUAUAUACUAAUGCUACUAUAGAUAGACUAUACUGAAAACACUUAAAAUAGUGUAUACUGAGAUUGUAGUAAAACUUCUAGACAUUGAUUGACACUGCAAUUGAUGAAACAAACUUUACACUUCUGAUACUUCUUUUUCUAAAAAUAUCUGUUAAUAAACACUGAAACUGUAAACUGAUGCAUAAAACUGUUAAUACUGAUAAAACACAAUUAGACAAUGAGCACCAGAGGUACUCGCGGACGGAGUACUAGAUGCCAAGGUAAAGGCUGUAGAAGGGCUCGAGCUGAGUUCUCGUCACUGGGCAGUUUGCUAAAUUUGGAUACGAGUGAGAUGCCAAUGUCGCCUGCUACUGAGACUAGGUCUCAAGAUCACAUGGUUGGGGACGAUGCAUUGUCCCAGGCUAUGCUAAGGAUUUUGGAGAGGGUCGCUGGGCCCAAUACUGGAUUUGGGGGCCGAGGGUCAGUUACGGAACUACUCCGGUCCAAUAGUGCUUAACUCUUCAGGGGUGUCACUGGGUCACCCUAAUGUGGCCGAGUAUGAGGCCGAGUUUUUGAGACUGAGCCACUAUGCACGAGGUAUGGUGGCAUCUGAGUAUAAGCGAUGUGUCCGCUUUGAGGAUGGCCUCAAGGAUAAUUUCAGAGUUUUGAUAGCCCUGCAGGGGGUGAGAUCUUUCUGCCCUAGUCGAGAAGGUAAAAAUCACCGAUGAGGAUAUGGAGGUAGUCAUGAUCAGAGAACGUCAGAACUACUUAUCUAAUGUGAUCUCUGCACUGAUGGCAGAGAAGUUGGUUCGUAAGGGAUAUGAGGUAUUCUUGGCCUAUGUAAGUGUUUCAUAUUCUAAGGACUCUACAAUUGAGGAUAUCAGAAUGGUAAAGGAUAUUCUGGACGUCUUUCCUGAUGAGCUAUCGGGUUUACCUCUGAAUCAUGAAGUGGAAUUUGGGAUAGAGCUCCUUCUUGGUACGCUCCAGUGUCCAUCGCUCCCUAUAGAAUGGCACCGAAGGAGCUUGUGGAGCUUAAGGCUCAAAUUCAAGAGCUUAUUUAGUAGAAAAUUCAAAUUUCUUAAAUUAUUUAGGGCUAAUAUGAAAAAUUGCGUGAAAUUUGAAAUUUACCACUAUACUUCACUCUCAUCAAUAUUUUAAAAUUUUAAAAUUUUUUAUAAGGCCAAAAUAACAAUUUCCCAUUUUAGGGGUCCAGCCCGCUGCCAACCCCCUGGAUUCACCUCUAACCACGAAUGUUUACUUUAAUUUUCAAAUACAUUUAUUUAAUUUAAAAAAUAAAAACUCAAACCACGUAAUGGGUGUUAUUAGAAGGGCAAGAGAGAUGGCCUUAAGAAAACUGAAUAAAGUGCAAAAUCACAAUACUAUAUAGUUUUCACUUUGUCAAUAUUUUGGUAUCUAAAAACAAAAGCACCCAAUUACAUCAACAACUUCAAAGUUUUAACCAAAAUAAUUGACAGCAUCUUUAAAGUCUCUCUUCACCAUCAACAUGGGUCUUGACUCAACUCCAUGCACCAACACGUUCUAGCUAAAGCCUAAAAGGGAGGGGGAAAAAUUUGAGAUUAGGAAUGUAAUUUUAUAUCAUUGCAGCGAAAAUUGAAGGCUUAAGGGACAAAACCAAAAAAGGCCCUUACACUUUUCCAAAAAAUAUAAUUGAACCCCUAGACGUUAGAAUUAUAAUAAAUUAAACCCUUUUAUCAUUAAAGUUAUACAUGAAAGUUACAAAGCCAAAAGUGCCACUUUUUUUGCCAGUUGUUUUCACCACAUGGCACUAAUAUGAAAGUAAUACCAAUCAUGAGUAGUGAGAGAUACGGAGAUUAUCAAAAGUAAUUGGAGGGGAUGGAAGUCAAGUAGAAGUUACAACCUAAGUAAUAGUUUGGUCAUAAGUAGGCCUGCUCACAAGUCAAGCCUACACAGGAUACUAACACAUUUCACGUUUAGCUAGGCCCCUAACCCAGCACAAAAUAUGGGUAAUAUCAUUCGACUAGACCCAACCCUAAUUACCAAAAGGGAACCAUGAUUGGCCCAACACAACCCACCCAAUUUCUUUUUCUAAUUUUAUUUAACUGGCAGUUAAUUUGUUUACUUAUUGUUCAAGGUUAUCAUAUGCCUUAUCAAUAUUGGCAUUUUUACGUGUGGUAUCCAUCACUGACAAAACGACAUCAUUUUACUAAAUCUUCACUUGCUUAUAGGUAAUGACCUCGCUCUGAUAUUUUAUGCAGAAACAUUAUCAUAGUCUACCAACUUCCUAAGUAGGAAUUUAAGCCUUUGUUUAGAUCAGGAUAUUUUAUUUUCUUGUUGGAACAAAAAGCUAAAUGCAACUAUUGAGGGUAAGGCAAGACAGAACUUGAGUUCUAGUUCUCUAAAGGUGCUAGGAGCCUCGUACCCAUUUAAAACAACAAAUAGAGUAGACAUUUUCACACAAUGCAAAUUCGACGUCUGAUUUAUACAUGAAGUUUAGCAUUACUCAAGUUUUAUACAGGAAGUUCCAAGCUCACUAUCAACUUCUUCUCGACAACAAUAGCAAACAAAAUACAAUGACAAGCAGUAUUGGCUAAUGAAAAAUCCGUCAAUUUACAAGGAUGGGAAUAAUUAAGAUGUGGUAGUGAUGUGAAGGGGGCACUAACCUUCAUUUAGAGCAAACCAAAUGUCAUGGCAAGCAACAUUAGCAAAUGAAUAAUUAUGAUGUGGUAGUGAUAUGAAGGGGGCUCUAAAGUUCAUUAAGAAAAACCAUAUAUUAAAAAUAUCUUCAGGAUAUGAAAUAGUAAUGGCAGAUUGAUGCUCUGUAACUGCAUGAAUCCCUCCAUGUUCAUUGCACCAAAUAUUAAAUCUUAUGUACUCACAACCCUUGUGGAGAUGGUUGACCCAACCCAAAAUAAGCUUGUCAUUACCCAAACGAUACAAAGUGCUUUCCAGUGGUGGAGCCACUGGAAAUUUUGAUGACCAUUUGAUGAGCAAAUGUUUUUGUCAAGCAAAUUAUAUGCCUCCAAAGAACAUUUAUAAAUGAAAGUAUACAGCACAUCGUCCACGGUUGUCGUUGAGUCAGACUGGUAACAAAAUUUUUGUUCGAGGCAAACCCAUGAUUUACAAUCAUAGUAAUAAGCGUAAAGAGUAUCACUGUUAUCGCAGUGCACCAAAAUCUGAGAUUGGGAAAAAUCUAGAACAUGAACGCAUAUAACACAUAUAUCGAUAGCUUUCGGAAUGGGCGAUAAUGAUAAAGAUAUUUUUAAUUUUUGACUAUUUGUAUUUUAAAACUAUUUAUUAAUUAUGAUUAUUUUUAAUGAAUAUAGAAUAAUAUUAUUUUGUAUCAAAUGUUAUAGAUUUGUUGAAAUUUGAUCAAUCAAUUGAAUCAGGAGUUUAGGUAUACUAAUUUGAAUGAGAUAAAAAAUUGGUUAGAUGUUGACAUGAACAAAUUGAAUCGGAUUAAAUUGACUUAAUAUGAUAGUUUAGAGUAUUAAAAAAGAUGUGGAAAUGUGAAGCUUAAAGUUUUGGGUUUUUUUGUUUAUUCAGUAAAUAAAAAUGUUAAUUUUUUAAGUUGAUAGCUUUGUAUAUGUAUUGCUUUGUAUGUGCUUUCUGCGAUAAUUAUAUUUGUAGGUGUUUAGGUAGCCCUCAAAAUCUAACAUUAUUUUUUAUAUGAGUUUCCUCAUGUGAUUUUCACUGCACUUUUCUCUAUUCACAUGGUUAGAUGUGUUGAAGUUGGACUCUUGACUUUGAUAGCAGUGAUAUUCCUUUCUCAAAAUUUUCACAGCAGCUAGUGCUUAUGAUAAUAGUGCUUAAAAAACUGAGUUCACCUAUCGUACCGGUCGUUCGGGCCUCAUUAGUGCUGCAUCUUGUCCUUUAGGAAAGCUAAUUCAAAUCGAGCAUGCCUUGUCGGCAAUCGUAUCGGGUCAAACAUCUCUUAGAAUCAAAGUUGCUAAUGGGGUAGUAAUUGCUACUAAGAAGAAAUUGCCUUCGAUCUUGGUUUAUCUGUUCAGAAAAUACAGUGUCUGAUACCAAGUGUUGAAGUUGUUUACAGUGUUAGGCAGGUUAUAGCAUUUUGGAUCAAGUGUAACAUAAAGUCUUUCUAAACUUGGACAGAACUUCAGGAAGCAAAGUAAGGCAUUGAUUGGUUCUCUUUCCAUUGAACAAUCAAUCCACCAAAGCUCUUUUAAUUCGCUCAAAUAACAUUCAGGUCGCCUACUUGAGAAGGCCACAAUGAUUUCUUUUACAGAGACCAUAAAGAGCAAAAUCUGGACUGAACAAGUCGCACAAGUGUGUGUGCCCACUUGGGCAGAGUAAUGAGCCUCGGGCCCAUUUACACCCAUUGACACCGUUAUGACCAAUUAGGUUACUUAAGUCGCUCAAGGCGACUGCAGACCUUUUGAGAGGUCGAUAUCUACACCGAGACUCUAAUAUUGGUAAAAUAAUCGUAAUGCCUCUGUAGGGUAAAAUAACUGUAAUGCCCCUGUGGGGUAUAAUGACCGUAGUGCCUCUGUAGGGUAAAAUGAUUGAAAUACCCCUGUAAGGUAUAUGACCAUAAUGCCCCUGUAGGCAAAAUGACUGUAAUACCUCUGUUAGGUAAACUGGCCGAUAUACCCUCAAAGGGUAAAAUGAUUAUUUUUCCCAGUGAGGUUAAAUGAUUGAUUUGUUCAUGAUGUAAAUGACUAAUUUGUCUGUGAUUUAAAUGGUUGAUUUGUAUGUGAUUAGUAUGACUAAUUUGUCUGUGAUUUGUAUAACUGAUUCUAAGCAUGGCAGUCUGCAUACACGACAUAUUGCAUGGGGUUGGGAUACUGUUGAGGAGGAAAUAUUGUACUGGUGGCAGCCACAAUCACUGUUACUGGUGGCUUGGCCAUAUAUACUAUUAUUGUUGCUGGCAGCUUUGCUGCGAUGCUACUUAUGGCUUUGUGCUGAUCAUAUUACCGUUACUGAUGGCUAGGUACCGAUCAUAUCACUGCUACUGAUUGCUUUGAGCCAAUCAUAUUACUGUACUUAUGCCUUGUAGUCAUUCUAUUUAUAGCUUAUAGCUAUGCUAUUUAUGGCUCUUAGCCAUUCUGAUUACUAGCAGCUAUGCUGCGAUAUUAGUGUGAGGGCUGGGUGGGUCGACUCUGUCCUCACAUAGUGUGUUGGGUUGGUACGAGUGGUGUGUUGGCUGGAUUGGGAUGGGUUUGCUUACUUGCACCACACUCUGUUAUUGUAUUAGGCUAAGGCCCACACUCUGUUACUGUAUUGGGCUAAGGCCCACACUCUAUUACUGUAUUGGGCUAAAGCCCACACUUUGUUACUGUAUUGGGCUAAGGCCCACACUCUGUUACUGUAUUGGGCUAGGCCCACACUCUGUUACUGUAUUGGGCUAUGGCCACACACUGGUACUGUAUAAGGCAUAGGCCCAGACUGUUACUACAUAUAUUACUAACUGAAUGAUAGGGGAUUACACACUGAGUUUUCGUAAACUCAAUCUUUCUUUUACUUACUUAAAGGAAAUCCUCGGCCAUAGGCGAUUUGGUGCUGUAAGGGACUUUAUUUAAAGUUUGUGUUGGGUUUGUUAAUGUAAUAAGGGUCUUUUAAGUUUGUUUAAGUUUUUAAUUGGGCUUUUGCUUAUUUACUUUAAAUUGCUAAUUUAGGGAAUAUGAACUUUCAAAAUAACUACUAUUUCAAAAAUACGAAAUUUAAACAUUGGGGUUUUCAAAAGCUUCUGCGAUUUUUAGAUCACUGUUAAUAACAAAAUGAUUAAUUGAUUUUAAAAAAUUUAAAUGACAACAAGUUUUACACUAAACACCUCAAUGUGACACCGCUAGAUUCGACCAAAACUCCUAGACCAGGUUUGGGGUGUUUUAACUUUGCUCCAUAGCCUGAUGAUUCAAGCUGACAAAGAUUAUUCGAAAGCCACCGAACUUUCUUAAAGAAGCUAAUGAGCAUCACAUGGAUGAGUGAACAAUGGGUCGCAGCUUGGAUCAAGCAAAAAGGAGAUCAAAGAGGCACCCAUUUGGAGAGUUUGCGAGAUUCGACCUCAGCAUUUAGAUAUGAGAAAAAGGAUCAAUGUCUUUAGUUUAAGUAUAGGGCAAGGCCGUAUAUGUAAAUAUCCAUUUUAUGUAAAGAGAUUUAUCUUCUAGUAAAGUUGUUCUAAUAGAAUUGAAUCAAAAUCAACGCCUCUUUUUGCAUUCAUUUCAUUCAUUUGUAUUACAUUUCAUUGCAUCAUGUGCAUUAAAUUUCACAAAAGAUCCUAAUUAUUUGAGAUAUUUUAGCUAAUCUAGAAACCAACGAAAAUCCACCAACCAAAUAUUACUACGGUACCCGCUGCAAGACGAAAAUAAUGUAUCAAAUAUUGAAAAGGUUAGAACAAUUGCAAAAAGAGAUGCAAGAUCAGAUGUAGGAACAACUGGCUAAAAUUCAACAAGACAUAAGGGAUUAGAUGCUAGAAUCUCAAAGAAAUUUAUUGAGCCAAUUAACGCAGUUAAUGGCUGGGAAGCAUGAUAAAGGGAAGAGUCUAGGUGUCCAGGUUUCACCCCAAUAGGUGUCCAGGCCCAACCAGACGCGCAUCUAUAAGGGGGACCCUCUACUAACAUACCCCAAUAUCAGACCAGUACCUCGGCACCAAUGAACUACCCGACAGGCUCAGGUUCUAAUCUGGGGGACAAUCCAACCAAUCCUAUAGUUUCUGAUCUAGAUAAAAUGGCAGAAAUAGAAAAAGUAAUGGUAGAACUGCCAAAGCAACCUGAAGAUCGGUACAGGUGGUUGAAAAAAAAACUCAAAGCAUUGAGAAUGCUGAUUACCAUUGCGGGGUUGAUGCCAAGGAUCUGAGUUUGGUCCCAAAUCUAGUACUCCCGCCGAAAUUCAAGACUCCAAAAUUUGAAAAGUAUAACGGGACUAGCUGUCCUAAAGCUCACAACACUAUGUUCUAUCGACGGAUGACAGGAUACGUUAAUAACGAUUAACUGUUAAUCCACUGCUUCCAGGAUAGUCUGAUCGGGUUUGUAGCCAAAUGGUACAACCAAUUGAGUCGUGACAAAAUUCACUCAUGGAAGGACUUGGGACAGGCUUUCAUGAAGCAAUAUGGCCACGUGACAGACAUGGUGCCCGAUAGAAUCACACUGCAGAAUAUGGAAAAGAAGUAAAGUGAGAGCUUCAGGCAAUAUGCCCAAAGAUGGAGAUAGGUAGCAACUCAAGUCCAACCACCUCUUUUGGAGAAAAAAACCACGAUACUUUUCAUUAACACUCUGAAGGCCCCGUUUAUUAACCACAUGUUGGGAAGCACUACCAUGAGCUUCUCAGAUAUGGUAAUGUCUGGCAAGAUGAUUGAAAAUGUGAUAAGGAGUGGGAAGAUAGAUACGAGAGAAAGUGUCAAAAGAUCAACCCCAAAGAAAAAUAAAAAUAAAGUGAACAAUGUGAGCAAAGGGUAUUCCAAAUCAGUCACCAUAAGCCAACCGAAGGCUAUGACCACUAGCUAUGAAGGCCUCUUGAGGCAAGAAUCUAACUCAAAGCUAAACACAGAAAGACUCCAGUACACACCCAUCCGGAUGACAUAUAGAGAGUUGUAUCAGAAUCUGUUUGAUGCACAUGUAGUAGCUCUGUUCUACUCAGAACCCGUGCAACUUCCGUUUCCGAAAUGGUAUGAUGCGAAUGCCUAAUGCGAAUACCACACGAAAAUAACAGGAUACUCAAUUGAAAACUGCACUACAUUUAAAAAGUUAGUUCAAAGGUUCAUCAAGAUGGGCAUCGUAAAGUUUGACGAUCCAUCAAGACCUAAUGCGGUAGAAAAUUCAUUACCCAGUCAUCCAAACCUAGGGGUAAACGCGAUAAUUGAGAAGGGAGGAGAGAGAACCAAAACCAAUGUUGUAGAAGUAAAAACCCCACUAAAAUGGGUUUUGAGACAAAUGAUAGACAUGAGAUUAAUCACUCAAAAUUUGGAGAAAAGACCAAAAGGGAUGGGAAGUUACUAUGAGUUCCACGUUGAAGAAGGUCAUGAAAUCCAAGAGUGCACUGAAUUCAAAUCUUUGGUGCAAUGCCUAAUGGAUAAUAAAGAAUUGGAAUUCCUUAAAGAGGUCAAAGGCCAAGAAAGAAUGUUGGGGAAUUCGAACGUCAAUGCCAUACCCAAAGAGGGAGUCAGGGAAGAGAAAUUAUCAAGCAUUUUCCCUUAAAACACAUGGGAGUGUUUUGAACAAUGGGACUGUAGAAGAGAUCCCUGAACUUUUUAGACCUAAUUCGGAGUAAUGUCCAAAACACGCUUGUUUCUCUAAGCCUAAGAGUAACAAGAAUUCUUUUGUGAGAUAGGCUUAUGUCCAAAAUCUUUAUUUCAAUAAAAUGCAUCCUUGUAUCUCACUUCGAGCAAAUAUUCUUUUAUUAUUUCCAUUUCAUUACUAAUCAUACUAUACAUAUAAAUAUUCUUAGAUUCUUUCAUUCUUUGGAUCUAUCUUCGUCCCUAUAAUAGGUCUCCAGAUAUAAAUAAUAUGAGCGACACUGCUAUUAACUCAGAACCUCCUUUUGAGAAAGAUAUGUGUCCAAAGGAACUUUGGGACUUUGAAGGCAACCAAGAUUGUAGCUUAUCUCUUGAUUUGUUAAGGAUGGUAGAACAAGAUCCUACCUUACAAAGAAUCAAUGGAAGCCAUGGCCUUUCUCUAUGUAGGGCAGGGAUGUCAUUGGGCUAAUCUUGCCAAAAGCUUCUUGCGGUCAUCAAUUCAUCUUUAUGGUCGUCGAUUACUUCACUAAGUGGGUGCAAAUAAGCUAAUUCAUAUGUUAAUGUCACAAAGUCGGCAGUCAGCAAAUUCUUGAAAAAUCAUAUGUUGGUAUGGAAUGCCAAAAAGGAUCAUAUCUGACAAUGCACUAAAUUUGAACAACAACACGAUAUAAGAAGUUUGAAGUCUGUUUAAGAUUAACACCAUAUCGCCCCAAAAUGAAAGGCACGGUGAAAAAAAAACUCUACCGGGCAACGCCUUUCGCUUUAGCUUAUCACGGUUUUGCCCAUUGAAGUCGAGAUUCCUUCUUUUUGAGUUUUUUUGAAUCCAAUCUCGAUUGAAGAGAAAACUUCAAAGUUAUCUGUCAUGUUCAAAUGUACUUAAAACAAAUGAUGCAAGCUCACCAAAAAGCUUCGCCUUAGAGAAUUCCAUGAUGGGGACCUGGCAUCGAAGAAGAUCCUACCCAUACAAAAAGACUUUAGAAAAAAGUGGAUUCCAAACUAAGAAGGACCUUAUGUGGAAGGCCUUAUCUAGAGAAGCGUUGAUUUUGAUCGGGAAGGAUAACAAGGACUUGCCUAAUCCUAUGAGUUCAGAUUCAAUCAAAAAAAUGUUUAAAAAAUAAGCAAAAGAAGAAAAAAUAAAAAUAAAAAAAGAAAAAGAAAAAUGAGAGGCCAAGGUAAAAACCCACAAAGGGCGCCUUGAGACCAAAGGGGUUUUGAAUUGAAAACCCAGGAAAAGGGCAAUUCAAAUUUUGAUCAAAGGUGCGGCAUGCGGUAGUCUUACUAUGUCUGAAUUAGCAAGAAAGAAGGAUGCUACAUCUUGGGGCAUCAACAAAGUCUUCUACGACUUCUAAACACAUAUAAAGUUCGAUAGGGUUCUUAAGAAGUUUAGGCAAAGAAGCUCAUGCUACGAUAUCUGGGGCACCUAUUUCCAUCUUAUUCAUUUUUGUAUUUUGACAAAAUACGCCAUCUUGAUUAAUUUAUUCUCAUUUUGUAUUCUAGCAAAAUUUGCUAUCUUGAUUAAUUUAUUCAUUUCGAGCUUUGCUCUCAACAAAAUUCCCUCUUUUCUAUUGCGGUAAUCUUUUUCAAGCAUUUUUCAUUGAAAUAACGAUUAAUAGACUGAUAGUAUUCAAGUAAAAGAAGUUUUACACAUUGCUUUGAAAGCUUCUAAAUAGUACGAUGACCUGAAACAAGACUAUUAUUUAGAACUAACAAAACCUAAGGGUUGGAAACAUUUGAGGAAAAAUAGUCUAAAUUGUGACUAUUUCUUUGGAUCUUCUGUUAAAUAUACCAGUUGAACAUGAAAGCGGCGUAAUACGUUAGUGUUAGAACCUUGAUGAACAGCGAGCAAUGACAACCCAAACAAAAAAGGUAUCAUUCUCAAAAAUGACAUUCUGCAUUCAUGUAAAUAUCAUGCAUACCUAUCUAGUUAGGAGUAUUUGAUUCAUUCUGAUCAUAACAUCCUAAUCUAGGCCCAUGAAAUGAAUUUUUCAAAGUCAUGUUACCCGGAAAAGGGUGUAAUAGAUCAAUGAAAUUACAUAUCUCAUACCCCUAAAAUUGCAGUGGGACGGAUUAAAGUUGUAUAGCAAACCUUAUUUCCCUAAAGUUACAGUGGGGCAAGUUGAAGUUAAAAGUCUUAUCUCCCUAAAGUUGCAAUGGAGCAGAUUGGAGAUAGCAAAUCUUAUUUCCCUGAAGUUGCAGUGGAACAGAUUGAAACUAUAAAUAACAUAUCUUAUCUAUCUGAAGUUGCAGUAGAACAGAUUAUAUCAAACCUUAUCUCCUUGAAGUUGCAGUGGAGCAGGUUAGAUCAAUCUUAUCUCCCUAAGGUUGCAGUGGAUCAGAUUGAAGCCACUAAUUUUAUCCCCCUGAAGUUGCAGUGGAGCAGACUAUAGAUAAAUCAAUCUUAUCUCUCUAAAGUUACAGUAGAGCAGAUUGAAGACGGGCUACAUAUCUUAUCUCUCUGAAGUUACAGUAAAGCAGAUCAUAUCAAGCCUUAUCUCCCUGAAGUUGUAGUGGAGCAGAUUAAAACAAUGAAUCCUAUACCUCUGAAGUUGCAGUAGGUCGGAUUAAAUCUACCAUAACAAGUCUUAUCUCCCUAAAGUUGCAGUGGAGCAGACUAAAACCACAAAUCUCAUCCUCUUGAAGUUACAACAAAGUAGAUUGAAGCUACAAGUCGUAUCUCUCUGAAGUUACAGUGGAGUGGAUUGAAGCAACAAGACGUAGUGGAUUGGAGCAAUACUAAGAAGUCAAGACCUGGCGAGACAGGGUAGAAUUGGCCCUUUUAAAGUCUUUGCUCCAUUCUCAUUACACGACAAUGAGCAAAGAGGGGCAGCUGUAAGCCCCAAUUUCUGCCUGGGGCCCAAAUAUUAAAACAAAACAAAAUAAAAAAAAGCAAUCCAAUUACAAAGAAAAAACAACAGGCCCAAUAUAGCCCAAGGCCCAAAACAAAAAUAAACCCUAGCCAAACCACCUAAAACACUUUAGCAAAAAAAACCCUAGCCACAUGAUCAGCCGCCCCAGCUCUUCCACAUCAGCAAGCAUGCCUCUGUUCACGCCUCUGCCACCGCCACCGUCAGCCUCUGCCACCACCUACAAAGAAAAAUAGACACGCAAAAUAGAAGAAAACAACAAGGAAGAGACAAAGAAGCAACAACAAACAAGAACAAAGAAACAAAAUAGAUUUUGUAAUUUCGGCUAUAGAAGCCCGAGUGCAUCUUUAUAAUUUAUUUUUUGGUUGGAUGGAUUAAAAAUACAAAAGAAAUUGAAACAGAUUCAAAAAAAGAGGUGCUUUUCUUAUUUUCUUUUUUUUUUAUUUCGAAAUAAAUAAACAAAUAGUAUAAAAAAGGGGUAUUUGGUUACCUUGGAGGCUGUGGUCGGAGGCUCCUCCGGCCCUGAGGGCAGUUGAACCAGUGGGUUCGCCAAAGAAACCUCAUCGGCAGUAUGAGAAACCGAAAGGUUCUUUAUUUUUUUGUUUUUUAUUUGUUUUUGAAUUUGGGGAGCUUGUUGGACUGUUUUAACCCCCAAGUUAGGGUUCUACUUGAAAAAGGAGUGAAAAAUAGGGUUUUGGAACUUUUCAGUCACCGCGGCAGCGGUCGACCGGACUCCUGGCCGAAGCUAGGCCGACGUCAGAAGAGGGAGAGAAGGGUUGAGAGGAUUCUUUCUUUCUUUUUUUUUUCAGGAAGAGGUUUAAAAUGAUUUUUUUGUAAAAUUUUUAACUUAUAUAGGAGUAUAAAAUGACACCAUUUUGGGCCUAAGCUUCUGACGCCAAAACGGCGUCGUUUUGAGGGAGCCAACCCGAACCCAACCCGCUCCAUGGGUAGGAUCCGCGUGUUUUUGUUGGAAGGGCUAAUUGCACUUUUAGCCCUUCCUCUUUUUAAUGAUUUUUAAUCAAGUAUUUUUCAUUUUUUUAAUUAUACCCCAUAAUUUAUUUCGGCUUUCAAUUUGGUCCACCUUGAAGCUGUGCGUUUUGGAGGGUGGGGAUUAUUUCCUAUUUGGUUCCUCCUUGUUAUUCACGCAUUUAAAUUGGCCCUUUUCCUUCUUAUUUAUUUUUGAUUUGCCCCAAAUUUCUAUUUUUAAUUUCAAAUUAGUCCUUUUUUUUGUCAUUUUUGCUACUUUAUAAUUAAAAUUAAUUAAUUUAACAUUAUUGCUUUCCUUUUUUAUUUGUUUACUUGCAAUUUUAUUAAAUUAAUUAGUUUCACAUUAUUAUUUCUAUUAUAUUUAUUUUUUUAUUUACUUAAAUAUUUUAAACACAUUUAAUUCAUUAUAUUGUAUUUUUUAUUUAUUUUUAUUCUUUAAAACUUUAAAUUAUUUAUUAUUCGUAUUAUUUUUAUUAAUAUUAUCAUUAUCAUUAUUAUCUUUUUAAUUUAUAUAAUAUCUAUUUGUUCACCAUUAUUUUUAUAUAAACAUAUAUACAUAUAUAUAUUACUUAUUCUUUUUUUAAUAUUUCAAAUACGUUUAUUUCAUUAUGUCACUCUUUUAUUUAUAUUUUUUGUCGCAUAAUCUUUAAACUUUAGAUUUCUAUUAUAAUGAUUAUUAUUAUUAUCAUCAUCAUUAUUAUAGUCAAUGUUAUUCUUAAAUUGUUUUAUAUAAUAUAUAUUUAUUUUUAUAAUAUCAAGUCUUUAACUUUAAAUUUCAGGUUCCUUUAUUAUUCAUUUUGUUUAUUGUUUUUUAGCUCGUUUGUUUUAUUCUUUAUAUCGUCAUUCAUAUAAACUCAUUUAUCAUUAUUCCGAUAUGCAUAUUCCUACCGUACUUUAUUUCUAUCGAUUCGUAUUACAUUAAUUUUACUCAAUAAAUAAAUCACGAUUUUAAAAUAAGUAAACAUCGUAUUUUUGAGAUCGAAAGUCGUACACUAACUACGGGUUCCGAUUUUCUGGAUAAUCAAUACGAACGUUUUUUAAGUAAUUUUCAUAAUCCUCGGAAUUAAUUAAGAAAAAUCGUAUUCUAACUUAUGAAGUACGAUUUCUUCCUAAAAUCGAGAGGAUCAAAUACCUUUCAAUAAAUAAACUUUUCGGUGUUUAUUCUCUACCGGGAAUUCAAGACAUUGUGUCCUAACUUACGGGACAUAAUUCUCUUUCUCGAUUAACGUGAAAUAUGCCCCUUCCUCGAAAAUCCUCAGCAUUUCAAAAAGGGAUCAUAUUUUAAAGUUUCAUUCAAAUUUUCAACCUUCAAUAUUAGGACAUUAAUUAAUCGACUAGGUACCAAUUUUGGGCAUAUCGAGUGUGCUAAUCCUUCCUCGUGCGUAACCGACUCCCAAACCCAUUUUCUAGAUUUUGCAGACCAAAAAUUAUUGUUUUAAUAAUUUAAACUUUUAUUAAAAUGAUUAAAUUACGAGGUGACCCGAUCACACCUCAUAAAAAUGAUCAGUGACGACUCCCAUUUUAAUUUCUGUUUUCAAACAAAAGUCAACCCUUUUAUUAAAAAAAUGGUUUUGACAGCUAUAGGAUGUUCUCAUGGUUAAUUCUUCAUUUGAUCAUUGUCUUCUUUGUUAAUUUAAUUUUUAUUUUUGGUUUGCAGCAGUUAUGUCGGAACUAGAUUGUGCGAUUAUAAAACGAGAUGAUAGUGUGUAUUAUAGAGUGCUAAUGAUUUCAAGAAAAGAAAUUAGCUCCACUUUCUUGUCGUUUAAAGACGAAGAGAAAGCUUUGGAACUAUACACACAUUUAGUGGAGUAUCACGAUAACUGGAUAUUAAGUUGCCAUCAUCUUGCAUGGUAUCAAGAUGAAUGGCUGGUUGCACUAGAAUAUUCUAAAAAUAUUGUAACGUAUUUUAGAGGAAAGACGGGGAAAAAUUUAUUUUUAUUAUAUUUUUAUGGUAUACAAUUUCAUGGAAUGAUUUUGUAAAAAUUUCGUUUGAAAAUUUUGACGUUUGGGCACUCAAUUUAGUAAAAAGAACUAAAUUGUAAAAAGUGCAAAAGUUGAGUUCUACAUGUUAGAAGUGUCCAAUUGUUAUGAAAUUUUAAAUUGGAGGUCAUUAUAUGGUAAUUAGACCAUUGGUUAAGUUGGUGGACAAAAAUGGACAUGGUUAGGAAUGUUUCCAAAGUUUUUCAUUUAGGGCAUUUUGGUCAUUUAGAUAUUAAAAUGAAUUAAAAACAAAAUUAAAAGCCAAUUUUUGUCCAUCUUCAAGCUUUGGCUGAAUUUUUCAUGAAGAAACCAUGGCUAGGGUUUUUCAAGCUUCCAAGCUCAAUUGUAAGUCAAUUCUAGUCCCGUUUUUAAUGAUUUUUACGUUUUUAAAAUCCUUGUAAAAAGAUCUAGUUAUUUCUACCAUUAUUUUGAAAUAGGGUUUGUGUUUAAAAAUUUACCCAUGUAUGAUAUGCAUGUAUUUUGAUAUUUUAUGGAAGAAUAUAAAUGUUUGAGAUGUGACAAACGUCUUUUACUAAGUGAUUUUCGAUGAAAGUGCCUAAAAGGAUUAAUUUGUAAAAGUUAUAAAAUAUGUCACAAGUGUGUAAAUAAGUUAUAAAACAUCUUUUACUCGUAUUUUCUUUUCUUUCUCUUAAUCACGUGAUUUUUUUUAUUCUUUUCUUCUUUCUACUUCUAGUCCAGAUUUUGAGGUGUGACAAUUUCUAAAUAUAUUUAAAGAGAAAACCAAUUUCCUUACCUUUCAUAUAUUUUCAAAAAAUAAUUAAUUUCGAAAAAACUAGAUGCCUAUAUCAAAAUAUUAAAAUAAUAUUAUUAAUUUAAUAUGAAUUAAAAAAUAAUUUUACAAUGACAAUAUAAUUUUUCUAUAUUCGUUACCUGCUUUUAUUGCUUAUUACCUAAUUUAUUAAACCUUCAAAUUGAUAAAGAUACAGUUCUGACAGUUGCCUACUCAACAUAUUCUCAAUGUUAAUAAUGCUAAUCUAUAAAAUAAACAAUUUAAGUAAAAGUUAAUAACCAAAGUAAAUAGAAUAACAUAAUAAAAAAUAUUGAAAUCUUACUUUUGGUGUUAUAUUGUCAUUGUAAUGAUAGUAAACAUUAGAGCAGUACUGUACUACAUAGGCAUAGGAAUUGGUUGGGCAACUAGAUUCUGCAUGCUCGAAUAUAGAUUUAACCACAGAAUCACAUUUCACCGCCAACACCCAAUCAUAUAAAUGUUUAUUUUGCAACAUAUUUAGGCAUUUGUCAAGAUUAUGCCACCAAAUCUCUUCACGCUUCAUCAUGUGAUUUAGAUUUAUAAUAAAAUAGUACUUAUCAAUAGGUCUCCAAAAUAAAGGUGCAUCCAGUAGAAAUGUGAGACUCAUGUAUUCCCUAUCCAUUUGGACAUAGGCAAAUAUGUAAACAAAAAAAUUAUGAAAUUAAUGAAGUAAAACAUAUGAGUUAUCGAACUUUAAAAUAAAUAUAUAAAAGAAAGCUUAAAAGUUUUUAAAUUUAAGCUGGUUAAGAAACUAUGAUAAUUCAUUCAGCAUAUUGAAAUUCUCAUAAUUUUGGAUAACAGAUUCGAAUGCAAUAUUGACGAUGUAGUCCAUCAAAUAUUUCAACUCAUCAAUAUCACCUUCCAUUGAUUGGUCAGGUGCAUUCAAAUUGGGUAAAAACUUUACCCCCACCGAAAUUAGUGAUGAAUAUAGACUUUAUCAGACCUUGCGUGUAAAUGCUCUUAUUAUUUUUAGCCCAUAUAUAAGCCACAUCUUUUAAGAUCUUACCGAAAUCCUCACUAAUGUAAUUGAACCAUUCACGUUGAUUUCGGUUACUAUUUUCCCACCUCUCCAUCUUUUCUCUAAAAUAUGUUGCAAUAUUUUUUGGAAUAUUCUAGUGCAACCAGCCAUUCAUCUUGAUACAGUACAAGAUGAUGACAACUUAAUAUCCAGUCAUCAUCUUUUACGGUAUCAAGAUUAAUGGCUGGUUGCAGUAAAAUAUUCUAAAAAUAUUGUAAUAUAUUUUAGAGAAAGGAUAGAGAGGUGGGAAAGUAGUAACCGAAAUCAGCGUGAAUGUUUCAAUUACAUUGUGAGGAUUUCGGUAAGAUUUUAAAUGAUGUGGCUUGUAUAUGGGCUAAAAAUAAUAAGAGCAUUUGCACGCAAGAUCCGGUAAAGUCUAUAUUCAUCACUAAUUUUGGUGGGGGUAAAAUUUUUACCCAAUUUGAAUGCAUCUGAAAAACCAAUUGAAGGUGAUAUCGAUGACUUGAAAUAUUUGAUGAACUACAUCCUCAAUAUGCCAUUCGAAUCUGUUAUCCAAAAUUAUGAAAAUUUCAAUAUGCCGAAUGAAUUAUUAUUAUUUCUUAACCAGCUGAAAUUUCAAAACUUGUAAGUUAUCUUUCAUAUAUUUAUUUUAAAGUUCGACAAAUCAUAUGUUUUACUUAAUUAAUUUCAUAAUUUUUUUAUUUACUUAUUUGCCUAUGUCCAAAUGGAUAGGAAAUACAUGAGUCUUGCGUUUCUACUGGAUACACCUUUAUUUUGGAGACCUGUUGAUAAGUUCCAUUUUAUUAUAAAUCUGGAUCACAUGAUGAAGCGUGAAGAGAUUUGGUGGCAUAAUCUUAACAAAUGCUUAAAUAUGCUGCAAAAGAAAUAUUCAAAUGAUUGGGUGUUUGUAACACCCCUUACCCGUAUUUGACACCGGAAUAGGGUACGAGGCAUUACCAAAACACAUACACUUAUAAACAUGUUAAACCGAGUUAUAAAAUUUCAUUCAAAUUUAAACUCUUCAAAUUUUUAACAUGCUUUUAUAAAUAUUAAUGUUAUAACUUCAAAAUACUAUAUUUGUAACAAAUAGGGCUUCUAAGACCCAAUACAUAUUCAUACAAUUCAAUACUUCAUUUCCAUUUCAUUUAAUUCACGAUUCUAAUGUUCACGAUUCAAUUCAAUUUCUCAAUCCAAUAUACAUUUCAAUACCACAAUAAUUUAUUUAAUUCAAAUCAUAUCAUUUGCAAUUUCCAUUUAAUUCACAUACAGUUCAAUUUCAUUAAGUUCAGUACUAAUACAUAUUUAUUGUUUAACUUAACGUCCCCUUUUUGCGCCAUUUUACACUUCAAACAUGAACUUAGUAUUUCAUUUCCUUUCCACUCCCGUUUCCUAUGCAUAUGAAACAAGAUAUAAACAUUACACUCAACCAUAGUUGCAAGCUAGUCUUUUUUUGAAGACUAACCACAUGAUAAACCAUUUUAAUAAAGAUUACAAACUUUAAACCUUACCACCUUUUUAUGAUCACAAGCAUAUUUCCAUCUAGGCAUUUACCAUCUCAAUGCAUAAUUUUAAAAAUUUAAUGUGACGUAAUCCAACCACAACUUAGCCAAAGCCUAAGCAUACACACCAAAUAUGCUAGCCAAAUAAACAUAUACUAUAAGCAUUAUAAGCAUGGAUAAGCACAACAAUUAUUUAUGUAUCAAACUUACCAACAUGAGUUAAUUCAUAAACCAUUUCUAACAUUGCUACAUACCAAAUCAUAUACCAAGUAUACCACAUACACAUACUAUGAAAUUUUAUUUUUUCACAUGAACUUUAACCAUAACUAAUACUGCACAAUUAUAAACAUCAUUUCUUUUCAAUAGUUUAUCGAUUAUAAUCGACAAUAUGGCCAAUUAUACAUAAAUCAUUCAUAUGUUCUUCCAAUUUUCCUCCUCCUCCUCCUCUCCAUUCCACAUCCUUAAUGUACAUAACACUCUUAGAAAUAAUAUUUUCUAUAGUUUCACUAUUCACUUACAUGUAUACUUAAAAUUUUUUCUCCGAUUCAGAGUCACUAAAUUAUUUUUACCCAGAGAUACAGAGAUCCAAAUUAAGAACUGUUAAUUUUGCUCGAAACUAGAUUCAAAUAUCGUCUUACCAUAAAAUUUUAAGAAUUUUUGGUUUAGCAAAAUAGUACAGGUUAUUCUUUAAAUUUUCCCCUGUUUCACUGUUUGACAGUUCUAACCUCUCUUCACUAAAAAUUAAUUAUCUCAUUGUACAGAAUUCAGAUAUUAUUUUCGUUUGUUUCUCUUGAAAAUAGAUUUACUGAGGAUUCUAAACAUAUAAACUUUAUCCUAUAACUAUUUUUGUACAAUUUUGUAAAAUUUUCCAAAAUCAGAAUAGGGGAUUUCGAACUCAUUCUGACUCUAUCUAACUAAACUUCAAAUAUCUCAAAAUAUAUAACUCUUUUGCUUACUUUGUUUCUUUUAUGUGAAAAUAGACUAAUUCAGAUUCAAUUUCAUAUAUUAUUCAGCCUCUAAUUCAAUUUCCACCAUUUUUGGUGAUUUUUCAAAGUCACACAACUGUUGCUGUCUAAAUUGUUUUGUUGUUAAAUGUACUCUUUCGUAAUUUCACUUUUUCACUUUCAAUCACAAUUCAAUUCAAAAUUCACUUUUCCAUUUCUAAGUCGAUAUUCAAUUCAAUUCCACACCUAUAUUCAUUAUUCAAUUACACUUAGUCAAUUUCCUAAUGAACACUUCUAAAUAAUAAUAGAUACUCGGUGGAUUCAGCACAUAACAACCACCUUAUUAAUUAAUGAUGUCCGGUGUAAUCAGCACAAAGCAACCACCUUAUUAAUCAAUGCUGUCCGGUUCACAUAGUAGCCUUCACAUGUGAUCAUUAUCAUCCGAUACAUGUAGGAGGCUGCACAUAGUACUACACACGUGAUAGAAACUAUCCAGUACGCAUAGUAGCCUAUAUAUAGUACUACACAUGCGACCUAACAUUCCGGUACACGUAGUAGCCAGCACAUAGUAUUACACACGUGACCAUCACUUUCACUUUUACAUAGUGGCCUACACACAAUCCGUGCCACAUAUGUCAUCAUUUCUGUCACUUCAUUCGUAUCCCUUUUUAUUCCAAAGGUUCAUUCGGAAAUUUUUCACAUUUUCUCACUUUUCUUUUUAUCGAUCAAUUUCAAUUUCUCGUCUUUCUUGAUUUAUAACAAUACAUUUAACUUAUAUAACAUUCACACUAUUCAUUCCAGUCCAAAAAUCAUACUUUGUAAAAAUUACGUUUUUGCCCUUAAAGUUUCACAAAAUUACAAUUUUGCCCCUACGCUCGUAAAAUAAUUUUUAUUCAAUUUCCUUGCAUUUUAGGCCUAGCCGAACCAUUUUCAUAACUAUAGCAGUCCACAAUACUCACUUAUCCACACACUUGUGACAUAUUUUAUAACUUUUAGAAAUUAAUCCUUUUAGGCAUUUUCAUUGAAAAUCACUUAGUAAAAGACGUUCAUCACACCCCAAACAUUCAUAUUCUUCCAUAAAACAUAAAAAUACAUGCAUAUCAUUUAUGGGUAAAUUUUUAAACACAAACCCUAGUUCAAAAUAAUGGUAAAAAUAGCUAGAUCUUGUUACGAGGAUUUCAAAAACGUAAAAAUCAUUAAAAACGGGGGAAGGAUGGACUUACUAUUAAGCUUGGAAGCUUGAAAAUCCUAACCAUGGCUUCCUCCUUGCUAAAUUCGGCCUUAUGGAGAAGAUGGACAAAAAUUGGCUUUUAAUUUUGUUUUUAAUUCAUUUUAAUAACUAAAUGACCAAAAUGCCCUUAAUGAAAAACUUUGGAAACAUGCCUAGCCAAGCCCAUUUUUGUCCACCAACUUAACCAAUGGUCUAAUUACCAUAUAAAGACCUUCAAUUUAAAAUUUCAUAACAAUUGGACACCUCUAACAUAUAGAACUCAACUUUUGCACUUUUUAUAAUUUAGUCCUUUUGACUAAAUUCAGUGCCCAAACGUCAAAAUUUUCGAACCAAAUUUUCACGAAAUCAUUUUUUGAAAUCAUAGACCAUAAAAAUAUAAUGAAAAUAAUUUUUUCUCAUCGAAUUUGUGGUCCCAAAACCACUAUUCCGACUAUCCCAAAUUCGAGCUGUUAUAACUCUCCCCCCUUUAAGGAUUUUCGUCCUAAAAAAUUUUACCAGAUAGUAGAUUAAUGAUUUGCUUCCACACAGUACAUUUCAAAUUCACACAUGAUUUUGGAUUUUCAUAUCUUUUAUAGAUAAUUACAUAGAUUAAUAAGAAAAUCAGGAUAGUAAUAUUUCAGCAUCUGAAGCUACACAAAGUAUCGGAAAAUUACAAUCCAUAUAAAAUGAUAUCCAUUCCGAUGAUAAAAAAAAAUGUCUAGAAAGAUCAAUGUCACUCAUAAAUAAUGGAAUCCAAAGUAACAAAAUCAAUAUAAUCUUCACGUAUAUUCAAUAGAACAAUAACCAGUAGAAACAAAAUAUUAACCUCACUCAGACUUUACCGUUGAUUUUCAUAUUCACACAAGGGAAUAAAAACCAAAAAAAGACAUGGCAAUGUCAAACAUAACCAAAACAAACCCAUAAUUAUUUCAUCUAUUAAUAUGUUUAGCUAAUGUUCUUAUACGAUAAGAAUUCUUUUUGAAACUAAACAGUCACAUAUACCUCUGAGGAUAAUUGUACAUACAGAAUGUCUAAAAGGAAUCAUAGAAAUUACCCCAUUAUAACUAUUGUACUCAACUAUUAAUACAAUACAAACAUUACACAAUUGUCUAAUUCUGUCAUCACAAUUUUCACAUUAUCUCUUUACUAACAAAAAUCAAUCUAAAAAAACUUCCGGUUAAUUCUUUCUUUAAAUAACAUACCUGAAUAAAUCAUUUAAUCGGAUUAACUUCUUUUGUGACAGUAACUUUGCAUAAUCUGAGUAGUUUUCAAGACUAUCCAAUAUCUCUCUUUUUAUAUUGUCUUCAUUUGCUAAUUCAUUCACUUUUCUGACCACAUUAUUAAUCUUCCGUACACAAACUUCUGUAACACUACACGUAAGCUUAUUCAACCAAAAUCUUAUAAAUUUCAUUGUAACAUUUUACUGAUAUGGGGGGUGUGUAGUAAAGCCUCAAAUUUAUCUUACGCAUAAAUGCGCAUAAUACAUACUAUCACAAAUAGCCAAUUCAUUACUAAUUUCACAUUCUCAAAGAAUUUAAUAAACAUUUGCUUUUAAUCACUUUUGUUCUUAACACAUAAUUCAUAUGCCAGUUCAAAUCACUAAUUCGCAAUCGAAAUUUCUAUAUAGCAUCAUAAUCCAAAUAUCAUAACUCAUGUGCUCAUAUAAUUAUAACAUUUAUCAAUAACAAAGUGGUAUACCCUUUGAUCCAUAUCUUUACGAGUUUCAACUCAUAAUCAAUACAUUUUCACUCAAACAUUUAAGUGUUUACUUCUAUACUAUCAGAAUUAACUCAGUUGAAAAACAUAUCUGUUUCAUCAAGAGAAUUUUUGUCAUAAAACAAUACUGAUAAGGGGGUGAUGGUGAGGUCAUAAAGCCUCUAACUUACUCUUAUAGAUACAUAUAUAUAUGACUUUGCAUUCAUCAUCAAUGUAAUACCAUCAUAACCACGUAGUUCAUUCCAAGCAAAUUAACACAUCUAUUUAUUAUGAAUAUUUUCUGUCACCCACAAUUUCACACAAUGAAUUUACUUACUCGAGCUCAAUAUUAAUAUCUAAUUAAAUUCAAAUACUUAGCUUCCAUUUUACUUACCGACAUUUAUUCAAUUGGGGAACGUCUUACAGAAUUGCGUACUUCGUUUUCUCUAUGCCAUAAUAUAACUAUGGUCUUGCACAUAUUUACAUAUUGAUGCCAUAACCCAGCUAUGGUCUUACACAGUAGCACAUAUCACACCGAUGCCAUAUCCCGGAUAUGGUCUUAUACAAAAAUCACAUAUCACAUGUUGCCAUGGUCCAACCAUGGUCUUUUUCGUCAAUUCAUCACAUAUCACUGAACGAAAGUACUCAUUCCUGCGUUCUACUAAAUUUAAUCUUCUAAUUUAGUUUUCAUACUAUUAUAAUAUUCAUGAUUCAAUAAUAAAGACAUAAAAUAAAACAUUAUAUUACCUCUAAUUUAACAAUUAAACAUAAGAUUCUAUCAUAUAAACGUACCGCUUUCACUUAUUCAAGCAAAUGUACAUAAACACACAUUCCAUCUAUUUAAGUAAAUUCGCUUGCCAUAUUCACUUAAUCAAAUAUGUUGAGCACAUAGCAUCAUAUAAUCACCAACAUACUUGGAUGAGCUUAUCACAACAUAAACUUUCAAUUCGUUUUUUUUUUCAACUUAUGAUAAUCUCUUUUCAUACAUGAACACAUACAUAUCACGAAUUUCUAUUCUUACAUUUCCAAAUUCCAACAUAACGUGAGCAUAUUUCAUUUAUCUUAAAAUCAUUUUUAGUAUUAUCGAAAGUAGCUCGAUUGAAAAUCAUCUCUGUCUUAACAAAACAAUUUCAUUAAAGCCUGAAGAUAUCACACCAUCACGAGUCAUAGUAUGGCAUGUAUAGCUGGACUCACAUAUGCUACAUUCUGUCCGAGAACCGGCUAAACUGUAGCUCUGAUACCACUAAAUGUAACACUCUUUACCCGUAUUUAACAUCGAAAUAGGGUACGAGGCAUUACCAGAACACAUACACUUAUAAACAUGUUAAACCGAGUUAUAAAAUUUUAUUCAAAUUUAAACUCUUCAAAUUUUUAACAUGCUUUUAUAAAUCUUCACGUUAUAACUUCAAAAUACUUCAUUUGUAACAAAUAGAGCUUCUGAGACCCAAUACAUACUCAUGCAAUUCAAUACGUCAUUUCCAUUUCAUUUAAUUCACGAUUCUACUGUUCACGAUUCAAUUCAAUUUCUCAAUCCAAUAUACAUUUCAAUACCACAAUAAUUUAUUUAAUUCCAAUCAUAUCAUUUGCAAUUUCCAUUUAAUUCACGUGCAGUUCAAUUUCAUUAAGUUCAAUACUAAUACAUAUUUAUCGUUUAACUUAACGUCCCCUUUUUGUGUCAUUUUACACUUCAAGCAUGAACUUAGUAUUUCAUUUCCUUUCCACUCAUGAUUCCUAUGCAUAUCACACAAGAUAUAAACAUUACACUCAACCAUAGUUGCAAGCUAGUCUUUUUUUGAAGACUAACCACAUGAUAAACCAUUUUAAUAAAGAUUACAAACUUUAAACCUUAUCACCUUUUUAUGAUCACAAGCUUAUUUCCAUCUAGGCAUUUACCAUCUCAAUGCAUAAUUUUAAAAAUUUAAUGUGGCGUAAUCCAGCCACAACUUGGCCAAAGCCUAAGCAUACACACUAAAUAUGCUAGCCAAAUAAACAUAUAGUAUAAGCAUUAUAAGCAUGGAUAAGUAUCACAUUUAUUUAUGUAUCAAACUUACCAACAUGAGUUAAUUCAUAAACCAUUCCUGACAUUGCUACAUACCAAAUCAUAUACCAAGUAUACCACAUACACAUACUAUGAAACUUUAUUUUCUCACAUGAACUUUAGCCAUAACUAAUAAUGCACAAUUAUAAACAUCAUUUCUUUUCAAUCGUUUAUCGAUUAUAAUCGAGCAUAUGGCCAAUUAUACAUAAACCAUUCAUAUGUUCUUCCAAUUUUCCUCCUCCUCCUCUCCAUUCCACAUCCUUAAUGUACAUAACACUCUCAGAAAUAACCUUUUCUAUAGUUUCACUAUUCACUUACAUGUAUACAUCUCUGAGUCAAAGUUACUAAAUUAUUUUUACCUAGAGUUACAGAGCUCCAAAUUAAGAACUGUUAAUUUUCCCCGAAACUAGAUUCAUAUAUCUUCUUACCAUAAAAUUUUUAUAAUUUUUAGUUUAGCCAAAUAGUACAGUUUAUUCUUUAAUUUCCCAUGUUUCACUGUUUGACAGUUCUACCUCUCUUCACUAAAAAUUAAUUAUCUCAUUGUACAGAAUUCAGAUAUUAUUUCUGUUUGUCUCUCUUGAAAAUAGAUUCACUCAGGAUUCAAAAUAUAUAAACUUUAUCCCAUAAUUAUUUUUUUAUAAUUUUUUAAUAUUUUCCAAAUUCAAAACAAUGGAUUCUAAAAUCAUUCUGACUCUAUCUAACUAAACUUCAAAUAUCUAAAAAUAUAUAACACUUUUUCUUAGUUUGUUUCUUUUAUGUGAAAGUAGACUCAUUCAACUUCAAUUUCAUAUAUUAUUCAGCCUUUAAUUCAAUUUUUACCAUUUUUGGUGAUUUUUCAAAGUCACACAACUAUUGCUGUCUAAACUGUUUUGUUGUUAAAUGUACUCUUUCAUAAUUUCACUUUUUCACUUUCAAUAACAAUUCAAUUCAAAAUUCACUUUUCCAUAUCUAAGUCGAUAUUCAAUUCAAUUCCACACCUAUAUUCAUUAUUCAAAUACACUUAGUCAAUUUCCCGAUAAACACUUCGGAAUAAUAACAGAUACCCGGUAGAUUUAGCACAUAGCAACCACCUUAUUAAUCAAUGAUGUCCGGUUCACAUAGUAGCCUACAAAUGUGACCAUUACCAUCCGAUACACGUAGUAUCCUGCACAUAGUACUACACACGUGAUAGAAACUAUCCGGUACGCAUAGUAGCCUAUAUAUAGUACUACACAUGCUACCUAACAUUCCGGUACACGUAGUAGCCAACACAUAGUAUUACACACGUGACCAUCACUUUCACUAUUACAUAGUGGCCUACACACAGUCCGUGCCACAUAUUUGAUCAUUUAUGUCACUUCAUUCGUAUCCCUUUUUAUUCCAAAGGUUCACUCGAGAAUUUUUCACUUUUUCUCACUUUUCUUUUUAUCGAUCAAUUUCAAUUUCUCAUCUUUCUUGAUUUAUAACAAUACAUUUAACUUAUAUAACAUUCACACUAUUCAUUCCAGUCCAAAAAGCAUACUUAGAAAAAUUAUGUUUUUGCCCUUAAAGUUUCACAAAAUUACGAUUUUGCCCCUAAGCUCAUAAAAUAAUUUUUAUUCAAUUUCCUUACAUUUUAAGCCUUGCCGAACCAUUUUCAUAACUAUAGCAGUCCACAAUACUCACUUAUCCACACACUUGUGAUAUAUUUUAUAACUUUUACAAAUUAAUCCUUUUAGUCAUUUUCAUUGAAAAUCACUUAAUAAAAGACAUUCAUCACACCCCAAACAUUCAUAUUCUUCCAUAAAACAUAAAAAUACAUGCAUAUCAUUUAUGGGUAAAUUUUUAAACACAAACCCUAGUUCAAAAUAAUGGUAGAAAUAGCUAGAUCUUGUUACGAGGAUUUCAAAAACGUAAAAAUCAUUAAAAACGGGGGAAAGAUGGACUUACUAAUGAGCUUGGAAGCUUGAAACCCUAACCAUGGCUUCCCCCUUGCUAAAUUUGGCCUUAUGAAGAAGAUGGACAAAAAUUGGCUUUUAAUAUUGUUUUUAAUUCAUUUUAAUAACUAAAUAACCAAAAUGCCCUUAAUGAAAAACUUUGGAAACAUGCCUAGCUCUGCCCAUUCUUGUCCACCAACUUAACCAAUGGUCUAAUUACCAUAUAAAGACCUCUAAUUUCAAAUUUCGUAACAAUUGGACGACUCUAACAUAUAGAACUCAACUUUUGCACUUUUUACAAUUUAGUUCUUUUGACUAAAUUAAGUGCCUAAAUGUCAAAAUUUUCAAAAACGAAAUUUUCACGAAAUCAUUUUGUGAAAUCAUAGACCAUAAAAAUAUAAUGAAAAUAAUUUUUUUCUCAUCAAAUUUGUGGUCCCGAAACUACUAUUCCGACUAGCCCCAAAUUCGGGUUGUUAUAGGGUUGGAGGUGAAACAUGAUUCAGUGCUUAAAUCUAUAUUCUAGAAUGCAUAAUCUAGCUUUCCAACCAAUUCCUAUCCCACUGUGGUACAGUACUGCUCUAAUAUUUACCGUCAUUACAUCGACAAUAUAACACCAAAAGUAAUAUUUUAAUAUUUUUUAUUAUGAUAUUAUAUUUACUUUUGUUAUUACUUUUACUUAAAUUGUUUAUUUUAUAGAUUAACAUCAUUAACAUUGAGAAUAAAUUGAGUAGGCAACUGCCAAAACUGUAUCUUCAUCUAUUUAAAGAUUUAAUUAAUUAUGCAAUAAGCAAUAAAAGUAGGUAAGAAAUAUAAAAAAAAUUAUAUUAUAAUUGUAAAAUUGUUUUUUUAAUUCAUAUUAAAUAAAUAUUGUUAUUUUAAUGUCUUGAUAUAGACACUCAGUUUUUUCGAAAUAAAUUAUUUCUAAAAGUAUAUGCAAUCAGCAAUAAAACUCGUAUUUUCUUUUCUUUCUCUUAAUCACGUGAUAUUUUUAUUCUUUUCUUUUUCCUACUUCUAGUCCAAAUUUUGAGGUGUGAUAGUUUCUAAAUAUAUUGAAAGAGAAAACCAACUUCCUUACUUUCAUAUAUUUUCAAAAAUAAUUAAUUUUAAAAAAACUGGAUGUCUAUAUCAAAACAUGAAAAUAACAAUAUUAAUUUAAUAUGAAUCAAAAAAAUAAUUUUACAACGACAAAAUAAUUUUUCUAUAUUUGUUACCUGAUUUUGUUGCUUAUUGCAUAAUUAAUUAAACCUUCAAAUAAAUGAAGAUACAGUUCUGGCAGUUGCCUACUCAACUUAUUAUAAAUGUUAAUGCUAAUUUAUAAAAUAAAUAAUUUAAGUAAAAUUAAUAAAAAAAGUAAAUAGAAUAACAUAAUAAAAAAUAUUGAAAUCUUACUUUUAGUGUUAUAUUGUCAUUGUAAUGACGGUAAGCAUUAGAGCAGUACCGUACUAUAGAGGCAUAAGAAUUGGUUGGACAACUAAGUUCUGUAUGCUUGAAUAUAAAUUUAAGCACCGGAUCACGCUUCACUGCCAACACCCAAUCAUAUGAAUAUUUCUUUUGCAAUAUAUUUAGGCAUUUGUCAAUAUUACACCACCAAAUCUCUUCACACUUCAUCAUGUGAUACAGAUUUAUAAUAAAAGAGAAUUUAUCAACAGGUCCCCAAAAUAAAGAUGCAUCUAGUAAAAACGCGAGCUUCGUGUAUUCCCUAUCCAUUUGGACAUAGGGAAAUAUGUAAACAAAAAAUUAUAAAAUUAAUGAAGUAAAACAUAUGAGUUAUCAAACUUUAAAAUAAAUAUAUGAAAACUUACAAGUUUUAAAAUUUGAGCUGGUUAAGAAACAAUGAUAAUUCAUUCGGCAUAUUGAAAUUCUCAUAAUUUUGGAUAACAGAUUCGAAUGGCAUAUUGACGAUGUAGUUCAUCAAAUAUUUCAACUCAUCAAUAUCACCUUCCAUUAGUUGGUCAGAUGCAUUCAAAUUGGGUAAAAACUUUAACCCCACUGAAAUUAGUGAUGAAUAUAGACUUUACCGGAUCUUGCGUGUAAAUCCUCUUAUUAUUUUUAUCCCAUAUACAAGUCACAUCUUUUAAAAUCUUAUUGAUAUCCUCACUAAUGUAAUUGAAUCAUUUACGUUGAUUUCGGUUACUAUUUCCCUACAUCUCCAUCUUUUCACUAAAAUAUGUUACAAUAUUUUUAGAAUAUUCUAGUGCAACCAGCCAUUCAUCUUGAUACCAUACAAGAUAAUGACAACUUAAUCUCCAAUCAUCAUCUUUUACGGUAUCAAGAUUAAUGGCUGGUUGCAGUAGAAUAUUUUAAAAAUAUUGUAAUAUAUUUUAGAGAAUGGAUGAAGAGGUGGGAAAGUAGUAACCGAAAUCAGCGUGAAUGUUUCAAUUACAUUAGUUAGGAUUUCUGUAAGAUCUUAAAAGAUGUGGCUUGUAUAUGGGCUAAAAAUAAUAAGUGCAUUUACACGCAAGAUCCAAUAAAGUCUAUAUUCAUCACUAAUUUCGGUGGGGGUAAAGUUUUUCCCAAUUUUAAUGCAUCUGAAAAACCAAUGGAAUGUGAUAUUAAUGAGUUGAAAUAUUUGAUGAACUACAUCGUCAAUAUUGCAUUCGAAUCUGUUAUCUAAAAUUAUGAAAAUUUCAAUAUGCCGAAUGAAUUAUGAUUAAUUCUUAACCAGCUCAAAUUUCAAAACUUGUAAGUUAUCUUUCAUAUAUUUAUUUUAAAGUUCGAUAACUCAUAUGUUCUACUUCAUUAAUUUCAUAAUUUUUUUAUUUGCUUAUUUUCCUAUGUCCAAAUGGAUAUGAAAUACAUGAGUCUCGCAUUUCUACUAGAUGCGCCUUUAUUUUGGAGACCUGUUGAUAAGUUUCAUUUUAUUAUAAAUCUGAAUCACAUGAUAAAGCAUGAAGAGAUUUGUUGGCGUAAUCUUGACAAAUGCCUAAAUAUUUUUCAAAAAAAAAAAUCAUAUGAUUGGAUGUUGGCGGUGAAACAUGAUUUGGUGCUUAAAUCUAUAUUCGAGCAUGCAGAGUCUAGUUGCCCAGCCAAUUCCUAUGCCUCUGUAGUACGGUACUGCUCUAAUUUUUACCGUCAUUACAAUAACAAUAUAACACCAAAAGUAAGAUUUCAAUAUUUUUUUAUUAUGUUAUUCUAUUGAAUUUUUUAUUAACUUUUAUUUAACUUAUUUAUUUUAUAGAUUAGAAUUAUUAACAUUGAGAAUAAGUUGAGUAGACAAUUGACAGAACUGUAUCUUUAUCUAUUUGAAGGUUUAAUCAAUUAGGUAAUAAGCAAUAAAAGCAGAUAAAAAAUAUAAAAAAUUAUAUUGUCAUUCUAAAAUUAUUUUUAAUUUAUAUUAAAUUAUUAUUAUUAUUUUAAUAUUUUGAUAUAGGCAUCCAUUUUUUUCGAAAUUAAUUAUUUCUAAAAAUAUAUAAAAGGAAGGGAAGUUGGUUUUCUCUUUAAAUAUAUUUAGAAACUUUCACACCUCAAAAUCUGGACUAGAAGUAGGAAAAAGAAAACAAUAAAAAAAAUCACGUGAUUAACGGAAAGAAAAGAAAAUACGAGUUUUAUUACUUAUUGCAUAUAUUUUUAGAAAUAAUUGAUUUCAAAAAAACUGGGUGCCUAUAUUAAAACAUUAAAAUAAUAAUAUUUAUUUAAUAUGAAUUAAAAAAAUAAUUUUACAAUGUUAAUAUAAUUUUUCUAUAUUCCAUACCGACUUUUAUUGCUUAUUGCAUUAUUAAUUAAACCUUUAAAUAGAUGAAGAUACAGUUCUGGCAGUUGCCUACUCAACUUAUUCUAAAUGUUAAUGAUGCUAAUCUAAAAAAUAAGCAAUUUAAGUAAAAAUUAAUAACAAAAGUAAAUAGAAUAUCAUAAUAAAAAAUAUUAAAAUAUUACUUUUGGUGUUAUAUUGUCAUUGUAAUAACGGUAAACAUUAGAGCAGUACCGUAUGACAGAGGCAUAGGAAUUAGUUGGGUAACUAGAUUCUGCAUACUCGAAUAUAGAUUUAAACACCGUAUCACGUUUUACCGCUAACACCUAAUCAUAUAAAUAUUUCUUUUGCAAAAUAUUUAGGCAUUUGUCAAGAUUACGCCACCAAAUCUCUUCACGCUUCAUCAUGUGAUCCAGAUUUAUAAUAAAAUAGAACUUAUCAACAAGUCUCCAAAAUAAAGGCGCAUCAGUAGAAACGCGGGACUCACGUAUUUCCUAUCCGUUUGGACAUAGGCAAAUAAGUAAAUAAAAAAAUUAUGAAAUUAAUGAAGUAGAACAUGAGUUAUCGAACUUUAAAAUAAAUAUAUGAAAGAUAACUUACAAGUUUUGAAAUUUGAGCUGGUUAAGAAACAAUGAUAAUUCAUUUGGCAUAUUGAAAUUUUCAUAAUUUUGGAUAACAGAUUCGAAUGGCAUAUUGACGAUAUAUUUAAUCAAAUAUUUCAACUCAUAAAUAUCACAUUCCAUUGGUUGGUUAGAUGUAUUCAAAUUGGGUAAAAACUUUACCCCCACCAAAAUUAGUGAUGAAUAUAAAUUUUAUCGGAUCUUGUGUGUAAAUGCUCUUAUUAUUUUUAGCCCAUAUACAAGUCACAUCUUUUAAAUUCUUACCGAAAUCCUCGCUAAUGUAAUUGAUCCAUUCACGUUGAUUUCAGUUACUACUUUCCCACCUCUCCAUCAUUUCUCUGAAAUAUGUUACAAUAUUUUUAGAAUAUUCUAGUGCAACCAAUUGUUCAUCUUGAUACCGUACAAGAUGAUGACUGGAAUAUUCUAAAAAUAUUAUAACAUAUUUUAGAGAAAGGAUAAAGACGUGGGAAAGUAGUAACCGAAAUCAACGUGAUUGUUUCAAUUACAUUAGUGAGGAUUUUGGUAAGAUCUUAAAAGAUGUGGCUUGAUAUGGGCUAAAAUUAAUAAGAGUAUUUACAUGCAAAAUCUCAUAACGUCUAUAUUCAUCACUAAUUUCGGUGGGGGUAAAGUUUUUACCUAAUUUGAAUGCAUCUGAGCAACUAACGGAAGGUGAUAUUGAUGAGUUGAAAUAUUUGAUGAACUACAUCGUUAAUAUGCCAUUCAAAUCUGUUAUCCAAAAUUAUAAGAAUUUCAAUAUGCCGUAUGAAUUAUAAUUGUUUCUUAACCAGCUCAAAUUUAAAAACUUGUAACUUAUCUUUCAUAUAUUUAUUUUAAAGUUCGAUAACUCAUAUGUUUCAUAUAUUUAUCUUUCAUGUUUAAUAUGUUAUAAAGAAUCAAACACUAAUUCAUAUAGUUUGAUAUUGUUAAGAGAUAAAAAAAAAUAAAAUACAUAUGCGGUUGACAUUUGGUCUAAUGGUAUCUCCAUGUACUACAAUAGCAUAGGAGAUCGUUACGGACAUUCAUACCAAUUCAAAGCAAGAUUGCUCCAAUCGUAUGCUAAUACUACUAAAGCAGAAUAUCUUGUAAACAAAAGAGGAAAGGAAAUUUUUGAGCAAAAAUCCAAAAAGAAAAUUUAAUUUACUAGCAACUUCAUUGAUAAGUAGGAUUGAAUAUAGAAGGGAUUGAAAAAACAUACCUGGAAUUGGCUGAGAUUGCCUAACGGCGGAACGGAGACAGUUGAAGGUUACAGCGGAGAAGGAGAUGACAGUAGUGAGUGGCACAAUGAAACUUAGGGAUUUUUGGUGAAAAUAGAAACUCAUCAUUAAAAAUAUUUAAUCCCAAGCUAAAAAAUGCUUAGAUAAGAGUUUAGUCGAACAAUCUAUUACACUAGAAUCCAUUUCCCAAGAUUGAGUUAUGAGAUAACAAUAUAGUAUUCCUCGUACCACAGCACAGUCACGUUCCUGCUAACACAAUUCUCAUAAUUUUUCGGCUUCUUAAAUAUGAUUUAGGAUCUCAUUAGAUUGAGUAUCCCUACUAUAGAUAAUCUUAAUAUAGUACACAUGUAUACAGUUCACAGAACACAAUUCUAGCAAUAAAGCACACACGGUUCACUAAACACUAAUUUAGAAGUUCACACAAACACAUAUAGGGUUGUAAACAAGUUCGCAUAAUAUACGAGGUUCGCAGAAGUUACAAACAUAUCACAUAAGAUGAGUUUUGCAAAGGCGUUCGUAAAGGAUUCACAUUCAUAAUCGUAUAAGAAAAAAAGGUUCGCAGAGGAUUCGUAAAUCAUAAAAUCACAUAGUAUAUGGUUAGUGCCCAUGCAUACAGUUCACAAAAGAUUUAGUCCCACACCUGAAUUUGCUAAACUGAAGCAAUAUUGACAACAUGAAACGCGUCACGAUUCAAACUUGCCUCGCUUUCUUCCCGAUCUAUACCUUGCAGACAAAAAGUAUACAUGAAGAAUUCAACCACCAGAGAAUUAAAGGAAAGCAAUUUUUUAUUAGAUCACCACAAACUUACACUGCCAGAGAGCAAAAUGAUGCAACAAUGAGAUCCUUGAGUAGCCAAAACAUUCAACAAUGGAGGAACAAAAUCAGCAGAAGGAAAAGAGAAAAUGAAUAGAAAGGGAGACACAAAAAUAACAAUGGUUUCGGGGCAGAGUAUCCCCACUAUAGAUAAUCUCAAUACAGUACACAUGUAUACAGUUCACAGAACACAAUUCUAGCAGUAAAGCACACACAAUUCACUAAACACUAAUUUAAAUGUUUACACAUAGACACAUACAGAGUUGCAAACAAAUUCGCAUAACAUAAUAGGUUCGCAGAGGUUACAAAAAUAUCACAUAAGACGAGCUUUACAUAGGCGUUCGUAAAGGAUUCGCAUUCAUAUUCGAAUAAGAAAAAAAGGUUCGCAGAGGAUUCACCAACCACAAAAUCACAUAGCAUAUGGGUAGUGCCAUGUAUACAAUUCACAAAAGAUUAAGUCCCACACCUGAAUUUGCUAAAUUGAAGCUCUAUUGAAACCACGAAAUGCGCCAGGAUUCAAACUUGUCUCACUUUCUUCCCUAUCUAUACCUUGUAAACAAAAAGUAUACAUGAAGAAUUCGACCACCAGAGAAUUAAAGGAGAGCAAAAUUUGAUUAGAUCACCACAAACAUACACCGCCAGGGAGCAAAACGAUGCAACAAUGAGAUCCUUGAGUAGCCAAAACAUUCAACAAUGGAGGAACAAAAUCAGCAGAAGGAAGAAAGAAAAUCAAGCAACGAGUUGUAAAUGAAAAAAUUGAUCAUUUGCAAAUUGCAAGCCAUUCUAAAAGAGUGCACUCUUGUUUCUCCCUGCUCAGAACUUACUAUAGUAAAUGGGAUCUGUUAAUAAAAUAAUUCAUUCACCACAAAAUGCAACUAAUACCCAAAGAAUGUAUUAAAACGAAACCAUGCAUCUUAACUUGCACUUAUAAGUUCAGAAAACAUGAAAACAUCAGAAUAAUACAUGCAGAGAAGUUUUUUCAACAGGGCUUAAGAUCUAGAGUUGAAUUCCACUUGUUCAAUUAGUACAAGCAAUGUUUAAACUUGAGAUGAUAAAGCAUACCUACACCAGAUGUUUCACUGUAGUCAACUUUGUCACUACUAUAGACAGGUUUGGAAUAUCAAGAAAAUUAAUCCAUACUCCACCAGAAAACCAAUAGAAAACAAAAUCCAUGAAAUUUUGAAUGAUAAUUCUGACUAUUAUUGACUAUUGUUCAUCUCAACAAUUUUUGGACAAUGAAAGUACUUUGAUAUGGAAAACAAAUACAGAAUUUUUCAUAUUAUGUAUAAUCAGAUAACAUUGAAUGGGUUGAAAUUUUCAACUGAGAAUAAUUAUUAACUUCCUUACCUGAAGUGUAAAGGCUUCUCGAGGAAUUGGCUCUAGAGUUGUUACUAGGUAUACAUCGUUGUAUUCAUUAUUGAUGAACUUUCCAUUGUUUGUGACACUGCAAUCAAAUGUAAACAGCAUNNNNNNNNNNNNNNNNNNNNNNNNNNNNNNNNNNNNNNNNNNNNNNNNNNNNNNNNNNNNNNNNNNNNNNNNNNNNNNNNNNNNNNNNNNNNNNNNNNNNNNNNNNNNNNNNNNNNNNNNNNNNNNNNNNNNNNNNNNNNNNNNNNNNNNNNNNNNNNNNNNNNNNNNNNNNNNNNNNNNNNNNNNNNNNNNNNNCAUAAGAUUGAUGCAGCAUACCACAGAAAACUAAUAAAUCAAAACACUCUUCUCUAAGAAAAAGGAAGUCAAUACAACUAUCAACUUACAAUGAAAAAUAUAACACCGUUUUUCAGAGUAAAUUUAUGCCAAAUGCUAAUUGUUUAUUGAAAAUAUUGAACCCGGAUGAACACAAAACAGACUUGAAUUUAGUAAGACGGCAUUAGCAUCAGAAAUUAAUGCACCAAUGGUUCUAGCAAAGCAACAAAACCAGAGAAAAUGUUGCCAAAAUCACCAAAAAAGCAUCAUACUCAUCUGACCAGCUGCACCAAUUACAUUCCAAGAAGAGAGUAAAUUACACCAAAACAAAAGAAUUUUUAUCAACUAACCACUCCUCAAGAAAAACGAAUAUCUACUCAAAUGCAUCCUUUGGGAAGAUCACCCCUAGUUCUUCUUGAAGCUCCCUCCUGAACAAAUAAGAUAUUUAGCAAGCAUUGUGUUUUACACUAGAUCAACCAAAAAGGGAUAAGUUUAGCAAUAAUAUGUUCACCAAGUAAUAGACGACGGAAAAAAUGGGCCAACAAGGUAAAAAGAAAAUCAAUGAAUGUUGAUCUCCAAAGAAUUUCUUGUGUUGAAAGUUACUACAAAGGAAUGGACAAUAAGAUAUUUAAAUAAAGAAAGAAAAGAAAAAAAAAGACUCAGAUGUCUUCGCUCUUUCCGAACAAAAAGGUUUCUUGGCCAUCUAGAAACAACUAGGUUUACCAUCAGUUAGGAAACUAUCAAUUAGAUAUUUAAAAGAAAUGUAUUAACCAAAUCUAGCAAGUACAUAGAACAACAGAAAGUAGCAAUGAUAAACAAGAACAUGGGGUGCAUGGCACACAUAGAAAGAUUAAACACCGAACAGUUUUUCAAAUGGCGGAGGUUGCUUAUGCUCCUUGAAAUUGGAACUGGAAAUUGAAAACUUGCAAGCUAGAGCUAGGGAGCCAUACAUUUGAUAUAAAAUAUUUCAUUUUGAGUAUUAUUGUGUGUUAGAGGUUGCUUAUGAUUUCUGUACUGGCGUUUCUCUGUAAUGGUAGUUUCUUGAUAUGUAACUCAUUGUGAUCUCUUUGCAGGGGAGAUGUCCAUCGAGAUGGGGAUUACCAUAAAGCAGUCCAUGUUUGGAUUUUUGCUGAGAGUACACAUACAAGGUUGCAAAUAAAUUCGCAUAACAUAAAGAGGUUCACAGAGGAUACAAACAUUCAAAAAUGGAGGAACAAAAUCAGUAGAAGGAAGAAAGAAAAUCAAGCAAUGAGUUGUAAAUGAAUAGAAGGGGAGACACAAAAAGAACAAGGGUUUCGGGGCAUGAUUGUGGUGAAAAUGAAAAGAAAAUUGAAGAGGAAGAGAGGAGGAAGGAAAAGAAAUAACAGAAAGGAAAUCCUAGCAACAAAAAGAAAACAAACGUGAAACUCAUGAUGGAGAAAGCGGCGAAAAAAUGGGGAAGUGAGUAAAGUGUGGAACUAGAAAAACAAUUUUAUUUUUUCUUAUUUUUAUUAUUCUUAUAAAAAAAAUUCCAAAACAAUUUAAUUAAUAUCCAAUUUAUCAAAAACCCUCCAAAGGUUUAACAUAUAUUCUAAGGAGUUAAAAUUGUAAAUAAAAAAAUAUUUAGAAAGAGAAAAUAAAUUCCCACAUUGUUCACACUUGGACUCAAACUCUAGACCAAAGGUUAAGCUACCAAAGACAUAGCCACUGAUGGUUCAUUUUGGCAUUAAAACGCAAAAAUCAACUUAACAGUCCCACCUAACCACUAACCCAACCAACUAACCUGAAUAAUUCUAACCCAAUUCUGGGGCGUUCCAUAGGCCGUGUAACUCACUAACUUGCACCCUAAGGAAAUUAUCAGAUGACACAUGACCAUGUUGCCAGGUCAUAUAUUUCAAUCCUAAUUUCAUCAUUUACUGUGCCAAAAUUUAAACUUAAAAAUUUGGUUUGGGUAAAAAAAAUAAAGCCCAUUUAAAAAUAGGUCGAGCCUCAAGUAAGCUUUUCUUGGCCCAAAUCCGACCCGACCUAAAUUUGAAAAAAAAACAAAUUAUUGUUAUUUUGUCACUGUUUUGCUGUCAUUUCACUAUUAUAUUACUAUGUAUUAUUGUUUGGAUAUUAUAUUAGUCUUGUUUUAUUGUUAAUUUUGUUAAUAUUUUAUUUUUAGAGGCACUUAUCUUAGUGCUAUUUAAGUAUAAAGACUUCUUUUUAAUUUACUUUCAAUUUGUUGCUAAACAUUUAUUUUAAUUUUUUAAUAUAUAUAAUUUAUUAUAUUUUUUAAAUCUAUUUAUAUAUACAAUAAUAUGGGCGAAUCGAGCUGGGCUCGAGUUUUAACUUUUUUAUCCAGACCAAGUUUGAACAAAAAUUAAUGCCUAUUUUUUGUAUCAGAUCGAGCUGGGCUGGGCUUAUAAAACAGGCUUGAAAUUUUGUUACAACCUGUCCCAUAAUCACCUCUAGUGCAGAUCAAGUCAAACUCGAAUUCUUUCAAACUUAUUUGAGUUAAAUUUUGGUAGAAAAGUAAUGUUACGCUUUGAGUAAAGUCAAGUUCAGUCAAAUAACAUGCUAUGUUUUAUUUAAACUCGACCCACGAAUAAAUCUAAUGUUUCAAGAUUGGAGGGAAAUGGUUGAAUAUAGAGGUGAGCAAAAUUCGAUUCGACUCAAAAAACUCGAUAAAAAAUUUAAAUUUUGAGUUAAAAAAUUUAAGUUAAUCGAGUUAUUCAGAUCAACUCAAAUAAAAAUAUCACAUUUUUUUGUUUAACUCGAAUGUGAAUUAUACAAUUUGAGUUAUCUAAAAAUCUGAUUAAGAAAAUGUAAAACUACGUCGUUUUGAUAAAUGUUUACAUUUUCUAAGUUAAAAGUCAAAACCAUUAAGUUAAAAGGCAAAACUAUUUCGUUUUGAUAAAUGUUUACCUAUUAAGUUAAAAGGCAAAAACAUUAUAUUGUUUAUGUAGUUAAAUAAUCUUGUACUUUGUCUACUAGUUAAAUAAUUGGUCCAUAUAAACACAACAUUGAGCAUAAAUAAUAGGAUUUGUUAACUCGACUCGACUUGACUCGAAUUUUUUUGACUCAACUCGACUGAAUACUCACCCCUAGUUGAAUGAACUCUAAUAAAAUGCAAUAGAAGUUUAUGCCUAAUAAAAUUAAAUUUGUUAGUUUGGUAUCCUAUAGACUCCAAUUGAAAUUUCUUUUAAAAGAAAAUGUUUUAAAAUUGUUGAGGCACUUGUAAGAGCAAUGACACCAAGUAUUUACAAUUAUGUUGAUAACUGCCCAAGGUUUUAUAAUUUGGCAUAUUCGAAGUUAGCAAUUUUUUGAAACAAUAUAGUUGGGCCAUGAAUUAGUUGAUAUUAUGGACAUGCAUUAGUCCAUAUUUGAAGAUUGAUAUUAUGAAGUAACAAAUUUUUAAAGAUUGGAUUUAUUUAAAUCAAGCAAAUUGGAUCUACUAUUUCGUUGAGAUUGAUUUGAAUGGCUUCAAAACAUAUCUUAGAGAUUUUUUAUUUAAAUCAACCAAAUAAUAUUUUUAUAACACUUAAUUAACUCAAAUAAUUAAUCUAUAUGCAAUUAAAUUAAUAUGGGAAGUCACUAAAUUAAAAAAUGGGUAACGGCUACUUACCCAUUUGAAGUUGUGAGAAGACCAUUGCAAUUGAGUUUCAACACACUAGGCUAGGCUAAUUCCCAGAUUGCUACAACUAAGUGGAUAUAAAGCUUUUAAUAAAAUCCUCAAAAUUGUUUCUAAUAAUGGUUUUCUAAUUGUGACAUGGGAAGCAACACCAAAACUUAGGGUGUUCAUCUCACAUUUAUGUUUCUAUUCUGUUUUAAGGUUUUAAUGAGUGUGAUUAUGGGUAAGGAAUGGUAGUUGCCUCUAGCCAUCAGAUUCAUUGAGCUAAAUACUACAUAUGAUGGUGAUAGGUGGGGCUAGAUUAGUUGGAGUCUGGGUUAAUUUUAUACGUGGUAUUAAUAUUAUAUAUAAUUAUUUAAAAGUAAUCUGGUUCUAUAAACCUCAAAUUAUACUAAAUUUGUCCAUAUCAAUAUAUAAUUAACACUUUGCUACAAGGCAUUUGCCAUGGUGGAUCACUUGAAUACUUCACAGUAGAUGACAACCAGCUUAUUGGGCCAAUCCCUUAAGGGUUGAAAAUUUGCACUAGCUUAAAGAAAGUCCGCCUUGAAAAAAACUAACUCAAAGGGAAUAUAUAUAAAUAUUUAGGUGUUUACCCGAACCUAAAAUUCAUUGACUUGACAAUGAAUUUCACCGUGCAGUGUUUUCCUAUUGGGAGUUGUGCAAAAGUUGACAUCUUUGCUUUCUCUUGGUUUGAAAUGGGAAUAAACUUUUUGGUAGUGUGCCAUUGGAACUAGGACUUAUGCCCAAGCUUUUGUAUCUAGACUUGUCUGCAAACCAAUUGAGCAAGUCCAUCCUUGAAACUUUCAGGUUAAAAUAAUCGGCUAAAUAUCUCUAUUAGUACUUGUAUUUUAUGAAAGUUGCAGAUUCAAUCCCAAUACUUUAAAUUGGAUUUGGUUUAUAAAUUAUACUAAAAUAGGUAUAUAUUGGGUAGGACUUAGGAGUGCUGGGGUGAGCCGCUGGUUGGGGAUUAGGUGGGCAGUAGGCUAAGCCUAAUAUGUAACGCCCCAAAAUUUUAAUUUUGGGUAUUGUGAAUGUGUGACACAAAUAUCUGUUAGCUUUAGUGGUUAAGUGCUCUGGGGGUGUGUCGGAGGUUCCAAUUUCAAGCCAUGACUUGGGCAAAUAUUAGUAUUUUUAUAAAUAAAACCUUAACCUGGCCUAAAGGGCUUAAGUUUAAUAGUCGGUAAUAAAUAACAAAAUGAGCUUGCUGGUUUAAUGGUUAAGUGGAGUGUUUGAUUGUAUGAGGUUUUGAGUACAAAUCCAUACUGGAGCGUAGGUGUUAUUUUUGCACAGUGAUGGACAAGUAUUUCGGCAAAGUGGGAUUCUAGAGUGGUUGUAGGUUAGUAGGACUAGUGGAGGAAAUUAGGGGAUCUUGGGAUUCUAUCAAAAUCUUUUUGCUAAUUUCGGUUCAUCAAAAAUUCUAUUCCCUCUUCCCCAAAAUUUCUUCCAUUGUUCUGACGUUUAUUCACCCUUUUUCUGCCGAAUUUUCAUUGUUUCCUCCCUCUUUUCUUUUGAUUUCUUUUAUGCCUCCAUCGUACUCGACGAAUAAACUCGCUUAAUCCAAUAAGUAUUUGUUUUGCCAUUUUCUCUCGUUCCAUGGUUGGUUUUCUGAAAAGAGGUUGUUUUGGUUCUUUCGAAUUAGGUCAAAAUCAAGUAGUUGUAGGUGCUUUUGCAGAGAUUUGAACGUUUGGGUUUUCGGUUUGUUGCCGGUAAGUGUUUAGGUUCGCUAUCGAUUUUGAUGUAGACGAUUUUUAGUUGUGAGUUUUCAUUAGUGAUCUAAAUUGGGCUCUAAUUAUUGAUUUUAAGGUCUUGGAGUGCUUGGGAGUGUAUUUGCAGUGAAACGAUACCAGGUGUGUACCCGAAACACAAAAAUAAGGGAUUCGGCGAAAAGCCAAAAUUACUUGCUGUUUGGACAGCAGCAGUAGGCUAACUUUGAGAAAUCGCCAUAAAUUGUGAAAAUCGAAUUAGAGGAUGAAAAAUAUAUGUGAUUAAAUAUAUUUGAGGCUAGUUUUUCAUAGAAGAAAUGAAGUAAGCAAAAGAAUUUGAUAUUAUGAAAUAUUUUAAUUUUAGUGAGACAAUGUCAGAAUGAUUUCAGAAUCCCCUGUCUUAAAUUUGGAAAAUUAUUAAAAAUUGUAUAAAAAUAAUGAUGGGUUAAAAUUUAUAUGUAUAAAUUGCUGAAUGAGUCUAUUUUCAAGAGAAAUAAACGAGAACAUCAUUCAAAUUCUGUACGAGAAGAUAAUUAACUUUUAGUACGGAAAGGUCAAAAUUAUCAAAUAGUAGAAUAUGGAAAAAUUUAAAGAAUAAAAUGUACUUAUUGGAUAAACCAAAAAUUCUGAAAAUUUUAUGGUAAGAAGAUAUGCAAGUCUAGUUACAGAGAAAAUUUACGGAUCUUAAUUUGGAAUUUUGUAGCUUAAGAUACAAAUAAUUUAGCAACAAUGACUCAAGUAGAUAGCUUUGAAGGGUUAUAUAGGUAAAUAGUGCAAACACAUAUGAAUAAUUAACUAGCACGGGUUACAUUAAAAUGGAUCACGGGGCCAAGUUCAAUUUGGUUCAUGUGGGCCGCACAGGUGUGUGGGUCCACACGGGUGAACAUCAUGGGCUUGUAGGCCCAUUUUCACUGUUUGACUUAUAAGGUUGCACGAGUCGCCCAAGUUGACUGUGAACUUACUGUAGACCCUUAAUUGACUGAAAUGAUUGUAUGACUGAUAAGAUUAAGCAUGAUGAUGUCCCACUGAUUUGAUAGUGUAUGCCCUGUUUACAUGCGUGAUAUUAUGAUAUAGCAUGUCAUAUUUGUAUAUUGCAUUGCAUUGGGUUAGAGGAUUAUAAUGUUUGGAGGAAGUGAACUGAAAGGCCUCGAGCCUAAUUUACUGGCAGCUCAGCUGCAAACUACUGUCUAGUACCACAUUCGUACUACUUGGAGUGUAGGGAUAGGUGGGUUGAUUAUAUCCCCACAUGAAGUAUAGGGCUGGAUGAAGAUGGUGUGUAGAGGCUGGAUGGGUAGGAUUUUUGUGACUGCAUAUAUGUAACUGCUACUGAUACUGUGAUGGGCUAAAGCCCUACUACAUGACUGUUUUGUAUUGAGAUGGGCUAUGGCCCAAACUGGACUGAUACUGAUACUGAAAAGGGUUUAAGCCCAAACUGUGAUUAUUUGUUUACUGUCUGUUCAUUUGUAUAGGGAUUGCACACUGAGUUUAUAUAAACUCACCCAUUCUGUUUAAUCUGUACCGGUAAUCCCCAGAUAUAGGCGGAUCGGUGUAGCGGAGGACUCAGUGGUGGCCACACGACUUUUUUGACACUGUUUUUGGGAGUAUUUUGUUGUAAUUAUGGUCUUUACGAAUUUUGGUUUAAAAUUUGGAUUUUAUACGGUUUUAUGAUUUAAAUAUGCUAGUGUUAAGUAAAACUCGAGUUUUCAAAUGAAAUUAAUGUUUUAUCAAAAAUACCACCAAAUAAGCAAACUGUUUAAAAGCUUCUGCAAUAAAAUUUAAAAAAAAUGUUUUGAAAUUGAAUAACGAUUUGUAAAUGAAUAAUGUUUUGAAAAUGAACGACACGAUUUGGUGACUCCACUGGGACUGGUUUUGAGAGUCAAGCCACAAAUUGAUUAAUUUUUGCCUUUUUGUCAAAAAAAUAAAAUUUAUUUUAAAUUCACAUUUUUUUCCUUUUGCAUUUUAUCCAUUAUUUUCAUGGUGUCGUCCAAAUCUGUCAAUGUGUAUCUGCAUUUUUGUAUUGCAUAGGUUGGGCAAUCUUACCCCUCUAAGUGGGAGUAAGAAACUAGUCUUUCGUGAGGUUUUCAUCUCUGUGCAGGAUAGUGGAUCGCUUUCGGAAUACAUCCGUAUCUAUAUCUUCGGGAGAUUUUCAUCUCCAUGCAGCCAUAGAAAAAUGUAUUCCCCUGAACUAAACUCGGUCUAUAUGAGCCUAUAAUGGGUGAGGAUUGAGGAAUCUACUGGUUCAGGUACCCUUUAUUUAAAAUCGAACCGCAUGUAGUGAGCCCUAAGAGUCAACCCUAGGUAGAACCACUCCAAACCCCUAGUGGUCACCCAAAUAGGUGCUCUAUUUAUUUUUUGCUUGCUUUUUCCUUGUACUAACCUGUUUUGUUUUGGUUAUGGUUGCAUUGUAUUUUCAUCAUAAAAAAAGAGGUGUUGAUUCACGUUCGAUUACUAAAUAGAGAGCUUGACAUGGAGAAUGAAUUUCUUGAUAAAAUGAAAAAUAAUACGGUUGCUCGAAUAUGUUCUGAGCUAGCACAACAUGAGAAAGAUGAUAGUUUAACGAAGGAGCACACGACUUUGCUUUGUUGUCUGAGGAUUCAAUUUGACGAGGAGUCAUCAACUCCUGACCUUUUUUUUUAAAAUAAGCUAACGAGUAUCACGAUGAUGAGUGAGUAAUGAGUCGCGGCCCGGAUCAAGCAAAAAGGAGCUAGUAGAGGCAUCCAUUAGAAAAUUCGCAAGAUUUAUCUUAACAUCUAGAUGAAGAAAAGGAUUGAUGUCUUCGCCUGGAGUAUGAGGGCAAAGCCGUAUAUAUAUCCGCUUUAUGUAAAGAGAUUUGUUUUCUAGUAAAGUUGUUCUAGUAGAAUUGAACCAAUAAUCAGCGUCUCUUUUUUGCAUUCAUUUCCUGCAUUUGCAUUACAUCACAUCAUAUGCAUUAAAGUCCACCAAAAGAUCUUAAUUGAAGGAAAUUGUUUCAGUUAAUCUGGAAAUCAGCAAAAACCUACCAACUAAACAUCGUUACUGCACCCGAGUAAAAGCUAAAGGAAUGGACCAAAGGUUGGAGAGAUUAGAGCAAAUGCAAAUACAGAUACAAGAGCAAUUGACCAAAUUUCAACAAGAUAUGAAGGAUCAAAUGUUAGAAUUCCAAAGAAAUAUGAUGAGUCAGUUAACCCAAUUAUUGGCUAGAGGGUUAGAAAAAGGAAAGAACCAGUGAUCCACUUUGGGGAUGAUAAUGAGGACCCUGCAUAUCCUUCAGGCUUUACCCCAGCAAACACCCAAGCACAACCAAAUUCAUACCCACAAAGGGUAACUGUUAACAUCUGACCCUAAUAAAAGACUAGUACCUUGACACCGGUGAAUUUCCUGACAGGCUCAAGUUCCAACCUGAAGGGUAAUCUAACUAAUUCUGUUGUCAUUGAUGACCUAGCGGAAACAAAAUAGGCAAGAGUGGAGUUCCCAAAAUAAUUUGAAGAUCGUUACAAACGGAAAGGGCGAGAGUGGAACUCCCAAAUCAAUACUUUAAAGGACCCGAGGAAGACGAAAAAUGAGGUGAAUAAUACGAGUAGGUAUAACAAGGGCUAUUCAAAGCCGAUUACCACAAGCCAGCCAAGGACGGUUACUACUAGCCGUCAGAUCCCCCAAGAAAAAAUAUGGCACAAAGAAAAAUAUUAAGAAGUUCAAAUUUGCAUCAAUCCCAAUGUCGUACCGGGAGCUGUAUCAGAGUUUAUUUGAUGCACACGUUGCUUCCCCUUUCUACUUGAAGCCCUUACAACAUCUGUAUCCUAAAUGGUAUGACGUGGAUGCACAAUGUGACUAUCAUGUGGGAAUUACGGGGUAUUCUAUAGAAAACUACACUACCUUUAAAAAGCUGGUCAAAAGGUUUAUCAAUAUGGGUAUUAUCAAAUUUGAUGAUCCAUUCAGUAUAGAAAAUUCACUACCCAAUCAUAUUGAUAAUGGGGUGAAUACGAUAAGUGAAGAAAUGUUAGGAAAUGUUCACAUCAAUGUCGUAUACGAAGAAACAACUGAAGAAUAGACCUUAUUAGAUAUUCGCCCUUAUAAACCUAGGAGUGUUCUAAAUAAUUGGACUGUAGAAGAAACCCCUGUAGUAUUUAGACCUUACUCAGAGUAAUAUUCAGAACACACUUGUUGCUUUUAGCCUAAAGGCAAUAAGAACUCCUUUGUGAAAUAGGCUCAUGUCUGAACGUCAUUAUUUUAAUGAAAUACAUCUUUGCGAACAUUUUUUAGCCAAUGUUCUUUCAUUCUUUACAAAUAAUUAUUUUUUAUUCUUUCAUUCUUUUAGAUUUUCUUCCAAAUCAUUCUUUCAUUCAUUCAUAAUCAUACUGUAAAAAUAAUUAUUCAUAAAUUCAUAUAUUCUUUGUAUAUUCUUUGGUACCUACAAUAGGUCCCUAGAUAUAAAUGACAUGAGUGGCGCUGCUACAGACUCAGAAUCUCCUUUUGAGCAAGACAUGCGUUUAGAAGGAUCUAAUGACCUUGAAGAUGACAUAGACUGUAGCCUAUCUCCUGGCUUGUUGAUGAUGGUAGAACAGGAAGAGAAAUAAAUUUUACCUCAUGAUGAGACAAUGGAGAUUGUGACAUUGAAGGAGGGAAAAGUAUUAAAAAUUAGAACAUGCAUAGCCGAAUAAAUGAAGUAAGACCUUAUUGAGCUAUUUUAAGAGUUCAAAGGUGUCUUCACAUGGUCAUACCAAGAUAUGCCCAGGUUAAGCACUGACAUUGUAAUUUGACAAUGCAUUAAUUUUGAACAACGGCACGAUAUCAGAAUAUUGUAGUAUGUUCAAGAUUAACAUCAUGAAUGAUGCAGUAAAAAAACUUCUACUGGGGCAACACCUUUUUUUUUGGCGUAUCACAGCUUUGCUCAUUGAAGUUGAGUUUUCAUCUAUCCUAGUUUUGGUUGGAUUUUAUCCUGAUUGAAGAGGGAGAUCCAAAGUUUUUCAUCAUAGUCAAAUUUUUGCCCCAGAAAGCCCUGUGAGAGAAAUCUGAUACCAAGGAAGAUUCUUUGCAUACAAAAUGAAAGUGGAUGGAAAGGAUCUUGUAUGGAAGACUUUAUCUGAAAAAGCAUUGAUUCUAAUCGAAAGGGAUAACAAGGACUUGCCUAAUCCUAUGAGUUUCAAAAAAAAAUAAAAAAUAAAAAUAUUUCAAAAAAUGAAAAUGAAAAUGAUGAAAAAAGAAAAGGAAAGAGAAGAAAAAAAAAGAAAAGAAAAAGGAGAGACCAAAGCGAAAACUCGCAACUGGCACUUUGAGACCAAAGGGGAUUUGAGUUGAAAACUCGAAAAGGGCGGCUCAAAUUUUGAGCAAAGUAGGGCAUGGAUGUCAUCGGACCAAUAUCACCGAAGGCUUCUAAUGGGCAUCGCUUCAUUCUUGAGGUCAUUACUUACUUCACCAAACGAAUAGAGGUUGUUUCAUAUGCCAACAUCACCAAAUCGGAAGUUAACAAAUUCUCGGGAAAAAAAGAUCAUAUGCUGGUAUGGAAUGCCGAAGAGGAUUAUAUCGGACAACACAUUGAACCUAAACAACAGUACGAUAGCUGAGAUUUGUAAUUAAUUUAAAGUCAGACACUAUAACUUGUCACCAUAUUGCCCAGAAAUGAAUGGCGCGUUGGAGGCGGCCAACAAAAAUAUCAAAACAAAAUUGUGGGAAAAAUGACUGAAACUUACAAUGACUGGCAUGAGAAAUUACCAUUUGAUCUCAUUGCUUAUCGAACAUCUAUCAGGACUCCUACCGUGGAAACACAUUUUUUUCUGGUUUACAGGAUGGAGGUAGUUUUACUUAUUGAAGUUGAAAUAUCUUCUCUAUGGGUAUUAGCUAAAUUAAAGAUGGAUGAGGCUGAAUGAACCCAAUCUCGAUAUGAUCAAUUGAACCUGAUAGAAAGAAAAAGGCUAAAAGUUAUUCAUCACGAUUAGGUGUACCAGAAAUGAAUGAUGCGAGCCUAUAACAAAAAGAUUCGUCCCAGAGAAUUCCACGAUGGGGACCUGGUAUUGAAAAAGAUCUUUCCUCUACAAAAAGAUUUUAGAGGGAAAUGAAUGUCAAACUGAGAAGGACCUUAUGUCGUCAAAAAGGCCAUUUCUAGAGGAGUAUUAAUCUUAAGUGAGUUGGAUGAUAAAAACUUGCCUAAUCCUGUAAACUCAAAUUCAGUCAAGAAAUACUUCGUCUAAAGAAGGAGAAGGGACCAAGGUGAAAACCCGCAAAGGGCACUUUGAGUCCUUAAAAAAAGACUAAGGUAAAAACCCGCAAAGGGCGCUUUGAGUUUAAAAAAAUAAAUGAAAAAAGUAAAAUGGAGAGGCCAAGGAGAAAACCCACAAAGGGUGCCUUGAGACCAAAAUGGAUUUGAGUUGAAAACUUAAACAACAGUACGAUAGCUGAGGUCUGUAAUCAAUUUAAAAUCAAACACUAUAACUUGUCACUGUAUUGCCCAGAAAUGAAUGGUGCGUUGGAGGAGGCCAACAAAAAUAUCAAGAAAAUUGUAGGAAAAAUGGCGGAAACUUACAAUGACUGGCAUGAGAAAUUACCAUUUGAUCCCCUUGCUUAUCGAACAUUUAUCAGGACUUCUACCGUGGCAACACCUAUUUCUCUAGUUUACGGGAUGGAGGCAAUUUUACUCAUUGAAGUUGAAAUCCCUUCUCUCCGGGUAUUAGCUAAAUUAAAUAUAGAUGAGGCCGAAUGGAUCCAAUAUCGAUAUGAUCAGUUAAACCUGAUAGAAAGAAAAAGGCUAAAAGCUAUUCAUCACGAUUAGGUGUACCAGAAACAAAUGAUACGAGCCUAUAACAAAAAGGUUCGUCCCAGAGAAUUCCACGAUGGGGACCUGAUGUUGAAAAAGAUCUUUCCUCUACAAAAAUAUUUUAGAGGGAAAUGGAUGUCAAAAUGAAAAGGACCUUAUGUCAUCAAGAAGGCAUUUUUUGAAGGAGCAUUGAUCUUGAGUGAGUUGGAUGGUAAAAACUUGCCCAAUCCUGUAAACUCAGAUUCAGUCAAGAAAUACUUCGCCUGAAAAAAGAGAAGGGACCAAGCUGAAAACCCGCAAAGGGCGCCUUGAGGACAAAAAGGAUUUGAGUUGAAAACUUAAAAAAGGCUGCUCAAAUUUUGAUCAGAAUGGGACAUGAGGUGAUCAGAGCAGUUCAAAUUUUGAUCAUAUUGGGGCAUGUGGUGAUCUUGCUAUACAUGAAUCAACAUGAAAGGGUAGGCGACAUCUUGGGGCAUCGACAAAGUACUGUAGAUCUCCUAAACCCAUGUCAAACUCAGAAUGGUCUUCAGAAAGUUGUAAAGAAAAGUUCAAGUUGCGAUAUCUGGGGCACCUAGUCUUCAUACUAUUUAUAUGGAAUUUGUUGUUCUUGGAAUACUUCACUCUUUUUCAAGAUACAUGUUCCCAAUCAUUCUUCUUUCAUUUCCUUGAUAAUUUAUUCAUUUCGAGCCAUGCUCCCAAAUCAAUUCUAUUUUACCCACUCUUAUGAUCUUUUUGCAAGCAUGUUGCAUUAGAAUAAUGAUUAAUGGACUAAUAAUACUUUCUCAAUAGAAGUUUUUCAUAUUACUUUAGAAGUUUUUAAAUAAUACAAUAACCUAAAAUAGGGCUAUUGUUUAGAACGCACCAAGUUUAAAGGUUGAAAUAUCUAAGAAGGAAGAGUCUAAGAUUAUCCCUUCGGGUUUUGUUGUCAAAACAUUGAUUGAACAAAACGACAAGAUAUCGUGUUGGUGAUAAAACUUUAAUGAACAAGCAAGUAAUGAUCAUCGAGUAAUAAAAAGAGGUUUUUCUUGGAGAAGAAAAUUCUACAAUUGUGCAUAAACAUUUGGUAUGACACCUUGGAAAUGGUGUAGGAGACCAAAGAAAUUUAGAUCCGGUAUCCUUGAAUUGCAAUAGGAGAGGAUUAAGAAAGAGCCAGAUCUUAUACUCCUAAAUUACAGUGGGAGGAAAAUGGUUCAAAUUUGGGAGGAAAAUGGUUCAAAUUUUAUGUCCCAAAAGUACAGUGGAUUGAGCCUUGAAGAUUACAGUGGGGGCAGUCCGAUUAAGUGAGAUAUGAGUGUUACCAACGGAAUAAGAUAGCGUUCUGACGUGUUGGUAAUAAAGCCUUAAUGAACAAUGAGCAAUAACAACUUAAACAUUAAGGGAUCAUUUUUAUGACAUUUCGCAUUCGUGCAUGCACAUCUAGUUAGGAGAUUUUGGUUCAUUCCGAUCAUAACAUCCUAAUCACUAGGCAUGAAUAAGCCCAUGAAAUGGAUUCUACAGGUCAUAUUCCCCAGAGAACAGAUUGGUGAAACCACAAAUCCUAUACUGUUGAAGUUGCAGUGAGAUGGAUUAUAAAUUAUGGUGAAUCUUAUCUUCCUGAAGUUACAGUGGAGUAGAUUGAAGCCAUCAGCCUUAUCUCUCUGAAGUUGCAGCGGAGCAGACUGAAGACAGCGAAUCUUAUUUCCCUAGCGUUAUAGUGGAACAGAUUAAAGCUACAAAUUAUGGCGAAUCUUAUCUUCCUGAAGUUGUAGUGGAACAGAUUGAAGCCAUCAGCCUUAUCUCCCUGAAGUUGCAACGGAGCAAACUGAAUACAGCAAAUCUUAUUUCCCUGGCGUUUCAGUGGAACAUAUUAAAGCUACAAAUUAUGGCAAAUCUUAUCUUCCUAAAGUUGCAGUGGAGCAGAUUGAAGCCACCAGCCUUAUCUCCUUAAAGUUGCAGCAGAGCAGACUAAAGACAGCGAAUCUUAUUUCCCUAGCGUUAUAGUAAAACAGAUUAAAGCUACAAAUUAUGGAAAAUCUUAUCUUCCUAAAGUUGUAGUGGAGUAGAUUGAAGCCGUCAACUUUAUCUUCCUAAAGUUACAGCGGAGCAGACUGAAGACAGCGAAUCUUAUUUCUCUAGCGUUGUAGUGGAACAGAUUAAAGCUACAAAUUAUGGCAGAUCUUAUCUUCCUGAAGUUGAAGUGGAGUAUAUUGAAGCCACCAGCCUUAUCUCCCUGAAGUUCCUGUAGAGCAGACUGAAGAUAACGAUUCUUAUUUCCCCGGCGUUGUAGUGGAACAGAUUAAAGUUACAAAUUAUGGCGAAUCUUAUCUUCCUAAAGUUGCAGUGGAGUAGAUUGAAGCCAUUAGCCUUAUCUCUCUGAAGUUGCAGCGAAGCAGACUUAAGACAGCGAAUCUUAUUUUCUUGGCGUUGCAGUGGAACAGAUUAAAGCUACAAAUUAUGGCGGAUCUUAUCUUCCUAAGGUUGUAGUGGAACAGAUUGAAGCCACCAGUCUUAUCUCCCUGAAGUUGCAAUGGAGCAGACUGAAGACAGUGAAUCUUAUUUCCCUAGCAUUGCAGUGGAAUAGAUUAAAGCUACAAGUUAUGGUGAAUCUUAUCUUCUUGAAGUUGUAAUGGAGCAGAUUGAAACCAUCAGCCUUAUCUCCCUAAAGUUACAGCGGAGCAGACUGAAGACAGUGAAUCUUAUUUCCCUAGCAUUGCAAUAGGGUAGAUUGAAAUGACAAAUUCCUAUACCCUUGAAGAUGCAGUGGGAUGGAAUAGGACCUCUUAAAGAGAAGAAGCAUCAAGGAGUCGAGGCUCGGCAGGACCGAGCAAAAUUGGCCUUUUUUAGUCUUUGCUCCAUUUUCGUUAUACGACAACGAGCAAAGAGGGGCAGUUGUAAGGCCCAAUUUUUCCCGGGCCCAAUUUUUGCUGCAAACUUCUGCCUCUAAGCCGCAACAGAACCUAGGCUCCCGUGCGUGGUGUGCCUCCGCACUCGUGUGCCCCUUCCGAGCAUGUACCUGCAGCAAAGGAGCAGCAAACAAACAUGUCUGCUAAUAGGAAGAACAGAAAACAGCAACAAAUAACAAAAAAAAAGAACGAAAUAUAUCUUUGUACUUUUUUUUUAUUUUCGGCUAUAAAAAGGUCGUUUCAAAUCUGUAAAAUGGGGAUUUUUGAGGAAUCAAUGAAAAAUAGAAAAUUUUGAUAUCAAGGAGAAAUUUUAGAUUGAAGGUAGAUAUUUGUUUUUUUUUUCUCUCUUCUUUUUUGUUCUAAUUUAUUUUUUUUAAAAAAGGGGUAAAACAAUAAGUAAAAAAAGAGAGAGAAGGUUUACCAAGUUGCCUUGUGACGACCGACCCUCAGUCCCGCUCGUAAACGGGCUAAAAAACUCAAUAUAGUGUAGCUCUGACCACCGUGCAUGGUGGAAUCGCGGCGGCAAUGAGGCGGACUGGCGGCAGCUUGGGCAGGAAAUAAAACCCUAGCAGAGAAAGAGAGGCAGCAUUUUUUUUGGUACAUAUUGACCCGCGCAGUGACCCGACCCAGGGGAAGGAUCCGCGUGUUUUUACUUCAGUGGGAGAUUUGCACAAAUGGUCCUCUUACUUCUAUAGCGUAUUCGGAUCAAUCCUUUUAUUUCUUUUAAAUUUGGCCUUACAUUUUAUUUUUACUGCAUUUUAGUCCAUAUCACAGCGUUGCGUUUUGGGAGGAUGGGGAAUAUUUCCCAAUUAGUCCCCCAUGUUAUUCACGCACUGCAUUUUCGCCCUUCAAUUUUAUUUUAUUUUCGUUUUUUUCUUUUUGAUUUUGUUUUAAAACCAAUUUAAUCCUUAUUAGCUUGAUUUAAUUAGCUCAUUUUUUAAUUUAUUUAAGUAUAUUUCAUUUUUUUUGAUAUAUUUAAUUUUUAAAUCUAACUCUAUUUUUUGUAUUUGUGCUUAAUAUUAUUCUAAAUCCAUUAUGAAUUUUGUUUAAAUUUAUCACAUAUUAUUAUUUUAAAUUUAUCUUAUAAUUAUUUUAAUUUUUCAUGUAUUAUUAUUCAAAUUUAUUAUGUAUUAUUUUAUAUAUUUAUAUGUAAACUUAAUAUUAUUUAUACACAAUUUAUAUUAUACAUAUUAUACAUAUAUGAUAUAUAAUUGAUUCCAUAUUAUUAUAUUUUUCCUUAUUCUCGUAUAUGUAUAAUUUAUUUCUUUUUUUUAAAAAAAACCUACUUUAUUAUAUUUCACCCAUUUAAACUUUUUUACAUGUAUUAUAAUAUAUAUUAUUAUUUAUUUUGAGUUUUUCAUUCCAUAUGUAUUAUUUAUUUAGAUUAACAUAUAUAUAUUAUUUUAUAUAUUACUUAUUUUGAUUUUAUUCAUAUGCAACAUUUACGUUAAAAUUUAUUUAGAUAUUUUUGUUUCAUAUAGUAUAUAUAUUUUUUAACUCCAUUUUUGAUCUAUUUUAAAUUUUCUUACAUAUUAUUUGUUUUAAUUUUUUGUACGUACACUUUUUUGGUUUACAAUUUCCUUUCUUUCAUGUUUUUGUGUUUUUGUUUUUUUUUUUUACACUUUUUUUGUUUACAAUUUCCUUUCUUUCAUGUUUUUUUUUUCUUUCAAAACUUGCACAUUGGGUUGGUGUUUAUGUUAAUUUGUUUGUUUCUUAGUUUUUUAUUAGCUUUUAAAUAUUAAUGUUGAUAUUUACAUGUGGGGUGAGAUUAUUGCCUUUAUGUGUAUGGUAUUUGUUUACUGGUAUUUAUUGAUUAUUUGUGUUCAUUAACAUAUAUUGUGGUUUACGAAUUAUCACCUUGCGUCAUACAUUGUUAUUCCAUUGCGUUUAAUUUGUUCAAAAAGUUGUGUUUAAUAUGGUUUAAGUUUUGGGAAUCAAUUUAUUCAAAAGCUUUCAAGAUAACGCAAUACUCGGUAUUUGGGAUCUUCAAGAGGAUUGAGCCCUAACUUAUUGGGUUCCAAUUUUUCUCGUUGAAUCUAAAUAAUCAAGAAUAUUCUUUAAUCAAAACACAUAAAUAAAAAGUGUUCCCGAAGAUUCGAUACGUUGUGUCCUAACUCAUUGGAUACGGUAUUUUGUUUUCUCGAGAUGAGGAUUUUUUUCUAAAAAAUAAUAAAGGCAAUAUUCAAUGUUUGAAAUUUUGAGAAAUCGUACCUUAAUUUAUUGGGCUUCGAUUUUUCAUCUGACUUAAACAAUUGAAUAUCAUUUUUAAACUUCACUGCAUGAGUUUCAAAAGUCAAAAGACAAGCUCAUUUUUUAGGAUGCAAAACAUCACAUCCUAACUCAUUGGGUGUGACAUUCUAUUUCCUGAAAUAAGAGGGUCUCAGCAUGCAUUUUAAUUUAUACAAGUUCUUUUUAAAAAUAAAAGGAUAGUAUUUUUAAUCUUUUCGAGUUUUUGAUAUUCGGCAUUAAGACAUUAAUUAAUCAACUAGGUAUCAAUUUUGGGCGUAUCGAGGGUGCUAAUCCUUCCUCGUGUGUAACUGACUCCCAAACCCGUUUUCUGGAUUUUGUAGACCAAAAGUUAUCAUUUUAGUAAAUUUAAACUUUUAUUAAAAUGAUUAAAUUGUGAGGUUAUCCAAUCACACCUAAAUAAAAAGAUUGGUGGUGACUCCAUUUUCAUUUUUUAAAUAAAAGAUCAAACCCUUUUAUGAAAAAGUGGUUUCAAAAAAGAUAAUAAAAAAUGGUUAAAUAGAAAAGAGGAUUUAGCAACGACAUAUUUAGUAAUGACAUAAGAUAAUAACGUCUAGGCCGGGUUUGGGGGUUACAUUUAAUGGUAUUAGAGCCAGGUUGCAAAACUCAGCUGUGGAUGUGGGCUUUUAAGACGUGAUUUCUGAGAACUAAUUUUUAAAUGUUUUUAAUAAAAGUGUGGUACACCAAGUCUCCGGCAUCGAUCCAGUAACUUUUCUGAAAGCAAGAAUUAUUUAAACUAAAACUGAAACUGUCUUUGAUAGUAUAUCCUAAAACUGCUAUAGAUAGUAUAUACUAAUACUACUAUAGAUAGACUAUACUAAAAACACUUAAAAUAGUGUAUACUGAGACUGUAGUAAAACUUAUAGACAUUGAUUGACACUGCGGUUGAUGAAACAAACUUUACACUUCUUAUACUAUUUUUUUUUAAAUAUCUGUUAAUAAACACUGAAACUAUAAACUGAUGCAUAAAACUGUUAAUACCGAUAAAACACAAUUAGACAAUGAGCACCAGAGGUACUCGCGGACGGAAUACUAAAGGCCAAGGUAAAGGUUGUAGAGGGGCUCGAGCUGAGUCUUUGUCAUCGGGCAGUCUACCAAAUUUUGAUAUGAGUGAGAUGCUAGUGUCGCCUGCUAUGAGACUGGGUCUCAAGAUCGCAUGGUUGGGGAUGAUGCAUUGUCCCAGGCUAUGCUAAGGAUUUUGGAGAGGGUCGCUGGGCCCAAUACAGGAUUUGGGGGCUGAGGGUCAGUUACAGAACUACUCCGAUCCAAUGAAGCUGAGCUCUUCAGGGGUGUCACUAGGGUCACCCUAGUGUGGCCAAGUAUGAGGCCGAGUUUUUGAGACUGAGCCACUAUGCGUGAGGUAUGGUGGCAUCUGAGUAUGAGCGAUGUGUCCGCUUUGAGGAUGGCCUUAGGGAUAAUUUAAGAGUUCUGAUAGCCCUGCAGGGGGAGUGAGAUCUUUUUGCCCUGGUCGAGACGGUAAAAAUCGCCGAUGAGGAUAUAGAGGUAGUCAUGAUUGGAGAACAUCAGAACUACUUAUCUAAUGUGAUCUCUGCACUGGUGGCAGAGAAGUUGGUUCGUAAGGGAUGUGAGGUAUUCUUGGCCUAUGUAAGUGUUUCAGAUUCUAGGGACUCUACAAUUAAGGAUAUCAGAAUGGUAAAGGAUGUUCUGGACGUCUUUCCUAAUAAGCUAUCAGGUUUACCUCUGAAUCGUGAUGUGGAAUUUGGGAUAGAGCACCUUCUUGGUAUAGCUCUAGUGUCCAUCGCUCCCUAUAGAAUGGCACCGAAGGAGCUUGUGGAGUUUAAGGCUCAGAUUCAAGAGCUUAUUUAGUAGAAAAUUCAAAUUUCUUAAAUUAUUUAGGGCUAAUAUGCAAAAUUACGUGAAAUUUAAAAUUUACCACUAUACUUCACUCUCAUCAAUAUUUUAAAAUUUUAAAAUUUUUUAUAAGGCCAAAAUAACAAUUUCCCAUUUUAGGGGUCCGGCCCCCUACCAACCCUCUAGAUUCACCUUUGACCACGAAGGUUUAAUUUAGUUUUCAAAUACAUUUAUUUAAUUUAAAAAAUAAAAACUCAAACCACGUAAUGAGUGUUAUUUGAAGGGCAAGAGAGAUCGCCUUAAGAAAACUGAAAAAAGUACAAAAUCACAAUACUAUAUAGUUUUAACUUUGUAAAUAUUUUGGUAUCCAAAAACAAAAGCACCCAAGUACAUCAACAACUUCAAAGUUUUAACCAAAAUAAUUAACGACGUCUUCAAAGUCUCUCUUCACCAUCAACAUGAGUCUUGAGUCAACUCCAUUCACCAACACGUUCUAGCUAAGGCCUAAAAGGGAGGGAAAAAAAUCUGAGAUUAGGAAUGUAAUUUUACAUCAUUGCAGCAAAAAUUGAAGUCUUAAGGGACAAAAAACCAAAAAUGGCCCCUAUACUUUUCCAAAAAAAUAAUUGAACCCGUAGACGUUAGAAUUAUAAUAAAUUAAACCAUUUUAUCAUUAAAGUUAUCCAUCAAAGUUACAAAGCCAAAAGUGCCAUUUUUUUUCUUUUUGCUGGUUGUUUUCACCACAUAGCACUAAUAUGAAAGUAACACCAAUCAUGAGUAGUGGGAGAGACGAAGGUUAUCAAAAGUAAUUGGAGGGGAUGGAAGUCAAAUAGAAGUUACAACCUAAGUAAUAGUUUGGUCAUAUGUAUGCCAGCUCACAAGUCGAGCUUAGAUAGGAUACUAACACAUUUCACGUUUGGCUACGCCCCUAACCCAGCACAAAAUAUAGGCAAUAUUAUUCGACUAGACCUAACCCUAAUUACCAAAAGGGAGCCAUGAUUUGCCCAACACAACCCACCCAAUUUCUUUUUCUAAUUUUAUUUAACUUGCAGUCAAUUUGUUUACUUAUUGUUCAAGGUUAUCAUAGUCCUUAUCAAUAUUGGCAUUUUUACGUGUGGUAUCCAUCACCGACAAAAGGACAUCAUU
rnacentral:lncRNA from 1 species